AGGAAGGAUGAAACCCUAAAGACCCUAAUUUUUCUCUAAAGUUACGGAAGCAGGAGCCUAAGGUUAACACCAACAGGGGAUUUAUUAUGACUCAAUGUUCAAGGCCACGGAUUCGACCCUGGUCCCACCAAACACGCUUUUAAAAAAAUACAAUUGGGAUAAAUAUAUUUUUGGCGUAAAAAAAAUAUUAACGUUUUCUUUUUUUUAAUCUAUUAAUUAGGUUAUUGAAAUUUUAUUAAACUAAAAAAAAUAUUUUUUAAUUGAUUUGAGAAAAAUUGUUCUUGUUAUAUUAUUAUAUUUAUUUAUCUUUAUAUAUAAAAAAUGUAAGUUUAUUAAUUUUAUAUAUCUUUUAAUACCUGAAGACAAAUAAAAAAAAUUUGUUUAAUUAAAAAUAUUCAAAAUUUAUUAAAAACUAUCAAAGUUUUUUUAUGAAUUUUUGUCCUUGUCAUUUUAAAAUCUUGAUGCUUACAAAAAUAUGCACCCAAGAUUAAAAUAAAGAGAGAUAUUUAUAGGAAUUAAAAUUGUUCUUAUCGAUUGGCUCUGAUGAUAAGAGGUUCGUUUGUUUCUUCACGAGUUUGUCCUAUCUCUUGUUGUUCUGGAAUGUAGCUUUGUUGAAACAAAGAGAGUCUUACUUGUUGAUUGUACUCCGAUGAUCAAGCAAGUAUAAGACUUAUGUAGUAAGUUUCAGUCUUAGAAACAGCGUACCUUUAGUUGGGAUCUCAAACCCCUUUUAUAGUUUACCUCUUGUAAGAGCUUUCCACGAGAAUCUAAUCUCAACAGGAAAAUAUUUUGUAUAGGAGCACACUCUCUUGGUACUGCAACAGAACGAAAUCUUUUCUCUAGGAAGUGCAUAAACCACUAGAGUACCAACUCAUGCACCAACAUUAGGGGUUCGAUGCGUAGACACUCUCUCUGUGGUGUUACGCUCUUUCCAUUAUACAUGCAACCUAACCACUACGUGCCUUAAAAAACACAUGGGCUUAGGUUUAAAAAGAGAACACUUACUGGACAUAGACUCCAUACGCACUAAACGCACCCCUAGGUCCAUAAUUACCCUUCAAUAGCCACCCAAGUCGUACGUGCAAAGGAUUACUCUAAUUAUACAAAAACAGACUUACUCAUAUAACUGGGACUCAAUUACAUGACCCACUAUACUGGCUCAAAAACCAAGUUGACCUGCCUGUUCGAUCACUGAGUGUUGAGUUCUGAGCGUCCUGGUCCAGUGCAAAAAUAAAUAUGAUAAAUUUAUAAAAAUUUAAAAUAUAAAAAUUUCAGGAAUUAAACAUAUAAAAUAACAUAUUUACAUAAAUAAAAAAUAAAAAAAUUUAAAUAUUAAUAUACUUUUUGUAUCUAGUUAUACACCUAUUAUUCUUCUUUCUCCUUUUUUUUUUCUCUUUCUAAAAAUGUCAAAGUUUGUUUAUGAAUUUUAGUCCUUCUCCUUUUAAAAUCUUGACUGUUUACAAAAAAAUAUGCACCCGGGAUUAAAACAAAGUGAGAUAUUUAUUAUUCUUUUCAACUGAUCUUAAUUUGACUAACAAAAUAUAUAAAUUAUAACCAUCUAAAUAUUACAAUUUUAUUAUUGAUACAGAAUAAUAAUAUACACAUCGAAGUCCAUCUUAUUUCACAUGUAAACUAUGGAAUAAAAUAAUUAUUGUUUGUUCUUCAAUCAAAAUUAAAACUUCACCUUUGUAUUGCAUAUUGAUAUUAAUGACAUUCAUUGUUACAAAGGGAGAAUAUCAAAUAUCCACAUUAAUUUAGGUAGGUUUUGUUUCCGUAUUAAUGAUGUAAGAUGAAUAAAAAAAACAAGUGGUUGUUGUCCGAAGUAAAAGUUUUACCAUCAUUUCCAUGUCACUUUUUAAAUUUUUUUAUAGCUUUUUGGUUUUCUAUUCUUACAGAUAUGUAAUCUCUAAUUUGUGUUUUUUUUAUAAAUUUUAUUUUAUUUUUAAUUCAUAUAAAUAUGUUAUAUUUAACCUUAGUCUUUAAUGAUGUCAAGUCAUCAUUGUUAAUAUUGUAACAGAAAUCUAAGAAAGAAAACAAAACUAAUAUUUGUAAAUUAUUAAAACGAGAAUUUAAAGUUUAACCUGUUAACUUGAGUGGAACUAUAUACUACAAUGGUCUAAUAGCGAUAUAUGUGAUUUGAAAUAUUUAAUAAAUUUUUAUUAUAAUAAAUUUUAAAGGCUUUUUAUUUAUUAAAAAAUAGAUUUUAAAUCUAAGUUAAUUUUAUAAAAUUAUUGUAAGGUAAGAUUUAUAUUUAUUUAUAUACUAUAAAAUAUUAUUGGUUUUAGUCGAUGAAAUAUCUCUAUCAGUUUAAGUAAAAUUUAAAAGAAAAAUUUGUGGAAAAAAAAAGUCAUAUUUGAAUUUUUUUAAAGAUGGGCUAAAUUUGUCUUUUUAUGGGAUGAAACAGCAUCAGAACUUACACAUGUGUGUUUUUACAUUUUAAAUGAUCUAAAUAAAAUAUACAGUUAUAAAAUAGCAAAUUAGUAAUUAGAAAUAUCUGUCUUUUAUUAUAAAGAAAAGUUUCUUAGAAAUUUCAGAAUAAUGUUACAUUUUCUCUUUUUCAUUAUUACGAUAAAUCGAAACACCGAUGUUCUUUUCUUUGAAAGGAAACAUCACCGUUCUUAAUGUCUUCUAUCAAACAAAUGCAAAAUUUAGUUUCUAACUACGAACUAACUUUUAUUUAUUGUUUUCCCUCAAUAUUUGACCGUUCAAAUAUUCCCUUAGUCUUUCAAAAUAAUAUUUUAUUAUUAAAUGAAUCAAUUGAUACUAUAUAUAUACACACACAAAAAAUUAACUAAUAAUUCUAAAUUUGCAUUCUAAGUAUACAGUUAUAUUUUAUAUAUCUUUUUAAAUGUCACUUAUAGUGAUUAUAUAGAAUAUAAUUACCUUUUAAGAAAAGAAUAUCAUUAGUUUCUUAAAUGAAGAAUAAAAUAAACAAGCCAAAAAUAUUAAAGUGAGUCAAUCCAUUUUAUAAUUUAAUUCGCUAUAAGUUGAAGUAAAAAGAGAUAACAAAUCAGAAAAUUUUCAACUCAGUGUAAUUCACUACAAAUUCAUUACUUAGAUCACUAGAUUUAAAAUAAAAGUACAAAAUAUUUUUUUUAAUUAAUUACCCUUACAUAUACUAAGAAACACAUAUGUUGUUGUGUUCGAAGAAAUGACUCAUCGAAAUAAUGAGUUACUAUUGAUAUCGACACAUAUGAGAUAUCUAAAUGUUCAGGAGUUCUUUUAUUCAAUCAUUUUCCUUCUUCUUGUUGUUGGAUAUCUCGUUCGUACACAUCUUCUCUUUGUUUCUCGAGUCUAUAGUGAGUUACGGACAGAGUUCGAAAAGGUCAAAUCUUUUAUGAUUCCAUCAUACAUGAUUGAGUUGCGAAAAUUUCUGGAUAUAGGUAUCCUACAUCUGAACUGAAUUCUUUAUGGUUAAAUAAUCUCUUUCUAGUUGCUUUGUCUGGAACAAUUAGGAGAUUCUCUAGAAGAAAUACAGAGUUUUGCUUUUGACGACAACAAGCUAUGUGGUGGUGGUCUCGCUUAUGGGGUCAAAUCCAUACGUUCUAAGAAUAAAUCUUGAAAUCUCAUUGAUCUCAUAAGUAUUAUACCAAAUCUCAUCAAUGGAAUGUAUUUUCCUCUUCUACUCAACUUUCAUUAUAAUAGAAAUUUAACAUAUAUAAAAAAAUAAUUUUAGAUUAGUCAAAAUUAAAAAGAAAAAAGAACAUGUAAAAAAAAUAAAUUAAUUAAAAAUAGUUAUUUAAAGAAAUUUUAUUUAUAGAUAGGUAUAGAUAAUAUUGAAAUAUUCAAAUAAAUAAUUAAUAUAAAAGGAUUUAAUUUAUUUUUUUAUAACUUAUUUUUAAUAUAUAACGGAUCCAUCUAUAAUUUACCUCGAUUCCUACUUACAAAUUAAAUAAAUUGGAUUGAUUUUUCCCAAAAAUAAAAAAUUCUUCAACUUUUCUAAUCUAAUCAAGUCAAUCGUGGUAAAUCAAUUAUAAAUAAUUUAUGAUAGAAUGAUAAUACAAAAAACUUAAGAAAAGAUUUGGAUUAAAUUCUAAACAGUAAUAGCAGAAGUUAUUCAACUCAAGAAUUGAAAACUGAUACAUUUAAAUAGAUUCCCUUCCUUCGGGCCUAGGAUUUAAUUUUUCAUUAACUACAAAAUCGUUUUGAUUAAAUAAAAAAAUUAAUGUAUUUUUUUUUAAAAAAAAUAUGUUAAAUUCGGACUAGAAUGGUUAAACUUUUUUUCUUUUAUCAGUAACGAAUUAAUAAAAUUUAAAAAGAAACACUUCAUGUUCCAAUCCGUAUACAAAAUAUCUUAACGUGAAAUCCAGACGCAUAUGAUUACAAAGUAGGGUUAACCACCAUAAGAUAAGAAGAAGAGCUAAUCUAUAAACAAGAUUUACCCAUUUAAUUAAACAUAAACAUAAACUAAUAUUUUUUUAAUUAAAUAUUUCACAGUACAUAUAUUCAUGUCUGAUCCAAAGAGGGUUGAUGUUCAUUGUUACACCUAACUUAGUAUCAUAUGUAAAAGUAAAAUAUACCUUGCUCUUCUAUGCUGAACCCGUUUUCUUCCGCGUUGGUAACGUUAUCAUCAUAAAAUAGUAUCAGACUUGGUCUUUUAACAUUCACACACACUCAAAAAAAUUCUUUCCAUUACUAAGCCAUGGAGUUUCUCCUAUGGGAGAUUGCCUUCGCCAUAGUUCUUCUUUCUCUUCUACUUCCACCGGUUUUCCUCAAACUUCUCUCCCUUACCCCAAACUUCGAAGCUCACGAGAACGUGGGCGUUAUUGGGCUAGAUCAUGAUCAUGGAGUUAAAUCUGAUUCUAAGAGCUGGGAAACGGAUGAAGUUGUUCGAAUUGUGGGGAAAAUUGAUGAAUUCAGAGACAAAUCGAUACUGGGAAAACUAAGAGUCCCAGAAAUUGUGGAUGUGGAUUGCCGAUCGCCCAAGAUACGCAAUUCAAAGACGAUUGAUGAGGAGAAUAGUGUUCACAACGAAAUUGAACUUGUGAAUUUGGCGGAGGAUCAUGUUGUGGAUGAGAGUAAUAAAGGGGUUGUUGUGAACAUCAACAAAGUUCAGGUAGAACUGAUGGAGUAUGAUUCUUCUAGAGAGCUCAAAGCUGAAGAGGCUGAGAUCUUGCAGUUCGAAAAAAAUUAUAAUGAGAUUGAUGAAUCUAGUGGGAACGAGGAAGUUGGUGAAAACAAGGACUUGGUUGUGGAAGAGGAUGAUUGGGAGGAAAUAGAAAGAACUGAGUUGGAGAAGCGUUUUGGUGCUGCUGUUGCAUUUGUCGGAUCCAAGAGCAAUGCUAAUUGUCUCAGUCAUGAAGUGAAGAUGAAGCUUCAUGGUUAUUACCGAAUUGCUACACAGGGUCCUUGCCACGAACCCCAACCAUUGACACUGAAGUUCUUUUCUGCUCGAGCAAAAUGGUAGUUGAUUAAUGAUUACCCUGCUUAUGUAUGUUUUUUUGAAUUAGAAUAUUUUCUCUCUAGCUCUAGUUUUCGUUUGAGUUGCUUACAGUUACGGUUACUCCAUUAGAUUCUUUCAUGUGUUUAACUGAGUUAUUCAUUUCUGUAAGGAUUGCAUGGCGACAACUUGGGGUUAUGAGUCCAGAGCAAGCAAUGGAGCAAUAUAUCAGCCUUUUAUCAGAAAUCAUUCCCGAUUGGAUUGUAGAAAAUCCUUAUGUAAGUUAUUUGAUUUGCUUUCUUUUUGUUAGAUCUAUCACAAAGAACCUUGAGGUUCUUACAGUAUAUAUUACUAUCACGAGAUGAAUUUUUGAACUGCGGAGUGUACCAUGGUUGAAUAUUUAUAUUUCCUUUUAUAACAGGAGCCGGCUUCAGAAGAGAUCAUGCAUCUGCAAAACUAGACACUGUUCUUCUCUAAGGAUCUUAAUAAUGUUCUUUUUUCUAUCUCUCUAAUAUCAUAGAAAAAUGUUUUUUUGACAUCAUACUUCAAGUUUCCACUAAAGUGAAGAUGCCCCACGUCCACUAAUAUUUUCGAAUUGUCAAUUCAAAUGCUAGCAAUCGUGCUUCCUAGGUGGAGAGUAGUUCUCCAUUAUUCAAUGAGGAAUUGCUUGUAGAUGUGCAUUUCCUCUUGCAAUUGAAAACAAAUAACGCAUUACGUGCCUUCCGCUGGAACGUUCUGCUGCAAACAAAUAUCAAGACUGGGUUCAUUUGCUGUUUGAACAGAAAAUAGGAAUACAAAAUUUGGUAAAACAAGUAUAGUUUCAUUGUGAGUUAGUUUCAUGUCCUGUUAAAAAGGUUUGAUUCUAUAUUCAAUAAGAUGGUGUAUGUGUUUGUGAUAUUUAGAAUCGGUUCAAGAAAAUACAAAUUUAGAAUAUUAUCUAAAUAUUAAAUAAUAUUCAGAUAAUAACAAGAUAACUAAGAGCUUGUAAAAUACAUAUUUUACCAUAAAAAAACACACAACAAUUAUGAAUGCUCUAAUUUGAAGGUUUUAUGGAGAGAUACACGUGAGACUUGUACUUUUCAUUUUGUGAAAUCCAUCAAGGAGUCUUUAACAAACUCCACACACACCAUAUACAAAAUUAAGCACCCCUAAAUUAAUAAAGGACUUACACAACUAGCAUCUUUUUCAACUUAACAAACUUUUAAAGUUAUUCAUCCAAAAUCUGAAUAUAAUUAAGUUCUUUGGCUUAAAGACUUCAAGACUUGAGCCCAUAAAACUGUGUAUAUUAGAUAAUAUAUCAACCAGACUUAUAAAACACAUUUUUCACUGCAGACAACAAUUUCGUAUGCUUAACUAGAAUGCUUAAGAAUCUCGUCAGUAGUUUUAGCUAAAAAAAUAGUUAAGUUAAAUUUUAAAACAAAAAAUGUUAAUUAAUUUUUUUAAAACAAUGUUUAAAGAAACAAGAAUGAGUUUAAGAGUUUAAAAUUAGAAAUUUGAUAAUUUUUUAAUGGUAUUAUAAGAAAUAUGUUGAAUUUUAAAAUAAGAAAAGAUUAUCAUUCUUUAAUUUUAAAUUUUUUAAUUAAAUACACAGAUAGUAUAAUUUUUUUUAUAUUACCAUAUAUUAUAAGUUUAAUAAUUUUAUAAUAAUUAUUUUAAAAAUCAAAAUUUAAAAUGUUUUUAAUAACAAUAUAACUAUUUAUUUUUCAUAAUAAUGCAUGAAAGUUAAACUCAUUCGAAUAAUGAAAUUGUAAAAAAAAAAUCAUUUAGUUUAUGAAAUUUUAAAAACUAAUAAGAAUUUAGAAAAUUAUGCAUAAAAAUCUUAUCUGAAGACUUACUUAAAAUGAUUAAAAAAAUAUAAACAGUCUUCAAAAGUCUAUUUUACAAUUAUGUAUGUUUACGAAAGUUUAAGUUCUCUAUUACUUAAGUCCAGUCUUUUUCGAAAAUAUCUAGAAAAUCUCAAUUUGUUCUCCUUCCUAAUAUUUUAUCCUAACAUUUUUUUUUUUACGGUCAUUCUAUUUUUUUUUUCUUCUAUUUUAUUAAAAGUCCAAAGUUAAACUUCAAGUUUAAUUCAACUUUUAUAAAAUUAAAGGCGAUACUAUAUAUUAAUAUUAAUAAGUGAUUCGAUGGUAUAUCGUAUGUAAAUUGAUAAAAUUUAAAACUUUUGCUUUUAAAUUUAUCUCAACUUUAUAAUUAGUUUAUAAAAUAAAAUUUACUUUAUUUAUAUAUUUAUACAUAAUAAAAUAUAAUAAUAUAAUGACAUCUCUAACAUAUAAGAAUCAUACACUACCACAUCCUUGACAAUAGAAUGUACUAUAAAAUUUGUUAUAGAUGUAGUAUAUGAGUUUCAUAAGGUCAUAAUUAUUGCAAAUUUUACUUCAAGGGAUUUUUAAAUGUUUAAACAUAUUUUUUUUAUCUCAAAUUUGUAUUAUAAAUACAUGAUUGUUAAUAUUAUAAAAUUUUGGUGGUUAAUACUAAUUUCUAUUUUUAAGUAUUUGGAAUAUAUGGUCGUUAAUACUAUUUUAUUUAUUUAUUAUCAAAGUCUUUUACGACCAAUGUACUUAGGAGGAAGUUAUUAUUAGGCUACCACCACCACAUACACAAAAUUCUCGUUUUGUUAGCUCCAUCCGCAGCAUGAGUUUCAUUAAUCGAAUCACUGCCCUUCGUCGAUCAAAUUCAUCGUCUCCCUCAGUCUCACUCUCCGCCUCUUCCCGUUAUCGAACCACAACCUAGGGUUUGCCUCAGAUUCCAAGGGAACGUGAAUUCGUGCAUUCUCUUUUUCUUGCCUUGUCAAACCGAGUUUAUAAAAGUUCGAUGGGAGUUGUCAUUGAGAGCUCCGUUUGGGAACUAAAUCCAUCCGUAUACAUCUUCAUCUUCGUUUGUUGCUGCUUCUUGAUCUUUCUUUUCCCUCACGCCUCUAACCUCAACAGAACCUCCACAAUCUUCGACCAUGGAACCUCUCACUCGUUUCUCCGUUUCCAGCGGAAUUUCCUCUUCGUCUAUUCUCUCGCAUCAGGUUGCUUUCACUUCAUUUCCUUAUUCAUUGUAGGAUUGUUCGGUUUCUCUGACAAUGUGCGGGAUCAGCUUUCGAAACUUUAGAGUUCUUUUGUUUAUCGAGGAAGAAUUGUAACCUAAAGAAAAACAAAAUAUCUUAUUAGCUUUAGGUGAACAUUUUCUGAUUAACUUUAGCCGAACAUUCAUUUCUAUGUUAUGUUUGUUUUGAAAAUGGAUUUAUAUUCUACUUACUUUUUUAAUCUGUUGUUCUGUUUCUGAACCAAAAUUCCGAAACUCGCUUGUUUUAAUUAGUUUCUCAAUUGAGAUUUAGAUCUGUAAAGUGCAAGUGUGAAUGACGGUUUCGUUUCUCCUCUCAGUAAUGGAAGGUCUAUGGUCAGUGUUUGGGGAGUAUGAAUUUGCUUCAUAUGGAAUCGGCAGGGAAACUAUGGUUAAGUCUCUGUGUUACGGAUAUACAACAGCUCUCUUCGCUGCUCCUUUCCUUGGCGUGCUUUCGGAUUUGAUGUGAGGCUCUAGUUUUAGUCGUUGACGUUACUGAUCUAUUAAGAUUGAUAAUUAUGUUUAAGUAGUUCAACGAUGAGUUUAGUGUUAAAUGCCAGCCUUUGCAAUUGUGAUGUUUAAGUAGCGCCAUAUUAUGCUGUCUUUUUCAGUAAAGAUGAUUUGGUUGUUUAAUUAUUUUAGUUAUGACAAUUGCAUCGUCCUAAGUAUAACAUGGAAUUCCUUCCGUGUGGAAGACUUACUGUCACUGUGAAUGAUUGUUGAUGUCUAAUUUACUUUAGUGUUUUCUGUUGAUUAGUGGCUGUUGAGACGAUAUUAGGAGUAUUUUUUAAAAUGCAUCCUUUCAAGACAUUUACAUUUCUAAUUGUUGAGGAAGAAUAUAAUCAAUAUUCCGAUGUCAAUCUCAUCUUCCUGUGAAUUGUUAUCACUUUUCAAUGUUUGUCAUUUUGGUCAUGACAUCCUUCUAUUUGUGAUUUCAACCGGGGGUUUGCUAUGUUAGAUGUGAAUAUAUGAAGCAUCUUGGUUAUUCCAGAAGCACUAAUGCUAAAUCAUGCACAUUCAAGAAAUUUAUACAUUUCUGUGUACAAAUUUAUGAUGAUUUGUCAGAAGAUUAUUCUAACUCAAUAUUUAAUUUUGAUGUAGAGGUCACAAGAAAGCUAGUUUAAUCUUUUGCAUUCUACACUUCAUUUUUGGCGUAUGGAAGAUGGUUUCAGAGCAGCCAAGUGUAUUCAUAACUAGCACAUGUCUCUCUCUGGCCAAUACAAUAUUUUCAUUUAGUUUUGAGAAUUGGAUGGUCACUCAACAUGAAAAGGUAAUAGGUAAAUCUUAUCCUUUUAUCUUGAUUUCCACAUAGGCACAUAUUUCAGUCUAAGCAUCCACAUCUUUGCCACUGGAAAAAUGGCAAAGUAGGAGCUUACUUCUUCCUGGUUAAAUAACUUGAUCCAUUUUUUUUCCCAUCUUUAUAAUGAAAAUUCACUUUACGUGGAAAGUGCAUGGCUUCUUAGGAUAAGGACAUAGGACUGCUUAAAAUAUCUAGAAUUUAACAUCAAUUUGGAAUAUUGUGUUUUUGUUUGCAGCAAGGGCACAGGCUUGAUUCGCUUAAUGAUACAUAUUGGUUAAUGUCUUUCUUUGAGUCUGCAUGUUUUAUCGCCAGCCAAAUGUUUGCAAAUUGGCUUAUUGGUAAUAAUACGGGAAAAAAUACUGCUCCUUCAUUUGUUAUUAUUUGUUUUGCUGCCACAUGCUUGGCUUUUAUCACCAGAGGAUGGACAGAAACUCCUGGAACAGCAUUUCUUAAGGAGUACAGUCGCUCCUUCUAUGCAUACAUUUUAGGUGGUAAGUUGCUUUUGUUGUUCUUUUUUCUUUAUUAUUUUAUGAACAAAUAUGCUUUUACAUUUUUUAUAUAGAACAAUUCGAUGCUCUUAAGAAUGCUGUACUUAGCAUUUGUUUGGCAAUCUGAUAACUUGGUAAAGUUUCUGGAAAUUACCAAGGCAGCUAAUCCCUUUUAUUUAUGUUCCUAUUAAUAACUGCUAUUUUGUCUUCAGAAUAUGUGCGCUUAUCACGAGUUAGUGUUUAAGAUUGCCAAUGUAUAUAAUACUUUAGUUGGUUAGAUGUGGAAAAGAGAUGGCACUAGGAAACACAUUAUCAAUUUUACAACAAUGUAAUGAAAAGUUUAAGUCAUCUACUGAUUAUAUACUGAUUGUAAUUUUAUAAUCCACAGAUAAAAGGAUAUGGUUGUUGGCAUGGGCACAAACUUGCCUUCACUUCUCUAUAGGAAUUUUUUGGAUCCUUUGGGCACCUACAGUGGUGGUAUGAUAUCAAAUUUUAGAGCAUAUCUUGUUAUAUACUGAGGCAUCGAUAUUUACAAUGCUAAGGCAGUAUUGCAUUAAAUGGAUGUUUUAUGGGCUUUCUUUUCUUCUUCAGGCUUCUUUGUAUUGAUGAAUCUAGAAAUGGACUUAAUUGAACAAACCUAUAAGUAAUUUUGUUUCUCUGCCCAUUAUUGUGGGAAAACCUCUUCCCGUGAUUGGCUCAUUUUGAAAAGAGGCUUUUUAAGUUAUUGAACCUGUUAUUUUAUCAGUCUGAGUCAUAGGAUGCUUUUGGUUUAUAUAUAACUUCUAAUGCCUUUGGUUUUAGGCUGACGGGCGAGAAGUGCAACUGGGCUUGAUAUAUCCAUGCUUUCUGGGCUCAAGAAUGCUAGGAAGUGCUGCUUUUCCGUGUCUCACUAGUGGGCCAUCAUCGUUUAGAACUGAGGACUGCUUAGUUUUCGCAUACAUUGUACUGGCUCUUCUCCUGUCUAUUGUGGCUUAUGACUAUCAGGUGCAGUAAUUUAUAUAUUUAGGAAGUAUCAAAUAUAUUUUUGGUCAGAUUUUUGAGCUGGAAAUCUUGAGUCUACUCUCGUAUGCAGGAAAUCGGGGUUCUGGUGACGUUAUUUUGCUUCUUUCAUGCAUGUGUUGGGUUUGUUUUGCCAUCACUUGCUAGACUGAGGACCAUGUAAUCUCUUUAACUAGAUUUGUACUUUUUUCAUUUUCUCAGAAUUUGAUUUUUAGUUUUAUUUAAUCUCUUUUUGCAGGUAUGUUCCUAAUGAAUUGCGUGGAGGGAUGAUGGGCUUCUCUCUUGCCCCUGCAAAUGGAGCUAUUCUGCUUUCUGUGGUGCAAGUAUGUAUUUUUGCAUAAUGUUAUCUAAAUUUUUGGAAGCAUGCAAUUAACCAAUUAAGCAUUAUUAACACGAGUUAAAUGAACCAUGAUAAGAGGCUACUUCGUUUGAAAAAAAUGUUCUGUUUUUAUUUUCUAUUCCACUAUUAUUUUAAAAAAAUAUCUCAUUGAUUUCACUUUGUUUUCUAUUUUUACAGAUUUGUGUAGAAAAUAGCGAAAACAAUAAACAAGAUAUAUUCACUGUUUUCUUUGCAAACAUUUGAAAACAGAAAACAAAAUGAAAAUAUGAUGACAUUUUUGUAACCAAAAGGGAAAAGUAGUAAUAAAAAUAGGAGACUUUUUUCUUAUAAAUAUUUACUCAAAAAGACAUCCUAAUUUUUUGAGGUUUUGAAUCUAACAAUGCUACAAUCGUGGAGGGUGGCAUAAUAUUCCUACACAGUCAUUUCUACAGCAGUAGAUGCAAGUUGUAGUUUAAAUUCCUAUUGUGCUUUCAUCUUUUCCACAGCUUUGAAAAUGUACAUGUUUUUUUUUUUUUUUUUUUUUGAGUUUGUGUUGAACUUCUUGAUUGCCGCAACUUGUUGAUUAGCCAAGUAGGGGGUGACUGUGUGUUCAAAUGACUUGUGAAGGAGGGUUAAAUGAAUGAAAUACAAUACUUUAGGUGUAAUGUUUUGAGGGAGUGACUAUGGUAAGAGUUGAGUUGUUAGUUUAGUUAUAUAAAUGGUCUGUAAGUUUAUUAAAUAUAGUCAACAAGAAGCAAUAAAUGAUUGACAAUGAACGUUUGAUAUGUAGUACCCUUGAAAAGAAGAUUAGUACCGAGGUAAUUCAUUACAUUAAAUGUUUGUAAUCAAUGCAUCAGCUUAUCUUGAAUAAUUUUGUAAACGACAUUGUGUAUUUCUUAUGUUUCGACGGUUCAUGUGUGUAUUUGCUGUCAUAUAUUUUGACUUCCUCAUUAUGUUUGCAGCAUGGCAAAUGAUUUUGUGAAAGACAUUGUGUGUUUCUUGUGUUUAAACUGGUUCAUGUGUGUAUGUGGUGUAUGUUGACUUCCUCUUUAUGUUUGCAGGGUGGCUAUUAUCGGAAUGUAGAAAAUGCAACAUUAAUGGCAUUUGGUGUGUGUGGUUUAUUGCUAGCAGCUGGUUGCAUGCAUGCCUUGAAGCAAUGGGGUAAGCAACCGUAUAACAACUGGCAUAAGCAGUGAAUGUAUGCCCCUUUGACAGGCUUUGGUAGUGGUGGAUAACGGACUCUUUUAUUGAAUGCUGCAAUGAGGAAGGAGUAAAGAGAUGAAGAACUUCAAUGAUGCAUAUUCAGGCAAUGGGAAAUAAAUUUCAAAAAGAUACUAACAUCGACUACUAGUGAGUACUGAACUGAACUGACAUUGGGGUUCUUUCUGUAAUAUAGGGAGAAACUGAACAAUGAAACUUUAUAGUUUAACACUUUCAUUGAGUAAGUAAGCUUUUUAGGUUACUCUGGACCAACGGAUUUCUAAUUCUCAGUAAUAUAUUGUAGCUUGCAUACUUUGCUGCUUGGGUUUGCUUAUGGAGGAUAUAUUCAAUUGCACAAGCUUUGGAAAUUGCUUUCAGAAUCUGUAUCUGGUGACGAAUGCCAGCUUCUCCAGAAGAGCAUCUAAAAGAUCAUAAGGUGAAAAUUGAAUAUUAUGGUUUGGUUAUGUUAGCAUAUCAAGUAGUCAUGUGCUAUGGGCUCGGUCAGUUUAUUCUAAGUUUCUUAGCAUAAACCAUAACACUGAUUAACCCUAGCAUGUUAAGUAAGAGGUUGAUAUGAUGUCACAUAGAAAACAUUCGAAGUUCUGGUGAUGUGAUUUCAUCAAUUUGAUGAAGACACAAUUCAGCUGGUAACAAUUUGGUUUUCUUGUUUUUCUCAUAUAAUAGGACCUCUCUGUUUCUGUCAUUUUGUCUUAGAAAAAACUAAUUAAUCAUAAACUAUGUGUGAAAAAGUUUUAGAUAAUCGUUGUUUUGUGCUAAAGUACAUAAACAAAGGUACUAAUAGUUAAGUGUUGUUUGUUUUUAAAGUUAGAAACAGUAGUUUCUUUAAAAUAAAAAUAAUACUUUAUCAUAAAAAAGUUCUUAAUUUUUUCGCUCUCAAUCGUAAAUAAAGUAGGUUUGUUAUCUUAGCAGAAUAAAUAAUUUAUUUCAGAUGAAGAGAAAUGCUUACUGUUGAUUUCUACGUAAUAUAUUCCUCUUCAGAUGAAAUCAAUGUUUUGAAUUGAAAUCUGUUUAUCUUUGAUUUUACAUUUUAUUUAAUAAGUCUCAGUCAUAAUCAGAAGUGUUAGAAAGAAUAUUGUUAAAAAAAGCAUCUCUCAUAUUUUCAUUUGUGAUAUGCAAAAGAUAGAUCUAAGGUACUAUGGAAUCCAAGUUAUAACUAAUUAUUUCGAGAAAUUUUUUAGCAAUUGACUUUUGGAUUGGCUCCCUUUAUUAAAUGUUUAUUGACUAUGAAUCACGCAUGCUAUAUCCUGUGCAUUGGUCCAACUUUUCACAAUUUCUUAUUAAAUUUUGUCCUCGAUUAUUCAUCAAAGCUAUAAACAUAUUUUGGCACAGAAUAUAAAUGGUUGUUAAAGACUGCUACCGGUGGAGCUUGAAAAUCAAUUGCAGGUAGCAUUCAUUUAAUCGUCGUCUUGUAUUUGAUCCCUUAACCACUUUGUUGCCACCCACUUCUCUCCUUUUAUGACGGGACAGCUUCCGUGGAGUGAUGUCUGCCAAAGUAUACACAGAAAGAAGGUCAAAUAAUGAGCCAAUCAAGUUAAAAAAUGUUUUAAAAUUUUCGCUCAACGAUGAUCAGAAUAUGACUGGGAAAUCCUUCCAAAGUCGUGUUUUUUUACACUUGACUUCCUUUUAAAUUUCAAAGCUCCAUAGAGUCUAGUUUGCUACGCCCCUCCUUACCCCUGUGCUUCUUCCUUCCUUCUCAAGAGGUACACACUUCUAAGAGUAUUUUGGACCUAUUACAUUUUGAGCCUCUUUUUCUUUUCGACACACUACACUUUGAAGUACAAGGUGUGUGUUCUCUAUUUGUUUCUGUGCGAGUAAGAAAUUAAUCCUAAAAAAUACCGAGUAAAUUAUUAAAAGACCAUAAAUUUCAAUGUGAAGGAUAAAAGUGGAAAACAUGUGUUUUAAUAUUUUUUAAAUAUAAAAUAUAAAAAUUUUCGGCACCUUAAAAAACUGCUAUUCUGUUCGCUUAUGAUUUUAACCCCCAUUUACUAACCUCCACAUCUCCCUUUCAGCCUUGCUAAACAAGUUUAAAAUGAUGACAACAAUAUUAUGAAAAAAGAAAACACUAACCUGGUCAAUUGUACCAUUAGGUAAUAAUGAGUAAAAUAGAAGCCCAUCCCCUCUGCGUGGCCUUACUUUUAAACCAAUACAGUCCUCGAAAUCAUACCUACCAUCCAUGUUGAAGCCAUUCUGCAGAAUAAUAACGCGUAAUUACGUCCUAAGAGAUUAGUAAACGGAAUGUGUGUGAAUAUAAGUAACGACAAACUCACCUCAAACGGAAACAUGGUCUCCCCACCUUCUGAAACAUCAGUUAAAUACAGCAAAAAAGAAGCUACCUGCAUGGAACUUAGUUAAGAUUCAAACUUAUUAAACAAAAUCUCUAAGUUUAAGAGCUAAAAUUGCAAAGAUAAAAAACGAUUUAAUAUUAAAAUAUGAGAACUUAGUAUAAACAAUUUGAGUUGAUAUCCUGAAAAUAGAAAUAGGGACAGCCCCAACGGGUUUGAAUAGGAUACUUCAUUAUCCAUUUCCACACAUUUCUAAUUUUUUUUUCUUGUACAGAUAGUAACUCCAAUAUCCAUUUUUGUACCCUAUUGACACUUUCAUAUUUUAAUUAUAAAAAAAAUAAUAUUAAAUUGAAUUCAAACAUACUAAAAUAAUUAAUUACGAAAGCAUAUUUAUUAUGACAGACACGCUUUAUUUUGUGUAAAACGUAUGCAAGCUAAGGAACUACGAUAGAUAUAAAUGCAAUAUAAGAAAUCUCAAUAUGGCUAGUGGACAAUGUUGUGACUAUGGAACUACAAUAGAUCCAAAUACAUCAAUAAGAAAUAUCAAUAUAGAUCCAAAUACUAGAAAAGAAGUGUGAUCUUCCCUCUAACUUCGUACCAAUAAGAUCAUCCAUAUCAAUACAAUUUUUUAUAUUAUUUUGGUAUCAAUUUUGAAUUAAAUAAUUUUAUUAUCUCUUAAAAUACAUAACAAUAUAUUCUCACACCGUAUAACUCAUUAACUAAAAAAAAUCUUAUAAUUUAUCAACUUCUAACUAUCUCACUUUUUUUAAAUCAUAUUAUUUUAAUAUAAAUGCAGGCAUACAUACCCGAGAGGGACUGUUUUUCCGCUAGUGUAACCUAAAAAGUAUUAGACUCCUCUUUUUGAGAAAUUAAUACGUAUAAAACUUCAAUUCAUUUUAAGGUGAAUAAACUUUCCAUCUAUCCCUUUCUUUUCCUCAGCAUAGGUGCGGUUUUAGAAAUACUUUUGAUAUUUUUUUUUUUAAAUGCUAUAUUUUUAAUGAACUAUUAUUCUUGGUGUAUUUUUAUUUAGAAACAACACUAAAAAUUACCUAUCAAACAACAUGAGCCUUGUCCAAUUUUAAAACUUUCUACAGUUUAAAAGAAAUAAUGAAAAUUUUAAAUAAAACCUCAUAAACAUUAGUGGGUGUAUAAGAUUUCAUUUCAUUUCAAAAGUCCCACAAUGAUGUUGAAAAAUAGGUGUCACGACACAGACAUGUCCUAAGAAAGGAAAAAUGACAAGGAUCUCUCAUGCUAAAGAAGAAUUGCAUUUGAAAAAUAGACAAAAAAAAAAAAAAACCGAAAUACGGCCUACAUUAGAAGAGAUUCAUCCUUUCACUUUUAUAAACCCUAAACCAUUUUAUAUGAAUGAAAUUGCAUACACUAGAUUUUUCUCUUCUAUAAGUUCUCUGUAAUAUACUCGUAUCCUCUCUAUUCUCUAUACAUAUUUAUUUUUUAUUCGCAUUGUUAAUUAAUUUUAAAUUUAACGCAAGCAUUAACCCUUUAACUCUUAAUACUUAACUUUGUAGAACUCUCAUUUUUCGUAGAAAAUGAUAAACCAUGUGCCAUGGUUGUCGGUGCUAGUACUGGUAGGCAAACAACUAUCCUCAAAAUUCAUAACAGCUUAAAAAUGAGAGAGUAGGAGUUUUACUUUAGACGUACCCGUCGGCUCUUUUGUGGGCCAUAUUCAGCAUAAUCAAAUGCAUCAUAAUGAGAACUGUAUUUCUGUCCAACCUCAUAGCGUAGGACAUUAAAUGCCUGAAACAUCAUUAUUUCUCAGGUAAUUUAGAAUCACCCAAAAAAUGAAACAUUUACAAAUUCAACAAAAUAAUAGGCAAGAAAAGUUAAUAUUUAUAGUCUAGAUGUACAAGAACAUUGAUUUUAAAGAUGUUUAAAAUUGUUUUCCCCUUUCUUUCAGUUAAAAUUUAUUAUGGUUGAUUAUAGGCUAAGGCAACGUGCCAAUACCUCUAAACUAUACUUAAAGCCUAGUUAAAAGCUUCGAUUGUACCUAAUCAAAAGCAAAAUUGGAUAUUACAAAUUUCAAAAUCAUAGUUGGUGUCAUUAUUUCUCCGCAUCAUCGGUGACCCUAUUAUUUUAAUUAAUAGAAGACAACAUAGAAAAAUUAGUUCAAAUUCACUGGUAACAAGAGGACUAUUACUUUGUUAGAGAAGAAAAGAAUAAAAAAGUCUCAACUCAUAUUUUCAGUGACAACAACACAAAUGUGUCGUUGAACAAUGGGAGAUUCCUUUGUACAAAUGUACGAAAUCAAACAUCACAGGCAUCAAACAAAAAGUUUCCUGCCAACCAUGAAGAAUAAAUUUACCGUUCCAAAUAGUACAAAUUUAUAAAAUGAUUAUUCGAAUUUCAAUUCACCCAUCCCACCAAUAUGUUAAGUUUAAUAUAUAUGAUCAUCAGACAGGAGCUAUGAUAACAAAAUGAUCUCGAUAUUAGGAGGAUAGAUAUUAUUUUAUCAAAAGAAAAACAAUAAACUUUCUUAAUCUUAUAAAAUAAUUAUAAAGCUUUUUAUUUUGCCCUUACUUUUACAUCAAAAUAAAAACAUAUGUAAACUAAUUAAAAAUGAAGUAAAAAAAAUUAAUAUUAUCAUACAUUUUCAAAAAACACUUUAGAAACAAGAAAGUUUCAAAGAUUCGAUCGUCAAAAGAAAAGAAGUAUAUAGAAAAACAUUAUCUCUCUGCAACUUCAACACGACGAACCAUCUAUUAAAAAUGUGUUUGUUAUUUAAUUCCAUUCAAUUGAACCCACUAGCGAAUCUUAGGGGAGCCUCGACCCUCCAACCUCAUCUUUUCCAGCAUUUCAUUUGCUAGUAGCAGAGACAAGAUUUAGUGUUGUUUGGUGAUUAAGGAGGGUGUAUAUGUUCCAUAUCCUUUGUUUAGGUGUAAGGUGAGGAUGGUCAGUACUCGUCGUGUGGGAGGAAGAGAAACUAGCUCACCCUAUCUUAACAUGUGGAGAAUGAACUCAAGUGAUUUUACAUGACAAUUAAAAUUAUGUGUUAUGUUUAGUUUGAGUAUAAUAUUUUGGACUCCAGAUUAUUGGUCAAAAUCCAUCACCAAUUCAACCUACUUCCAAUUCAAUUCAGUUCUAUCCAAUUUAACACUCACAUUGCUUGGAAAGUGCAAAAUUUCCAUUCAGGACCAAUCUAAUGAACACCUAAAUACUGAAACAAGAAAGGAUCAAUCCAACUAAGCACCAUAAAUACCCUUAGUAGUCUCAACUCUGCUUCAUUUCCCACAUUAAGUCUUAACAUUAACUGAAUUUUGAGCCAACAGAAGCACCCAAUGUUAAUCCAUUUGUGUGGGGGAGAUGAUAAAGCAGAAUUAUGGCAAGCAACAAUCUAACAUUCACGAAGCAUUAUUCUAGAGAAUUGAAAGGUAUAAUAAGGCUACGUAAAAGCACCAGUGUGCACCUAUUAAAGAAACAAAGUUGAAACAAAGUUGAAACAAAGUUGAAACAAAGAACAGGUUUUGCAGAAAAUAUAGAAAAUGACACCAGAAGGAAAAAAGUGGCUUAUUUAAGAAGGAAAAUCCAGAUACCAAGUAAUAGGGUUCGAUUGGUUACUUGUGAAAAAAACUCUUCCCUUAUAAUUAGUGCUUUGGAGAAGUAAUAGGUAUAAUGAAUGAUACUAGUUUUACUAGAAAUGAAAAGCUGCUGUAAAUUAACAGUUUUUACUUUUUAUUACAGAUACAAAUUCAAACAAUCGAUUAACUAAAGCAAAAAAACAUAAGAAAAUUCAUUUUAGUAAAUGAGAUUAACAAGCAUUUUCAAAAUGCCCUUUCUGCAGAGCGGGACAGCCAGUUGAGUAGGGAUGUUACCUCUCCAUGAGUUCUAGGAAGUUUUGUUGCUUUGGCAAUUUUCUCCUCAACGGCAUAUAAAGUCCCCGUUUCAUCCUCGGAAGCACUCAGAAAAACACCAUAGCUGUUAAAAGAAGAAUGUAGACAUAAGCUCACAAUAUGACUUUAUAUUACAUAAUAUGCAUCUUUGGAUUUUAGGAGAAGAGGUCCUCAUAACCAUAAUCGCCAAUUCUCCCAUGGGCCAGAUCAUUUAUCUUAAUUAAACUGCAUUAUAACACAGAGAGGCGUAUAAAAUAUCGGCAUGUUACCAAAAUUCUCGGGAAUUGAAACUCCCACGGAUUACUUGAGGAUACUUUUUAAAGGAAUUUAGUUUAAAGCAUAAUAAAUUUAUAAAACCUGUCAUCUAAGAACCACAUGAGGCUUUCCGUUAUUCUAUCUUCAAGCAGAUAAGAGGUCAAGAUUCAGGAAAUCAAAACAAGUUGAGAUGAUAUCUUGCCUAUAAAGUUCGCAGUCUUGGUUAGAGGCAAGGAAUAGGAGAGCAGAUAUAAAGGAAUCGAACAGAUUCCAUCUAAUUUCUCAGAACUUAAAAAUCUGUAAGGUUCACCAUAAUCCCAAUCUGAAUCAAUCAUGCAUAUUAGUUUUGUUAUCUUAGCCAUUCCAGGACUAAAUUCUUUCUUUUGACUUUAGGUAUAAGCAUGCGAGUCUCGUUGACCUUAUGGAAGAAUUUGUGAUAAAUCAUACUCCUACAUUUAGCAUUGUACUUUGUGCAGUUCAUAAUGACGGCAGACAGUUAAGUAUUCCACAGACACAUACUAACUACACAUUACCUUGUUCUGAUUCCCUUUGUAUUUUCCUCCGUUUCUCCCUUACGUAACGCCAAUGUGGAUGGCUUGAGUCCUACCCUUGCCAAUUUAAUUAUGCUUUCACAUUGUUGUGGACUCGCAAAAUUAGGAAAAUAUAGAGCGCGAGGGUACCAGCUCAAAACCUAAGGACCACAAAUCAAAGACACAUUCAUUCGAAACUCAAAGCUCAACUGCUCAAGUAAAUCCUCCAACAGAAUCGUAUGCUCAACAUUAGCGCAUUCACGCAACAAUUGAAAUUAUAAAUUUCAGAGAUGCGAUCAUCGCAUAAAACGUUUAUGAAAUCAAAAUAUUAACGUAAAUUCACCGUAAUAAACUAAUCUAAAGAUAGUGCACUCUUUCAAACAGAUGAAAAGCAGAUUUUAUCUACCCUAGCAGAAGAACAUUUCAGCAAAAAAAUUGCGUAGCAUGAAGAAACGAAAUCGCGCACCUGAAAAGGAAUCAAUGUAAUGGAAUCGUCUCCGGAUUCUCCAGCUUGCGACAAAUGAUACUCCGUCUCCUCCUCCGUCGAUUUUUCAGUUAACCUCGCUCUCGGCAUCAGCUUCAGGUCGUGUUCACGUUCCUGCAAAUUCCAGCGAUCUGUUAUUUCAAAUACUUUCCAGCGAAACAAAACAUAAUCGAAGAAAAAAGAGCUUAAAAUACAGAAAAACAACGUGAUUAGGAUUGUUGCGAAGGAAAACCUGAGAGUGAGGAAAGAGACUGGAAGCCAAUAAUCCAGCGAGAAAGAAGAAGAUGCCUAUAAGGAAGACGAAAGGCAAGUCGAGCUUGUUCGUCCUCCAGUUCCAUCUCCAAUUUCCCUUAACCGUUUUGGUUUUCAUGUGGAUUUACGUUGUUCGAAGUGUAAAACGAAUGCUAACUUUACUACCAAGUGCAGAGCAACUCUGAAAGGUAUAGCACUUGACCGAUCCGCUUCCGAAGUUGACUAUGCGGUUCUUUAAGCGGCUAACUACCCUCUUCCUAACGGAUUUACAGCAGCUAGCUACACCUUGUGUAUGCCCACUGUUUAUUGAUUUGAAUUUGCAUUUGCAUUAAAUUCAAUCUUAAUUAACAAAUAUGAAUUAAUAAUGUAACAAAAGCUAGCUAAUUAAUGUUUAAUGUAUAGCGAGACAUAUGCGCCUAGAAAAAAAUAAAAAUAAAACAAAAGUUAUUUUUUAGACAUGCACUGAAAUUUCCGAAUAUUCAGUUUUUUAGAAAUAUAAAAAGAAAGAUUAUUUUAUUUCUUUUUCAUGCAUUUAUGUUUUUAUUUGAUUUUUAUACUGAUGAAUUUUAUAUUAAGUUAUUUAAUUUUAAUUAUCUGAUUAAUAGAACUAUUUAUUCGAUUAAGAAAAACUUUACCAAUGCAUAUUUAGCCAAUCUGUCCUAAUAAUUGUAAAUAAUACAAGAUAUGAUGUUUCUACGUAUAAAAUGCAAAUAAUUAAUUCACUAUGAAUAAUACAAGUAUUUAAAUAAGUUAUUUUAAUUUAAUGAUGACAAUAAUAUAAGUCAAACUCUAUUUCAAAUAUGUCUUUUCUAUUAAAUGUACUUAAUGGUGCAUGUGACUAUUUCUUUAUAACUAAUAAAUAUCUAAUUAAUAAACUUCACAAUAGAUUAAAAUAUAAAAAAAUUACUACGAGUGAGUUCAAAAUAUGUUAUUAUUUAUUUAAUUAAGAGCAUUUUCCAUAAUUUAUUUUAUGAAAUUAUAAUUUAAUUUUUAUUAAAUUUUGUGAGUAUAACUUUAUUUACGAAAUUUAUUUCUUAUAGAGAAAAACUCAAUAAUGCAAUAAUAAUUUUAACGAUUCCUGCAACAUAAAAAUCUUCCAAUUUUUUUCACAAAGGAAGCAUUGAAUACUUGUUUAUACUUUUAAGAUAUGAAGUGUAUUUUUUUUUUCAUUUAUCCUUUUUUAUAAAAUGGUGAGAUAAUUAUAUCAAAAUUAAAGCAUCAGUUUAUAAAUAAAAUAACAAUAUAUGUUAUUCUCUGUAAGAAUAAAUUAAAAAAAUAACGAAAUCUGAUAUUAUUUUAACUACUUACAAAUAUUAUUUACCAACCUGUUUAGUAAGGUUUAUAUUUAAAAAAAAUAAAGAAAGAGCUUAAUGAUUAUGUAAAUAUUAAUUACUAAGUUUUUAGUGAUGAAGUUCAUAUUUAAAAUAAAUAGUUUAUAACAUCUUUAAAUAAUUAUUCCUUGUUUUAUGUAUAACAUGUAUUAUCUUUCCAAAAAAUAUUUAUUUUGGGAUUAAUGAGAAUGUGACAAAAUGUUAAAUUACAAAGAAGUCACGUUGAAAAAGUAUUUGUAUUAUAUAUAAAAAAACAAAAGCUAAUGCAAGAAUUACUUAUUUAACUAAUUUAAAAAAUAUUACACUAGUUGUCAUUAUAACUACUAGUUAUAAUUGUUUGUAUAUGCAUUAUAACUCUUGCAGUAUCUAUUAUUUUUAUUUUUUUAUCUUUUAAUGAUUCAAUAAUAUGAAUAAAUAGGUGAGUGAGUGUGUUGAAGAUCUCUAGAGAUAAAAACAUAUUGUACUAUAUAGAUGGAUGCAAACCUUAUAAAUCAGUUUUGUAAGGUUAAGUUAUUGAAUGUGUGAUAUUUUUUCAAUUAAUUUUUGAAGUUUCACAUUUAUAAUUCAUGCAUUAAAUAUAGACAUUAAAGAUUUACUUGUAGCAUGAACCAAAGGGUUCAUAUUUUAGACAUCCAUUAUUAAUUUCAUACACAACUUGAAAGAUCUUGAGAGUGUAUGUUGAAAAUCUCAAAAACAUUUUAUAAAAUAUAAAUAAGUACAAAUCUCUCACUUUAUGAUAUGAUUUUAUAAAGUUAAAUUAGACAAACUCCACUAAAAAAAACUAUUUCUCGAAUGUGUGAUAUUUCUCCAAUUAAUUUUUUAAGUUUCAUAUUUGUAAUUCAUGCAUUAAAUGUAGACAUUAUUCACAUUGACUAAUGAAAUGAAACUAAAAUCUUUUAGUCAUGCAUUUUUCAUGAACCAAAAUGUUCAUAGCGUAGACGACUUAAAUCAAUACAAAGUUUCCAUUAAAUUGGUUACUUCUUCUUUGAUGCCAAAAAUGUCCAUUAAAUAGACGACUUCUCCAAUGUGUGAUAUUUUUCCAAUUAGAUUUUUAAGUUUCAUAUUCGUAAUUCAUGCAUUAAAUGUAGACAUUAUUCACAUUGACUAAUGAAGUGAAACUAUAAUCGUUUAGUCAUGCAUUUUUCGUGAACCAAAGUGUUCAUAGCGUAGACGACUUAAAUCAAUACAAAGUCUCCAUAAGAUUAGUAACUUCUUCUUUGAUGCCAAAAAUGUCCAUUAAAUGGAUGACUUCUCGAAUGUGUGAUAUUUCUCCAAUAAAUUUUUUAUGUUUCAUAUUUAUAAUUCAUAUACAUUAAAUGUAGACAUUAUUCACAUUGAUUAAUGAAGUGAAACUAUAAUCUUUUAGUCAUGCAUUUUUCACCAAAGUAUUUAUAGCAUAAACAACUUAAAUCAAUAUAAAAUCAUAGCGUAGACGACUUAAAUCAAUACAAAAUCAUUCGAGAGUGAUGACUUUUUCAUUAAUGCCAAAAAUAUCCAUUAAAUGGACUAUUUCUCCUUCCACACCAUGUUCUUCGUCUCUAAGAUUCUUUUUUUUUCUCCACUGCUCAUUCGGCAUACCAACUGCAAGGAACCCUUCAUCUCUGCAUUGAUUCCUUUGUCGUGGAGUUGUAAGAAAAUGCUUCAACAAUGAUGAUUCCUUACAAAGUUGUGUCAUGCAUGUGGAGUUAUCAGCAAGCUUGUCCAUGACAUUGAUUUGCUUCAGACUGCACAAAUACUAUUGGGUUUAUUUUACUAUUGCCACGUGAAUUGGCUUGGAAAAGCAUCUAGCAUUUUAACCGAAUCCAAAGGCCAAUGACUUUAGCUAUAAAUACAAAAAUUCCUCAUAAACAUACUACUGUAACAUUGCCAACAAGUCCUCUCCAUUAGAUUUCAAAUUUUAAGUUGAUGUUCAACUUUCUUUAAUUUUUCUUUUCAACUAUCGUUACGAGAUAAGUAAGGUAAUAAGCAUAAUUUAAUUUAUUUUAUCUUAUAUUAUGAUUUUUCACGUUAGGUUAUGACAAUAUUUGGUACUAAUUAAAUUAAAAAUAUUUUUAAAUAGUAAAUUUUCAUAUUGUGUACAAUAGACGAUCACGUUAAAAAUUUAAUAGACUAAGUUGAAUUUGGCCACCUAUUAGUCAUUGUUUUGCAUGAAUAUUAAUCAUUAUUUACUCAUGGUAUUAGUUGAACACUCGAAAACAAAAUUUUAUGUAUUUCUUUUGCUUGUCAAAUAAACCAUAAUUAACGAUAUUAAAAAGAUUUGGUUUUAAAUGUUAGUCUCUCUAGAGUAAUUACACUAGAAGAAAUGCGUCAUGGGAUGGAUGCUAUUUGUAUCGUUCAAGACUACACAAAAUGAAUAAUGAGAAAAAAAAAAAGUCUCAACUAAAAAAUAAUAAAGUAAUAUCAACUAAUUUGCAUCUAUUAAGGAAAUAUAAAAUGGGAUACUAAAUUUAUGGAUAAAAAAAAAUACUCAAAUGUAGAUCAUGAGGAUGCUAAAGAAUUUAAAAAAAUUUAAAAUUAAUUUAAUUUUGGUGGAGACUUACUCAACACAAAAAAAUAUUAUUUUAUUGAAGUUUUUGUGGGUGUAGCCCACACAAAGAAUGUUAUAUGUUAGUGAAGGAUUAGCCUACACAUAUAUUAAUUAUAUAUUUUUGAAAUUUUUUCAUCUCUAACUGAGUUAGGAUGUCUCAUAUUUCUUGAUUUAAGUAAUAAUCAAUUAAUAGAAUCACGGGAUAUAAGUGGUAAGUAUAAUAUUGAAGUAUCAAUCUUGUCAGUUUUUAUUACAUCAUGUAGAAAUAUUUUUUUAUCCCAAUGUUACAACUUUUGAUUUGUGUAGGAAAAAAAUAGAUUGUGUUGAACUAAGUCGAUUAUGUGAACUUUUUAUUUAUUAUUGUGUUAAUUUGGUUUUCAUAUGUUUAGGAUACAAUAUGUGAAGGUAAAAUCAAUUAUGGAAUGGUUUUUUUAUUGAUACUUUUAUUUACUUUGUUUAAUAAUAACAAUAGUAAUAAUAUCAUAAUAAGAAUAAUAUUAAUCGUAAGUUGAUCACUAAAAGUUUUUGGUCUAGUGGUUACAAGCUCUUAUUCUUAGUGGCACCACUAGAAAAAUCAUAAAUAGUGACAAAAAAACCAUAAAUUUUUUUUCAUAACUAAUAACUAAUGUUAUGUACUUUAUAUGAGCUGCUUCAAAACCUAAUAGGUUUUGAUAAUCACAAAUCUGGUUAGAUUGAUUGAACAACACAUGGCUGUUAAAACUAAUUUGAAAAACAUGUUUUUACUUUUAAUACUAUUUGUGUUGCUUGUUAAUAUUUAUAACUUGACUUGAUGGUUAUGAAAAAUGGUUCUAAAUCACUUCAUGUUUUCAAAAUUAGUUGAAAUGGACUUAACAAGACUGUACUUAUUGUAUACCAUUAGAGUGGUAUGCCAAUAUUGGUUGAUAGGUCUUACACAAGACUUUAUCGUGAUGAGGUGUUAUGCAAUUUAUAAAGAGAUUAUACUCUAACAAAGUUUACAAAUUUCAUUCAAAAUCAAUGAUGGUUGUAUGCAUCAUUAUGACCCAAUUAAGGUCAUUUGUCAAUUCAUGAACUUCAUAUGUUGGAUAAUCAUUUUGUCAUCAUAUGCAGUAAAAUAGAUUGGAGUUGGAUGUAUAACGAGCUUGAUCAUUUAAAGAUACCAACCCAAGAAUUUAUUAUUGGAGUGAGUGAAUUUGUUUCUAAGGCAAUUGACUAGCUUCAUAUACUAUGGAUGGCGGGAUAAGGUGUCCUUCCAUAAGGUGUAAAUGCGAGGAAACCCUUCCACCAUCACAUGUGAUGGCUCAUUUUCUACAAUGUGGUUUUAGACCUAACUACAUAGUAUGUGAUAAACAUGGAGAAGAGGGUUCAAAUGAGGACAACGUAGGUUAUGCAUCCACAAGUUAUGGAGAAACAAAAUUAGUUGAGAACUUUGGUUCAAUGACCAUUUGGUAUAUGAUGCAUACAUGCAUGUAGUUGUCAUAACAACUUAACAUGAUCACAUUGACAAAGACAGUAUGCAUGGUGAAGUUACCUAAUGCGAAAGUGCAGAGGUUUUAUGAUAUGUUAACAAGUGCAAAUGAACUCAUUUAUGAUGAAGUCAAUGAGUCAAGAUUAUCAAUAACCAUCAGACGACUAGCAACUAGAACCAAUCGGCAUGCUACAGAGAAGUGUAUAGAUCAUUUCAUACAAAUGUUAAUUGACGUAGCUCCUAAAGAUAAUUCCAUAUCCAAGAACUAUUAUGAGGCAAAAAAAGUUAUGUCAAGUCUUGGUUUGGAAGGAAAAAAAAAUGAUUGUUGUGAAAGUAGUUGCAUGUUAUAUUACAAGGAUGACAUUUAUUUCACUGAAUGCAAAUUUUGCCAUCUUCCUCGAUAUUUUCCUCCAAAGGGUGACAAGGGAAGUUACAAAAAUAUUUCAAGAAAGAGAAUGUUUUAUUUGAAAAUCAUUCCAAUAUUACAAAGAUUAUAUGUGUCAAUGGAGUAUGUUAGACAAAUGAGAUAGCAUUUUGAAAAUAAGAAAGAUGAUGGUUUGUUGCGACAUCCAUGUGAUGGAAAAGCCUGGAAACACUAUGAUAACAUAUAUCCAAAUCUUGAUGUUGACCCACAACAUGUUAGACUUGGUUUAUGUUGGGAUGAGUUCACUCCUUACAUCCAAGCUUCAACAUCCCUAUAUUCAUAUUGGCCAAUAUUUCUUAUUCCUUAUAACGUACCUCCUGAAAUGUGUAUGACUAAACCAUACAUGUUUUUGACUUGUCUCAUACCUGGGCCAAGUAACCCAACUAAAAAAAAUAUAUGUCUACUUAUAACCUCUUAUUGAUGACCUUAACCAAUUGUGGAAUGGAGGUGUAAUGACAUAUGAUAUAUCCACAAAAGAGAACUUUGUCAUGCGAGCUUGCUUGAUGUGGACAAUAAAUGAUUUUCCAGCUUAUGAGAUGUUGUUAGGAUGGAGGACUAAAGAAAAAAUAACAUGUCCUCAUUGUAUGGAGGAUGCAAAAGCUUUUACGUUAAAAUAUGAUGGUAAAAGUUGUUAGUUUGACUGUCAUCGAUGAUUUUUGCAAAUGGAUCAUCCUUUUAGGAGAAGUAAGAGGAGAUUUUUGAAAAACAAAAAUGAGUUGGAUGGGUCUCCUUUUCUUGAAUGGGAAUCAAUUAAGGGAAUUUAUCAGAGACUUUCCAAAGGUAAAUGAUGAUCCAUUUGAUACCUUACCAGGGUAUGAACAAUAUCAUAAUUGGACUAAAAAAACAAUUUUUUGGGAUCUGCCAUAUUGGAAAAAAACUUGCUAAGACACAAUCAUGAUGUCAUGCACAUAUAAUUUAUUUUUUUUAUAAUGUCUUCAAUGUUGUCAUGAAUGUCAAAGACGCAAGAAUGAAUGUUGCUGAAUUAUGUGGAUAUGGGGACUUAGAUGAUUCAGCUACAAAAUGGGGAGUUUGCAAAACCAAAGGCAAACUACACUUUCACAACAAAAGAUGCAAAAUCAAUUUAUAAAUGAAUUACAAAGUUGAAGAUGUUAGGUAGUUAUGCCUCUAACUUAGCUAGGUGUGCAAAUGUUGAUAAAGGGAGCAUGCAUGGAAUAAAAAGUCAUGAUUGUCGUGUUUUCAUGGAGUGUUUACUAUCAAUUACAUUCCGUUCAUUGCCAGAAUUUAUGUGGAAUGUCAUUGCUAAAAUAAGUCGAUUUUUUAGAGAUUUAUGUUCCAACACUUUGAGGAAGGAUGAUUUAAUUCUAAUGGGAGCAAAUAUACCAAUCAUUAUCUGUAAAUUGGAAAGAAUCUUCCUACCUGGUUUCUUUGAUUCAAUGGAACACCUUGUUAUUCAUCUUCAUAGGGAGACAAUACUUGAUGGUCCUGUUCAAGAUAGAUGGAUGUAUCCUUUUGAAAGGUAAUGAGCAUUUACUCAAUUACAAAAAAAUAAGUAAUUUACAACAUCUAAAACUUGUUAUAUCGUGUAGGAUUAUGGGAGAUGCAAAACAAGCAAUGACUAAUUUGGUAAGGAUAGAACAUUCAAUAGGUGCAUUCUACUUACACAGUUAAAUAACUUUUUUUUUCUCAUUAUUUCAAGCAUGCAUGCUUGUUUUCAAAUACAAGUUUGAGAAAUAAUCCUCAAAUUACUACAAAAGAGGGAGUGCAAUUAACAUUCUCACUUUUUAGCAAAUAUGGAUGCCCAAGUGGAUCGUUCAAAUAAUAUGGCUUAAAUGAUGCUAAAUUUCGUUUUGAUUGUGUUUAUAUCUAGGAAGAGAAACACCCCAAUUAAGAAGAGAUUACCUAGAAGACCCAAAAGAAAUAAAAGGUUGAAACUUUAUAAAUUAAAGAAGGAUAAUAAUAAGAUGGUAUACGCAAAAAAAAAAUGUGACAUUUGUAAAGGGAUUAAUCAUAAUAAAAAAUCAUGUCUACAACUCUCUUCAAAUGCCCUUAACCCCCUCAAUCCGAACACAUCCUUCUAUGACACCUGAACCAACAAGCUCAGUCACCCCAACUUAACCACGUGAACCAACAAGCUCAAUCAUCCUAACUCAACAACCUUAACUAACAAGCUCAAUCAUCCUAACUCAACCACCUGAAUCAACUCAGCCUUCUCAACCUAUUAGCUAGACACUGAUUGAAAGACAUUCCUAAACCCUAGGAGAAGAAAAUAUAAAGAGAAAGAAAAGGGGAAGAAGGUAGCAUACACAAAGACGACUUGAUCUCAUGUGUUAUUAUACAACUCUAAUAAAUUAUCUAUCAUGUGUUCAUAUGCAUGUGUCAAAUCAUCACUCUCUUAACGACUCUUAACGACCAAUUUAAAAGAAUAUAUUGAGUCCUUUUAACAAAAAUAAAGAUUUCAUUAAGAAUUUUUAUUUUUUGAAGAACCACGUUGACAAAUUGCCACAUACAUUGGAAGAAAAAAAAAGUGUUAAACCAAUUUUUAAAAGUCCCGCUUUAUUUGGCCAGGCUGAUAGUGAUGGUGGAUGUGCCAUUCUUUUGCCCAAUUGAUCAUGCUUGUUCCCACUGCGUGCAGGCAACAGUAACAGACUCGAAUUUGCGUGCAAGGGAACCGCGGGCACGUUGAUCCAGCAACAGUUACCUUGGCGUUUCUCAGACCACAAAAAUAUAAAAGCAUGAAAUGCAUUUGGUUCGGAUAAUCCGAGUCCCAUAGCUGUUAACCGCAUGAGAUGGACGGUACACAAGAAGCCCACGUGGACAAGAAGCUUGUCCACAUAACAAAGAGGCAAGGUAGGGCCACAUAGGGUCUCUCACUCAUCUUUGAAAAUCUGGAAAAUACAGACUUUAAUUUCUUGUUCUCCUCCUCCACGUAAAUCAGUGACCAUAAUAUCUUAUUCUUCCACCUCCUCCUCCAAGUAGAAAAUUAACUGGGAUUUAAAACCAAACACUAUCCUGCAGCGUUGGUGAUAGCUUACAUUCAGCCUGUUAUGAUUAGACUAAAUCUUUACUGUUCAUUAAUUCCAAGUGCAAGACAAGCCAGACCAGGCAGCAGCUAUGACUCGUUGAUCAUCCAAAAUCACAAAGCUUCAAAAUUUCCUCAUCGGAUUUCAAUCAAGGCUAAGGCCAUUAAAGAUGAGAUGGAUGGAGAAACAAGCGGAUCUUCAGGACGUAGCUGGGAUCCUGGGUUGGAAAUUGAGGUCCCUUUUGAGCAGAGACCGGUAUGUGUUAACUGCCCAAUACUAGCAAUGACUGUUUUCUUUGGAUGAUCUUCAAAAUCAACAGAUGUAGCAUGAUAUAAUGUUAGAGCAUGAAUUUUACGGCCGAAUCUAGCUACUGAGUUGGGUAUCCGUGCCCGCGUGUAUUAAACUGGAACGGGUCAUGGGAUGGGAAUUAAAUUAAUUAUUAGUUAUCAGUAUUGUUUCAAUAAAGCUUAUUUCAUGUUUGCUAACCCCGACUUCGCGGUGUAAUAGGUAAAUGAGUACUCAUCUCUGAAGGAUGGAGUCUUGUAUUCUUGGGGUGAACUGGGUCCGGGGUCGUUCUUCCUUCGCCUGGGAGGUCUUUGGUUGGCAGUGUUUACAGUUCUUGGAGGGCCAAUUGCGGCUGCAAGCUUUAAUCCUUCUAGAGUAAGGAAGAUAAAAUAUGUGCAUAUAUUAGGAUAUCAAAUCAAGUAAUCAACAAUAAGUUUUGAUGUAUGGACAAGGAUACCUGCCAGCUGCACACAAACAAAACAUUUAUAAAGUGGCAAAUAGAUUUUCCUCUUACUUGCAUUAACUUUCACAAUCUUGCAGGAGCCUCUAAGGUUUAUACUAGCUGCUGGAACAGGAACGCUCUUCAUUGUGUCUUUGAUUGUCUUGAGGAUUUAUUUGGUGCGUUCUAAUCCUCUUUUUUGUUUUUCAUGUCACAAUCACUUCAUUACCGGGGAACGGGAAAUGAUGGUGAGGCAAACAGACAUUUCAAAACAAAUUUACUAUCGUGCUUCAUGCAUACUGUUUAUAUUGUUGCCAAAUGCACAGCAUAAUGAGGUUUUCAACUGAAUGUAAUUUGUUUGUCACUAACACUAACUAUAACUUAUGAUUAAGUGACUGAGCUAUGGCUGCAGCACCUUCACACUUAAAUAACUGUUUCAAUUAAGAUAAUUGAAUUACAAUGCAGGGUUGGAGUUAUGUUGGUGAUAGACUUCUAUCUGCGGUCAUACCUUAUGAAGAAAGUGGAUGGUAUGACGGACAGAUGUGGGUCAAGCCGCCCGAGGUUAGCCUCUUUUACACAUUCUUCCUGUACCUAAGAACAGAAAAAAAGUAUACUCAAAGACAUCACUUGUGAAAAUCGUAUUAAAGGCUAUAGCGUCAGUGCGCUAUAUGCAUUGCAAACUGACAAAUUGAUGAUUUUACUUACAUCAGGAUUUGCCAGAAAAUAUGCCGCCCUUGAUGAAAAUAAAAAUAGCAAAUUUUAGACAUUGAUUGCAAUUUGGUACUGGUCACACUAUGUACAACGAUAAAAUUUUAUCAACUACUGGCGUUUUAAGAGAAGAAAAAAAAGGUGGGGGGCAUUGUUAAAUGUGAAUAGCUAAUAGGUUAGCAACUGUAAUUUCCUCUCAAAAUUGUAAGAGAUACUUCUUGAUUAAGCAUUAAGCAGCAAAAGGUCUGUUCAGAAUUAGUGAAUAUAACGGGGCUAUAGAAUAAAGUGUAGCUGAAAUGUGCUAACAAAUAUUACUACUACUCAGUGACAUCCUUCAUUUCAGACAAUAUAAUCUGAAAACUUGGUUUAUUUGCAGAUCCUAGCUCGUGAUAGAUUGUUGGGCGCUUACAAGGUACUGGACAUCACAAAGUAUCACGCAUUGCUUGAAUUCAGAACAAUUUUGGAUACAGACUAGAAGAGCAGUAUGCUAAAUUCGAUUUCUUGCAGCAUAAUUCACGUAUAUUUCAUCUUUCCAGGUUAAACCAGUUGUUAAAUUGCUGAAGCAAACUCUAGUUGGGACAGGAGCAUUGCUUGUCACAGGAGUUAUGCUAUUUAUCUUUGCUACACCGGUGGAGAAUUUUCUUCGAACUACCUUUACCACGGAAGAAAUUAAAUCAAGCGUUCCCAAGGUUAACACAAAGCUCAACCUGAGGUAAGAGAAGACAUAAAGAUCCUUUGCUAUCUUCCAGAGUUUUUCCACAAUGUCAUUUCAAUUUUUUUAAUGCAUAUUGUAGAAAAGAGGAGUUGCUUAAAUUGCCAGUGGAGGUGAUAACUGAUGAUGAUCUAGCAGCAGCUGCUGCUGAGGCUGCUGAUGGAAGACCUGUCUAUUGUAGGGAUAGGUAUUAUCGAGCAUUAGCAGGAGGGCAAUACUGCAAAUGGGAUGAUAUGGUCAAAUAAAGGAUAAAAAAAGGCAUAUGUAGUCAAUUUCAUUUAGUAAAAGCAGUUUGCAAUUGUUGGUGACUCUAUGGUCCAAGGCGUAUUCUAUUAGUUGAAAAACCGUUUAACUCAAUCAAAGCAAAGCCAGAAAAAGAUGAUGAAGAAACAUACGAUCAAACCUAACAAUAACAUGACAAUAUAAACUACAUGUCAUGGCAGUCAUUAUUUUUUGCAUAUAAAUUCAGAGGGGAGAGAAACAAUUUAAGAGGGAAGGAAUAUAUAGAAGAAAAACAUGUUUAAAAUAUAUACAAGUAGAAAGAAGUAAAUCCCACAUGCCUAUAGGGACAAUUCUAUGUAAGCAGAAAUUGUAUUUUAUAUACCACGAGAUAUGAUGGCCAAGUAAAUUCCAGAAAACUGUCCUGCUCCAUGACCUUUCCAAUGAGAGGAUGAAACUCAUUGUGCAGUGAAACAACUAGCUUCCAUAACACUAACUAAGAUAAAUAAUCUUUGUCUCAUAACACAUAAAGACAACUGCAGAGGUAUGUUCGCAUAGAAAUCCACGAAGAUCCGUGAAGAUUCGAAUUGCAUAACAUUUCUGAGACCAGUAGCACCAGAGAACACACUUGGCAAAAUCAAUGUUGGUUCAAAUCGGCUCAGGCAUGAUGAAAAAGUUGAAGUAACUCCAGCCAAUCCUUGACCAUGAUUUCAGUAUUUAGCCAACAUAUCCAUCACUUCGCAAAUGAAAAAUUGAAUCUGCUGUAGCCAAGUACAUUAAUAGAACUACUUGAGGCUUGUAAUGAGUUUUUCUUUCAGUACUUACAGAGCAUUCCUCCCAAGAAUAUUGUGACUGUAAAUGCACAGCAAUAUCUUCUAAUAUCACAAGAGAUUUUUAUGAAUUUGCUGAUCAUUCCAAAUUGUUCUAGCAAGGAUACAAUAAAUUUGUUAACAUUGUCAAAAGCCCAGCGGAUAUACCCUAUUUAACAAAUUUCUUGCACCAAUGAAUAACUCGAAACAUUUGUGCUCCAACAACAUUCCUAAAUGAUUUCUUGCUUGCUUUAGCGUAUUCAAGAUCAAGUGUCCGAUAUGCAAGAGCAAACAAAUACAUUGCUGGGUGAAGUCUUCUGCAGGUUGCAGAACUGAGGCGGUCAGUAUACUUGACAGGCAAAUACUUGGGUUGGGUCUUGGGUAUAUAAUUUCUAAAAUAUUACUUAGCUUCUACCACUUCUAAAUAUCCAAAAUGAAAGACACUGGUUAAAAAAAUAGAUAUUUGAUUCCUACUGGCAGAAAAAAAGUUGGCUAAAAGUUUUCAGAAUUCAAUAAGCGGGCAUAGCUGAAGUUAAAGCAGAUUUAUAAUUCUUAACUUACUUGUCUUUUAUAUAUAUGGUGACAAGAUAAGUUUUGUUAAAAAAUAUAUGAAAUGUGGCGUGGUCUUGACCACUUUACCAAGCCAAAAAGCAUGUCAAACAGACUUCAAUAAGUUCAAAAAUAGUUUAAACAAAAUACAUAUGAAGUGCGCGUUCUAAAAAGCAAAUAUCAACUUUUCGUUUCUGUGACCAUUACAAAUUUUCCCCAAGAUCCAUAGGAUUAUUUAUAUUUCAUUCGUUUUAAAAAGAAAAACGUCUGUUGCUAACACUAAAUAAAUUUUCAUAAGUUAAAAUAGAAGAAAUAACACUUAAGUAGUUAACUUACCUGUCAGCUUGCAUGUUAUAGUCCAAGCCAUCCCAAAACCUUUGUGAUGGCUUUGUACGACCGUGCUUAUCUUUGCCAUAUGUUUCAACAUACCAACCCCCUAUGUCAUGGAAGCCACAGCGAGGCUCAAAUAGCCAAAAUCUGUAUGUUGAUGGCAUUAAAAUUAUUAAAACGUAUUAUAAACAGCAAUGAGAAAGCAGCAGACAAUCUCCAUCUAAAUAAAUAACAAGUGGAGGCAUCAUGGAAAGUUCACAUAAACUUGAGACACCGCAAUUAGUUCAUUUUUGCAGUUAGAAGCAGUUCUGGUCGGUUAUAGAGAAAUAGUUCUGAGUAAUAAAUCUACAAACCACUAAUAUUCCAUCAAUUAUGGUUUGUUUCCCCGAGGAGGUGUAGAAAUACCAUUUUCUAGAUAAUUGAAAGAUAAUUAACCCAGUGACCAAAAUGCUUCAAUGGUUAGCUUAACACUUGGAGAAAUAUGAGGGGGGUCAUGGAAAGGGAAGAUUGGUGAACAUAAAAGACCACAAGUUCUAACAAAGAAAUCAACACGGAACUUGAUUCCUUAUUUACAAGGAAGCAAUCCAAUGUUCGCCCAAAAAUUUGACAAACAAAUUAUAUAAUGAUAAGAGAGCAGACAGCAUCAGGGUGCAUUAAUCAAACCCCAAAGAGAUUGUUGUGCUAAACUCAAACAUCAAUACAAUAAGAGAUGUCAGAUCUUUACUUGCUUGGGGGUAAAUGUGCUCUAGUGCAUCUACACUCGCAAACUGAAACUUUCUCAUCCACUUGAUACCAGUGCAUAUGCUUCACCUGAAAAUUUUAUCAUAACAUGACAUAACUAUAAGCAUCUAGCUAUACCAAGUUAUAUAAGAAUAAGUUUCUAGCAAAAUCACAAAACCCAAACAAUUUUUCAGCAGAUAACCGAAAAUAUUAGAAAUAAUAAAAAAAAAAAAGCAAGACUUGGUACUAAUGCAAAAGUAAAAUUUCCAUCUAGAUUGUUAGAAUCAAUCAAUAUUAUUAUAAUCAGUCAGUAUAUGUUAUUGAUUUCAUCAUUGUAAGUAUUCUGAUUGAUUAGAUGAGACAGUAAAUAUUUUAUAAAUUGGGUAAUCAACCUUUAUUUUGUUUAUAUUCUGAUGGGAACCUCUCCUGAUUUCUUUCUUGUUGUAAUCUGCCAUUAUGACAUAUUAUUUCUCCCUUUAUAUAAGACAGACUGUACUGUUUGACUGAAGUAAGAUACAAAGAAAUAUCUCCCAAAACUAGCUCUAAUGGUUAAAACAUCAAGAUCAUGGGAAAACAACAUUACAUACCAUCAAUGUUCUAUGUUUCAUAAUCGCAUGGGUCUUUGUACCCUUGUCAUUAUAAACAUUACAACAACCUUCAUCUGGACUGCUCCCAAGUCCAGAUAUAGUUCCUAAAUGAAUUCUUCUUCCAACUGCACCAUUUGCUAGGUAACCUUUCCAAAAGUCACUGCUGAUAUGUUUGGGAUCUUCAUAUAAGUUCAGAAACACAUGAAUGUGAUCUUCAGUAUCUUCUGUCUGCAUUACAUCAGAACAGAAUCUAGGUAGGGCCCUAUAUGCUGUAGCAACAACUCUUCCAGAGAUGUGCAAUUCAAGAUGUCUAUAUGCAUCUGAUACAAUACUUGAAGUUUUAGAGCCGAGACCUUGAUAGGUUUCAAAAUCAUCUGAUCUCUCUGUAUUCUUGUAGACAUUCACAUUUGUUAUAGAUUGACACGGGCCUGAAUGGAAGGAUCUAAAGGAUGUUAACAUUUCAUUGUUAACAGUUGAUAUCUCUGGAACCUUGUUGGCUAGGCAAACCAUUCCAAAAAGAUCACGACCUGAAACUAAGUGCAAAACCUCAGGAGUUUCAUAAGAGGACCUCUCCUCAGCCUCAAAGCAGUCAGGAAGAAAUUCCAUGGGCAUAGAAUCAAUUUCAGGACCAUAGUAUGCUGCAUGAAUAGCUGAAUAAAAAUCUCUCUCAAGUACAUCAAAAUAGCCUGUUCCAGCUACCACCUUCUUUUCUGACAAAAUAUUAUUUAUAGUUAAUCUGUACCAUUUUAACCAUUCAACAACUUCCAUCUCCUUGAACGUAGUAGCUUGUGAAUUGUAAAUAUACAAUUUUGAACCCUGUUCAGAAUGCUUUUGCAUAAGCUUUUUCUGAGACAACAGAUACAUGUCAUAAUGGGCUCUCUUUUGAGAGUCUGAAAGAAUCUGCAAUGCAUCAUAGAUUAUCCUGUUAAUUCAUAUUCCCUGUAAUGUAACCAAGGAAAAACCUCACUCUAGACUCUAGUACCCACACAGACUCCAUAUAUAUUCUGUAAAAUUCCAGAAGUUAAAAUCAUGAAGUACGACGUGGUCAUCUUGCCAAUAGGCUGAACACAUUAUAGCCAACAAAUCAGCAAAAGCACCAACAAAAUAUGCAUUAGACCGACAACAUAUCCAAAAUUGAAGAAAAGAAUACACACAAAUCACCACUGACUUGACCCGUGUUCCGGUCAAGCACUCAAUGCGCUAAAGAAUAAUGUAGUAAAUUGAACACCAGAAUGACAAGAACAAAUCUAUCAAAUUGAUGCUAUUUAUUCAAACAUUGGGCAUUACAAACUAUCAAGCAUCAACAAGACAGCCAUUAAGCACCUUCCCAUCUGAUUUUUCAUUUAAUUGAACUAUUGGAUGAAGAAAAUCCUUCAAGAGCAGUGGACAGUUGUUCACAAUACUCACAUCAGUAUCUAGGGGAGUUUCUGAGAACUCAUUACAUCAAUUUAUCAAAUUUUUCUGUGAUUAAGAGCUAACUAAACAGAUUCAAUGGAGAAACAAAAUAACUGGCAAAACGUUAUUACCAGCAUGUUGUUUCUCAAUUUCACAAUUAUCAACUUCCUACUCAGGAUAUUCAAAACAACCAAUCAUUCUGUCCACUAACGCAACCGUAAAAGAAAUAUCCCCUCAUCAUAACCAUAGGGCAUUCUUCUAUAAGCCAAGCAAGGUUGAUUCGUUUGUAUUCAAGCUCUAAUUUAAGCUGUCUCAAAAUUUUGAUCAGGAAUAAAACCACUCCUACAUUUCUGAUUGAGGCUAUAGUCAUGAACGACACUAAUCAUAAUUCAUAUGCCUGAGCAUGAGUUGCACAAACCUCAUAGGCAGCCAGAAUUUGCACAAAUCGUCGAGACGCACUGGAAUCAUGGCUUGACUCCGCCAGGUCCGGGUGAGUUUCUUUGGCCAAUUUUCGAAACGACGCUUUAAUUUCGGUAAAGGAACUGGUCUCGGACACUCCUAACAGCUCGUAGGCGUUCUCUACGGGAAAAUCUGUCCAAGCUGAUUCAGAAGCGCUACUGAAGUCAUGUUCUCCGCAACCCCGACACAGAGAUGACACGUCGUAGAGCGUUGAAAUGAUGCUGUUGGGUAUAAUUGAUGUGAGGAAUUUUGUCCUCCGAUUAUUCAUUCCGACGACUGUAAGGUAUCCGGCACCGGCGAGAUAAACCAUGAUUCUCCCUCUUUUUUCUGUUAUUAUAUUGCUAUAAUUAUUGUAAUUGAAAGCGGAAAAAAAAGUGUAAUUGCAGAACCUCCGUACAGCAACAGCAUCAGAGGCGAGUGGUUAAAUAAGGGUAAAACAAUCUUAAUUUAUUACAGUACUUUAACGCAGGGUUACUAAGAAAUUUUUAGAGAUUUCUCUUUCUCAUCCUCGUUUGCAUUGUGUUUGGUUGGAUAUAUCUACCGGUGAAGAAGUGGAUUUGGAGGUAGAGAAAGUUGUGUUAGUCUAUUUUGUGAUGAAGUACCUCUCUAAAUUAUAAAGAUUAGUGUGGAAAGUUUGGGAUGAGUGAUUCAUUUUGUUCCUACUAAAAAUGGAUUUGGAGAGUAACUCAAUGGGAUGGGAUUGAGUAUUUCUCAUGCAACGAGUUUUCGAUUGAUUUUCGAUGAAAGGGGAAGGUUCAUUUCCUACAAGAGACUCUCUGAUACUUAAGUAGGAGCACAAAGAUGGUAAGUUUCUUAGUAUAAGAGUUAAGAGUAUAAUAUAAUAUAUCAUAAUAUAUCAUGUACUUUCUGGAGAGUAAAUAUUUAUAGAUUAAUCAGGUGGUAUCCUCUGAGUGGAUCGUUAUGAGUCAUUUGGAUUAGUCACAUAAAUGUUAUUCAUUAUUCCAUAAAUAGUCGUUCAUCAUUUAAGGUUCAUUGAUUAUACUGUUUUACUCAUGAUGGUUAUUGAUGACAAUAAAGACUCGGUUAAGGAAUGCAUACAGUCACCCGAGCUUAUGGCCGGUACAUACACAUUUAUAUUUGGUUUAAUUACUUUUUUUUGUCCUAUAUUAUUAAGCAUCAAUGUUCAUUUGAUAUAGUCUUUUUUAAAAAAAAUCUUUCGUUCUAAUGUUUGUUAAAAGUAUGCAAUUUGGUAUUUUUUGGUAUUCAUGAAGAUAUGUGUGCAUAAUAGUGUCACUCGCCCUUGUCACAUCAUCAUCAUCAAUCAACGUCGUUUAUGUAAAUUUAACAAAAAAGACCAAAUUAAAUUACAUUUUUUUUUAAAAACCUUGGACGAAAUUUAUAUUUUUAAAAAUCAUUAGAUCAAAUUAACUAUUGACCCUAAACCCUUAAAAUAUUCAGUUCUGGAUUGAUUAUUGUUAUUGUUGUUUUACUUCUAAAUUUUCUUGACAAGUUGAGAAUCUUAAAUCUGACCAUCAAGAGAUAUUUUUAGGAUUCGGACCUAAACAGUAAUACUUAACAUAUUUGAGUGCUGGAGAUAGACUUGAAAUGUUAAUUGUCAAUAGCGUCUGAGUGUGAUUCUAAGUUGUUUUUAUAAGUAUGCGAGAGAUCGAUAUUUAGGAAACAUUCUUAAGGAUUUUAUAGGCGAGAAAUCGAUAUAAAUGAAUUUUCUACGGGCAUCAAUUUCAAUCAAAGAACUUAAUAUUGACAUACUAAUCAAAAUACAUGAGAGUUAGAGAGAUGAAACUCAAUUCCUAUUUUUUUAAUUGAAGCAAUUACUCGUUGAUUUGUUUUCUUAUUAAUUCUUAUCAUCAUAACAAUCCUCAAACCAACUUUUAUUAUUCUGUUUUUAUAUUUAGCGAAUCUUUUACUUGAAUAUUCAAUUGUUCCUCGUGGAAUCGAUAUUCGUCCUUGGAGACAAAUUAUUACUUCUGAACAUACGGUGCACUUGCCGUAGAAAGUCAUCACCCUUGCAUGGUGAUGUUGAGUGUACCAGCAUGGUUGGAGUUUUGGAAUUGGUGAAUAGUAAAAAAUGCAUGUUGAAGGGUUGAAUUUUGAUUUAUAACUGAUUAUGAAAAAUUGCUUAGUCGGUUACAAGUCCUAACAUAGUCGAUUAUACUUUGAAAAAUUAUAAAAAAAGAAAAGUUUGGCUUAUUAAUCAAUUAGGUUAUGGUGGGUAAUCAAUUGAUUAGCUUGAGGGGCUUAAUCAAUUAUACCCUCGUGCAUAAUCAAUUAUAGUUCAUUCUUUCUAUUAAAUCACAUCAAUAUUUUUUCAUGGAUUAAAAUUUUUUCUUUCAUUUACAUUACAUUAAUCAUUUUUAAUUACAUUCUUAAUUUGAUGUUAAAUUAAAGAUUAACAAAGUGAACAUGUCAUAGUACAUUUACAUGAAAUCUUAGAUUGUACUUGUAGGUUGCAUGGUUAAGAAAUGUCAAUAAUUUGUUGUAAUUUAGUAGUCUUUGACUUCAUGGUGAUUUGUUAUUGUACUUUGAAUUUGUGGUUCCAUUUUACUUUCAUGCUUCUUCUUAGACUUGUUCCCUUUUAUUGUUGUAACUUCAACUUAUUUCAUUUACAUUUCAAUUACGAUGUCUCAUAUACAUCUAUUACCAAUUUAAUUUUUUCAUCAACGUUAUGAAUUAUACUUACGAAUAUCAUUUCUUUUACGUAAUAAUAUUUUUUUUAAAAAAAUCUUUAAUUGUAAAUUUCAAACACAAAUAUAUAUAAACUUUUAUUUGUAAACAUUCUUUUUUAUUUUAAUUCAAAUCCUUCAAAAAAUUUAAGUGAAAAGUAUUUUCAUAAAUCAAUUAAUUAUACACUUAAAUAUUUUUUUAUAUUUAAGUCACAUUGAGCAUAUCAUCUACCAACUUUUCUCUUAAAUCUAAUCAUUUUGAACUCAUUUUCCCUACAUUCAAAAAAAAAUAUAUAUAACUUUCAAAUUUUUUCCCCUUCUUUACUUCCCUUUCCACUAUCACCGUUAUGCAAACAAAACCUUAAAAUUAUAUAUUAAUUUUAAAGAAUCAAUAUUUUGAGGCCUUAUAUAACAUGUCUCAUGUGGAGGUAAAAUGUAAGUUGAGGAAGAUUCAAUUCGUGUAAAAUUAAUUGUUUAUGCAAUCUCUCUUUACCUUUAUAUUUUAUGUUUUAUCUUUUACAUCCUUCCUUACUGAUUUCAGUUAAACUUUUGCAAUUGGCUGAUUCAAUAAUAGCUUUUAAGAUUUCUUGAAAUAAUCAAUUAAUAUUUUUCUAAUAUGCUUUCAUUUAACUUAAUACCAAAAUAAUUCAUCAUCAUUUAUAAUAAUUAAAGUUUAUUUUAAAAUAAUGAAUAAAAUUCUUUUCUAGUUUAAAGAAUACAAACAAUUAACCAAUUUAAUCACUUUUUUUUUAAAAAAAAAUACUGUAAGAUUUUGAGAGAAAACAUUUUGAGGAAGAGUUUUUUUUCUUGAAGAUAUGUUUUUAAAAAGGAUUUUUAUUUAUUCUUAAUCUUUGGAAUUCUAUUAUUUUUCCCUGACAUCUUUUCCUCUUUAUUAAAUGAUGUAUCAAACUUGGGCUUUUUUUAAUUGAAGCAUUUUUUUUAUUUAUUAUUAAAACAUUUUGAGGAAGAGUUUUUUUUCUUGAAGAUAUGUUUUUAAAAAGGAUUUUUAUUUAUUCUUAAUCUUUGGAAUUCUAUUAUUUUUCCCUGACUUCUUUUCCUCUUUAUUAAAUGAUGUAUCAAACUUGGGCUUUUUUUAAUUGAAGCGUUUUUCUAAUUAUUAUUAUAAAAUAGCUAAUUCAAAAAAUAAUGGUCAAAAUAAAAAUUAAUAUAAUUAUUAAUAUAUAUAUACAUAUAUAUUAAUUUUAAAACACCACUUAAUAUAACACUGUAUAAUUGUUUCAUUAUUAGAAUUAAAAAAUGUUAUAUUUAUUGAUUUCUGAAAAAAAAAACUUUAAAGGACAUAAGAAAAGGAAUUAAAGAAAUAGUAUAGAUAAAUGGAUAGAUUAAUUCUAGCAUUCACAUUUAUUUAUUAUAUCAUAAUAACACUUUUUAUUAGUUGUAUUACCCUAUUUUGAAUGAUCGGUAUCCUGUCGACACCUUCUCAAUAUCUCAGCUCGUUUUGUAAAAGGUUUAUUAGAAAUCCUAAAAAAACUACUUCAGAAAAAACAAUUUUUGACAACCUUUAAAAUUCUAUACAAUUUUUCUUGAAAUUUAAAAAUAAAUACAAUUUUUCUUGAUAUGAUGAAUUUAAAAAUAAAUAUAUAAUAAAAUAUAUGUUUAGAAUUAAUGAUAUGAAAAAAUACUAAAAUAAUGAUAUUAAGAAUUGUAAUGUAAUUUUCAAUAGAAAAUGUAAUUAAUAGAAAAUGUAAUUUUCAAUAGAAAAUGUAAUUUUCAAUGUAUCAUUACUCAAACUUCAUUAACAAGUAAUAAUUAAGUUAUUUAUAAAACAUGAUCCUAUUUGUAAAUUCAUACUAGAAAAAUAGUGAUUAAUAAAAAAAUACUUAAAUUUUUUUUUAGAUUAACUUUAUUCUCGGAAUAUCUUUAAUUAUAGUUACCUCAUCUCUUACUAUCCAAGAACCAAAGACUCAAUAAUGAAAAAAAAAAGGGAGAAAUUCAACUUGUAAGUAAUCAACUCACUUUUAUUAAACUCAAGAAACUAAUAAGUAUUCCUACAACUUUCAAUUAGGUCACUUUUCCCAUAUAAUUGAGAUAGGACUGCCGACAAUAGUUUUUCCAUUUGACCAUUCUAAACGUCCAAAACCAGACUUACUUUGUGGUGGCGAAUGCGAAGCUGUAAAUAUUACACUAUGAUUUUUUCUCAUUUUUGCCGAAACUCAACACAUUUGGCUCAACCGUGAUAUUCACAGAUGGGUUAUCCAAGGUAACUGAUGCUUUGUAUGUUCCUGCGACCCCCACGUUAGUAAGAGUUCGCUCGUGUUUAACUACGGUUGCACUGGAGCUUCUUGCUACUUGUUUAAACACCACGCCGAACGAAGGGUAAUUUAAGUUUGUUACACUGUAGUGCUUUUGUGCAUCACAGCUUACCUUUCUCCUCGCCACAGCUUCAAUCCUUUUAGCAGUGUAGUUUAAUGCACAAAGGAAGUUGAGGUAGUCAUCAGCUGUGAGAUCAUAAACAAGUCCUGGAUUGAGCGCGGCAAUGGGGUUCACGUGUCCGGCACCGACUGCAAAGGGUGUUGAGGGGCCAUUUGUGGCACUGUCUAAUAGCUUUUUACCAUUGUUGUAAGACACAUAAGCUGUGGUCAUAAGCGCAGACCGAAUUGCAGCAGGGCUCCAAUUUGGAUAAACUGAUUUAAUCAAAGCUGCUAUGCCGCUAGCGUGAGGGCAUGCCAUGGAUGUUCCAGUGAUUAUGUUAAAAUCCACACGCCUAUCAUCCUGGUCGAGGUUAGUGGGGCCUGCUGCUUUCGUAAAUGCGGCUAAGAUGUUUACACCAGGAGCAAUGAAAUCGGGUUUCAAUAUGUCUGGUGUGAUUGGGUUUGGACCUCGAGAACUAAACGCCGAAACAAUUGGUGACGGCUGAAUACCAACCACUGUUCCCUGGAACACAAGUGUUGCUGUUGGAUUUUGUGCCUGUUGCAAGUACAUCUUGAUGGCUUUGGAGGCACUGAAACCCACUGCAGCUGUUGGCAAAAGAUGGGCAUCCGCCACCAAUUCCUCUCCGUCAAUUUUUCCAUUGGCUAACACCAUGCCCACACCACCAGCAGAUUUCACCACAAGCCCUUUCUCCACCCUUGAAAUAUUUCCACGAUCACAGAACACGAUUUUGCCCUUGACCUUUUCUGGAUCCAAGCUACCUGUCAGACACAACUCUGCACCUGUUUUCACGCCUGCAUUCCCAGCGUAUAUGAGUGGCACAAAAGUACGAGGCGUAAGACUGCCAUCAUGAAUUGAAACUCCAGAAUAGUUUUUUCCAUUCCCGAGUUUGACAUAUACUGGAAAAUCACGAUCUAUUGUGCCAGCUCCCACGGUGAUCAUCCAAGGUGCUACAUUUUGGAGAGUAGAGUCAGUAGGACCAUCGUUUCCUGCAGCACAUGCAACUACAAUCCCUUUCUCCAUUGCUGCAAAGGCUCCAAUGGCAAGGUUUUCUUCAUCAUAAUCAACUGCUUGUCCUCCGAGCGAUGCUGAAAUGACAUUCACAUUGUCAGCGAUGGCCGCGUCCAUUGCCGCCAAUAUAUCAGAACCAACGCAGUUAUCUUCCCAACAAACCUUAUAGAUGGCCACUCUAGCGUGUGGGGCCAUUCCUCGCGCUACCCCAGAAGCAUAACCGAAUAAGCUUGCACCUUUCACUGCAGAACCUGCAGCUGUGCUUGCAGUGUGGGUGCCAUGGCCGUCAGAGUCUCGUGGUGAUCGAAACUGUUUGGUUGCAUUAAGGGGACCCACUGAGGCCUCUAAGCCUUUCAGGAAGAACCUGGCUCCUAUUAACUUUUUAUUGCAAUUGGCUGCAGUGAAAUUCUGACCUGAUUCACAUUUGCCUUUCCAACUCGUAGGAACGGGUCCCAGUUCGGCAUCGUCAAAACUCUUGCUUUCGGGCCAAACACCAGUGUCGAGGAGUCCAAUAAUGAUGUCACUCGUCGCAUUUGACGCAGGAAACAUGUCUGUGAUUUUAUCCAGACCAAGAAACUGAGGUGUUCGAGUUGUGAGUGGCUUGUAUAUUUUUUCCGGUAGCACCUUUAGAAUCCCGAUUUGACUCUUCAAUAAUUGGGUUUCUUCAAGAGUUAAUCUUGCAGAAAAUCCAUGAAUCGCAUUGUCAUAGGUGUAGAGAAUUUCUGCAGAGUUAGAUAUAGAUUUCAAAAUGGAUCUAUACCAAAUUGAAUGAUGAUUUAAGAUUGUUGGCAUUUCAGAUUUGGCCACAUGAACAAUGUAAGUACUCUUUUGAUUAUCCUUUGUAUUCUCUGCUGUCGCUAGAGACACAUCACAAAGGAUAAAAAACAAAACAAAAGCAGUUGCGGAAAAUGGUUUAUCAAACAUCUUCAUGCUAAACUUAUUUGCUUGUAGUAACUUUGAGGGGAAUGUAAUAGAGAAUUUGGCUUAACAGAGGACCUAUUUCCAAUGCAGAAUAUAUAAUUGUUGUCUGUUACAAAGAAGGGUGUGGAAUAAGUAAAGGGGGAAAUAAUUGAUUUUGGUUAUUAGAUAAUUAAAUUUAUGAAUUUGAUGUGAACAUAAAUAACAAACAUAUCAAGAUAAAAGGGUUAGAAACAAUUAACGCACGUAACCCUUGUUUUCAUCUCAUGUAACAUAUAUACAAACAAACAUUUUCGUUACAUAAUAAUAGGUGUUACACUUUGACUUUGCUUUGUUACAUAAAGUAUUUAUUUUAUAAUUAAGAGAUUAAAAACUAUUUAACACAUACACUGACACAGACACUGAUACAACAGAGAUACGACAAUACGUAUAAUAUAUAAAAUGUAGGAUACGAGGACACAUAUCUAUAUAUUAUAUAAUUAUGAAUUAUAUAAAUUGACAAUAAAGAUUUAUAUGUACAAGUAUGUUCCAGAUUAUUUUUUGAAGCAAAAAAAUGUUUUCAUGACUGGUUCAAAAAGAUUUGUUUCUUAUUUUUAUAAUCAUAAUAAAAAUUUAUACAAUAAAUUUGAGUUUUUAGAAAAUUAAUGUAUUUUUCCUUUUUAAAAUUGUGUUAAAAUCGUACUAGAAUUAUCAUAAAUCCAACAAAUACUUUUUGAAAUAGACACUUCAUGGAUACGUGUUCUACAAGUGUCGUACGAGUGUCCGUGUCUGAUAUGAGUAUACGACACCGACAUAAGUGUCCGAGCUUCAUAGAUUAAGAGUAACAACAAGGAAAAGAAACAUAAUAUGUGAAUGCACAUUUCAACAGCAAUUAAUUAUGUCUUAAAAAAAUUAAAAAAUAAUUUAAUAUCUUUUAAAGGAUUUAAUAUUGUACUAAAAAAAGAUAGUUACUGCUAAUUUUCUUCUUUCUAUAGUUGACCAAAAUCCAUGUUUGAAAUUUACAUAAAUAAAGCAUUUGAUAUUUAAUAUUAUUAAAACUUAGAUAUUAAUAUUGUUAAGAGAAUAUAUUAAUCCAGAUAUUAAUUGUGUUAAUAGAAUAUAUUAAUGAUUAUGUAAUUAGAAAAUAUUAAAUAAAAAAGAUACCAGUUUACUUCUUAAAUUAGAUCAACAGAAAUUAUUUUCAAGAGUUAUGAAUGACAGUUUUUGAAACAUGCUUCAGGAGAAUGUUGUUAGAAACUCUCAUUUCAGGACUUAUUCUAUCAAAUGUAUCAAAAGUGAUAUUUUAUUCUUAAUCAUAAUAAGAAUAAUAAUUAUUUUAUUAAUCCUACCUAUUAUAUCACAAACUUUAUAUAUAUUUUUUAUUAUUCAUAUUUUUUCCUUAAUCUAAACCAUUUUAAUUUUUUCGAAAUUUAAAUCAUCUUACUUUUCCUUUAAUUUAAACAAUCUUACUUUUUCCUCACUUUUGUCUCAAGAGUCAAAUUCACUUAGUGAAAUUCAAACAAAGCCUUAAUUAAAAACCUACACUAAGGGAUGGGUGAAGUGAUAUAAAUAAAAUUAAAUAUUAUAAUAGUUAUUUACAAUAUAAAAAUAUUAAUAAGGAGAUUUCAUUUAUAUAAUUGUUUUAUAAUAUUUUAUUUGUAUACAAUUUAUUAUUAAUUUUAUCUUUAUUAAUAUAACUUAUUUUAUUAAUUUUUUUCAUAAAAUUAUGUAUAAUAAAUAAUAAUUAUUCUCAAGUACUAUAUAAUUACAACAUUACAGAAAUUUCACAUUUGGUUAUGUGUAUCUUUUAGCCAGAUGAGAAUUUUGUGGAAAAGUGUGAAGCAGUUAGUCAUUGUUACGUCCACCAUGAAAGGUGGAUUUGUGGCAUGCUUUGAGGCCACGGUUCAGGCUAAUUGGUUGUCAAAUUUUAUUUCACGACUUGGAACUGUUAACAGUAUUGUCAAGCCACUGAGAAUUUAUUGUGAUAAUUCUGCAAUUGUCUUAUUUUCUAAAACGACAAGUAUUCGAAAUGUGUUAAACAUAUGUAAUUGAAAUACUUGGUCAUUAAAGAGAAAGUUCAGAAACAUAAAGUGUCAAUAGAACAUAUUAGCACUGAUCUUAUAUAAUUGUUGACGUUUUAACAAGAGGGUUACCGUCCAAAACAUUUACUGUAUUGUUUAUUGGUCAUGUUGAGAAUAUGGACAUUAUGUCUUCUAGUAAAGGAUAAAUGUUGUUAUUAAUGCUUAUUUGACACUUUGAGCUAAUUGAUAUAUAAAAGUUUUUGAAAUCUAUGUUUUCUAUAUUUUAUGUAUAUGCAUGCAAAUUAUGGUGUGGAAAACAAAUUAUGUCAUUGUUGAUGAAAAUGACAUUAUGUUUGAAUUCAUUAUGAACUUUUCGUUAUAAAGUCAUAUUAAAGAGAAAUGAUGAUAUAGUAAUACAUGAAAGGAAAUGUGUUGAUUAAAUGACAUGUAAGCGUCAUGACUCUUAUUAUUUUGUAUUCAUGAUUUUGAUUGAUGAUAGAACCAAAAAUUAUGUAAGGUUUUUCCAUGCUGCACAUUAUUAUUUAUGUAAUUAUUAAAUGAUGAAAGUAUUAUAGCUCAUAUGAGUUAAGUAAGAGAAUGUUAGAAAAUUAUGUAAAUUAGUUUUAUAACGUGACUCGUAUGAAAUAGAUUUUGGGCUUUUGGGUGUAAAUAUAAUUUAAUAAAAUAAAAAGUCAAUUGAUUAACUUCACUCUAUAAAUAUACGCUUAGAUUAAAUUAAUAGUAUUAAUGAUGAUAAGUGUCUAAUUUCAGUAAUAUUUCAUAUUAAAAUAUAGGUACUUAUGAGGAUUUAUUGCUAAUUUACAUAUAAAAUAAUUCCUAAUUUAUGAAUUUAGACCUUUUUACAUCUUUUAUUAUCUUUAUUUGAAUAAGAGUAUUUUAUUCCCAAAUUUGGUGUUAAUUGCAGAUUUCUAAGGAAGACUGGAGAUUUGGAUUAAAGAUGAAUGAUUUGAGCUAAAAAGAUAAAGAUAGAAGGUCCCUGAAUGAAAAAAUAUGCAAAGAAAGAUUGGGCCUUUUUUUAUGUUUUAUCAUUUAGCGCAUUAGCACGACAUAGGAAACAACCUAACCCUAGAAAACUAGGAUAAAUAGAGGGCUAGAGGCUCAACCUUAAUGUGCGAGAUUGAGAAGAAAACACCAUAGAGUGAAUUGUAACCCAAUUGGAAGAAUGGAAGGUGAUAGAAGUAUGCGUGACUAAUUCUACCCCUUUGGAUUGGGAGUAAUCUGCUCAAACUCUUAUGUAUUGAGGUGAUAUUCAGUUCUUGAUUUUGAUUAUUGGUAUUGUUGUUUUACUUUUAAUUUUCCGUGACAAAUUGAGAAUCUUAAAUCUGACCGGGAGGUAUUUUUAGGGUUCGGACCUAAACAACAAUACUUAACAUAUUUGAGUGUUAGGAAUAGACUUGAAAUGAGCUUCGUUCUAAGUUGUUCUUAUAAUUAUGCGAGGGAUCGAUAGUUAGGGGACAUUCUUAAGGAUUUUAUAUGCGAGGAAUCGAUAUAGAUGAUUUUUAUACUGGCAUCAAUUUCAAUCAAAAAACUUAAUAUUGACAUGCUAAUCAAAAUACAUGAGUGAGACAGAUGAAACCUAAUCCCUAUUUUUCCAAUUGAAACAACUAAUUCUUUGUCUGUUUUCUUAUUGAUCAUUGCCAACCCAACCACUUUCAAUACACUUUUAAUUGUUUUGUUCUAUAUUUAGCGAUUAUUGUACUUGAUAAUUCACUGUUUGGGAUCGAUAUCCGUUCUUAGGGACAAUUAUUACUUCUGACAAAGUGAUGCACUUGUCGUAAAAAGUCAUCAAUUAACUAUCUUCGACCUCUUAAUUAUGAAUCCUAACUUGAAGGAGGACCUUUUUAAACACUUUAACCGAAAAUCGAGACCAGAUGAAAGACUAAAAUGAUAUCCAUACUACAAGUUACAAGACUUUUCCAACUCUGAUAAAAACACAUACCAAAAAUUAUAUCUUGAUAAUGGAGUAUUGAGUAAAAGAUAAGUUUUUAAUAGAAAUGAAAAAAUUACAUGUAUAAAGUAGUGGCGAGUGCUGGUAUGUGGCAUAUAUUUGAAUAUGAUUUUGAUUUUAAAUACCAAAAUGACCCCACUGUGGAGGAAUUGCCCUUUCACGUUGAUCCAGAUGAAUAACAUCAAAAGCGACUGUAGAGAGGUACUGUCUCUGGUAGUGGCCGGGCCAAAUGAUGAAACAGUUCCUUUCUUCACCCUCAAACAAGGAAAAGACAUUAUCUUAGGUCGCCUGCACUGCACUGCACCCAUAACUUCACUUAUCCAAUCUAUUCCAAUUCCUACUUUAGUCUUUGUCAAUACUUCACUUUAUUGCUCUUUAUAUUCCAAACUCUCUCUGUCACUCCACUCUGCCACACUUCCACAUUCCCCUCUUCACAUUUUUUCACUCACAUUCUCCCUAUAAAUCCCUUUCUUCUUACCCUUAUCAUUUCCCCUGCCACUCAUCACAGUUCUUAACAAAAUCUGUACCUUUCCUCAGAUGGCGACAAAUAGUGGCACCACCCACCAGAAAAAACUGGAACAAUUGAAAGAAGAAGAGGGGGAAGAAGAUGAAGAAAUCGAAGCAUUGUCACUUUGCGACCUCCCGGUCAAUCUCAUCAACGACGACGCUCAACCGAAACCGAAACCAAAACCAGAUUCUCAGAUCAUAGAAAGCCGAGAAGAUUUUGAUUUCCCCUUAUGGGGUACCCCUCUUUCCCCAGAAUCAGAAAUGUGUGCUGCUGAUGAAGUUUUCUUCCAAGGCCAAAUUCUCCCCCUGCGUCUCUCAUUAAAGCGAUGUCAAUCAAGGUCCGAGUCCUUGGGUCACGGUUCUCUGAGAGAGUUUCGUAGCAAUAGCAGUAGAAGCAGCAGCGUAAGAAGCCAGAACUCAACUAGUAGCAGCUCCUCCACCACCACCACAACCCCAAGAAUUUCAAAACUCAGAGCUCAAAAUCAAAAUCAAAAUCACUUCCAUGCGCAUCCCAGUCCCCAACCUCAAUUGAAGGUAACCGUUCCAAGACAAACAAGCUUCGGUAAUCAAGGUAGAAAAUCAUCUGCAUGGGACUUUUUCCGCUUGGGUGUGGUGCCUGCACCCGAGAUAGCAUUGCAAGAUCUCAAAGUUCGCAGUACCAACGGUGUUAACAAAAAUCACAUAGGUCGCAACAAUAGCAGUAACAACAGCAGCAGCAGCAAUAGUAACCUCAAUGCUAAUAGUGCUGUAAAAAGGAGUUACAGCGCUAAAGGAAAUCACGUUUUCAAAGAUUUUGUGGGUAUAGGUGGUGGCUUUUGGAGUGGCUGCAAAUGUUCAGUUGAAACAGUGCAAUCGAACAUGAUCAUGAUUAAGGGUAGUACUAAAAGCGCCAACAAGACCGAAAGCGCAACUCACGCGAUGAAAGAAAAAGUGGUCGAAAGGAAGAAACAUAAGCAGAGACAAAAGCAAGGAAAGAGAACCGUGUCGCGUCGUCGAACGUUUGAAUGGUUAAAGGAGCUUUCGCAUGAUGCAAGCUAUUCCAAUGAUGAGGCUUUGUUAUCAAAAUCUUAAACGCUUUGGCUCAGCGCAUGCUUGUAAUUUUAUUUUUUUAUUAUUGGGUUAGAUCGCCUUUAUAGCCGUUGGCUUUUGUUUUUGUUCUUAAAUUGCAUCAUUGUGAAUGAGAGUGGAGACUCUGUAAUCAAAAUUUCUUACCCUCGUGAGAAUCAUAGUUUUGCUUUUUCAUUUCUCUUUUUGACUGAUGCUGAUUGAUUGCGUCUUUAAGAUUGAAUGUGUUUCGUAAGAUAUUGUUGGUGAGAUCUGUGUCCGAGGCAAGUGGCGAUGGUGAAUUAUAGAAUGAUAAGGUCCGUCGUAAGUGGGGAUAAUUUGGUGCUUAUGCUUGUCGUAACAGAAGGAACUUCGAUGCUUAAUGAUUGGAUAAUUGGUUCCUUGGAGUAUGUGAAAUAACAAUGAUUCUUGCAUAUCUAAAAACAUUAUCCCCUUUUUUAUAUAUAUUUUUGUUUUUUGGGGCUAGAAAAUUGUGCUCGAACAAUUGAUUUAUUUUUUUAUAUGUUUCUUUUUUUUCUUCUACAUUUUAGAUUUUGACUCGCUGUUGAGAGUGUUGUUGCAAAAAAUCUCCCCACACUUAAAUAAAUAUUUGGUAUUUAGAUGUAAUUAUUAUUAUAAUAAUGACUUACUUUUUGUUUAUCUGUUUUACUUAUAUGUAUAUGGUUGUAAUGAACUAUGUUACUUUUAGACAGAUAAUAAAAAAUGUAUUAUUUUUUUAUUUUGAUGCAUUUCGUUCAUAUUGAUCGGUCGAUAUCUGAUUUUAGAUUUUAGGAUUUUGAAAUUAUCCCGUCCGAUCGGUACAAUACUUAUAGUCUCUAAAAUGUAGGAUACGAGACACGAAUCUAUAUAUUAUAUAAUUAUGAAUUAUAUAAAUUGAUAAUAAAGAUUUAUGUGAACAAGUAUGUUUCAGUUUUUUUUUAGCAUAAAGAUAUUUUUUGUGAGUGGUUCAAAAUGAUUUGUUUCUUGUUUUUAUAAUUAUAAUAAAAAUUUAUACAAUAAAUUUAAGUUUUUAGAAAAUUAAUAUAUUUCUCUUUUUUAAAAUUAUAUUAGAACGUGUUAUAAGUGUCAAAAAUUCAAUAAAUAUUUUUUGAAUUUGACACUUUAAUGAUACGUGUGUUUUACGAGUGUCGUGUCCAAUAAGUAUGUCCGACACGGACACCAUUUAAGAGGAGUGUUUCAACCUCGUAAUAUUGAUCUCCAGACAAUUAGUGGCAUUAAAUUAUUACAAAAUGUGUUUCUAUUUUAAAAUUAUCUUUAAAUUUAUUGAGAUAUUUGAAAAAAAAGUAAUGAUUAUAUACUUCAUUAUCAUAUGAAUUUAUUUAUUUUUAAUUGAUAUAUUAUGUUCGAGUCUUACUAAAUAAGAAGUGAUAAGACUGAGAGAGAAAAUUCUAUUGAAAUAUAACCACAUUUUUUUUCACAUAUGUUAAUAAUUGACGGGGUAAGUAAACCACAUUUUUUUACACGUACAACGUGCGUUAAUGAUUGACAGAGUAAGUGAACCACGUUACUAUACAACGAGAAAUAUAGUUUAUGUUAUUAAUUCAUAAUAUUUAUGGAGCAGAUACUUCCAGCACCGGGUAAAAUUUGAACUUUUACCCGAUUUUUAUAUGAAAUGAAAAAAUUGUUAUUAAAUAAAAAGAUUGUGGAUUAAAAUAUAUUCUAUGUUUUUUUUAAAUAUGUUUUCAAGAUUUGGAUUUUCAGAACACUUUUUUUUAUUUUUGGAAUCUUUUCUCUGAAAUAUAUUUUUGAUUUUUUUUUCUAGAAUUUUCUUCAGGAAUUUAUAUUUUUAUUCAGGAAUUCUUUUUCAGAAUGUUAUUUUAAUUUUUCAAUUCUAUUUCUUAAAUUCCAUAUUUUCAGUUUCUGAAUAAAGAACAAUUUUGUAAAUUUAAAAGAAGAUAGAGUGCAAGUCACAAUUUAUAAGGUGCAGGAAGAAUUUGACUAUUUAUGGCUAGCCCAUGUUUAAAAGGUCAGGGAUAGUUUAUUGGGGGCUGCUAUUUGCACCUUCACUUUAACUCUUUGCACUAUCCUUCUACUUUUCCUUUUGUUUUUUUUGACAAAAAUACUUUUAAUACAAACUAUUUAGUUUCAGUAAGAUUCGUGAAAUAAAAAAUCAAGAUGGUCUGAGAUAAUAACUUUAAAGAGAGAAAAAAGAGAAAAAAAAAAAAGAAGAAAGGGAUGCGAGUGAAGGUGAGGAAAACUAAGUAAAAGAACCAACAAUUGUGUGGGUGGGUGGAUCGAACAAUUGUACUUUUCAAGCUUUUCAUGUCUAACAAUUGGGAUGCUAUAUAUGGAUGUAAGGAUAAAAGUGGAGAAAAAAGGUUAUAUAAUUUAUAAAAGAACAGGAAAUCAUAUAUCUAUUUGAUUAUUUUUUUUACAAAAUACAUCUUUUGGUUAUUGUACUAGCACGACCGGACGUCAGAAUAUCGAACCAUUUGACCACUCGAACACGAUUAGAAGGUUACACGACGACAUGUGGUCGACCAAUCCAUGACGAGUCAUGGAUUGACCAAGUCAACAUGGAUAAUUCAUAGUUAAGAGUUGUUUAGUGCAACCCUAAACAGGAACCAACCUCCUAAUCCGGUCCAUCAGUGAAAGACCGCUAAGGUAAUAUAAAUAGUGCAAAUUCUAAGAAUCACGUCAUUAUCUACAGUACCCUCAUCCGAGUAUCGACACCCUGACUGACUUGAUCGUCGGAGUGUCUUUUGCAAGUACCAUCCCAGUGUGUGCUACCAGACGAUCGAGAGGAGGAAGAUGAAGUUGAGAAUGAUAACGACCGACUGAAAGGAGGAGUAAAACAAUUGUUCUCUAGGCCCCAACACCUCCUCGUUUGAAAAAUAAGAAGAAGAUAAUCUUAGUUAAAACUAUUUAUUAUGUUAAUUGAAAGUUAAAAAUUAGUUCUAAGCUAAUAAUUAUCAAACUAUAUUAGUGAAUAAAAACUUGAUAAAGUUAACAAAUAAGUUAACUGAUUACAUAUAUGUAUAUAUAAUAAAAUGAUACUCUAUAACACUAUUUUUUUAUAGAAUAAUUAUUUUUGCAAUUAUAAUUUUAGAUUUAAAAUUAAUCUUGACUUUAAUUGUAAUUUUUAAAAGAUGAAUAUAUAAUUAAAAAUAAUAAUAAAGCAGUGUAACGUCAAAAAGGAUAAAUUAAAAGAAUAUUGAACAUCUUUAAUGGUAUUUUUUUCUUGGAUAGUGUAUGGUAAAUAGUAGAAAUCUAAAAGCUAAUAUGGUUCUAGUCUAGUCAACGUCAAUUUUAAGACAGUGUUUGAUGAAGAAUUUCAAAUCCUUAAAAAAUUUAAAUAUAUAGAAAUUUAAAUACCUCGAUUAAAUUCCUUUUGCUUUUAAAUUACGCAAUUCAAAUUUCAUAUAUUUAUAAAUUCUUCAGAUAAAGUAAUUAAUAUGCAUCACAUGCAACCUUUAUUUUACGUUUUUUUUAAUUCCUCACUAUAUUAUUUGAAACUCCUUCCAUUUUGGUUGAAAACAAUUUUUUUUAUAAAAUUUCCAUCAUUUUAAAACUCUUUAAAUCUAAUAGCGAAACAAAAUUAUAUAUAUAUAUAAUACUUUAUUUUAAAAAAUAAAUUUUAAAUUUUACUCAUUCCUAUAAAAUCAAGACUUACAUCUAUUUAUAUAUAUAUAUUAUAAUUUUUUUUUAUAUAUAUUAUAAAAAAAAUUUAUUUAUAGAAUCAUUUGUAUAUUAUGAUAUAAAAUGUGUUUAUUAAUCUUCAGUAUUUUAAAUUCACUUAAAAAGCCUUUUCUCAGAAUUUCCCAUCCAAAAUGAGUGUAAUCCAAGUUCUAAAGUUUGAUGUUGCCUGGUCCAAGUCGUGGUCUACUUUUACUUCUUCUUCUUCUUUUUGAGUGUGUGGUCCUCGUUUCUUGAUAGAGGGGGUCAAGGAUAUAAUGCAUAUUCCCCCAUUUCUCUCAACCUCAUUUUAUACUUUAAGUGGAACUCGUCACUUAUGCAGUAAUCAUAACUAAAACCCAUUUCUCUCACUCUGCUUUUGUACUUUACUUGGGUAAAACCCAUUUUAUAAUGCCCUAUUUUACCUAUACUUUUUACUCUUAUGAAAAUUAUAUCUAAUUCUAUUUCACUAAAUUUAUUCACUAUUUAAAUGAAAAAAUAUGUUAUCUAACAAUAUGAUACGGUCAAAAUCUUGAUUAUAAUAUACUUUUAACUAGAAAAUAAAUUUUAAUUAAUUCACUUUUAUAUAGUGAGUUGUACAAAAUAAAAUUUGUUUUUACUUAUAUUAUAAAUUAAUUUUUUAUUAUUAUAUAAAAUUAUUAAAUAAAUUAAAUAAAUUUUAAAAAAUAUGUAAACAAAAUACGCGACAAAUCAAGUAACUUUAUUUCUAUAAUUAUACCUACCGAAUACAAUUCAUUAAUCUUAUAAUUCAUUACAAACUGUAUAAAUAAAUACAUCAAACGAAACAAAUAUACAUCAUUAAUAUAAUACUUAUUAUAUAUUAAAUAUUGAACACUUACUUAAACAUCAUAAUAAAUAUUUUUUUAAUACACUCCUAAUUUAGAAUCAAAACUUAAAACAUAAUAGAGAAAAAAAUACGAAAAAAAUAAUCAAUUAUUAUUCUUAAUAUCUGAGUCUCAUCCAAUAACAAAUCUCGUAUACAAAGAACAAAUAAUGAAAAACUUCGCUUGCAAUCCUACACUAGUUUGUUCAAUUUUACACUCUUGUGAAUGAUUGGGUGCCAAAAGCACACACCUUGCAAGAAAUAGUCAGAAGAAUAUGGAUCAAAGGACAAAAAAUAGUGGUAAAAAUUAUAUAUAUAUAUAUAUAUAUAUAUAUCAAUUGAAGUUGUUAGUCUUGUAUGAUGUUUAUUAACUUGUCCAUUAAAUAUUAAUGACAAGAAUAUUUUCAAAUUAAUAUAGCAAAGACUGGUAAAAUAAUUUAUAUCAAUUACAAUUAUUUACAACAUUUAAAAAUAGAUAAGAAACAAAAUAUUUGUCAAAAUAAUAUAUUAUAUUCUAUGAAUAUUAUAAAAGAAGAAUAAAAUAUUUGGACCAAAAUAAAAAAUCAUAUAAAUGUAAUUAUAUGGAAAGCUAUGUCCCAAAUAAAAAAUUAUUGUCUUGAUAUUAAAAUAUUAUAUAUUAAAAAAGGCAUUAGGAAGCCAAAAGGUUCAUCUCUGUUAAAGUUUAUAUAGAAGGAUAAUUAUUUGAAAAGUAAACUCACGAUCUUCAUUAAUUAGUACUUCAUCUGUGGAGGGAGAAUGUCUUGGAUCACUAAACAAUGUGUUGUACAAAAACUAAAAAAAAAUAUUACAAAAUGUACUCAAAAUAUUUUAGUAAAUUUAAAUUAGUUAUUUGUGUCUGUCCUUUCUUUGUUUAAUAUAUUAAGAAAAAAUAGGGGACACAUAAAAGUUUAAUAUUUGAAUGAAAUAAAAGUAAAAUAAAAACUUUAGUUUCUAAAAUCAAUAUUUAUAUAUGAUUAUUUAUAAAAAAACACUUUACACAACAUAUCAAAAUAAAAUAAAAAUAUAAUGACCUGAAUUAUAUAAAAAAAAAACACUGUAUGCACAUUCAUUUAAUUAAAUAAACACUUAAAAAUAUUAUAAUUAUUUUUAAACUAUCUUGACUAAUAUUCUAUAUUUUGUUUGCCACUUCACACUAAACUAACCAAAAGAAAACUAAGAAAAUACUAAAAACAUGAGAGGAGUCUAAUACUAAAUAAAUAAAUAAAAAUAUUUAUCACUUGUCAAGUUGUCACCAAUCUAUGUUUAUUGCUACAUAAAUUACUUAUCCUAAAUAUAAAAUACAAUUUAAACAUUGUUGUAACAAAAUUUAAUUAUAAUAAUAUAAUUUAUAUAUCUAAAAUAUUUAUUUAUUAUAAAUUGAAAUAUGUAAAAUAAAAGUUAUUAUUUUUCUUUUUUCUUUCCAUUUUUUUAUGGCUAUUCGCAACACCCGUCCAAUACUCUGCCAGGGUAAUAAAUAAAUCAGUGGAGAAUCUCAUUCACUCACACUUUCGUUUACUAACUUUUUUUUGUUUUUCCUACGUUUAACGCGGAAUCCACACCUUCCCUCUCAUUUCCAUUUUCUUCACUGUUCAAUACUAUAUGUAGUUGCUUCUUCACCAACCCAAAACUCACUUCACCAAACAAACAACAGAACACAACAGGGCAGAGAGACAGAGCGCACGUUAAGGAUGUUGGACCGAUGCCUGAGGCCACUGGAGAUGUGCUUCGGUGGUGGAGGAGACGACGAAACCCUCCUCUGGGACACUGACCUUAAACCUCACGCUUCAGGGAACUACUCGAUUGCAGUGGUACAAGCCAAUUCUUCCUUGGAAGACCAAGCACAAGUCUUCACCUCUCCGUCUGCAACCUUUGUUGGCGUCUACGACGGCCACGGUGGACCCCAAGCUUCCCGAUUCAUCACCAAUCAUCUCUUCUCCUUCGUCCGCAGUAAGAAUCCAAAUUUAAUUUAUUCCGUUUCCUAUCAUUACAUCCAUAAUCAUCAUUCUAAUUCUUCAAAUUAUUAAUAACACUCCAUCCUAAUGGACAUUAUUUCUCCAUUAGGUGAUAAUCUUUACAUGAUUAAGUAUUAUUAAGAGUGUGUUUUCUUUUGGGUGUAGUCAUGUUCCAUGAAGUUUUUUUAAUUUUGAAAGAAAAACAUAGGAAAACAGAGUAUGAUACAAGGUAAAUAAAAAAGUUAAAUAUGUAAUAUGAUAUAUAUAUUGUUUUUACCGGCUCGAAUUCGGUCGGAGUAAGGAUGAGCUCUCUUCGGAUUCUCUUCUGUUGUUCGGUCGCUUAACGGAUAAGGUGCUUGGUGAAUGUACUCUAGGCUUCAGCAAUCGAUCUCCUAAGGAUGAGGAGGGUUUCACCUGCGAUUGUACUCCGACACUCAAGUAGUCAGUGAGAGCAUUAAAUAUAUAUAUGAUAAAAUAUGUUGCAAAGAUGCAAGUUGAGAUACUCCCUGCAGGUAGUCGUCUAUUUAUAAGCGUCUACGAACUUGGAUUUCAUAUUUGGGUAUUUCCAAGCAUUAAUGUGUCGUUUCUCGGUCACUCUCUAUAAAAUAUGGAUAUAAAACAUGUAAAUCAGAAUAGUUAAUAGCAUAAUCAGGGCCGAGGAUAACAUUCAUUACGGUAUCGGGAUAUGAGUAUUUACAUUUAUUACACGGGAAUAUGUGUGUGCAGAAAAAACAUUAUACUUUCCUUUAGUGGAAUUCGUUCCUUGUUGUCCUGUCGCGCGAUACCGGGCCAAGGCCAAAACAGACCGUGUUUUUGAGCCUGUUCAUUCGGUUUGUGGUAUAUGUCAAGUUCUCACAUCGUCACUUCCUCCAGAUGGACCCUUAGUGAGUUCGAUCAAAUACCUACCCGAUUCGGGACAAAAGAUAUAUAUAUAUAUAUAUUUAUGAUACGUUAGCUACCGUGGUAACGAAAUAUACGUUAUUUAUUUAUGAUUAAUGAUAUAAAAAGUUGAUGGAAGUGAUUGCUCUGUUUGGCAGAGUACACAGCAGAGGAAGGUGGAUUGUCAGAGGAAGGGAUAAAGAAAGCGUUCGAGUCAACAGAGGAGGAGUUUUUGCGUUUUGUGAAACAAUCAUGGAUUGCGCGACCACAAAUGGCUUCAGUGGGUUCGUGCUGUCUUCUGGGAGCGAUUUCAAAGAACGUUCUUUAUGUUGCUAAUCUGGGGGAUUCAAGGGCGGUUUUGGGCCGGGAAGCGUUGGAAGGAGAGGUGAAUUGCGGUGGUGUGGUGGCAGAGCGUUUGUCCACUGAUCACAAUGUUGGAGUGGAGGAGGUCAGAAAGGAGGUGGAGGCUCUUCACCCUGAUGACGCACACAUUGUGGUUUGCAUUCGUGGAGUUUGGCGAAUCAAGGGCAUUAUUCAGGUUCGUUUCAAUAUUAUACGAUCUUCAUCUAUUCCUCUUAGUUUGGUGUUCUGUUCAAUUACUUACACUUUGUGAAUGAAUUUACUUUCAAUAUUUGUUUUCUGUUUAUAUUUGUGUUUAAUGGGUGACAUAGAAUUAUGAAAAUCAUCAAAUUCCAUUUUGACUCUAAAAAUUAGUUUGCAUAUAUUCUUUACCUAUUUUCUAAAAAAAAAACUACUUCCCUUUACAAAACAUGUUUUUAAGUGAAGGUUAUUGUUAUUUAUACAAUACAAUAUAAUUUUAUUUUAUUCUUACUUGAUAUCAACUCUUCAAUCAACACUCCUCACAUUAAAACAUUAACAUCAUGAUAUAGAUGAUGCAACAAUGACAUGUAACAUAACAGAUCACAAGUUUGUUAAAAUAGAUAUAUGAGAUCAUAAAUUUAAGUAUAAUUCAUCCUAACUUUUAUUUUAAUAUGAUCUUAUGGUUGAUAUGAGAUUUUGAAUUCAUUUAGUUAAAUUUUAUCAAGUUAACAAAAUUUUGAAUAGUAUUUUAAGAUAAACAAACAAAAGUAAAUUUUACAAAAUAAUUAUGAAAAGUUAAGAAAUUAUUUUUCUCCUUAUCAAAAAAGAGAUGGAAUGCAAAAUGAAAUGUAAAUGUUUUAGAGGUGAUUAAAGUAGAGUGACGUGAAUUCAUCCUUAAUUGAACUUUUGUUUGCAUUUGGAAAAUAGACAUAAAGGAUAAAAAUGCAUGAAUACAACAUGUUAUUUGACACUUUAAGACAAAAUUUAGAAAGAAAAAAAAAAGAUAUAACAUGAUAAAGAAAUAAAAAAAAUCAAGGAAUGUUAAUCAAAGUUUUUUCGGACAAAGUAUUUAUCUAUCAUUAAUCCAACAUAAGUUUUCACCAUCUUAGAUGAAUGUAAGAAAAAAAAAUAUAGAAGGAAAAAUACAAACUAAUAUAUUAUAAUUAAAACAAUAGAAAUUGAUUUUUAAAAAUAUAAUACAUUUUCUCUAUUUUAUUUUCUUAUUUCAAAAUUUAAUUUAUUUUCUCUCUUUAUCUACUCAAUAGAGUUGUAUAAAAUUCAAAAGUUUACUUUUAAGUUGUGUGUUUUCAUUAUUAUGUGAUUUAAUUAUUAUGAUUUUCAGAUAUAAGAAGUGUGUUUUUUUUUCUUUUCUUAAAAUAUUUUUUUGUGUCAUAACGAGUGAAUGUGAUUUUAUGAUGUUUUAUUUUUAAGAUUUUAUCUUGGUAUUAAUUUUGUAAGCAUUUUGGAAUAAGUUUAAGUUGAGUGUGUUAUCGAUUUCUUAAUAGAUAUGUCUUGCACUUUUUUUCUCAACAUAAGUGAGGAAAUGUAGAAGGAUCUUGAUAUAUGAAUCUCUACCGAUCAAAAUUAUUUUGUAAAGUUGAUCUGCAUUCUUCUCUACGUCUCUAUAUGUUCUUGUCUCAUCCCAUAAGUUUUUAUAUUCAAAAAAGUAUAUUUCUAAAUUCGUAAUUAGCUUCUGAAUUAAGAGUCUUUUGUGAUUAGCUUCUGGAUUACAUAAUCCAUAAGUCUUUUCUAUACAUGAGAUUAGCUUCCAGAUUAUAUAAUCCAUAAGUCUUUUUUCAAAUGCAUGAUUAGCUUUCGGAUUACAUAAUCUGUACGUCUUUUCUGGAUAUGAGAUUAACUUUCGGAUUAUGUAAUACAAAAGUUUUUUUCAAAUGCGUGAUUAGCUUUUGGAUUACAUAAUCCAUAAGUCUUUUUCUGAAUAUGAGAUUAACUUAUGGAUUAUGUAAUCUGGAAUAUAUUCGAAUUAUAUAUUCCAUAGACUUAUCUCAAAUCCAAAAAAUACUUCUAGAUUUUAUAAAUCUAAAGAACACUUUCAGAUUAUGUAUGGGGUGACAAAAAAAAGGAUAAGAAUGUAUUUUCACAUUUAGUAUCGGGUGACACAAAAAGUUAUGGAGGUGCAGGCAGUCUUUCUACAAUGGAUGGUCAUCAACUUUUGCAUUGUGAAAUCCUUAAAGGUUUAGGACCAAUUUAUUCCUGUACCUCCAUCAUCUCUUACUGCACCUCAAUACAACACGUAAAAUAACAAUUUUGUCAUUUUUUUAUAUUUCUUAUUGACUCCUCUCUUCCUUUUUUUUUAUUCAUAUAUUUCAAACUUUAAAAUUUGAAAUACAAAAUUGUAUUUUACAUUUUAGAAUUCAUAAUGUAUUUUUAAAUUCAUAAAAUACAUUUUGAACUUCGAACUUUAAAAUUCAUAAUACAAUUUCAAUUUUGUAUUCUAAAUUCUAGAGUUUAAAAUGCAUUUUCAAACAUAGAAAAUACUUUUUGAAUUAUAGGAUUCAGAACACAAUACAAUUUUGAAUUCUAAAUUUCAUAAUACAUUUUCAAACCCACAAAAUAGCUUCCAAAUUUAAAAAUUCGAAAUACAUAAUUGUAUUCUAAAUUUUAGAUUUUGAGCUCUAAAAAACAAAUCAUGCACUUUUUUUAAGGUAAUUUUGAAACUGAAUAAUUUAUGAUGGUGCAUGAAGAAAUUAUAGAGGUGGAAAAAGAAAUUUUCAGGUUUAGUAUGCCAUGUAGACAGUGAUCAUGUCAUUAUUUUUAUCAUAUAAAUCAGCAUUUAAUAAUCAGAUAAUUUAGCAAUAAAAUGUCGAAGAAUUUGAUUUGAAAAGGUACUUAAGUUUAGAUUCACGUGUAUAAAAAAAGUUAUAAAAAAAAUAAUUGUAUUUAGUUGUUAAAAAAAUAACAUGUUUUAAAUCAAUGUAUAUAAUAUUCUGCUAGCCAAGACCACAAUUAUUUUUAUAAAGAGCAUCAUUUUUCCAAAACUUUUGUUUAAAUAAAAGUAGUAAUUCUUUUAACUAUUUUCUGGCCUUAUAGGUAUCAAGAUCAAUCGGAGAUGCUUACUUAAAGAAACCAAAUUUUGACACAAAUCCUCUGUUCCAACAAAUUGUAUAUCCAGUAUACUUGAAGAGACCUGUAAUGACAGCAGAACCAUCAAUAGUGACGCGGAAAUUGAAGGCAAAUGAUUUAUUUUUGAUCUUUGCAUCAGACGGACUCUGGGAGAAUUUAACUGAUGAAGAGGUUGUUCAAAUUAUAUCCAAAAGUCCCAGAAUAGUAAGUCCACACCAAACAACCCUCCUAAAAUAAACUACAAAAACCUAAAAAACAUAAGCAUGUCUUUCUAACUGUCUAUAGUUUUGGAGAUUCCAUUGUAUGAAAGAUGGUAAAAGAUGUAAAACUCGUUUGUGUUGUAGGGAAUAGCAAAACGACUGGUGACAGUUGCACUAGAAGAGGUUGCAAAGAAAAGAGAAAUGAAGUAUGAUGACUUGAAGAAAGUUGAGAAAGGUUUGAGGCGUCAUUUUCAUGAUGAUAUUACCGUGAUCGUUCUGUAUCUCGAUCAUUCAAAAAAAUCUAUAAAUGGUAGCUCAAGACAUAAAGGAGAUUAUGACUGCAUUAAUACUCCUAUUGAUAUCUUCUCUCAAACUGCAGAUUACGUUCAUCUUUAACUUCAAUAAGCUUCUACUUUGUUAGUACUAGCAAUGGCGUCUUUACCCUCCAUUGCUUUUACCAAGAAAUUGACCACAUUUAAAAAAAUAUAUAUACUUAAAGUGGUAGUUACCGAUGGCAAAAAAGAAUGGGACUGUAAAUGUGAUCUAAACCGGGUUAAGUUGUUAUUUUUAUUGAUAAUGGGAAGCUUCAAAUAAUAAUAUGUAUUUUAUUUUCUUGUUAAAAAGUGAAUAUUAAAUUUUACUCAAUCUUAUGAAAUGAUUUUCAACUUUUUUUUGUUUUAUUUAUAAAAAUUGUAAAAAAUGUCAAACAAUUUAAAACAACUCAGCGUUGUAUUCAGUUAAAUGAAUUAGAUUCUCACAAUAUCUUGUUGCUAUUUUAUUCUGUUAUUAGAAUAAUUUUAUUCUUAUUCUUAAUUGUUACAACACCUUUUAAUACAUAUAAAGAUAAAAGGAAAGGAAAAAAAAUGUAUUUCCUUAAAGGAAAGGAAAGGAAAAAAAAUGUAUUUCCUUAAAGAUAAAAGGAAAGGAAAAAAAAUGUAUUUCCUUAAAGAUAAAAGGAAAGGAAAAAAAAUGUAUUUCCUUACAUUUAUAAUUUAUUUAGAAUUUAUUUGGAAUUGCGACGGUUGUAAAAGUCUUGGGCCGGAUGAUUUAAUUUUUGCUUAAUAAUUUUUUUAUAUUAUAAAAGAAGAUGUUUUGAGGGCAAUACAAAAUUUUGUAGUGGGGAUAGUUGGUCGAAAGGAACUAAUGUUUCAUUUAUUUCUAUUGUCUUGUGAACCCGUAACUUUUAAAUAACUUUAGAACGAUUUCCUUGAUUGGAUGUGUGUAUAAAAUUGUUUUUAAAAGUCUUUUCUCAAGGUUGAAAAGAGUGUUGGAUAAAGUCAUUGACUCUAGGCAGUCUACUUUUUUAGAAGGAAUGAGAUUAUUGGAUAGUGUGGAAGAGGAGACAGUAAGUCAUCUCUUCUUUGAGUGUAGGAUUUCUUGGAGAAUUCGAGAGUUGUGUCUCGAGUGGUUGGAGUUUUCUUCGAUUUUACAUUGUGAUGCACAAUUUCACUUUAAGUUGUUGGGGGGAUUGGUAUUAUAGGUAAAAUUUGGAAUCAUAGGAAUAAAGUUGUUUUUAAGAACGAUCGAGUUUAUCUAGUUGAGGUUUUUACUGUGCUACAAAGGAAGACUUGGUCUUGAGUUACGGUAAAGGAAAAAUUGGCGGAUUUCUUUUAUUCGGAUUGGUGUUUGGAACCUUUAUGUUGUAUGAGGUAUUUGAGAAAUUGAUGUUUGGUGAUUCAUGUUUAACAUUUUGUCCAGGUUUGGAAGUUCUGGUGUGUUUUUGUGCAGGUUUUUCGGCUUCCGUAUCUUUCUCACAACUUGAUGUUUAUGGCUCUUGGGUGUUUGACUUACUUCUCCUUACUGACAAAGAAUUUGUUUAGUUGUUGGAAUAUUUUGUCUUCUUUCUUGAGAAUGUGAUUCUUUGGAAGGUUAAUGUAAUUGGAUUUUAUUGUGUUCAUGUCAAUUGUCUUAUCUAUGUCAAUUUAGUUAAUGUAUUGUAGUGUUUGUUAGAUUUUCAGUUGGUUGAAUGUUAAGGAAUUUGAUUUGAGUGUUUCUAUAUAAGAAUUGAAACACUGGUAAAAUGUUUCUUUUUUAUUUUAUUUAUUUUUUACUGAUAAAAAAAUUAUAACUUGUUUAAAAUUAAUUUAGAAUAAAAAAACGUUUACAUUUAUCUGGUAAUAAGAGAAAGGUGAACUAUGAAUCCAAUAUUUAGGAUAACAAGAACGUUAAUAAUAAUAAUAAUAAUAAUAAUAAUAAUAAUAAUAAUAAUAAUAAUAAUAAUAAUAAUAAUAAUAAUAAUAAUAAUAAUAAUAAAAUUGAUGAUAUGAUUAUCACGAUAAAAAUGACAUUAUAAUAUUAUUUGACAAAAAUACAAUGAUGAUAAAAAUAAAGGUGGAAGUGAUGGUGCUGAUAACAAGGAUGAUAGUGUAGAUGAAAUCAUGCAUGUAAGGGUAGUUAAGAUGUCAAAAUAGGUGAUUUGAUAUGGUUUAAUGGGCCUAAUAAAUUUUUGUUUGCUACAUGGAACUCUAUGUCAAGCUAACAAGACCAAGACAUUUUGUUCUACUUGAAGAGAAUAAAAAUGAUAAAAAUAUAUUAAAUAUAAAAAUAUAUUUAUUAAAUUACAGUUUAAUUUAGGACAAAAAAAAUCGUCUAACUAUACUCAUUUUGUGGGCUUUAGUAGAAGAAAAAUAUAUAGAUUAUCAUAUUCUAUUACUUUCUAAUUCAACUUCUCCUUCAAAAUAAGAAAACACUUAACAAAUUUAUAUUUUGCUGUUACAUAAAGUUAAAACGAACUAGUCCUUUUGUGUUCGUAUUUGAAGGAGUCACAUUAGUCCACCAUGCAUGUGUAUACCUUCCUUCUUCACAUUUUUAAGUACUUUAUUCCCACAACAAAUCUCCUUUGUUUUAAUGCUCCACCACAGUUUUUUACCAGUAGAGUCAUAAAUGUUUAAACCCCAAACUUCCUUUAUUCUUAUCCAUGCACACCUCAUCCAAUUUAUUUUUCUUCUUCCUCUCCACCCUCCUAUAAAAUUGGGAUGACAAAUCAGUUAAGUUUACUUGUAUUCUAGUCCAUUCAAAACAGCUUUCUAAUCAACUCGUCAUAGUGAAGACAAGACGAGGGUCCUAAGCUUCUUCAUAGAAAACGAUCUGAUAGAUCCAUUUGUUACACUUUUUAAUACUUUAUUCAUGAUACUAAUGAAUAUUAAUUAAAAAUAAGAGCAGGUAGUAACAAUUUUAUUUUAUGAAUGGAUGUUAAAAUUAUUAAAUUAAACUUAAAGUUUAUUUAAUUUAUACAUUCACUUUCAAAAUAUUUGUUGUUCUCGAACGAGAUUAGGGUCUAGAGAACUAUUGAAAUUGUUCAUUUGCUUACUUUUCUGGUCGGUUGGUUUUUACUUCAAACAAAUUUCUUCAUCUUCUCUGUUCGCUCUACUCAUCGGUCUUCACGUAGUCCAGACUUGGAUGGUACUUGCAUAAGACACUUCAACGCUCAAGUUAGAUUUAAUAUUCGACACUCGGUAUUCUCAGUAUUGUAUAAUGACGUACCUAGUUUUUGGAAUCUGUGCUAUUUAUAUUAUUUUGAUGAGUCUUUCUUAUUCUUAUUGAGUCGGAUUAAAGAGUUGGAUCAUGUUUAAAUGUGUAUUACUUAGCUCUUGAUUGUUGACUAGACUCACUAAUUUUGUUUAAACGUAAUUGGCUAUGUGAUGUCGGUCGAUAUAAUGACCGGAUCCGAGACAUGGUCUAGAUCGUGCGGUCCUACCAAUAAAUUUAUAAUUUGUUUUAACACCUAGCUUAUUAUCUUUCUUGCUUCAAACUAAAAUAUCUUGAUAUAUAUACCUUAGAAUAUAUUUUUAUCUUUAUCCAACUAUUUUAUUAUUUUUGCUAUUUAAUUUUUCUAUUUUUUUAAAGGUAACCUAAAGAAGAGGGCACCUUUUGCGUUAGAACCAAAAUGUCUAUAUUCUGAUAAAGACAUGUGCUCUACUGCCCAGUUUAGAACUGGACACACGGGAGGGAUGCCGUGGUCUCUAUGCUUAACAUCUUGUAACGUGGUUAUAUAAUUUUUAAUUAAUCAUAAUUUCAACAACAAAAAAGUAACUAAAUUCUAUCUUUUUUCCAUUGCUAUAAUGUAAAAAAAAAAAAAAACAGUUCAAAAAGUAAGGUCGGGUGCUCAAAUACUUGUAUUUUUUUCUUAUUAAUUGUUAAUAAGUGAAAUAAAAUAAGAAAAACAUUAAUAGUAAGUGUACCUCUUUUUGUUUUCCUUGCUAAGUUUUAAGGUUUCAUUUUCUUACUUAGUUGUCUUCUUUUCCUCUCUGGUCACAAUCAGCUGGACAAAAAUCAUGACCAGGUCGCAAAACGUGUUAACUUGGCUUUGACCAGCUGCACUCGAGUCUCUCUCUGUGGGUUUGAUGCCCAUGAUGUUUGCAACGAAAAUGUCAAGUUCCCAUUAAUUUGGAGGCUAUUACUCCUGCUAGAAAACACAUUUAAGAAAGAAACACAUGAACUCAAAUGUAUAUUUCAUUGUACAAAACACAUUUCAAAAAUUUACAUUCUCAAAAUUCUAUUCUGAAAAGUUUCUUCUUUAAUGUAUUUCAAAAAAAAUUAUUUAAACUUUUUUAUUCUAAGAACUUUAUUCUGUUCCAAAAGAUGUGUUUAGAAUAUAUUUUAUAAAUUCCAAAAAAUGUGUUUUGAAAAAAUAAAUUAAAACAGAUAAUUCAUAAGUUAUUUUAAAAAAAAAUAUUUUGAAAAUUACAAGGAUGUAGGUUGAAAAAGAUGCAGAAAGUAAAAACCGGAAAAAAGAGAGAGGAGUAAAGUCAGAAAAUGUAUCUUAAUUUUAUUCUGUUAAUGAAAUCAUUAUAUUUUUUGUGUUAUAUUUUUGUGAAGUAUCUACCUUUACCAAAUGGAAGAGGAGCUGUCUAGAGCAUAUAUUUUUAAAACAUUUUACGUUUUUUACUAAAUUUUAAAAAAGUUACAACAAGAAAAGCUAAUUGUGAUACAUAACAAAAUUUGGGUUUGUAAAGUUUAGUGAGAAAUAAAAAGUAUAUUGGGAAAUGUGUUAUUGAUGUUUUCGUAAAUUUUUUGUAGGAUCGGUUUUUUCUUUGUGCAUUUUUUUUCCAUGUGUUUGGAUAUUGGUCUUUAGAUCUUUAAUAUUUGGGUCUUUUGUGUUGAGCACUUAAUAAAGGUAUUUAUUAUUACUUUGACGUUGAAAUUAUUUUUUAUUUGUAUAUAAUAAAGACAGAAAUUUAUUAACUUUAUAUUUUCAAUAUUCAUUUAUUUUUAGUCUCUAAUAUUGUACAUAUAAUUAGAUUAGGUUCAACUAUUGUUUAUCAUUAAUUAGGUUCAACUAUUGUUUAUCAUGAUUUGUAGAUUGCUUACUGUGUAGUUCAUGUUAAUUCGUUUUUAAAUUUUUAAUUUGAUGUUAGAGUUAAAGCUCAGUAUCUUGGACACUCAAGUAAUGCACCAUAAAACCUCGACUUCUCAGAGUAAUAUAUUAUAGAACAUCAAUAUCUUGAUAACACACUAAAAAAAGCUCAUCAUCUACAUACUAAGUACACAAAAUAUUUAAUAUAUAAUGUAUUUAAAGAAUAUUUUUAAACCAUAAUAACUCACAUAGUCCACUUUUAAGAAUUAUUUAUUUAUUUGUUCAUAUAGCUCUCUAAAUAGAUUGGACAAAAACUCUUAAAAUGAGUUGUAUCUUAAAAAAUGUAUAACCUAAAUUAAAUCAAACUACUUUGAUUACUCUGCUUCAUUUUUAGUUCAAAUGAGUUAGAUUAAAUAGACUCAUUUUUUAAAAUAAUAAUAAUUUAAAAAAACAAGAAAAUUAUUUUACAUAAAAUCAUUAUCUAAAAAUUAAAAUUAGUUUCACUCAUGUAAUUAAAUUUUAAAAAUUCACAUUUUAUUUUGGAUCUAUUUUUUUUAAAAAAGUGACCCAAACUGGUUUGUUACAGCUGUUUUAAAAUAUGACCAAAAAAUUAAAUGAAUUAAAACAAAAUUCAAAAUUAUAAUAUAUUAGAUUUCAUUAUUUGAUUUUGAUCCAUACAAAAUAACUACAGAUUCUAUUUAUUUAAUAAAACAUUAAAUCAAUCCAUCCUUUAAUAAUGUUCAUGGAUAUCCAAUCCACCCCCAUUAACAAAAUUUCACGAAUUCUAUCCAUAAUAAUAAAAAAAAUGAAAAUAUCUUCUAAACAAUUUGUUUUGGCAAAGAGUCAAACUAAAUUUUGUAAAAUAAAUUUAAAUGGGUAUUUUUGAAUUUUAAAAAAAAGGUAAAUUCAAGAAAAAUAUGAAAAAACUUAUUGAAUUAAUUUUGGUCCCUGGUAGAAGAAUUUAUUGGAUUUUGACAAAUAGUAUAGAUAUUAUUAAUGACUUGUAAAAUUAAAUGGAUGGAUUUAACUUCAUUUUUUUUACAUUUUUCAGUGAUGGAUUAAUAGACUGUUGACUCUUUAAAAUUCAAUUUGUACCUCAGCACCACUUUGAAUUUUUUCAACUCUUUUAUUUAAACUUAAAGUAACCACAACAAAAUAAAAAUAGCAUGCAUGUGACUAAAAAAAAUAAUUUAUAAAUAUAAUAAUUUUUUAUUUUUUUUUAAUUAUAAAAAUAAAACUCAAAUACAAUGUUUUAAAAUAUUACUUAUCUGUGUUGAAUUUAAUUCAGGAUAGGGUGGGCAGUUUUCCUUUCUAAAUUGGGGACAUUUUUGUCCACUCGAUUUCUCAUCCAGCGAACAACUAGAAAUCCCGAAUCUUCUUUUUGGUGACCAAUAAAAUCGCAGUUUAUCUAUUCGGAGUGAAGUUCUUGCAAGAUAAUUAUUGUAUAUCUGUAUAUGUGGUGCCACUAGUUCCCCGUGGAAAUCCGAAUACAAUAAAGGGCGGCGAACGUGGAAUCCCGAAAGUCGUGCUUUCACACGGUGGUCGUGGUCGUGGUCGGUAACUAAGCAAAAGUGAUAACAGAGAGGAAGAAGGAGGAAUGGGGAUAGCAGCGGAAGCUCAUAACGUGAAAAUUUUGGGAUCAGGCACCGAUUACAUCGUUCUGGGUCACGGCUUUGGCACGGAUCAAUCUGUUUGGAAACACUUUGUACCUUAUCUUGUCCAUGAUUACCGUGUCGUUCUCUACGACAACAUGGGCGCGGGUACCACUAACCCUGACUACUUCGAUUUCGAGCGUUACUCCACCUUAGAAGGUUACGCCUCUGAUUUGCUUGCCAUUUUAGAAGAGCUCCAAAUUGAAUCUUGCAUUUUCGUUGGCCACUCUGUUUCCGGAAUGAUUGGUGCUAUUGCUUCCAUUGCUCGCCCAGAUCUCUUCACCAAGCUCGUUAUGGUCGGCGCUUCCCCCAGGUAUAUAUAUAUAAUUGUGAAUAGUAGUCACUGGAUAAAGAAUAGUUUAUGAGUACUCUUUAUACUGAUUUUCAAUUAUUUGUUCUCCUUUUCGGGGAAGGUAUUUGAACGACGUGGAUUACUAUGGAGGAUUUGAGCAGGAAGAGCUGAACCAGCUGUUCGAUGCUAUGUCGGCCAAUUACAAAGCGUGGUGCUAUGGGUUUGCUCCGCUGGCUGUGGGCGGAGACUUGGAGUCUGUGGCGGUGCAGGAGUUUAGUCGGACGCUGUUCAACAUGAGGCCCGACAUAGGGCUGAUGGUGUCGCGGACGAUAUUCCAAAGCGACAUGAGACACAUUCUGAGUCUUGUCAGUGUCCCCUGCCACAUCAUACAGGCCGAGAAAGACAUGGCGGUUCCGGUGGUGAUCUCGGAGUUCCUCCACCAAAACAUUGCUGCUAACUCCAUCGUGGAGGUUAUUGCCACCGAUGGCCAUUUGCCGCAGUUAAGCUCGCCGGAUAUCGUUAUUCCGGUGCUGCUCGAACACAUUCACCUCGAGAUUGAAGCAAGAAGGUGAACACCUGAUGAAUGAUCCACUUGACUCCGUCGGAAAUUGGAAUCUCUCUGUGUGUGUAUGUGAAGUGUGCUUCGUUUUUUAUUUUAUUUUAUUUUUGUUCACUUUGUUGUAUGAACCGUAGAGUUAGAAACUCUGUAGUAGUGGGAAUCAAAUGUCAAUGUCGCCGUGGUGCGUGGAAGGUUGAUGAACUAUGAACAGCGAGAAAAGGAACCAGUGCAGUACGUUUCAACUGUUAUAAAAUGUUUUAAAUCUAGGUUUAGUUACUCGUUUGUCUUUUUUAUGAUUAUGAACAAAUUAUCGUUUAGCUUUUAUAUUUAAUAAUAGUUUCUACAUUAUUCGUAUAUUUUUUUUUAUCUUUUCAAUGUACAUGUUAUUUUUAUUUUUGUAAGUCCCCACGUUGAAAUCUAAAUAAAAAAAUUAUUGUAACAAAAAAUAUUAUAAUUGUAAGAAUCAAAUAGGCAAUUCAAUUUUUAACAGAGAAUUAGAUAAACUAUAAAAAGUUAUAUAACCAUGUAUGCCGAAGUUAUGUAAAAAGUGAAUUUGUAUAAACAUUUUGUCAAAGUUUGUCAUCAUUAUGUAAUGUUUGCUUGUUUCUUUCCAUUUAUUAUUAUUUUGUGGGUUUUUUUUAAAUCUUUAUUUAGUGGAUUUAUUACAAGAUAUAUGUCCCUUUAAUUUUACUAUUUAUAUUUUAUUAAAUCAUGUUAUCCUUACUCGACUUGAAACAGUUUGAAAAUAAAUGUUUCUAAACUAAAAAUACUUACAAAUAACUUUAUUUCUAGAGGAAAAUGUUACUUUAACACAUUAAAAUAUAUCAAUUUAUAAAUAUGAUUUGAGCAAUGUAAUUUAAAAAAAAAAAAACAAUAAUAUAUUAACAACAAUUUCAUUCACUUAAACCUAAAUAUCUAAUAAAUUAUUGUUUUAUUAUAAUAUAAUAUUUUAUUUAAAAAACGAUUAUAGAAUGAUUUACUGUGAAAGAAACUUUGUUUCUUCAAAAUUACGUCAUUUAAAAAAAAUAUUUAUCUUUUUAAUUAUAAUCUAGUGCUCUCAGCAUAUAAUCCUCUUUUAUAAAUAGAAUGACAUAUAAUGAAAAAAAGCAUUAAAUAAAAAGGGGUAACCGAUGUAAAAGAAGAAAAGAAACAGUUUUUGUUGUUAUGAAUGCAAAUAACGUGAUGAUAGCUAUAAAAUAGGUUAGUUAUAAGCUACACACGUGUGUAUAGAUGAGGGCUACAAAACUUUAAGCUACACACGGUUAUAAAAUAUUAUAUUAUAAAAUAAAUUAACAUUAUUUUUAAAACUAAUUAACAUAAUUAAAUUAAUUUCAACCAUGUAUGUUUAACUCAUUUUUUUUUCUAUUUGAAAAAAGAAACCGAGUCAAUCAGUUUUUAAAAACAAGUCUUUAAAAUAUAGGUAGCUUUCAAUAAGGACAAACAGAACUAAACAAAUAAGAAACUUUCUAUUUUAUAUAUAUAUAUAUAUAUAUAUAUAUAUAUAUAUUUAUUUAUUUUAUUUAUUUAUUUAUUUAUUUUUAGUAAAUAACAAUGAAACGUGACUCCUUGAACUUGUCUGGCCUUAACUUCCAUUAUUGCUGGUAUAAAGUAAAACACAACAUUUCUAAUGGAUAACAGAAACCAACUUUUCAUCCACAUUAUUACGAGUAUCGGAGACCAUGUGUAUAUGCAUUUUUUUUUUAUUUAUGAUGAAAGAAAUUUAACAUAAAAAUAGAAAUGAUUUUGGAACUGUAUUUUUUUAUUUAUUUAACUUUCAGGAUGAAUGAAUUUUAACAUACAAAUAAAAAUAAUUUUGGAUGAGUCGAAAUUGAAAAACAAAAAAUAAUAUGUAAAAGAAAAAUCUUGAAUUGAUUAAACAAUUUUUUUUCUUCUUCGGUUUAAGUUAUAUUUUUCGUCCAAAAAAUUCUCUUCUUUUAUUGGUAGUGUUGGGAUUGGAGAGUGUGAUGAUGUUCACAUUAAGAUUAUGAUUCACUUGAUGGUAGAUACAAAAAAAUAAUGAUUUUACCAAAUAAUAUAGUUACUUGAAAUUGAGUGAAGAGAGUGAUUGAAAAUUAAUGUUAUUUUAUUUGAUAUGUGAGAUUUGGUGUGGAAACAUGUAAGAGUAUGCUCUCAUGCUCUCUCUUUCUUCCUUUGUUGUCUUGAAAUAAGGAAUUAAGAGAAUGGUAAAGAAUAUAAAAAUUGUACAUUAAUAUUAAUUUAAAAAAUUAAAAAAUAAUUUUAUUUUUUAAAUAAUUUAUAUAAAAUGACAAAAUACUUCAUCAUAUUAAUAAUAUGAGAUAUAUUAAAUAAUGUUAGAAUUAAAAAACAUUUAUGUAUAUAAAAAAAUAGUUAUAAUGAGAAAUCCCUUUUAUACAUAACUAUAUAUUAUUAUUUAUUUAAGAUUCUAUGUAUAUUACAAAUAAGACUAAUUUAUAAUAUAUAAGAGAAUAUAAAAUUUAUUUUAUAAAUUAAUAAUGUGAUAUUAAGUUAAACAUAAAUUUUUCUUUAUAAAAUGAUAUUAAAAGUUAUUUAAAUUUUAUUUUAAUUAAAUUUUAUUAUAAUUAUUGUCUCAUCACUAUAAUAUUAUUCAUAUAUAUACCCAUUCUCGCAAAAGAAGUCAAUUAUAAAAUCAAUUAAUAGAAAAUAAAUAGAUAUAAAUUAUAUUUUAUAAAAUUAAAUUAAAAUUAAAAUUCACAUAGUUUUAAAAUUUAUUUAAAGAAAAGAUUACAUCAAUAAGAAAAAAAUUUGAGAUUUUAAUUAAACAAACCUAUUAUAUAACAAUAAUUAAUAAUACAUUUAAUAAUAUUAUAUUAAUUAAAGUAUUAUUUGAUUGUCUAAAACAUGAAUUUUAUCAUUUCUUACAUUUGCAAACAAUUAUAGAUAUUUUAUAUUAUUUCAAUGUUUAAAAUUAUAUAUAUAUAUAUAUAAAUAUAAUAAAAACAAGUAAUUAACUUUAAGAAUUAUUUUUAUAUUACUAUUCAGAAUAAAAUUAAGACAACAAUAAUAUUACAUUUUUGUACCUAUUCAUUAAAAAAUAGAAAAUGAAAUGACAGAAUAUCCGACAAAAUGUUUUCUAUUAGACAAAAGUAGUUUGAAACAAAAAUAUCUUUUGAAAAAAUUACUAAAAACAAAUCUAGUUGAAAAUAAGCUUUUAAGUUUAAAAAACUGAAAAAUGUUUUGGUAAUAAUAACUUCAAUUUUUUUAAUUUUAAUUUUAACUUAUAAAUUUAAAAUAAGAUGGUUCAAACCGACUUAGAUUUCUAAAUAUAUUUUCAUGAAAUAUACAAAUUAAGAUAAUUCCCUAAGGUAAAGAAAGAUGAAGGACUUAAUUUAUGUAAUGAAAGAUAAUUUUCAAAGUUAAGCCGUUAACUUUCUUUGAAUAGGUGAUGGUGUAUUGAAAAUGACAAGAAAAUUGGGAUUUGACUUUAAUGGUCCUUUGAGUUUGGCGUCCAUUAAUGGUCUCACUAUUAAUAGCCUGCCAUUAAUAAUUUCUGCUACUAUGUGUCUGUACAUUAUUGGCCUCAUAUCUUUUUACAACAGUCUCUUCUUUGCACCUUCAUUGUCUGAAAACGAAAUAAGGAGUUUUGAAGAAGAAGCAAGUGGCACAACUUUUGAGCUUCUGGCAACCAAAACCACAUCAAUUUUUCAGGGAGCUGUUUCCUCAACUAAUGUUACUCCAUAAAUUACAGGAUAAAAAUUCUAACACUUCGAAUAACUCUUUAAUCAAGAAUUUUGGAAUAAAAAAUAAAAAUUUAUAAUAAAAUAAUUUUCUCUAUUAUAUACAUAUAUAUUAAACAUAAAAAAUUUCAAUUUUAAAAAUUAUAUUUAAGAAUUGUUAUAAAUGAAUUUAUGUGUAAGUUAAUUUUAAAUUAUGAUUUAAAAAAAAAAUUAUGAUAGACAACAUCAGUAAAUAAAAAUAAAUUUCAUGGAAAAAUAUUAAUUAAAUUAUAUCCUAUUUUAGAGAUUAAAAAAAUUAUUGGUAGUAAUUUUUAUUACUAAUAAAAUUUAUAAAUGAAUUUAUAAAUUGAUAUUUAAGUAGUUAUCAAGAUUUUAGUCAUAAUUUUAUAAUUUAAAUUAAUUAAUAGUUAAAAUUUUAAUAAUUAAUUAAAUAUUAAUUUGAAAAUUAAUUUAUAGAUUAAUAAUAAAAAUUAUUUUAAAUAUCGAUAUAUCUAAAAUAGUUUAUAAAUUUAGUUAAUAUAACAAUUAAUUAUUUAGUUGUAGUUUUCCAUGCUAAAUCUUAAAUCCUAAACCCUAAACAUGUUUUUUUGAGAUUUUAUAAAAUCUUUGGAGAAGUAUUUCAGAACCCCCUGAUAAAUACUAUGAGUUUAAGAACCUCCGUAAAAUACCAUGAGUUUCAAAAUUUAUGUAAAAUGACUUAUGGUUUGAAAUAACCUUCAACCCCAUUUUUCACCAUCUCUAUCGAUGCUCCUAACUUCUCUCUUCCACCAUAGAUACACUACUCUCUGACACAGGCUCAAUGACCGUCGGUGACAAUCGUAACAAGGAAUCACAAUUCAAUCACACUUAUAUCUAUUAUAUCUAAGGAUAAGAAACAUUAAAUAAGGCAAGAUUUUCUUCUUACUCUAAUAUUGCUUCUUUCAUCACCUUAGUGCCCUCCAACUUGGGUCACAAGCUACUAUUACCUAGCUCGACAACAAUUGAUGUUUAUCAUCGCUUUAUAUAUAACUAGAUAAUUGCAUUAUCUAUCAAAUGUGGACUUCAAAGUCAUGUGCGUUUUUGGUUAAAGAUCGCAAGAACAUAUUGCAAGGAGAAAUUAACUUUAUUACUCCUCACUUUCACACUGAAUUAAUUAUUAGUGCAUGUUACAAUAAAUGUAACAUCUGUUGGAGAAAAGAAAUGAAAAAGAAUGCUAAACAAACUGAAGCAGAAGAAUACAAAACUGGGAGAAAAAUACACUUUUUGUUAUAUGCACACAUUUGCACGUAUACACACAAACUCUAUUUAUAGUGGUACCCACAACAAACUAACCACUAAUUUAUUCUCACUUUUGACUUUUGAAUUAGUCAACCUUCAACACUCUCCCCUAAUUCAAAAUCUAAAAAAAAAACAUUUAAAGACAAACAACAUUCAGUAGUCUUCUAAGCUCUCUGAAUCUAUCAGCUCUUAAUGACUUAGUCAUUAUAUCUGCAAUUUGUAAAUCUGUUUUGCAAUGCUUCAGUCUGAUCUUCCCUUUUCCAACUUGAUCUCUCAGAAAGUGAUACUUCGUUUCUAUGUGCUUGCUCCUUCCAUGUGCAACCGGAUUCUUAGCUAAAUUGAUAGCAGAUUUGUUAUCUAUCAACAAGUCAACAUAGCCAUCAAAGCCAACCUUAAGUUCUUCCAGUAACGAUUCUGACCACAAAGCUUGGCACGCAGCAUGACAUGCAGCAAUAUACUCUGCUUCACAGGUUGAUAAGGCUAUAACAGCCUGCUUCUUGGAACACCAUGAGAUUGGAGAGCCAGAGAGUAAAAANNNNNNNNNNNNNNNNNNNNNNNNNNNNNNNNNNNNNNNNNNNNNNNNNNNNNNNNNNNNNNNNNNNNNNNNNNNNNNNNNNNNNNNNNNNNNNNNNNNNNNNNNNNNNNNNNNNNNNNNNNNNNNNNNNNNNNNNNNNNNNNNNNNNNNNNNNNNNNNNNNNNNNNNNNNNNNNNNNNNNNNNNNNNNNNNNNNNNNNNNNNNNNNNNNNNNNNNNNNNNNNNNNNNNNNNNNNNNNNNNNNNNNNNNNNNNNNNNNNNNNNNNNNNNNNNNNNNNNNNNNNNNNNNNNNNNNNNNNNNNNNNNNNNNNNNNNNNNNNNNNNNNNNNNNNNNNNNNNNNNNNNNNNNNNNNNNNNNNNNNNNNNNNNNNNNNNNNNNNNNNNNNNNNNNNNNNNNNNNNNNNNNNNNNNNNNNNNNNNNNNNNNNNNNNNNNNNNNNNNNNNNNNNNNNNNNNNNNNNNNNNNNNNNNNNNNNNNNNNNNNNNNNNNNNNNNNNNNNNNNNNNNNNNNNNNNNNNNNNNNNNNNNNNNNNNNNNNNNNNNNNNNNNNNNNNNNNNNNNNNNNNNNNNNNNNNNNNNNNNNNNNNNNNNNNNNNNNNNNNNNNNNNNNNNNNNNNNNNNNNNNNNNNNNNNNNNNNNNNNNNNNNNNNNNNNNNNNNNNNNNNNNNNNNNNNNNNNNNNNNNNNNNNNNNNNNNNNNNNNNNNNNNNNNNNNNNNNNNNNNNNNNNNNNNNNNNNNNNNNNNNNNNNNNNNNNNNNNNNNNNNNNNNNNACUUCUUCUUCAAGAGGUCCAUUUAGGAAUGCUGAUUUAACAUCCAGCUGCCACAUAUUCCAUUUUUUCAAAGUAGCAAUAGCAACAACCAGUCUAACAGUUUCCAAUCUUGCGACUGAUGCAAACACUUCAGAGAAAUCAAUCCCUUCUGUUUGCAUAAAUCCUCUUGCCACUAGUCUUGCCUUGUAUUUGGCAAUAGUUCCAUCUGGAUUCAACUUAGUUUUGAAUACCCAUUUUACAUCGAUAGGCAUCUUAUUAGCUGGAAGUUUCACCAACUCCCAAGUUUCAUUCUUCUUUAUCGACUUCAAUUCUUCAUGCAUAGCCUCCUUCCAUAUUUUGCUUUUUAAAGCUUCAUCAAUACUGACAGGUUCUGCAUUUGCAAGAAGUGCAAUGUGCUGGAGUAAUUCUCCUUCGUUAGUGACAGCAUCAUCGAAUGUAUUUUCGCAAUCUCUGAGUCUUGCUGGUAGAGUUCUGGAUCUGGUGGGUGUUGUUUGAAUACAUCUCUCAGGUGAAUUUGCACUUUGAGACUCAGUGCUGGGUUCGUCUCUAUCGGACGGUAACAAACUCCUUGACUCUGACUCUGGUGCAUCGGACGGAGACAUAAUGUCAUGAACAGACGGGUACGUGCUUCCACUUCCGGACGCAUGCGAUCUCUCACGAUCAGACGCGUGCAACAUUGGGUUAUGAUCGGACGAAUACAGGCUUGACUCAAUGAAAUGCACGUCUCUGCUGAAUACUACUUGCCGUGUCUUAGGAUUGAAGAGCUUGUAGGAUCCCGUGGAGUUGUAACCAACGAAGAUCAUUUGUUCACUUUUAUCAUCCAACUUCCUUCUCUUUUGAUCUGGAAUAUGCCUAUAGCAUAGUGAACCAAAAACUCUGAAGUGCCUGAUUGAAGGCUUCUUCCCUGUCCAUACCUCUUCUGGAACCUUAAAUUCCAGCCUCUUUGUAGGACAAUGAUUCAACACAUAAACUGCAGUUGCUGCAGCUUCUUCCCAAAAUUCGUGUGACAGAUUUUUACUCUUCAGCAUACUCCUAACCAUGUUUAGGAUGGUUCUGUUUCUUCUCUCAGCCACCCCAUUAUGUUGAGGAGUAUAAGGUGCUGUUAUCUCAUGCACAAUCCCAUUUUCCAUGCAAAAAUUAUCAAAUUCUCUGGAAGUAAAUUCACCUCCACCAUCUGUUCUCAGUAUUUUGAUGGAUUUUUCAGACUGCUUCUCAACUAAGCACUUGAAGGAUUUGAAAAUGGGAAACGCCUCAUUUUUAGCCUUAAUAAGAUAAAGCCACAAUUUUCUGCUGAAAUCAUCUACAAAUNNNNNNNNNNNNNNNNNNNNNNNNNNNNNNNNNNNNNNNNNNNNNNNNNNNNNNNNNNNNNNNNNNNNNNNNNNNNNNNNNNNNNNNNNNNNNNNNNNNNNNNNNNNNAAUGAUGAUCUGGGUUGUUUACUGAUUAAGCAACUAUCACAAACUUUCUUAGGCACGUGUACAGACGGAAGCCCAAGAACCAUUUCUUUGGACUUCAUGAGGCUAAGAUCUUUGAAGUUAAGAUGACCAAGCCUCAUGUGCCACAACCAAGUAUCAUCAGAUAGAAUUUCGGAGUUAAGGCAUUGAGCUUCAACAACAUUAAGGUGUACCUGGGAAAGUUCUGUUUGAUGCAAGCGGUGCCUUUCAUGAUUUUCUUUUCUUCAGCAUCAAGGACUUCCAAGAAUCCGUGCUUCAUGGCUAUUGAGAAACCUUUCUCCAAUAGUUGUCCCAAGCUGAUUAGAUUGCUACUCAUGGUAGGCACAAAGAGCACAUCAUACAGCAACGCAUUCCCACCAUCCUUCCUCUUGAUUAUCACAUCUCCAAUGCCUUCGGCUUGAAUCAUUCUAUCAUCAGCAAACUUUACUUUUCUUUUCUUACUUGAAUCAAAGUUUAUGAGCCAAUCUCUAUGGCCUGUCAUGUGAUUAGAACAGCCAGAGUCUGCAUACCAAACUUCCUCACUGCAAAUUUCUUGAGUAUUUGUCGUCUGCAACAUUACAGACGUAGACAAAACGGACGGGUCCGAAACGAACGAGCACAAAUCUUCCUGCACUGUUGUCGCCAUUAGCAGAACAGGACUUUCAUCCCUGUUAUCUUUCAUAUCUUCUUUUGCCAUAUGAGCUUCAUCAUGCUGUUUCCUGCGAUGAUCAUACUGACUUGGGGGAGCUUGACAUUCAGAAGAAAAAUGUCCAAUUUUAUUGCAAUUGAAACAUUUGAUUCUCUUUCUAUCUAUUUUCUUCUUACCUCCUUUCCAAUUGGAUCCUCCCCUCCUUGAGGAGAUUUCUGUUUGAUCUUGAUCAGACUUUUCUUGUUCUUGAUGAGAACUUCUGCCCUUUCCUCUGUAAUCUUUCCCCUUUCCUCGGUUUCUAAAUCCACCCCUGCCAUCGUAGCCUCCUUUCCUCAAAGUCUGGGCUUGCAGAACCUGUUCUACAGGUUUCUCAAAGGACCUUUCAAUGAGCCUCUGCUCAUGUGCCUCGAGGGAGCCUUGAAGAUCUUCAACCUUCAGUUCUUCAAGUUUCCUGGAUUCUUCAAUGGCCACAACAAUGUGGUCAAAGUUAGGGGUUAGGGUCCGUAAUACCUUCUCAACAAUCGCUUGAUCAGUCAUUGUUUCACCACAUGCCUUCAUAGCAUUGGUGAGAGUGAGGAUUCGAUUAAAGAAUUGAGCAAUUUUUUCAUUUGACUCCAUUUGCAUCAACUCAUACUGGCGUCUCAUAGUUUGGAGACGCACCUUCUUCAAUUGAUCUGCUCCUUGAUGACAUUUCUCCAGAAUCUGCCAUGCCUUCUGUGACGUCUUUGCUUCUGCAAUCUUCUCAAAGUGUGCAUCGUCGACACUCUGAUGAAGAAGACACAUGGCUUUGCAGUCUUUCUUUUUGUUUUCCUUGUGUGCCACCCUCUGUGCUUCUGUUGCAUCUGUAGCAAGUUCUGGGUAGCCAUUUUCAACAAUCUCCGUGAUUUCUUGAAAGCCGAAAAUGGCUUUCAUCUGGAUACUCCAUCGAUUCCAGUUCUUGCCAUCAAGAACAAGAAGGUUCGACUGUAAGGUUGCGCUGGUGUGUCCCAUUGUAGAUCAACCCACAAGAACGCCCUUGAAUCUGAACUACGCUCUGGAUACCAGUUUGUUGGAGAAAAGAAAUGAAAAAGAAUGCUAAACAAACUGAAGCAGAAGAAUACAAAACUGGGAGAAAAAUACACUUUCUGUUAUAUGCACACAUUUGCACGUAUACACACAAACUCUAUUUAUAGUGGUACCCACAACAAACUAACCACUAAUUUAUUCUCACUUUUGACUUUUGAAUUAGUCAACCUUCAACAAUGAUCCUGCCUGUUGACCGGAACGCUGGAAACUGCCUCGUCAAAGGAUCGACGUGCGCACCGCUUCUCACUUCCGUUCCUCUUCGAGAUCCACCUCAAGAACCUGCAAAGAAACAGAGCGGCGCCGCUGCGGCCGAUCGCACUCCAACGCUCAAGUCAGUGACGGUAUCACCAAAUACUAAGAGAACAAGAACCGUGCAAAUCCUCUCUCACAGUCAGAUCUAUCACUCGCAAGCGUAAAGGGUAUGAACUGAACGUGCGUACCUCAGAAAGUUUGUUGAGAACUCUUAUAUACCUGGCUGUUUUCUCUCUCCUGGCAGUUACAAACCUGGACACGUGGCUCGCAUCCAGUCGUACACGUGCCAUCUUUUGGAGCCUCCUUGACUUGGCGCUGCUUCCACUCUCAUUUUGGCUAAGUUACUUAUGCNNNNNNNNNNNNNNNNNNNNNNNNNNNNNNNNNNNNNNNNNNNNNNNNNNNNNNNNNNNNNNNNNNNNNNNNNNNNNNNNNNNNNNNNNNNNNNNNNNNNGGUACUGCCCAGUGCAUAGCUAACUUGGGAGUGCGAUCUCUACUGGAACUGGCGAGUUAAGGCCUUCAUACACCUUCCCUGUGGUCUCGCCGGCUGCCUUCAUAAUCUACUUCUCUUUCAUCUUUGGCGAUGUGCUUGCUCUGGCGAUCUCCAAUGACUAGGUCGCCUGAAUCUACAUCUGGCGACUUCAUUUUUAACCUGCUGAUCGCCGAUUCUGGUAAGCUGGAAAUCGGAACACGCCAAUUUAACAACUGACGACUACACGAGCCCCUCGACUUCCUUUCCUCUUGCCAACCUGGCGCCUUGCCAACACGCCUAUACUGUUGCAGGGUGCCACGUCAUCACUCCCGACCACCAGGGCGGUACACAAGCCCCCCAGUCUUAAGCGAAGACUUGUCUAGCGAAAAGACUGAAAGAGUCACGUCAACACCGGUCUACGUGGCACUGACGCAGAAUUCCAAGCGGUUGUACCUUCUGCUGCUCUGACGCUCCACCAAACCCCUCACUCAUCGCUUGACGCAUGGCUUCAUCAACGGCUCUCUUCAGUUGCCGUUUGCGCUUCCUAAACCCAUUUCGAAAAAACCCUUAAACCCAUUUUCACUCAGCACUGUUCCAUCACUUUCCCUCGCAUUCACGAACGCUCUAACUUCCUUCUGCGAAAAACACUCAGCGCUCUCCAGCAUUCUGAAUCACCAUCAACCUUCAUCGUCUUCCUGAUCAUCAAAAGGUACUUACUUUCCUUCCUCUGCUGGUUUUCCUUGCAUUUUAACCGAUUCGCAUCAUCCUAUAACUGCCUGGUGCAUACGCUGUGGGCUGUUUUUCCAUUUCUCCUUCUGCGUAACUUAGGGCUUCGUCAAUCGUCGCAACGAACCUACAUUCGUUCGUUUUUCACCUUCCUUCUAUGAUCGAGUCAGCCUCUGUAACCCCCUGAUCAUUUUUCCUUUCUUCUUCCUUUGCAGCUGCCACCAUGACUCGCACAAAGAUUACCUCGAAUCCUCCUCCUUCAUCACGAAAUCUCCCUUCACAAGCACACGACCCACCACAAGUUCGUGGCGCUUCAUCCUCGCAGGCUGAGAGGCCUGCAUCUUCCCGUCCUGUCCUGGCCCAGGCAACUCCAUCUAUCGCUGGAGGAGCCCCCGUUCCUCUGCCAGACUUCAAAACUUUGUAUCCCUGGGCCAACUCGACCCUUCUGAGGGAGACAUCCUCUGUGAACACUGCGGGAGCAGUUUUGCGGUUGACAAAGGGGGACGAAAUCUAUCAAUCGUUUCACAAGGAGCACGACGAGAAGAUGAUGGUGCUGUCUUGCCCCCCCGAUCUGCCUGUUUGUGCUGAUGACAAAGUAAGCGCCGACGGGCCCUUCUGCUUUGUCUAUAUGACUUUAUUCAAGAAGGUCAAGCUCAGGUUCCCUUUCACCCGAUUCGAGAGGGAACUUCUUACCGAGCUCAACAUUGCUGCCGCCCAGCUCCACCCCAACAGCUGGGCGUUUGUUCGAGCUUUUCAAGUGAUGUGUGACCACCUGGGGUUGCCCGCAUCGGUGGACGUGUUCUUAUUCCUCUUCGAAGCCAAGCACCCAGGAGACCGCCUGUGGGUCAGCUUGAACGCAAUUGCUGGAGGUCCGAUUUUUGUCUAUCUUCCUAGCAAUCUUACUAAGGACNNNNNNNNNNNNNNNNNNNNNNNNNNNNNNNNNNNNNNNNNNNNNNNNNNNNNNNNNNNNNNNNNNNNNNNNNNNNNNNNNNNNNNNNNNNNNNNNNNNNNNNNNNNNNNNNNNNNNCCCAGAAGUCCUGACAGCAUGGGAGCAUUAGACAGAGACCUCUGUCUCUUCUGGAAAAAGGUGGCGGACGCCAAUAUAACUUUCCUUACCACCACCUUGAUAUGCUUCGAAUUCUAUGAAGAUCAGCUAGAAAUUCGAAUAGGUUAGGACAUUAAACUAUUGCUUUGAUACUGCUUCUGUUUAGCUGUUUCUGGGCGUCUUGUGCGUUAUGCGCAAGACUUUGGUUUUACCUUUCCUGCACAUGUCAUCUGCUUUGCUGUUUAUUACCUUAUGCACUUAUUUGUUUUCCUUGAGUUAACCCAUGCAUUUUCGUUCCAUGCAGACAACAUGUUGGGCAAAAACAUGCUUGCUGAACUGAAGGCGCUCGCCCGAAACCACGGGUUGGCGACAGGUUCUCAAACGGUGCCCAACUCGGUGGUGGAGACAGCCAUUGUCCAAGGGCGAUCACCACCCAAGGAACCCGCCCAACGCAAGAAAAUGGUCCUCAAGAGAUCAAAGAGGAAAGCUCCUCAGGUGAUCCAUGAGGAAGAGGAAGAAGAUGAUGAGGCCACCGAAGACGGUUUGGUUUCAAAGAGGAAGAGAGUGGCACCUUCUUCACCGCCUGCUCCCCCUCCUCUUCCAACAUCCACACCUCCUUCGACGCCUGCUCCUCCUCCAUCAUCGCCAACACCACAGGCUCCUGCCUCACCAGUCCAAGCGGUCCCACUGGCCACUGCACCACCUGCAGCUGAGGCCCAAGAGCCAAACUUCCUGGAGGACCCCCCAAGCGCCUCUACGCCAUAUGUGCCAGCUGGAGGGGGCCCCCUUCAAACGUUUCAGCUGCAGAAGAUGCUCCAAUCGGGGAUGAGGUUGCUCAUACCUCUCCGAUUCUGAUUACCGAAUCCCCGAUUGCGUCGCCACGCCAGGAAGCAACUACUGAAGAACCUGCUAAGGAAGGUGGCGACGAGAACCCACGACAGGCCCACCUGGUGCCCCUCCAAGCCGCAAACCUCCCUUUGGAGGUCACAAGGAUGUGGGAGCCUCUAACUGCCAAGCUGAAGACCAUAGCAGAGGAUAUCCCGGCGAUCAUAACCAGGGCCGUGGAGGGCUCAACCAGGAGGCUCCAAGACGACCUCUUCAACCUCAAAACCGAAAACAGCACCAUGAGGGUCGAGGUGGAGAAGUUGUCUUUCAGCCUGACGCUCGCAGAAAUCGAACACUCCCGAGUGGAGGAUGCAAUGAACACCGAGCUCAGGCUGGCGCGCAAGGAGGCCACUGACCUUCGCCACAAAGUGCAUCAACUUGCCCAAGAGAAGGUCGAGCUGGAGAGCAAGAUCGUGCCUCUUCGCGCCAGGGCGGUCGACCUGGAGGCUCUCAUGAAAGCUGACGCCGCUAAGGUGCAAAAAUUGGAGCAGAGGUCGAUUGACCGAGAGAAAUUACUUGGGCAAGUGGAAAAGGCGAGGGACGACGCCAUGGCUGAUCUCGUCGAGGCCAACAAAGAGAAGGGAAAGGUGGCUGCUGAGUUGGCCCAAGCACACUCGGAAUCCAAGAAGGUUACUGAAGACCUUCUCCAGGCUCAAGAGACCAACGAACAACUUAAAAAACAGGUUGAAGAGCUGGAGCGACAGAAUGAAGAGCUGAAAGAGCAAACUGAAGACCUCAAGAGGCGGAUUGAGGAACUUCAGAAACAAAUUGAAGAACUCAAGCUAAACUCUGCUCAGAUUCUGGCCGCUGGAUUCGAAGCUGCGCGGGAACAAUUCGCUUGCCUAUUCCCCGACCUGGAUCUCAGCAUGGUGUCGCUGAACAAUGAGGUGGUGGAUGGGAAAGUCGUUCCUGCUGAAGAUUAAUCAACUCUUCUUCAUCUGCUACUUUUGUGAUUUCCCUUGUAUAUAACUUGUAAUAAACUUUUAUGUCCCCUCGUACAUAUGCUCUAAACUGUUAUUCAUUGCUACCUGUUAAUGACAAAGGUUUACGCUUUUCCCUUUAUAACUUCUUCACUCGCUUCAACUUUCCUUGCUUGUUUAAUUUCAAAGAAAUGACUUAGGAGAACGGUAGGUACAACCUUUGACUUAACCGCUUCGGAUCACUUCAGCCCUAAGCAACAAACACUUAACAAUUCGUAACCUUAAGGCAAUUAACCUUAUCGUAAAAAUACCCUUCAAGCAACGAACUGUAACUCAAUCGCUGGCUUAAACACGCUCCACUCGACCUGCUUCAUCAAACAGGUCUUUUAACCUUCUCGCCGCUGUUUGAACUCUUCCCGAUCGCCAAGGACUCUUGGUGACAUCAGCUUCUUUCUAGCCUCAUGCUUUGGCCAUUGUUUCUUUGUAUGGGGGCAGAGACGCCUUUUGGGAUCUUUCUUUACCUCCCUGAACUUCAAAACAAAGACCGGUUGACUAGGCGUUCUCUUCGAACCUACCUUAGCCACCUUCCAAACUUCUUCCACCCUCUGCACCGUACCUGAACUCGUUCGAGACGAGAAGGAUUUUAUCUUGCCUAAGCUCGCAUGUAGGCGAGAAGGUCUUUAACUCGCCUGAACUCGCUCAUCGGCGAGAAGGUCUUUAACUUGCCUGAACUCGCUCAUCGGCGAGAAGGUCUUUAACUCGCNNNNNNNNNNNNNNNNNNNNNNNNNNNNNNNNNNNNNNNNNNNNNNNNNNNNNNNNNNNNNNNNNNNNNNNNNNNNNNNNNNNNNNNNNNNNNNNNNNNNUGCUGGACUUCUUUCACCGUAGCUGGGCUCCUCAUCGCCAAGAUGGCGGCACACUUGUCUGGGUUGACUUCUAUUCCUCUUUCAAUCAAGAGGAAACCCAAAAACUUUCCAGCCUCCACGCCGAAAAUGCAUUUCUCCGGAUUGAGCUUUAACUUGAACUUGGCGAUCGUCGUGAAUAAUUCUUCCAAGUCUGCAACGUGCUUGCUCUUUUCCUGCGAGGUCACGACCAUGUCAUCGACGUAAGCUUGCACGUUCCUUCCCAGCAUUGGUGCAAGUACUCGAUCCAUCAGCCUCUGGUACGUGGCCCCCGCGUUCUUCAGCCCAAACGGCAUCACCUUAUAGCAGUAGCACGACCUCUCCGUCAUGAAGGCUGUUUUCUCUUCAUCCAUGGUAUGCAUCUUGAUCUGAUUAUAUCCUGAGAAGGCAUCCAGGAAACUCAGCAACUUACACCUUGCAGUACUAUCAACUAGGGCAUCAAUGCUUGGUAAAGGAUACGAAUCCUUUGGGCAAGCUUUGUUCAGGUCGGUGAAAUCGACGCACAUGCGCCAUUUCCCGUUACUCUUCUUCACCAGCACGACAUUUGCCAACCAUUCGGGGUACUGGACUUCCCUGAUGUGGCCUGCAGCGAGGAGUUUCUGUGUCUCGUNNNNNNNNNNNNNNNNNNNNNNNNNNNNNNNNNNNNNNNNNNNNNNNNNNNNNNNNNNNNNNNNNNNNNNNNNNNNNNNNNNNNNNNNNNNNNNNNNNNNNNNNNNNNNNNNNNNNNNNNNNNNNNNNNNNNNNNNNNNNNNNNNNNNNNNNNNNNNNNNNNNNNNNNNNNNNNNNNNNNNNNNNNNNNNNNNNNNNNNNNNNNNNNNNNNNNNNNNNNNNNNNNNNNNNNNNNNNNNNNNNNNNNNNNNNNNNNNNNNNNNNNNNNNNNNNNNNNNNNNNNNNNNNNNNNNNNNNNNNNNNNNNNNNNNNNNNNNNNNNNNNNNNNNNNNNNNNNNNNNNNNNNNNNNNNNNNNNNNNNNNNNNNNNNNNNNNNNNNNNNNNNNNNNNNNNNNNNNNNNNNNNNNNNNNNNNNNNNNNNNNNNNNNNNNNNNNNNNNNNNNNNNNNNNNNNNNNNNNNNNNNNNNNNNNNNNNNNNNNNNNNNNNNNNNNNNNNNNNNNNNNNNNNNNNNNNNNNNNNNNNNNNNNNNNNNNNNNNNNNNNNNNNNNNNNNNNNNNNNNNNNNNNNNNNNNNNNNNNNNNNNNNNNNNNNNNNNNNNNNNNNNNNNNNNNNNNNNNNNNNNNNNNNNNNNNNNNNNNNNNNNNNNNNNNNNNNNNNNNNNNNNNNNNNNNNNNNNNNNNNNNNNNNNNNNNNNNNNNNNNNNNNNNNNNNNNNNNNNNNNNNNNNNNNNNNNNNNNNNNNNNNNNNNNNNNNNNNNNNNNNNNNNNNNNNNNNNNNNNNNNNNNNNNNNNNNNNNNNNNNNNNNNNNNNNNNNNNNNNNNNNNNNNNNNNNNNNNNNNNNNNNNNNNNNNNNNNNNNNNNNNNNNNNNNNNNNNNNNNNNNNNNNNNNNNNNNNNNNNNNNNNNNNNNNNNNNNNNNNNNNNNNNNNNNNNNNNNNNNNNNNNNNNNNNNNNNNNNNNNNNNNNNNNNNNNNNNNNNNNNNNNNNNNNNNNNNNNNNNNNNNNNNNNNNNNNNNNNNNNNNNNNNNNNNNNNNNNNNNNNNNNNNNNNNNNNNNNNNNNNNNNNNNNNNNNNNNNNNNNNNNNNNNNNNNNNNNNNNNNNNNNNNNNNNNNNNNNNNNNNNNNNNNNNNNNNNNNNNNNNNNNNNNNNNNNNNNNNNNNNNNNNNNNNNNNNNNNNNNNNNNNNNNNNNNNNNNNNNNNNNNNNNNNNNNNNNNNNNNNNNNNNNNNNNNNNNNNNNNNNNNNNNNNNNNNNNNNNNNNNNNNNNNNNNNNNNNNNNNNNNNNNNNNNNNNNNNNNNNNNNNNNNNNNNNNNNNNNNNNNNNNNNNNNNNNNNNNNNNNNNNNNNNNNNNNNNNNNNNNNNNNNNNNNNNNNNNNNNNNNNNNNNNNNNNNNNNNNNNNNNNNNNNNNNNNNNNNNNNNNNNNNNNNNNNNNNNNNNNNNNNNNNNNNNNNNNNNNNNNNNNNNNNNNNNNNNNNNNNNNNNNNNNNNNNNNNNNNNNNNNNNNNNNNNNNNNNNNNNNNNNNNNNNNNNNNNNNNNNNNNNNNNNNNNNNNNNNNNNNNNNNNNNNNNNNNNNNNNNNNNNNNNNNNNNNNNNNNNNNNNNNNNNNNNNNNNNNNNNNNNNNNNNNNNNNNNNNNNNNNNNNNNNNNNNNNNNNNNNNNNNNNNNNNNNNNNNNNNNNNNNNNNNNNNNNNNNNNNNNNNNNNNNNNNNNNNNNNNNNNNNNNNNNNNNNNNNNNNNNNNNNNNNNNNNNNNNNNNNNNNNNNNNNNNNNNNNNNNNNNNNNNNNNNNNNNNNNNNNNNNNNNNNNNNNNNNNNNNNNNNNNNNNNNNNNNNNNNNNNNNNNNNNNNNNNNNNNNNNNNNNNNNNNNNNNNNNNNNNNNNNNNNNNNNNNNNNNNNNNNNNNNNNNNNNNNNNNNNNNNNNNNNNNNNNNNNNNNNNNNNNNNNNNNNNNNNNNNNNNNNNNNNNNNNNNNNNNNNNNNNNNNNNNNNNNNNNNNNNNNNNNNNNNNNNNNNNNNNNNNNNNNNNNNNNNNNNNNNNNNNNNNNNNNNNNNNNNNNNNNNNNNNNNNNNNNNNNNNNNNNNNNNNNNNNNNNNNNNNNNNNNNNNNNNNNNNNNNNNNNNNNNNNNNNNNNNNNNNNNNNNNNNNNNNNNNNNNNNNNNNNNNNNNNNNNNNNNNNNNNNNNNNNNNNNNNNNNNNNNNNNNNNNNNNNNNNNNNNNNNNNNNNNNNNNNNNNNNNNNNNNNNNNNNNNNNNNNNNNNNNNNNNNNNNNNNNNNNNNNNNNNNNNNNNNNNNNNNNNNNNNNNNNNNNNNNNNNNNNNNNNNNNNNNNNNNNNNNNNNNNNNNNNNNNNNNNNNNNNNNNNNNNNNNNNNNNNNNNNNNNNNNNNNNNNNNNNNNNNNNNNNNNNNNNNNNNNNNNNNNNNNNNNNNNNNNNNNNNNNNNNNNNNNNNNNNNNNNNNNNNNNNNNNNNNNNNNNNNNNNNNNNNNNNNNNNNNNNNNNNNNNNNNNNNNNNNNNNNNNNNNNNNNNNNNNNNNNNNNNNNNNNNNNNNNNNNNNNNNNNNNNNNNNNNNNNNNNNNNNNNNNNNNNNNNNNNNNNNNNNNNNNNNNNNNNNNNNNNNNNNNNNNNNNNNNNNNNNNNNNNNNNNNNNNNNNNNNNNNNNNNNNNNNNNNNNNNNNNNNNNNNNNNNNNNNNNNNNNNNNNNNNNNNNNNNNNNNNNNNNNNNNNNNNNNNNNNNNNNNNNNNNNNNNNNNNNNNNNNNNNNNNNNNNNNNNNNNNNNNNNNNNNNNNNNNNNNNNNNNNNNNNNNNNNNNNNNNNNNNNNNNNNNNNNNNNNNNNNNNNNNNNNNNNNNNNNNNNNNNNNNNNNNNNNNNNNNNNNNNNNNNNNNNNNNNNNNNNNNNNNNNNNNNNNNNNNNNNNNNNNNNNNNNNNNNNNNNNNNNNNNNNNNNNNNNNNNNNNNNNNNNNNNNNNNNNNNNNNNNNNNNNNNNNNNNNNNNNNNNNNNNNNNNNNNNNNNNNNNNNNNNNNNNNNNNNNNNNNNNNNNNNNNNNNNNNNNNNNNNNNNNNNNNNNNNNNNNNNNNNNNNNNNNNNNNNNNNNNNNNNNNNNNNNNNNNNNNNNNNNNNNNNNNNNNNNNNNNNNNNNNNNNNNNNNNNNNNNNNNNNNNNNNNNNNNNNNNNNNNNNNNNNNNNNNNNNNNNNNNNNNNNNNNNNNNNNNNNNNNNNNNNNNNNNNNNNNNNNNNNNNNNNNNNNNNNNNNNNNNNNNNNNNNNNNNNNNNNNNNNNNNNNNNNNNNNNNNNNNNNNNNNNNNNNNNNNNNNNNNNNNNNNNNNNNNNNNNNNNNNNNNNNNNNNNNNNNNNNNNNNNNNNNNNNNNNNNNNNNNNNNNNNNNNNNNNNNNNNNNNNNNNNNNNNNNNNNNNNNNNNNNNNNNNNNNNNNNNNNNNNNNNNNNNNNNNNNNNNNNNNNNNNNNNNNNNNNNNNNNNNNNNNNNNNNNNNNNNNNNNNNNNNNNNNNNNNNNNNNNNNNNNNNNNNNNNNNNNNNNNNNNNNNNNNNNNNNNNNNNNNNNNNNNNNNNNNNNNNNNNNNNNNNNNNNNNNNNNNNNNNNNNNNNNNNNNNNNNNNNNNNNNNNNNNNNNNNNNNNNNNNNNNNNNNNNNNNNNNNNNNNNNNNNNNNNNNNNNNNNNNNNNNNNNNNNNNNNNNNNNNNNNNNNNNNNNNNNNNNNNNNNNNNNNNNNNNNNNNNNNNNNNNNNNNNNNNNNNNNNNNNNNNNNNNNNNNNNNNNNNNNNNNNNNNNNNNNNNNNNNNNNNNNNNNNNNGGGACUCUCCCUGGUACUGCCUUAUAUCAAACAGAUCAUAAGACACCCUGGGCGGUGCCUUAUUCACGAUGUACUGCUCAACAAAGAUCUUCGAGAACUGUUGAAAAUUGGUUAUGUGGCCGUUAGGCAGGCUCACAAACCACUCCAUCGCCGUUCCCUGGAGCGUACUCACGAACAUCUUGCAGUAGACGGCGUCUGACCCUCCCGACAGCAUCAUCUGCGUAUGGAACGUGGUCAGAUGACCCUCUGGAUCCUCCACGCCGAUGAAGACAGCCUUAACCGGAACUACGCUCGUGGGAAUAGGCGUGUCAGUAAUCGCCUGAACAAAAGGCAUUGGGAAAACACGAGGUGGCGUCGACGGCGCCACCUCUUCAGCAGAAGAACGUCCUUGCUGCUCCCGAAGAGCUUGACGCAGCUCCUCAGUCACCUUGCUGAGCUCCUCGUUCCUGGCGCGAGAGGCAACCAGGUCCUCAUGUAUCCUCGCCUGCUCUACGCGUGAGGCUUCCACAGUUGCCUGCAAGGAGCGCAUCAUCUCUGCCAUCUGCGCCAUGGUCAUGGCGGCGUCGCCUUCAGCAGCGACAGGCGCCACGGGGCUUGAACGAUUGCUUCUCAUUUUUCUCAUGAACUUCAGCAAAUCACAGGAAUGCAACGAACAACACUUCAACCACGAUCGAAUCAGCGAUCAAUCGGAGAAAACAGUGCGAAACCGUGCAAGAAAACUCAAGAACACCGUCAACCUUCAAAGAAAACCACACCUUCACCGGAAACUACCGCUUCCCUGCAAGCAACCAAACGAGCGAAAGAACUCGAACUUCCACCAAACAGAUUACGCGCAAACAGCAGGAAACCUCACUCCAUCGAUCGAAAAGCCAAACGAACGGUACAAAACGCGAACUCACCGAACGAAACUCAAGCAAACAGCGAACGAUGGUUGCACCAGCACACAACCACGUAGAAAACUUCGAAAACUUCCAAGAACUCACGCUGUGGAUGGGAGCAAGUUUUACACGGUCCCACGGUGGGCGCCUGAUGAUCCUGCCUGUUGACCGGAACGCUGGAAACUGCCUCGUCAAAGGAUCGACGUGCGCACCGCUUCUCACUUCCGUUCCUCUUCGAGAUCCACCUCAAGAACCUGCAAAGAAACAGAGCGGCGCCGCUGCGGCCGAUCGCACUCCAACGCUCAAGUCAGUGACGGUAUCACCAAAUACUAAGAGAACAAGAACCGUGCAAAUCCUCUCUCACAGUCAGCUCUAUCACUCGCAAGCGUAAAGAGUAUGAACUGAACGUGCGUACCUCAGAAAGUUUGUUGAGAACUCUUAUAUACCUGGCUGUUUUCUCUCUCCUGGCAGUUACAAACCUGGACACGUGGCUCGCAUCCAGUCGUACACGUGCCAUCAUCUGGAGCCUCCUUGACUUGGCGCUGCUUCCACUCUCAUUUAGGCUAAGUUACUUAUGCAUGGUACUGCCCAGUGCAUAGCUAACUUGGGAGUGCGAUCUCUACUGGAACUGGCGAGUUAGGGCCUUCAUACACCUUCCCUGUGGUCUCGCCGGCCGCCUUCAUAAUCUGCUUCUCUUUCAUCUUUGGCGAUGUGCUUGCUCUGGCGAUCUCCAAUGACUAGGUCGCCUGAAUCUACAUCUGGCGACUUCAUCUUUAACCUGCUGAUCGCCGAUUCUGGUAAGCUGGAAAUCGGAACACGCCAAUUUAACAACUGGCGACUACACGAGCCCCCCGACUUCCUUUCCUCUUGCCAACCUGGCGCCUUGCCAACACGUCUAUACUGUUGCAGGGUGCCACGUCAUCACUCCCGACCACCAGGGCGGUACAAACAACAUCCCUAUUUUUACCCAUAUUUGCUAAUAUAUUACGCAUGCAAUAUCUAAUUAACAUAUACAACAUAUACUACUUCUCAAAAAGAUAUCAUUCUUUGUAGGGAUUUAAUAUAUACAUAAAAGUAUACAAAUAAAACAUUUGUUCAUCUGACUGCUCAACGAGGAGCUCUAUCACAUACAACUUCAUAUGCUCCCGUGUAAAUUAACACGAUCAUCACAGAUUUAAAGAAAACACACACAAAACAAAUUACAGGGUAAGCUAACUAUUUUUUAGAAUUCUAAUAUAAAUUUGAUUUUAAAAAACACACAUAAUUCAUAAAAUUCUCAUAAUUUUCACAAAGUCAUCAAGUGUCUAUCACAUUUAUCAUCUACAUUAUUCCUGUCGAAUUUCUACUGACUACUCACAUACUCAGACACUCGACUCUACUUUCGGAAGACUCGUGUAUUGAAAUUAACAUUUAGAGACCUGCACUUGUCAUACUAUUCAUGCGCAUAAUCAAUCUUAAUAUCUCAUAAUCUCAUAUGACAGGAUAAAUCCAUUUAAUCUGCUCUGAUCAGUUUUUUUAAACCUCAGACAUAGCCAAACAAACCUCCUUCAACUCUCACAAACUGAAUAACUUCAUCUAUGUGAUUCCAUUAUAUCAAUAAAGUCAAUAUCGUCUCAUUUACAUAACACUCACAAAUCAAUAUAUCUUAAUAACAAUCUAUGUUUAACAUGUGUUCAAAGUUGGACAUGUAUAAUUUUUAUACUCAUAACUUGAGGGGCUCUCUACCCAGAGGGUUGAAAUUUGAUAUAAUUAUCAAUUCUGUUUUGUGUUUAUUUUCCUUAUAUACAUAUUAUUUGUCUUUUACAUCACAUACUCCUUUUCCACAAUAUUUUGUUCUUUUCCCUUUUUGUUCAUGCUUAUCAAUCUCUUUAUUCUUAUUAUGUUUUGUCCCUGCUUCUACAUAUGAAAAAAAAAAUACUAUCAAUCCAAUGUUAAUUGGUGCUUCAAUUUGCUAACAACUCUAUAUUUUUGUUGCAACAAUAAAAUGUAGAGAGAAUAGAGAAAAUGAAUGAACAGAAUGACUAUUGAAAAAUAUAAGUAUAAUGAUUAAUGACGCUAAAGCACGAGUUUUGUAAAUACGUUUUUGUUGAAUUUGUGAGUCAGUAAUGCAUAUUUGUUUUGACUUCUCAACAUCCUUUUUCACUUUUCAAAAAACUAUACCAAAUUGAUAAUAAUUGUUGGAUCCACAUUCCUCUGAACUUGAAUGGUUUUGCAAACAUGUAUUUGAUAAUUAGUUUACUUUAGUCAAGAUAGACGAAAAUUUGGAUCUUAAAAUUGAAAAGUAAAUAAACAUAAAGAUUGAUCCUAAACUCAUGAAUGAAUCAAAGGGAUGAUAAAUAAAUUCAUUUUAAGGAUAUUUUUUGAAACUAUUUUGAUUGAGAUAUAUGUAUUGAUGCAAUACGUGUAUGAAUAUGAAUAUAUCUAUCAUAUUUAAUUAAUUAUGAGACCAUAAUGAAUAUCUAAGUAGUAUUUUGUCUCUAUCCAUUUUUUAAAAUUACUAAAAAAUUAUUUUUACUAUUUUAUUAAUAUUUUUUUUAUUUCAUUUCACUAUUUUCUUUCCUUUUUAUUUUAUUUCAUUUAAGACAUUUUUUAUUAUAUAAUUUAUUAUUCUCUCAACUGUUCAAUUCAUUAGAUUUAAAAAAUUUAUUGAAAUUCCUAAUGUAUUUUCAUUUUUAUCGCACUUUCAGUAUAUUUUUCUUUACCUCCGUAUUUUUUUUUCCAAAUAAUGUAUUAUAUUUUAGAAAAAAUAAACCUUAAUUCUAUCAAAUUAUAUCAAUUUUGAGUGUUUAACGGUAUAAAAUAACUUAAAAGAACUUAUCAUUUUUUCCCUUUAGUUUUUAAUUCGUUUCAUUUAGAAAAGUUUUCUUUCAUUACACAGUUUUGUAUUAUCUCUUAUAACAUUCAACUCGUUUCAUAUAUGUUUACUCAAAAUUUUCAGACAUUUUUCUUUAAAUAUUUUUAAAAAAUUAUAUUUAUAAUUAAAUUUCAAUUAUAUAUAAUAAUUAUUUAAUAGUAUAUUUUUCUGUGAUUUUUUUUAUAAAAAAAUAUAUUAAUAUUUAAAACAUUAGUAUUCUACACAAAUUUUAUAUUCAAUAAAAAUGAAAAAAAACUCAAAUUUCAUAAAUGAGAAUGAAUUUUUAAUUUUAUGGAACUUAUCCCAGGCGUAACUCCCUUAAUCAUCAUGGAAUCCGAAUCCUAAAAAACUUGGGAGUAAUUAAAGCAUCUAAAAUUAGAAUAUUUUUUCAUAAUCCCAAAACCCAAUUCCAGUAUAACAACUACAGGGCUGUGUUACGGCCCGAGGCUUUGAACCGCCUAUACCUUUCGGUAUUCGUGCACGUCACGCGCCAUGCACUUCGUCGGUCAUUCGAAAUCCACUCCUGUUGCACCCUUCCUUCCUUGCCACCUUCUUCUUCCUUCUAAUUUCCAAAGCUUCACAUAGACCAUUUUACCCUUGCGUGCUGCAUCUCCACCUCCAACUUUCUUUUUCAUUGCAACCUGAAAGGAGAAACAAUACACACAAGUUUAUCUUACUGAUCUGCGUUCAUCGUUUCUCUUCUUCAUCCAUGGCUUCUGCGACCUCUCAGCGAGCUCAGCUAGCUAGGCUGUGCAGCUCCAAGGACUGGUCUAAGGCCAUUCGAAUCCUCGAUUCGAUCGUUUCUCAGUCUGGUGCAAUCCAAGAUAUCUGGUGCGUACGCAUACUCUUCUUCGCACCUCUCCGAUUCCGUUUUUUUUUUUUUUUUUUAUCGCAAUUACGAUUAAUUCUCCGUCGUGUGAUAAUGUGAUAUUCAAUCUUUCUCUGGUGCUUGCUUUCAGUAACAGAGCCUUCUGUUACAGCCAAUUGGAGCUGCACAAGCACGUAAUUAAGGAUUGCGACCGAGCGCUUCAGCUUGACCCCGCGCGUCUUCAAGCCUACAUUCUCAAAGGUCUCUUGCUUAUAAAUUCAUUCAACAAUUGUUUGUAUCUUGAGAAGUGCGAUUUAAAUUCUUGUCAGAAUAACAGAGUUGGUUGAUGAAUAGAAGGUUAAGAACCACGUAGGAACUUGGAAUUUUAUUUUCAAGGAUUUAUUAGUUAUUCGUAGUGACAAAUGCUUUGUCUUUUGAACUUAGCACCGGCUUAUUAUUUCAACUAGGUCGUGCGGUUUCUGCUUUGGGAAGGAAAGCAGAUGCUCUGUUAGUAUGAGAGCAAGGUUAUGAACACGCGCAGCAUCAGUCUGCAGAUUUGAAGCUGUUGCUAGAACUCGAAGAGCUUUUGACAACAGCAAAGCAAGACAGCAUUGCAUUGUGUGAAACCAAUGGAUCGUCCACGCCACAAUCCGAAUCAGAUGCUAUGAGUAAUGGGAGUUUGACUGAAAUUGGUGAGAAUCAAGAUAGGUUGAGUGCUCAAGCUGAAUUAUGUGACAAUACAAGUGAUAAAUCUGCGAUCUUGCCGAAGUCUGCUGAUGAUUUUGAUUCCAGAAAUGAAUUAAGUAGUGAAGAUAGAGAGUCUAAUAAAUCUGACAGCCAAGUAAAUGGAAGCCCUGACGUUAUUGAUAAAUUGAGUUAUAAUUCUGAAUCGUGUAAUGACUCAAGUGACACGUCAGAAUCAUGUGAUAAAGAUAAAGUAUUUACCAAUAGGGGUGAGUCUAGUAGUGAUUCGAGUGAAAUUGCUGAAAUUCUUAGAAAGCCAAGUAGUAAGUUUAUUUUUCCCCAUGAAAAAAAUGGUGAUGCAAGGAAAAAUAAGAAGUUCUGUGUUGCUCGGAUUUCAAAGACUAAGUCUUUAAGUGUAGAUUUUGGGCUCUCACGAGGAAUAGCGGAGGUUUGUUUGCACAACUGCUGUGUUGCUGUAUUUAUUUGUUUGAUAGCAUAUUGAUUUUGUGAUGUUUUGCAGGUAAAUGAAGGAAAAUAUGCUCAUGCCAUAGCCAUUUUUGACCAGGUUAGUGCUUCAAUUGGGAUAUUGGUGGCGUUUCCUUUUAUGAUAUUUACUUUUUUAGAGAUACUUGUGUUUCCUUUUGAUGUGUGCUUGUUAUCUUAUCCUCUUUUUCUGUAUCAUCAAUGACAAACUUUCUCUUGUCUUCAUCGUGUACUCAGAUACUGAAAGAGGAACCAGCAUAUCCUGAAGCACUGAUUGGUAGAGGGACGGCAUAUGCAUUCAAGAGAGAACUUGAUGCUGCUAUAGCUGAUUUUUCAAAGGUAUUUAAAUUUGAGCAAACUUUCUGAAAGGUACAUCGAGAUGUGGGUAUCUCCUCUAUUUAUAAGUAGUUUCACAUGUAUUUCUCAGGCUAUACAAUUUAAUCCUUCAGCCGGUGAGGCAUGGAAGAGGAGAGGUCAAGCUCGGGCAGCCUUGGGGGAGUUUGUUGAGGUGGGUUCGCUUACUCCAUCUUAGUAUUUGUAAUUUUUUUUGAAGUUCAACCAAAUCACAUUACUGAUUGGAAUUUUUUUUAAAUGGGUAUUUUAGUUAAUCAAUGCUUCAUGUUAGGUAUGGUCCAUUGACACUCACCCUUAAUGAAAUGGAUCUCUUCUGGUAUAGAAAAUGAUAUUUGGUUUAUACUUUUGUUUGCUUUGACUUAUUUUAACUAAGGUGUGAAACUUGAUUUGGUUUAGGCAUUAACACUUGGGUCAAAUAUUUAUUUGCUAAGCAAAACUAGUGCAGUUGUCAAUAGUUUUGUAGAUUCAUGUUAUGGCUCUGUUUAACUAGUGAUCUUAUUAUAUUUAUCAUUGAAAAGAAGGUGAUUGAAAUUUUCAGUGACUUAAGUAAGAUCUCAUUUAAAUCAUUUUUUAUUAUAUAUGAUUUUAUUGCACAAAUAACAAUUCAUAAUGUGACAUUGACAACUGCUUCCGGACAUCUCAGGCUAUUGAAGAUUUAACUAAGGCAUUAGAGUUUGAAACCAACUCAGCAGAUAUUUUACAUGAGAGAGGUAUCUUUUCUGACAGUCUUUUUCAUUUUGUUAUUUGGCUAACUGAUUGAUGCUGGAAUAGUUAUUUGUGCUUCCUUCUAUAAUGAUGGUUCAUGCAUGCAUCUUGUGGUUGGUAGCACCUAGAAGUCUAGACAGAGACUUCAUUAGUUUCAUGUGAAACGAAUAGUCUUUCUUAAUAAUUAUGUCCUGUCUCCUGUAUCUUGUUUUCAAGUUACAACCUCACUGUUAAUUUCAAGUUGUUGUUUGAUUAUAAAUUAUUGCUGUGAUAAUCUUGAUCUAAUUAUUUUCUUUCUAUAGAGUAAUGCUACUUAUAUAUGUCUAACGUAUGUUUUUCAUAAAAUUCAAUGCAGGAAUUGUAAAUUUUAAAUUUAAAGAGUUUGAUGCUGCAGUUGAAGACCUUUUAGCCUGUGUGCAACUAGACAGGGAUAAUAAGUCUGCCUACACGUAUUUGGUGGGUCCUGAGUCUUAACAUUUUAGUCCUCAUUUAUUAUGAGCUCUCUAUGUUGGUUUUCUCAUCUUUCACAUGAAAAUAUAUCUUUGUUAUUUAUCUGAGGAAGCACUGUCUUUUACAGGGUUUAGCAUUAUCUUCAAUUGGUGAAUAUAAGAAAGCUGAGGAUGCACAUUGAAAAUCACUUCAAAUUGAUAGAAAUUUUCUUGAAGCAUGGGCACACCUGACUCAGGUAUCUAUCAACCUUAUUGUACUGAUAGAUUGUGGAACAUUUAGUUAUUAACUUAGCUGAAAGCUUUAUUCUGAAAAUCCUGAGUCACCUGUGUGCAUAUUAUUUUAUGGUUUGAAAUGUAAUCUAUUGUAUACUCGGAUGCUCUCUGGUCUCUAAUAAUAUGUUUCCUCAUUGCUUUCAUUCAUAACAUUUCUGUCCCAUAUACUAACUCAUUCAACUUGAAUUAAAGUUUCCAUUUAAUGUCAGCUUAGUAACUUAGUUUGCAUUUGCGUUUUCCCUUUAGUAACUUAUGGGUUUAACUCUACAAAGUAGGUUACAUCUUUCAUGCCUUUUUUUCAAGUUAUAGGUUUAUGGCCUUUCUGUUUGAUGAUUUGUUGCUAGUCCUGUUCUGAAUGUGUGAUUUUGGUAGUUAAUCAGGAUCUAUCAGUGUGUUGCUAGCCCAGUUUUUGGCCUUUCAUUUUAUGUUAUAGGAAAAACUUGUAUUUUAAAAGAUUUUGGCUGCUAAAUUUAUUCUGAACAUGAGGUUUUUGGCAGUUCUAUCAAGAUAUAUCGAAGCCAACAAAAGCUCAAGAAUGUCUAAGUCAGAUUUUGCAGAUUGAUGCAAGGUAAUUGUUGUUAAUGAAAUGGUAUCAUUGGCAUUGCAGGUAUUUUAGCUGGUAACUGGUUUAUAAAGCUUGAAGUACUUUAUGCCACUUUGCUCUUUAUCAGCAGCUGAUUGUUUGUGUUCUGAUGUUAGGUUUUCUAGAGCUUAUCAUUUGCGUGGCCUUUUGUUCCAUGCAAUGGGAGAACAUAGGUAUGUAAACAACCUUAACUGCUGAUUAGUUGGGGAUUGAAUAUUUAUUUGACACUGUAUCUUGCAAGUUUUCAAUAGUAUUAUGAUUGGGUCCAUGAAUGCAAGUAACACAAACUUUGAGGUAUAGUGGCAGACCUACAAGUAGUUAUUGAAGAAAAUUUGGUGGUAGAACUUGGAAAUAUGAUGAAAUCUGAUACGAAGAACUAAACUGCUCUAAAAUACAUAAAAUCUAUAUGUAAAAGACACUAAAAGAUAACAUUGAUAUUUUUAUCCCUAUCUGUAGGUAAGAAGAGUACAUUUAUAUAACCUAAAAACAUGCCAUCAACUAAAUUAUGACCCCACAAGCGUCAUCAUCUCAUUUUAAGAAAUUAAAACUAUAAAAUAAAUAUUAUUUUUAACAUUCUAGAACCAUCUUAUUAAAUCUUUGAACCAUUUCCUUUUUCUUCUUCUGAGUCUCUCUAGGCCCAUUUUAUCAUUGCCACUGGGUUGAAUGAGAACCUUGUUCUCAAGGUUUUAUGACAAAAAAAAAAUUAUGAUAGAGUGGUGGGCAUUAGUGGAAACGAAUGGUUGGAAGUGUGAUGGUGGGAAAUCCAUUAUGGAUUUCACAUGGAUUUGGUUGGGUAAAUUGGUUGGGAGGUAUAUGUAUUGGGCUUGCAUGCAAUAGGUGAGGUAUUCAGGAAAAAGACUGUCCUUAGAUGAUGGUGAAGGGGAAAAUUUGGUUGCAGUGAUAGGAAUGAUAGGUGGAAUAGGAAUAGGCUUCAUAUUGAGUGGUGUAGGAAAAAUAGAAGGCACAUGGAAUGAUCUGUGCAUGUGGAGUCCACUUGUUGCAAGCAAUAUUACUCCUAAGGAAGGUCAAAAGUUACGUGCCGAAGGUGGGUGAGAAUACGAGAGAUGUGUGGCACAAUUAAGAGAGAACAAGUGGCAUUUUUUAUGGGUGAAUUGAUUUUGGAAAAGGGGUGGGUGGUUGUGUCAUGGCUAGUUUUUGUUUUAAAGUUUGGGGCGAGACAGGUAUGGUUAUUAGGGGGGUCAGCUGGGCAAGCUAGGGUUGAUGGAUAAUGAAGGUGGGGAACAACUAUAGGUGGAAUGGUCUGUGGGGAGGUUGUGUUUUGUUCAAAGGUGGUUUUAGUAUUAAGUGUGUGGUUUGAGAAGUGAACGUUGUGGUAAGCCUGAAUGGGUCAGGUCAUCGUGGUAAGGUUGGAGGGCAAAUGCAUGGGAGGAGUUAGUGGGACAAGUCACCGUAAAAUGUCAGUGGAGAUUAAGUGGUGGUGGCUAUUGUGACUCCAAGACCCACAAUGGAGGAGUUGACAGGGAAGGGGAGGGUGUGAUGAAAAACUUAGUUGUGUUGACCACAGUGGCGGUGGCCAUUGUGGUGGUUAGUUGGCUUGAUGGUUGUGGUGGCCAUUAUGGCUGUGGUGGACACAGCCAUUGAAGUGGGGGAAGGAUUCAAGUACUAGUGGUAUUGUGAGGAUAAAGGCAUUUGGUGAAGGUGGUGGGGUUGGUGGUGCAGAUUUGUACUGUAUGGUGAUGGUGAUGGUGGUGGUGGUGGUGGUGGUGGUGGUGGAGGGUAAUAUAAAUGUUGGUGGAUGUGGUUGAAAUCCCUGUGAGCUGGAGGCUGUUGUGGAUGCUGUGGUGGAUAGUAUAAAUGUGGGUAUGGAUAAGUCUGUGAAUUUUUUGAGAUAUAUGAUGGUGGUAGUAAUUGUGGUGGCCACUCUAUAGGCAGUGACUGUGUGGGUGGUGUGAGAUAGAUGGCAUCAAAUUUCUGGCCAAUAGCUUGGAGGCUUUCUGCCAUGGUGGUGUCAGUUGUGGGUAAGCCAAUGAAAACACCAUUUGAUAGGAGGAACUAAACUACUCUAAAAUACAUAAAAACUAUAACUAAAAGACCCUAAAAGAUAACACUGCUAUUGUUUCUCCCCUCUCUACAGGUAAGAAGAGUACAUUUAUAUAACCUAAAAACAUGGCAUCUUCUAAAUUAUGAUCCUACAAGUGUCAUCAUCUCAUUUUAAGAAAUUAAAACUAUAAACUAAAUAAUAUUAUAAAUAUUAUUUCUAAUAUUCUAGGACCAUCCUAUAAAUUCCCUGAAACAUUUCCGUUUUCUUCUUCUGAGUCUCUGUAGGCCCAUUUUAUCAAAAUCUUUCAGGGAGUGAAUAAAGUUGAGAAUACUGCUUCAGGAACUAGGAUUAGUUGAUAUCUUCCAUGUCAACUACUAGAUUGGUUGAACUGGGAUCUUUAUAGUGAGAUGCUUUUUGAAUUUGUAAACUUUGGUUGGCAGUAAAGGUGUGCUUCAAUGAAGAUUUAUGUUGUAAAUGUGCCUGAAGUCUCAAAGAAAGUACUUGUACAGUAUUUAUUGUUCAUUUGAAUCCAAGAAUUAAGUGGUCAAUUCAAUGGUUAAUGACUUACAUCUUUGUCUGCGAUAUAAGAUUUUAGAGAUAUAAAUUGUGUAUGAGACAAUGUGCGCCAUGAUCAUAUGGUUAUGAUUUAUUGGUAGCUUUGAAUUUAUAGUAGCAACCACAUUUCCAUGGAAAUUGCUUUCAAAUAUUUCGUAACAAAGGUCUGCUUUAACAUGUUUUGGUCUUGAAUUUUAGGUUCUGCUACUUUAUCUUGUUUCUGACUUAAAUUGGGUUUGACUGUGACAGGAAGGCUAUCAAUGAUUUGUCAAUAGGGUUGACCGUUGAUGGUGCCAAUGUUGAGUGUUUAUAUUUGCGAGCUUCAUGCUACCAUGCUGUUGGACAAUACAAAGAGGCGGUAAGGUUUUACUUUUAACUUUUUGGGAGAAAUACCGAUUCACAUUAGUCACUUGGCAACUUCAUUUCUGAUCUCAGGUCAAGGAUUAUGAUGCUGCUCUGGAUUUGGAGUUGGACUCAAUGGAUAAGUUUGUGCUUCAGUGCCUUGCCUUUUACCAGGUUUGUAUAUUGUAAAAUUUUAUAUUUGUACAGCUUCUGUUUUUCCCCCUUAAUUCUAUUUUAUUUAUGAAAAGGAAAACUAAGACCUCUCUUUGUGAAAAUGUCAUCUGACAAAGCUGGGAGCUGUUAGAAAUAAAAGAUAAAAUAAAAUCUGAUUAAAAAGAGAAAGUCAGAAUAGUAGUGUUUCGCAUAAAAUGGACAAUGCUUAUAAUAAACAAUAAUACGAUUUUGCACUUUUCCACAAAUAUAAUUUGUUUCUUUAUUCUAAGCGGUUAUUCUAUUCUUGGUAAACAUGAUAAAAAAUAUUAGAGAGUAAAAGAUUAGAUAAAACCUGGGUUGACACAUGUAGAAUGAUGUCCUUAAAGAGAAAAUGUCCCACUAGACUGGUAGAAAGAAAUUUGAGUACAAUGAAGGAUCUCCUAACCUUAUGAACACCAAUGUUCUUUGAAAGAGUAUAAAAUAUCCAAAUAAUUUAGAAGAAAAAACUGGCAAUGAUUUGUACGUGAAUGAAAUGUUGUAUGUACCUUUUCUGCUCAAUGGAAUGCUCUUUAUAUAAUAGGCCUAGGCAAUGCACCAGUAAAACUGAAGGUGCGGAACUAAAAAAAUGGAAAUAUAUUGUUCCGAUACCAAAGCUUCUAAUGUUAAAAAAAUUAACAAAAUGUCCACCAACUUUUUUUUAAACGUUAUAAACAUUUGUAACAAUCUAACGUGUUACAUAUUUAAAAACUGUUUUAAAAUAAUAUAAAAAAUGAAUACUUUAAUUUUUUAAAUUACAAUAAAAUAUUUUAUCAACACUAAUGAGUAGUAAAUUUUCAAAGGAGGCACUAGGUUAGAGUGAGAGAUUCUUGCCUUUCAACAUACAAACCGAGAGCUUACUAGUGUCAACUUGCAAAGUUCUUUUAACAUUAUUUUAUAUGCUGUCCUCUUCUGCUUUAGUUCUUCUAGUUACUUAGAUUUCAUGUGAACCUUUAUUGAGAAACACUUGCCAGACUUGCUUUCUCUUGAUUAUUGUGAUAAUUUAUUGACCAAUUUUGUACAUUCAUUUUGGGCAUUAUGCGAAUGAACUUAUGUAUUGGUUAAUGAAUGUUAACAUCUUCCAUUAAUUUUUAUUUAAUGUUACUUGUAUAAUGAGCAUCGAACUCUUUUUCCCCUCUUGCAGAAAGAGAUUGCUCUUUAUACCGCCUCAAAAUUUAACCGUGAGUUUUGCUGGUUUGACAUUGAUGGGGAUAUUGAUCCACUUUUUAAGGUAAAGUUAUGGAAUUUAUUCUACCUUUCUAUGAUACUUCUCAUCUCUUUAUUUGGCCGAACUAAACUUUUUAUGGGAUAGGAUUAUUAGUUUGAACUAAACAAUUACAAGACAUGUUACUAUCGUCAUGCUUGCGGAAUGUCAGAAAACUUGUACAUCGUACUUGUUUGCAUAUAACUUAAGUUUCUAUGUGGGUUUCAGAAGCGUAUAAACUUUUACUUCUAUGUUGGAGAUGUGUUUUGUAUUGCUUAGAUUCUAAUUUCUAUGAUAUUAUGUCUAUUCAGGAGUACUGGUGCAAGAGGUUACAUCCCAAGAAUGUAUGUGAAAAGGUUUACAGGCAACCUCCUUUGCGUGAGUCUUUAAGAAAGGGAAAGCUUAGAAAGCAAGAAGUAGUUCUUACAAAGCAGAAGAAUGCUCUUAUACAGGCUGCAGACUUCAUUGGCAAGAAAAUCCAAUAUGAUUGUCCUGGUUUCCUACCCAACAGGCGUCAGGUAGAGUUAUUUGUUCACAUGUUAACAUCUCCGUAUCAGUUGCUUAUUAAUUUUACACAUUUUGUUUUCCUUUCUUUUACUUGGUAUCCUUUUUCUACUGUGGGUGGUACUUAUACUUUUGCAGCUUUUUUUUUUGUGAACAAAUGAAUUUGUACUUUUUGUCUGUCUUAAUAGAUAUAGGAUGGACCUUUGGUUUUAGUAGAUAACUUGUCCUUGAUUUGGUAGUUGCUGCAGAGAGGUGCAUGUGACAAAUCCAGCAUUCAUUGAGUAUAUCAUGCCGUGGAAUUGUCUGUUAUUAUAGAUACUAUUCUUUUAUCUUUUCCUUAAUUUAGGACUAAUAUUUUAUUUGGGAUUUGAGUCGUGAACAGAUUUGAAUAUAAAUUCAUAGGGGCUGGGGGGAAAUUCUUUCAGGCAAUUACAAAUAUUCUGAAGAGUCAAGUGAUAUCAAAUUAUAGAAGAAAAUAAUCAAAAUAUGUAAAAUGCAUUUUCUAUGUUAAUUUUUCAUCUGCGUAAUUUCUGCAGCUUCUUGUGGCCUUUUUCUUUGAUGUAGAUUUCUGUUUUAUUGUACCCAAAUAAAGACAUUCUGAGAAAACUGAGGAUUGAACAGAAGUAAUAAUAUAUCAUGGGUUAAAAUUAGAGUAAAUUACAUCAAGAUCACCUGAUCUUUUCUCAAAUUAUACUUACACCCCCUACUUUUCUCAUCAUUACAAUGACUUCCCUUAAGUGGGUGCAUUUGUAAUGUGAAAAAGGAAGACUUAAGGGGUACAUGAUAAAGAUCAAAUAUGUAUUAGAACUUAUAAUAUCAAAAAGCAAUCAAAUUCAAGUAACAAGUAUGAAUCUCAUCUUCACUUUAGUACAAUUAAAUGUCGCUAAAAGUUUGAAUCAAUGAUUCUAUGAACUAUAGAAUUUCAAGACAAGCACAAGAAUAUAACAAUUGAACUAAAACAAUUAACAAAAGACAAUGACUGAGUUAGAAUAAGAAACAAAUGGCGGCAAUUAAGAGGAACUAGAAGAAGAAAUGAAAAUGACAAGUAGUAAAAGGAAAAGGUGGAGAAGACUUAAGGAGAUGGAAGAGAGCUCUCCAUCUCCAUAAUAAGUUUCAUGUAGAAUCACCACUUGACUCCUAGGAGCUCAAGAUAAGACUCAAAGCUCAAGAUCACUCUUACAAGUAUCUCACAAUUACGAGGGAGUGAUUAUAUAUAUCCAUCAAUGGCAAAAAAAUUCAAUGAAUAAAGGAGGGAAAAUCCAAUUUGAAUUUUGAAUCUAGAUCUAGAUCAAAGGGUAGGAUUCCAUAUUUUGUGUGCUUGUUUCACUUUCCAUGCUAGUGUCACACUUUCCAUGCUUAGCUUACUACUUUCUUGCCAUAUAUUCUUUUUGGUCGAGAAUUUCAUGGCUCAUAUUGGGUUUGAUUGUUGCCAUGUGUUCCUUGCUAGGUUGCCUUCAAAAUGCCGCACCCCUUAGUACAUUUUCAGCUAGAUAGGCCCAAUUACAACCUAAGAUAAAAAAAAAUGCUAUUUGCAGCUAUUUAACAAUGAAAGAAAAUACAAUGCAAGUAAGUUCUUUUCUAGAUUUACAAACAUUUUUAUUUAUUAAAGCUAAUAAAGAUCAUUCUCAUCUCCACAUUCAUUAGUACACGUGUAAUGUAACCAGGAAGACAAUGUAAUGUUUUUAAAAUAAAGGAGAGGUUUGUGAGAAUUUUAAAAAAAUAACUGAGGUGUCAUUGCAUUAUAAGAAAACCUUGGGGGUGUUAAUAUAAUAUAUAAUUUACUCUUAGAAUUAGGAUUUAGACUGCAUGUUGGAGAGCACGACAGUUUGAUGAAAAUUAUUAAUUUUCAUAAUAUUCAAGCAUUUGGAUAACAAAUCAUGACAACUGGUCUCUUGAUUUUCUUUCCAGUGGUUAUUACCACUUGCAUUUUACUAUCUGUAAUCUGUCAUUGAAAUUGAUAUGGUUAAAGGAUGCUAUUUUCUGGUUGAAAGACAAGAACUGUCCUCAAGACAGUUUUUUUUUUUCGCCCAGAAAUUGUGAAAAGCGUAAAAGUAAUUCAUACUUUUUCAUAAAGUAAACAUCAUAUGAUUGUCCUAUAACUAUUCUUAUGUUGGUUAUUUAUCAGUGCCAAAUAGUCCCAGAACUAUGGAUUAUAUUAUAUCUUGGUUGAGAAUAUUUUUAGAUUUUUAUUACCGAAAGAUCACCUACAUUAGGAGUAGUAAACAAUAAUUUUAUAGAAAGAAAAAUUGGUAGGCACCAUACUUGUGAGUGUUGCUUCUGUGUUUUCACACUGAACAAAUAUUCUCCAUUCACCCUUCUUUGGUUUUUUAAUAUGUAUUAUAUUUUCUGAAGAAACGUCUGCCUGGUUUGUAGUCAUUUACUACUUGGGUUAAGUAUUAUCAAAUGCCUUGGGUUUAAAAAUGAAUAAUGUGUUUGGUCUCUUUAUUAAGCUUGUUUUUUCUUGUUAUAAAGAAAUAUAUAUGUUCAGUACUGCAAAAAUUACAUUGUCUCAAAUUUCAAUCUGAUACCAGCAUCAUAUUCAUUAUCUUUUUUUCAGUACUUCAUUCUAAGUAUCUGUAACUUAUUAUAUUUUCCCUUUAUUACUUUUCAUGUCUGAACUUAAAAGCAACUUGCAGCCGAUCAUGGUUGUCAUUAUUCUCAUAUUGUUAUAAAGUAAUAUAUAUGUUCAGUACUGCAAAAGAUUACAUUUUCGUUAAAUUUCAAUCUGAGACGAUCAUACUCAUUAUCAUUUUUUCAGUACUUGAUUCUAUGUAUCUGUGACUUAUUAUAUUAUCCCUUUAUUACUUUUCAUGUCUUAACUUAAAGCAACUUGCAGCCAACCAUGGUUGUCAUUAUUCUCAUAUUGUUAAUUUUUCUAUGUUAUGUCUUUAUCUCUAAUUCUGUUAAUAUUUCCUUAUUUAUCAGCAUCGUAUGGCAGGAUUUGCUGCUAUUGAAAUUGCACAAAAGGUCUCUAAGGCUUGGCGUGCCCUUCAAACGGAAUGGAAAUAUUCUAAUAAAAACAACUCAAGCUCAAAGAAUGGCAAAAGGGCAAGGAGAAGGGAAAGAAUUAAUAUGCCCAGUCAGAAUAGGGGAGGUGCAGGUUGUAGCACAAGUAGUACUUCCGAAACAUCUCCUUCGCAUGGCAUUGUAGAUGAUAGAUCAUCCAGCCGUUCAAUAUCAUGGAAAGAUAUUUAUUCAAUAGCAGUUAGAUGGAGACAGAUUUCUGAGCCUUGUGACCCUGUUGUGUGGGUGAACAAGCUAAGGUAUUUCAUCUUUGGGCUAUAAGUAUUCUUGAAGACCAUAUUAGUGCUUCCCAUGUUUUGGAUUUUAUUGGUUUCUUUGCACUGCAGUGAAGAGUUUAAUUCUGGAUUUGGUUCUCACACACCCAUGAUCCUGGGACAAGCCAAAGUUGUCCGUUACUUUCCUAACUAUGAAAGGUAAAAAGACCCUGUUUAAGUUCUGUAUUGGUAGACUGGAUUUGGGCUCAUUCUUUUUAAACAUCACAGGACUUUAGAUAUCGCAAAGACUAUCAUAAAAGAGAAAUCAUAUGUCUACAGCAAGACAGAUCAUAUCAUUCGUCUUUCCGAGGAUGGGAAACUGGAUGAGGUGAUUUGUUUAUUGUUGAUUUAGAUCUGGUGCUUGUUUCUUGUGACUUGAUUUACUAUGCAAAAGGCCUCAGCUGUGACUUGUAACCCAAUUGGUUGCUUUGGAAAACUUUUACUUUUCUUUGCUCACGUUAGUACUGGCUGUAAUGUGCUUCUUGUGCUAUUUGUUUUGCCUGGUCAUACAUUAAAGUUCACACUUGUAGGUUGUAUGUUACUUUUUUUGUGUAUUUUUGUUGUAUAUUAAAAAACAUGGAGUGCGGAAGAAUAAUUUAUUGAUCCAUCAACAGCAUAAUUUAUACAGGUGAGAGAAUAAAGGAAAAUAACUCCUACUUAGUGCCUAAAAAUCCUCUAUAAAUAGAGCAUAUCAGACAGUUCCCAAGAGAUAACAUAAAAACAGUCAUGAGUCCAAAAAACUAGCAACAACUUAAAAAAAAAAUCAGUUUCAUGAGUCAUCUUGUCAACGUUCCUCCUUACUCUGGAACUGCAUACAUUAAGCCUCUACCUCAAGAAUUCAUAUCUAGCUUUAGGAAGUGACCUUGUUAGGAUAUGAGCACUUUAUUCUUUAUGUUUUGCAGUAGAUUAAUUUCAUUUCUCCUUCUCUCUGUGCCUCCCCCUUAGAAAGUAGAGCUUUUAUCUUGAAGUGUAUUGUUUUGCCAUGGAAAACUGGAUUACUAGCAGUUGAACUUGCAGCUUGAUUAUCCACAAAUAUAUGUGUGCUGUCCUGUUGUUUCAUAUGCAAAUCUGUCUUGAGCUUUUUGAUCUGAAGAGCAUGAUAACAGCAGCAGUUGCAGCCACAUAUUCUGCUUCUGUUGUGGAUUGAGCUAUGAUUUCUUGCUUCUUUGAAUGCCAUGAAAAAAUCCAGAACCAAAGCUAAAAUGAUAACCAAAAGUACUUUUCAUAUUAUCAGCACACCAGCUCAAUCACUAUCUGAGUUGCCAAGAAGACUGGAAUAUUCUUGAGAAAAGACUAGAUAUAUAUCGGAGGUCUAAUAGUGACCUGAUAGCGGAUGAGACAAUAGGUUCAAGAAAAAUCUCGCUAGGAUAUGUUCUGAUAUCUUCUUAAAAGUGGACUUUAAACUUAACUCAACUUCACAAAAUCAGUUUGUAAGGAUAGGUUUGCUCUCACUAGUACACUAUAAUUUGGUCAUAUCUCUAGUCAAUGAUCCAACAGUAUAAAGUUUAUUGUAUGCAAGAUGUUAGGCCUUGUUGCACUUGAAUACAUUAGGCAGUCUAUAAGGCUCUUGUAUAGCUUGUCAUCCACUUUUUUGUCUUCCUUACAAAAAGCCCCUUUUGAUUCAUUGGAGUUGCAGCUGGUUUGGUCCCUUCCAUGUUAAACUUCUUGAAAACUUCAUUUGCAUAUUUUUCUUGACAAAAAAUUAUUUCAUUCUGUUUUUUAUAGACCUUCAUACCAAGAUAGAAUGUCAUCCUUAAGGCCUCUCAUUUUAGAAACACCUUUCAAUUUUUCCUUGAACUUAUCAAUCUGCUCAUUGCUACUCUUACUAAGAGAUCUUCAAUAUAUAGAGAUACUUGUAUUUCACCAUCAAUUUGACAUAUGCAGUAGAUUCGCUCAAACAUUUUUAAAGCCUAAGUUCACCAAGUGGGAAUCAAUUCUGCUAUACCAUGACAACGAUACAUACAAAGCUUUCCUUAGUUGAUACACUUUCUCCUCCUGCCCUUGAAUAACAAACCCUUCAGGUUGCUAAACAAAAAUUUCUUCCUCCAAGUAUCAUUCAAAAGUUGAUUUCACAUUCAUUUGAUGUAUAAUCCAGCCCUUUUGUGCAGCAAUAGAAAACUAAAUUCUUAUUGCCUCUAGCCUGGAAACCGGGGCAAAAGUCUCAAAAAUCAACCCUAGAACCGAAGUAUAUCUAUUGACAACAAGCCUUGCCAUUUUUUUGUUUGUAGAACCAUCUGGAUUGAGUUCAGUUCUAUAAACACAUUUGACACCAAUGGCUUUCUUGUGGUGAGGUCAGUCCACCAGCUCCCAUGUUUGAUUUCUUGUAAUCAUUUUGAGCUCCUUCUUCAUUGCAUUUAUCCAUUUUUGGUCAGCUGCGCCUUUUUCAUAUUCUUCAGCCCCAUGACAUCAACAUUGCACCUUUGGUAGGUGUCUGAAAGUGAUCUAGUUCCUCUUAUGGGUUCUUCAUCAACAUCUUUAUUCUCCUCCUGAAAUUCAGGCUUCAUGUCAUCUUCCUAGUUCCAACUCUCUGAUUCCAAAAAUUUCACAUCCCUGCUAACAAUUACUUUGAAGUUGAGUUAAAGUGUACACAAAUUUCAGGUUCUGAUUUUUUGUCCAAGUUGUUCCUCUUUAUUGGAGGUAUGCAAGAGAAACAUAGGCAACCAAAUGUCUUCAGAUUUGAGCUUUGGUUUGUAGUUGUCCCAUGCUUCAAAUGGAGUCUUCUUUUGCAAAGCUUUUUGUUGGCACUCUGUUUAGCUAAAACACUGCUGUGUUUGCAGCCUCUGUUCAAAAUUUCUUUGGCAGUCCUUAUCAUGGAGUAAAUAUACCUUGCCAUUUCCUUAAUUAUUCGGGCUUUUCUUUCCAUGUAAAAGGAUGAUUUGCCUUAGCAAUUAGGGAUAUUCUCCAUUAUCAGGUUCUUCUUUCUUGUCCAAUUUGUCCCUCUUUAUUGGAGGUAUGCAAGAGAAACAUAGGCAACCAAAUUUCUCCAGAUUUGUUAGCUUUGGUUUGUAGUUGUGCAUGCUUCAAAUGGAGUCUUCUUUUGCAAAGCUUUUGUUGUCACUCUGUGUUUAGCUAAAACACUGCUGUGUUUGCAGCCUCCUUUCCAAAAUUUAUUUGGCAGUCCUUAUCAUGGAGUAAAUAUAGCUUGCCAUUUCCAUAAUUACUCGAACAUUUCUUUCCAUAUAAAAGAUAUGGUUUGCCUUAGCGAUUAGGAUAUUCUCCAUUAUUAGGUUUCCCUAUAUUUUAAUUUGAAUGAUUAUAAAUAAAGGUUUUACAUGUGUGAUCAAACACACAAUUCACAACUACGUAAAAACUCUGUACUCCACAACACCAUAUUUUUGUGGAGUGCACAGUGGUAUCAAUUGAUGUUCAAUGCCUGCAUCUACAUAAGCUGUCAAAAUUUUCAGAAAAAUAACAUAAGCUGUCAAAAUUUUGAGAAAAAUAACGGGCUCCAUUAUUGGACUUUAUCACCUGCAUUCGCUUUUCAACCUUUUGAGAAGAGAGAAACUGAGAAUGCAUAUGAUGUAUUCUGUGUGUUUAGACCACAAUAAAUCUCCUCAAUUUAUAGUAGAGAGAACAUUUUUACAUAAUAUUUAAUUACUCCAUAACAUAACUAUGGAAUCAAUCUAAUUGAUCCUAAUAUCAUCAAUUACGUAUCUAUAGAUUCAACACUCCUGCUCAAGCUUGAGCAUAUAAGUCAUCUACACCAAGCUUGUUACAUAUGUAGUUAAUCCGAGGACCCAUUAAUGACUGAAAUAGACUUUCACAGCCUUAGGAACCAAUAUCCUUAAAGCUUAAAAUGUUAUUUUAAGACAUAAAUCUGUAUCAAUUAUUAAAUAUGUAAUCUUAAAUAUUUUUGUUAGUUGAUUUAAUUUGAUUUCCUUAAUUAACUGAUAGAAUAGGACUUCCUUUCUAAAUUGUUAAAGCUUAAGGAUUUCUAAAUAUUUAUUAAUCUUUGAAGAUAAAUGCUUCAUAACUCUUACAUGUUCAUUUUUUUAAACGAAGUUUGAAUAAUAAUAAUAAUAAUAAUAAUAAUAAUAACAAUAAUAAUAAUAAUAUUUCAUUAGUUUGCCCUUUUAUGAAAAUGAACACUUGAAUAUUUGAUUUGCAGGUCACGCGUGCCAAUUCUGUCUCUGAUCUUUAUAAUGCUAUUGGUGAGGAUUUCUGGUCAUCUACGUGGUGCAACAGUACUGCAUUUGAAGGGUAAGUGUGCAAGAUGCAGAUGGUGCCUGGGAACAUAUAAUUUUUUUGAAUACUUAUUUCUGGAUGUUAAUGCUUCAGGAAACAACUUGAGGGAACAAGGAUAACACUUGUAAAAACGUGAGCUUGAUACAGUUAAAAUUUAAGUUAUUUUCUUCCACAUUUUCCUUUUUUUGUUUCUUAACUGUUCAUACCUGUAUAUUUUAUUGCGGGAAUGGUGAACAUUUUCAGGGAGGAGCAUGGUUUUGACUUUGCAAUUAGAACACCUUGUACACCUGCUAGAUGGGAGGAUUAUGAUGCAGAAAUGGCAAUGGCAUGGGAUGUACGUUAUAGUUAUAACUAUACCAAACUACUUCGAUUAUAUAUUUUUAGCCAAUAUAUAUAUGACCCUAUGGGCCUCUUUAUGUGGCUUGCUUCUAAUACGGGCAUGCAAAAAAUCCAGAUAUUCAAAUCCAAAUUACUUUAUGUUCAUCUUAACAUAUCCAUUUCAAAUCCAAAAUACAUAUUUUUGGAUUAGAAAUUUGUUGGAUAUUUUUUUUGGAUUUAAAAAAAUCCAAAAUCAAUGUUUGUCCAAAAAAAUUGUUUGGUCAAAACAAUUUUUUGUUGGUUUCGAUUGAGACACUUUUUACUCAAUUUGCAAAGUGUCUCUUUGGUUCGGACCAUGGUUGGGUUGUUGUUGGGUCAGUCCCUGUGUUGCCUACCUACCAAACAGUAUCCGUGUUGCUGGCAGUUCAUAUUGCCACCUGAUAAAAAAAAAUAUCAGAAAAAUAUUUAUAAGUAAAAAUAAUUUAGCUGUAAGAAAAAUACUUGAAAAAAAGGAAAAACUUCUAUUAGAAUCAAGGAAUACGAGUAUCAUCAUGUUAAACCAUAGUGUUAUUAGUCACUCUAUAUACUCCAUCUCUCAAAAUUAAUAAUUUAAUCUUGAAAGAUAUCUUAAUUAUUUAGUAAAUAUAUAUAACAACUAAAUUAGUUCAAAUAAAACUGAAUUUAUUAGAUAUUAUAGCCUUGGUUUGAAUGCCAUUUGUAUCCAAAUUAAAUGGAUGUGGAUUUAAACUAAUUUAAAUCCAAAUUCAAAUAAUUUAAAAAAUAACCAACUUAAUAUAAUUAAAUGGAUCUGAAUUUCAAAUCUAAUCUAUUUUAUUGGAUUUUUAAAAAUUCAAUUCAUCCCACCCCUAGCUCCUGUAAAGGAUGUGUGUUUUAGUCUUUACCAAUGAUCCAUGUCCCAUCAUUACAACGUGGUUGACCUAUGUAGUUACUUUUCAAGUUGCUUGAUGAAUUUCAACAAUUUACCUUGUAUCCAUCUUGAUAUCUUUCAGGCUCUCCGCAAUGCUUACUGUGGUGAAAAUUAUGGGUCUACUGACUUUGAUGCGCUCGCAAAUGUGAGAGAUGCAAUAUUAAGGAUGACAUAUUACUGGUAGGGCCUUAUAAUACAUAAAUUCUCUAGCCUCUUGGAGCGUUUGAAGCCAUUAUGUAAAUCUUUUUCUUCUAUCUUUGGUCUAAGUCAUUCCGUAAAUUUAUCUCCCUUUUUCAGGUAUAAUUUUAUGCCACUGUCCAGAGGAUCUGCUGUUGUCGGAUUUGCAGUCAUGCUGGGUUUGUUCCUUGCUGCUAAUAUGGAGUUCACAGGAAGUAUCCCACAAGGUUUGCAGGUUGAUUGGGAAGCCAUUUUGAACUUGGAUCCAAAUUCCUUUGUGGAUUCUGUCAAAAGUUGGUUAUACCCAUCUCUGAAGGUAACAACCUCAUGGAAAGACUAUCAUGAUGUAGCAUCAACCUUUGCAACAACAGGGUCGGUUGUUGCUGCCUUGAGCACUUCUGAUGAUUGAACUCCUUUGAAAUAAUGUCCAGGUGAGUGAAUGGCUCUGUUUUCCAAUUUCUGCUUUUCUUAAUUUCUGCUCGUCCUAUAAUGUUUAUAAAUAGUUACCCAAUAUGCAGUAUUGGUUUAUUCAGUAUCUCUGUAAAAGCAAAUUCAAUACUGUAUUACCUGUUUUUCGUAGGUCUCUGUAUUUUGCCUUAGUACUGCAUUGCUGCUGGUCUUUGACACGCUUCGGAAAUGCAGCAGAACUAUUAAUUGAAAGCUUUCACAUUUACCAACUGAUCUUCCUGUUCAGGCUCAAUCUUUGUACCCGCUUUUUAAAUUGUAAUAUUAUAUGUUAACCUUUAUACAAUCUUGUAAAUUAGGGCAUUGGAUGAUUGAAUUACCAUUUAUCUUCUCUCCUAUUCUAUUACCGCUAUGUGGCUGCCCCGCUCCCUACAAAAAACAGAUUCGAGACUAAUAAGUAUGUUUGUAUGUUAUUAAAUUGGUUUAGUGAGAAUGGGGUAGUAUUAAAUUGUUCAAAGUGAGAAUAAAGUAUUACAUUCUUAGCAUUUUUUAGUCAUAACUCCAUUUCCUGAUUUAUUGUUAAUGGUACGUCAUGGUUCGGUGUGCAUUUUAUGUAGGAUUUAUAACGCAAUUUUUCAACACAGAAUAAAAUUGCAGAAGGUAGGGCGAAAUUUCACAAAUUUUGCUAGGUUUUUCACAAAAUUUCAGAAAAAUUGUCCGAAAUAAUUUUUUCCUGAAAUUCCACGUAAGAAUCUGGAUUGAAUAUGGGACAAAACGCGACAAAUUUCACGUCAAACCAAUGAGUAUUUACCUAGGAAAAAGAUCAAACAGUUUCACACACAAACGAACCUUCGUUUCAAUCCUUGCAGUGAUGAAUCAAAAAUUUAUUGAAAAUCUUGUGUGACGAAUUUGGGGCUCAAAUCUCAGCCAAAACUCAAUACACACAAGGACGAAUGUCUCAUAAAAUUUUCAGAACAAAAGACCAAAGGAAUAGGGGGUGGUAAGACCCAGACCGAGAGUGAACAAAACCGGUUUUUCGAAAACAAAAUGUCCUGACUUUUCUUCCCUGUAUCUCCUUUUUGUGAUUUGUUUAUGGACGUGCCUCCUUCGCAGGGUNNNNNNNNNNNNNNNNNNNNNNNNNNNNNNNNNNNNNNNNNNNNNNNNNNNNNNNNNNNNNNNNNNNNNNNNNNNNNNNNNNNNNNNNNNNNNNNNNNNNNNNNNNNNNNNNNNNNNNNNNNNNNNNNNNNNNNNNNNNNNNNNNNNNNNNNNNNNNNNNNNNNNNNNNNNNNNNNNNNNNNNCUGAAUUUGGGACAAAACGCGACAAAUUUCACGUCAAACAGAUGAGUAUUCACCUAGGAAAAAGAUCAAACAGUUUCACACACAAACGAACCUUCCUUUCAACCCUGGCAGUGAUGAAUCAAAAAUUUAUUGAAAAUCUCGUGGGACGAAUAUAUGGCUCAAAUCUCAGCCAAAACUCAAUACACACAAUGAGGAAUGUCUGGUAAAAUUUUCAGACCAAAAGACCCAAGGAAUAGGGCGUAGUAAGACACAGACCGAGAGUGAACAAAACCGGUUUUCCGAAAACAAAAUGUCCUGGCUUUUCUUCCCUAUAUCUCAUUUUUGUGAAUUGUUUAUGGACGUGCCUCCUUCGUAGGGAGCAAAUAGCACAUGAAAGUACUUGUGUGAAUUUUUCAACGCAAUUUUUCAACACAAAAUAAAAUUGGAGAAAGUAGGGCGAAAUUUCACAAAUUUUGCUAGAGGAUAGCCUUAGUUUUUCACAAAAUUCCAGAAAAAUUGUCCCGGAAUAAUUUUUUUCUUAAAUUUCACAUAAGAAUCUGGACUGAAUUUGGGACAAAACGCGACAAAUUUCAAGUCAAACAGAUGAGUAUUCACCUAGAAAAAAGAUCAAACAAUUUCACACACAAACGAAUUUUCGUUUCAAUCCUUGCAGUGAUGAAUCAAAAAUUUAUUGAAAAUCUUGUGUGACGAAUUUGGGGCUCAAAUCUCAGCCAAAACUCAAUACACACAAGAACGAAUGUCUCAUAAAAUUUUCAGAACAAAAGACCAAAGGAAUAGGGGGUAGUAAGACCCAGACCGAGAGUGAACAAAACCGGUUUUUCGAAAACAAAAUGUCCUGACUUUUCUUCCCUAUAUCUCCUUUUUGUGAUUUGUUUAUGGACGUGCCUCCUUCGCAGGGUGCAAACAACACAUGAAAGUACUUGUGUGAAUGUUUCAACGCAAUUUUUCAACACAGAAUAAAAUUGUAGAAAGUAGGGCGAAAUUUCACAAAUUUUGCUAGAGGAUAGCCUUGGUUUUUCACAAAAUUUCAGAAAAAUUGUCCCGGAAUAAGUUUUUCCUGAAAUUCCACGUAAGAAUCUGGACUGNNNNNNNNNNNNNNNNNNNNNNNNNNNNNNNNNNNNNNNNNNNNNNNNNNNNNNNNNNNNNNNNNNNNNNNNNNNNNNNNNNNNNNNNNNNNNNNNNNNNCAAAACGCGACAAAUUUCACGUCAAACAGAUGAGUAUUCACCUAGGAAAAAGAUCAAACAGUUUCACACACAAACGAACCUUCCUUUCAACUCUGGCAGUGAUGAAUCAAAAAUUUAUUGAAAAUCUUGUGGGACGAAUCUAGGGCUCAAAUCUCAGCCAAAACUCAAUACACACAAUGAGGAAUGUAUAGUAAAAUUUUCAGACCAAAAGACCAAAGGAAUAGGGGGUAGUAAGACACAGACCAAGAGUGAACAAAACCGGUUUUUCGAAAACAAAAUGUCCUGACUUUUCUUCCCUAUAUCUCCUUUUUGUGAUUUGUUUAUGGACGUGCCUCCUUCGCAGGGUGCAAACAAGACAUGAAUGUACUUCUAUGAAUGUUUCAAUGCAAUUUUUCAACACAGAAUAAAAUUGUAGAAAGUAAGGCGAAAUUUCACAAAUUUUGCUAAAGGAUAGCCUUGGUUUUUACAAAAUUUCAGAAAAAUUGUCCCGGAAUAAGUUUUUCCUGAAAUUCCACGUAAGAAUCUGGACUGAAUUUGGGACAAAACGCGACAAAUUUCACGUCAAACAGAUGAGUAUUCACCUAGGAAAAAGAUCAAACAGUUUCACACACAAACGAACCUUCCUUUCAACCCUGGCAGUGAUAAAUCAAAAAUUUAUUGAAAAUCUUGUGGGACGAAUCUAGGGCUCAAAUCUCAGCCAAAACUCAAUACACACAAUGAGGAAUGUCUGGUAAAAUUUUCAGACCAAAAGACCAAAGGAAUAGGGGGUAGUAAGACACAGACCGAGAGUGAACAAAACCGGUUUUCCGAAAACAAAAUGUCCUGGCUUUUCUUCCCUAUAUCUCAUUUUUGUGAUUUGUUUACGGACGUGCCUCCUUCUUAGGGAGCAAAUAGCACAUGAAAGUACUUGUGUGAAUUUUUCAACGCAAUUUUUCAACACAAAAUAAAAUUGGAGAAAGUAGGGCGAAAUUUCACAAAUUUUGCUAGAGGAUGGUAGCCUUGAUUUUUCACAAAAUUUCAGAAAAAUUGUCCCGGAAUAAUUGUUUCCUGAAAUUCCACGUAAGAAACUGGACUGAAUUUGGGAAAAAACGCGACAAAUUUCACAUCAAACGGAUGAGUAUUCACCUAGAAAAAAGAUCAAGUAGUUUCACACACAAACAAACCUUCAUUUCAACCCUAACAGUGUUGCAUAAAAAAUUUGUUGAAAAUCUUGUGGGGCGAAUCUGGGGCUCAAAUCUCAGCCAGAACUCAAUUCACACAAUGACUAAUGUCUGAUAAAAUUGUCAGACUAAAAACCAAAGGAAUAGGGGGAAGUAAGACACAAAUCGAGAGUGAACAAAACCGGUUUUCCGAAAACAAAAUGUCCUGGCUUUUCUUCCCUAUAUCUCAUUUUUAUGAUUUGUUUAUGGACGUGCCUCCUUCGCAGGGUGCAAACAGCACAUGAAAGUACUUGUGUAAAUUUUCAUCGUAAUUUUUCGACACAUAAAAAAAUUGAAGAAAGUAGAGCGAAAUUUCACAAAUUUUGCUAGAGGCAUAGCCUUGGUUUUUCACAAAAUUUCAGAAAAAUUGUCCCUGAAUAAUUUUUUCCUGAAAUUCCACAUAAGAAUCUGGACUGAAUUUGGGACAAAACGCGACAAAUUUCACGUCAAACGGAUGAGUAUUCACCUAGGAAAAAAUCAAACAGUUUCACACACAAACGAACCUUCCUUUCAACCCUGGCAGUGAUGAAUAAAAAAUUUAUUGAAAAUCUUGUGGGACGAAUCUGGGGCUCAAAUCUCAUCCAAAACGCAAUACACACAAUGACGAAUGUUUGGUAAAAUUUUCAGACCAAAAGACCAAAGGAAUAGGGGGUAGGUAGACCCAGACCUAGAGUGAAUACAACCGGUUUUCCGAAAACAAAAUGUCCUGGCUUUUCUUUCCUAUAUCUCCUUUUUGUGAUUUGUUUAUGGACUUGCCUCCUUCGCAGGGUGCAAACAGCCCAUGAAAGUAGUUGUGUGAAUUUUUCAACUCAAUUUUUUAGCACAGAAUAAAGUUGCAGAAAGUAGGGCGAAAUUUCACAAAAUUUGCUAGAGGAUAGCCUUGGUUUUUCAUAAAAUUUCAGAAAAAUUCUCCCGGAAUAAUAUUUUCCUGAAAUUCCACGUAAGAAUAUGGACUGAAUUUGGGACAAAACGCGACAAAUUUCACGUCAAACGGAUGAGUAUUUACCUAGGAAAAAGAUCAAACAGUUUCACACACAAGCGGACCUUCCUUUCAACCCUGGCUGUGAUGAAUAAAAAAUUUAUUGAAAUUCUUGUGGGACGAAUCUGGGGCUCAAAUCUCAGCCAAAAUUCAAUACACACAAUGACGAAUGUCUGGUAAAAUUUUCAGAUGAAAAGACCAAAGGAAUAGGGCGUAGUAAGACCCAGACCAAGAGUGAACAAAACCGGUUUUCCGAAAACAAAAUGUCCUGGCUUUUCUUUCCUAUAUUUCCUUUUUGUGAUUUGUUUAUGGAUGUGCCUCCUUUGCAGGGUCCAAACAGCACAUGAAAGUACUUGUAUGAAUGUUUCAACGCAAUUUUUCAACACAAAAUAAAAUUGGAGAAAGUAGGGCGAAAUUUCACAAAUUUUGCUAGAUGAUAGCCUUGGUUUUUCAUAAAAUUUCAGAAAAAUUGUCACGGAAUAUUUUUUUCCUGAAAUUCCACGUAACAAUCUGGACUGAAUUUAGAACAAAACGCGACAAAUUUCACGUCAAACGGAUGAGUAUUCAUAUAGGAAAAAGAUCAAAAACUUUCACACACAAACGAACCUUCCUUUCAACUCUGGCAGUGAUGAAUAAAAAGUUUAUUGAAAAUCUUGUGGGACGAAUCUGGGGCUCAAAUCUCAGCCAAAACUCAAUACACACAAUGACGAAUGUCUGAUAAAAUUUUCAAACCAAAAGACCGAAGGAAUAGGGUUGUGUAAGACCCAGACCGAGAGUGAACAAAACCGGUUUUCCAAAAACAAAAUGUCCUGGCUUUUCUUCCCUAUAUCUCAUUUUUGUGAUUUUUUUAUGGACGUGCCUCCUUCGCAGGGUGCAAACAGCACUAAAGUACUUGUGUGAAUUUUCAUCGUAAUAUUUUAGCACAGAAUAAAAUUGCAUAAAGUAGGGCGAAAUUUCACAAAUUUUGCUAGAGGAUAGCCUUGGUUUUUAACAAAAUUUCAGAAAAAUUGUUCCGAAAUAAAUUUUUUCCUAAAAUUCCACGUAUUAAUCUGGACUGAAUUUGGGACAAAACGCGAUAAAUUUCACGUCAAACGGAUGAGUAUUCACCUAGGAAAAAGAUCAAACAGUUUUACACACAAACGAACCUUCCUUUCAACCCUGGCAGUGAUGAGUAAAAAAUUUAUUGAAAAUCUUGUGGGACGAAUCUGGGGCUCAAAUCUUAGUCAAAACUCAAUACACACAUUGAAGAAUGUCUGGUAAAAUUUUCAGACCAAAAGACCCAAGGAAUAAGGCGUAGUAAGACCCAGACCCAGAGUGAAAAUAACCGGUUUUCCGAAAACAAAAUGUCCUGACUUUUCUUCCCUAUAUCUUCUUUUUGUGAUUUGUUUAUGGACGUGCCUCCUUCGCAAGGUGCAAACAACACAUGAAAGUACUUGUGUGAAUUUUUCAACACAAAUUUUCAACACGGAAUAAAUUUGCAGAAAGUAUGACAAAAUUUCACAAAUUUUGCUAGAGGAUAGCCUUGGUUUUUCAAUAAAAAAAUUCUUUGUCACGUUUUUGCCUUUUAAUUAUUUAACAAUUUUCGUGACUCUUUCAAAUGCAACGGCUAUCUUAACCAGUUAUAGGAUCCAACAAGUAAAAAAUGUGAAGACAGAAGAAACUAAGUUUUUUUUGUAAUUUUUUUAUUGGGUCAUAUCUAAAUUCGAUUUUCUAGGAAUUAACAAGAUUUGCAUGUUUUAUCUGAAACUAAAUAAAACAAUCAGAAUUAUUAGAUGAUAGUAUUAUUAAUAAUUAUAGUAAUAUAAUUAUUCUUCAAUUUAAUCUAUUAAUUAAAUAUAUUUUUAAAAUAUGAAGUUGUUUAGUUUUUAAAUAUUAAAUUAUGUAGUCAUUUUCAAAAUAAUUUUUCUAAAAAGUCUAACAAUUUAUUUUGAAAUUACAAAUUUUAUAAAAAAACUUGUGACAAGUUAUAGUUCAAUCCAAUUUGUUCUUAUCUAUGAUUGGUUGAGGUGAUUGAGUAUGAUAAAAAACAAAUAAAGUUUAGUCCAAUCCAACUCCUUACACUUCUAACAAAAAUUAAAGAAAAAUAAUUUGAUUUAGGGUGAGUUUGGUUUUUGUCAAAAAAAAAAAAGUUUUAAUUCUUCAACUUUAUUUAUAAUUUUUUAAAUAAAACAAAAAUAAUAUUUUGAAAUUGUAUACUAUCAAAUAAAAUUUUAUAUUAUGUAGUUUUUAAACAAUUUAUAAAUUAUUACAUACAUAUUUUUAUUUAAAAAUAUUAAUUAUCAUUUUGAUAAUAAGGCUAUAAAAUAUUUUAACCUUGUUAGUUGGAAUGACAACUUAGUUCAAAUAAAAUACACUAAAGUCACCAACUCUAAAUACAAAUUCUUUCUUUGUAUUUGAUUUACACUAAAAAAAAUAAAAAAAAAUUAAAGCAGAUUAGUAGACUUAAUUAAAAUUAUACGAAUAAAUGAGUACUUUUAUCCGACUUUUACGUAAAAGUUAUAUUUUUGUUAGCUAUAUAUGUUUUAAUAUUCAUUUUAACAAUACGACUUUUGUUAUGAAAAUUUGAAAUUAUACUAUUUGAUGAUGACUUGUUCAUAUAUAUAUAUAUAUAUAUAUAUAUAUAUAUAUAUAUAUAUAUAUAUAUAUUUAUUGCAUUUACCUAUUUUUGUAUUUUUUUUACCAAAUUACAUCAUUUUGGUCAUUUUUCCUAAUUUUUUACACACCAUCAUCACCAUCCAAAAAACAUAGGCAAAAUAUUAAACAAUAUAAUUUUCAUAAUUUUUCAACUCUAUUACCAUGUUUUCAUCUUCUUCUUCCUCAACAUCAUAGAAUCAAUUUUAUUUUGGACCACAAAAUCUUCCAUUUCUCGACGUGUAUCAUUCCAAAUUGACUUGGGCGAAUCAAAAAGCCACAUUGUGUUCAUCUGUAUGUUAACCAUUUGUGCCGCGUAGUAUGGAUCUUGAAUCCCUUUCUCUUUCGAGACCUAUAUUGAUCGCUAAUGAACAUUAAACAAUCCAUCAAACUCUCCUUAACUACCUCUUUCAUGUCCUAAGCAUAUUAUGUUUGUUGGAAGAUUUCAUAAAUUAAAAAUAACAACAUUUCAUAAUAUAUAUUCAUAAUUUCUCUGUAUCCCUUGACCAAAAUUCUAAAUUCCCUUCUUGUUUCAAAUGCCUCCCAACACUUAUUUUUGUCUGAUUUCUUCCUUAUUCAUUAGGCUUUCUCUUUUGAAUCUUUCCACCUUCAUCUCCCAUAACUCUGUUAAUUCUCUUGGCUCUCUCACUCUUCAAAUUCAGCUCACUAAACUUGAUUUUGUGGUAAUCCUGUUAAGAGAGUCUGCAUUAGGUUUUCCACUUUGGGUUUCCCUCCCAUGCUUCUAAGCUCAACAAAUCAGUAAUUGUUGGAGUGAGGAACCUUAUGAGUCGGUUUUAUGAGUUGAGUUAAGUUUAAAGUAUGUUUUGUAAUAUGAAAAUUAGAGUCAUUUUGAGUCUAUCCUAAUGAGUGUUUGUUGGGCUUAUCACGUCAUCUGCUAUCGGACCACCCAUAAUAUGUUAUCCCACAUAAAGAGGUGAAGAGGUAUAAUGGAGAUCUCACAUCGACUAGAGCAGUACUAUCCAUUACUUUACAUAUUACUUUACAUAUUGUUACUAGAUCUCUGAGAAGUUGCAAAAGACUAACAAUUCCCAUUUGUUGCCUCUCAUCACAAGAUCUUAACACAUUACAAAAGAUUCACUACCACUUCUUCUAAAUCUGCCAAACUUUCUCUUCCAUUUGGGUAUCAAAAUGUUCUGAGAAGCCCUAUUCCCGCAGGUGAUGUUGGGUUUACCAAACCACCCCCACAUUCCACACAAGUCCUUCAAGAAUCUCUUUUUGCAUAUUAGUCCCAGACUGAAGCAAUGAAGAAGAUAGAGAGAGCAGCACUGAAGUUGUUGGCUCAUUCUUCUGCCUUUCUGCUGUUCUCUAAUUCCAAGUCUCCAUGAUGCUACUCCAACCUCUCACCUCUCUCUCAUUGCUUCAACCCAACAAACUUUUCAUAAUAUUCUCUUUACCUCAAAAUUUAUAAUACAAUAUUUUUAAGGUAGAAUGUGUUAAAAUUAUAUUAUUUAUGAGUUAUAUAAAUAUUAUUUUAUUAAAAUAAUAUAAGACUUAUAAAAGAUUAAAUAUAUUAAAAUUAUGUUAUUUAUGAAUUAUAUAAAUAUUUCAUUAUUUUUAAAAUAUUAUAAGAAAACGAAAAUAAAAGACUUAUCUAUUUGUAUUUAAUAAUAUUAAGAUUUUUUUUGGGGAUAUAUAUAUAUAUAUAUAUAAAAGAUGCACAUUUGAAGAUCAAUAUAAAUAUAAAUAAAUAAGAUGCAUAAAUUAAAUAAUAUAAAUAAAUAAAAUAAAUUAGUACAUAACUAAAAAUAAAUUAGUACAUAACUAAAAAUAAAUUAGAACAUAACUAAAAAUAAAUUAAAUAAUAUAAUAAAAAUAGACUAAUGUAACUAAAAACAAAAUAAAUAAAUAAAAUAAUUAAAGAGAAUGAGUUAUAAAAUAAGGAUUUAUUGAAAUUGUAUUUUUUUGUGUUCUCCUCUUUUCACCUCUCUAAUAUUUCUUUCUAACUAUACAGUGAUCUAUUUUUAUUUAUUUAUAUUUAUAUUAUUUAAUUUAUUUUUAGUCACAUAUUAAUCAUUUUUUAUUUAUUUAUAUUUAUAUUAUUUAAUUUAUCUUUAGUUAGAUAUUAAUCUAUUUUAUUUAUUUAUUAUUUAUAAAAUCUCGCUAAUAUAUUUAUAUUUCUUAAUUUAAUAUUUGUCAUUUUUUUUAAAAAUUUAUUGGCAAAUAAAUACUAUAAAAAAAUUGUAAGAGUAAAAAGUCAAUAAUAAAUAAAGAUUUAAAAAUAUAAUAAUUAAAGGUUAAAUCUUGUAAAUUUAAAUAAGUAAAUAUUAUUUAAAAUGAUGUCAUAUUGUAUUAUUCUGUCAACCAUACUUAAACUUAUUAAUUUCGAUUAGUCAAUACAAAACUAAUUAAAAUCUUUAUAACACAAAAUAAAAUAGAUUAUAUUGAUGAUAUUGUAAAGGUGAUUUGUGUCUUAAUUUUGAUAUGAUAUUAUUCUACAUGACAUUUGUUCUCAUUUUCCAUUUUUUCAAUUGUAUAUAAAAAAAAAUAUUAACUUAAAUAGAUGAAGAUGUGAAACUUUUCAAAUCUCUUUUCUAUAUUAUAGUAGUUUUAUCGAGAACAAGAUGGAAUAUAAAUAUCAUUGUCAAUUCCAUCACUUUUUCGAGAAACAUGUCUCCUUUGAUCUUGACAUUCAUUUCUGAUACGAAAAUCUUGAUCAUUCUAUAAGAACUAAUAGUGAUAACUUUGUAUGUCUUUUACCAUCUAUAUUAGUCCCUUAAUCAAAAUGGGUUCACCAAUUAUAUAAAGAAUGUAGUAGUAAUAAGAAAUAAAUGAUUUGUAGAUAAAAGAAUUUUUCCUUUCUCUCUAGGUCAUUAACAAAUAUGUAUGUAAAAUAGAAUAAAAAAUACAAUGUAAAAAUAUUUACCUCAUAUCUUCUUUUAUCAAAAGUUAUUAGAAAAUAAGUAUUUCUCAAAAAAUAAUUAUAGUAAUAAUCUGAUUAAAUUGAAAAAAAAAUGUUACAAUUAAGUGUGUGAUCUUAUGGUGUUAUGUCAAUAAUUGCUUCUAACUUCUCAACUUCAUGCUCAACAACGAGUUUAAAGUUGUUCUAUGUGAGUGUUAUGUAUUCAUAACUAAUAAUCAUGAGUAUUAAAUCAAUAGAUAUGAUUUACUAUUUAAAUAUUUCGUAAAAACCAUAUUUUUUUAGUUAUCUAAAUCUUAUUUGUAGGUAUAAUAUAAAUUAAUUUUAUUAAAGUACUUACUCAAUUCUUCCACCCAAUAUUCAUAUAUUUAAUAUUUUCAAUAGUUUUUAUUAACUUAAGCUUUGAAGAAUUAUUUACAAAUAUAUUUCUCAUCAAUAUUUCUCAAAGAUUCAGUGAUCAUAUCCUAAAAUAUCUAAUUAUAUUUCUAGAAAAUUUAUUCUUUCAAUGGAAAGUACAGCACUCAUUUUCUAUCAAAACAAUUAUCAGGUAAAAAAAGAGAAAUGAAAUUAGUCUUGUAAUAAAAGUGGAUGAGAUAAAAUGAUAGGUUGAAAGUAUAAAUCUUUCAUUAACAAAAACUACUAUAUCAAUAGCUACUUUUUUUUUUCAAAAGAAAAAAAAAUACUCUUACAAAGUUAUCGUAAAUAUACUUUAUAUGCUCUUUUCUCGGUAUACCUUCUGUCAAAAAUAAAAUAUAAUUACUCUACUACCUACUACUCUUUUAAAUCCUAUUUAUUGUCUGUUUAGAUAUAAAGUACAGCAUAAUAAAAUAAUCAUUAAAUCUCAUUAAAAGUCUGUUAUGGAAAUAAAUAUGGUUCGUUAUAUGUUAAAAGUACUUAUCACCGAGAAAUUAUUAUUUAAGUAAAACUUUGAGGGAAAUAAUAAAUAUUAUAUUAAAUGAUAUAUAGGCUGUACUUUGUUUUUAUUUAACAACUUUUAAGACAAUUAGAUAAGAUUUUUUUUUUCUCAAAAUAGUAUAAUUAAAAAUUUGAAUCUUCAUUGAAAUGAUUAUCAUGAACUCUUAUUUUGACACAUAUAAUUAACAACAAUCAUAGAUGAAAUUAUGUAGAAUUUAAGUAUAGAAAUUAUUCAAUGUAUAUAAAAUAAAAGGGUGACAUGAUCUUGAUAAAAAUAACAAAAUAUAUGAUAAAGCAUAACAUCAACAACGUUAAUGGUGAUAUAAUGAUAACUGCGAGGAUGGAUGUAACAAUGAAAAGAUGAUACCAGUUAUAAUAAAUGAUAACAAUCAUGAUAAAAAAAAAACCCAAAAAUAAAGAGUAAUAAAAUAUUAAAAGAAUAAAAAUUACAACUAAAGUUACACAUUGAUAAAAAUAUUAAUUUAGUUGUUACACUUUUAUAAAAUUAGACUUCGAAAUUAUAAUUUUAAACUAAUUCAUGUAAAUGAGAUUAAAUUAUUAAAUUCUAUUAAAAACUAAACUUAUUAAAAAUGUGUAACUCUCGUUUAAUGUAUUGAUAUUAUUAUUGUAGUGUCAUCUGAGUCCAAUAUUAUGUAUAAAGAAAUGAUCUACUGAUAUUAAUAUUAUUAGAGCAUCACGUAAGUUAAAAAAAUUUGGAUAAUCAAUGUUAAAUAAAAAAUAAUAUUUAUUAUUGAAUUAAGCUAAUAAUUAGUAAAAAAAAUAGAAUGAUAAUUUUAAUAUUUAUUAAAAAAUACAUAAUAUAUAUAUAUAUAUAAAUUAAAAGUUCAUGAAUUAUUGAUUAUACUAAAUAUUCUAGAUUUAAAAUUAUCAAUAUUUUUUUCUAUUAACAAUUUUGAAUAUCCAAUUCUAUAGUCCUACACCUACAUUUCUUGCUUAAUUUUACAGGUGAAACCGACAUUAAAAGUUAAAAAAAAAUAAAUCCUGAGAGUAAAAAAUAUUAAAAAAAUAUGAGAAGGGUGAAGAAGAAGUGUCGGUGAUGUCACCAGGGAGAAUUAUUGGGCAACAUCCUUUGUGGCUCAAACUCAUUGGUCCGUUAUACAAUCAUACAUCAAAUAUGCAUCCAUGGCUCCACCACUAUUUCCCAGCUGUAUCACCACCACAUCAUACAUCAAAUCUACCAUUCAAUCAUCAUUCAUACAUGCAUAUAUGCCAAUCACCAACCACAUCAAUAACCUUUUCUUCUUUCAUAUAUUAUGCUCUUUAACGUCUCUCCUAUGUAUCAUUCAUUCAAUUUUAUUUUUAUUAUUAUUUAUCACUUAGUUAUGCCUUCUAUUGUUUUCUCUAUUAAACGUGUUAACUCUUACCAUUAAUUACCAAUAAAUCAACUCCUUUUCCAUAAUGUCACCGACGCUAAUUAGCAACUAAGUAAAGCUUUAUAUUAACGAUUAAAAUGUACUUCUUUUCCAAUUCCAUUCUCAACAACUCAUUUUUUAGAGUUUGAUUUUCAUGUAUUGUGUCCGAUGAUAAAGUUCCCAGUAUUGUUGGAUUUUUCUGCUUUCAAUUAAAAAUACCAAAAAUUUUAUUUAUUUUUUUGAGUCCUAGACGAAGAAAUAAUGAUCCACAUGUGUUAAUGUCUGCUCUGAUUUUAUAUUUUCUCCACGUAAUGUUUUGGAGGAAAAUCUCGUUGAAAUUAUAAAUGAAGAUUAAAAAUUUAAUUUAACCUUGAAUAUGUGACAUUAUAAAAGAGUGGUAAUGCAAGAGGAAAAACUUAUUUGGGUGGGCCCCCAAAUGCGAAGCUUCUGAACCCUAACCCAAACUCGUUGAUCCAACGGCUAGUGGGGGCCCAUCUGAUAGGGACCCCACUUCCCCAACACCAAUAGCUGCCUGAGUGACAGAUGAAAGCAGAGGGUCCUGUCCUAUAUAUUUAUAAACCUUCUCCCACACUUUUCACUCUCCCUCUCAUAAAAAACCAACAGAACUCAAUGGAUCGGAAAAGUCUUCUGUCUUUCGCACUCAUCGCCGUUGUUGUCGCCGCCGUCGGAGGGCAGUCUCCAUCGGCGGCGCCCACCACGACCCCUCCGGCCUCCACCACCACUCCCUCUGCAUCCCCAGUCACUACCCCUUCUAAGCCUCAAUCACCGGCGCCGGUUGCUUCUCCCACCUCAUCUCCACCAGCUUCCUCCCACAAUGCUGCAACCGCAACCCCCGCAUCAACUCCCACGGCUUCGCCUCCGUCCAAAACUGCCGCUCCAGCUCCAGCGACCAACCCCCCGGCCUCCACACCUCCGUCUGCCACACCUCCGGCUGCUACACCUCCAGCGGUCACACCUCCAGCAGCCACACCUCCGUCUGCCACACCUCCAGCAGCUACACCUCCGGCUGCCACACCUCCAGCAGCUACACCUCCGGCUGCCACACCUCCAGCAGCCACACCUCCAGCAGCCACACCUCCUGCAGUCACACCUCCAGCGGCCACACCUCCGACUGCCACAACUCCAACAGCCACACCUCCUGCGGCCACACCUCCUGCUUUGACCCCAGUGAGCACACCGCCGGCGCAAGUUCCGGUGAGCUCUCCCCCUGCACUGGCACCGACAGUUCCGGCACCCGUGGUAGCACCGACUGCUGAGGCUCCCGCUCCGGCCCCGAAGAAGAAGACGACCAAGAAGAGUAAGAAGCACACUGCACCAGCACCGUCGCCAACAUUGCUCGGACCUCCCGCUCCACCGGUCGGAGCUCCGGGAUCCAGCCAGGAUGCGUUGGCUCCCGGUCCAGCCUCAUCUCAGAACGAGGUACGUGUUGCGUUAAAAGAAAAACUGCCAUUCACUAUUCAUACUACGCAAACAAUGUUUUUACAACUGCACACUUUUUUUAUCAAAUAAUGCAUAUAAAAGUAGAAAUAAUUCAUAUGUGCACCAAUUAUUAGACUAAUUACAAACAAAUGUCUUCAAAUUUUUACACUUAAGAUUAGUCUUGUUUUGUCUUUGGUGUCACCCUCACCCCAUUGGGUUAGUCUUCAAAUUAAAUUCUAAAAUCUAAAUGUAGUUUUCUGUGUGUAAACUUUGGUUUAACUUUACUGUUUGUGCAAAAUAUGGAUCAGAUCUGGAUUUUACAAAUGUAGUUCAGAUCUUCGGAGUGAGAUGAGACAUUGAUAUGCUUUGUUGACUCUUAACUUCAGUUGGGUUUUUAGUUGACUUCAAUAUCAUAGAACUCAUGUCUUGUGUGUCCAUUCUUCUAGAAUGGAUUUGGUUAAGGGUUUUGUUAGUCCCUUUUUUUAAAUCCUUCUUCUAGAAUCCACGUGAACUUGGUAAUUGAACAAUACAUAGCAAAAUCAUGAUUUUUUAAUAAAAUCAAAGAGUUCAGUCGCUGUCGGGAUAAUGUAUCAUGCUUUGGUCGUGCAUAUUUACUGAUUAUGUGUUCAUGUCUUUCACAAUAUUAUGUAAAUUUUUGAAUGUACUGAAUUGGAUCUGAGAUUUACACAUUGCAGAGUGGAGCUGAAAGCAUGAGGUGCUUGAAGAAGGUGAUAGGAUGCUUAGCAUUGAGCUGGGCUACCCUUGUUUUGAUCUUCUAGAGAAGAGGCUCAGACUUCAUGGCGGUUGUUACAUAUUAUUGUAUCAUUUAUUGUCUUUUUUGGCCCUGUCGGGGCCAACAUUAAAUUUAUUUGCUAUUGUUUUCUUCGAUCUCUUGUUACUUUUUACAUAUAUAAAUAAAUAAAUAUAAUUUAUGAUGUUCUUACUUUUAUUUUUGUAUUCUUUAAACCCUUGUCCUGUGUUUGUCGUGUUUUAUCUUGGGAUUGCUUGAAGAGGUUGGCACCGACACUACAACGUCUUUCUAUUUUUAUAUUUUAUUCUAUUUCAGUUUCUGCUAAACUUUCUAUUCCAGGUUUAACAACGACUUCAGCUAAGAAUCACACUAUUCUAGUUUUAAAAUAGAAAAUGAUAGUUUGAUUUGAAGGGUGAUUUUAGGUUUUAUAUAUAUCGUUAAUUUUUAUUUAUUUAUAUAGUGUUAAAUCAUUUAUAUUAAUAUAAAAUUUAUAAAUAUAUUACUUUUCAACGGUAGAUGUAGAUAUAAAUUAAUGCAAUAAAAGUAUUUAUAGAUAUAACAGUCUAUAAAGCAAAUUAUGUUAGUUUAAACUAAUUUAUCCUUUAAAGUAUCGGAUUCUUUUUACAAGAAAAGAAAUCCAAUUAAUGUGAAUAACUAUUUGCAUAUUAAGUCCCAUAUUGGAAAUAAUUAAUGAUAUUAUAAAUCUAAGACAUUCAGCUAUAUAUUAAUAAUAAAUAGUCACGUGACUAUUCAAAAAACGCACAUUUAAAUAUAAAUUUAACAAUUUAAAUACGAUUAGCUUUUAUAUUUAUCAUUCUGAUUCUGAUUUAUUAUGCUAAUUUAGAAUUAUCGCUUUAUUAAUCAAUCUAUCUAGAAUGUUCGAAUUCAAAUUCUAUUUUUAUACCUGCAUUUCUCAUAAUUACAAAAGUAAUUAUUGUUUUAAUAGUUAGCUAUUUAAAGUUAAAAUAAUUAAAUAAUUAAUCGGUACUAAUACAAUCGAUACAGUAACUCUUUAAAACAAUUGACGUGUACUGAUAUAAUUGUCCUCAAUAAAAGAGAAAAAUAUAAGAUAUUUUAGUAUUGAAGUUAGUACUUGUAAUCAUAACAGUGUAGGUAAAGUAAGAUGUACUUGGCAAGGUUACAACGACACUAUUUAUUUGUAAGAUUUAGCAAUUUUACAUCAUUGACUUUUCUUGUUUAUUCUGAAGAUUAACCGUUGAUCCCAUUAAAUAUCAUCACAUGCAACGUGUUACAAUAGUAAUUGUGUGAUUUUAUAAACUGUACAUUCUGUAACCUUAAUUUGAAAAUUUAACAUUUUGUACAAUAGUAAUCGUGUGAUUUUAAACUUUAAACAAUGUUUUUAUCUCAAAUUCACUAAUUUUAUCUAUACAAAAUGUCUAAAAAAAAGUUAAAAAAAUAAUAUAUAUUUAAAUUAUUAUUCACAUUGAUUCUUAAGUAAUGUAAAACUAUUAGAUAUAUCAAAACAAUUUCAUAAUUGUAACUUAUUUUAGUAUGUCUAAUAGUCUCACAUCGCCUAAAAAUCGGAAUCAAUACUAAUUUAAAUACGUUUUACUUUAUUAAACCUUAAAAUAUUUAUUAAAAAUGUUAUAUUUUAGAAUGUUUGAGAAACAGAUUUUUAAUCUCAUUCUCAAAAAAAUAAAAAGUUCUUUACCACUUUGAUAUAAAAUUAAUCCUUAUUUUUCAAGCAAUAUUUCUCCGUCUUUAUAUCAUUCCAAGACAAAACAACUGUUUAUUUAAUGAGUACUAUUGGAUCAACUAAAUGCAUUGGCAACAAGUUAUGAUUAAUCUUGCAGAUGAUACUUAAUGAAAUUUAGUGCUCUCUUUUUGGUUAGGCCACUUCUAACUUUAUUCCACAAUUUGUUCUUGUUUUCUUCGAGACGGUAGACCUAACUUUAUCAAGUAAUAAUGCGUCAUUUUUAUGAUAUGCAAUUAAGCUUCAACUAACUUCACAGGCGCCAGCUUGCACAUUCAGUAAUAUUAACUCUAAUUUCUUUUCGUUUUCCAAUUGAAGUGAACCAAAUCUGAUGAAACCGUGAAAGUUCUACAGAUUUGCCACCCAAAUUCUGAGAUCAUUCGUAUCAGUGACAAUUGACAGAGCCUUGUGUUUUUAUCAACUUGUCGCGUGCCACAGAAAAUUGCAGUGACCACAAAAGGCCUUAUUAGUAUAGAAGUCUCUUUUAGACGCUACUGCACCUUGUGGUUUCACUUGCACGUGUAGGCAUGGCUUACAAGAAUUAAAAGCAUGCUCAGUGCAGCUUUCAUUGUCACAUUUUUCUCGUAUCAUAUGGAAAAUUUCUCGGCUGUUUCUUUACUUGCAUUGCAGCCUAGGAAGACAUUCCUCUUAAAUAAGGUGUGUGUCGGAUACUCAUAUUGGACACCGACCCUUGUAUGACACGUAUCUGUGAAAUGUUCAAUUCAAAAAGUAUUUGUUGAAUUUUUGACAAUUUUAAUAUGAUUCUAACACAAUCUUAAAAAAGAAAAAACAUUAAUUUUCUAAAAACUCAAACUUAUUUAUAAAUUUUUAUUAUAAUUAUAAAAAUAAGAAACAAAUCAUUUUGAACCAGUCAUGACAAAACAUUAUUUGCUCCAAAAAAUAAUCUGAAACAUACUUGUGCACAUAAAUUUUUAUUGUCAAUUUAUAUAAUUCAUAAUUAUAUAAUAUAUAGAUCUGUGUCCUCGUGUACUUUAUUUUAGAGAUUAUACGUAUCUUUGUGUUCGUGUCCAUGUGUCUCUGUUACAUGGAUCCAACCAUAUGGAUUUGUUUUUGUGCUGGCUAGAGACCACAAAUUUAUUUGCUGUGGGUAGUGUCUUUUUCAGCUGUGGUCAAGACUGAAAGAGUGUUGUACAUCAUCUUUCUUCAAGCACAAAUAUAUCGGAACUCACAUUUUUACCUUUCUGAGUUUCCUUCACUGGGACGAAACGUUCAAUGCCAAAAUCGCACUCAAUGAAUUUACUUUUAGCCACCAAAGGCAACCGGUAAGAUUUGAAAAAAAUUCCUCUAAUAUUUGUUUCCUUAAAUUAAUGGUUUCAUAUACAACGACAAUGCACCUUAAGGAUUUGUUUUGAAUUUCAGAGUAGAAUUGAAAUAAUGAAUUUGAAGGACAAAUAUGAAAAAAAUAAGUUGUUUCAUUAAGGUUAAAUAGAGUAAAAAAUAAAGAUUUUUUUUGUAAAAAUUGGUGGUAUUUGACUGUGCAUACUUUUUAUAUUUUUUGGUUAAAUAUUUUCUCAUGAAUCCUAAUAACGAAUUUCAAAAAAUGACGUAAUUAGACUUCAAUUAUGCUUUACAAAUAAACUAAUUUCACAUUAAUUAAUUAAAUAAUGUUCUUAAAAAUUCUGUUUAAACUUAAGUAGACGGAGAGACACGCCGAUUAUCGACCAACCAUAGUACAAAUCAAAUUGAAUAAAUCAAAUCAAAUUCAAUAAAUCAAGGCGUCGUUUGUAUUAAUUAUCUAACUGCAAUACUAAAAUAAUAGGUCACAUUUUAAAUCGGUUAGUUAAUAGUUCAACCGAUCGAUAUUAAAUAUAUAUAUAUAUAUAUAAUUUAUAGGUAAUAAACUUUAUAAAUAAAAAUUGCGACAUAAAUAAUAAAUAAAUUGACCUAAUGAUGUAUUUAAAUUUAGUCAGAAAGGGAAUCUUGGUUGAAGGCCACCCUAAAGAAAAUUAUGCUUCCGUUUCAAUCAACAAAUCCAAUAAAUCAACUAUCUAAUUCUAACGAGAAAGAGAAUUGCCAACAGUUAAAUAAGUUAUGAUUUUGGUAACAGAAUUAUCAACUAGUUUAUAUAAGUUGCCUAUCAUUAUCAUUACCUUCAACCAUAACACAUCAUAUAAUCUUAUGGUUACUAAUUAGUAAUUGAUUAGUAAAUAGAAUGCUAUACAAGAAAGAAGAGGAUAAGACAUGAACAUAAAAAUAAGAAUAAUAACAAAGUAAAAAGAAAUAUCUAAAUAAAUAUAUGACCAUCACCCUAUAACGAAAUUUUAGUUCAACCUAAUGCUACCACCCUUUGAUUCACUGCUAUAUUGCAAUUAUCACAAACAAAAUUGUGUUUGCAUAUGAUACAACUUCCAAAGAAUUCUUUAUAUACAUCUAUGAGGUUUACAUUAUAUCAUGAUAGACAGCUCGAUUUCUUAAUUCUUAGAAACCAAAAUCUUGAUCAGUUGUAUGACAAUAUGAUUGUGUAAAUUGUUCUUGCAAUGGUGGACUAGAAUAUGCCAGCCACAAUAACCAGGAAAACCACUAAGCAAUAGUGGUUCAGACAGGCUCAUAAUGGCUGAAGUUCCUGCUCUUGAACAGCUACAUUAACUGGCUCGUAUGAUUGCUCAGCUUGCUGUCUGUUUCUCCAAAUUAAGAAUACUCCUAAGGCUGAUAUUCCUAGAAGCAAUGUAAGCAAAACAGCUAAAGCCACAGUCAAAUAAUAUUGCUGCCACCAAGUCCUGCAUAAUUUCAGAAAAAUGUGUUUAAUGGUUAUAGAAAAAUGUCUAAUCUAUGUACUUCAAAUAAAUACAAGACUGAAGAUAUUACAGCUACACACACAUGACAAAGAGAUCACAAAAAUAGACAACUACAAUAAGAAACAGAAUUUUGAAUCAACAACCAUGCAAGAAGGUUAAAUAGGAUAAUGAGAUGUCUAAAAUUUGAAAAGAACAGAGGCUGUUUUCCCACUUGUCCCAAAAGUUUAUUUAUGACAAUAUAUUUGCAUGACAAACUGGUAAAAAUAAAAGUGAGUAAUAAAAUUUUAUGGAUCAAAAUAAAAUUAAUAUUUCCAAAUAAUUACACUUCGUUCUUCCAUUGAACUACUCACUAAGGCAGAAAGCAUGCCACAGGCUACUACGCAAUAAAGUGAAAAAUAUAAGGAUUUAAUAUACUGCACCCACAUCUACACAAGGAGCAUAGUAUGUGAGAACAUGAAAAAUGAUAAUAGCUAAUCUUGAGCAAUUGUUGAAGUCGGUCAUAAAUUGAAUUAUACUAUUUAGAGACUAUGAAAAUUAAAUUUAAAGUCAUAUACAUCAUAAAUAGUGUUCAAUGUACUAAUGUUAAACUAGAAACAAAGCAGCUUAGCCAUAAGUCUCAUAAAACAAGUUAAUUAAGUUUAUGAAACCACUAUUUUUGAAGAAGGAAACAGUCAAAUACAGUGCAAGCCUUGAACAAGUGAGUGACAAAUAAAGUAGUGGAAUAAUCAAAUAGGAUAAGUUCAAAAGUUGAAGCAAUUAAGGCUGUCAAAAAAGAAUUGCAGCAAUGAAGGCUGCUAAAAAAAAAAUAUUGCAGAAACAGAGUGUCCCAGAUCAGGAGCUCUAAUACCAAGUUGAAAGAAAUAGAUGAAAUGUUUUUCUAAUCUAUCUUACAAAUGUGAUUACAGUCUCUAUUUAUAGACUGUUUUACAACCUAAUUAAUAGGUAAUAAAAACCAGAAAUAAUGGGUGUUUAAAGCUGUACAAAUCAAAUCAAAUCACUAACAAAUCUGUCCUAAUAAAUAUAGAAUGAAAUCUGCACUUAAUUACAGCAUAAUUCUCCUGAUUAUGCAACAGGAACCAAAAACAAAACUUGGUAAUUUAUCAAGAAUCAAAAACCAAAUUUAAGUCUAAGUGAAUAUUGGUAUCUAUAAGUAUGAAAAGGCCUGCAUAUGUUUUUACAAACAUCAGAUGUGGAAAGCAACACAAAUAACCUUAAGCAUGAAUUUUAAUAGAUUAGUGCAUUAGACUUACCAACCAAUCUACAUCAGUAAAACUAGGUACCUCAUUAUUGCAUGAGUUAAAUAAUAAAACUUUCAGUUAUGCAAGCACAAGUACAUGAUGGUAGGAAAGAUAAUUAUCUGACUUGUCCUUUCAAGAAAACAUUUACCGUUUCAAUGGAGGCUUGGCAUUCCAACCAAGAAACUUAUAACUUCCGAGUGAGUCAGGAAGUUGCAUUCGAUGUUCAGAAAGCCGGGCAAUCAUACUCUGUUACAUAAAAAAUCACAAUCAAAUGGGCAGUCUUUACCAAAAUGCAAAUGCACAAAUUUCCACUUACCAUUGCGGUGGCAUUUGAAAAGAAAUCAGCAUAUGGCCUCGGUGUUAUGAGCCAUUUAGAGAGAGAACCAUUUCCAAGAGAAGAAACAUUCAAUAGGUGAACCUGUGAGCAUUCCAGCCAAUUUGUUGUCAUCAUAAAGUAAAAAUACACAUCAACAGGGAAAAUUUACCCAAAAAUGCAUAUUGCUUUAUCACUAUUUUGGAAAGUUGUCACAUCAACUAAAAGUAAAAGACUGAGCUCUACCCAAAUUCCAGCGCUCAUCAUCCAAAUGAGAUUGUGAAGGUUAUAUUAUGAAUAUUGUUAAUUAAACUUUUAUACUGCAUCAAAUAUAAUUAAAGAUGCAAGUAUUCAACCAAAUUUUCUGCACUUCAGUGACCAUUUCCUAACCUGGGAAGUAUUAACAUCUAACUCGUUAGCAAUGAGUCCAGUCAAUUGAGUGAUGUAAGGCUUCAUUUCCAUGUAGCUGAUAUUAAAUGAAAUUACAACUAUUAUUUGAGCAAUUUGGAGUUCACCUGCACAUUUAAGUUGAUGAAAGCAGAUUAGUCAUCAGUGAGCAUAUAAAUCACAAAUAGAUGGCAGCAAUUUCUGAAAAAUAUACAAAUAAACUAAAACAGAGAACUCUUUUAUCAACGAGUAACAUCUGAUCCAUGUUUGAACAUGGUACUUCUGCAUCCAAUAAAAUUAAAACAGAAGCUCUUAAUACCUAGCGGUAAAUUAUACUGUGAUGGGGAGGGGGAGGGAGCAACAGAGGGCUCAAAUGCUUUGGUCAAAUUUGUUCCUUCAGAUUUUGGAGACAAGGGUGGUGGGGCAUCUGAGACAUGUAGUCUUUCCCAUAACUCCGAACAAUUAGUCUUCCAGAAACCAAUUUUUGUAUGCUCGCGAUCAUACAUCACAAGAGUGUUACGAACAACAAUACCUACACAAAUAAAAGAAUGAUCACUAAAGUAUAAGACAAACCCAUACUAAAUAAUAUUUAAAAGCGAGGGGAAGUAUUAAAUGGCAUGAAACUUCGCAUACUAAAUAAGUUAUACCUCCUAAAAGAGUAGUUGGAUCAUUGCCAUUUGAAAAAACCCCUAGACAAUAUGCACCUCGCACUUUUAAAUGCUUCAUAAAAGACAACCGCGUUAAAGAUAGGGAUAAGAAAACCAAUCAAUCAAGAAACACAACAAAAGAUAUUAAUGAUUUUAUUGCAUAACUAACCCGAAACAGGUAAUUUUCAGGUGACAGUGACAACUUGUGACCAUUUUCAAAUACCAUGUCAACUACCGGAAAGCUUUUAGAGAGUUGAGAGACAUCACUGAAAUACAAGUAAACUCAAAACUGUUAAUUAAGCAGCAUCCGUGUGUACAUUCACUCAUUAAAAGUGCCACUUACCUUCCUGCACCAGAAAAACAUAUAUCAUUAUAACGUGGAUCUGGACCACUUAUUCGCUUCAAUGAGUGAGUGUCCUUCAUAAUCUGCAAUCAGAUAAAUACAUAAUUCAAGUAAUCAGUCAUAAAAGAGAAAUAUAUGGCAUACAGAAUACUUGAUUUUAUAUUGCAAACAGGAAAACUGAUUUAUGAUACCAAAAUAAUGAUGAUGAGAGGUUACAAAGGACUCUCACCGAAUCCACAAUAGAAAGCACAUUCAUUUGACUAACCAAUUGGAUUUUCUAAAUGUAUGAGCUGUUAAGGGAGAACAUCCCAGAGAAAUGAAUACCGAAAUACAUCAAAAUUAGUUAUAAUCUUAAAGCAUUGUCACUAUACUGCUGUUCCAAAAAUUAAUAGCUAAUAAUGACUGUUAAUAUUGCAUCACAUGUUGAUUAGAAAACUCAUCGAGACUUUGAAAAAGAAGUAAAGAACCAAAAAAGUGACAUGAGAAUUGAAGCAUCUUUAAACUUCUAUUUAGAUAUCAUAGAAUACCAAUAACCAGUAUGGCAAAAAAUGCUGCCAAUUCAAAUAAAGAAAAUCUAUAAUGAUUCAGAGCACCUUUAACUACACUAUAAAGAGAAAUCUGUUCAGAGAGGUUAAAAGCAUACACUUUUAGCAUUUCACUAACUAAAUGUAAUGAACGAACAACCGUCCAAAUAUUUUUAUAAUUGUACUGAAAAAUUAAAGGUAAGUUUUACCAUUGCAGCAAAAGAGAAAUCUGUUCAGAAAGGGCAAACAGCAUAAAGUUUUAGCAUCCCGUUAAGAGAUAUAAAGAACAAACAUCCAUACCAUGAAUUUUAAAAUUGUUCUAAAAAAUUUAAGCUCUUAUCAAAGCAUCAAAGUUACUUUACCAAAAAAGCGAAGUGCAAUGAAUAAAUAUUCAGUAAAUUAAAAAAGAAAUCCAAUAAAUAACUCAAGUCACUUAAAACCUCCAAUUCCAAGGGAAGACCAGGAUCAUGAUUGAAAAGAAGAAUAUGUCUGCAGCAAUAUUUGUAUAAUGGGGAUGAUUCACCUACAACAGCUCUAAGAGGUGCCUCCUAUAUGUGCAAUAGGGAAUUCAAGACCUCCCUGGAAAUCUUUAAAAUUGAAAAUUUUUAUUAAAAAAAAUACCUUUAUGACUCCAUUACAAUUUUGUUCUAUCUCACCUCAUAACACAGGAAUGACAACUCUCACUGAUUUGAAAACAAGUCAAGGUUUUUAGAAAAUAUGUGAGAAUAAAAAUUGUAACUCAAGCAUUUAUACAGUGAUGUCUAUGACAAAGAACUUACAGCAUCUUUAAAUGCAAGAAAUGCUGAUUCUGGUAGGUAUGCGUAAGUCGUGCCACUAUCCAAUACAGUUCCAUGCUUCCCAUCAAAAACCUUUGGGUUUAAAUUCAGUCGCUUCCCCGCAACAUGUACCUCCUUCAAAUUUAUAUUGUAAUAUGGACUGUCGCCAUCCCAAAACUAGAGUAAAUGUGUGAGAUUAAUAAAAUGCAUUUGUUAAGAAAAUGCAUGACAUCUCAUAUUUGUAAAAUAAGAAAUUUGACACACACCUUCGACCGGGAUCUGAAUGUGUAAAAACCAUGUCAGCUGGGGGAGAUAUGCCACCAAGAACCAUAGCACCCCCACCAACACCCAUUCCACCAUAGCACAGUGAGAAUGCAUCACUUAUCACCUUUUUCUCAACCAGUUGGUCCAUGAUACUUAGAUCUCCACGGCCCAAACCCAUGAUUCCAUCAGCAUGCUGAGUAUAAAGAUCCCCAGUCUCAUCAUUUUCACAGCCAAAAGUAGCACGUUGAGGGGAAAGCUCACUCUGAUUUCCAAAGGAUAUGACAUCCUCACCAAGGACCCCACUGCUAGUACUCAUUUCUGCAUACCGUCUCUCAUACGUGCACUGCUUCCUGUCUGUGUCACAGUUGCACUGCCAUGUGCAUUUUACAGGUUGAUAGGUUUCUGAAUCUUCUGGCUGGAACUUUGGAUCCUUUUAAAAUAAAUUGGGCACACAAAUCCAAUCCACUUCAGAUAAAUCAGGUGAGAUACACAUGCAUGGACACUACAAUUUCCAUUCUUUUAAAGUCUAUUUUAAGUUGAAAUAAAUGACAUUCAAAAACAAACUAAACGCAGAAGAGGCAUACGCAAUCUACCAAACAACAUUAAAGGAGUUUUGGUAGUUCGUAGAAGUGAAAAUUGGAGGAAUGAAAAUGAAAUUCAGUAUCUGGAAUCUAGACUUAUCUGGUAUCUGAGGGAGUCAUCAAUUUUCAGUCCUCCACUUUUCCAUUUUCACAAAUAUACAAAGCACACCCGGGAGUGUAUAUGUAUAAAAAUAUCAUAUAACCCCUUCAAUGUGUAUUUUUAUUAUAAUUAUAAUUUCACCUUAGUACCUCACUCAACUUCCUCAAAACUGAUCAAGCCUUACAAGAAUUUGAGAUCUCAACACACACCCCUUUAGGUCACUCACCUCGGACUAGACACUCAGAGCAUGAACAGAUGCAGACCAACAACAACCCCCUUCACCCUACGUAUAGACAUCUUGAGCACAAAUAAAUGUGACUCAAUAUAUGGGCUUAAGGCCUUGAAAGUGAAGAUAGUCCUUAUAAUAAGGAACAUUUAGGUAUAGAUCGUCAAGUUGGCCUCUCAAUGAUUUUCAGAAAACCGAGUCAUAUCCAUAAUCAAAUAGAACCUUUUUUACACAAAUUUAAUAAUCAACCAAAAUAUUGAUCCAGACAUGUGAGAAUGGCAUCCGGAAACACUACCUGGUGUUUACCACAGUGUUGGCAAGUAGAGCAUGGGACAUAGGUCACAGUGCUUCCCGUAUCAACAAUUAGAGCAAACCUCUGCGGAGGAGUACCGAUCCAAAGCCGCGUCGUGUAGUACCUACUCAUCCCAUUUUCCAAAACACACACAUAAUUACAAAAAAAAAGUGCGAAAUUAUUUUGAAAGAAAGGAAAGGAAGCGAUGCAGUGAAAGAGACGAACCCGUUCCGGAGGAGAUCGUCGUAGAGCCUCAUGCGAGCGUCAGGGUGGCGUUGGGACUGCGAUCUCUGAAGUUGACGACGCGGGCUAAAGUCAGAGACGGAAGAAUCAUCGGGAACAGAGUGGUGUAGAGGAAGAAUCAUAGCAGGGCGAGAACCCUCGUUUGGUAAGAGUAACACUUCGCCGGAGUCCCCGGUGGCAACAACCCACUGCGCCAGGGAUAGAAUUAGGGACACGACGGAGAUGAGUUGCGUCCGUUGCAACGCCAUGAGUAAAACUGGUUCAAGCGAUGGCGCAGAUCGAAACCAGACAGGAACUGAAGACUGAAGACUCCACCAAGAAAAAGAGUCUCAAUUUAGACAAAGGAGAGAGGAGAAAAGUCAAAGUAUCCUCUGCUGUGCCUGAAACCAAAAAUAUCCAUUUUCGCUUAUUUAAUUUCUCGUUACCCAACUUGACUGUUCUACUAUUCGUGUAACCAUCACCUCUUUUUUAAGAAAAAAAAACUAUAUUCUCAAUAUCAGACAUAUGUUACUAUGUACGGUUGGUCGGAAAAAAAUAUUAUCAAACUUUGAGAUUUUUCAAAGUUUAAUUUUUUGAUACCGAGUUUCAAAGUUUAAUGGUUGGACGAUAUUAAUAGAAUAAUAAAAAUAAGAAUAUUCAGGAAAAAGAUAUAAUAUUACUAAAAAUUAGAAAAAAUACUCUAACAUUGAAAAUACUCCUAAAACAUUAAAUUUAUCAUAAUGUUUAUCUCAAAGUUUUAAUGAUACAUAAUAAUAUUUUUCUAACAAUGAUAAACUUAAAUUUAGAAUUGAAAGGAAGAUAAUAAAUAUUUUAUACUUUUUAAGAAAAAUUAAACUAAGAUUAUAUUAAGAAUUUCUUACUAAAAACUUCAAAUAAAUGUUUUCCAUUAAUUAGUUGUAAAAGAAAUUUUUAUUGAUAUUUUGAUUUUUUUAAUAUUUUUCAUCUCAUUAUUAAAAUUUAAUAAUUUAGUUAUAUUGAAUUAAUAUUUUAAAAUUAUAAUAAAAAAAUUAAAAAAAAUAUGUUUUAACAACAAUAUAUUGAAUUUUUGAGUAUAAUAUGCUAUGUAUACUAUUUAUAGAAUUUAUAUACUUUUAAAUAUGUUGUGUUUCUAGUAAGAUGUGUAAAAGGUGUAUAUAACUAUCGUAUAAUUAAUGAUGAUAUGUAUUUUGGAUAAUAUCAAGUCUUUAAUAACAAUGAUGAUAAUCUCGAAACUCAUGUUAGGAGAUAUUAUGUCUUCAUCGACAUGAUUUUAAGUCAUAAAAAAUUAAAAUGAUAACUAUAUUUGGUAAUAAAUAUACAUUUGAUUUUAUAAUAAAAAUUUGAGUAUCACAUGAGACGAAAGAUAUAAGUCUAUUAAGUUUAAGAUAGGUCAAAUGUUAUCUUUCAGUAAAAUUCGAUAUCUUAGUUUUAUAAAAGUAUCUAGAAGACUUUUCAUGAUAUGAUAUUGGGAAAAUAAUGGUUUUUGUUUGAAUAUUUGUUAAUAUUGUUUAAUGACUUCAAAUGUGAGAAUGCAUAAAAAAAUAUCAAUGUUACUAACAUUGUUUACUCAGCCAUGGAUGAAUGCAUAUCACUUUAAGUAUGUCAUGGCCAUAUAAAUCAUAAGACAAUUCCUUGAGUUCCCUUUUUUUCUUGCCUAUGUUUCGAAAGAAAUGUUAUUGUUGUGACAUGAACUUUAGAGGAGAGUGGUAUCAUAUUUCAUUAAAAAUUCCAAAUCGAACAAAGAUAAAGUAGAUAAAGUUAAAUUAUAAGUAAGAACAGUCUUCAUUUUACAAUUUUGUUGUGAUUUAAAUUCACUUCUUAAUAUAAUAAGAACAAUUUUUAUUUUACAAUUUUUUAAAAAUUAAAUUAAAUUUAAACUUACUUCUUCUUAAUAUAAUGUAAGAGUUUAUUUUAACAAGAUUUGACAAGUUUACCACAUGUGAGGAGAAAAGUGUGUUGAAAAUUCUAAACAGACUAGAGAUGCACAAUAAUCCUCAUCUUACAAAUGCACUGUGAUAUUCCAGCCACAGCCAAAAACGCAAUCCCAAACGAAAUAAAGAGAACUAUUUGCUUGAAACAUCAAAGUUCUAGAAGCUGUCUCAACUACACUAUCUCAAUAUCCAAGGUAUGCUUACAGCUGCGUUAUCCACAGAAUUACAGAUACAUCCACUCCGAUUUGUUUUGUUGAAGUAUGACAACCAAGGUUCCUGUGCCCCGUGCAUCCAGUUGUAAGUUCUUUUACAAAUAACAAGCAUGAGUGAGCCUAAAAGAAUAGAGGAAAAUUACUUGUGAAACCAAUCAGAGGUAAAGCAUUUUCUACUCCAUGGUUGUAAGGAACUAGAACGAUGACUGCUCAAUUGUCUGUGGUAGCAACUGUCUUAGAUCGGGUUAAACUUUGCCACGGUGUAUAGGUAAUGGCCCGUGAAAUAAGGUAAAGUAUAAAUGAAACAUAUGCAGCUGUUAAUACACACACUAUAGUGGCAAACACUGCUCCAUUCACUUCAGAGGAGAAGAAUUCCAGCAAUAGGUAGCCGUUUAUCACUAUCACCAGAGCAGCCACAAGCCAGGAAAUAAUCUGUAUACAUAUCAUCGUAAGACAAUAAUGAUUCAUGACUAUAACACGAUUAAUACAAGCAAACAAAGCAUAAAAUUGGGCAAAGGGAUGUUUGGUCUAAAUACAGCCAAUGUCCACAGAAGCUACAAUUGAAGAACACUUGACAGAAAGUAGCAAUACUGUCUUAGCAUGUUCAAUUUUAAAAAUAAUAGUAUGAGCACCAACACACCAGAAGAAACUUAAAAAGGAAAAAAAGACAGGAGGGAUGCAAGAAAGGAAUCCUUGAAACUACUGACUCCAGAAAGCAUAAGUCGCUGUCGUUAACAUAGGUAGAGAAAUUAUCAAAAAUCUGAAUGAUGGACAUUAAUUUAUCACAUAUAUCUAUAUAUGUCAUUUUCUUGACGUUUCAAGACAAUGCUGAUUCACAUACUCUCCAACUGCAGCAAAAUAAACUGCAUGAUAUAGGAUAUUGAAAAUACAGUUUUGGGCCCAUGGGCAGGAAGCACUAAAUGCUUCUAAUUACUUAAAAAAACAUGUAUCAAAUGACUUUUAUGUUUUUAAUGCAGUAAAUGUUUACAUUUUCAAUAAAAAGUUUCUAAAGGUCCUAGGAUGAAUAAUUUGUGAAACUAGAUCAUGGACACUCCAUUAUCUCACCUUUCAACUCUCAAGACAGGACAGUAAAAUCAAGCUACCUGUGUUGCUUCUUAAAAUCUAAUUUUGAAUUGUAAGAGAAAUCAGGUAUGCUUCAAGUCAAUUCUGAAUCAUCCCUUGUCUGGAUAGCAAGACAUAAUGGUCUACCCUGGGACAUUUCCGAAUUAUCUCUUCUAUGUUUUAUUUAAUUGAUGACCCAAAAAGGAAGGUACAGGUGGCAAUUUCACAUAAAAUGAAAUAAUUUGACAUUUAAAAGUCUUCUAUCAAAUAAAUAAACUGAUAACGAGCAAGUCUGAAAAAAAUGCAGAGAAGGUGAUAAUAUAUACCUUGAGGACAGGGCCAAUUCUGAAACUGCCCAUUAUCUGUUCUUUGGACACCAAGCAAAGCAAGGGAAUGAGUGCAAAUGGGAUUUGAACUGAUUGGAGAACAUUAAGCCAUUCAUUCAGAACAUCUAAAGACUCCUCCGUGGUAUCGAAUAUAAGUGCAACUAUCAUUGUUGGAAUGAUUGCAAAACUUCGAGUAAUCAAUGCCCUCACCCACUUUUUCAACCUUAAAUUCAGAAAACCCCCCAUGAUAAAUUGUCCAGCAUAAGUACCAGUAAUUGUGCUACUCUGGCCGGCUGCUAACAACCCAAUACCCCAUAUAUACAGGAUUGGGAAAAGUCCACCCCCGUACUUCUCCUGAAGGUACUGCCCUGCGUUUACAAGACCAAUGUUGUUUGCUAUUUCAGUACCAUAAAAGCCCUUGGCAAACACAGUUGUAACAAAUAUAUUAAUCAUAAAGGACACCGCAAGGGCGAUGGUGGACUCUAUCGAGUAGUAAUUAAGAGCUUCCUGAACGCGGCCUUUCUUGCUGGGGUCAACCUGCCUUGACUGAACAAGCGCAGAAUGCAAGAACACAUUGUGAGGCAUAAUAAUGCAACCCACAACUCCAACAGCUUGUUGUAUAGUUCUGGAGCUAAGUUUAGGAACCAAAAUACCUACAAAGAUAAGAUUGAAGUAUUUAUCAGAUAUGUCUCAAGAAUUUACUCAAGAUAAAGUAAAAUUCCCACAUUUCCAAAUCAACAAAACAAAACAAAAUAUUAAAUUUGCUUCAUAUAAUGCGUUCGUUUCAAGUUCUAAGCUUCAGUCCGUACUCAUACAAAAAUAAUAAUUUUGGUCCUCGACGCCAGCAUUAAAAAAGUAUUUGAAGCGUGUAAAACCACCACAAAACCUUUCAAACGUUUAUAAACCAUUAAAAAAAAACUGCAUAGAAACUAAAGAGUACAGUCUUUUAUAGAGAGUAGAACUUAAAACGAGGAUGAGUACAGGGAGAAAGUGAAUAACCAAAACAAACUUACCAACAAGAACAUCAACACCGUUGGGCUUUGCUUCACCAAACAUCCACGCAAAUGAGAGAGCCAUUACGGCAAUCAGAACAGCGAAAAACGCCUCCAGUUUCCUCACACCAUAGUUCUCAAGAAAGAGAAAAAUGAAACUGUAACAAAAACAAGAAAAUUAAAGUGAGGCUAAUUAAUUAACUAAUUGCUCAAUUUGAACUAUACAUAUAUAUUUGGUCUAAGAAAGAAAAGAAGAAAAUGGUAAGUUACCAAUCGAAAGCGGUGAUGACGACCCCAGCCCAAAGGGGAACGACGCCGUUACUGAGAAUCCUGAUAGCAAUAGCGCUCCCAAUAACCUCUUGAAUGUCAGAGCCAAUAAGAGCGAUUUCAGUCAUGAGCCAGAGCACAAUCCUAGCCCAUGCAGGAUACUCUUCCCUGCACAGUUCAGCUAAGUGUCUCCCAGUGGCGACGCCGAGGCGAGCGGAGAGAAGCUGGAUAAUGAGGCCCAUAGCAGUAGCCCACAUGAGGAGCCACAAGAGCGAGUACCCGGCAAUUGCCCCAGACUGAAGAUCCCCCUCCAGAUUCCCGGGAUCCAGAAACGCGAUGCUCAUCAGAAACCCCGGCCCCGUGAACAGCCACAGCUUCCGCCAUGAAAACGGCGGCGCCUCCACGUCCCCGUCCUGCUCGUCGAUUCCGACCACCACGACCUUCUCCGAGGAAUCGUACGCAGUCUCUUCCUGCUCCUCCGCUAACAGCGGCUGGCGGCGGUCUUGAGGAGGCAUCGCGAAGUAAACUAACAAACGAACAAGUGAGUGGGGUUGGUGUCACCCUGGGCUCACUCACACUACUGUCUCCACGGCGAUUUUGUGUUUUUGUAACGUGUCAGUGAAAUUGCAGUGAGAACCAGAACAGUCUGAUUUAGUGUUUAUCGUGAGAAAAUAAGAAUCCAAUCGAAAACAACCCUUGCGUUUUCCGAAAAGGAAAUUCACUUGCUCUCUUUUAUCUUUAUUUCUAUUUUCCUCGCACUCUAAUCUAUGUCGAUUUAUCAUCCCAAUCAAAUAAGGUUUCUUGCUACAACACGUAUGAUAUCAUGACAUGACAUCUCAGCACCAAAUUAUAAGAAGAUAACUUUCUCUUUUUUUUCUCACCACUGUUUUCAUACUUUUCGUCUUUUCUUUUUAGUUAUAAACUAUUUUUGAAUUUUAUUAGUAUUAUAAAUAUAAAUUCAUUCCCAACUUUCUUGGUUUUUUUAUAGAUAUUUUUCUUACCUUUAGAACAAAUAACACCUAAAAAUACAUUAAUUCUUUUAUAAAGAUGUCUUUUUAAUAACUCAAUAUCCUUUUAAUUUAGAUGCCACUGUCUCCACUCUUCCAAUCUGUGUAUCAAAUUUGUAAGGAUUAUUAUAUUUAGAAAUUUAAAGAAAAACAUAAUUUAAUAAUGUACUGCUUUGCAUUCCAUGCCCGUAUGAAUCUGUACCCAAAAGAAUAUGCAUAUAUUUAAAACUGUACCCAAAAAAAUGCUUAUAGGAACGUUCAUAGCCUAUUUUUCUAAGCCAAAGCAGUCGCGAACAAAAGAUUAAGAUUUUUUUUCCCUAAAAUUAAACAUUGAAAAACCAAAAUAAAAUUUUCUGUGUCACACAUCCUCGUAUGAUUGGAUACACAAAUUCGAGCUUCGCGUGGCUCCUCCGGAAACACUAUUAUUAACAAAGAUUCCUAGUGAACAACUAUUUUAUUUGUUUAAAAUAAAAUAUGAAUAUAUCAAUUUUACGUAUAGAACAAAUCAUGUUAAAAAAUAUUAACCUCGUAUAUGUUCCCUGUUUCUAAAAGGUUUGCUCUUUCGUUAAUUAAUAACUUGUGCGGUUUCCGUACAUAUUUAAAAUCUAAAUUUAAAAAAAAAGUUUGUUUAAAAUUAAAUUCAAAUAUUUUUUUGCCACAUGAUUUUAGGUCGGGAAAACAAAAUUGGAAAAAAAUACCCUCUAAUCGUAGACUGAUUAACCAUUCCUCAGGAAAUUGUUACAAGUCAUUUAUUUCUUCAAUUAUGUCAGCACAAAUUGAUAUUUUUAAAUAUGUUAAGAACUGAAUCAGGAUUAGUUCGAAAAAUACUGUUUGCAACGCAGUUUUACCAAUCAUAUAUUUUAUAAUUAAACCUGUGAACUUCAUUUUCUAUUAUUGGAAUUCAUGCAGUUGAAAUUUCAAAUACAUAACCCUGAUCUGUUAGAAUUAAAGUCACUAUUACAUUUGUUGAUUAAUGCUUUGAAUGUCCAAAAGUUGGAAAUAUGAAGUAUGCAAGUGGGUUGAGUGACCCAUAAGUUAAAACAUGUUCUCAAUUGAAAUGGAAUCAUGAUAAGUAUAAAUGAUUGUGGGAAAACGAAAUCAGGCCCAUGCAUUCUUUACGAAUUCCUUUUGAAAAGAUUGCAUUUUGUUUAUUUUUGUGAUGCAUGUCAAUAUGUCAUAACAAUUAGGACACUUUUAAUAAGUAUGAUUACUGUGGUUGGCCUUCGAGAUGUCGCAUACUUAGGAAAAAACAAAAACUAAAAGUUUAAUGUAUAUUCUCUCUUUCUUUUCAACUACCAGUCUUUAAUGAAGAUGGGAUUUUUUAUUAUUUUAAAAUAGCAUAAUCUUUAUUAUGUUUUAACUUAAUUAAUAUGAAAGAAAAAAUAUAAUGAUAAGUAGAUGUAUAUUAAAAUAAUAUUAUUUAAAUAAAAAAUAGAUAAUUGACUUAAAAUUUUAUUAAAAAAAUUAUCGAUUUGAGUGAGAAGUAUCCAUAUAUUCAAUUUUAUUAAUGUUGGUUUUCUCGACUCUUCAAGUGUUUUUUUAAGAGGAGAACUAAAUAUGUAGAAUGUGAAUAAAUAAACAGGGUAAUGAAUAUGUUAUUAUUAUAUAAUUAAUUGUACUUGAAUAUUAAAUAUUUUUUUAAGUGUCAAAGAAUUUUUUGGUUGUACACUUCAAAUUGAAAGGUGAAGUUUGAGAACAGAAGAAAAUUACGACUGAAUGGAAUGAAUCAGUUAUUCAUCCAAUAACAAUUACUCUCUCGAUCCCUAAAAAAAACCAUUAAUAAUAUAUAUAAAGUGAGAAUGAAAUAUAUUGUAUGAAAAAGAAGUAGGGAAAAUGCAAAGAAAAAGAAUUUCAGUAAAAAAUAAAUAGUUUACAUUUCUUUUUCUUUUUCAUUUUGCUGAAUAUUACACAUUAUAUAUAACUCUUUCAUACAAUACAAUGUUUCAAAAUAUAUUCCCUCAUGGAAAUUUUAAAUAUAUACAAAAAAAAGUUUUAAACAAAAUAUUCAAAACAAUAUAAAUAUUUUCAUUAUUCAGCUUCUCAUUAAGGAGUUUUAUCACCCGUAACAUCAUUUGUUCUCGUGUAAACACACGAUCAUCACAUAUUAAAAAAAAACAAUCACAAAACAAAGCAAAGGGUAAAUUCUAAUAUAAAUAUAAAUUUAAAUAUCCACAUAAAGUCAUCAAUUCUCAUGCAUUUCCACAUAAUCAUCAAGUGUCUAUCAAAAUUCACAUGUUAAACUUCUAGUGACUCACAACACAUAAUCACUUAUCUCUACUUCCGAAAAAUAGACUCGUGUAUUUAAAUUAGCAUCCAGAGAGUUGCACUUGUCAUACUACUCGUUGUGAAAUUCACUCAUGCAUUCACAUAAUCAUCUUAAUAUCUCAUCGUCUAAUCAUUUCAUAUGACAGGGUAAAUACAUUUGAUUUGCUCUGAUAAAUUCUUUCAAACCUCAAACUCAGCUAAAUGAACCUCCUUUGACUCUCACUAACCAAAUAACUUCAUCUAUGUGAUUCCAUUAUAUCAGUAGACUCAAGAUCGUCACAAAUCAAUACACCCUAAAUAACAAUCUCAACACGGUAUUUUCUUUCCUGAAAAUACUAUGUUUUGAUCAUACUUUCACAUCAUUUCAUACCUCAUUUAACACAUCAAUGCACCAUUCAAUCACAUCAUAUUUUAAACUUUUCUAAACAAUCCAACAUAUCUCAAAAUUCAGUUAAACACGUAACUAAAUCCUCUCGCUUGAGCGAGAGUAAACCCGAGAACAACCCCAAAUUUUAUCCCAUUUCGCCUUAGCGAGAUUUCUUCUCGCUUGGACAAAAAUGGAUCCAGAGCACCUCAUCUUUCCAUUCUUUUCUUGCUUAAGCCAGAAGUAACCCGCAUGAGCGAGAUAUACAGAGAAAUCUGCAUAAUUAUGCUUAAUUUCACCAUUCAUAGUCAAACAAAAAAUCUGCCAAAAAGCGGUUAAUUGUUCUAAUUUGCAUCAACCAGAUUUUUUUUUUUUUGUGUCUGUCAUUUGUUUAAUUUUCAUUGACAUGUGUAAUUAGUACUAACCCAUAUGGUAUUCUUAUAGAAAUAUUAGCGAUGCAGUACUUAAUCACAUGCAAUGGCAGUAAAAAAUAAAUACUCACGAUUAUAAUUGCAUUUGAUAUGUUUUUGUAGUAAAUUAUAAUGAGAUAUGCUCAUGUUUUUUUAAAUUAAUCUUUUAAAUUGUAAUCGUCUCUCGUAUUAGGGUGUAAAUAUUGUAUAACUUUGGACUUAAGGCCUCUUACCCUCCGUAGUUAUAUAUUAGAUUACGGGUAAUUUUUAGGUAACUAUUGUAAUUGAAAUAUGUUUAAGAACCAAGUGAAAUUUGAAAUUGGAUCACUAUUUGUGUAUGUGAAACAUUAGAAAGUAAAAUGAGAUGUUUGUAAUUACUUUACAAUGUUAUGAUCCUCUAUAAUUUGACUCGAAUUUUGUGCACAUUGGAAUAGAAAAUUACUUUUAUUUGAGUUUGUGAAAUUUCGUAAAAAUAAUUAGAUUUAUUUUUAUUUAAUUAGGUCAUUUUUUAAAUUAAGAUGUACAUUAAAUUGAAGAUUGAAUAAAGUGUUGAGUUUUAAAUUAUUAUUUUGAGUCGAAAUGAUUUCAACAUGAAAUGUGAACAAUAUAUAAUUAUAAUUGAGCAUUUUAGACUUGUUAGAGGUCUUAAAUUUGGUAUACAGUUUUUUUGUAAGUUUUAAAAAUGUUUUUUAUAAAACUUUUACUCAAAUGAUAUACUUUCUCUCGAGUGAAACUGAAAGAGAAAACAUGAUCAUUGUUAUAUUGUCUCAUACUUCAAGUGAUGAUAUUCUCACUCCAAUAACAUGCUUCAGUCAAGAGAAAAUAAGAUAAAAAUAAAUAUUUUUCUUUGAAUACUCAAGUGUUAUGUUGAUCAAAACACAUAUUGUUAAUUCAUUAUUUAAUUUGACUAUUCAAAUUAUAAAGUAAAUAUAUUAAAUACAAACACUUAUAUAUAUAUAUAUAUAUAUAUAUAUGUUUAGUUAAGCAUUUAAAUUGUGUAAAGUGGUGAGAAGUCUAGAAAUAAUUUAUUACAUAUUUAAAACACAUGUAUGUAUUAUAGUUGAUGUUAUGAACUCACAUUCAUAUAAAUGAGAGGUUGAGUUAGAAUUAUUUAUAAUUAUAUUCUUAUGACUUCAUUUAUGAAUUAAGUUAUAAGUAUUAUUAUUUAAAUCUUAAUAACUUAUCUGUUGUUUAUGGUAAAACAUCUUUUAAUUAUAUUUAAUAUACAUUAUAAGAAAUUUAUUAAAUAAUAAUCAAAUUUAGAGACAAAAAUAAUUAGUCACUAUAUUAACUAAAUUAGAUAUUAUUUUAAAGAUUAAAAAAUUAUUUGUAUUUAAAGAAAUUUCCAUUAUUAAUAAAAAAAUUAUAAAAUAAUUUAUAAAUUAAUAUCUAAAUUAGUUUUUAAUUACUAUUAUUUUAGAUUUUAAAUUGGUUUCAAUUAGUUUUUUAGAGACUAAUUUAAAAUGUAAAAUAUUAGUAACUAAAAUCUUGAUAACUAAUGGUUAGAUAUUAAUUUAAAAAUUAUUUUAUAAUUUUAAAUUAAUAAUAGAAAUUAAUUUAGAUAUUAAUAAUUUUUUUUUUUAAAUAGUUUUUAAUUUAGUUCAAUAACAACUAAUUAUUUUAGUAUUUAAAAUUAGUUAUAAUUUGAUGAUAUAAUAUAUAUUUAUGCAGUUCUAUUUUUUUUAUAAUUAUACGUUUUUUAAAAUAUUCAUAAUGAUGUAAACCCAUUAAUUACUAGCAAUGAUAUCUUAUAUACAGAUAUUUAGGUUAAAUAAGGUGUUACAAAUUUUAUUUUAUUUUUAAAAAGUACGUUUACAAGAUAAAACGGAAUGACAACCUAAUAUUUUAUGAAUACAUAGUGAAUUCCAUUUGAUAUUUUUGUAGUGAGAGCAACGAAUUAACUCCGUUUAAAAUGAAAAAAAAAACGAAAGAAAAAUAAAAUAGAAAAUAAAAGUAGAUGAAAAGUAAAACAUGAAAUAAUUUUUAUUAAUUUUUUUGAAAAAGUAAAAAAUAUAAAUAAAAAUGAUUUUAUUAGACAAAACUUAGAUAUUAUAAAAAUAUAUAAUAUUAAUAUUAUUCUUUAAUUGAAUUUUGAAGUUCUAUUGACGUAAUUAAUAUUUGUAAUAAAUUAUUUAUUGAAUGUUUCGUAUAUUAUUGAAAUAAAAUUUUAAAUUUAAUUUAAAAAUAACAUUAAAUUGCUAAAAAAUUAUAUUUAGUUUUUUUUCCACCUUAUGUUUUUAUUUUAUUUUAUUAAUAUAAGCAAUCAACAUAAAUUUUGUCCUCACUCUUUGUGUGAUUUCAGUUUAUCAACGUAGACAAUGAACAUUACCAAAUACGACAUAAAUGCUUCCAUCUUCUCAAGGUCGAAGGAAGAUAUUUUAGAAGAAAAUAAAAAUCUAGAGGACCAACUCUUACAAAACUAACAGUUUAAAAUAAUAGAUAUAUAAGUGUUUAAGUCAGUACUCAGAGUAUUAUUACAUUUUAGUUUUAAUCGAUGUUAUAAAAUUGACACAAAGAUGUAAUUAUUUUUAAGUAAUUAAAAAUUAUUAUACUUAAUAAUAUAGGGGUGUAGGAAGAAAAAGCCUUCCUUAACUUGCAUAGCUGUGGGAAUAAUAUUUGAGUUUUUUUCUUGUAUUCCUACAUUUUUCUUCCUGCACCCCUGUAUUAUUCUAAAUAUCCAAAUUAUGUAAGAAGUUCUGUAAGUAACAGUUGUUUCUUGAAUAUGAAAUCUGAAAGAUAAAAAAAUAUUUUGGAAUAUCCUUUCUUAAAGAUAUUGUUUUAACUUUAAGAAUGAUAUGUGUUCUGAAAGUAUGUUCCAAAAAUAUUUUAGAAAAAUUAAUCUGAAAGUCAUGUUAAAAGGGGUAAAAUAGUCUUUUUCGAAAAUAGUGGGGUUCGGAAAUAAUUUGUUAGGGUGCAGGAAGAAACACGCAUAAUACUUCAUGACUCAGGCCCAAUAUGAGUUUAACAUGGGCUAAUAUAUUUAGCUAACACCUUCUCUCGUUGGACUGUUUCUUCCUGCACCUACAUAUCUUCUUCUGCCACCUCCAUACACAACAUGAAAAUAUAUUUUUGUCCUUCUUGUGUCACCCCAUAGAGUAGUUUCCGAAUUAUGUAAUUCGGAAACUCAUUUGAAAAAAGACUUCCGGAUUACAUAAUCCAGAAGUUAAAUAAGACUUUUGGAUUAUGUAAUCCGAAGAAUAAUCAUGAAUCUGAAAAAUGACUUCCGGAUUAUGUAAUCUGGUAGCUAAUUACAAAUUUGAAAAAUGACUUUUGGAUUAUGUAAUCCGAAAUAUUAUAAAGGGGUACUUUUGGAAAUUUGAAAACUUAUGGAGGUAAGAGAAGAAAGUAUGGAGGUGCAGGAAGAAACAAUCCUCUCGUUGCUUGUGUUAUAAAUUGUAUAAGCUGUUUGAUAUUUUUUUUUCAAACAUAUAGAUUAAAUUUAUUGUGUUUUAGUAUUAUGUUUUUUCAUCGACACAAAUGACACAUAAUCUUUAAUAAUAAAUAUUUUUAUAUAACUGAAUUUAAGAUAAAUAUUUACAUAUUACAAUUUCAAUAGAUGAUUUAGUAAAAAAUGUAACGAACUUCACAAAUGUUAUCAUUGUUUAUUGAUAAGGGUUAGAUAUAACGGUAUAGUGCCGUUUUCAGAACUAAUAAUUUGAUACAACUAAAGCUGUCUAUUCUCUAUGGAGUUUUUUUUUUUUUUAAAUUAAUUAAUUUGGAUUUCCGUUUUGGUUGUAAUUUAGCAGUUUAGCCUUGUUCUUUUUUCUAUCUAUACAUCUCAACACACAUUAGGUACUCUUGAGAAAAUACAAAGUUUAUCAGUUAAAAUUUAAAAAUAAGCAAACAAAUUAAGAUUAAUUUAUGUAUAACCUAAUUUAUAAAAGUUAUUUUAUAUAAUUUCUUUAUAUUUUUUUAACAUAUAUAAACUAUUUUUAUUUAUAAAAAGUUAAUUUCAUCUUUUUCUUAUAAGUUUUUAUUAAAAUAUUUUUCAAGACAUACCCUAAAUAAUACUCUCCUCUUCCGUGACAUGUUUGGUAUUGAAAAUGUAGAAAGAAAGAAACGAGUUUAUGUUGAAUUAUUUAGUGAACAAAAGGUAAAACAAAAAAAAUAAGUAUUAUUUUUUUACUCUUUUCUCAUUUAUUUUCUAUUUACCUUGAAUAAAACACUUUUAGCUUUUAUCUUAUUUUCUAUUUUAUUUUUACUUCUUUUUAUGUACUUUAAUUUAUCUCCUUUAUCAAGAGGAAUAAUCAAACUACAUUUUAUUUUUCUUUAAAAAUACGGUCCCCAUUAUCAAGUAUUAAUUUGUACUUUAAGUUUCAAUAGGAUUCACCGGAUUAAAGCUUAUGACGUAGAGAUUUUAUUGAAUAGUGCAUUUUAAAAAAAUUCAACAUAAAUAAAUUUCAUUAACAGUAGUAGUGAAUAAUUACGAAAGCAUCUCCGCAUACUUGUCUAUAAUUUUGUAGUCCAAACUAAUUUAGAAAAAUCUUAGAAAAUAAAAUAAAAAAAACAAUAUUUUUAUUAUUGCUUAAAAUCUCCUAUAGUUUUAUAUUAUAAGAUUAAGAGAUCAAUAGUAAAUACUAAAAACUGACUAUUAAUCAUAUUGAGAAUUAAUGUACAAAAAAUCUCUAUAUUUUUAAUAAGCAUUAAAUUAACUCACGAAAACAUUGAUCUUUUAAGAAAAAAGAGCAUGUAUUUUCAAACAAAAGAAAAAAAAAAGAGAAGUGUAAUUUAACGAUUACAAGAAGAAAAUAUAAUCUCCUCAUAAAAUGAAAAAUAUAUACCCAAUGUUUGAAACGUAAAGUUUUACAUUGAAUAGAAAUAAGUAAAUUAAUUAAAAUAUAACUGAGAACAACGGUUAAACUUAAUAUAUUAAAUGUAAUGCAAAUUUCUUAAUUAGUUCAUUAAUUACAAAUUAUUGGUAAUUAGCCAUCUGAUGUUAGCAUUAAGUGAUAUAAGAGCUAGAAUAUGACCCACACACACAAAACUCUUUAAAAGAAAAUUUUUAAUUCUAAGGGUGUGUUUGGAUUGAGGAGGGGAUUUGAGGGAAUGAAUUUGAAAUGAUUGAGAGGAAAGUGAAGUUGUUUGGAUUAGAAUAGAUUUGUGAGGAAAGUUUAUUGAAAUUUGAAAUUGAUGUAAUAUUGUGAAAGAUUUUUUAAAUGUAUAAAAUAUAAGUUUACAAAUUUGAUAAAUAAUAAUUUUUUAAAAAAUUAAAAAAUGAUUUAAUAUAAAAGAAUCUAAAAAUAUGUAUUAGAAUUAAAAUAAAUAAAUAAAAAUACGUAUUAAUAAUUAAAAUUAAUCUUUUAUUUAUUAUUUAUUUUAUUAUAAUAUACAAAAUAAUUUUAAUCAUUAAUACAAAAAUUAUAAAUAUUAUAUAUAUUAAAAUAUAUUUUACAUAUAUAUAAUCAUUAUGUAGUUUAUUAAUUUUUUAAAACAAAAUCAAUAUAAAUCCAUUUUUCCUGCAAAUCUAUUCACAAAGAGAAAGUUUUAAAAAAAAAAAUUACCUCACGUUUUCAUACAUUUAUUUUUUCGUUUUUUCAACUUUAACUUUUUUUCGUCAUUCUUCGUCAAGAAACGAACAGGCCGUAAAAGAGAAAGAUUUCAAAAUUUUCAUUAAAUAAUUUUGUAUUCACACGUACCCUUAUAUACAAAAUGAUCAUUCCGAAGUUUUUCUAUAGAAAAAGAAUAGUUUUGUAUUCAAUGGUACCCAUAUAUACAUAAACAAAUGAAGUAUAUUGCAGUAGUAGAAGACAAUGCAGAAGCAUGAAAGGUUAGCAGAAACCUGCAUGAUGUGUAUCGUGGUUCAAGAAUUUGGGCAUAGAAAAGUGACAGGUGAGAACUUGUUCAUGCUUGGACUAGGCUGUUAAGGUUUCACUUUUAUCUUUCUGAUUUUCGUACUACUCCUUCAGUUCUCAGUCUUUCAAAUGUCUAAUGGAAGAGGUACUCGCAGAAGAUACUUCGACGCUUAAGUCAAUAAAAAAAGUAUUCAGCACUUAGGUGUGUACAGUAAUAAUGACGUACAUUUUUUUUUAAUGUGCGUUAUUUAUAUUAUUUUAAUAAACUUACCUUAUUGAGUUCGAUUAGUGGAAUGAAUCACACUUAUAGUUACAUUAUCUAAUUUUUAAUAAUAGUUGACUUUAAUUUGAACGUUAAUGGUUAAAUGUGUCGAAUGUUUCGAUUAGUUCUCGGCACAUACCACUUCAUUACUAAUAAAGACCAUCAUUCUUUCAAAGCUUAUAGUUAUCAUGGGAUAAGGCUGAAAGGAAAAGCAGUGUAAAAAGAAAAGCAUAGAGAGAGAGGGUGAGAGAUAUUGAACUGUGGAAGUAGAAGACAAGAAUGCACGUGAUUGACCUGGAAUCUAACCUAAUCUUCUUACUUUAGCACAACACAGUUGCACCUCCACUAUUGAAUUCUCACCUUUCUGGCUCCUCUUCACUCCUAAGCAUGCAACCUACAAAACAAAUUCACCAUCAUUAUCGUUCAUGUUAUCCCCCUUAAAGGCCAAAACUUCAUUAAUGCUGAUUUAAUGUACACCAGAUACAACACCCACGUAAGUUGUAUAACAAUUUAUAUACACUACAAUACAAAACUAUUUAAUAGAAAUUAAUUUUUAAAAAAAGUAAUUAAUUAUUAUAUUGAUUAAAUCAGAUAUUAUUUUAAAAAUUAACUGAUAUUUAAAAUAUUUUUUUUAUCAUUAAUCAAUCAUUUUAAAAUUUAUAUAUAAUUAGUUAUUAAUUAAUUUAGAUUUUAAAAUUGAAUUAAUUAGAUAUAAUUUAAAAAAAAUUAUAAAUUUUAUUAAUAAUAUAAACUAUUUUAAAUAAUAAUAUUUUGUUAGUUUCUAAUAUCUAAUUUAAUUAAUAAUUAAAUGUUUUUUUAAAUUGAUUUCUAUCCAGUAAUUUUUUUUUUAUGUAUUGUUCAAAAAUAUUUUCAUUUAAUUAACUUAUUUUGUCUGAAAUGGUAGUUAAGUUUUGUUUAGCUUGUUUCACUGACAUGUUCGAUACAAGUACAAUUUGACAGUAGGAUCAGGUUAACCAUCAUCGAAAUAAUAAAUAUUAUUUUUUUACGAGGAUACAAGGAUGAUUUUUAAUUCUGUAGUAAUCUAGAUUAUUUUGUAAACAUCAACAAUACUAAAAAAAAUGUCGUUUUGAAAUUAAUUUUACUAUAAUCGUCUCACUCUUUUAAUAAAAACACGAUUUUAAUUAAUAGAAUUCAACGAUAAACUUUAAAAAAAUAUAUUGUUCCGUUUAAAGGUAAAAAUAUUAAUCAACUUUUUUUUACGAAAAUAAAGUUGAAGUCAUUUUAGAAUGGAAAGAGCGAUUAACUUUUACAAAGUAAAUUAAAAAAUUUAGCUAUUGAUAAGAAAAUCAAGAGAGUAAAUUUUGUUUAAUCCAUUACUUAUUUGACGUUUUGUACUUAUAUUCUGAAGUGAAAUGUUCCAUUUCUUUGUGUGUGGCAGUGAUGAAGUUUGCAUCCAAAAUCUCAUAAAUUUUCAAUUUUAACUGCUUAACUAUAUCAGCUCCUUGCUAAUAAAUCAGAAUUAAAUUCUUUCACAUAAUGAUUACUUUGUGCUGCUAUCAUUUUGUUUACUUUUUAUUAUUAUUUUUAAAUGUUUGAGAGCUUUCCUGGUUCUAUAUUCAAACCUAUGAUUGAAAAUAAGCAGAGAUUAGUGAUGAGCUUCACCAGACAGGAAGACAUACAAAGGUUUUACUUUAAAAGUUUCCUGAUACUUUAAAACCUUAUUCCGACCACCACCAACUACAUUGAGGGUUGCCUGCGAUUAUAUUCAGUUAACUUAAAAAAGCUACCAUUUACUCACAUUUUUUUUGCCUUACUUUCGCACAACAUAUGUUGUUUUCCCCAAUUAGGGGGUGACAAGAUAGUUUAAAAAGCAUUAGAUUACUUUUGUUCAUAUUUAGUAUAUUGUCUUUUUCUAAUUUAUUGCUUAAUUUCUUUGCAUUAUAUGAUUUUACAUUUUCCUUUUUUUUUAUGUUUAUAUAUAUAUAUAUAUAUAUAUAUAUAUAUAAAUAAAGAUACAUAUUAAAACAAAACUUGUAAGGAAAUGUGUAACCGUGUUUUUCUAUGGAAAAACUACACUUUGUGGGGAUGGAGAGAGUUUGGAUAAUAAUGAAACUAUUAUUUUAUUUUAUUUUUAUUGAGAAAAAAUGAGAAAAUAAAGUGAAAUGUUUUAGGAAUAUUUCAAUUUUGUUACAAUCUAUCAACAAAAUAAUAAAUGAUAAAAACUUUUUGAGACAUCUAUCAAAAGCUAAAAUUUUCCUUUCAUAGAAUCAUUAUCUCUUUUUUGUUAUAGUGUAUUUCAUUCUCCUUUAAAACUAGCUAUAGUGUAUCUUAUUCCCCUUUAAAACUAACAUGAUAACAUCAAAAUCAUAUGUUCUUAUUAUGUUACAGGUCGAAAAAUACUAUAUAUAAGACAACCACUAUAUAUAAGUGUCAAUCCCUUCAACAAAAAGAUAAUAAAAUUUUAAUUCUAAAAGUUAUACUCUUCUUAAAUUUAUAUUAAUUUGAGGAUCUAAAUUCAUAUUAACUUGAAUGUUAUAGUGUAACUACAUUAAUUCAAUGUUCGGAUAGAGAAAAAAUCAAAAUCGAAGAUCUUAGAAAAAUGUUAGAAAAAUGAUAGUUUGACAAUCCAUAGAGUUGUAUACCACUCUUGAUGUGUUGGGUUUAGAAAUAAAUAUAAAUAAUAAAGGAUAAGUUUAGAAUUAAAUGAUAUAAAAAAAUUGAAAUAAUAGUAUUAAGAGUUGUAAUAUGGUUGUAUAAAAUAUAUGAGUUGUCAAUGUAUCAUUGUCCAUUUAUUUAUUCGGUGUAAUGAAAAUAAAAAUUACAUAAUAAACAAUGUAUCAUUAUCCAUUUAUUUAUUUGAAACGGUUUGAUGGAAAUAAAAAAUUACAUAAUAAAUAAUUCAAAAUUGAAUUAAUAUUUGAGAGUGCUUAAUCCUGCUAACUUAUUAUAUAUAUGAACACACAUAUACAUGUGUGGGUGUGAAACGUAUUAUAGUCUUUCAAGAAAAUUUAGAGCGAUGACUAAAGAACUUGCUCAAUUAUCCGGAACCAGUAAAAAAUUGGGUUGUCUUGUUUAAAUUUCACAAUUCAAUCCAAAUCAUUCAUCAAAUUAAGCGAACCAACCAACCCAUUUGACCAUUUCACACAACCUAAAAACCAAUCCCAACAUAAAGACCCUGUUGGAAUAUUGGAUUAAUAUUAAUAUGCUUUCAUAUGGGUCAAAGGAAACAAGCACAAAAUUAUCAACUCUUGGAAUAGCAUUAUUUAAUGUUAACGUUACAGUAUAAAGAAUGCUGCAGUGUGAUCUCAUGCAUCACAUUUUCCACUAUUUUGGUUCUAGUUUCUUCUGACUUGAAUCGACGAGUCUUGUACCCCUCUCUACAGUCAGAAUUAUUUCUCAAAUAAUUUAAUCUCCACUCAAAAGAUUUCAAUAUUUAAAUAUAGUUAUUCUUUUAUGCCCUCUUCUUUAAUGCGCAUUCAUUGAAGUACAACAUUGAAUCAUAUAACUGCCACUUUGGAAGCAAUAUUGACAGUAAUACAAGUUGCUAACAAGUCAAAUACGUUAAGGACGGUCAAAUAUGUUAACAACCAUCGAAAGGCAAAAACAACUUUAUGAGGAAUUUUAUAUUCUUGUUUUCAUUUUUUUAAAGCAUAGAUAUUCCAUUUGCAAUUGGAGAAAUUCAAAUUCCACAGAGUGCAGAAAAUGAUCCUGCAGUGCGUUCCAGCUUCCUUUGUUUACCCUCUUUGAAUGAGGUGAGAUGGGGAAAAGAUAGUCAAAGAUGUUAGUUAGAAAAGGCUACUGAAUUUAAUCUAAAAGUAAUUGAAUAUGAAUUGAAAAAUAUAGAAUAUUUAAGGCUGUCGAUUGUGACAGACAGUAAUAAGGUCUCACGCAGCCACGCACUAAACCGCUCGAAUCAGUGCAUCAGUGCGGUAUAAAGGGUCCAGUGAUGCUUCCAAGAACAUAAUGCCUCAAUUAGACAUUUUUAUUUGAUUUAUUUAAUAAAAGCGUAAAGCCGAAACCACGGUUCGCACUCGACACAUUUCACAAUCUACCUGCGAAUUAUAAACCAACCUAGUGUCGCGGACAGAAUAUGUAGCACGUGCACAAAAGUACAUCCGCAUAGUGCCUAUUGAAAGAGAUAAGUUCAAGCUACUUGGAUCACUCACUCAUCACAUCACAAGCUCAAUUCUUACCAAAUCAACCUACCCUAAACAAAAAUGAACUGUUUCCAUCACUGAGCUUUCCACGUCUUUUCAAAUCGUCAAAAUACAGGGUGAAACACAUGGUUUCCACACUGGGAUAAAACAAGCAUUAAUUUCUUUACAAAAUUAAUUACAUGGCUCACCCAUUUCAAAUUUAUCCUAUAUUUCACAGACAGGAAAAGUUAAAAAGCGCAUCACUGUUUAACAAAGCCACGGCCAAAAAGAAAACAAGAGAAAAACAAGCACUUUGGAAAUAUCAAAUCAACAAAUACAGACAGUUUUGGGUUUGGCAGUGACAACAACAACGAUAACAACCCUUUUCUGUCAUCCAUCUUGUUCUCUCUUUUUUUUCUUCUCCUUAUUAAAGAUCUUGUGCAUGACGACUGCAUGCUACGUUAUACAAUUGCAUUAACUACGACGUUCUGGGGUCCAGUGCGGUGCAGCAGGGCUAAAAUGAAAAGAGACCACCCUGGAAUCGAGUAGUUCCAUUAUGGGCGCGAAGUUCACGCAUCUUGGCACUUUGUACUGGUUAAUCGACGCUCCACGCGAGAUGGCGUAGUCCAUCAACUCCUCAAACGUUCCAUUCUCCACCACACGUAUCUCCAACGGCCCAAUGGAGUUAUCCGCAACCCUCCCUUGUCUGUACACUGAAUUCAGCGACUCUUCCAUCACCAGGCAGCACUGGUUCAGCACAUCGCUCGUGGGAGAGUGAGAUGUGUCUUUCAUCAACAGCUCCCAGUAAAUCACGUAAUGCCCCGGAAUGGAUUUGGUGUCAGCGAAGCUCGUGUACUCCACCACGCUGGUCUUGAACUCCUUCAACAGCUCCGAGGCAUUCUCAAUGGCCUUCUGCAGCUCCGCUUCGUCUGUUUUGUCGGAGUCAAUGCUCAACAAAACGUUCUUACGCCUCACGAAGCGGAAUUGUGGGUCCGAAUUGUGGAAGCCGGUUACUUGAAGUAUGUCACCCACUCUGUAACGGUAAAGACCUGAAUAGGUGGUGAUAAUGAGUUCAUAGAACUUACCAAGUUCCACGUCUGCUAGAUCCACCAGGCGAGGAGGUGAGUCCCUGGAGAGAGUAACAUGAGAGUCAUCAUCAUGGGGUAAGAACUCGAAGUAACCCAUGUUUGGCAGUAUGGUGUAAGAGACAUCAGAGGGUUCGGACAUGGGUUUAAGGUUAAGGCCGAAAAAACACUCGGAGGAAGCGUACAUGGUACAAGGUUUGGGUAGGCCUCCACUGUAGUAAUCGAGAGUUGGAAUGUACUGAGCCAUGGCACCCGUGACUAUAACCUCAAGAUACUUUGUGUUGGGCCAAAUCCUCACGAUUAUACGUUCCCAGUUUUCUCCGGAGCAUUCAUUUUUUAUGAAAGUGGCGAGUUCAGGGUCGGGUUUUAAAAUCUUGGACAUGCAUUCCCUGAUGGAAGGGUCAGUGACCUUGGGGUUUAGGGUUCCGGUGUGGAUAUCCUGGGCCAAUUGAUCCCAAUUGAGCUGCAGGAAUCUUAUGGCUCGGAGAAGGCCAGAGGCGAAAACAGCUCCUACACGGAGAACCUCAUGGCGCAUGAUAAGGCCACACAGCAUCUGAGUGUACAUGCUCUGGAAGGAAUCAGGGCAAAGGAUGGCCUCGUUGGGGCUGGUAAGGACGUUGUAAGGGUCAAAUGGUCUUUUCUUGAAUUGCUGGCUGUUGUAGUAGCUGGUCAGCACUGGACGCGCCAGUAACCCGCCGGGUGUCUUGCUCUCCGCUUUCACGAACAGAAAGUGAAGCGCCUUGCCUUUGUCCAAAUCGGAAACGAAUCUUCAACAAAAAACAAACCAAAUUAAUUAUUCAAUAAAUUAAGAGUAUCGGUAGCAGUAAUUACCAUAGCUGCAAUGCAACGAAUAUGUCACAUAGCAAUUAAUGAAGAAAAUACGUUAGCAUUAACGUUAACAGUUAACAUACUGAUUCAUCACUGGCAUCUGCAUGCUGUACAGGAACUGACGACGAUCCAUGUCUUCAUCAAUGGUCGGCAUCAACUUUCUCUCGCCAGCAGACGUUCCAGAACUGUAUCAUUCAACGCCAUGUCAGUGUGUAUUCAUCAAAGCACGAUCCGUAAAAUCAAACCAUGAAUAACGUUCUUAUACGAUAAAUAUAAAUGCAUCCUUGAAUUACGAAGAGAGAGAGAGAUUGGCGUGUACCUUGUGAGAAACUCAGAGAUGGGGUGAGCGCACAAGAUGGGAGAGCGGUCACCGUUGGCAAUGCGUUCGAUAUCAGGCCGCAGAUCUUCGUAGGUGACGACAGGAACCUUGGACUUGAACGUGUGGCGGUCGGUGGCAGCGUUGAGUCCGAAGCGUUUGAGGUACUCUGAGUUGGCGUUUUGGGUAAGAAUCUUGCAAAGGAUUUCCUCCUGGUAAGCGUCAGUGUUCAUGGUUAAGUCCUCGAUGAGGUGAAGAGGGUCUUGGCCCUUCUGGUCACGAGGUAGGGAGAGGGAAUCGGAUUGAACGGUCAUGGUGAGUUUUUGAGGACUCUAACAAAGACGGAGAGAGAUAAAGAGAAAAGGUUUUUGAUAAGGUGAAGGUGAGAGACGGUGGAGGGAAAGGAGAAGGGAGGGUAUUUAUAGGGGGCUUGAGUGCGUCAUGAUUCAGGUAAGGGGGGUGCCACGUAAGCAAGGAGGGCCAAAUAGUAGUGUAGGAGGGACGGUUGAGGGGACAAACAUGAAACCAACUUUUGUUGUACACCUGGCUGGUGGACAUGUGGGCCAGGGAACACGUAGGAAUGAGGGCAUCAUGGCCGACAUGUAUCGCCACGUCAGCAUAAAAAGUUAGGCUAGCUUACGCGUCAGCCAAACCACGCGGGCAUUUCCUUGCAGGGUUUGUUGGCCUCCGAAAGCGAUGGGUGCCGGCUUCAACCCUCUCUUCUAGCCCAUUUCUUUCACUAAGAGACACCCCCUUCUUAUUUACCUUACACACCUCUUCAACCACAAUUUCAUCACACUAAAUUACACUUUACAACUACUAUUUUAAACCCACUCACCUUUCUUUCAUCACAAUAAUAUUAUAAUGGUUGAUUAUAUUUUAACAUAUUAAUAUUUAUAAUAAAAAAAUUUAAAAAUAAAAAAAAUACUUUAAUUGAAAUAUUAGACAAAAUAUAAAAUAUUAAAAUAAUUUUUAAAAUUAAAAAAAUUAAAAAUAAUUAAAAUAUUAAUAUUUAGUAAGGUAUAAAGUGGAGCAAAUGAUGUGAAACCAUCAUUUUCCUAUUAUAUUUCUAUCGGAAUUCGGAUAGUCAUGAAACAUUAACUUAGACUGCAUAGUUUUAAUAAUGUUCCUUUGGAGGAAUGUUUAUUCAUUUAUACAACUAUGAAUUCUAAUCACAUACUCUACUAAACAGGAUCAAAUAUUGCCCCAUACUCUAAUCGAUUAGAAUUAACCACCACGAUAUAGUUAUUUAAAAGUCAAAUAAUUAGAUAUGAUGGACGGGGAGAUCCCCAUCUAUAUGAAAAUUUCAAAAAUAAUGAUUUUUUUUUAGCAAAAGUAUGUAUCUACCCUUAACAAUAGCAGGAUACAUUCUUAGCUUGUUGUAACGUUUAUAAUAGUCGAACUUUUAAUGAUAUAAUCAAGUAAUGAUGACUUUCAUAUAAUACCAAACGGCUGAUUAAUAAUCAUAAAGGAAUUAAUCAUCACAACGCUCUUUUAAACAUUUCAUAAUAAAUGAUAAGUAUAUAUAUAAUUUAUUUUAUUAUCAUACUUAACCAUUCACAUUUUUUUACUCACAUAUAAUAAAUAUUUUAGCAUACCUACAUUGAAAUUUUUAAAAUAGUACAAUUGUAGAUUUGUUCAUUGAAUUUUUUACGAGUGGAAGACGUCUUUAUAAGCAAAUCAUUAUAUAGAAACCAAAUUUGUAGAGAACAUAAUAAUUAGUUGCAAUAAUAACAAAAUUAGAGAUAUUUUAGAAACUGAACAAAAUGAUGUUUCUAAAUUAAUUUUUAUUAUUAUUAAAUAGUUUCUAAAUUAGUAUCUAAUUAGCAAUCAAUGUUUUAACUACCAAUUAUUUAAAUUUUAAAUUUGGUAGCAAAAACCUUGGUCACUAAUUAGAUAUCAAUUUAUAAACCAUCUAAUAAUAAUAAAAAUAAAUUUAAAAACUAAAAAUUUAUUUAAUCCUUAAAAUGGUCUCUAAUUUAGUUAUUAUUGUAACUAAUUAUUUUUUUUUCUAAAAUUAGUUUCUAUUUCAUGAUUUUACUUGUAAAAUCACAUUUAUCAAACAAUUAUGAUGAAACAAUUUAGUAGAGCUCGGUCCACAAGAAAUCAUCUUUUUUUUCAUCUCGACAUUUUUUUCAAUUCAUUAAAGAACACAUUAAGCAACCCAUAUCCUUCUUGUUUAAAAAUAUUAAACGUGUUAUUAUAAAUAUCAAAGGAUUGAACAAUUUCUUUAUUUGUAAUUUCAACGGUUUAAGUUUCGGACUCGAUUAGGUUGGGUAGGAGUGAGCAUGGUUGCACAAAAGCUUUAGGAUUCUUUCGAUAACGACGUAAACAAUAUUAGAUUGCCUUCAUUUUAUAUCCAUACUCAUUAUAACAUAUAAGUCAUAUAUAAUACUAUGAUAAUUAUUAAUUAAUGAUUCCUCAAAGAUGGCGAAGAGAACAACGUCAUCACGUGUCAUGAUAUUGAAAUGGUAUUGAAAAAGGGAAAUAAUCCAAACUAUUCACCUAACCUCUGUUUGAACAUGCCAUAUCAAUAUAUAAAUCUUGUCUCAUAAUUGAGUUAUAAAUAAUUAAAUCUUUAUCAUUUUUAAAACAAAUUGUUCACUGUUAUUACAAACAAGUUGACAACACCGACUUCUCCAAUUAAUCUUUCGGUUUUGAAUUUUCGUCUACUCUCCUUAUUGAGCUUUAGAUUACUCUCUUAAUUGGGCUUUCGGUUUCUCUCCUCACAGAUGGGUGUGUACCUAUCUGCAAGGCGCUCCGAUACCAAAAUCAGAAAUAGUUUUACUUUCAUCAGAUAUAAAUUUAUGUUAGAAAAUUAUAUAAAAUAAUAAUAACAAUAUAAUUUCAAUAAAAUAUUAAUAAUAAAAUUAACAACUUUUUUAACAAAGUGUACCACUAAGUUUUAAGUUUUUAUAUUUUUUAUAUUUUUUACAUUUUGUUUAUAUGAUUAGAGAACACUUAAUACUUCAAUAUUAUACAAAAAUUUUUUUUAUCAGUAUUCAUUUAGAACUCUUGAAAAUAAAAAUAAGACAUGGUAUAUAAAAAAAAAUUUAUAACUUUUAAUAUUAGAGAAUAACAGGUUGGGAAUAAAUUAGAGAAUAUUGUUCUCAUAAUCAAUAUUAGUCGUUGAGAACUAUAUAUUUACUUCAUUACUUAUUAAAAUUUUUAAUUACGGAUUGCACUAGUGUUGAAUCCAUAUUUUUAUUAUGCAAUUUAAUGAGCCACGUGAGUAAGGUAAUAUUAAUGUAUUGUGCAAAAAAAAUUGUUUUUAAUUGGUGAGACACAAAUUGAAAGUUCAGAUUCUUUGUUUUUUCAUCAACGUUGCCAUUUUAAAAUUGUGAUUCCAAUUUUAAAAAUAUUUUCAAAUGCCUUUCUUUAAGAUUUGAAGUUGAAUACAAAUUUCCAAUCCCAAUUAUUUGCUACACCCAGUGCAUAUUAUAACAAACAAUUGUGGUAACGGAAAGAUGAAUUGACAAUCAAUUAAUGGUUAAACGUUCCAAAUAUCCAAAUAAUCUCUAAACAAUGAAGAUUAUUUUUUCAAUUAUUAUUUUUGUACCUUUUUACUUAUUUCACUCUUCAUAUUAUUCUUUUUGUAAUUUUUUUUUGUUUUCUUAAUAUAUAUAUAUAUAAAACCAUCUACAUAAGUAACGACAAGUACUUUUUAUCAUAUAAUUUAAUAAUUAAUAAUAUAUUAGUUUUAUAAUUGUUUAUAUAUAUAAAUUAUUACAAUUUUAUCUUUUUAUGCUUUGGUCACUAUUUUUAUAAUUAUAAUUAAAUCAUUUUCUUAAUUAUAUUUAUUUAUCACAAAUGUGGACACAGACCUUUGUGUUUUGACAGUUUUUUUAUCCUUGUGUUAUUUGACUGGUCAUGAAUAAUGUUUUCACCAAUAAUAAGUAAUGUUGGUUAAUGAAGUAUUUAACUUAGUUAUUUUUCUUUAAUAAGUAAUGUUGGUUAAUGAAGUGUUUCACUUAGUUAUUUUUCUUUAUUUAAAAAAAAAACAGUUUUCUUUAUAUGCUAUAAGAUGCUGUGUGAUUUAAAUUUAGUUGGUAAUAUAAUAUAUUUUGGAAUUAUCUUUGGGUAGAUAAUGAACAGGUUAUGAACUUUUUUUUUAGAUUAAGAUACUCUUUCUCACUUAAUAUUUAUUUAUUAUUGUUGAUAAAAACUUAACGAAUUUAAUUUUGUUUAUAAAAAGGAAAACAGAUUAACAGUUAAAUUUGACAUUUUAUUAUGCUAUGCGUUUACUUAAACGAACUGGUACCAUAAAUAAUAAAUAAAAAUAUGUUAAAAUAUUACAAAUCAAUCAAAUUAGUUUAUAAUAAUUUUUCAUAUCUUAAAAAUUAUUACGUACGGGGUUCUGAUACCAAAAAGUCAAAUAGUAAUAAUUAUAAAGAAUGGAAGUGUUAUUUUAGACUAAAAAUGUUACUUUCAUAACUUUACUUUAAAGAUAUCUCUAUAUUGAAAAUGCAUGUAUGUAAUUAUGAUUUGAUUAAUAUAAUUAAAAAAAAAAUUGAUCUAUAAUUUAUAUAGUGUUUAUGUGAAUUAUUAUAAUUUUUGUUCUUCUAAUGCUUCUCAUUUUCCCUCGCAAAUUUUCCGUUUUACACAUCACCACCACCGACACCAAACUUUGAUUUUAGGGUUCUCUCUUUAUUUUUCUCCGUACACACUUUGCUUUUUCAUAUAACUGUUAGAUUCUCUGACUAUAUAUAGCACUAUCAAAUAAACUUUAGACACCUCAUUGCAUAAUACAAUAUCAUAUAUAAAUAAUAUUUUUUUACGAAUAAAUUGAAAAUAGUAAUUGGUUUAGUACUAAAAACAUUUUUUUUAAUCGACUAAAUAAAUAAAUACUCAAUUUUAUUAAAUUUCAACCUACUAAAUGAUGUUGUCUCACUUGAGUAGUUAGAUUCAAUUUCAAAUUCUAACGUAUUUAUUUAAUUCAGUAAACGGGUCGCAUCAUUUCUUUAAUAAGUCAAGAAUAAAAAUAAUUUUAAAAAAUUAUAUAUAUUAUUUUAAUUAAACAUGAAUCAAACAAGUUUAAUACAAAACUUAAAUUCACCUUAUUUUUAAUAAAUUAAUUUUAAUCUUAAGUUCGAAAAAUCAAACUUAAUAAAAAUAAUUAUCAAAUAAAUUAUGUAGCUACCUUUGAAUUAGUUCAGUUUAUUGUCAAUCUUUUUUGUUUUUUUCUUUUUUCACAUAGACCGACAAACUACUGAGCGUUGUAGUACUUUAAUAAAUCUUUAUUUUUAAUCUUUUGUCGACAAGGUACACGAAGAAAUAACUUGACGAAAAAAUAAUUAUUUUUUCUCACAUUAAUGAUGGAAUAAUUAUUGCCCUCUCUAAUUAAUUUGUAUAUUACAGCUAAAAAGGAAAUCAUUAUUAUACUAACUACUUUUUUAUUUUUAGUCUUUUUUUGUCUUUAAAUUUAUUAUGAAUUACUGUACUUUUUACACACAAUUCAGCCUUUUUUUUUUAUCAGCCAUUCUAUUUGAAAAAGUAAUGUAUAUUUUUUAGACUCUUACUAUAUGUGUUUUAUUUUUGUACUUAAUUAAUGAAGAGAUUAAAACAUACCAUUUUAAUGAAAUAAAGGACUAAAGACAAAUAAAAUUUUAGAGGGAUUAAUCAAAAGUUGAAUUAUUAUAAUUUGAAAUACAUUCUUAAUCAACAUUUAAUUUAUAAAAUAAAAUAAAAUUUACAUUUACAUUUACAUUUUUAUCUUAAAAUUUUAUUUUAAUAUCUAUUGAUUUUUUAAUAAUUACAUUAAAAAUAUUUUUAAUUACUAAGAACAUAUUUUUUUUUGUAAAUUAAAAUAAUUUAUAUAAAAUAUAUAUUCGACUAAGAAAAUGUAUCUUCAUAUCCUACUAAGACAUUUAAGCUUAAAAAAUAUUAAGAAAAAUAUAAAAUUGAUAUGUCCAUAAUAAUUCUUUGAAUCCAUAUUUUUAUUUUACUUCCAUUUUACAACUUCUUAUAAGAAUACAAUAUUAUAUUAAACUAAUAAAAAUAAAUAGAAAUAAACUUUUAAAAUAAAAUAAUAAUAUUUUUGAAUGUUAAGUAGAAGUAUGAAAAAAAUGAUAGUGUUUAUCAUCAUCCUAAAACAUAAGGCAAAAUUUUAAAACAUUGAAUAUGCAUGACAUGUUUUAUUUGGAUAAAUUUUUAUAUAAAAACUCGGGUUAUAUUUGACUAGUUUUUUUUUUCAUAAAAAAAGUUCUCACUAUUACACAUUAUCCUAACAUCUUCUUGAGAAUUUCUCUUUAGUAGUAGAUGUAUUUGUUGGAAAAAUAAUAAUGUUUUAAGUAGAUUAAAACAAAAUACGUGUUUAAAUGUAAUAAUUAAUCUAAAUCAAUGAAAAGUAACAUAAAAUAAAAUAAAAAAAUAAAAAUAUAUAUAAGUAAUUGUAAGCAUACAAAGGUACUAAACCAUAAUAAUUAUCAUAUUCUAAUUUACAGUGAAUUUAAGGGAUAUAUGCUCUAAAAAUGGGGAAGGGGGCUUGGGGAUAAAUAUCUCACUUUCGACUUUUAAUUUUACUUAAUUUGAUUAUUAUACUUUUUAUGAGUUAUAUUAUAACUUUCUAUUAUACAUAAUUGAUUAUUGAUUUUGUGUAGUUAUCGAGACUUUUUCACAUAUUAACUAAAAUAUAAUGUUGUUAUUGCAAAUAAUGUUUAAAAUAUAUAACUAUAUCAAUAUUAUUUUUAAAAAAACUAAUUAUUUUUACUGGUGAAGAAAUGAUUGCUCUUUUGAAAUGUUUGUAGCCAAAUUUUACCACAGAAGAAUCACUUUAAAAAAAAAAUCAUAACUUGAAGGAAAUAUUUAUUUAUUUUUGGGUAUUUUGCCUUUUAUGCAGAGAUCGCAGGCCUUUUCAAACCAUGUUAUGUUCAAGAUUAUAGGGAUAAUCAGUGCGUUUAUUCCAAACAUGGCUAAUUUCUGAUGGUUUUAGGAGGGAAAAAUGCCUACAUUUUCUGAUCAAAAUAAUCUCCUAGUGCAUGUCAUAAUGAUUAGGCAUUAACAGGAAGAAAAGUUCUAUGACAAAGGACCACACAACUACUUUGCAUUCGUACAUGUUUGAAUGUUUGCACACAGAAUUGCAAAUACCAGUUAACUUGAAUAUCACAUUACCUUCACUUACCUCUCCCCGAAGUCACCACAACUUUGAUCCAAUAAUUUACUCAAAUUCCAUCUUCUUAACAAGUGAGUUUUAAACCUAACUCAACCUCAUAAAACCGGUUUAUGAGGUUAAUGAAAUGUCCUCGUCUCUAGUCGAUGUAGGAUUUCCAACACACCCCUCACGCUGAGACUACCAACUCGUGCAUGGAGAUAUAUGUUAUGGGUGGUCCGAUAACGGUCCGAUAGCGGGUGACCUGAUAAACCCAACAAAUACUCGCUAGAAUAGACUUGAAAUAACUUUGCAUAUAAUUUGAUACUUAUUAUUUACUAAUACAUCUGUCGUAAACAUAGCGGAACUAUUUUCAAAGAAUUACAAUAAUUAAUCCUUCUUGACUACAGCACAUUACAUAUAUAGUAUAAUAUUUAAGUGGUAGACACACUCUUGGAAGAAGGUUGAAUUAGGCUUAGAAAAAGAAUAAGUUAUAGUAAUGGUAAGAUAAGAUAUAAUUAACAUGCCAAACUUUGAAAUGCAGCAGCUGCUGCAAUUUCUAAUGUUUAUUUGGAAAGUUUCUUAAAAUAUGACUUAACAUAACGUGAUCAUUCUCAUUAGCAUAAACAACGUAUUACGUGUAAUGGUCCGCAGCCCUAACAUGAUAAAUUUAGAGUUGCAGUGUACAGAAACAACUCAUGUUACCAAAAAUAUCAGCAACAAACAACUAAGAAACAAUAAAUAAUUAACUAUUUAAUUAAUUAAUCCCACCAAGUUUCCACCCAGGAAACCUAAUGUCGAACAAUGCUUCAACAGUAAUCUGGCUUAGGUUUUUUUUGUAAAACAAAAGAAACACGAUUCAAUAUAGGAACCCAAUUGGCUCUAUGAUAUUGUUGACUGCAUUUUUUUCAAGCAACAUUACGUAGUACUAUAGAGUGUGGUGCCGUCAAGAAACCUAGUUUGAAUAUUCUUCGUAAAAUACAUUAAUUGGACCAGUUCUUCCACAGGACCAUUUCCGUAACCUCGUUGUGUCUCUCUUUGACAUGUGCUGAUAAGCCGUUAGGUUCCUUUAAACUUCAUUCAAACACAUUCAGUCUUGAAACUUUGAAAGCGAAUCUGAUGUGGCUAAGUGUUGUGAAUAGGUGAAUGAUGAUGAUGAGUUUGAAGAUGAGAAAUGGUUGAGAGUUAGAAGUGUUAGAGAAGUCAUAGUAAAAAUUUAAGGGGCGUAGGUGUUAAAUGUGAUUAGUGGGGAGUGGUCCUGCGUUAAAGUGGAAAGGAAGAACACGUGUUGAUGUCGGUGACAACUAAUGUAUGUUUUGCCAAAGUUGUCUAAUGGAUACAAGACUUAGAUGUAGGUUGAAAGACUAGGGUUUGAAUUAGUGAAGCAAAGGACUUGGUGAAAAUAGAGUCAAGGACACAUUUCACGCGUGAUCAUGGCAGACCCAUUUUUCUUUGUAGUUAAGAAUUCACACAAAAGAUACACAGAUACUUUUCCAUUCGUAUUUCUAUGUUAACAAGUAGGUCACCUUCUGCGAUUUACAAAAAAUCUCAAUUUUAAAUUAUAAAAAAUUAUAAAUUUUUGGUAUAAUCACUACAACAAGAAAAACAUGAAAUAAAAACCAAUUUUAGAGAAAAAAAAUAAUUAGUUGUUAUAGUAACUAAAUUAAAAACCAUUUUAGAAAUUAAAAAAAAAUAGUUUCUAAAUUAGUUUCGAUUAUUGUUAAAUGGUUUCUAAAUUGGUCCAAGGUUUUAACUACCAAUUAUUUACUUUCUAAAUUUGGUAGACAAACUUGGUUGCUAAUUAGAUACUAAUUUAGAAACCAUUUAAUAAUAAUAGAAACUAAUUUUAAAAACAAUUUUUUUUUAAUUCUAAAAUGGUAUCUAGUUUAGUUACUAUACACUACAAGAAAAUCAUGAAAUAGAAACCAAUUUUUAGAGACCAAAAUAAUUAGUUACAAUAGAAACUAAAAUAGAGACCAUUUUAGAAACUAAAAAAAAAAUGGUUUCUAAAUUAGUUUCUAUUAUUUUCUAUUAUUGUUAAAUAGUUUCUAAAUUUGUAUCUAAUUAGCAACUAAUGUUUUAACUACCAAUUAUUUAGUUUCUAAAUUUGGUAGCAAAAACCUUGGUUGCUAAUUAGAUAUCAAUUUAGAAACUAUUUAACAAUAAUAGAAACUAAUUUAGAAACCAAAUUUCUUUUUAGUUUUUAAAAUGGUUUCUAAUUUAGUUACUAUUGCAACUAAUUAUUUUGGUUUCUACAAAUUGGUUUCUAUUUCAUGAUUUUCUUGUAUUGAUAACAACUAAUUAUUUUUUGUCACUAAAAAUUAGUUUCUAUUUCAUGAUUUUCUAGUAGUGCAUGUUAAAUCUGUUAUUACAAAAUACGAAUAUAAGUACUGUAAUUAUUAAAAAUUUAAAAUAGUUAGAAGAAAUAAAAAUUAAAUGUAAUAAAGAUAACUAAAAUUAAUAAAUAUAAAAUUGACAAAAUUUAAAAAAAAUGACAAAUGCAAUGAGACAUAAUAAAUAAUAUUAUUUUGGUGUAGUUGAGUUGUUUUCAAUGUCAAUAAUAAUCCCUUUUUCUUCCUAGUUAAUAAUUGACAGAAAAGAUACAUAUUUUUUUCACCAUAUUCUUCUCCUCAAUCAAAGAAUGUAACAUAAAUAAUUGUAUUAAGUCCAUAUGUUGAAAAUUCAAUAGUUAAUUGAUUUAUAUUAUAACUGUUAAGGGUAAAAGAAAAAAUAAUAUUUUAUUGAAAUGUGCGUUUACGAGAGAAGAUAAAGGAAUUUUAAAAGAUUAUAAAUGGGUGACUUUAAAUAUGUAAUUGUUAAAUUAAUAUUUUCGAUUUGUUAAUGGGUCGUGUAAGAAGAUUUCCUCUGCUAACAAAUAUUAUAAUAAUUAUAACGAAUUAUAAAUAUUAUAUACUUAUAUUAUAAUAAAUAUAAUGAUUUAUAUAUAGACUUAUUAUUUCCAUGAUAUACAUGUGUUUAUUACUUUUAUUCUGUCAAUAAAAAAACAAAAACGCAUGUGUAUGAUAACUGUAUAAACGGAAUAUUUCAAAAAGGAUAAUAUUGCCAGUUAAAUUAGAGAAUAUGAAACGAUCGAAGGAUAAAUAAGCCCUUAUCGAAGGAUAUAUAAUUUUUAUAUUGUAUAGAAUGCUAAAUGGAGAAUAAAUAUUUAUUUAUUUGCUAAAUUACCUCUCACAGAAGGUGAAUUAGGGUCUUUGAAGAGAAAAAAAACUGUAGGGAGUACGUGUUUAAUCAGAAUGCUGACAUUUAUAAAAUUUCAUUAAUUAGUUAAUAAUAGUCAUUUUUUUUCGUUUGAUGGAUAUCUAUUAUAGAAAAGUGAUAAACAUACACGUAUUAAUAAUUUGUGUGUGUAGAAACAUAUAGUUAUAAAGAAUCUUACGGAGGCUAUGUAGCACAAACACUGAAAUAAAUACUGAUACGACACGGAUACAGAUAUGGAGAUACGUAAAAUCUCUAAGAUGUAGGACACGGGGACACGAAUCUAUAUAUUAUAUAAUUAUAAACUAUAUAAAUUGACAAUAAAUAUUUAUGUGCACAAGGAUAUUUCAAAUUAUUUUUUGGAGUAGAAAGAUAUUUUUUAUUACUGGUUCACAAUGAUUUAUUUCUUAUUUUUAUAAUCAUAAUAACAAUUUAUAUAAUAAAAUUUGAAUUUUGAGAAAAUUAAUGUAUUUUUCCUUUUUAAAGUUGUGUUCAAACCGUAUUAGAAUUAUCAGAAAUCUAACAAAUAUUUUUUGAAUUGGACACUUCACAGAUACGUGUCUACAGGUGUCAUACGAGUGUCGGUGUCUAAUACGAGUAUCGGACACCAACACGCUAACAUCAUUUAAAAAGAGUGUUUGAGUUUCAUAAAUUACAGGUAUUUCUCUUUAUUAUAUACGGUAAAUGACAAAUAAUUAUUACUCAAUGUAUUCCGUAUUGCAGCAAGCAAGAGAAAUGUUUAGGGUACAUGAAAUUAAUGUUUUGAGCAUGAUUGGUGGUUAAAUAAAAAAAGUGAACGUCAAUGUCAUUAGUUUUAUUUAAAAGGAAGUGAUUAAGGUGAGUUUGAAUGAAAGAAUUAAAGUUUAAUGGCCUUGGUUUUAUCAAAUAUCCAUAAGAAAUUCCGUGAAGAAUCAAAUCCAUGUGGUUAGUUCGGGCCAGCAAAACAUUUGGUAAAGCUAAUUAAAAAUUGGAACACGAGAAUAAGCACUUUUGAAAGUAAAAUGCGUGACACAUGACCGUAGAAUUUUUUCACUCCGAAUCACUUUCACUAUUUUAAAAUCAUAAGCCAUGUUUGGAUAUUCCUUCUUAUCAAAUGCCUUUGCUUCUGUUUAUUUUUUACUCCAUCACAGGGCUAAUUAUUCUCACUGAAAAAUAUUUUAUCUAAAACUUAUCAUUCGAUUCAAAUUAAUUUAAAUUCACGUUCAAUAAUUUAAAACUUAACGCCUCUGUCAAGUUUUAAAGAAUUAGCACAGAUGCGUCACAUGCAGCACAACACAACACAACACACACUUAAAUUAAAGGAAAUGGACUCGUUAUACCCGUGACGUCUGUGAGCUUUUACUUGCCUAAUAGUCUAAUUAUGUAUCUAAAAAUGUUUAAAUUUAAUUUUUCUUUUUCAUAAUUAAAUAGAAAUAUGAGGCAGAGAAGUGAAAAGUACCUUUCAAUAUUCCCUUAUGUUCGUGGUUAGGGAUGCAUAUUCUUAUUAUUUGAAUACUUCAUUUUGUAAAAUAUUUUUAAACCACAGUUUCUAAAAGUGAUAGGUGACAUAAUUUAUACCAACAACUAUUUUUAUUAGGCUAUUAUAGCAGACUGUUAUCACUUCAAGAAAAAUAUGAAAUAAAAAUCAAUUUUUAGAAACUAAAAUAAUUAGUUGUAAUAGUAACUUUCAACUAAUUAUUUUGGUAUCUAAAAAUUGGUUUUUAUUUCAUGAUUUUCUUGUAGUAUAUAUAUAGAAUUAUAACUUGUAGUAUUAUAAUCCUAAAAUAUUUUCUUCAAUAUUUUUGUUUUUUAUUUUUAUUUUUAUUGAUAAUUCAACAAUUAAUGUUAUCUGUGAAGACAAAAAAAAUAAAAUUAUGAUGCAUAAAUAUUUUAAAGAAAACAAUUUCAAAUUUUAGAGUGGUAAAUUUAUUUUUCAAUAAUACUUUUUUUUCAUAUGAUGUAAAUGAUUGUUGUUACUUGAAGUAUCACCAUAGCUAAAAUGUCAAGUUGUACAAUAAUACUUAAUAUGAAAAUUUUUAUUUAGAAAAAAAAAAUCUCUUUUGAUUUUCUUUCUAAAGAUUUUAAAUUUUGUCAAAAACAAUAUAAAUGAAAGGAAUAUAAGGCAUAAUAUAAAGAAACACAGAAGCUAGAUAGGGAUCUAAGUAAUAUAAUUGUCUCUUUCAUUUAAAUUAAGUAUGAGUUUAUCGUUUAUUUUUAUAAUGCAAUAGAUUUAAAGGGGUUUUGGAAAUCUUAGGUGAAUUGGAUAGCAGAGCUUAUCCGGAAUCAGAAUUUAAUAGUAAUUAGAAAAAUCAAUGAUUAGAAGCCGCUAAAACUUAAAAUAUUUAGCAUACAUGCUAUCCCAGUAUUGUGGACUAGUGUAAUAAAAAACAAAACAUUAAUGCUUUUUUUUAUACAUUAAUGCUAUUUUGAUACCAAAGCAUUUUCGUAUAUCUCAUCAUGUGUUUAGACAUUAAUAAUAAACUAAGAGAAAAAGAAGGUAUUGCUCUAUAAAGAGUUCCUUCUAGGGGUCCAACAGGCAGUAUUAUGAAAGACCAUUUUAUUCUUCAACUAAUUAAGAAUUAUAAAUUAAAACAUCUCACUGUCAUAUAACCAAUCUCUAGUUUCUAAAAUAUCAGUUUUAUGUGGUUUUUUAUUAGAAGUUUUAUUCGAUUUAGUUUUAAUAUGGGGUUUUAAGUUUAAUAUCAAUAUUUUAUACUUGUAUAAUCUUGUUUUCGCUAAAAUGAGGUCGGUUGGAAUCCGGAUGAGCUACAAGUGAUAUCUCUUUCAACUCUAAUGAUUCAGCUUUCAAAGAAAGUGGAGACUCUACCUAUAAAAAAAUACUCUGAUGCUCAAGUCAAUAAGUAAGAGCAUCGAAUUUUGGAUAUAUAGGGAAUAUAGUGCUAAGACUCGAGUUGAGAGUAUUCCAUUUGAUUCUGGUUUCUCCAGGUUUUAAUGUGGCAUAUUAUAGUAUCUUUUCAUAAAAUCUAAAUAUCAUGUAUAUAAAUCAGAGUGUUCUGUAAUAUAACCGGAGCAUUUAUGUAAUAUAAUAAAGGAUAUCAAAGCAUUUUUGUGAUAUAAUGGUGGAUAUAUGGAUAUUGCGCAAAACAUUUAUGUGAUGUAAUCAAAGAUAUUACGCAAAACAUUAUCACAAAGAUAUUACGCAAAACAUUUAUGUGAUGUAAUCGGGGAUAUUAUACAAAACUUUUAUGUGAUAUAAUCGGGAUAUUACAUAGCAAAACAUUUAUGUAAUAUAAUCGGUAUGUUACACAGUAUAAUAUUUAUGUGAUAUAAUUGAAGAUAUUAUACAUAACAUUUAUGUAAUGUAGUCGAGAAUAUUCUGCAUUAAAAUCACAUCCUGAGAUUUUAUUCACUAGAUUAGAUGUCACCCUUUAGGUCCAAAUUACUGCGUUACUCGUUCAGGAUAUACGAUCCAAGACCGGCUUUUAUGGUAGUACCAUAACACAAGGAUUGUUCUAUUGUCUCUUCGAGUCGGCGAACUCGACCCAUUGACCGAACAAGUCCCAAACGGUACAAAUGUCUAUGUGAUGUUUGUUAAAUUGAACUAAUGUAAUUGAGUUCAUAUUUUUCAAUAUACAUACUAUACUCCAUAUAUUAGGUUGGAUUCUAAGGAGGAUGAAUCAGAGGGCUCAAAGGUUUGAUUUUGUUAGGUACGAAGGGAUAGAUAACCCGCAGGAUUUUGAAAAAGAAUUGGAUAAAAUUUGGAUCGGAAACAUGAAGAUCUGUGUUGGCAGACUAAAAUCAACAAACAAUAAAACAUAUCUCAAGUGGUGAGGAGGGAACGAAGAAGACUAGCACUUAUGGGAGAGUCCAUGAAUUAACCAACAUCGAGACAAUACAUCAAAUCUUCGUCCUUAAUGAAUUGUAUUUCAUUCGUCAGAGAUAUUUGGGAGAUGAUGUUAUACUGCUUGUAGCUGAAGGAGAAGAGAAUAUGAUAAAGAUUAUUUAGGAGAAUAGCGACUAACUAUCAACACUGUUUGAUUCAAUCACAUAGUGGGCAAAAUAAACCACAAUAAAGAACAUGAGGUUAGAGGUAGUAUGCAGAGAGAUCCCAAUCCAUCUAUGGGGUACGAGUGCUUCACGAAAGUAGUGUCCACAAUUGGAACUCUGAUAUCAAUUAAUAAAAAUAAUAUCACAAGAAUAAACUCUAAAUCAAUAACAUUUAUCAGAUAUCACACAAAGAACAAAUAGCAAUUAUAGCUUUAAUGAAAUGUUCCUAAAGACCAACAAAGCUCUCAUUAAAAAUACUUUUAACAUUUUCUUUUAUUUUUCAUUAUCUUUUAUAACAUGAAAAUAUAGUUAUUUGAAGUCAAAUUAUCUUUAGAAUAAACACGAAAUAAAUAUAUUUCUUACUAAAUGUUAAUGGGUAAAAGGUACAUAUUGAUUUUAAAAAUAAUAUAAACGUGUAUUUACUAUUGAAAAGUGGGAAAAUUACUUCUAGACGGUACACUAAAGAGGCACUUCAAAAGCAAUAAAAAAAUUGUAAGAGGAAUGACUUUGGGAAAUAGUGAGAAUUUUAAUUGAUUGAUGCCAACCAGUAAAAAAGUCCUAUAUCCUCCAUCGUGUUUGAUUCUCACUUUCGAAGGUUCGUGAAUUGGGGAAAAAUUAUCGUUGAAAACAUUUUCGAAUCGAAGCAUGUUUUAAGAUUCGAAAAGAACAAAAAUUCUAUAUUAUUCCAUAAUUUGUUCAAACUUCAAACUUCAAAUCAAAUAUUCAAACCCCGUCGGCCAGCCUAACAAGUCAUGAGGAUUAAUAGGAAGCAAACAUGUACAAGCAACAAUGACCAGUCCUGAAUCGGAUAAAACUUGAUAUUUUAUCCUCCCAUUAAAUUUGUAGUUUAUUUUUAUAAUUUACAUCUUGCAUUACAUAUCAUUAAGAUAAAACCUUUUAUAAUAUUAUAUAUUAGUUUUUCCUUCUGAAACAAUGAUGAAGAAUCUAUGUAUAUAUCGAGUAGAGUAUGAUUUUUUUAAAAACAUAAAAAAAUAGGCAAAAUAAACAUAUUACUAUUACGGUAGUUUAAAUGAAGAAUUUUAAGAAUCAUUAUUUUUUAAGAUAAUUUGAAAUGACUUAAUGAUAGAGUGUUAGGAAGUUUAAAAAGAAAUUGAUAUUUUGGUAAUUUUAGAAAAUAUUUUAAUUAUUUAAAGUUGUAAAUUUUAUAUCUAAGAAGUAAAUCUCUGAAACUCUAUGUCAAUUAUUCUUCUUCGGUCUCUCUUUAUCUCUCUAUUCCCAUUUUCUUCCUUUUAUUUUUUCUUAAUAGCAUAUCCUUCUCUAAAUAUGAAAAUGGUAAGGAUGACAAUGUGAACCGAACCAUACAGCAUUGGUCUGCAAAAUUUAAUUUUGAAAUCAAAUUUCUUCUAUCUCAUCAAUUUUAAAAUUUAAUUUUCAUAAUGUAAAAGUCAAAAAGAGAGAAAAAAAUAUUUCAAAAUAACAUUUCUUGACCGGUGUUUCUAGAACAACUAUUUUGAAAUUCAGGUUCUGAAAUUAAUGAGGUGUAAGAAGAAACACCUUUUUUUAUUAUUAUGCGUACUGAUUCGGCCCUCUGCAAGUUGAGGAUUAUGCGAGGUGUUAUCAAACAAGUCAGAGGCCAAAGUAGUGAGUCUAACACUGGUAAUCAAAGAUAUAUGAAAUGGUUGAACAUAUUACAGAAUCCAAUUAAUUUCACUAGUAUUCCAAUUAAUGCCACUCAUGAGUAGUGAUGACCCCAAUGAACUUCAAUAAAAGACAAGACCAAACUGACGAAAUAUCACCAAGCCUAACCAAAAACUAAAAUUGCCCGUAACUAUUUUUUAUCCAAACGUCAAUACUUCAAUUUACUUAUCCAAUACUGAUACUAGGUUAUCCAAAGCCAAUACUUUUAUUUCACCAAUAAACAUCUAAGAAGAUCUAAGAAGGUAUCUAGACCAUUGACAAAAUUGUAAAUUCCCUCCAUAUAUAGAAGUAAAAUCCUAUAUAGCUGCCAUUAUAAAAACACUCAGGCAUAUCUAUAAUAUAAAAAAUAGAAGCAUUGUCCUCUGGUAAACCAAAAAUGGAGAUUACCCUCUUUAUGAAUGACUCCAACAAAGGAACGAAAUUGAUAUAAUUCUAGCUUUGACAACAAUUAUUUAUAAUUUUUAAAAUUAAUGUCCAAAAAUUGUGUUCUUCUUUGAAUACACAUAACUGUAGUUAUAUACUUAUUGUUUUAUGAAUUUCUAUACAUAUGUAAUCUUACAAGUCAUAGCUAAAGUUAAUUUGUAUCAUAUCUAAUACAUGUAUAGUAUAGCUAACUAUGUAAUCGUUCAAGAUAGCAACGAAAAUAGCUUGAACUAGGUGCUAGGAAAUUGUCAAACCUAAAGCAAAAAUGACUUAAGCUAAAUAAUCGCUCGACGCACAAAUUGAGAUUCGUCCUACUAUCAUGUUGGAGUCAUAGUAUAUAAAUGGAUACAAAAUUCAUCUUAUAAUCCAGUUUUAUGAGAUUGAGUUAGACUUUAAAGUCCACUUCCUAAUAUGAGAGCUAUUUAAAGUCUCUCCUAUCGAGUGUUUGUUGGACUUAUCAAGCCACUUGCUAUCAGACCACCUAUACAUAUAUAGGUCUCACACACAUGUUGUCACUCUCAGCGUGAGGAUGUGAGUUGAAAAUUCCACAUCAACUAAAGAUCAAGUCAUUUUUGAGAAGUCAAUCAUGUAUGCAAUGUGGGCAUACAAGAAAAUUGCUUGGACUACUUGAUUGACACCAGUAGGUAUCAAAGCAAAAAAAACAAAAAACGAGAGUGCUUCCUUCAUCUAGGUAACAUGUGAGUUCCAAGAGUUGACCUGUGAACAUGCCAACCUGGUGAAAACAGAAAUUUGACAUGGUGAGAGUCAAUCUGUUACCAUCAAUAAGAGAGGCAAUUCUCUCUUCAGAAUCAUUCCUCAUGGGAAUGUUAUACGUUGUUGCAAGCUCUAAGAUCCUUACUGAUCCAAUAUAUAUUUAUGAGUGCCGAUAAUAAUAUUAAGCAGAAACACAGAUUUAACCAACACUAUAAAACUUUCUAAUUUUAUGUAAGCAGUGUAAAACUGUUGCAACUACCUUAUCCAGUAAUGGGAAGCCAAUUCACAUUUAUAGAACACAUAAGUUCAUUCCAAAACAAUGUUCAUGCUGAUCAAUUUAACCUGAAAAGUUGCAAUUAGAAGGAUAUGUUGUGUAUUUUAUUUAUCAUUCAUACAAAUGAUUAUGUUUCUCAAUCGAACUACCCAAACCUCCAACAGGCUUCCUGCUUUACAGCAUUAGCCACCAUUUCGCGUCCAGCCAAACGUAUAAUCACAACUGAUACAUUCUCUAAAGUCUGUUCAAGUACCUGUUGGAAACAAAGACUCUAUAAAUACACAAUUGAAUUUUUUUUCUAAGGAUUCCACAUUACUUUUUCUCCUAUUCAUUACCGAUCUAUACUUUUAGUAAACUUUUUUCGGAAAUCAACACGUAACCGUAGUGUAGAAUAUACAGAGAAAAUAAUAGUACAUUGCAAGGAAAGAAACAUGCCGCACUAAUAUAAGAAAUAAAAAUUUUGGAAGGAAAGAGUACCCUGGGACAAUUCGCAGCAAGCGCGCGAUCCGACGGAGAUGUGAGAAGUGAGACGAGCAGCGGCGUCAGCGCUGUGCAGAGGCAACAGCGAUUGCGUGCAGCCGAGAAUUCCAAUUGUCCUGCAGAAAUAAAACUAUAAUUUAGAAGAAAAAGUAUUGAAUAAUUAUAAAAAAAUAGGUCACAAGGAAAAUGACCACAAGUUACCUUACCUGGGGAGUGUAAAGAGGGGGCGGCGAGGGUGGAGAAGGUGAGAGCGAAGGGAAGGGGAAGAAGAAUGUUGAAGGCGAGAAGCAGAGGAACGAGUAGGUAUGGUUCUUGCGGCGGAGAGUAACGACCUCGAGAGAGAUCCACCGCGCCACGCCAUUUCUUUGAUUUUGCUCUGUCCGGAAAUGGAACACGAGAUUAGGGGUUUAGGCACCGUGUGAGGAAGAGCUAAACCCUAGUGUGGUUGUUGUCAGAUCAACAAGCCCACAUUGGACUGGACUGGCCCAGAAAGAUUGAGCAAUGGCCCUUUUGUUACGGCGUUUUCUUCCUUUAGACCGUUUCUUCCUGCACCCCUACAUUUUUCUUCCUGCACCCCCACAAUGUAAUGCAAAGACAAUAAUAUCCCUACUAUUUUUUAAAAACCCUAAAAUACACAUAAAAUUCACACUACUCUUUCUUCUUCCGGACAAUGCAAUUCGGUAAUUUUACAAAAUGGGAAAUCCGCAUUUAUUUUUUAGCAUUCUAGAUUGGAAAAUCCAUAAAUAUUCCGGAUUGAUGAAUCCGAUAAUCUCCCAGAUCCAUCAAUCCGUAACAAAAAUUAGACUUCUAGAUUCAGCAAUCCGAAAAUCAACAAGUUGCUUUCGAAAUAAGGUGAAGGUCAGUUUUGGGAUUUACAAAAUUGUGGGGGUGUAGGAAGAAAAACGUAGGGGUGCAGGAAGAAGCAGCCCUUCCUUUAUCACCUUACUUUUUUUUUUUAUGAAAAGUUUUAUUUAUCUUUAAUUUUAUAUUCUAAAUUAUAAAGUUAAAAAGUUAUUUAAUAAAAAAUUUAAAAUUCCAAACUUCGAACUAAAUUAUCAAAUAUCUUGUAUAUUAUAUAAUUUAAAAUUUAAAAUAUAUUUAUAUUUCAAACUUCACAAUUUAAAAUAUAACUUUAUAUUUUAGAUUAUAUAACUCAAAACAUAUUUGAUAAAAAAAAAUUAAAUUAUUUCAUUUAAAAUUAUAUUUUAAAUUGUAUAAUUCAAAACAUCUACAGAUUAUAUAAUCUAUAAAUAAAAAUAAUAAACUUAACAUUAUUUUGGUGCGUAAUUUUGGAAUUAAGAGAAUACGGAGGUAAAAGAAAAAACAAUAGGAAAAUAACGCCUUGCAUAUUAAAUUAGUUAUUAAGUUGAAUGAUGAAUUUUUUUUUAAUAUUUAUUUUAAUUUUAUGUAAAAUAUUUAAUAUUUAAAGUAGGCGAGUAAAUUAAUCACAUUGUUAAGAAGCUUUCACUUAAAUUUUUACUAAAUAAAAUUCAUGAAAUUCUAUUAAUAAGUCUCAUUCAUCAGAUAACACAACCUUAAUUAGUCAGACUAUAAGAUCUAUAUGAAUUUCAACCAAUGUGAUGUUGUAGUGUUUAUUAGUGACUGUAAUGCGUUUUGCCUGAAGAGCAUUGACUUCAUUACAAAAUUAGAUAUGCGAUAAAUUGUUGAACACUAAAUAAAUAUUUAUUCAAUAAUAAUUUUAUCAUAAAAGCCAAUAUUUUGUAAAUUUAUAUUUGAUAAAUUUUACAAUGAAACUUGUCUAAAAAAUUGAGAAAAUAUGAAGUCAAACUCCUUUAUCAUGUUAAACGAAUGCUUCACGAUGUACUGUAGUAUGGUUUUAACUUUGAAUAGCACAGGGAGUGCAAUGACAAAACACGAUGUCUCCAACUCAAUCUAUACAUUUUUUUUCAUGGAGAGUACGCUCCAACAAGUUAUGCCUACAACUAUGGUUAAGACAGGAAAACUAUCCACCCAAUGGAGCGUAGUACACUUCCAUAGAUUCUUACAUUCUGAAAUCCAAAACGCAAACUGUAUUAUUGGCAAAACAUGCAGCGAUCUUGUUACCCUCCUUAUUCCAGCACACCUCGAAAAUGCCGCCAUCACCACUGUAGGUUUUAACGAUCUUGCCUUCCUUCAAGGACCAUAUGAGCAUCGAUUUGUCAGGAGACCCACUGGCUAAAUACUCACCGUUGGGACUGAAUGCAACAGAAUAUACACGAUCUCUGUAGGAACAAAUAAACAAAAUUGGAAUCAAGGGGAUUGGUAAUAUUCAAAGAGAGUGAAUUAACAGCCUCCUUUACUAAAUUUGAAAUGUUUUCUACCAAAAGAAUCCAAUUUGCAGGACCACGGGUAUACAUUUAUCACCAGAUAAACAAGAAGUUUGGAUUCUAAGAAAAUUCAAUUAAGCUCGGUUGAAACUAAAAUGGAACUUACAAGCUUCAAGCUGAUGAGUCGCGUAUAAAAUUGAUCACUUUCAAACAAAAGGGAAAGAGGCUGGGAGGAGAAACUUAAUGGUAUGUACUGUAUAGGCCGAGAUGUGCUUGGCAUACAAUGAACACAUCGGCCCUUAAAAUAUUUCCAUAUCUACUAAGAUUAGCUUAAUUAGUCGGACCUAAAAGUCAAACUAAUACAAUAAUGAUAUUGAUAUGACCCAACUUUACAAGAAGUUGAACACGAGCUCAAAUGACUAUUCAAGACUAGGUCAAACAUCUGAGAUGGAGACACAGGCUCCAUCAUCCAUCAGAAGAUCCUUAGGAGAAGAACAACCGGACAUGGGACAGAGUAUCAAUUAUUUUUCAUUCUAGUAUUUUUAAAACAAUUUUAAUUUGUAACCAAUUGGGCUCACAUUGACCCAAUUAGAAAAAAAAUAAGUUUAUAGAAGAUUACCCAUGUGCUCACUUUGACCUAGAUUCUAGAAGACUCACCCAUGUACUCACAUUUGACCUAGUUUCUAUAAGCUUGUAACCAUUUACGUCCCUAACCUUCCUCUCUUCCUCUCCAAGGCACUUAUAUCUAUGAAUAGUGUCUUCCCUCUUGUAAAUUACAUUGACUUUUGAGUAAAGAAACUUUAUCAGGGUGAUUUCCUGAGUGUUUUUCCAAUUCUCUUUGAGUCUUAUCUUGAGCAAAAGUUGCUUCUAAGUGGCGACUUCUCCCCCAAGUGGCGUGAUUCACUACCAUCUUCUCCAUAUCCAUAAGCUUCCUCUCAUCUUACUCUUUCCUUUAUUUUCCUUUCAUUUUCACCUAUGUUCUUCCAUUCUUUGGUUAUGUCUCUUUUAUAUUCCGCCAUUUAUAUUGGCUUCUCUUUAAUUUCGUGCUCAUCAUCCAUCAUCUAGUAUAUUGCGUUUUUCCUUUGCUCUUUUGAAGAGAACACUCACACUUACUUAACCACUUCUUAGUUAAGUUCGUGUGCAGUGACAAUCUUCACUGAGUUUCACCAUAUCAUGUUAAUCAUAAAUCAUAAUCCAAGUGAAAAUCCUAAAAACAUGUGCAAUUCUAAAAUCAACUCACAUAAGGUAUUCAUGCUAAUCGGACUCGACACCCCAUGAGUCCAUCUUGGCUCUAUAAAUAAGUUAACCACAUCCAUGUUCAGGUAUGCUUUCUAAUAUCAUUUAUUUUUCCAACCACCGAAUACUGAGUUCUAAUUUGAGCAUCGAAGAACCUUUUGCAGGUACCCUCUCCCAUCCCGGACCGAGGACAAAGAUCGAGAGCAACCACGAACAAACAACUAAGGACAUAUACAAAAAUCUCAUCAAGGAGCGUUCAUACAACAAAGACGAUACCUUCUCAGCCGAACAAUUUAUCUCAUACAUAAAUAAAGCAAAGCUAAACAAACCAUACCCGUGUCCAUUCAAGUUGUAGACAAGUUUCCCAAGUUCCACAUCCCAGAGCUUUACUGUUGAAUCAAAUGAUGCACUGCACAUAAAGAUGACUAGGUCGCUUAAAAUAAACAAAAAAACUUAGUCUAGUAUUAAGAAAAAUAUAUUAAAAAAACGCAAGGAAACAUGAUUGCAUGUAUAUAUGCACCCGCACAUAGGUCAUUGAUCAACAUAAAGCAAACUACAAGACAACAACAUUACAUUCGAGGGAAAAAAAGAGCUUUCAAUUAGUGGAUGAUUAUUUCAAGAAUGUUCGACUCAAAGCACACACGGAGAUUUGAUAAUAAACCAGAAGAUUGUUUCAAUUACUCCUCGGGCUUUAAAUAGAAUGGCAUCGAAAUAAGGAAACUAAGAUACUAACUUAAAAAGGAAAAUUAGGACACUCAUUAGAAACAGAAUCAAAACAGAAACUAAUUAUAGGGAAGUAGGAAAUUAGUGGUCACAUGCUGCAUCACAGUUUUCUCUAGGAGUUUCUGAAACUGGCACAGCAAGAUAAAAUGCUAUACAUUGUCUGAUCUAAUACAAUUUAUUUUUAGAUAAUCACAAGUGUCCCAUCAUCAAUUAAAAAGUUAACAACUACGAGCAUUAUGCACACAUCAACUGGAAUGGAAUCAGUAACAUGCCAAAGAUGGCACAGGAUUCUAUAGUACCAAACAAGACGUUGCUAACAAAUGCAUUUUAAAAGCUCAAGAGAAAUGAAUCUAACUUCAAGCAACUAACAUACCUAGCCAACACCAAAUUUUUAUUAGGGUUAUUUGUACCAGGACCAGUUGGGCUCCAUCUGAUAGUAUAUAUCUCCUACAAAAUAAUUAUUCAGUUUUCUAACUAUCUACAUAAUAUAUGAAAAAUUCAAAAGGAAAUAUAAAUACACUGACAUCAAGAAAUAUUCAUAAAUGGUACCUUGGAAUGCUCCCUAAAAUCAUGAAGAUAUUUAUCGUGUUUCAUACUCCAUACCUACAAAACAAUAAAUGGCAAACAUACAGCGCACAAACACAAUAAUUUUACAAUUAGUUCAGCAAGAAUACAUAUUUACCUGAUAAAAAAAUUCCAUAAAAGGUCAGAUUGCAAAAUCCAGUACCAAAAAAAAAAGCUAUUAUAUAAUGAUAAAGUAAACCAUAACAGUGAGUGAUGUUACCUUUGCCGUCAUAUCAUCAGAACAAGAGGCCAAUAAUGAACCAGUGGGAUCCCAUUUGAUACAAUUAACUUCACUCUGAAAUUGUGAAAGGCCAUCAUUAGACAGUAAAAGCUUAUCCAAGCACUAGAUUGCAUUUUAAUGAAAACUUAAUGCAGGACCUAUAAAGCUAGUUACACAGAAUUCAGUAAUCAAGCAGAUCAUUAACUACUGACUUUGCUGUCUGUAGAUUUUUAUAAGGCCACCUAGGAAAUGACAACUUAGCAAAUCAAGAUUUGUUAGCACUACAAUAUAUUAGAAUAAGACUGGGGUCCUCCCAGUCCAGCAUGUCCAGCCAUAUUUGAUAUGCCCAGGUUUACCCAAAAGACAUUCUAGAAGAUACAAGUUAGAUAAGGCCUCAAACUACGCUGCUAGAAAAAAGGAGUGUGCAGGGAAUGCUUGUAUGGGGAAGUAAUACGUGCACAAAUAGAUCCCUUGAAUUGCAAUUUCUUAGAUAUAAAUAAGACAGUCCUUGUUUUUCUAUCAGGAUUCAUCUUCAAAGCACCACCUCAAGGAUGUACAUAGAUUCAUUGCCAAACAAGGCUAGGCCUUUUAAACUUCUUAUCAAUAAAGUAGGGAAUGGAUUCAUCGCCAAAGCACUAUCCCAGGAUCAUCCAUCAAUCAGUACAAUUACCCAUACUUUCCAUUUUUAACCUCUCCCUCCCAUAGGUGUAAUCUCAGUAUCAUAUGUAACCGUGCAUAGCAUAAUCUUUUAAAAAAAUGAGGUGAGGUGUAUGAACCUGAUGGCCAACAAAAGUUUUAAUUGGGAGGUUUUCGCCAAUCUUGCAUACAUGUAUUUUAGUGUCAGUUGAGCUUGUUGCAAAUGACACAUUGUUGCGCCAGUCAACAUCAAGUGUCCAACCUAAACAGCAUAGAAAACCCAAAUUUCAUAAGUUAUCAAUAAAAAUGGUUUAAAAUAUUAUCGGAAAGAGUUCUUUUCAUACUAUAAAAUUCCACCUUGUAAAGAAGGGUGUAUUUAAAAUUUUACCUGAAUGAAAUUCAAAUUGUUGUUUCCAUUUCACAGCUUUCACAUCCCAUACAAUUGCGGAUUGGUCACAACUUCCAGUGAGAAGAUAAUCACCUUUCUUAUUCCACUUCAAAGAGAAUAUGGGUCCCUUGUGUUUGCUUAAAAUACUGCUCAGUUCACCUGGUAAAAAAUAACACCGCUGCAUGAUCAAAAUUCAAAAUAAUAAUUGAGUGUUGAGUUUUGUGCUGCAAUAGAUCCUAGAGGAGAGGUUUGGCCCAACUCAAAAUUAAAUUCACAUUUCUUCCAACAUAACUUAUGCAACAGCUUUCCAACAGGUAAAGCAAACAACAAUAAAAAUGAUGAUUUUAUAUACAGGAAAAAAAAACUAAGAUCUGAACACAUACGACAAACAACAAGGGUAUUCACACAAAACAGAUACACUGAAACAUUCAACUGGUGCAUGUUAGCAUAUAAAAGUUGUUAAAGUUUAAAAUUCCUUAUCAUCUAAAUCACUUAGUUUGAUUUCGUUGUAUAAACCCAUUGGUGGUCCAAAUUCUUGCUAAGUUUAUAAUCACAUAUAUCUUACAAAAGGCUUUACUGAAAGUCUAUGUUUAUAAGAAAUGACCUACCAUUGGUGGUCCAAAUUCUUGCUUGCCCAUCAUAUGAGCCAGUUGCAAGAAGUGUCCCCUCCCCCUGCAUUACGGCAACUAGAGGUCAAACUUUUCACAAAAUAAAACAUAAUUAUGACUUAAUAUAUUAAAUAUUACAAACAAUAACCAUUAAUAUACAAAUAUUACAAAUGCAUAAAUAAAUACCUAAGCAUACCAAGAGAGAGGAAAAGAAUUAAAAAUAAAAUGCUAAAUCUCCUAUCUAUUUUUCUUGGCUUUCACACAACAGACAGACCUACUGAAACCUCCCUUGAAAGUGAAACAUAUAAAACAUGACCUAUUGUACAAUUUCCUUGUCACAAACUUACCCUGCUUCAGUGAGGCUGGUGAAGGUUUGAAAAACAGAGAUGUACGGAGAAAAAUUAGCAAAAGAAUAGGAGAGGGUGAAGACACUAUCAGUAAUCAUCUUGAGUUCAAAUUAGAAUAUGCAAUCAAACUCACAUUCCAAUCAAGUGUAGUGACAUCAUUACUCUUCUCAUUUGUUUUACCCCUAACAUGUUUCAAUACAAACACAUUUGGAGGGUCACUCAGCGAAGCAGAUUUGCAUCUCCCUUCUGGUAUUGACCAAAUACGAGCUGUUGAAUCCCCAGACCUACAGUUGAAAUUAUGAUAGAGAAGUUAAAAGAUAUUGUAAGAAGCAAUUCAUCAGGUCUCUAUUUCUGAAACAGUUUACUCUCUUCAAAGUUGUCUGAGAACAAUAAAAGCAUUCUUUAAAACAUAUUUCAGAACAAAAAUAAAGGACAUGUAGAAUCAGAAUUUAACAUACUUUUCCUCCUACUAACAUCACAUAUCUUUCCAAAUUUACUGUGAACAAAAUUUAAGGCCCUUCGAUCCUAUUUUAAGUCUUUUUUUUUAAAAAAAAGUGAAAGUUACAGUAGUGAAUUAAAAACACUUCAAAACAAAUACGUACACAAUUAAAUUAUUUUCAAAAGAGUUUUACAAAGUGAAGGAUGGUUUCAGCUUAGCAAAAAUAAAUUAUUGAGAUAUCAUUAUGAAAAUCAGAAAGCAAUCAAUUCAAGAAAGGGGAAAAAUGUGAUUUCAAGCCUGCUUUUGUAUCUAGCAAAACAACUUAAAGCAAAGGGUCAAUUGGCAAAAAAAAGGAAAAUUUGAGAAAAGAUGGAGAUCUUCCAAAAGAAACAUCCUUCACUAUUAAUUUAAACACUAUGGAAGCAAAAAUUAAUUUGAAUGCCAUUUAAGAUGGGUGAAAUGUAUUGAAUGCCAUUUAAACCCAAAUCAUUCAAACAUUCCUCUUCAAAGUUCCAGCAAAUGAGGAAAAUAACUUACCUGUGGAUACUAUCUACCUAACUGCUAUUUAUGACAUAAAUACCUUAAUGACACCAUGAAUCCAGUUGCAAAUGAUUCAAAGUGUCUUAUCCGCCAAUGAGGAAGAUAACUUACCUGUGGAUAUACUAUCUAUGCAACUGCUAUUUAUGAUAUAACUGACUCAAUGACACCUUGAAUGCAGUUGUUUAUAUAACACAAAAUUCUAAAGAACAUUUGAAAUUGCUAGGAUUUUCUGUUUUUAUAGAUAAAAAAAAACAAUGUUAAAGUUGCAUAAGCUGAAUAAAAAAAUCAUUUUUAAACUCUACUUUUUUUAAGAACUACAACUGCUUUUGAAAACAGGAAUCUAGUAGUCCUUAAAUUCUCAAAUAUAACCACUGAUUCAAGUAUACAACUAAUGCAGAAUUCUGACAAUAUUUGCAACCAUUCUUGCCAAUAUACUUGUGUUAAAGCUGAACAAGCACAAAAUCCCAAAUACAUUUAGCAUCUCUUCAUCAAAAAGGAAGAAUAACGAAUGAAAAUCCAAGUUGAGCAAUAUAGUGUACAGCUAUAAAAUACACACUCAUAAAUACAUAUUGAUGAAAAAAUUAAAUCAACCACGAAGAAGAUUCCUACCCUGAUGCUAGAAGAGAUCCUGUAGGACUCCAUGCACAAGCACACACCUAAGUGUACAGUAAACAGGGCCGUUAAUAGUGUUUUACAGUGAAAACAGCAGAUGAAAGCAAAUAUAAAAAGUAAACAAACCAAAAACAUAUUGAUGAAAUACUUCACCUCAGAAGUAUGACCUUCUAAAACCAUCACAUCUGACCUACGGAUUUCACAUGGUUGCGGUGUUAAUACUGUAGAAAUGUCCAUCCGCUCUGGUCCUACAAAAAAUGAAUGAAAACUUUUAAUUCAUUUGUUGAAGAAAAAAAUUAAUUCGAACAGAAAACUAAUUUGAAUAUUUGCAAAUUCUAACAGAGAGCAGGCAGGUUCCAGUGUUGCAAAAAACAUGCAACUAAAUUAGAAAUUGCAUUGGGAUAUCCCCAAAAAAAAAUUAAUAAUUUUCUGCUAGAAAUAAUCAGGAUAUAGAAUUAGGACAUACGGCUAGAAAUACAUGAUAUCAAAGAGAACAUUUCUAAUCCUAAAUCCCACAAAAUUGCUACUAAUAAACUAAUAGUUCAAUGAAACUCAUCACAACAGCAACCUAGAUACGUAGUUUUUGUUAGAUUUAUAAAACAAGCCAGAUAGCCAAUAUUUUAGAAGUAUGACUGAUACAGACUGAAUAAUAAAAAAAAGAAACACUGGAUGACAAUAAGCUGGGAGUUACUAGCUCUCUACAAUAUCAAUAACUCAUUAAUAUAUCAUCAGUCAUUACUCCAUUCACCAAAUAAUCACAACAAGGGCCACAGAGAAUGAGGCAUCUUCCAGGAUUUAAACCUGUCACCUUCAGGUCACAGCAGUAACAUUACCAUUGAACCAAGGUCCACCACCAUUCAUCAGCUGAUAGACUAAUAACAACAUGCAAGAAAAUAUACUACAAUUCUACAAAUUUUACAAGGAUUAAACCUUAACACAAGCAAAAAAUUGUAUACAUAAACAGAAAAUAGUUAAAAAUAAAAGUAAAACAUUGGAUUAUAAAGAAAACUUACAUUCAGGGGAAAUUAUUAAUACAAAUGAUGUAAUUACACCACGAGAAAUGCCAAACAUACAGCAAAGAACGACAGGUGAUUACCUCCAAAAGCUUUAUUCUGUUCUUGAUCUGUGACCAGUUCUUUACUAGUCUGAUUGCCACGCUUCUGUUCUAGCUCUUUAAGAUUUUCUGCCUGAUCUCUAUCCUUUUCACAUUCUUUUGCCCUUUCAUGUCUUUCUUUUCCUUUUACCCAUCCUCGCCCACCUUCAUGCUCCUUUUCAGAUUUCUUAUUUCUAUCCUUAUGUAGUUUUUUCCUUCUUUCAUUAACCAUUUUCCCAAGUUCAUGCACAUCUUUUGUGAUAAGUUCCAAAGGUUGUAAGAAUGAAAAAUCUUCAUCCAGGUUUAUAUCACACUGGCAAGCUACAAUUGAUCAGUAUGCACCCUAGGGUACAAAAAGCUUAAAUACCAUUCAAACACAUGGAUGUUAUGACGGUAGUAAAAACUAGAGUUAAAAUAAAGAAUACUAACAUUACUCAAGUUGGCUUCCAUCUCCAAGUACUGUAGCCCCUUCUGAACAAGUCUAAUAAGAGCACCUAUUGGUACAAGCGUUCCAUCAAUGGAGAUUUUGUUAAUACCUGCCUCAUUUCCAAAUGCAAAAGCAGUGUGUAUGAAACCUGCAGUUAUAACAAGAGUAACCAAAAUCCAAUUCAGUUUCUUUGCACAUUAUGCCCUUCACAUCAAUACAGAAAGCUUUAUUAAAAUUUAAAGAAACAAUUUUUUUUGGUUAAGAAAAUUUAAAAUCAAUUUCAGAACUUCUCCCACCCUAAUGAAUGCCCUAGUCCAUUUUAUUCCACUGACACUAUUGCAACAAUGGAGUAUUUGUCGUAGUUAUCUUUCUAAAGUUAUUUAAGAAAUUUAAUUCAUGAAUGACAAAUUGGCAAUAGCAUUUAUUUCGUGUGUGUGUGUGGUGGGGGGGAUUCACUAACAAACUUUCAUCUUGAGCGUAUUUUAAGAAAACCGAAGUUAUAACUUAUUAGAAUAUACCUUAUAAAAACUAAAUGCAAGUACAUUAACAAACCCCUACACACAUACAAAGAACAUUUCUUCCAGUGAGUUUUCUAUAUCAUGUUUCAAGGUUACAAAUCUGAGAUGAAAUAAAUUUUAACUAUUCAAAGCAGCUGAUAGUUUCCUUUGUUGCUAGAGAUUAAAUUGCUCAUACUUAUUUAACUUUUGCGUUAUGACAUACUUAACUUGGUUUCAAUAUUAAUUUUGAAUAAUGUAUGCUAUGAGUAAAGACUUUAUAAGUGAAAUUUCUUUGUCAAUAAAAUAAAGUCACGAAUAUUAUGGGGAUUAGUCCGAUGCAAAAGUUGCCCUUUGUUACCUAUUGGUCACAGGUUUGGACUGGAAAAAUAAUGAAUAAUGUUUUUUUUUUAGUUUAGUUCAAUAUUGUUUGAUAUAUUAUACUAACUAAUAUAAUAACAUUUGUUAAUUAUUACCAGUUCCUCCAUUGGAACUUAGAUCAGUAAACCUUGCUCUUGCAUAUCAAGGGACUAGAGUAAUAUUUUUUGCAUGCAUUUUAUAGUAGAUAACAAUCGUGACUGAAAACCUAACAAUGUCUAAUUUCAGUGGAACUAGACUGCAAUCUCGAGGUGAAAUUAGGUUGCAAAUGAGGGUCUGGUCACGUCUAUUUAACCCAACUAAACUCCCAGCCCCAGAAUUGGGUGAGCAAUUGAUAAUACCAAAACAUUCAUGACUCUAGACGAAAAAAUCAAACAGAAUUUCACUUCAGAACUACAACAUUGUAGUCUUGAAACCAGAGAACAAUCUUUCAGCAUCAGAACAAUCAAUGUCCACUCCUUCUACCUUAAACCAAAAUAAAAUUAAAAGCUCCAUUUUGGAAUCACCAUUGUCGCCAACCCUAACCAAUUAGCCACAACAUUUUCAGCUCUUGGUCAAACCAACCAGCCAAGACCGUUAGAAUUCCAAAACUCAAAAUUAGCCCAAAAUCAAAAUCUGUCCCGCUCAAAUUUCACUAACCACAAAGAAGCAAAAUAAGAGCGAGCAAGCAAGCAAAACGAGAGGCAAAUUGUAUAAUAAGAAAAUUCACAACAGUGGAAUGAAAAAAAAAAUACGAAGGGUGGAGGAAAUUAAAGAAACCUGAUUCGUGAAGGUAGCGAAAGACGAUAUAGUUGAGUUCAACGGAAGUUAUGGUGGACAUGUUGCUUCCUGAGCAAACGGCUUGGUGACCUUCGAGAAGAAACGGUUACGCAAACAGCUGCGGAAACAAGAAAGGAGAAAGGGAAGAGAGAAUACCGAAACGGCGAAGGAAGUAGUAGCUUAGGACUCAGGAACUACGAACGUUACUCGCUAGCUAGGUGACAGCUGCAACUACAGCAGAAAACACUGGAAAAUUGCACUCUGCAAGACAAUGCAGAACUUUGAGUUUCUGUGUAGUUGGUAGCCUUUGUUUUCGCAAAUUGUCAAUAUAUUUGUAUUUAUACUACUCUCCUCACUCUCAUGCUUAUUAAAAAUUAAGACAUGCAUGUAUUAUGUCAUGUGCGAAUUUUAUUAUAAUAAUCUUUUAAAAUUUCAUAUUUUUUUUAUAUUGGAGUAUUGUUCUCAUUUUUAUAUAGCAGGAGAUGUAUUUAUGUUUGUUUGUGUCUCAAUUAAAUAUUAUUAAGGAAUUUUUUUUUAUAGAAAACUCACACAAAAAAACAAGAUAACAUUAUUAAGAAUUCAAUUUUAAAAGAAAAUAUAAAAAUUUUAAAAUAAAAUAGCAAAUAAUAAUCACAUAGAUUGCGAAUAGAUAUCAAGAAGAAGAAGAAUUUUCACAUGCUUAAAAUUUCAUAAAAAGUAGACACUUUAUCAACCUAAAAUUGAUUAAUAUAAUGUGUAGUUGAUCCAUGCAGAUAGAAAGAAGUUAUAUAGAAUUUAUGUUUAGAAAUAUAUAAAUAAAUUAUAUGAUAUAAUGUAAGAUGUAGAUACAUUUAUUCUAUAUAUGUUUAAGAUAUUUAUUGAACUAUAAAUUUAUCUGUAAGAUGAUAUAUUAAUUUUAUUGAUAUAUUAGAAUCAUAUGAAAGUUGUUAGGUUGUGGUGAGAAUUGACGGAGAUUUAAAUAAUUAAAAAAAUUUAUUUAAAAAAUAGUUAGUAUAGUAGGUUAUAUGAUAUGAGAUAACUUAAUUCAUAUGUAAUAUAGUUUUAUUUAAAAAAUAAUAAAGUGAAAGUAGCUUCACAUAAACAUAUAUCUAAUACGUCAAAUUUACACGUAUUUGUUCAUAAUAAAUAAUGUUACAUUUGUCUCUUAGUUAUUUUUCUCUCUUUAUUUUGGUAUAUAUAUAUUUAAAGUUUAGAAUUUUUUAUAAAUAUAGAUUUUUGUUAUAAUACUAUUUUAUAAUGAUACAUAUUAUAUUAUAUUAUAUUAUAUUAUAUAUAUAUAUAUAUUAUAAUAAUUAAGUAGUGCAAUAUGCGAUAUUACAUGUAUAGUAAUUCAACUUAAACAGUAUUACAAUUUCAAACACUUCAAUUGCAUGAACUUAUUAAUAUAUCCUUGAAAAAAUAUGAGUGUUUGUUGUUUACUUAUUUUUAAUCUGUCAUUUAAUUAUAGAUUAUGAUAGAAGAUUUCAACUCUAGUGUUAAUUCUCUUAAACCUCAUGGUUGAAAUAAUUGUUAUAAAAGGUGUGAAAAUAUGAAAUAACAUAAUAUAAUAAUUAUCUGUAAUUUAUUGUUUACUAUAUUAACAUAAUGUGAUAAUUUUAUUUCAUCACCUGUUAUAUUGUAUCACUGCUGUGUCGAUCAAAGUUUGAACAAGAUAUAAUAAGUUAUCUAUUUUCUUCUCUAUAUAUAAUACUUUUCACAUAAACUUAAAUGAUUAUAAUGACUAAAAAUAUAAAAAUACUUUUAUUCCAAUAUUAAAAAACAUUUGAAUCCUAAUAUUAAUUUUAUAAAACUUAUUUCAUGUAGUUACAAUUUUAAGAAAAGUAACUAAAUAAAUAAGAUAUUUUUCUAUAAUUUUUAAUAAUAUAUAUAUGAUAAUAUAUAUCAUAACUUUUAUUUAAUAUUUAUAUUUAUAAUUAUAAUAAUUGCAACACAUAAAUUUAAAUUAUAUUAUUUGUUAAAAUAUUAAAAUUACAUAAUAAUUAUUUGAAUCUUGUUAAUAUAUUAAUUAAAUUAAUAUCAAAAUAUAAUUUUAUACAAUGUACUUAAUUUUUUUUUAAAGUUUUAUAAUUUGUAAACAAAUUAAAUUAAAAGUUUAUAUUUUAAAAAAUUGUAUGUGAUUUUAAGAAAAUAAUUUGUCAACAUAAUUUAUAUUAUAUUCUACUUUUGUUAAUUUUUAUUUUGAACGUAUUAAAUACUAUAAAAGAUUAUACUUUAUUAUGUUUUUAUUCAAUUAUAUUAUAUGUAUUUACUCUAUUAAAUCGUGUUUAUCAAACCAGUUUUAAAUAUUUUAUUGAAUUAAAAAGAAAAACAUAUAUUAAUCCUAAAUAUAAUAAAAUAUCAUUAUGUUUUUUUAAAUUCUUCGCAAAUUAAUACGAGGGGUCUCGUACAAGCCAGUAAUAAUUUUAACCAAUGUAUCUAGAAGUUUGUAACACGUAGAAUUUUAAUAUAAUUAUUUAUUGAAGUAGCUUAUAUGUAAAAUAAAAAGAAAACAGAUGCUUAAAUGGUAUUUUAUGACAUAUUUAUUAUUUAAAAAGUCAUAUUUGGAAUCCAGUGUAAUUAAUAUAAAUAUAUUUACCUUAACAUGAUAUAUUUGGAAUCAUAAAAAAAUGUAUUUUAUUGCUUAUGUUCCGUAACUAGAGAGGAGUCUAUUAUCUGCAUCAGAUAUGUCAUUAUUAUAAAAAAAUAUGACCACGGAAAAGUUAAAAGUAUAAAAGUUAUUUUUAUUUUCAUUUUAUAAUUCUUCCAAAAUUGCAUAGUUACUAAAAAAAUAUAAAUGGUAAUAAAUGUCUUCAAUAUAACAAUUUCCAAAAUUGUAUAAUUAUUUAUAAAUCUUUGGAAAAUGUGUAAUAUAUUUUUAAUUUUUAUUUUAUAAACUUCUAAAAUUAUACAAUUUUAUUAUAAAUAAUUCAAUGAAAAGAAACUAAUUAAACUUACUAUAUAAAAUGUGAGCAACAAAAUAUUCAUUGUGUUUCACGGAUAUUCUUUGGAUUUCUACAGGACUCCAAAACUUAAUUAUCAUUAUACUAUGAACUCAAAGGUCUUUUCAAAGCUUAUAAGAAUUAAAUAAAUAUAAAUUUAAGCAUAUAUAUAUUAUAUAUAUAAAAAUAUAAAUAUUUAUAAAAAAAUUAUUCUUUUAAAAUAUAUCACUAUAAGACAAUUAUGAAAUAAAAACCAAUUUUUUGAAACCAAAAUAAUUAGUUACAAUAAAAAAACUAAAAUAGAGACCAUUUUAAAAACUAAAAAAAAAAUAGUUUCUAAAUUAGUUUAUAUUAUUUUCUAUUAUUAUUAAAUAGUUUUUAAAUUGAUAUCUAAUUAGCAACUAAGGUUUUAACUACUAAUUAUUUAGUUUAUAAAUUUGGUAGCAAAACCUUCGUUGCUAAUUAGAUACCAAUUCAGAAACUAUUUAACAAUAAUAGAAACUAAUUUAGAAACCAAAUUUCUUUUUAGUUUCUAAAAUGGUCUCUAAUUUAGUUACUAUUGCAACUAAUUAUUUUAGUUUCUACAAAUUGGUUUNNNNNNNNNNNNNNNNNNNNNNNNNNNNNNNNNNNNNNNNNNNNNNNNNNNNNNNNNNNNNNNNNNNNNNNNNNNNNNNNNNNNNNNNNNNNNNNNNNNNAAGUUAUUGAAACAAUUUUCUAACAUAAAAAUAUAUGUAAAAAUAAAUAAUUAAAUUAAUCAUUUUUAAAUAAUUCAAAUUUUUCAUUCCAAUAUCAAUAUAUAACAACCAUAUACAACUAUAUAGACCACUCAUGUAUCCAUAAGGACAUUCAAAAGACAAAAAUCAAUUGAUGUUUUUUAGGAUACUCGUAUUAUGUAGGUUAUAUAAAACAUUAACAUCUAAUCCAAUACCAAAUACAUAGAUUUACAAAUAAACCUAGGAGAAAAUAUUAGCAUAAGUUUAAAACAUCCAAUAUCUUAUCCAUAAGGUGGAUCUCAAUGUGUAAUGAACUCUUUCAUCAUUUUUUAUCUACCUAAUGUCUUAAUUUAUGUGACAUACACUAUUAGUGAAAAGUUAAAAAAUAUAUGUUAAUAAUAAAUUGAUAACUAAUAAGAUAUUAAUUUAAAAAUUAAUAUAUAAAUUUUAUCAAUAAUAAAAAUUAUUUUAAAUACUAAUAAUUUUUUAAUAUUUAAAAUAAUAUAUAAUUUAAUUAAUAUAAUAAUUAAUUAUUUUUUUAUUUAUAUUUAAUAAUUUUCUUAUAAUAUAUAAUUUGUUUACAAUUUAUUUUAAAUAAAUACUAUUAAUCAAAUAACAAGUAUUAUAUAUAUACGUAAUAAAUUUUGUCUGAAACGGACAUUUAAUUAAUAUAUGAAAUAGUUGCUAAUGAAAUAUAUAUAAAUUAUAGAAACAAAAUUUCAAUAAAUACUUUUUUUUAAUUUCCGCCUUAGUAUAUAUAAGUUAGAGAAAAUAUCAGCUAUUAGCCAAUAAACAGUUGGCCCGAAAAAGGUAUUUAACUCAAUAAGAACAAUCAGUUUAACAUCAAUAUCAUUUUGAAGAGAGGGUUGUUAAUUAAAAAAAUGUAAAUGUUCCCUAAUAAAUUUUAGUUAAUAUGCGUUUAAAAUAUCUUUAUUAUUUUACUUUGCAUACAUAAAAAAAUAUUUAAAAGACGUGAUAAAUUAAAAUGAUUAGAAGAAGCAAAUGAUAUAUGUUCAAAGUUUUGAAAGUAGGUUCCAGACAAAAAGUUUGAAAAGCCUAAUUUUCAAAGUCAAAGUCAAAGAAAAGUAGUAUUUAUUUUACCUUUCUAAGUUAGUGUAUUAUUGGAAAGCUUUUAUAUAUAUAUAAAGAUGUGAUUAUUUAAAUUUGAAAUAUAUGUAUUAAUUUAUUAAUACUAUUUAUUCUCAGUUUUAAAUUAGUAAAAGCAGAAAAAAUGAUGAAAAGACUAACAAAUCAGCAUGAAAUAUUUGAUAUAUUCAUGGUGGAUUGUAUUAUUUAUAACAUUUACUUUUACCUUAUAAAUAAAUAAACAUAACAUAUUUUAACAUUUUAAUUUACAUUAUAAAUUCUUUCUUAUAUAAAAAAAUUAAUAAUAACUUGUUUUAAUAAUUUUUUUAUUAGAUAUGAUUUGACUUUUAGCAUCCAUAUAUCAUUUUAAAGUGUCUUAAUUGUUGAGUUAUACAGCUAAAUGAAGAAAGCCGUCAAUGUGGAAAAGUGAGGGAUUGCAAAAUUUGAAAAGUACACAGAGAAGAAUAUAUAAAGACUAGGAAUGGCGAAAAGAUUUGCAUCAAAUUCAGUGAUUCUUUGAACUUUGCUAACCAUGGAAGACAACCUUAUCAACAUCUUUUACCUCUUCAUUUUUCUCAUCACUUUGAAACUGUUGUUCUUUAGAAGGUUCAAGAACCCACCGCCGGGUCCACCGUCUCUUCCAAUAAUCGGCAACCUCUAUCAGCUGAAGAAACAGCCACUCCACCGCGCCUUGCACGGCCUCUCACAGAAAUACGGCCCUAUCUUCUCUCUCCGGUUCGGGUCUCAGCCCAUCCUUGUCGUUUCAUCAGCAUCUGCUGCGGAAGAAUGUUUCACAAAAAACGACAUCGUUUUCGCGGACCGUUUUCAUUCUACCACGUCCAAGUAUCUCGGCUUCAACCACACCAUUAUCACGGCAUCGUCGUACGGCGACCACUGGCGCAACUUGCGUCGUAUCAGCUCCCUAGAAAUCCUCUCCAACCACCGUCUGAACUCUUUUCUGGGAGUACGAAAGGACGAGACCAUGAAGUUGCUUAAAAAGAUGGUUAAGAUCAACGGUAAAGAAGAUUUAGCGAAAGUGCAGCUGAGACCCAUGUUUGCAGAACUCACGUUCAACAUAGUCAUGAGAAUGGUGUGUGGAAAACGCUACUACGGUGAGGAAUACGACGGCACCACCGCUGAAGAGGCCAAGAAGUUCAGAGAGCUGAUGAACGAGAUAUCGCAAUUUGGGUUGGGGUCGAACCUUGGAGAUUUUGUGCCGCUUUUAAGAUUUUUUAAGAGUCACAAAAAGUUAGAAAAUGUUGGAGAGAAGCUCGAUGCGUUCUUCCAAGGACUCAUCGAUGAGCAUCGGAACAAGAAGGAGAGUUCAAAUACCAUGAUAGACCAUUUGCUUUCCUCACAGAAAUCACAACCUGACUAUUACACAGACCAGAUUAUCAAGGGACUUGUUAUGGUACGACGUUAAUUUACUUUGUACCACGUUGUUUCAUUUUGCUGGAAUUUAACCUUGGCAUGAUUAUAGUAAUAUUGUUUUUAAUUUGUUAGGCAUUAUAUGUGGCCGGAACUGAGACUUCGGCUGUAGCAUUAGAAUGGGCGAUGUCUAAUUUGUUGAACCAGCCAGAGAUAUUGGAGAAAUUAAGGAUUGAAAUUGACAGGGAAAUUGGAGAAGAGCGUUUGAUAGAGGAAGCAGACGUUACCAAAUUACCGUACCUUAACAAUGUUAUCUCCGAGACUCUAAGGUUGCAUCCACCACUGCCCAUGUUAUUGCCCCAUUUAUCCUCUAAAGACUGCAGCGUCGGAGGUUAUGACGUGCCACGUAACACCAUGUUAAUGGUGAAUGCAUGGGCCAUACACAGGGACCCCGAGUUGUGGGCUCACCCUACAAGCUUUAAGCCCGAGAGGUUUCAAAAUCACCCAGUGGAUGCACACAAAUUAAUCCCGUUUGGGAUGGGAAGGAGGGCUUGUCCUGGUACAGGCAUGGCCCAAAGAACUAUGGGCUUGACUUUGGGCCUGUUGAUUCAAUGCUUUGAGUGGAAAAGAGUUGGUGAGGAAGAAAUUGACCUCACUGAAGGACGAGGAACUAUUGUGGCCAAGGCAAUUCCAUUGGAGGCCCAAUGCAAAGCACGUCCAAUUGUUACCAAGAUCUUCUAAUUUCACCCAUCCUUAUUUUCCUUUUCAGUUAUUUCUAAUCAUCACCCAUCGUUAUAUAUGAUUUCAGGUGGUGCUGCUUUGUUUUUUUUUUUUUCUCAUGUUCUAUCUAUGCGUUCUUUUUCAGCGUCAAAAUCUCUUAUACUAUUGAAUGUUCAAAGUUUCAAAAGUUUGGAAAGCUUAAUUUUCAAAGAAGAAGUAGUAUUUAUUUUACCUUUAUUAGGUUAGUGCAUUAUAUGGCAGACUCUUAUAUAUAUAAAUAAUUAACUCUUAUUAUUUGGAAGUCUAGAAAAAUAAACUAAAUUGAUGGAACACGAGGAUAAGAUUUGGCUGGGUAUGACUGCAUUUACAAACCACUUUUACAGUAAUGAUAGUAUAAUCACAUAUAAAUAAAUAAUAUUCUUUAAAGAUUAAAAAUAAUAUAUGCGUUAGUAAAACAUUUUAUUCUAAACAGUUAAAUUAAUUUCAACUUAUAAAAAUAUUUUUAGUUUCAGCUUUUGAAAAAUACAUAUAAUUCAAUUAUAUUCAUAUAUUUUGUUGACUUCUAAUGCGAGUGAAUAAUCUCCCAUAAAGAGAAUAUUCUCCUAUUAAGUAUAAUUGGAGAGUCUUCAAAUAAAAAAAAAUAUAGACUUUUUUAUUCACUAUGAUUAAAUUUGUAUAUUAAGUAUUUUGAUCAUAUAUUACAAAUGUUAUCUGUAAAAUAAUUAAAAGUCUAAAUAAACAGUGAGUACUUUAUAAAAAAAUUUAUCAAAAUUUAUUUUUUAAAUAGUCAUAUCAUAUUUAAAUAGUUUUAAAAAAUGUUGUUCUAAUAGUAAAAUCUUAUAAAACUUACAUUUUUAUAAUUUUUUCAUUUUAAUUUUUACACCUUAAAAAAUAGUUUAAUUAUUAUAAUGAAAUAUUACUUUGAUGUUGGUGCUUUAGAUAUAUAUUAUUAAAAUUGAUAAAAUAUUUUAUUCUUAUAGAAUACUCGAGUUUUAAAUUUAAUACAUUCACCCUAUCGCGUAAAUUCUUAAACUGAAAUGUGAUUGAUAUUUUGAGUUUUUGAAUAAUUUUAAUUUAGUCAUUUUAAUUUUUUUUAUCAGCAUUUUAAUUCCUGACCUUUAAAGAGAAGAGGUGAAUAAUUGUAAUUCCCAUAUAUUUUGGUAUUUUAAUAAAUUGCGAAUAGAGAUUUCGACUGUCAUUUUAAUGCUUUUUUUAAUAUUAUUAAUUAUUAAUCUUGGUGUUUUAAAUUAUUGUUUUAAGAGCAUCAAUCUCUUUUAUUUAAUACUCACCUGAAAAGAAUCACGAUUUUGAACAUGAAUAACAAAGGUAAGAAAGUAAAAAAUUAGAAUCUAUUCCAAACUCUGUCGGACAAAAAAAGUAAAAUAACUCGCUUUGGUCAAUCAACAAUACAUUCAAAGGGAAUGGAUAUAGAGACCUUCAAUCUUAACAAACCUGUCUUUGCUACAAUGAAACAACUUCAUAAAUUCAUCCUUCCUAAACACUAUAAACAAAGACACUCUAAUACUCUGUUUGCUUUUAUGGAUACUUUGUUUGCUUUUAUGGAUGUACUGUUCAAAAGAAAAGAAGUGAGAAGAUAUCAAUUAUUUAAAUUCAGGGUUUUGCAGAGAAGAGAAUGAGAGGAUAUACCACUGAACAGUAAAUAUUUUCUCCCCUUAAAAUAAGAGAUGUAAAGGGAAAACCACAUCAGCAUGUGUUAUUUCAAAAAUUACCCUCUGCAAAGAUUUUUAAUAUUAAAAAAUAGUAUUUUUUAUGUGAUAUAUUUUCUAAUAUUAUAGUAUAUAUUUAAUAUUUUAAGAAAUUAUUUCAAGUUUUUUUUUAUUUAAUUUGUUGUUGCGUUUAUUUUAAUAUUUUUUUUUAUAAUUAUUAUGUUUAUGAGACUCAUGUAUGUAUUAAGGUUAGAUGCACCUUGUUAAAAAUGAAGAAAUCAUGUUCUAUUUUUAAUUUAUUUCAAUUUUAAAUUAUUUUUUAAAUUAUAAUUGAAAUUUAUAAUUAUUUUAAUUAUCAAAAUUAUAUACAAAAUUAAUAAUUAUUUUAUUAUUACUUUUUACAUGAACAAAACAAAAUAUACUUUAUUAUUAUAUAUAACAUGUUAUAUUAUUAUUUUAAAUAACUUAAAUAUCUUUUAAAUUAAUUAAUAUUUUAUUUUCUUAUUUAUAUAUAUAUACAAACAUAAACUUUUUAUCUUACAAUUUAUACCAUCCAAAAUAUAUUAAAAUACUUUUACAACUAUCACAUCAUUCAUUUUUUUCACACUUUCACUUUCCAACCUUUUCAAUUUUUCACUCCCACAGUUUCUAAUACAAACAAAACAUACGUGUACGAGGACAUCAUCCCGCUUCUUCGUAAAGGACUUCGUUGAUUUUCGCGCCUCAUCAUUAACCACACCAUCCUUGUGCCUUAAAUGUUGAUGUGACGUUUCUGUUUUACAUGCGUCGCUUUCGAAAUGGUGGGAUUCAAAUGCAUCUUCUCUUUAUUUUCCACUUUCUUCAUCACUUCUCUGCCAUUCUUCACCAUCAUUCACCCAGGUACCUACUGCUUCUUCCCGCUAUUUACUCCAUUCUUUUGCGCCUUUGCUUUGCUUUAUCUGCUCCCGCAUUUUACUCCCAUCGUUAUAUAUGAUUUCUGGUGAUUUUUUUAUCAACAAGAAUUCUCAAAAACCAGAAAACAAACUGGUGUGGUGCUGCUUUGUUUUUUUUUUCUUCUCCUUAAGAUUCUUCAUGUUCUAUCUAUGCGUUUUUUCUCAGCGUCAAAAUCUCUUAUACUAUUGAAUGUUCAAAGUUUUGAAAGGAGGUGGCAGACCAAAAGUUUGGAAAGUUUAAUUUUCAAAGAAAAAGUCAAAGAAGAAGUAGUAUUUAUUUUACCUUUCUUAGGUUAGUGCAUUAUAUGGCAGAUUCUUAUAUAUAUAUAAAUAACUAACUCUUAUUAUUUAGAAGUCUAGAAAAAUAAACUAAAUUGAUGGAACACAAGGAUAAGAUUUGGCUGGGUAUGACAGCACCGACAAACCACUUUUACAGUAAUAAUAAUAAUAUAAUCACAUAUAAAUAAAUAAUCUUCUUUAAAGAUUAAAAAUAAUAUAUGCGUUAGUAAAACAUUUUAUUCUAAACAAAUAAUAUGAAACAGUUAAACUAAUUUCAACUUAUACAAAUAUUUUUAGUUUUAGCUUUUGAAAAAUACUUAUAAUUCAAUUAUAUUCAUAUAUUUUGUUGACUUCUAAUGUGAGUGAAUAAUCUCCCGUAGAGAGAAUAUAUUCUUAUUAAGAAUAAUUGGAGAGUCUUCAAAUAAAUAAAAAAUAUAGACCUUUUUAUUCACUAUGAUUAAAUUUGUAUAUUAAGUAUUUUGAUCAUAUAUUACAAAUGGUUAUCUGUAAAAUGAUUAAAAGUCUAAAUAAACAGUGAGUACUUUAUAAUUUUUUUUUAUCAAUUUUUUUUAAAUAGUCAUAUCAUAUUUAAAUAGUUUUUAAUUUUUUUUGUUCUAAUAGCAAAACCUUAUAAAACUUACAUUUUUAUAACUUUUUCAUUUUAAUUUUUACACCUUAAAUAAUAGUUUAAUUAUUAUAAUGAAAUAUUACUUUGAUGUUGAUGCUCUAGAUAUAAUAUUAUUAAAAUUGAUAAAAUAUUUUAUUCUUAUAGAAUACUCAAGUUUUAAAUUUAAUACAUCACCCUAUCACGUAAAUAUUAAACUCAAAUGUUAUAAAACUUCUUUUAUUUUUGUUACUUGUAUUAUGGAUAGUGGUGGAUCGUAAAAAAAUAUUUUGGAGAUGUCAAAUAUUUUUUUUAUAAGUGUACAAAAAUUUCAAAGUGUCAGAUAUAUAAAAUAUAUUAAAGUUAAAAAAUAUUUUAUUUGCAUACAAGUUUUUUUAUUUAUUUAUCAGCAAGUCCUUCAGACAACACUAAAUUCCACCACAGAUUAUAAAAACAAUCUUUUAUUUAUUUGUUUAUUCAUUAUGUAUAAAAUGAACAAUAAUUUUGAGUAUUUGUUACCUUUCAGUUGUAAUAAGUAUUUUAAAGAGAAAUAACUCACAUUAUAUUCAAUAUGCAAUAUGUGAUUCUUAUCAUUGGUAAACUUAAAUUAAAGCAUGGUCUAAACAAUGAAAUAAGUUUUAAAUGUUUCAAAUCCCUCUUUCAUCACUAAAAAAAAUAACUUUAUCAAAAUUAUUCAACAUUUAACAGAAAUUAGUAUAACCUGAAUUAAAAUUAAUUGAAGUUUUUUUAACUUUAGUUAAGUUUAAGAGAUUUAUUUUGGAACAUAGUAAAAUUCUAAAGGUUUCAUUUCCAUACUCUAAUAAAUAAAUAUAAUUAAAUAAUUAUUAAAUAUUUUAUAUAAACAAAUAAUUAAAAAUAUAUAAUUUUAGUAUUUUUUCCUUCUAUUUUUUUUUUCAAUUCUCUCUUUCUUUCCAUAAUUUCUCUUCUAACACCCACGGCAAUUGGACCUCACUCCACCGCAUCUGGAGCUAGAAAGAAUAAAUAUUGUAAGCACUAAUGGUCUAACAGAUAUUUUCAGUUUUUAAAGAUAAUCUAUAUCAAUUUUUUUCUUAUGUUUAAUUUAUCUUUUAAUUUGUUUGCUAUGAUUUCUGCCUGUUUUUGUUUUUAUUUUUAUUUUUAUUUGAAUUUAUGUGAAAUAGAAUUAGCUAUUAAGGUUUUAACUACUAAUUAUUUAGAUUUUAAAUUUGAUAGUAAAAACAUUUGUAGCUAAUUAGAUACCAAUUUAAAAAUUAUUAAACAAUAAUAAAAACUAAUUUAGAAAAUAAUUUUUUUAGUCUUUUAAAUGGUCUCUAAUUUAGUAAUUAUAACAACUAACUAUUUAUUUGUUAUAUUUAUUUUAAAAGAACUUUAUGGAGAUUUUAAAAUUCAUUUUAAGGAAGUUUUAGAAACCCUAAUACUUUAUGGAAGUUGUAAAACAUAUGAUAUUUUAUGAAAGUUAUGAAACCUGAUAGUUAACCGAAGUUUUGAAACCUUGGUUAAAUACAGAAGGAAACAAAACAUUUUGUUAACAUAAGUUUUUCCUGAGAUUUUCUGAUUUCAAUAAAUGGUUUGUCCAAGAAAAUUUUAAUUGAAGGUUUUAAUCCUAGAUAAUAUAAAAAUAAUUUUUUAUUUAAAUAUAUUUUUUUAGUGCAUCGUCACUGCAACAUGGUUUAAAUUCUAUAAUGGCUAAUGAUAAAAACUUACUUAUAAUUAUUGCGUAUAAAUAAAAUAAUUUUAAACAACUUAUACGUAUGAUAUUUUAGAAAAUAUAACAAUACAAGAAAUGUGUUGAAUUGUAUUUUAAUAAUUUUUUAAUUUUUUUCGUCAAUAUUGUAUUAUAAUGAUUCCUGACAUUGUAGUCUUGUUGAUGAUCUUUUUAACCUAUAUGGUAUUGGAUGAAAUGCAACAAACAAAUGCAACUUUUUAACUUAACAUAUUUACUUUAUUUCAAAAUGCAACUUUUUAACUUAACAUAUUUACUUUAUUUAAAGCAUUCUAGAAGUUGAUUCUUACAAUGACUCUCAUUUUCAAAGUGCAAAUAAAAUAGUAUGCACCCUAAAGGAGAUAAGGAGAAAGAUAUACACAAUAAUUUUAUACUAGUUUAUUUAUCAAAAUAGAAUAUAUCUAGUUAUAAAUUUAGUUUCACUAAGCAUAAUAAGUUACAAACAAGUAUUGUUUUAGAUAAUAGUUAUUCUUAGUUAACAUUUUAAGUAUUCUUUGGGCCUUUACACUAUUGGUUAACCCAUUGAAUAUUCUUUAGACUCAUAGCCAAUAUUGAAUAGCCUUUUGAGUAUUCUUGAAAAUGUAAGAGUCUUUGUUAAAAUCAAGUAUUGUUUAGAACACAAUCAUUCAUAACUAAAAUGAGUAUUAUUUGACACACAAUGUUUAUUAAAAUCUAGUAUUCUUUCGAAUCAUAAUCACUCCUAGUUAACCUCUUUAAGAAUGUUAUUUAAAGUGUCACUCCUAACUAAUAAUAGAAUAUUGUUUAUCAAACAAUCACUCUUGACUAAAAUAAAUAAUUUAUAAGAAUAACGAUAAAAAAUCAAAGGAUUAUUUACUCUAGAAUAAUUACUUUUUUCAAUAUAUAGAGUUUUUUUGAACUCUUCUAAUUUACCAAUUACACACUACUAAUUACGCACGAGUAAUAUAAAAGUGUUUAUAAUUUCAUUUCAAUUUUAUUCACUAAAUCAAUAAAUUACAAUUUUAAAUGUUUAUCUUAAAUUUGGAUAAUAAUAAAAUAUCAAAUAAUAUAAAUUUUAAUAUAUAUUUAAAAAUAUAAUAUAUAUUUAAAAAUAUAAUAUAUAUUUAAAAAUAUAAUAUAUAUUUAAAAAUAUAUAUUAUAUAUAUAUAUAACUUUUGGAAAUUGACUUAAAUAUGGAGAUUUAAUAUUUUCUUUUAAAAACAAUAUGUUUUUAUUAUACAUAGCAAGUACUCGUGUGACGUGUUUGGGAAAUAUAAGAUUGGCCCUCUACAAAAAUUAACAGUAAAAGAAUUAUCUAAAUAUACUAAAAAAAUAGUCAUACAAAUUUAUUCAUCCUAAAAAAACGAAAAUUGAUCACAUAUAUUCAAAACAUUAUUUAAUUGACAUUCAAGUUUAGGAGACUUAUAUACGAUCUAUUUCUAAGCUUAUUUUUAAAAAAAUUAUCUAAUUAUAUAGAACUUAACUGCUUAUUUAGUUAAAACUUAAGUCUAUUUACAGAAGUCUAUAAACAUACUUCUAAUAAAAUAAAUCUUAUUUCUUUUUAAUUAUUUUGACGUAAUUAUUUAAGUGUAUUUUGAUAUUACACUCAUUGUUGAUGAGAAUUAUGGGGUUAUUGGAUAAAAAAGAUAAUAUUUUAACUUCUAGUAACAAAAUUUUAUUCAAACCUUGCUUGAUGUGAAUUGUUUUAGAAUGAACUCUAAUAAUAGUGUUUGAAUUUAAAUAGAGGUAUAUUGGCAGAAAACUUUUCGAUAAUUAAAUUAGUAAAAACCCUAAAUAUUAGUAAUAUGGAAAUAGAGAAAAAAGAUAAUAUUUUCUUUCAAUAAAGCAUAUAUUUAUAAGUCUUUUGGGCAUCUCUAAAUAGGAUUAUAUAACCAAAAAAAAUAUUAUUGUUUCUUAACUAAACAAAUGAUUGAAUUGCUGCUUAUUAAAUUUGGUUUUUUUCCGUUAUUAAGAUAAUUGGAUAUUUUUUUCGAGAAAUUCCCAAUAUAUGUAAAAGUCAUUUUAUGAUUGUAAAAAGAACUUAUACAAAAUUGUAAAUGAUUUUAUAAUUUUAUAAAAUGACUGUAACCAUUAUUUGUAACGAUUAUAAAUUUAUACUUAUAAUAUAUUGCAACAAGCUCAUAAAUUCUGAAAGGUCAACCUCUAGCAUAGGCCAAUAAGACUUAAAAACUCUUGAAUAUUCAUACACUAACAGGCUUGGCCAUAACCAUAGUAAAUUUAUAAUUAAAUAGUAUAAAAUAAUAAUAUUAAGAGUUAUAAUAUUAAAAGAAUAUUAUAUUUUCAAUAUAACCUUAUAUUGUUUCUCUCUAUGUAGACACAUUCUGCUACAGACUCUGCUAAAGAAGACGCUCAUGGAACACAGCCUUAUCAAGAUUAUUUCCCUCGUGCUUAUCGUCAUAAUUAUAAAAUUAGUAUUCCUCAGAAAAAGACAAAAAAACCCACCACCAAGUCCACCUUCUCUUCUGGUAAUAGGCAACCUUCACCAGCUGAAACAGCCGGUACACCGCACCUUCCACGACCUCUCACAAAAAUACGGUCCUAUUUUUUCUUUCCGGUUCGGCUCACAACCGGUGCUCGUCGUUUCAUCUGCUUCCGCCGCCGAAGAAUGUUUCACCGUAAAGGAUAUCAUAUUCGCGAAUCGUUUCCGUUCUAUCAAGACCAAAUACCUCGGCUACGACAACACCAUUCUCUUAGCAGCAUCCUACGGCGACCACUGGCGAAACUUGCGACGUAUCAGCUCCCUCGAGAUCCUCUCCUCUCACAGUCUUAACUACUUUUCAGGAAUUCGAACCGACGAGACUCUCAAGCUGCUCCAAAACCUGGUUCGAGCCUCCAACAAAGAAGAGUUAUCGAGAGUGGAGUUGAAGUCCAUGUUCGCAGAUCUCACAUUCAACACUAUCAUGAGAAUGGUGUGUGGAAAACGCUACUACGGCGCGGAAUACGACGGGACCAACGCUGAGGAGGCUAAGAAGUUUAGAGAUCUCAUGAAUGAGAUGGCUCAGUUCGGGUUGGGAUCGCACCUCGGAGAUUUUGUGCCAGUGUUCAGAUGGUUCGAUUUUAGCCGUAGCCACAAGAAGUUACGAAAAGUUGGGGAGAAGAUGGACGCGCUGUUUCAAGAACUCAUUGACGAACAUCGGAAUGAAGAGCAAAAUUCAAACACCAUGAUAGGGCGCAUGCUACAUUUACAAGAGUCACAGCCCGAGUAUUACACUGAUCAAACUAUCAAAGGGCUUAUUAUGGUAGUUACCAACUCUUAUUAGAUCGUUACAUUUGCAGGAUUCGUAGUUUACGAACUCUUUUGUUGCAGGUGUUGAUUGUGGCUGGAACAGAGACUUCGGCUAUAGCAUUGGAGUGGGCCAUGUCAAAUUUGUUGAACAAUCCGGAAGUGUUGGAGAAAGCAAGGAUUGAAUUGGACACCAUGAUUGGAGAAGAGUGUUUGAUGAAGGAAGAGGAUGUAACCAAAUUACAGUACCUUCAGAAUAUAAUCUCCGAGACUCUGCGGUUGCAUCCUCCAGCGCCAAUGCUAUUGCCCCAUUUCUCCUAUGAAGAUUGCACGGUGGGUGGUUAUGAUGUACCAGGUAACACCAUGUUAAUGGUGAAUGCAUGGGCCAUACAUAGGGAUCCAGAGCUGUGGGUUGACCCAACAAGCUUCAAGCCGGAGAGGUUUGAGAAUGGUCCCAUAGACACGUACAAGCUAAUGCCUUUUGGGUUGGGGAGGAGAGCGUGUCCCGGUGCAGCCAUGGCACAAAAAACUUUGAACUUGACUUUGGGUUCGUUGAUUCAAUGCUUUGAAUGGGAAAGGAUUGGAGAGGAGGAAGUUGACAUGACAGAAGGAAGGGGAACUCUGGUGCCCAAGGCCAUUCCAUUGGAGGCCAAAUGCAAAACGCGUCCAAUCAUUAGCAAGAUUUUCUGAUUUCCCCCUUAAUUGUUAAUGUACAAUCAAAUUAUCACGUUGAAUUAUGUAAUGGUUUGUCUUUAUUCAUUUCGAAAUAUCCAGAAUGCGAGUAUAAUUAGUAUGUUUGAAUUUUCAAUAAAAGGGACUUGAAUAGACUUUAAAUGUGUAUUCAAGUAUUCAUGGAAGUAGAUUUAAUGUGUAUUUGAACUAACAAAUAGACUUAAUGUGCACUUGAAAACAAAUUCAAUUAUUUUCAUAAGCUGUGAUCAUUCGAGUGAUACUAACUCUUAUCUCAUACAACAAUAGUUGUACACCACCACACCCAAUCUCUUGUAAACACGAAAUAGAGAUGCAUAAUAAGAAAAGGCCGAUAGAAGAUACAGCUUUUUCAUAUAGCAGUAGCAGAUCAGGUACACUCGCUUCUAUUUGGUUUUGAGGAGACGAAAACCUGUUAAAAUUUACAAUGUAAAAAGAACAUCAGGUUAUUUAUUCAAUUCAACAUUAUUAGUUUUAUAUAUUUCAUACCGAGAAAGAAAAAAAAAUUCAAGAAAGAACUAUCUUUUAUUAAUCAUAUAAUCGUUACGCAUCUACUCAAAAUAUAGCACAUACAAAAAAAACAAAAUAUAGCACAUACAAAAAAAACAAAAUGUAGUUAUUAUUAUGCAGUUACUACUCAAAACAUUUACAAUUACAAUUGAUAAGUUAAAAUAUAAUAUGACAUCAGAUUUACCAUCUAAUAUAUCACCCCACAAGCAGAACAUGUGUAUCUUCAUGUUCAACUUGGAUAAAUUGUCACAAAAUAAUCAAGGAGGCAGAUGUUUAGUCAAUAUACCACCACUUGAUUUAGAAGAAAAAAUAUGAAUUAAAUGAAUGACACUUUCUUGAAUUCUAGUCCAAACGAAAUGACAAUUGAUUUCAAUGUGUUUUUAUCCUCUCUCGUGAAACGUGAUAUUUUUGGCUAUGCAUAUAACAAAUUUACUGUCAUAAUAGAAAACAAAAAUAUUAGUAUGCAAAUUAUAGAAACAAAUAUUGUAACCACUGAAGUUCACAAACAUGUGAAACUAGUGCUCUAUAUUUUGCCUCCGAGGAAGACUUGAACACUUUAGAAUACUUUUUAGACUUCCAUGAUAUUAAAGAGUUUCUCAUAAACACACAAUAACCUGUGAUAGACCUUCUAGAAUCAAUGAAAGUUUUCCAAUCAAAAUCAGAAAAAACUUUGAUAACAAUUUGAUUAUCACUAGGAAAGAAUAGACCAAUAUCAGGACAUCCUUUCAAAUAUCAUAAUACACGAAAAAUUGUUGUCAUAUGAGGUUCUCGUGGAUUUGAAACAAACUUGCUAAUCUUAUGAACCGCAAAGUUGAUAUCAGGCCUAGUAUGAGUAAGGUAUAACAAACACCCAAUCAAUCUUCUAUAUUCACUUGGAUCCAAAAGCAACGAACCUUCACUUUUAGAGAGAGAACAUGAUGAUUUCAUGGCAGGAAUGGGAGGUUUGCAAGCCGAUAAACCACUAUAAAAAGAAUAUCUAUACAAUAUUUUCGUUUAUUGAGAACAAUAUCAGAAGGUGAACGACUUAUUUCAAAUCCCAAAAAAAGUGAAGUGUAGCAAGGUCUUUAAUACUAAAUGAGUUAUGAAGAUGAGUUUUAACACGUUGGAUUUAUUCAAGAUUAUUGCUAACCAAUAUAUUGUCAUCAACAUAUAUCAACAAAGUUGUGAAAUAAAGAUUGUGUGUGCGAAUAAAUAAAGAAUGACCAGCUACACUUUGAACAUAACCAAGUUGUAUUACAGUUUGAGUUAAUUUUGAGUUCCAUUGUCGACUUACAUUCUUUAGUCCAUAUAAUUUUUUUUUCUAAGUCCACAAACUUGCGCUAGAUAAGAAAUAUUAAGGCCCAGAGAAGAAGCAAAAGGAAUGGCCCAGAGCACCUAAUAGAGCGGUUACAGGUGAUACUGAUAGAACGGUUUUAACUGGUAGAACGGUUUUAACUGGUAGAACGGUUUUAACUGGUAGAACGGUUUUAACUGGUAGAACGGUUUUAACUGGUAGAACGGUUUUAACUGGUAGAACAGUUUUAACUGAUAGAACAGUUAAAACUGAUAGAAUAGUUAAAACUGAUGUUAAAACCCUAAACCCUAAACUGAUGUUAAAAAAACUGGUAGAACAGUUAAAAAACUGGUAGAACAGUUAAAAAACUGGUAGAACAGUUAAAAAACUGGUAGAACAGUUAAAAAACUAGAACGGUUUUAACUGGUAGAACGGUUUUAACUGGUAAAACAGUUUUAACUGAUAGAACAGUUAAAACUGAUAGAACAAUUAAAACUGAUAGAACAAUUAAAACUGAUAGAACAGUUAAAACUGAUGUUAAAACCCUAAACCCUAAACUGAAGUUAAAACUGGUAGAACAGUUAAAAAACUGGUAGAACAGUUAAAAAACUGGUAGAACAGUUAAAACUGGUAGAACAGUUAAAAUUGAUGUUAAAACUGAUAGAACAGUUAAAACUGAUGUUAAAACUGAUAGAACAAAACUUGAUUAAUACUGAUAGAAUAGUUAAAACUUAACUUAAGUGAUACUGAUAUAUCGGUUAAAACUUGAUUGAUACCGAUAGAGCAAUUAAGACUUGAUCGAUACUGAUAGAGCAGUUAAGACAUACUGAUAGGACUGAUACAUUUAAAACUUAAGCCAUAAAACAGUCCAAACUUAAAUGAUAUUCAUAGAACAAUGAAAAAACAUAACUUGUAUUCAGAUAGUAGUCAAAACAUAACAUAACUUGUAUUCAGAUAGUAGUCAAAACAUAACUAAUUAUACUAAUAAUAGAGUAGUUAAAACUUAAAACUUAAUGGAGAUUGAUAGAGAAGGCUAAUAGAACAUUUAAAAGAGUUGAUAAUAGAAUAGUUACAAGUGAUAAAUUAGUCAAAACUCAAAAACUAAAAUAUUCCUAUCAAAUUAGAUUUAUAGUAUAAUAAACAUCCUACAUACGCGUACUAAAACACUAAGACAAUCUCUUUCUUUGUACCUGAUAACCAUCAAAGCUAGGAACCCAGUCGUUGGUGGCAGGGUUGCUUCUACAUCCUCUGGGUUGGAUUUCUGUUUCAACUGCAUUAACAUGGCCAUCAGGCAACUCAAUCUUAUACCCACCUUCCCCUCCUUCUGUAACAGCCUUUAUGAAUCCACUCCCCGUCUGUUCGAUAACCAAAAAAGGAAAAGGAAAAGUCCAAAAUGCUGAAUCGCAUGGUAAGUUUUUUAAGAAACCACAAAAUUACACUAAGAUGCUUUAAUUUCAUUUAAUUAAUUGUGGAUCCAGAAAUGGUUGAUGACGAACCGUGUGAUGCUGUUUGUCAAUGGACGCCAAUUCUUUAUAGUACUGCGUCUCCACAAACUCAUCCUGUGCAUUCACCACCCCCGCUGGUGAAAUUAUAUCCUGUCAAUUUUAACAGUUAUCAGAAAAACACACACCAAAAGCUCUUCUUAUUCUCAAAUAACUGGUUGAGAGAGAGAGAGAGAGAGAGAGAGAGAGAGAGAGAGAGAGNNNNNNNNNNNNNNNNNNNNNNNNNNNNNNNNNNNNNNNNNNNNNNNNNNNNNNNNNNNNNNNNNNNNNNNNNNNNNNNNNNNNNNNNNNNNNNNNNNNNNNNNNNNNNNNNNNNNNNNNNNNNNNNNNNNNNNNNNNNNNNNNNNNNNNNNNNNNNNNNNNNNNNNNNNNNNNNNNNNNNNNNNNNNNNNNNNNNNNNNNNNNNNNNNNNNNNNNNNNNNNNNNNNNNNNNNNNNNNNNNNNNNNNNNNNNNNNNNNNNNNNNNNNNNNNNNNNNNNNNNNNNNNNNNNNNNNNNNNNNNNNNNNNNNNNNNNNNNNNNNNNNNNNNNNNNNNNNNNNNNNNNNNNNNNNNNNNNNNNNNNNNNNNNNNNNNNNNNNNNNNNNNNNNNNNNNNNNNNNNNNNNNNNNNNNNNNNNNNNNNNNNNNNNNNNNNNNNNNNNNNNNNNNNNNNNNNNNNNNNNNNNNNNNNNNNNNNNNNNNNNNNNNNNNNNNNNNNNNNNNNNNNNNNNNNNNNNNNNNNNNNNNNNNNNNNNNNNNNNNNNNNNNNNNNNNNNNNNNNNNNNNNNNNNNUUUGUAUAUAUAUAUAUAUAUAUAUAUAUAUAUAACAUAUUUCAAAAUGAUUAAUUAAACUGAAAACAAUUUCAUGCGCUUAAUCACGUACUGCAUUACGUACUCAGUUUUAGUUUCUGCAUGAUGCUGCCAUAGGUUAAAAAAUGUAUAAGUUGUUAUUUCAUGUGCAAAGCAAGAACAUAUAGAACUUCAUAUUUUUGUUCUGAGAGAAUAUAUAUGAACAUCUAAAUAUGAUAUUGACAAAGUUUACACAAUUUUCAUAUUUAUAUGUACAAGGGUAAAGAAAUGAAUUGACGCCAGCGAUCAUUGACUGAAACAUGGCGUUAAUGACCUGAACCUCUUCUGCUUGGCCCUGAAGACAUGGUGUUGACUUGUUGAGUCUCAAUCAAAAGACGGGUUCUUAUAUUAUCCUCAGUGUUGGCUUUCUCUUUGGUUACUGAAGGUGUAAAGUGUGGGUGAUCCUUGAUGGGUUUAUGAUGAGUGAGGUUUUGUUGUGGUGCAAGGACUCUACAAUUUACAAGGGUUGGCAUUGUGAGAAGCAACACUGUGAGAACUGCGAUGAGUGCAGUGGAGCGUCUCAUUAUUGUUCUUGUGUUGGCUUCAAAACUCUUGGUAAGUGGCACAAGUGUUUAUACCCAGGUAAAGGGACGUGGGGGGACACAAAAUAUUACUUUUGGCAUCUUGAACGACCAAGCCAAACCAAUGGGCUUUUGCUUUUGAACUUAAUGAACGGUGGAGGGCUUUGUUGGGGUGGGACCCCUUAAGGGAUGUUUGGGUGGAUGGAGAGUUUCUGAAUAGAAAAUGAGAAGUGAUUCAAGGACAUUCGAGGGGUGUAAACAUUCCUGAAAGAGAUGGGAAAAGAAGAAAAAUUAAAUAAAGGUUCUCAAGUGAACAUUUCACUGUUUCAAAUAUCAGCAACCACUCAUAACAAAUAAGAAAGAUUUAAAGCCAUUUUUUUUUCUGUUAAACCUUUUUAAUCAAUACAAUUACUUUGAAUAAAUUCAUGAGGUUAAAGUGUUGUGAAAGUCAAUAUAUAGACUUAAAACCAUAAAUAAAGUAGCAAGUAUGUAUAAUACUAAAAGAUGUUACAAAAAUUUAAGUUAUGUUUCAAUCGGGGAGAUGAUUGAUAGCUGUUGUUUUGCGGUCAAAUUAAUAUGAUUCUAGUGUAGACUUGUCUAACACUAGAGAGAUGAUAGUAUAAUUGUGAAAAAAUGUCCCCAAGUCGUCUCCCAACGAAUCCAAUAGUAAAAUCAGUUGAUCAGGUUUAAAAUCUUUCUGCAAUAAAGAUGAAAAGGGGUUUGAGAUAGUUGUGCAAAAAAUAUAAAAGAGAUUAAAAUAGCAAAUAAAAAGCGGUUGAUCCCAACUUCUUCCACCAUUGAAUUCUUCACAGGUUGUCUAAAGAUUAAUAUUUUCUCAAUCCUCCAACAGAGCUAAACCAGAUUGAACAUGCGCCAAUCUAAUUCAAAUGAAACUCACCAGUAAAACAUGCGUCUACUAGUUUAGUCAAUACCCACUUUGUUACAAAAAUUUAAGUUAUGUUUCAAUCGGGGAGAUGAUAUAUCAAGAUUUGAGGGAGUGAGUAAGAGGAAAGUGAAGUUGUUUGGAUUAUGGGUUAGAAUGAAUUUGUGAUGAAAAUUUAUUGAAAUAUGUGAAUAAUGUAAUGUUGAGAGGGAAUUUUUAAUUUUUGAAAAUGUGUAAAAUGUAAGUUUACGAAUUUAUCUUUUGUUUUUAAUAACAUUUGAAUAAUAAAAUAAGAGGUAUUUUAUAAAAUGAGUAAAAAUUAAGUUUUCAUUUAGUAAUUUAUUGGAAAGUUUAAUUUGAUUAAUGAAUAAAUAUAAGGUGGCCUUAGUUGAACCUUUGACAGUCUAAAAUUUGAGUAGAGAAUAUUUCUACUUGGAAGGGAAACAAAGAGGAUCUAUGGUUCCAAGAUUUGAGUGCAAAUGUUUUAAUGUUUAGGGUGGAAAGUGAGUGGCGGAUGCAAAAGUAAUGGUGGAAUCAAUGUGGUAGGGUCAUUGGCGACUAGUAAACUGAGUAUUUGUACUUGGGUUCACAUUCCCCCAGCAAUCAAGAAAAAUCGCAAGAUUCUCAAUUAUUUUUCUCACGUGAAUGCCAAGUUUUAGAUCAAAUUUCACUGGUUCUCCUCCUGCCAUUUAAAUUUAAUGUUUAUCAACCACACCAGAUUUUUUAGUGUUUUACUUUUCAUUUUCUUUACACCUAUGUUUUCUAACACAAUUUUGUUCUCAUACACUCUUCACUCUUCUUCCCACAAUUUUGUUUAUUGCAUUUUUUUAUAAACCGUAGGUGUAAUGAAACAGACUAACCCGAUUUGUAAUGGACAGUUAAAAAUCAAUUGAGAUGGCUGAUCCACUUGGAAUAAAUGAGUUGGUCGUUAAAUAUACUAUUUUGUUUUCUGACUUAGAAAGAAUUAAAUUCAUAUAAUAAAGUACGUGAGAGAUGUUUCAAUUUGUACAAAAUAAUUGUUUACUUAUAGGAAGGUGUAUAAAUUGUUUAUAUGUUCUAAUUUCACAAAAUUAGGAUAAAUAGUUAAUUUAGUUUAUUAAUAAUAUUUUCUAUCAGAAAUGAAUUAGGAGAGUGCAACUUGGUGAAGACUGCGUAUUUAUAAGAAAACGAGCUUUCAGUUGGUCUACAAUGAGAGAUGGAGGUCUAUAUGCAAAAAAAAAUUCAAUGCUUAAGUCAGUGGGAGCACAAAGAUGAUGAUGAUAAAUUCUUAACAAAGAGCUAAUAGUAAGAGUAUAGAAUAAAGUUUAGUGUAUCCUCUUACUGAGAGAGUUAUCCACCUAUUUAUAAAUCAUGUUGGACUUAGACCAUUAAGAAAAACAUUAAAUGGUUAUCAUGAGAUAUAAAUGGAUUUUAUAACAGUAACAUAUAAUCGUUAGUAACUUAUAACUAACUUAUGGUAUAAUUUAUGUGUCUUAAAUAUGAUAUCAAACGAGUAAUUAUUGUUUAUUUUAUGUGCCUUAAAUAUUCUACUAAAUGAACGGUAAUUGGUCUGAAUGUACCCGACCGUAAUUGGGAUAUGUACAUAAGUCCCCCCAGCUCGGAAUCCGAGAAAAUGUACAUGUGGAUCAAUUUGAAAGAUGAACGAGUUCAACUUGGAUCCAUUUGGAUUUGGUUUUUAGCUACGCUCAUGGUUGAACAUGUUUCGUUUUUUAUUGACCUUGCAUUAUUUUGCUUUGCUCUUGGUUGAGCUUGUUGGCAUGCUUUUGGUUGAGUGUUUCUAGUUCUUGAUUGAACUUAUAUUAUUUUUGUUUUGCUCUUAGUUGAACGAGUUGUUGUGUUUUUGGUUAAGCGUUUUUAGCUCUUGGUUGAACUUGCAUUAUUUUGUUUUGCUCUUACUUGGAUGUGUUGUCGUGCUUUAUAUUUUUUUUUAGUUUUUGAUUGACUUGUAUUAUUUUACCUCGUUUUUGGUUGAGCGAGUUAUCAGAUUUAUGUGUUUUAAAUAUUAUAUUAAAUAACUUAUUAAUAUGAAUGUAUGGUUGUUUUAAUUUAAUAUAUUUUAGAAUGUGAAUUGCUAUUUACCUUUAUUUCUUUUAUAUAAUUGUAACGUCCCAUUGAUGGCUAUUAUUAUAAAAGGUGAUAUAUACAGUAUACGCAACUUUACCAAUUAUACAAAAUUAAUUAUAUAAUUUUGAAACAUGAAAUUUACAAGAAAUGGUGUAAUUACUUACACUGAAAGUCUUUCAAAAUAUUUAUAUUAAGCAUCUCUUAACUUAACAUUUAUAAAAUAUUCUAAUAACAAUUCUUUGGGACACAUAAAACAAUGCAUUAAUAUCACACAUGUUCAUAUUAACAACAUAUUUUUAUUACAAUUAACCAUUUACAUCUUAUCAUCAUACUCAAUCAUUUAUAAUUUAUUAUCAAUUAUAUAUAUAUACAUAUAUUAUUCACAUAAUUAAUCAAAUAAUAUCUUUAAAUAUUUUUAUUUACUUAAAUACACAUAUACAAAUAUAUUCAAAUGGGUUAAAGAUACUAUUGUGAAACAUAUAUCAUCCAUUUUGUAUUCAAUCAAUCCAGAGAAUUAAGUUAGAAAAAUAUUUCAAUUGUUUUUGGGUAUCAAUUUGUUAGACGAAUUUUACUUUUUUUUUUUUUUUAUAAAUUUGUUAAGCAUUUUAAAAUUCGCUGAGCGGAUCAAGAUUGAAAGCAACGUUGUUCUCUUUGUGAGAUUGGAGAGCAUAAUCUUAUUCACUAGAAUCAGCUACCUAUAUAAACUUUCAUGUUAUAACUGUAUAGCCAAUCAUUUAUAACUAAUUUUACUUCAUUUGGGCAUGUUUAAAUCUAAAGUUCAAGUGCAAAACAUAUAAAUUCCCAUAAGGCACCAAUUAAUUCACACAUGCAUCAUCUUCAAUAAUCAAUAUAGCUUUCCCAAUUCUUGAUAAUUUAUAAGGAAAAUGAUUGUUUGACAUGACUCCACCUACGUCCUACUAAAUAUUAAUAUUUUAAUUUUAAAAAUUAUUUUAAUAUUUUAUAUUUUGUCUAUAUUUUCAUUAAAAAUAUUUUUUUAUUUUUUUAUUAUAAAUAUUAAUAUUUUAUUGUAAGUGUAAAUUGAAGCAGGUGUCAUAAUAUCAUCACCCAAUUUAUAAAUCUCCAUAUACAGUUGUUUUCUAAUUCAACCUCCAUAUGUAUACAAACUCAAAAUAACUAUUCAACCUAUGUGAAUCUGAUUGAACUUAUUUUAUCAUAAAUUUUAAUUGGUUAAAGUAUUCUUAAUCUACUACCUAUAUAAUGUGUUAUUGGAUUGAACAAAAUAUAAAAGUCAACUCAAUAAAUUUAGAGAGAAGUCAAAAAAGGUUUAGAUAAAACAUUUAACAAACAUGCUGAAAUUUUUAUAGAUAAGACAAUUAAAUAGUUAAAUUUAAAAUUCUAUUCAUUUACUCAAUAUAAAUUACAAUUUUAAUUCUUAUUUUAUUUUCAAAAGAAACAUAUCUGCUAAACUAAAAUAAAUCUUACAUCAUUAAAAUUUCAAAAGUUGUUAAUUUCUAUCUCCGAAGUUUAAAAUAACUUAUUUUUUAUUUUUAAUGUUAUUUUUAUCUUCGUUAAGAGUAUUAAAAGUGAAUUAUUUUCAAACUAACAUAUUAAAAUAAAUCACUUUAAAAUUAAAAAUAAAGUAUAUUUAAGUUUUUUUAUGUAUUUCAGAGGUAUUACAAAUACAUGGGUAAAAAUUAUAAGUACUUUUAUACUCUCACUUCCUUUUAAAUUGUUGGUUUUCUAACAAAAGUUGGUUACUUUUAAUUGGUUCGGUCCAAAUUGAAAAAUAAUAUAUAUUUUUCAAUUAUAUCUUAAUUAUAAUUAAUAUGUAAUAAAUUACUUGAUUACAAUAACCUUACAAGUAUAAAAAAGAUAAAUUAUUAUUUUUAUUUGGAUAACUAACAAUUUAUAGUUUUUAUGGUUAUUUAUUCCAUUUUCUUUUGUGAAAAUUGAUGGAUGAGAAAAUGGUGCACCCAAUCUCGGGACAACUAGAAUCCUCAUUCGUGGUCUCAAUCAUAUUUCAAAAAUUAAAGGAAAGGGUCUCACCUUUACGAGUAUCCCUCCCUUUGCUUCACCGAAAGUUAGAAACAUUUAUUUUUCUAAAAAAAAAAAACUAUUCAGCUCUAAAAUAAUUAUUUUUUUGGUGGUUGUUAUAAUUAUUAUUAAACAAUUUAUCAUUUUAGUUAAUGUAAAAAUAUAUAAAAAAAUAUUGAAUAAAAGACAAAAGUAAUUAUUCAGACUUUAAUUCUAUUGACAUAACAUGAAUCACACAAUUCCACAUUCGAGAUGUUAGUAGUUUUGAAGUUUAGAACUCUAUAACACUUUUAAGAGAUAUUUUGAUGAGUUAGUAGAGGAAAGUAUAAUGUGGAAUGCAAAUAUUAUAACAAAAUAUUUUUUUAUAAAUAUUUGAAAAAGAUAACUAAUAGAUAAGUAACUAUUUUUAAAAAAUUCAAUUUUUCUCUUGUGGUUUCCUCACUUCAUAUCAACCAGAUGUUGUUUCCUCCAUCUACAAGAUGUAGGUCUUUAGCUUUUAAUGAGCACUUUUUAUGCUUUCAUUUAACUUGGGUUUAAAUUGAGAAGGGAAUGUACAAGGAUUUCAUGAAAAAAUGUGAAGAGGGUGGGAUUGAUUGAAUUGGGUAUCUUAGAAUAAAUUUGUGAAGAAUAUUUAUUGAAAUUGGUGAGUGAUACAAUUAUUUGUGAGAAUUUUAUUUUUAUUAAAUGUGUAAAAUGUAAGUCUACAAAUUUACUCAUAUAUUUUACAAAUAUAUGAAUUACGAAAUAUGAGAUAUUUUAAUGUAGAUUUAAAUUAAUUAAAAUUUUGUGAAAUGUUUUUUAUACUAUUAAAUAAUUUAUUUUUAAAAAAAAUACGACUUACCUAACAUUGUCGGAACAUAGAAAAUUGUCAUAAAAAUAACAUUAUUUUCGGAAUUGUGUAGAAUCUGGGUUUGAAAAAAAUACAAAUUAUGUAAAUUUGUCAAAAAAUAUAAAAUCGUCAAAAAAAUAAUUGUGUUUGCAUUAAAAAUAAUUAUAUUUCAAAAUUCACUUAAACACAUAACUAAGUUCUUUUAAUCAUAUUUUUAAAUAAAAUUUAGAAUUUUCAUUUGAACACAACAAGCAAUGGUAAACCAGGCUUUCAAAAGCAAAAAUGAAAUUUUUUUGUUUUUUAAAAUUUGCUUAAUCAAGUGAAAAUUCUCUUGCUUGAGCGAGAUUAAAUCCAGGAGUACCCAGCAUUUCAUCCCAAACCUCGUCUGAUCGAGAUUUCUUCUCGCUUGGGCGAAAACGAAUCGAGAGUACCCCAUCUUUUCAUUCAAUUAUCGCUUGAACGAGAAUUAUCUUGCAUGAGCAAGAUAUGCAAAAAAAAUUUGCACAAUUUUGCCUAAUUUCACCAUUCAGACUCAAACAAAAACAAUUUCAAUAACUCAUUCACUUCAAGAGUUGUUGGAGAUCCCACAUCGACUAGAGAUAAGAACAUUUCAUAAUAUAUUAAAUGGGUGCAAACCUCACCUUAUUGAGCCGGUUUUAUGGGGUUGAGUUAGGCUUAAAGUCCACUUCGUAACAAGAGUAACUUACACACACUCUAUCAACUAUACAAAUCAACCAAAUUUUUUGAUUCAAACAAAAACAUCUACCAUAAAUCAUCCUUGUCAAAAUCAACAUAUUCACAUUUUAUUUCAAACAAUAGCCUACAUUACUCAUAAACAAUCAAUCAUACAAACAAAUUGAAAUUGGUUACCAUGUCACCCCUAUAUCCAGAUCUUCUAACAUAGGGUUCUAUUUGAAUUUAGAACUAGUUUCCCUUACAUGAACUUGAGCAUAUGCUUACUAAGAUCUUUAAACCUACAAAAAGCUUAAGGGUUGCUUAACAUGCACCACAAAGUCCUGAUUAAAAAUCUAACUAUAUCACUAGGACUUUGAGCUAACAAAUCCUGAAGUUAAAAGAGUCACAUGCAAAACCAAAAUCGAGGAAAACCUAAUACGUUCAAAAUUUGACUCAAAGAGGAGAGAAAAAAUGAACUUACUAUAUCAAAGAUUCUGAUCGGAUAGUCUUGUAGUCUUAAUUGUCAGGAGUCUAAUAGCAGACUCGGAUCGUCAAACUGAUGACCGAGGAGAUCAGAAUCUUAUAGAGAAAAGGAAAAGAGAAGUUUUAGAGAGAUGGUGGUUCUUUUAAAAUGAAAUCUGAAUAACUGAAUUUUCUAUUUAUAUCUUUUUUUAUUUUUAAUAAUAAAAUAUUCAAGUAUCAUUUAAAAUACAUUAUUUCUACUCUAAGGUUAUUUUUUAAAUCAUUACACUUACCAACAAACAUCCAAGAAUCACGAGCUCAACAACACAACCACCUACUCACUCACAACCUCAAUCUCACUAAAGAAGAAUGGAAGAAGCUCUCAUUGUUCAUUCACAACCUCAACCUCAAUCUCACAAGAUGAAUGGAAGAAGCUCUAAAAAUAUUUGGAUCAUUUGCUAGUGAAGGUGAGCCAUAAACAAAAGCAAUUUGACCAUGUUGACAUGCACAAACAAAUUUUGGGGAAAAAGAUAAAAUUAACAAGUGCCUACGUAGCUUUUUGGUUCUUUUUGUGCAUGUGAGGAGAUACCGAUUUCACUAUUUCCAAAAAUACACUCAACUCCUUUUCCACGCACAUCCGUUGAAGCAAACGCGGUGCAUUGUCUCCUUUCUGUUAUCGUCUACAGUACUCACGUUGAACCAAACACAUCAUAAGGAUACAAAAUAAAUCUAUUUUUCGCUUGCCUAAUUUAAAAUUUCGUUUUCUCAAUAAAUUACGAUUGAGUUAUAACCAUAACUUAUUUGACUCAUAAAAGGUAAGCUUAUCGAUUUCUCUUCAACAUGAUUUUGAAAAUAUCACUAUAAGAAAAUUUUUAAAUAACAACUAAAUUUAAAAAUAAAAAAUAAGUAAUCACUAUACUCAUUAAAUUAAAUAUUAUUUUAUAUAUUAAAAAAUUAUUAAUAUUAAAAAUAGUUUAUAUUAUUAAUAAAAAUUUAUAAAAUAGUUUCUAAAUUAAUAUCUAAAUUAACUAUUGAUAUUUAAAUUAUAAAUUAAUUUUUAACCGACUAAUAGAUACUAAUUUAAAAUAAAAUGUAAUACGAAGUUAAAACUUAGCAACUAAUUAUUAAAAACAAUUUUAUAAAUUUUUAUUAAUAAUAUAACUAUUUUAUAUAUUAAUAAAUUUUUUAAUUUAUAAAAUGUCUGAAAUUUAAUUAAUUAGUAAUUAAAUAUUUUUAUCUUUAAAAUUAGUUUUUGUUUAAUAUUUUUCGUGUAUGUAUUACUUUUUUAACUCUUCAUUUGGAACAAACGCUCUUUUUGUGCUUUUUUUUUUCUCAAGCUUGUUUUAUGUUUUUGUUUGGUAGUUUAGUUUAGGUUGGUAGGGUUUUGAGAAUGACUGACGCAAUUUCAGUUGAAGUGAUUUUGAAUUUGCAGAAAAAGGACUUGCGUGGUGGUUGUACAAUGAUAAUGGGAAGCCUGAAUUUGAAAAUCAUGGGUUCGAUGUUACAUUGUUGUUGGUUGAGCAUUCUAGAAUGUUUUAUUAUAUAAGGAAUUGUACAUUAAAACAUAUACAUAUACAUUUUAAAAUACAAUUUGAAAUAUGAAAAUACACUAUGAAUUCAUAAUAUAUUUCCAGACCUAAAAAUGCUUUAUGAAUUACACGUUCCUAAUCGAAGUUACAUAUUUCGAAAUAUGAAGGCAAUUUUGUCAUUUCACCCCCAAUGGGGUGCAGCUUCAAAGCAUGGUGGUGCAAAGCGAAACACUAACAAACCAAUAGAACCAUUAAUCUAAGGCAGUUUCUUCCUGCACCCCACAAUGUUAUGCAAAGAUCAAAUUAUCCUUAUUAUUUUUUAAAAACCCUAAAAUACACUUGAACUGUAUUUAUUUUUUGCAUUAUGGAUUAUGGAAUCAUGAAAAUUUUUGGAUUGGCACUUCUGGUAAAAUUUCGGAUCCACCAAUCCGUAAUUCAAAAUAUGCAUUUUUCAUUCAAAAAAAGCAUUCCAGAUCCACCAAUCUGUAACAUAAAUAUGCAUUCCGGAUUCAGAAAUCUGUAAUUAAAAAAAAAAGCAUUUCGGAUCCACGAAUCCGUAACAGGAUUAGGCUUCCGGAUUCAGCAAUCCAAAAAUCAAUAAUUUAUGCAAAAAUUGCUUCUGGAGCACCCCUUCAUCCGAAAAAAAAAAAAUUUAGUUCCAGAUUGAUAAAUCCAUAGCACACUCCCAGAUUCUUAUUUCCGGUAACCAUGGUGUCCUUUUUCAAAUAAAAGAUUAAGGCCAGUUUCGGGAUUUAGAAAAUUGUGUGGGUGCAGGAAGAAAAAUGUAGGGGUGCAGGAAGAAGAAGCCUUAAUCUAACCCAAUCUUGGACAACGAGUGAGCCCACAAAGUUCAUCCUCUCUCACUUCGGUCCUUUUUUUAGUAGUAUUUUUUUUUUCAUUUAAAAACUGUCUUGAUAAAUUUUUCUCAUGUUUCUAAAAAAAAAUAUUUCUUUACAAGUUAAAAUUAAUAUGUACAUUACUUAAAAAAUUAAUUUAAAACAUUAAGCUUUCUAUAAAUCAAGUUAUAUAUAAGCUAGUUCUAGUUUAUAAAGAAAUUUCUUAUUUCUUAUUUCUAUUGAUAAUAAUUACAUAAAACUUUAUUGAAAUUUACUUUUUAUACCGUAUAGUUUUGUUUCCUGGGUAUCGGAGUAUCUUGCAAUCAAACUUUUAAAAUAAUAUUUUAUUUUUAAGCAACUUUUUUGUGAAAUUUUUUUAAUUAAGUAAAAUUUAUAGAAUGUUUUGAUUAUUCACUUUAAUUUCAAACGGUUUAAUUUUAACGAAGUUUUGAUGCUUAUACUCGUAAUUUUUUAAAGAGAUUUUGAUACUAGCAUGUGAGUGUUUUGGAUGUGGAGUUUCACAUUUUUGUUGCAUUGAUGCAAUUCUACAAACUGCGAUUGCGUCAAAAAGUGUUACUGAUGCUGAAUAUGGAUUUCAAUUUUCAUUGUACUUUUCUUUCCAUUUGUUGAUUAUUAUUUUACGAAGUAGUUUGAAUUUCGACUUUGCACAUAACAGAAAUUGUUCAGGUGAUUCUGUGUAAGUCACUCACUACAAAAUUAGGAAUCUAAAAUUAAAGAAAAAGCUAUCAUUAUUGACUUAACAAAUGUUUUAAAAAAAUUGGUAGAGUGAAAUUUUAUUUAUUUUUUAUUAUUUCAGCUUACAAACUAAGUGCUACACGUAUUCUUUUAAUUAAUUUUAAGUCAUUAUUUGUGACAUGUUUAUAUUUCAUUAAACUCUAAGAAAAUAUACACUCCGUUAAAAAUAUUUCAUUAAACUUUCAGUGAUUUUUUAUUUUUAAUAUCACGCUUUAAUGAAAAACAUUUUUUAAAAUACAACUAGCAUAAUUAAUUUAUAUUAACUAAAAUUCUUAUUAGCAAAAUAUUUCAGUUCAAAAAGAAAUACCCUUUUCAAUUAUAUUUUAAGCGUGAACAACAAAUGUUCAAGCUAGCAGAAUUAGUUAAUUUGAGUAGUAGCAUUUCUUUUUAAUGAAGUUAUAUGUUUUUUUUUUCAAAAUUACUCGUAUUCGUUGACGAAAUAUAUUUUAUGUUUAUCAAUGAGCAUAAUUUCUGCAAUGUGUGGUAAAAAAAAUGCCAAAUACCACCAAGUAUUUUCAAAUAUAUAUUUAUAGUUCUAUUAUUUAUUAUAGUCAAUCAAGAUAAAUAUUCUUUGUCUGAUGUGGUGCAUUAAAUAAAAUGCAUGUAAUCGUAAUGGAGAAAUGAAGGUUCUGAUGAACCUUAAUUGCAAAUGAAAAAGAAAUAAUGACUCAAGUGUAAAAGAGAGAGAAAUAGAUAAAAGAAAAUACAUAAUAAAUUAUUAUUUACUUGUAUAUUAGAGAGUAAAAUACAUGGUGUAUAUAUAAGAAAAAAAACUAAGACUUAGUUGAAACAGAAAAAGAAAGUUGGACCAAACAAACAAAGUUCAAUAACUUAAAACAGAAAAACUAAAUAUAUUAACAUUAUUAUUAAUAAAUACAUUAUAUAUUUCAAAUAUUAGGUUGAAUGUUUGAAUUUAGUUAUUAAAUGAGAUUUGUGUUUUUAAAUGAAUUUACGUUGGACUAAUACUAUUGAAAAUUAUCUUAGGAAGUUAAAAAACUCGUAAUCAAACUAAUUCUUAUGAUGAACUACGCAAGAUUAAAGUUUUUUUCUCGUUAUUUUUCUUGUUUGAAAGAUAUAUUUCUUUUAAACUCAGAAGUAAAGGUAAAUGCGUUAAAAACACUUUCAUACUCAAACCAAAUAAAGAAUAACUAAGAUUAUAAAUGUGAAAUAAAUUAACUCUCUAUCAUCUCUUAUUCAUACUAUUUUAGUAGGAUCAUCCUAUGUCCAUACUUACCUUAAAUGGCAUAUGUAUAUUACUUGAAGUUGAAUAAAGUGUGUCCAAAUGAUGCAUACUCUUUACUUAACAUUGAUUAAAUUAUUUUUGAUUUUUUUGGUUGAGUUCAGGAAUCAUAUCAUAAUAUUACUUUAACCAAAUGUCAACACAUGAUUGUUGUUGUUUUUUUCCUAAUUAUUAUAAUUUUAAUUUUUUUGUUUCUAUCAUUUUAUGUGGUAGGCCUUGAAUUUUUACAUCAAAUUCAGUUUAUUUUAUUAAGUUUUAUGAUAUAUACAAUUUUACUUAAAUCUCUUAUAAUUAUUUUUUUCCAAUUAUAUUUAAUUUUUUUAAAUUUAUUUUUAAUAAAUUUGCAUGCAUCCAUAAUGUUAAAUAAUUCAUAUUUUUUUCAAUUGACUUCAUGGUACAUUUUCAUCAGUUAAAUAUAAAUUUAUCAAUCACACUAAUCUUACCAUUCACAAAUUUUUAUAAAUUUUUCUUUCAUUCUCACCUUGUGUUUGGAUUAGGGGCAAGAUGUGUGAGAAUUUAAGGAAAUAAAUUUGGAGUGAUUUGAGAGAAAAGUGUGAAGAAAGUAAGGUUCUUUGUAUUGAGAUAUAUUAUAGUGGAUUUGUAAGAAAAGUUGGUUGAAGUGUGAGAGUAAUAUGACAGUUGUGAGAUAAUUUUUAUUUUUUUUAAAAAGUAUAAAAUCUAAGUUUAUAAUAUAUAUAUUUUUUAAAUAUUUGAAUAAUGAAAUACAAAGUAUUUUUUUUAUAUAGAUUUGAGUUAAUUAAAAUUUUGUACAUUAUUUUGAAUACCAUUUAAUAAUUUCUUUUUAGAAAAAAUACGAGUUACUUAAUAUUAUUAAAAAAUUAUCAUAAAAAUAAUACUAAAUUUAUACAACUUCACUGUUAUAUUUAAAUAAUUUUUAAAAAAUAAUUUAUUUAUUUAUGAAUUUUAGUUACUUAUAAUUAUAUUAUGAUAACUUUGUAGGAAUUAACUUUGAAAAAAAAUAUAAAAUUACGUAAAUUUAUAAAAAAAAAACAUACUAAAUCAUCAUAAAAUAAUUAUUUUUGCAUUAAUUUUAUUUUUAUAUUCAUAAUUGUAAAAAAAAUUAGAUAAAAAAUGAUGAAUAUGUAUAAUUUUUUUAAAUUAUAGAAAUAAAUAAUUUAAAUAUUCGUAGUUUUAUAAAAUAUAAUUAGAAAAAAAAUUGUAUUGAAUUUAAAUAAUACUAUUAAUUAUCUAAUAAUUUUUAUAAUAAUAAUGAAUUCAAUAAAAAACAAUUAACCAUCAAAUCCAUCAACACACUACAUAUCAAUUAUGUCUGAUAACGAAUUAUUUAUCAUUUAUAAAAUACUACAUAAUCAAUUAUACAUUAAAAAAUAUUAAAAAUAAAGUAAAGUUAUACCAUAAAAUUAGGGUUGUUGUUGUAUUUUUGGGUAUGCACAGGUGUCUUUACUAACAUUUCUUCACAACUUUGUGUUUUGGCAAAUCCGCGUCUUCACUUCAGCUGAUCAAAUACCUUUGUCCUCCACUCUUCCUGAAUAUCUUAACUUUCACUCUCUUUUUUCCUUAAAUUGAUCAUUUUCUUCUCCCAGAUAUGCAUCAUUCAAUCCAAAUAAAGCAUAAAUCCAAAUAAAGUAUAAAUGAUGAGCUAAAUUCCACUGUCUACCGAAAGUGUUUUAUUACAUAAUGCAUAAUUAGUUUUAUUUUUCUUUUCUCCCACAAACGUUGGUUUGGAUGUUGGUCUACCUCUUUCUCCUAUUCUCUCUACCAAGUGGCCACCAUUUUGGACUUUUCCCAACAUCAUCUUUCCCCUCAACGAAUCUACCAAAUUAUUACGGAUAUAUAUAAAUCAAUUCCUAAUUCAGUUUUCUACCAUUUCACACUAUUCUUUUUAAUGUCUCAGACACCCAAAUCCUGGACCUACCUCAACAAAAUCAUCACCCAGUUCCCCAUUGCCAUAUUUGUAACCUAAUUUUCAAUAUCUACCAUUUUUUUUUUCUAUAAAUCACAUGGAUAUGUUAGAAAUUUUUAUUUGUAAAUUUUAAAAGAAAUUAAUGUAUCUCAUAAUCAUGGUUGAAAAAAAAACCCAUGAUAGAACAACUGAAAUGAAAUAAAGUCAUUGAAUUAGGAGAAUGAUAUGGUGGCUUAAUUUGGCUAUCAAUGUCAUUGAUGUGGUUUGAUGUGAAAAAUAAAAUAAAAUGAAAGUAGUGGUUUAGAAUCAUUGUUUAUAGUUGGAAUAUAGUGUGGGAUAUACUGGUUUAGCUUUUACAUUGCUUGAAACCGUUAUAACUAAAUGCAUUAGCGCAUCAUCGGUUAUUAAUUUAUUUUGUUUAUGCAAUUGUAUAACUCCACUCUUUCAACUCAUACAUCAUAUUUGAAAGCACAAUAUUUCAACGUUUGAUGCAUGAGAAAGAUUUGUUUCUUCCCAGCCUCUACCGUUCUGUGUAUGCACUGUACCAGCAACUCAAUCUUAUCUCUCAGAACACAUGGGGGCCACUCUCUACUGAACUGUUUCUUCAAGAUCAUCACUUUUUAUCUUUAAUCACUCGCUAUUCUUGUCUUCACCCAGUUUUAUAUAUUUGUUCAAAUUUGCUCCUGCAAUUCCUCCAAUAAACCCUCAACUCAUGCAUAAAUAAAAACCAUAAAACUAUAUGUCUAUUUUAGGUCCCGACACACAAACUGCACACAGACCGAAAGCAGCAUCGAUUCAGUAAUAUUCCCUUGGCUAAACUAAUUUAACUACUACAAAGUUCAGCAACUCAAGUUUCCCCUGUUGUUGCGUGUGAAUGAAGACCCCAUGCCUAACUUGUUUUAAUCAGAACCCAACCCAGAUUGAAAUUUAUGUUUGCCAAGCAGGAAAAUAGAGUUGAAGGAUUUUUGUUUAUUCUAAGCAUGUUUUUUCUUUUUGUUCCACUUGAGAACAGGACCAAGAGACCAUAAGAACAGUUACACAAAUUUCUCAGACUCGUUUAACAUCUAUUUAUCUCCAUCCAUCCUAGUUUUCUCCGCUUCUUCCAAAGGAAAUCCAUCGAAUCCGUCUCGUUUCUCUUGGGAUCGAGUUCUCUUACUGACUGUACAUUGACCAAAAUUAUUUCCUAGAAAUUUUGAUGAUAAAGAAAGACAGGAAAAAAAAAAUUAAAGCUGCUUCUUUUUUUCCCAUUUGCAGGAGGAGGAGCAAACCAACAUUUUCUCUCAUCCCAACUAUUCUCUGAUUAUAUUUACGAAUCCACCCUGCUAAUCCCAAUUCGCUUGACGGAAGUAUUCCUAAAGCCAUCCUCUGCUGCCUGAAAACACAUCCCAUUCGGAUUCUGGCGCUCCAUGUAACUCCUCACCUCCUUCCUUAUCAUUUCCUGCAUCACCACCAAAAACUCCGCACUCAGAUUGAAAGCCCCCAACCCCGGUGGCUUCAACUGCGGCACCAUCGCCACCGGAGCAGCCAUCAUUGGCAGCAACGGGAUAGUGUUCGAGGGCUGUGGCGGGGGUACGGGAUGGGCUGGCUCGGUUACCCGAUUGGAGACCUCGGAAGAGUCGACGCCGGGGAGGGACAGUGAAAGGGAAGUUGGAGGGUCAUUGGAGGAGGAGGAGGUAGUUUCUACGGGAGGAAGAACCGCGGCGGUCCUGGGCACGGGACGGAAGACGUGUGAGGGGGAGGCAACUGGCGCGCUGGAUUCACUCACAUCGGAUCCGGAGGGACUACCGGGUGUGGGAGGGUUGAUGUAGAGGCCGGUGGAGACGGGGAUGGCCGCGCCGGCACUGACGGACCUCUUGAGCGGCGGAGGGUGGUCGUCCAUCAUGGUAGAGGCGCACUUGCGCUUCAGCGUGGAGUUCCAGUGGUUCUUGAUUGCGUUGUCGGUUCUGCCCUGGAGCAAGCGGGCUAUGGUGGCCCAUUUGUUGCCGAAGCGAGCAUGGGCCCUGACUAUGGUGUCGUCCUCUUCGGGCGUGAAGGCCCGGUGCUCGACCUGGGGGGAGAGCUGAUUGCACCAGCGGAGCCUGCAGGAUUUGCCGGAGCGGCCAGGGAUGGACUUGCUGAUGAGGGACCAGUUCCUGGGACCGUGCUUCUCGACGAGCCUCUGCAGAGCCUCGUCCUCCUCCGGGCUCCAUGGGCCUUUGAUACGGUCCAUGUCCUUUCUGGAAAGAACAACGCCUGUGUUCAUAAAUACGUUGAAGGAAAUAGAAAUGGGGGAGGCUCCAGGCUCCUGUGGCGUGGAGUAUUUGCUUCCUCUGCUUCCUUAUAUGUGAGAGGGGGAGGGUGAAAGGACACCGGUUUGGCAAGUUAGGUUUUGGAGUUGUCAGCGAGCGUUAUGGGCAAUCGGUACCGCUUGUUCCAGGGAAGCGGUUGGGUUGGGAUUUGGGAUACAGCUGUCACAAGACACGCGUCGACUUGUGAGCUGCUCCCAUUUACAGAACUAAGUGACCUCUUUUUUGCUCUCUUGAAAUAAGAGGGAAAAAUGAUUUGGCCAUGCAAGAGGAAGAGCGCGUCUGUUACACACUCAACGCUCCUAUUAAUUAUACCCUGGAGCUUUGCCUGGGGAGAAGAGCCUAAUAUUAUUAUUAGAGAAAAUAAUGAAAAAAAAAAAUUUGUUGGGAUGCGCGGUUGAGGGUUGAGGGUUAAGAGAAGGGUAAUAAUAAGAGAAGGGAGAUAACGAUGAAAACGGUUGGUUGUGGUAUGGUAUGAGUUUGACUGAGGAGUCCAGGCUGUAGAGCAUUUGGUGUGGGAUUUUGAAGUUUCGUCUUGUUGUGGGGGGAAAAGAGAUGAGUUGGGUGAGGUGGCCAAAAACGACAAGAUUGAUCGCCGAAUCAGAAGGCGAAUCAUUACUGCUUUUGUGUCAGUCCAGGCUGUAUUCUAUACCUGCCACCCCACCACCAUAUCAUCCUAUAACGGCCUAUUCCCUAUUCUUCCUAUUCCCUAUUCCCUAUUCCAUCUCCCUACACUCACUCACACGUGCCGCUCACUUCCAUUUCUGUAUCCUCUUGUACGGAACCCCCUCCUCCUUCACUUUCCUCUCUUCUUCCCUCUCAUUUUUUUUAAUCAUUAAUUAACUCGUAAUUUGGGAGUGGAGAUUAUACAAAGACAUGGGGAAAGGGCGAGGGACUACAUUGUCGGAUACCAUCCCCUAUUCCCUAUUUCUUAUUCAAACCAAAUGUAUUAUUUAUUACGCUCAAACACAUCCGUAUCCAUUUCUGUUACUCUACGUCCUACAUGUACUACACACUCUCUAUCUCUCUCUCUCUCCAAGAACAAAUACUCUUUCCUCAUUCCAUAAAUACCACACUCCUAUCGUAAUUCAUCAACCACUUCUACCCGCUAUAACAAUAACAUCGUUACAACAAUUCUUCAUCCAUUCAAACCUUUUUUUUAUUAAACACCACGCUUAAAGUCCUACCUGUACCUGGUUAAGAGAACCUCUGCUUCUCCAAAAUUGAAAAUCAUAACCCAAUACAUACACAUAUAUAUAUGUUAAUAAUAAAUAAAUUAUUUAAAAUAAAUAAAUGUUGAAAACACGAACAAUAUUAGUUUUAUGAAGAGUAGAUGAUCAUUGUCCAUAAAAAUUAUUGUGUAAGUUUCCAAAAUAAAACAUUAAUUUUUUAAACAAUAUUUGUAAGAACUUAGAAAAGUAGUCUUGGAUAGAAAUGAUACAAUUAAAAUCACAUCUGAAUAUUUUAUCAUUAAAAUUAAAAGAUUAUAUAAAAUUAAAAUCACAUCUCUUUAAAGUUCAUUGUUCCUUUCUUUUGUCUUUUGUAUGAAAUUCUAACAUCUUCGCUCAUCAGUUUGACAAUCGGAAUCCGUCAUCAGUCUUCUUUCAGUGAAUAUUACAAGAUUGUCAAUCAAAAUCUUUAAUAGAGUGAAUUCAUUUUUGCUCUUCUCUUUUAGUCAAAUUUUGAACUUGUUAGGUUUGUCUCUACAUAGCCUUUGCAUGUGACUCUUUUAGCUUUAAAGUUAAUCUCUGUAAAUUCAAAGUCCUAAUGAUAUAGUUAUAUUUUUUUAUCAGGACUUUGUGGUGCAUAUUAAGUUACCCUUAAGCUUUUGGUAGGUUUGAAACUCUUAAUGAGCAUCUGUUAAAUUUCAUGAAUGGAAAGGUAGUUUAAAUUGAUUGAGCAUUUUAGGGAUAUGAAUCUGGAGUGAAAUUUCAUGUUAGCCAUAUUAGUUGUGGUAAGUUAACCAUAAGUAAUAAUUUAUUUGAAAUAAUUAAGAAAAAAAGUUAGAGGAUAUUACACUAAAGUCUACUAAGGAUUUUAUGAUUGAAAAAUAUGAGAUGUUGAUAUUCGAUAUGCAUACAUACUGAUGAAGAGCUGAAAAUAAUGAUUCUAGAGAAGAGUCAUCUAAGUUAUCUUAGUUUACAAUGAAAUAUACUAAGAUUAUCUAAGAGGUGACAAUUUCACAUAACAAACAUUCAAUACUUGAGACAAUAAAGAUGUUGUGGAUUAUUUGAUUUGAUGAUUGUAUUUAAAGUAAAUUUUACUUAUGAAACUAAUUAUUAAAAUUAAAAAAUUAAAUUAAUAUUGUAAUUCUUUUGAUAAAUAAGUUUUUUUUAAAUAUUAUACAAAGGUGCGAUGAUAUAUUUAUUAAAAUUAAAAAAUAAUUUGUAUUUUUAUAUUUUUAAAGUAAAAAACAAUUAAUUAUAAAAUACAUUUUGGAAGGUUAAAACUAGUUGGUGUUUAAAGUGAAAUCAAUUUUUUUAUUUCAAUGAUAAUGGACAAAUGUACUUAUGGUUCGAAACCAUUACUUUCAAAUACUUACCAUUAAUAAAUAUUUAAUCUAGUAUAACUGUUUUUAUCAAAAUGAAUAGGAAAAUUUAAAAUUAAAAUGAUCACUAUCAAUAAAUUAUUGGGCAUCAGUGUUCUUCCACGAAAAUGAAUUUGAAAAAAAUUGAUAGACUAGAAUUAUUAAAAAGUCAUUAGCCACCAUUAAAACACUCACUAUGCAUUUUUUAGAUUCAUGUCGUAACGCAACAUUUUGUUUUUAUAUGAUAAAUUCUACAUGUAUUAGGUUUUUAUAAAUUGAAUAUGUACAAACAUUAUAAAAAUAAAGAUAUUUAUUGAAAUAGAAAACUAAAACAAUGAUAAAAUGUCUGUAAUGAUGGAAGUAAAUAAUUUUUUUUUAUGUAAAUAAAUUUUGGAAAAGUAUGAGAAAGAGAUCAAAUACUUGAAUUUAAAUUAUUCAAACAAAAUAAUUGAAAAAAUUAUAAUAAUUCACGUGCUUAUCCAUCUUUUAACUUAAGUUUUGAUUAAGUAUUUAAUAGUUCAAAUCAAAUCUUUAUUAUAAAAUACAAGUAAUGUAUUUAUAAAUCAGAAUUUUUAUUUGUUUAUAAUUAUAUAGUCCCUUCCAUUCCAUUGAUCUUCAUUAUUGAUAAUUUUGAUACUGGAUUAUGUUUUUCAUCUGAAUUCUCUAUUUUUUCCACAUUCAUAACAUUUGAAGAAAAAAAACCUACUUACAAAAAUUUCAUCUUUUAUUAGUUACUAAUUUUCGUCACCUUAACUCAAAUUCAAUUUAACAAACUAGCAUUUGAUUUAAUAUUAUUCUUUAGUUGGUAUUGUUACAUAUACAAUACAUGUUUUUCGCGGGUAAAUUCCCUAUCUAGCACCAUUUACACUUUUAUUUCCCUAACUAGUACCAUUUUGUUUUUAUUUCCCUAUCUAGCAUCAUUUUGUUUUUAUUUCUCUAUCUAGCACCCUUCUAUUUUUUAUUUACAACGAGACUACCAAAUACUUAAUAUUUUUGGACUGUUUUGGCCGGCUCGCUUUAAGAUCUUGACGUUAACAUGUUUUGGCUAUUCUUCUUUUUUCUUGAGUAGAGGUUCAUUUUUUUUACUUGUGCAUACGUUGUGUUGGGACGAUGAGGGUUACAACAAAUUUGGAAAAUUGUUUGGCAGUGAGGGUUUUACUAAUUUGUNNNNNNNNNNNNNNNNNNNNNNNNNNNNNNNNNNNNNNNNNNNNNNNNNNNNNNNNNNNNNNNNNNNNNNNNNNNNNNNNNNNNNNNNNNNNNNNNNNNNNNNNNNNNNNNNNNNNNNNNNNNNNNNNNNNNNNNNNNNNNNNNNNNNNNNNNNNNNNNNNNNNNNNNNNNNNNNNNNNNNNNNNNNNNNNNNNNNNNNNNNNNNNNNNNNNNNNNNNNNNNNNNNNNNNNNNNNNNNNNNNNNNNNNNNNNNNNNNNNNNNNNNNNNNNNNNNUAAUGUUGAGACAUAUUCUUUAUGUGUGUCUUGGUGUUUGACCAUAUGAACAUUUUUUUUUCCGAUCAUGUUGUUCUUUUAUGUUCAUAUCAGUCCUUAUUUAACUUUGUUUUUUUAUAAUUAUGUCAUGUAUUUUUUACUUGAAAUUAACAUAAUUACAUCAUCAAUAAUAAUAAAAAUAAAUACUAAUUUAUGUUUAUAUAUUCAACUUUUAUGUUGUUGUAGAGUUUAAUUUUUUAUUUUAUUCAUUCUUAUAAAAAUAUUUGUUAAACUAAACAUUUUAAAUUUAUUACUCUUUUAUUUUUAUUUUGUAAAAGCACAUUUUUUUUAUUUAUUAAUUAUAUUUCUAACUAUUUUAAACAUUAAAAAUAUUUAUUUUUUAAUGCAUUCAAAAUUAAAAUUAUCAAAAAGAAAUUAAUUUAUUAUUUUUUAAUUUAUUUUUGAAAUGGUGCUAGAUAGGGAAAUAAAAAAAUAAAAGGGUGCUAGAUAUGGAAAUAAAAACAAAAGAGUGCUAGAUAGGAAAAUAAAAACAAAAGGGUGUUAGUUAGAGAAAUAAAAGUGUAAAUGGUGCUAGAUAGGGAAUUUACCUGCUUUUCGCAUCAUUUUUUCUUUUACAUUCCUCUCUCCUUUUAAUUUAUUUUUUAAGUUAAUCAAAUUUUAAAUAAAUUAAGACAAAAUAAAGACAUGAAAAAUAACAUAAAAUAGUACCUCAAGACUAAAAAAACAUUAAAAAACAUAGUGUAAUAGAUUAUUAAAAAAUCUAUAAAAUUAAUAUAAUAUUAUUGAAAUUAUAUUCUAAUUUUUUAUAUGUUAACAAAUACAGAGUGGAUCCCUUUACCUUCUUCACAUAUCAUGUGUUUGGUUUAAGAGAAAGUUAAUGAAACAAAGAUUAAACAAAAAAUAAUAAUAAAUGAAAAUCGUGCUAAUUGUAUUCUUUUAUUUAAUUAUAUAAAAAAUUACAGGUAUAAAAUGACAUAAAUAUUUUAAUAAGAAAUAAAUAUAUUUUACUCUUAAAAGAUGACAAUGUUUUUUUUUUAAAAAAAAAUAUAAGGUAAAAUUUAUAGUAAUGUUUAAGGAUCAUAUCUUAACUACUAAGUUCUUAUUAAUGUGAAUUUAUGUUACUAAUUAAUAUUGAUUUAUAAGAAAUUAUUAUAAAAAUACAAGCGAUGAUAAUUUUUUAAAUAUUAUAUUUACAUUUUAUAUUACUUAUCUUUUUAAUUGAUAUAAAAUAUAUAUAUUACAUUUAUAACUAGUAGUAACAAAAAUUGUAACUAUAAUUUUAAUGUACACAAUUCACUGGAUUUUUUUCAUCAAUAUAUUCCAUUUUUUAUAUUAUUAUUUUUUAUUUUUUUUACAAUUUUCUUUUUAAAUCAAUUAAUUACCUUAUAAAAUUAUAAAAAAUAUGUUUUAUAAGUCUAAGAAUAUUUUUUUAUAAAACUAAUUAUUAUUUUUUAAAAGAAAGUAAAUACACAUCUAGUGAGUUAUAAAAAUAAUCAUAAUUAAUGUAAAAUAUUUACUUUUGAAUACUAAUUUUUUUCACUUAGUCUUUCUUUGAAUCUUACAUUUUUUAAGUUUUCCUAGGUGAUUAAAUUUUUCGUCCUCUCCAUUUUCUAUAUUUUCAUUCAACAUCAACACUUUUCUCACAACUCUUCUACACUUCCUUUAACUCCUCUACACUUUUUUUUCUUCUCACAAAUAUCUUCUUUCACUCCACUCCAUACUACUAUGUGAGAAAAAUGUCUCCUUUCUACUGUCUCAACCACUUUCUCUCUUACUUCCAAGUUAAUUACACGAAUUUGUUAUUUUAUUAUUUGUUUAAUUCAAUCAUUGGUUAAAUCUGGUUAGUCUAAAGUUAGAUAUUAUUCAAAAUUUAUUAUUUAGAGAUUAUGAGUCAAAGUUAAACAGUGAUAAUGUUUAUAACUCUUUAAUUAGUAUAUUUUAGAGAUCCACAGUCGAUCAGAGAUUAGAGUCUUUCAUUGUAUAUAAGUGGAUGCAAACUUCACCUCAUGAGUUAGUUUUAUGAAAUUAAGUUAGACUACUCUAUUUCUUAAAUAUGAUAUCAGAAUCAUUUUGAAUUUAUCCUAACAAGUAUUUGUUGGUAGUUUUGGUUGGACCAGAUAUUUAGUUAACUUUAGAAGUGAGCGCACCGGCAAGGUGAUUGAUUAGGAACCUGAAUCUGAGGAAGUGGUUAUGGUUUGUGUCUCUACAAUACAAUUAUUUGUUGAGGUUGUCUGUGUGUGUGGAGAGAGGUUUGGUUUGUCUGGUGGAAACUGGAAACUGUUGUUGCGUCGGGUUUGGAACCGUCAAUGAAAUUAAGCCUUUGGGAGGCAACGUCAUGGGCCACACUGCCAGCUACAUCGCAUUGCAUUAACUUGUUUCCAUCUGCAACAAUUUUCUAAUAAUAAUAACAAAUAAUAAUACAAAGAAGGUACAAUUUUCUUAAUCAUUUUUAAUGCAAAUGAUCCCUUUUGUUAUAAUAUCUUUUUACAGGAAUGGAUAUAGUAAUUAAAUGUUUUUAUUUUUUUUGUAACUGCGAAAAAGAUAAAAUAUUAAUAUUUUAGAGUUGUUUGGGAUUUGCAGAGUAGAAUAGUUUGAUGAUAAGUGAGUCUGACACCCUCGUAUUCAUAUCCCACGAUUCCCGCUAUCUAUCGUAAAGCCUACUGCGCUCCUGUGCCCCCAUGCGGCAUCGUUUUGUUGUAGUAUCGCCUUCAUUCUCGAUAUCCGCAAUCUUCUUUUUCUUCUUCUUAUAUUUUACUCUAUCACGUUUCCUUUUCUACUUUUUUUUCCACUCCCUUUAACUAUAAAAUGCAAGAAUCUUCUCUAUUUUACAAUUUUUAUUACAUCAAACCUUUUUUUGUAUUUCUACUUUUACUACUCAUUUAUUUUUCCUUUCUUUAUUUUAAGAAUUGGGUAAUUAAUCUUUUAAUUUUUAAAAUAUAUACAUUUAAUUACUCUCUCACCUUUGAUGUUAAAACUACUAUUCAAUGUUAAAUUUAAUUAUAAAAACCAAAAUGUUUUUAAUAACCAAGACGUCAAAAAUAGUUUUCCCAAUAUUUUAAUAACUAAAAAAGUAAUUAGUAAUUAUUAAAAUAUUUAUUGUAUUCUUAAUAUCUCUUCCAUUUUAAGAUUUUUCAAUAUAUAUAUAUAUAUAUAUAUAUAUAUAUAUAUAUUAUACAAACAUGCUUUUAAGUGGUUUUUCUUGUAAGAUACGUGUUUUAAAAUUUAAGACCUUCAUUGAAGAUAUCUUUUAAGUCUUUUUUUAUUAAGAGAUUUUUCUUUUUAGUUUCUCCAUAAAAAAAUUCCAAUUUUACAUAUAUUCUUCAAGUGAAAUGUUAUUAUUGUUUUUAUUUUAAAUGUAAGAAAGUACUAUUAUUUAUAUCUCAUAUUCUUUUUGAAUUUUAAAUUUCACUUCCAAAUACCUAUUCAAAGUUUUCUAAAAUAGUAUCAUUAUAAACUUUUAGAAACUAAUGUUAUUUUUUACUCCAUAUAAGUAUCAUAAACGCAAAUACUGUCUUUGACUCCGUGACACUAAAACACAACAACAAAAAAUACUAUAAAAAAAUGUACAAUUAUCUUAAGCAGAAAUAUUAUAUAUGUAAUAGAAAAAAAUUGUAAAUAGUUAUUUGAAUUUCAAGAAUAGUUGAUUAAAAUAUAAAAUUGUAAAACAAAAAAUAUAUAUAAAAAAGUAAUAAACACUAACCAGAACACCCACCCAAUUUAUUUUUUACUUUGAUAAACUAAAUAAAAAGAUCGAAAACUUAAUUAUAUUUAUUGCUAUAGAUAAAAAAGUUUUGUUGUGAAGAUUUGAUAUUGUGGUGGAUGAAAGAUGCAAUCUGAAGCAGGGGAUGAAAACCCUAAAUAUAUAAUGAUUGCUUAAAGAAGAGGGGCCAUCAUAGAGACCGUGGAACUGAAACGGUGGAUAUUAAAAUGAAGAUAUCAUUUUUGAUACGUCAUACAUGUUAGUGGGUGUGGAGCUAAUUAUAGGCGCAUGGCCAAAGAAAACAAAAAUAAAGAACAACCCAGAAUUUGGGUUAUAAAAGUAAAAAUAGCAUUAAAUGCUAUUCUUAAUAUAGUUCAUAAAAUUGACACUGGCAAAAGUGUGUGCAAGAGGAAGUGAAAAUGGAAGGUUGUGUUGCAGCACACAAGAAAAUGCUGACAUUAACUCAUAAAACUUCAUCGUAUCUUUAUGCAAUAAACAUGUUUAGUACAUGAAUUAAAUAGGUUAAAAAUGUAUGAAAAUAGAUCUGAGAAUCGUUUUUGAUAAAACUGUUAAAGAAACAUUUGGAAUGCAGAAAGUAGAGACAUGAUGGUCCUCCAAUAAUAUGGGUCUUUUGUCAAAGGGUGGAGCCCAGUGUCCCCUGCCUUAGGUGGUGUGGUUUGGUGGAGGGUCACCAUCCUUUCAAUUCUGGGAGCUUAGUUGGUCAUUAUUCAGUUUUAUCUUAAACUGUUAACAGAACCACUACUAACAAAAAAGUAGUCAUAAGAGUAUGAAGGACAAUAUUCUAAGUUCGAAUAUUAUGAUUACCAUGGCUGUUCUUUUGGAAACCAACCAUAUCCAAACUCUUCUAAAAUAUGACCAUGUCGUUAAGUUUCCACCUCUUUAGUUCCUUCUAAGUUGCAAUCAAUGAACUAAGUACUAACUCAAUUCAACUUCACAUCCAGAGUUUCAGGAUUCUUCUUUAAUCGCUCUAACAUAUCCACAUUCUGCAGUUAACACAAUAUUCAAUUGUCCUCGAUUCGACAUUGACUUCGUUAACGAUUAAUGUUUUAUUUAGUAAUGAAAUUACAAUUUCCACUUACAAAAGUUAGAAAGUUCUUCAUCUUUUUUAACCUCUAAACUGAUAUUGAUUUUAGUUUAUGAUUUUUUUUUUCAUGAUAAAUAGUGUAUAUAUAUAUAAAGUUAUUUCAUAUCUAAAUUAGCGUUAAUAUGAAAUAGAUAACUAUAAUAAAAAUGUAUUUUUUUUAUGUUAUUUAUAAGGUUUUAUGGGUAUUUGAUACUGGAUUGAGAUUAAAGUUAAGUUAUUGAAUUAAUUUUUAGAUUUACGAUAAAAUUUUGUAUCAAUUUGUAUUACAAAUAUUCGUUCAAUAAUAUUAAAUAAUAUGAAACUUAAAAUUGUAUUGUACAUAAUUAGAUACAUUUUUUUUUGUUUUAAAAUAAAUUCAUCUAGUGAAAGAAUCAUUAAUUUAUUGUUAAAUUAAAAUAUAAAUUAUCUCUUUUGUGGGUAAAAAAUGUACAGAUGUUAACUGGUUGUCUUAAUCAGGACUUUCUUAAUAAUGUUUUUUUCGUUUAAUGUAAAGCACGCAUCUUAAAGAAAAAAAAAUUAUAAACUUGUAUGAAAAAAUUAAUGCUAUUUCAUUUAAAAAAACCUUAUUAGUACAUGGUUUGGAAAAUUAAGAAAAGGACUUUUUAAAGUAUUAUCAUUUAAUCAUUCAUCGAUAUUUUUAAAGUGUAAAAAAAAUGAACGGGGGAGAAAAUUUUUAAGACCUUCAUAGAAAAAAGUGGAAUUUUUGGUGGGGAAAUAUCUAAUAUAAUAUAGAUCGAGAUUAAAUUUGAUUUGACAUCAUCAAAACUUAAAAAAUAAUUCACUAAAUCAUGUACAAAUAUAACAGAAAAGAGUAGAUAUCAACAAGGAAUACUAAAAACCCUAAUUACGAUAAAUGAAUUAUCUAUAUCAACAAGCAACUUUUAAGUGGGUUUUUUAGUUGUUUUUUUUUUCCUGCCAUGAGAAAUCUCUGCACACGUGAUUUUUUUUAAGAAAUUCAUUACUUCCGUGUCUUUUUAUUUUCUUUUAAUUGUGAUUAAAUAAACUAUUAUGUCGUGUACGGAUAUCUAAAAAGUCAUGUUAUUUGGUUUUGAUAUCCAACCAAUCAAGUUAGAAAUUAAAGCAGUUAUAAUAAAUAAGACACUUGUAUAGACUCUGAAAAUUAGGGACAUAUUCUACCAAAAUUAGGUAACCAAAAAAUCAAGAAAUCUUUCAAAAAAUAAAUUAACACUGAUAUUGGAUAGAUUCGUCUUAUUAUAAGAGGGUCCAUAAUCAUCAUAACUAAACACUAUAAAUAAAUUAUUCUCUAGAAGUAAGAUAUGCAUUUAUCAAAUAAAUCAUACACUCUCUUAUAUAUAGUAAUUACUGUAAGUUAAAACAUGAAUAAACGUAAAUUGAACACAUACAAUAAUGUGUUCACAUAUAGAUCUUAUCAUAUCAUGAUUCUCACACAAAACAUAAAGUGAAGAAGUAGGCACUUACCUUGAUCCAUGAGUGAUCCUAAUUGAGCAGUUACUUUAUCUCCUUUAUCCCAAUCUAUUUCUUGCAAUUCCGUUCUUGUCUCACACUUUCGUGAUGGUUAACAGUGAGACAACUAUUAUUUGCAGAGACAUAACCCUAUAGCCUUUAGUACCCAAUCUUCAUCAGAUGUAGGUUUUCAUUAGGUAUAUCAUCAGAUAUAUAUAUUUCUCACAUUAACCAAUGGGCCUUUAUUCUAUUAUUAUUAUUAAAUCAUAUUUGGGCUCAAAGCCCAAACUCUAAGUCAUGUGAGUCACUUUAUAGAAAUUAAUUUACAUAAUUUCUUACAUUCUCCCACUUGACUCAUAUGAGUUAUAAUACUUUCAUGAUUUAAUAAUUACAUAAAUGUGCAUUUAAAAGGCCUUACAUAAAUUGGUUCUAUCAUUAUUCAUAAUCAAGAAUACAGAAAUAAUAAGAGUCAUGGCGGUUACAUGUCAUUUGAAUCAACACAUUUCCUUCCAUGUACUACUAUAUCAUCCNNNNNNNNNNNNNNNNNNNNNNNNNNNNNNNNNNNNNNNNNNNNNNNNNNNNNNNNNNNNNNNNNNNNNNNNNNNNNNNNNNNNNNNNNNNNNNNNNNNNNNNNNNNNNNNNNNNNNNNNNNNNNNNNNNNNNNNNNNNNNNNNNNNNNNNNNNNNNNNNNNNNNNNNNNNNNNNNNNNNNNNNNNNNNNNNNNNNNNNNNNNNNNNNNNNNNNNNNNNNNNNNNNNNNNNNNNNNNNNNNNNNNNNNNNNNNNNNNNNNNNNNNNNNNNNNNNNNNNNNNNNNNNNNNNNNNNNNNNNNNNNNNNNNNNNNNNNNNNNNNNNNNNNNNNNNNNNNNNNNNNNNNNNNNNNNNNNNNNNNNNNNNNNNNNNNNNNNNNNNNNNNNNNNNNNNNNNNNNNNNNNNNNNNNNNNNNNNNNNNNNNNNNNNNNNNNNNNNNNNNNNNNNNNNNNNNNNNNNNNNNNNNNNNNNNNNNNNNNNNNNNNNNNNNNNNNNNNNNNNNNNNNNNNNNNNNNNNNNNNNNNNNNNNNNNNNNNNNNNNNNNNNNNNNNNNNNNNNNNNNNNNNNNNNNNNNNNNNNNNNNNNNNNNNNNNNNNNNNNNNNNNNNNNNNNNNNNNNNNNNNNNNNNNNNNNNNNNNNNNNNNNNNNNNNNNNNNNNNNNNNNNNNNNNNNNNNNNNNNNNNNNNNNNNNNNNNNNNNNNNNNNNNNNNNNNNNNNNNNNNNNNNNNNNNNNNNNNNNNNNNNNNNNNNNNNNNNNNNNNNNNNNNNNNNNNNNNNNNNNNNNNNNNNNNNNNNNNNNNNNNNNNNNNNNNNNNNNNNNNNNNNNNNNNNNNNNNNNNNNNNNNNNNNNNNNNNNNNNNNNNNNNNNNNNNNNNNNNNNNNNNNNNNNNNNNNNNNNNNNNNNNNNNNNNNNNNNNNNNNNNNNNNNNNNNNNNNNNNNNNNNNNNNNNNNNNNNNNNNNNNNNNNNNNNNNNNNNNNNNNNNNNNNNNNNNNNNNNNNNNNNNNNNNNNNNNNNNNNNNNNNNNNNNNNNNNNNNNNNNNNNNNNNNNNNNNNNNNNNNNNNNNNNNNNNNNNNNNNNNNNNNNNNNNNNNNNNNNNNNNNNNNNNNNNNNNNNNNNNNNNNNNNNNNNNNNNNNNNNNNNNNNNNNNNNNNNNNNNNNNNNNNNNNNNNNNNNNNNNNNNNNNNNNNNNNNNNNNNNNNNNNNNNNNNNNNNNNNNNNNNNNNNNNNNNNNNNNNNNNNNNNNNNNNNNNNNNNNNNNNNNNNNNNNNNNNNNNNNNNNNNNNNNNNNNNNNNNNNNNNNNNNNNNNNNNNNNNNNNNNNNNNNNNNNNNNNNNNNNNNNNNNNNNNNNNNNNNNNNNNNNNNNNNNNNNNNNNNNNNNNNNNNNNNNNNNNNNNNNNNNNNNNNNNNNNNNNNNNNNNNNNNNNNNNNNNNNNNNNNNNNNNNNNNNNNNNNNNNNNNNNNNNNNNNNNNNNNNNNNNNNNNNNNNNNNNNNNNNNNNNNNNNNNNNNNNNNNNNNNNNNNNNNNNNNNNNNNNNNNNNNNNNNNNNNNNNNNNNNNNNNNNNNNNNNNNNNNNNNNNNNNNNNNNNNNNNNNNNNNNNNNNNNNNNNNNNNNNNNNNNNNNNNNNNNNNNNNNNNNNNNNNNNNNNNNNNNNNNNNNNNNNNNNNNNNNNNNNNNNNNNNNNNNNNNNNNNNNNNNNNNNNNNNNNNNNNNNNNNNNNNNNNNNNNNNNNNNNNNNNNNNNNNNNNNNNNNNNNNNNNNNNNNNNNNNNNNNNNNNNNNNNNNNNNNNNNNNNNNNNNNNNNNNNNNNNNNNNNNNNNNNNNNNNNNNNNNNNNNNNNNNNNNNNNNNNNNNNNNNNNNNNNNNNNNNNNNNNNNNNNNNNNNNNNNNNNNNNNNNNNNNNNNNNNNNNNNNNNNNNNNNNNNNNNNNNNNNNNNNNNNNNNNNNNNNNNNNNNNNNNNNNNNNNNNNNNNNNNNNNNNNNNNNNNNNNNNNNNNNNNNNNNNNNNNNNNNNNNNNNNNNNNNNNNNNNNNNNNNNNNNNNNNNNNNNNNUUCACCAUUUUCAAUGAACCGUGCAUUUCCAGAUUCAACAAUUCUUGUGUUAUGGGUAGGACAGUAAAACAUAUACCCUUUUGACUUUGCUGGAUAACCAAUGAAAUAUCCACUGAUUGUUCUUGCAUCCAAUUUCUUCUCUUGCGGAUUGUAUAUUCUGACUUCUGCUUGACAUCCCCAAACAUGCAAGUGUCUCAAAUUGGGUUUCCUUCCUGUCCAUAAUUCAAAAGGUGUCUUUUGAACUGCCUUACUAGGAACCCUGUUCAAUAGAUACAUGGCAGUUUUUAAAGCAUACAUCCACAAUGAAACAGGUACAGUUGACUCACUUAACAUGCUCCUAACCAUAUCCAUUAAGGUUCGAUUACGCCUUUCUGAAAUACCAUUUUGUUGUGGUGUACCUGGCAUUGUGUAUUGAGCACAAAUACCACGUCUCUCAAGGAACUUAGCAAACAGACCAGGGUGUUGUCCACUUUCAUCAUACUUUCCAUAAUAUUCACCACCUCUAUCUGACCUGACAAUUUUCACCUUUCUGUCUAAUUGCCUUUCCACUUCAUUUAUAUAAACUUCCAAGGCAUUCACCGCUUGCGAUUUUUCAUGCAGUAAAAAGACAUAACCAUAACGUGAAAAAUCAUCAAUGAAGGUGAUAAAAUACCUUUCUUUAUUGAAAGAACUUGCAUCAAAAGGUCCACAUAUAUCAGUGUGUAUAAUUCAAGAAGCUGAGUACUUCCUGUGGCUCCCUUCUUUGUGUGUUUUGUUUGUUUACCUUUAAUACAAUCCACACAUACAUUCAGAUCAGUAAAAUCCAAACUUGGAAGUAUUUCAUACUUUACCAAUCUCUCCAUUCUUUCCUUGGAAAUAUGUCCCAAACGUUUGUGCCACAAGAAAGCAGAACAUUCAUUCACCAAACUUCGUUUAGUGCCAACAUUAUGAUGCGAGGUCAUAAGAGUUUCAACAUAUAGUUUAUCGAGAUUCAAUCUAUAUAAUCCAUCAUAAGGAGUACCAGAUCCAAUAGACCUAAGUCUUGCCGCAAUAUAAGUCAUUUUAAUGACAUGUUCGUGCAUAGUACGAGAACCAUCAAAUUCCAUGGUGGUUAAUAUACUCAUUAAUGUCCCAACAAGAGACUUAUCAGUAGUUUGGGAGCGCUCUUCCACAAAUUUCAUAAAUUCUUUUGCACCAUCAGUUUUGGGAAGAGCAGACUUAAUAUUACUUGUUAUGCUCAUUCGCAUAAAGAUACAGGAACAAUACUUGAUCACACAUGCUUAACAUUAAUACUUUGAGNNNNNNNNNNNNNNNNNNNNNNNNNNNNNNNNNNNNNNNNNNNNNNNNNNNNNNNNNNNNNNNNNNNNNNNNNNNNNNNNNNNNNNNNNNNNNNNNNNNNNNNNNNNNNNNNNNNNNNNNNNNNNNNNNNNNNNNNNNNNNNNNNNNNNNNNNNNNNNNNNNNNNNNNNNNNNNNNNNNNNNNNNNNNNNNNNNNNNNNNNNNNNNNNNNNNNNNNNNNNNNNNNNNNNNNNNNNNNNNNNNNNNNNNNNNNNNNNNNNNNNNNNNNNNNNNNNNNNNNNNNNNNNNNNNNNNNNNNNNNNNNNNNNNNNNNNNNNNNNNNNNNNNNNNNNNNNNNNNNNNNNNNNNNNNNNNNNNNNNNNNNNNNNNNNNNNNNNNNNNNNNNNNNNNNNNNNNNNNNNNNNNNNNNNNNNNNNNNNNNNNNNNNNNNNNNNNNNNNNNNNNNNNNNNNNNNNNNNNNNNNNNNNNNNNNNNNNNNNNNNNNNNNNNNNNNNNNNNNNNNNNNNNNNNNNNNNNNNNNNNNNNNNNNNNNNNNNNNNNNNNNNNNNNNNNNNNNNNNNNNNNNNNNNNNNNNNNNNNNNNNNNNNNNNNNNNNNNNNNNNNNNNNNNNNNNNNNNNNNNNNNNNNNNNNNNNNNNNNNNNNNNNNNNNNNNNNNNNNNNNNNNNNNNNNNNNNNNNNNNNNNNNNNNNNNNNNNNNNNNNNNNNNNNNNNNNNNNNNNNNNNNNNNNNNNNNNNNNNNNNNNNNNNNNNNNNNNNNNNNNNNNNNNNNNNNAAUAUAAUUUUUCAUUCCUCACUUUCAAUCAAUUAAUUAAACUUUAAUUUAAAUGCAAAUUAAAUUACAUUAUGACAUAAUAAAAUUUCAUUAAAACUUUAAUUAAACUUUAAUUUAAUGCAAAUAAAAUUACAUUAAAAUAUAAUAAAAUUUCAUUAAAACUUUAAUUAAACUUUAAUUUAAUGAACAUAAUCAUUAAAACUUUAAUGAAACAUUAAUCAAAAUAAAAUAAAUAAAAAUAAAAAUAAAGAAACAUGGCGUUUGGUGCAGAGAAUUACUCUCACUAUUUUAUUUAUUUAUAUAUUGUUUCAUUAUUUUAUAUUAUAAUAUAAAUAUCAUUAUUUUAUAUUAUAAUACAAAUAUCAUUAUUUUAUAUUAUAAUACAAUUCCCCGUUCACUUUAUCAUAAAACCCUAGAAAAAAAAACACAGCCACCAUUUUUCACUUUAUCAUCAAAGGGGUGUCAACCAUAACUAAAUGUGUCCUGAGAAAAGAUGAUUGCAGUUUCAUCUUUCUUCAAUUGAAUUAAAAAAAAAGGACAUAAAGAGGCACACUCCAUAAACCCCUAAUUUUAAAAUUAAGGUUUUUCAACUGGGAUUAAUUAAAAUUAGGGUUCUUUAAUUUUGAUGAUUUAGGACAAUUAGGGAACUAUCAUAGAGGAAUGAAAACCUUAAUUUAUAAACCCUAAUUUUAAAUUAGGGUUCUUAAAUUGGGAAUAAUUUUUAAAAUUAGGGUUCUUCAAAUUUUGGAAAAACAGUAAUGGAGAAUCACAAAAAUGAGCAACUAGGCUAUGAUACCACAUGUAAGUCAGAACAUGAAUGAACGUAAAUUAAAACACAUACAAUAAUGUGUUCACAUAUAGAUCUUAUCAUAUCAUGAUUCUCACACAAAACAUAAAGUGAAGAAGUAGGCACUUACCUUGAUCCAUGAGUGAUAUCCUAAUUGAGCAGUUACUUUAUCUCCUUUAUCCCAAUCUAUCUCUUGCAAUUCCGUUCUUGUCUCACACUUUCGUGAUGGUUAACAGUGAGACAACUAUUAUUUGCAGAGACAUAACCCUAUAGCCUUUAGUACCCAAUCUCCAUCAGAUGUAGGUUUUCAUUAGGUAUAUCACCAGAUAUAUAUAUUUCUCACAUUAACCAAUGGACCUUUAUUCUAUUAUUAUUAUUAAAUCAUAUUUGGGCCCAAAGCCCAAACUCUAAGUCAUGUGAGUCACUUUAUAAAAAUUAAUUUACAUAAUUUCUUACAAUUACUUGAUCGUCGGAGAAACUUUUGCAAGUUAACUCUCAACCAAACAUAAAAGAGUAUUGAGAAGGACGAAGGAGGAGCGAACGAGGAAUCAAAGACAAUUAUUACAUCGAGUUUCAGGUAGUAUCUAAGUCCAUAUAUGUCUAUACAUGUACAAUUGACGCUCAUCGUGAGACAUCAAUAGUGUAUAUCAAACAAGUUAUGUCAUUCAGUCUCUAUGACCAACAAACUAGGUUAAGUAAUUAUAAUAAAUAACAAUUAAGACAAUUGUGUUAAGAAAAUUGUGCACUACUUGAAAACGAAAAACAUAUUCCACCAAAUCCAAUUGGGUAAGUAUGUGUCAAUAAAGUCUUUUUCUUUAAAAUAACAUACAUGGUCAUUAGAUAAUUAAAGAUACCACCAAAAUUGCUAGAGUCGAAUUUUAUCCUAUUUCUUCGUCACAUUCUGCAGUAAAAUAUCUCAAAUCUAAAAUUUUAGGGAAAGGGAUUCUUUCAAAAUUUACUAUUUUAUGAAAUGUAUAUUAAAGUUUCUGAUGUAUUUACAUUAAAGAAUUCAUAAUAAUCAACUAAUAGAAUAAUAUGAUAGAUCUUAUGUGUAAGACAUGGAAUUGCCUAUCAUUAUUUGUUAUACUUCAUUUUUUUUUUUUUUUUAAAGUAUAAGGAAGAAUUGUAUUAACUUAAAGAUUUGAAAAAGAAUGAAAGAAUUAUACUGAAUCAUCCUCAAUUUUAGCUCAAAUAACUGAAUCUCACUCAAUUUCUUUAUCAAAUUAUACUGAAGCAUCCUCUUUCCAAAUCAGGUUUCUAUAACCAAAGAUUCUGGCAAAACAUGAAAUCAAUUGUUCCUGUACUAUUUCUCCCUCGGGAAGGACAACAUUUGUCUCCCUUCUCAAAGAUGUUACUUCUUUAUCUGCAAUUCCACAAGGAACAAUGUGCCUAAAGUAGCUUAAAUCAGGAUCAAUGUUAAAUGCCAUCCCAUGAGAAGUGAUCCCAAUAGCACCUAUCUUCCUUUCUCCAACCCAUACCCCAGUCUCACCAAUUUGUCCAGGACAAGCUUUCACGCCAUACAUUGCAGCCAGUUCAAUCAUGGUUGACUCGAUUAUAGGAUACAAAAUGGCUUGGUGGGGACCAUGAAAGGUAAUGUCUCCUCCCCUUUGUGUGUAGUGAAGUUCAGCAACAAAUUGUGAACGGUUUGCAUUUUGCCAACAGUGUAUGUAGGGGGUGUUGCAAAGUCAGAAGAGUAUCACAUCUCCUAUGAAGCUUUCUAUCCAAGGCCAGUUUUUCCUGCAGUUUCAAUGCAUCAAUAUAGUUGACAACUCCUAGUUUCCAGACCUCAAGGCUUCGCAAACCCCUCAUUCCCUCUUCCUGCGAUUAGGGUUUCUGGAGGCGCUAGGGUGCUGCGGUAGGGUGUCUGCGGCGGCGCGGGCUGUGCAGAUCAGGCGUGAGGACGCGAGGUCGUCUUGUGAUGGUGGAACGACAUACUCUGGCGACGCGCGAAUUGUAGAUCUGCUGCGGCGGUGACGGUGCUGCAGUUUGCGGAGUUCGCGGUCGUUCGCUACGCAGUUUGCGGCGGCGCGGCGCGGAGUGAGCAGACCUGGUCCUGUCGACGCGCGACGCGGCGGUGUGUGCCUUUGGUGACGCGCGACGCGACGGUGUGUGACGGGGACUAGUGCAGUGCACGGUGGGGAGGGUUUCUGGUGCGGCUGUGCGCGGUUUUGCGCGGCGGUGACGUGAAGAGCGGUGGUGGUCCGCUGGCGGGACAGUGACGUGAUGGGACGGGCUGUUGGCUGUUGUGCUGUUGUGGGCCCUAAUUUGUUAAGGUUCUAAGGGUUUCUUAUCCCUUAUUCCAUAUAAUUGUUUGAAGGAUUUUGACUGGUCUUAAGAAUUGUAAGAUCUAUGUAAGAAUAUACUUCAAUUUAACAACUACUUUUAUUAAUUUUUUUAUGUAAGAAUUUAAUUUAUAUUUAACUUAAAUAAAUUAAUUUAAUAUUUUAUUAUUAUACAUAAUUGUUAAAUAUAUGUAAAAAAAUACAAGGUGUUAAAAUAGUUUUUUUUUUCUUUUUUCUAUAUAUAUAUAUAUGUAUAGUUUUUUUUCAGGUUUUUAUGUUUCCCAGGCUCUUAUCUUUUAUGUUUUCACAUUGAUAAGAAGAGAUUGCAUGCACACAUUUUACUUAGACGUAUUUUGCAAUUUAAUAUUAGACUAAAAUAUAAUAUCACAGAAUAUAAUAAUUAAAAAAAAAUUAGUGAAUAUAAUAUUUAUUAUAUAUGUAUAAUUAUUUACUGUUGUAACGAGAAGUUCCCAAAUAGGACCGAAACUUACAUUUACACACCUAAUUGUUUUUAUCAAAGAAUGUGAAAAUUAAAAUGAUAAGGGAAGGUGGAUAAAAAGUAAAAUAAAGUUAAAAAUGCUUUGUUGAAAAAAAAAUACAAAAAAAUAGAAUAAAAAAUAAUUAAUAAAACCUGUUAUUUUUUACUUUUCUUUCUUUUUGUUUUAUUUAACAAACUUAAUUAAGUUCACCUAAUUGAUUUGUAUUUUCAAGUGGCUCUAACUGAAACAAUUAAUGUUGUUGUAGUUGUUAAAAAUAAUCAACAUGUGAGAAGGUCAAUGAUUGGAUGAGUAAAAGUAUGAAGAAUCAACUUUCUCAAAAAUAACUAAUUUAUUAGAUGAUCUAAAUAGUUUUAUUUAAAUAAUUUAAAUUUAUAAUAUUGAUACUAAAGUUCAUAUCUAGAAUUUUAGGAAAACUUCUUGAAAUAAUCAUUGACAUGAUGAGUGACUUAUUACACGCUUAAUAAAAUAGUAUUCACUAACUUAUUUAAAAAAUUAGUUCAACCGCAUAUAUUUGAAAUAUAAAACAAUUUAAAUACAUUUAUCAUAACUUUUUGUUUCAUCGUCAAAUUUAAAUUAAUAUGGAGAUUAUAUAUAAAAUUAUUGACGUUAUGAUCACAAAUGUCUAUUGUAGUGAUUAAAUGUUCUAUAUUUAAUUAUGGCACACAAGUUUGAUUUCCUCUAAUAAUAUAUUAUUAAUAUUAAUAAAAUAAUAUUAUCAAUAAUAAAAUUAAGAACAUGAAUACUAAUAAUACUAAUAAAAUUUAAAAUAAUAAUAAUUAUGACACUCAUCUAUGGAAAACAUGUAAUUAGACUAUCUACAGAUAAAAUCUAUAAAAAAUUUAUCUUAAUGCAUAUAAGAAAUUAUUUAAAAUUUUGAGAAACUCAUAUCUAUAUCAUUCACAUUGAAAUAAUAUUUUUUUUAUUUAUAAAUAACUUUUUAUCAAAAACUCUCAUUAUUAAAUUAUUCAUUAGUAUUUGACUUAGUAGGCACCCUCCUCCUUUUAAUCUGGUAGGACCAUGUGAUUUCCAUAUAAUUCUUGUACUCCUUUUUUUGCAUAUACAUAUUCUUCAGUUUUAUAUAUAUUCUUCAUUUGAUAAUGACUACUAACUGUUAACUUGUUCCUUCUUUAUAUUCAUCACCCACCUUUCUACCUCUUAUAUCCCUCACCAUAUUUGGCAGAUUCAUCUUCCCUGAAACCAUGUUUGUUUAAUGACUAUUUAUUUUUGCCAUGUACAUAUCACUUAGGGGUUAUUUGCUUCCGAGGUGGUCAUGUUGGCGACGACGGAAGUCACAACACCACUCCAUUUGGAUCCAUGAAUUGUUGCGGAUGAGGAUGGAAGGAAAGAGAAAUGGGAGUGGAUUUGAAUUCUUUCCAAAGAUGAAGAGAAAGUUGAGCUCAAGAGAGGGAGUGUCACGUCAUUUAUAGUAAGUUACUUUGGUUUCCUUGCUUUUGUGCUGAACAGUGCCCCUGCAUGCAUGCCACAUGGAAGCUUCAAAUUCCUGACUUAUCUCAGGAAUCGUUUGACUGUGAAAGUGUGAAAGGUGAGUGAAUGCAGUGGGUGAGGUAGGUGGGUGUGGAAUGAAGCUGGCUAUAUAACACGAAGCAUGAAGGUGGUUCCUCCAUUCACAAAAAAGCAAAGAAAGCGAGCCAUUAGAGAGUGUAGUGUAGUGUGGUUGGAGAGAUUCGUAAGCCAUCAUAAUUUGUGGUAGGGACUUGAGUUACGUAUAGCUUGUUCAUCUCACGUCCUGGAUUCAUCUCUAUGGUUCAUCUGUGGGUUCCUCUAAGGUGAGAGCAUGUCUUUGAAUGGUGCAUAAUAUUUUCCUAUGUACAUAUCACUUAGUUCUUAAUUCAGUAAUAUUUGUAUAGAUUCGAUAUGCUUUAUAAAAAUUUAAAUUCACAGUUGAAUUGAUACCUGUUCCAUUUUCUUAACAUGUCGUUUUUUCUAAAUUUAACACUUCUUUUUAUAUUAUGAUUCAUCAACAAUCCAUGCAUGUAAGUUCGAAUAAAACCAUGAAAUUAUAUUUAUUGUUAUCAAAAUAUACAUAAAUUGUGUUAAGUAAUAUGUUAUUAAUAUUUUUGUAUAAUUUAGGGAAUUUUUUAUAUAAGUCGAAACCGUACUUCCAUCUAAUGUUAGGAAUAUAUUUUUUCUAUAAAAUAAUAUUUUCGUGAAUUUAUUAAUUAAAAGCCGUAAAAAGUAUUCUUCUACGUUAAUAUAGGUCAGCUCACUUUUCAUGACCAUUUCUUCACAAUGCCCUGUGCAUUUAUUAGAAGGGAAAAUAUGAAAUUAUAAAACUUAUAUAGAAACUAUCCUUACACUACAUAUAUAUUAGCAAAAGUACACAUCAUCAAAUUCAAUGUCUGUACAUCGUUUAUCUAAAAGUAAAGUUGAGAAAAAAAUGUAAUAAAUUCUAAUCUAUUUUAUACUUAGAGUAAUUUUCAUUUGUUAGUUUAAAUAAAUUUUGCUAAAUUUUUUAAGAGAAAUAAGCAGUUUGGUGUACCAAAAAUUGAAUUGUUUAGUUCAAUUCUAACUUCCACCCUAUAAUAUAACUAACGUGAAAUAUCAAAAAUAUUUCUUUAAUUUUUAAAUAGAAGUGUGGGUGCAUGUGAGAAAGUAGUCUGAAUUUGAGUUUUGUAACAAUUUUUGGAUUUGGAUUUUAAGAAUAAUUUGCACCCUCAUAAUACAUUUCUUGAUCAGGUUUUACGAAAUAACUUUACAGAAUAGUCUUUCUAAAAUAUUUCCAGAUUUUAUUUUUUAAAAUAUUUUUUCUAAAACGUAUUAUUUGUAUUCUUGAAUCCAAGAAAAUAUUUCUCAAUUAUGAAUUUCCAAUUCAUGAAUGCAAUGAAAUACGAUAGGGCAAUUCUGAAAGUUUGGAAUUUGACAGGGGUAGGAAGCAAAAGCCGAAGAUGUAUGGUAUGAAAGCCCAAUUAAUAAUUGUUAUUUUAAAGCCCAUAACGCUAGAAAUUACUCUAAUAAGCCCAUAAUGUGGUGUGGGCUUAGCCCACCGUUGCAACUAUAACGCGGUCCACACCACAUUAUGGGCUUAGCCCACCGUUGCAACUAUACAUUGGUAAGACCGCGUUCACACCUUAAUCAGGGAUUUUUAGUAGUAAUAAUUAUCUUAAUAAUAAGAAAUAAUGAUAAAAAUAGUAAUAACUAAUUAUAGAACAAAAGGUUGUGAUAGUAAUAUAUCAUGGUUGAUUUUUUUUCGGUGAUAUUCAUAAUAAAAACAACAAUAUUAAUGAAGAUACCACAAUAAUUAUAUUUGUAAUCUCUAACACUAACAACAUUUAGAAUUUGUUCGACAAAAUAACUACUAAGCUUGUAAUUUACAGGUUUGGUAUUGAAUUGUAAUUUUUUUCAUAAAAUAUCCAUAGAAUUGUAAAAUUAAAUAGAGAUAUAAUAAUAUAAGAUUUAUUAUACCAGUGGAACUUGUAUUUCUAAACAACGAUAUAUUAUUACAUAAUUUCAUCUUUUUAAACAAUUAAAUUUAUUAAUAAGUUUAUUUAUUUUUAAAAGUUAUAUAUUCUUUUUAAUAUGUUAUUUUAUUUAAAUAAGCUAAUCUAAUGAUUAUUAAUCAAAUNNNNNNNNNNNNNNNNNNNNNNNNNNNNNNNNNNNNNNNNNNNNNNNNNNNNNNNNNNNNNNNNNNNNNNNNNNNNNNNNNNNNNNNNNNNNNNNNNNNNNNNNNNNNNNNNNNNNNNNNNNNNNNNNNNNNNNNNNNNNNNNNNNNNNNNNNNNNNNNNNNNNNNNNNNNNNNNNNNNNNNNNNNNNNNNNNNNNNNNNNNNNNNNNNNNNNNNNNNNNNNNNNNNNNNNNNNNNNNNNNNNNNNNNNNNNNNNNNNNNNNNNNNNNNNNNNNNNNNNNNNNNNNNNNNNNNNNNNNNNNNNNNNNNNNNNNNNNNNNNNNNNNNNNNNNNNNNNNNNNNNNNNNNNNNNNNNNNNNNNNNNNNNNNNNNNNNNNNNNNNNNNNNNNNNNNNNNNNNNNNNNNNNNNNNNNNNNNNNNNNNNNNNNNNNNNNNNNNNNNNNNNNNNNNNNNNNNNNNNNNNNNNNNNNNNNNNNNNNNNNNNNNNNNNNNNNNNNNNNNNNNNNNNNNNNNNNNNNNNNNNNNNNNNNNNNNNNNNNNNNNNNNNNNNNNNNNNNNNNNNNNNNNNNNNNNNNNNNNNNNNNNNNNNNNNNNNNNNNNNNNNNNNNNNNNNNNNNNNNNNNNNNNNNNNNNNNNNNNNNNNNNNNNNNNNNNNNNNNNNNNNNNNNNNNNNNNNNNNNNNNNNNNNNNNNNNNNNNNNNNNNNNNNNNNNNNNNNNNNNNNNNNNNNNNNNNNNNNNNNNNNNNNNNNNNNNNNNNNNNNNNNNNNNNNNNNNNNNNNNNNNNNNNNNNNNNNNNNNNNNNNNNNNNNNNNNNNNNNNNNNNNNNNNNNNNNNNNNNAUUUUAUAUUUCUUAAUUUAAACAAUGUUAAAUUGAUUUUUUUUUGUAAAGUUUUAUUGUGUGUAAUUUUUAUUUAAUAUUAUGUAAUGAAACAUUUUUUAUUUUAAUUUCUAAUGUUGAACAUGCUUUAAUUUGAAUUUAAUAUAAUAAAAAAAUAAGUAGUAGUAAUUCAACAAAUAAUAAAAACUAGUUCAAUAAUAAUUAUGUUUAUAAGAUUAAAAUAUGUAAUGUUAGGUAAAAUAAAAUUAAAAAUAUAUUAAAAUAUAAUGGACAAGCUAGUUAGUAGUUGAAAUAAUUUAUAAGUAGGAAAACUCUCACACAAAAUUACCUUGACUUUCAAAUUAAGUUGUAAUGGAAAUGUUGCAAUGACUUCUUUAGAUAGUCACUCUCUUACUGGUAAAGAUAAUACUGAUGAAAAUAUUUCAAAUAAAAAUACUAAUGUUAAUCAAAACUCACUAAAAACAUUGUUAGAUAUGCAUGUAUUUAAAAUGAAUUACUUGAAUACAUUUCAUAAUAGUUUUUCGUGGAAAAUUAGAUGUGGGUAUCAUUUCACAAAUUUCUUAUAUUUGUGUUAUUGACAUUACAGUGGAUGAUAAAUGCAUAAGUAGUUAACUUCUAAUAAUUUUAACUCAUAAAGGAAUUUCAUAUCAAAUAUAAAUUUAACCAAAAAUAAAACAAGAUGUGUUCACUCUUAUUCUUACCUUAAUCUAGGUAUUUUUAUCAUCACCUUAAUCUAGGUAUAGUUCAAUAAAUAGUAAAAUAGCACCUUAACAAUUUUAAAAAAUUUAAAAGAUAAUAGGUUGCAGGUUGAAACUGAUAUGGUGCAUGAAGAACUUACCUAUUAUAAAAGCCUGCUUAGAGUGUUAUUUUAAAGCCCACUACGCAAGAAAUUGCUUUAAAGCCCACUACGCAUGAAUAGAAAGCCUAGCACAAAGAGUUUGGUCCACACAAAAUUGGGCUUAGCCGAACGUUGCGUUGAUUCCUUAUUAAGAUUGCGUUGAGACCGUUAAUCACCAACCAGGGGAUUUUGAAUUUGAAAAACUCCCGCUCCAGUGUCCAUAUAUAUGCCACCUCUGUUUCUUUGUGAAAGAGCCGUUAACAGUACACAAAAGAGUAUCCAGAAGGAGAAGAAGAAACGAGAGAGAGAGAGAAAUGGCGACCAACAUUGGAAUCAUGGAUGCGGCUUACUUCGUUGGCAGAUCUGAGAUUCUUUCUUGGAUCAACUCCACUCUGCAACUCAGUCUCUCCAAAGUCGAAGAGGUUAAUCUUCUGAUCCAAUUCUUUUCAUACUUUGAUUUGGUUGUCUACUAUAAUUUCUUAGUUUAUCUAUUUCGUUGGAUCGUUAAUUUUUCAGGCAUGUUCCGGCGCUGUUCACUGCCAGCUUCUCGAUGCGGCUCAUCCUGGGAUAGUGCCGAUGCACAAAGUCAAUUUCGAUGCCAAGAACGAGUACGAGAUGAUUCAGAACUACAAGGUCCUUCAAGAUGUCUUUAACAAACUCAAAAUCACCAAGGUAAUACUCUCCCUCUCUCCUCUUUCAAUCUCGUCUCUGUUUUACUUUAAUUUUGGACGAUCUUUAAUUCGGUUACUGAAUUGUUCGUUGUGUUUGUCAGUACAUCGAGGUCAGCAAGCUCGUGAAAGGAAGGCCAUUGGAUAACCUAGAAUUCAUGCAAUGGAUGAAAAGAUACUGCGAUUCUGUCAAUUCCGGACAGAACAAGUAAUCUAAUCUUAAUUUGACUCUCAUGCGUAUUAUCUUGAUUUAGUGCAAUGUUUUUGGUAUUGCUGAUGUAAAUUAUUUGAAUUAAAAAUACUGUAUGCUAAAUUUUUGUAGUUAUAAUGCUUUGGAGAGGAGAGAGGUUUGCAGAGGAGGAAGAGAAACGAGUAAGAAAUCUGCAAACUCCCAAGCCUCUACUAAGGGUUCUACUUCGCAGAGACCUCAGUCUUCCCACAAUUCUCGAAGAACCGAGGUUCUAAAUGCAAAUCCAACAAAUCAGGCUGUUAAGGUCGCGAGAGCACCAAUUGCUGCAGGUGGCCCUGCUUAUGAGGAAAAGGUUUUUUUUCUUUUCACAUCAAAAAAAUUAUCAAACGAAUGAUGAAAAUACAUUUCCCUAAUGUUCAAGUUCAUGCAGAUAACGGAGUUGAAGUUGUCCAUCGAUAGUCUUGAGAAAGAACGGGACUUCUACUUUGCAAAACUGAGAGAUAUUGAGAUACUGUGCCAGACUCCUGAGAUAGAACACUCACCGGUACUGUGUUUUCAUUGUUUUUAGUUAUUGACUGCUGAAACCCAAUAACUGGUAUUACUAUAGGUAAUGAUCAUAUGUGAUUUGAUUGUUGUCUAUUUGUCUAUGAUGAUUCAGAUCGUUGAGGCGAUUCAGAAGAUAUUAUAUGCCACAGAUGAUGAUGGAACGGCUGUGGCUGAAGCUCAAGCCUUACUUUCUGCUGGUCAUAAGGAAAUAGAGGGGUUGAGUCCAAUAGCUGAGGUUUCUGAGGAGAAAAGCAGUUCAGAAACUAACAAGAGAAAGAAUAUUUCCAAUAUUGAUUUUGAUGCUGCUGGCAUCGCAACGUUGUCUCCCAGACAGAGGCUUUCUGAUGUUUCGGAUGUUCACUGUAGCGGGUCACCUCUUAUGACUUGUUAAGGAAUGAGGGAAGCGUCGUAAAUUUCAAUUAGCAACUUGUUCAACUGUUUUGGUUCUGUUUCAUGUGUGAAUUGACAGGGAUAUUAUAAUGAAUGAUUAGGGUUCUAGGAUGUUCUGUUAUGAAGUUAUGAAAAAUAUAGCCAGAUAUAUUUUGCCUUGUAGAAUUUGCAGUUGUCAUCAACAAAUUGUUGUCAUCAAGUAAUUUCUGGUCGUUAGCCCUAUUACAUUUUCAGCUUUUUUUCAUUAGUUUGCGACGAUAUUUUCAAUUCUGGUCAAAUUACAAGCUAUCAAUAAUCACCUUGCUGAACAUUGCAUUACGCUCCCUUCCAAAUCAUCGAAUGGAAGGGGCAUGUGAAUCCUUCGUUGUCGGUAUUCGUGCCUAAAGUUUGCUAACAUGAAUGAAGAAGAGGUUAAGUGUAAUUCCAGAGUCAUUUCUAAUGAUAAAUGAAUGAAUGAGAAUGAAUUCGUCUUAAUGCACAAGAUGCAUUAAAUCCAAAGAUGCGUCGAGGUUUAUUGCUUUUGCAUGAACCCUGAACCCUUGCUUUGGUUUGACGCUGAUGUAACUUCUGUACUGUGUCAUCCGAAUCUCAAUUCUGGAUGGGACUAGAAAAUUCAUAUCAAAAGAUCACUUUUGCAUGGAGACAAUCAUAAGUCGCUUUCUACCCAUGGUUUCAAAUGGCACGCCCAUCAUUCACUUUAUUCUUUCAGCUAUCUACACUCGAACCCUAUUCCAUUCCCUCUUUCUAUUAGUGCAGUAUUGAUGCCUCGUGCUAUUUUCUGGUCACAUGGUUAUAUAAUAUAUGACCAACAGAGUGAUUUUUAAGUUUCCUCUGGUUGUAAAAAUAUACAUCAUUUUGAGGUAGUAGUACCUUCCUCUUCUUUCAUCACAGUUUGCAAAAGAAAAAAAAAAUCAGAAAAAUAAUUUCAAGGGUUUUAUUUUGAUUUUUGGUUUUAUUUUCAUUCUCCACGUUUUACUCAAGUUGUUUUUUCAGCCAAAAUUUCGAUUGAACCAGAGGCCACAAUGGGUUUGACGGUGUCACGGCUAAUGAGAUUGUUUUAUGCGAGGAAAGAAAUGAGGAUCCUCAUGGUGGGUCUUGAUGCAGCUGGGAAAACAACUAUACUCUAUAAACUUAAACUUGGAGAAAUCGUCACUACAAUACCCACAAUAGGUUCAUACUAGUCACCGUGCUUUUUUUCCAUCUGUUCCUUAAAUCUUCUGAAUUCGUACCAGUAAUGACAUGACUAUUUGAAAUAAUUUCUCUCAAUAUGAAGUUCCUGAGAUAUCUGUUACUUAAUAUUCAUUCACAAAUAAGGUACAAGGCAAGGUGGAUUAAUCACAUUUCCUUGAAUACUCUCUCUCUCUCACUCACACACAUAUAUAGAGAGUGGUUUUUUACAAUAUGAAUGACAAAUGAAAUUAUUCAAAUUGGGUAUAUAUCUUGGAUGGAUUAGGCUUCAAUGUGGAGACUGUUGAGUACAAAAAUGUCAGCUUCACUGUCUGGGAUGUUGGAGGGCAGGACAAGGUAUUUAUGAUCUUCUGGACACAUCUUAAUUUAUUAAAAAAUGAACCUUCAUUUGAAAUCCUGCAGUUUUGUUUGCCAAAAUAUAAUUUUUAUGGGAUCAUUAGUAUAUGGUAACAUUCCAAGCACAUGUUAUAAAACUACGUAGAUUCGACCAUUGUGGAGACACUACUUUCAGAACACACAAGGUCUUAUCUUUGUGGUAGACAGUAACGAUAGAGAAAGAAUUUUGGAAUCCAGAGACGAGUUGCAUAGAAUGCUAAGUGAGGUCAGUGAUUUUUCAUAGUCAAGUAAUUCUAAUUCCUGCAGACUUCGAACCAUGGUUAAAUUUUAUCAAAAGUGCAGUCCAAAUGAAAACAUGCAAGCUUUGCCUUUGGACAAUUAAACGAUGCAAUAAUGUUCUUAAUGAUGAGCAUUUCAGGAUGAACUUCGCGAUGCUACAGUUCUGGUGUUUGCCAAUAAGCAAGACCUUCCUAAUGCUUUGAGUGUUGCAGAAAUUACAGAUAAACUUGGUUUACAUUCACUUCGCCUGCGUCGCUGGUAUUGCACUUUUUAAUUACAACGAUUCAUAUAACUUUUAUCAUAUAACAAUCACAUGCCCCUUAUUAUCCUACACAUAACAACUUCGUGAGAAUUAAUAAUGUUUAUGUAUUUAUUUUUGAAGGUACAUCCAACCAACCUGUGCCACAUCCGGGCAAGGACUCUAUGAAGGGCUAGAUUGGUUAUCCAGUCACAUAUCUAACAAGACAAGAUGAACAACGCUUUGAGUGCGUUUCUGAUCUUCCAUAAAUGCUCACACUCCAUUAUAAAUGUGUAAUAUAAUAUAUCGUUUCACUAUAGGCAUAAAUGAGUUUUAUCUGUUAUUUGAACUUCGAACUACUUAUAAUACCAAUCACUGUGAUAUAUGUGUGACAUAAUCGUUCAAGGCAUGUAAACUACAUAAGUUCUGAGUUAUCAUGCGCACAUACCCAGAUGUUGUAUUAGACAAAAUCUAUGUAGUAACGCAUUGAACAGCAAAUGUUGUAGACUACACUAUGUAUACGCAUUAUAUUUUUGUAAAAGAUGUAAUAUAAAAUCAUUGACGUGUUUUUGCCUAAUGUAUCUGUCACUAUCUUCAUAAAAAACUUUAAUAUCAGCGCAUGAUAGAAGGACAUGUGCAUUAUUUAUGCUUCAAAGCUAGAGGGGCUCUUGCGUGAUAGGGCAUGUUAAAGAUGCAAUAAAGCAUUCAUGGUCCCUAAAAAAGGGUUUAGAGAAUGAUUACUUUUUUAGCCUAUUUCACGUAGUGAAACUUACAGUAUAAGCUCUGAUAUGAAAAGUUUGUUAAUUUAAAUUAUUUAUUCAAACAUUAUUAGAUCUACAACAGACUAAUAUUAGGAAUAAGAUCUUACUGGCUUCGAAAUUUUCAGUUUAAAAUUGAAGAAUACUUGAGUUGAUAAUCAAAGUUUAGGUUGCUGUAAAAAAAGUGUUUCUUUCUCGUGGUACUCCUUUCCAUUUAACUUAUAUGGCCUCAUAAUUAAGCGGCUAGACCAAACAUGUAGACCAAUAUGAGCAUGGUAGCUAAAACAGGUAGAUUAUGCGGAAACAAAAUUGGCUUACAUAAAUUUGGCACUUUUAACCAAAACCACAACGCACCUAAUAUUACGUGCAUGUGGAGAAUGCUGGCUCCUUAUUAGCUUUUGAUGCUAUAUUUCUAGGUAGCAACUUUAGUCUAUAGAUAGAUAUCACAUUGUGCACAUCUUCUGUCUCUUGGUUGUACAUCAGAAGAACCCUUUUAAUUUGGCACACCCCUUGGUCAUACUCGUGGUCCCUGGCUACACCAUACAACUUUACUAACGAAAUUAUAACACUGUCCUACCUCCCAAAUACACUUCAAUCAUGUCACAAUCUUCUUCUUUCUGGUAUCAUAGAAAAUCUCAAGCAGACUUGUUUUUGCCAAACUAAGUAUGAUGCAAAUUUCAAUCUGAAGGAGGCUCAUGAUAUCACAUAGAAUUAUUGUUGGGCACCAUAACUAUGGCAUGAUGCAACCGCAACACAUUGCUGACCAUAACUCAGUUAAAAAUGGGAAAGGAACAGGACAGAGAGGUAACAAAGGCAAAAAGUUUGUGAUUUUCAAAUAUUUCGUCCUAUGAUGACCAGUCUUCCCUUUGAUCAUUUUGCCUUUUUUGCGUCCCUAUUUUCUCUUCUUCUGUGUAAUACCUAUAUUAUGAGCAUGGCUCUAUCACUUUCCAAACAUAAAAGUCAGACAAAACUCCUAAAAGUUCAGAGAGAAUUCAUCUUUCCUGAAAACUUCUCCAUCACCCAUCACCUAUAUCCAAUUCAAGCUCAUAGCAGCUAGAGUCCAUCUUUAUCAUUAUUUAGUUAUCGUGCAAAAUGCAUUUUCUAUUUUGGCAUCUUUACUUUAUAAUGACAAGAGUACCUUCAAUUAGAAAUCUUCAGAAGUUGCUUUAGGUUGCUUCGUGGAACACUCACAAGAUGCUUAAAAAGUAUUUUAAUUAUUUCCCUAAGCAUCUCAACCUUCAAAGUAAAAGAAUAUUAUUUUGUCCAUCAAAAUAAUAAAUACUUUUAUAUAAAGACAAUUUAGUCUAAAUUACAAAAAUAUAAAAUUGUAAAUGACUUUCACUGGAACACAAUUGGGAUUGACUUUCUUAACAACAAUAUGACAAUAGAAAUCACAAACUACAAUUUUAAUACAUAAAGCAACUUAUGUAAUUUACUUCUAUCAGAGAUGUUUUAAGUGCUCAAAACCAUAUGGGGAAAUUUCAAUUCCCAAUUUUCAGUUAACCGGAAGAUGUCUCUUUUAAACAAGACAACAGUCACAGUGUUAGUGAUAUGGAGCUGCACCUUCAAUUAUAAGUCAUACUGUUCGUAAUAUGGACUUGCAUUUUCAAUUGUAACAUGGUAGUUAGUGACAGCAAACCUUGCAUUAAAUUUGCAACCACAGACACUGAAUUGCUCAAAGUCCCAUGUUCAUACUUAAUGUCGAACAGGAAAAAAAGGUUUGAUCUGACUAUACGACCAUUGAAAGUUGAACUUUUGAUUGCAAUAUUUUCCUCCACAAAUUGACAAUGAGUUAAUAUAUAUUCAUGAAAUAGAACUAGAGUUGAAAGCUGAGUUUAGUGACCAACUUUGAGACCAAAUUAUGCAUAUUCUUUUCUUUGGUUCUUGUUGUCCAUGCAUGAAUUUCGACUAUGCCAACAAUUAUUGACCAGGGUUACAAUCAAAGCUUUUGAGUUCUGAGCAUAGGCCGGAAGAUCUUAAAAUCUAAUUCAGGCAAAGGAAAUGGUUCCAUGUAAACAUAAUAUUAACAGAUUGAGAUUACUGAACGCAUAAAUAGGUUGGUAUAGUUGGUAUUUUGUUGGAAAAAUGGGGCUCCUCAUUUAUAUUCAUAAAAGAAACCAUGAGUAUCUCCUGGAGGAAUACAAAGAAGACUUGUUAGAAUUUCAUUUAUUCAUCUAAUGCAUUGCCGAAGACAUUCCACCCAUCUUUGUUUGCAUGUUAACCUUAAUGUGGAGUUCCUGUUCUGUACUAACAGGGAGAGAAUGGAAGACAACAAAGAAACAAGGGAAACCCUUGACUGUUGCUCAUUGGGAAUAAUUGAACUUGCACAUGUAAAGCUAAUAUUCAUGUAAUGUUGCUACUCAGUAUCAGAUCCUUGUUCCACUCAAAUAACAGUGAAGAUUUAGAGUCUCUCUGCUUCGUUCAUUUUCAAAUGUUCAGCCAUCAAUCUAAAAACUAACAACAUAAGUUCUCCUCAUAACAUAACUGCCAGAUAUUUUUCCUAUUAAAACUACCAUGAUUCUGAGUUAUUGACGAGGAAUAUUUAGAACACCAAUAGACACUCGAUCCACUGAAGGCAAACGCAUCUGCUGGUCCUGAGCUUUCCUCCUCUUAAACUCUGGCUCCACAGAAAGUGAUGCCACUGACCAUGAAUCAUUUGAACUUUCACAGCAGAAAGAUGCAUCAAUGACCCCAUCAGGGCUACUUGGCUCAGAGAAACGUUUGCGCCUCUGACCAGGAUUGUGAAUCCCUUCACAGCAAACUAAUAGUCCCAGCAUCAGUUUGUAGCACUCAUUCACUUGCUCCUGUAACAUAGCCACCGAAAAUUUCCAAUCAGUAACUCAAAAUUGUGGCAGAUUGGAACAAUUAAAGAGAAAGUGACACACCUCGCUACUUCUGAGUAAACCAAGAAGCUGAUUUCGGUACUCCCUAGCAUUCAAUGGUUCAAUCUCUUCAAUAACGUGGAUCAUUAUAGCAGCAGCCAAUGUAGAAGGAAGAUAACUCAUAACCCUUGAGUCUGAAAAAUAAUAAAGAAUUAUAAAUAUUACAACACACACCAAGUUAAUCACAUAUCAAUAUGAAUGUACUGAGCGAUAUCAUGUAUGUAUCAUUAUUUAUUAACAUUAUUGUUACUUACCGGCGAUGACAGAGAGAAGAACAUGUUGGCACCCACAGAGAAAUUCCCAGUGCAAGUGAGGCUUCAAAGCAAGCCUUGUGAGAAAGUGUUGAAAGAAACAGAUUGGGGUGACAGGGUUCAUUUUCCAUUCGAGAGUGGACAGCACGAGGAGCUCCAUUGUAUGUAUGGUGUUCGCUUCAAACACAAAUUUCGAUUCCUCCACCUAAACAAAAUCCAAAACCACUUCCACGUUCAACAGUAGAAACAAAGAAAAACGGAACUUUAGCAAACAAACAGCGAUGUUGGAAAACGUACUUGCAACUCCAAAAGAAGCGGCACUCGUGUCUCUUCCACUUUGGCCGCGAGAGAGACGCAAGCAACGGCUGCUAGUUGGGUCCUCCACGGUUUAUCUUCGCUCUGAAAGCUUCUUCUGUUAACGAACCUGUAGAAGUAGUUCACGGCAAGAACGGUGGUGAGAGGAGCGAAACCGUGGAAGUGAGAAAGUGUAGAAAUCCAGCGGACGACGUGGUGGGAAGGGGAGGGAGUGAAAUGCGUUGCGGUCUCUUUGGAGAGUAGAGAGAGAAGGUGGUCGUGUUGGGAGAAGAGGUGGUUGUCGGAAAAAAUGGAAGGUGAAGAAGAUGGGGUGGUGAUGAGAGUUGGAGAAUGCUGUUGGAAAGAGGAGUGUUGUUCAUGACAGAGUAGGAAAGAGGGUGAUGGUGGAUGAGACAUGGUGUUGAAAGAAGAAGAAGAAGAAGAAGAGAAUGAAAGAAGAAGAAGAAGAAGAAGAAGAAGAAGAAGAGAAUGAAAGAAGAAGAUAGAAAGUUUUUUUGGCUAUGGUGUGAGAAAGAGGAAGCAAUUUAACAUUUCAUUUCAUGACGUUACUUACUGACGCAGAUACUACUCGGAGUUGGAACUCAACUGAGUUACGUUUGCCAAAACCCAAACUAAUAAUAAAUAAAAAAUAAGAUAUUUAGCAACUUAUAUUUAAAUAAUCAAUUUUAAUUUCUUUUGUAUGAAACAGUUUAAGUGUUUGAAUUUCACUAAUUAUUAAUUUAAUAAUGAAAAUAGUAAUUAUUGUUCUGGUAAUAAGGAGAGAUGUGAACAUUGGAAGUGACAAUAUUUACUGACAAUAACAAUGUGAUUGGUGGCAGUGAUAAUCUUUUUACUAACGGUAAUAUAACAUAUUAUGGUAAUAAUAUAAAUGUUUAAGUAUUCACGUUGAGUAAUUAAAACAAUGGGUUACUUCUAUACCAUACUAAUUAUUUCUGUAACUAUUCUUCUCUUAAUAAUCACAACUAAGUAAGAACAGUGACAAUACUUACACACACUAACUAAUAUUUUUCUUAGUCAACAUAAUAUUAAACCAUAUAACGGUAAUAUAAAUGUUACUUAAUCACGGUUGCAGUAACAAAUACAAUACUCAGUUAUGUGCUAACAAUAAUGAUAAACCAUUGAAAUGGGUUUACCUUUAAUAAUUUAUAUUUUCUCAUUUAAAAUGCUAUGUUUAUAUCACAUCACAGUCUUAUAAGUAUGUUAUUGAUAUUAUGAGGAUCGUGAAUGUAUGAGUUAUGAAAUUAAAAAAAAAGAGUUACAUUAUAUUUAAAAUUAAACACUUUUUAGAAUAUUGAACAUGGUAACGAAUUUCUUGUCAAACAUGUUCAUGAACCAGUUAUAUAAUUUGCUAGGUGCUGCUUACGCAACUUGCUUGAAAAAAAGACUCUAGUAAAAUUUGAAGUCUAGAACAAAACUAUUUGGUAUUAAAUCUUACUCAUGUGAGUGUUUAAUUAGAUGAAAUAAUACGUUAGAAAAAAGAGGGAAAAAAUAGAUAAUUAUCAUGAAAAUGUUGUUCUAAAGCCAUUUCUCUCCAAAUAGUUUGAUACCGUAUAACUAUUCACUCUUGUAAAUGAAUUUUUAUCAUUCGAGUAUAACAUAUUUAGAGUUUUGAUACGAUCUUAAUUGAAUUUGGCGAAAUAUCACGACAAGGUUGUUCUAAAUAGAUUUUCUUCAAGAUAAAAAAAAAAAGUAAAAGUAUAUUAUUUUGAAAAAAAAAUGAUAAAUGAUGAGAUGAAAUUGUUGGAAAUCCCACAUCGAUUAGAAGUUAGAGUCUUUCAUUAUAUAUAAGUGGAUGCAAAUCUAAACCUUUUGAGUCAGACUUGGUAAUAGAAAUGGAUGGGACUUUGUAAUAGAAAUGGAUGGUCUUGCUAUAUAUGAUCAUAGUUAGCAAAAUGGAUUGAAAAGUUGUUGUGGUGUGUUGGAUCAUUUGGAUGCAAUUGAAAGAAUAAUAAAUCACCAUUAUUUUCAUUCCACCCGCAAACCACCAAACCUGUUGCACUAUGCAACACUAACAAAUAUCAAAAAAACAAUCUCCACCAAUUAUUCAACAAACCAACUUUUUUUUUUUUUAUAAAAAGUUUUCGCAUCACCAUACUACUGGAAGAAAUAGUUAUAUUUUUAUGAAUGACACUAGAAUCAAAAUUUAUAAUAAGUUUAAUAAAAACUGAAACAGAGUUUGUAAAGAUUUUGAGAAAAAUAAUUUUAGAAUAGAAGUUGGAGUAGCAAGAAAUCUAGAAAAUAGCGUAGGUUAAAGAAGAGACACGCUAUGAAAGUUAUUACACAUUGAUAAAGAUUUUUUUUAUCACCAUGCAAUUGAUCAACAUUAGAUGUGAUAUAGUUAUGUAUAUAUAAAUUAAAUUAAAUUGAAUCUUAAUUCUGAAUGGCUAGGUAGAGUUUGUUACUGACAGUAAAAUUUAUUAUUUUAAGAUUAAUGAAAAUCGAAACAGAGUUAUUGUACAAAGUUUAAGAAACUUCUCGCGGCUGUUUUUGGAAAAAAAUAAAAAUAAUAAACUAAAUAACUUUUUGAUAAUUUUUUAUUAAAAAACAUUAUAGAUAUGAUUUAUUUCACAUUAAAUUUUUCUAAAAACUGAUUUUUAAAUUUUUCCUAAAUUAAUUUAAAACUUAUAGAUUAUUUUUUUUGUCAAAAACAUAUUUAUAGUUUUUUCUUUCUCCCUGUCAUAUUUAUGGGAUGUUUUAUUCAAAACCAGCCAGCCAUAAAUGUGGUUUAUGUGACAACAUACAAUUUACACUAUACUUUUUUAUUAUAAAAAAUAAUUGAUGUAAAAAAAAAUAAUGGGUGUUUAUUGUUCGGAAAUGAAAGAGACGAUAAAUAAUACAUUAAAAUAGUUUUUAAAAUCAUAAACAAGAGAUAAAAAAAGUUCUUAAUAUUACAAAAAAUAUAAUUUAAAAAUUCUACAUUUGUAAGUAGUUCAACUUCCUAAAAUUGACACAAAAUUAGAAAAAAGUUAGUUUAACUUCUAAAUUUGGCACGACUAAUUAAAUUACUUAUUAAAUUAUAAGCAUCAGAAAAAUUGGUUCUUAAUAUUAUAAAAACAUUAGUUUAGUUUCUAAUUUUGACAAUUGUCUGUUAAUUCAACUUCUAAAAUUGACCCCACUAAUUAAAUUAGUACUUAAAUAUUAGAUAAUUUUUUCGUAAUACUAUAAAAAUAUAAAUUUCUAACUUUUGCAAUUGUAAUUUUGUUUAACUUCUAAAAUUGACACAACUAACUAGAAGUGAUUUUUUUUAUUUUACAAAAUUAACUAUUACUGUUUUUUACUUGUUUACAAAGUUAUUACUUGCAACUAUUAUUGUUUUUAUUCAUACUUUUCUGUGAAUCUAAAGUAUUCCAUUGAAAAAGUAGUAAUUUUUUUAAAAUCUCAAAAAAGUUACAAGUUAUCAUGAUACAGAAACUCUCUUAUUUGACUUUAUUUAAAAAUAUAAAAUAAAGAAAUUGAAAUGGGAAAUAACUUUUGGCCUUCCCUUCGUGACCAAGUCUCAACUCAUAGUCAUUGAUGAUUAGAAAUGAGAUUAUUUUAUAUGAAGAAUCACUUCCCUACUCAUCUAACCAUUAAAAAACAAACAAAAAACUCUACCUUAACCACCAAUAAAUGAGUGGUUAUUACAGUUUUUAUGCUGACUAGUCAAAAAGCAUGUUAAAUCAUGCGAGAAAAUAAUGAUUAUGUUUGAAAUGUUUUUUUUUUUGCAUAAAUAAUUUUCUUCCAUUUUAAAAAACCAUGAAAUUUAUAUCAAAACAAUAUUUUUAUUAACAAAAAUGCAUUAGAAAUACAAUUUAAUAACAAAAUUGUCUUUAAAUUCUUCCUAUGUAAGAAUAUUCAGAUGACCUUCCAACUAUAAACUAAUGUGCGCAUUUUCUGACUGUUUCAUGUUCUUUUUUUUUUCAGAAUAAUUUUAAUAAUGUGUAGAAGAGCUGAGUGAAUAUAGAAAAUUCCCUUAUAUACCAUUUGGGGAAGACUAGAAGUUGUGAAAUGCAUGUGUUUGAAUGGAAAAAGAAAAUUGACCUAAAAUGUUGAAUUGGAAAUCACAUGGAAUUAAGGAAAUAUAAGUGUAUAUAAAGCAAAAUAAUGAAUUCAUUGUAUAAAUGCUCUUAUUUUUUUUAAUUAAACAACUCCUACUAUCUUAUAUAUAUAUUUUUUAAUUUAUUUUUAAACGUGGAGUAUGAAAAUGAAAAAUAAAAAAAAGGGUAAAAAAAAAAGGAAAGAUGAAGGGCCAGGUCCAAGAUGACAGAGACACGCAAGCCCACUAUGGCGUACCUGGGCUGACUCUGAUGCAUGAAUCCAUACGCAAAUCUCGCCCACUUCCCCGUGGUCGCGCGUGUACCACACGCGCCUCCUUCCUUAAGUUCAAUGCUUCUCAUUCUAUUAAAUCCUUCAAUACCUCUCCGCCGCUUCCUCCUCACAUUUUCCAUGGGACAGUCACCGUCCACCGCUGCCGCGCCAACGCCGGACCUCAACCGCCACCAAAUUUCUCAGUUACAUUCAAGCAGCGAUCCUCCCGAUUUCGAACCCGACCUCACCAUCCGUCUUUUCGACGAUUGCUUGGCGGUGAUCUUCCAUUUCCUCAGCAACGCCGACAGGAAAGAGUGCUCUCACGUCUGUCGGAGAUGGCGCCGCGUGGACGGAGAGAGGCGGCACCGCCUCUCGCUUGUCGCUCGGCCGGAAUUGCAAGAGCUCGUUCCCUCCCUAUUUGACCGCUUCGACGCGGUCACAAAACUCACUUUACGAAUAGACCGGAAGUACGCGAGCUUAAACGACGACGCUUUGAUUAUGAUCUCGAUGCGGUGCAGGAACCUCACGCGUUUGAAGCUGCGUGGGUGCCGUGACGUAACGGAAAUUGGAAUGGCCGGCGUAGGCGAUAACUGCAAGGCCUUGAAGAAGCUAUCGUGCGCGUCGUGCAUGUUCGGCACGAAGGGAAUCGCGGCGCUGCUCGAUCGAUGCGUAACGUUAGAAGAUCUGACGUUGAAGCGGCUCCGUGGGGUCCACCAUAUCACCGAGGUGGAGGUUGGUGCCGCGGCUUCGUUGAAAUCUAUAUGCCUGAAGGAGCUCGUGAACGGUCAAAGCUUUACGCCACUUGUGAUUAGUUCAAAGAAGCUUCGAACUUUGAAGGUGAUUGGGUGUACGGGGGAUUGGGAUGAUACUCUGGUUAGGGUUGGGUGUUUAAACGGUGGGUUGGUUGAGAUUCACUUGGAGAAGGUUCAAGUUAGCGAUGUGGGACUUGUGGGGGUGUCCAGGUGUUUGGGGUUGGAGACUCUGCACGUUGUGAAAACCGCGGAGUGCUCCAAUAUAGGGCUUUCGAUGGUUGCUGAGAGGUGCAGGCUGUUGAGGAAGAUUCACAUAGAUGGGUGGAGGACUAAUAGGAUUGGUGAUGAUGGUUUGGCUGCGAUUGGCAAACACUGUUCUGAUUUGCAGGAGCUUGUGUUGAUUGGUGUUUACCCUACUUUCUCAAGCUUGGCGGCGAUUGCAUGCAAUUGCAGGAAUUUGGAGAGGUUGGCUCUUUGUGGGAUUGGAACCGUUGGUGAUGCGGAGAUUGAGUGUAUUGCUGAUAAGUGUGUUGCACUCAAGAAGCUUUGUAUUAAAGGGUGCCCUGUAUCCAAUGCUGGGAUCGGAGCUCUAGCUUCAGGAUGUCCCAAUUUGGUUAAGGUUAAGGUGAAGAAGUGCAGAAAGAUUACUGGUAGAGGGGUAGAGUGGGUGCGAGAACAGAGGGUUUCUUUGGCGUUUAAUUAUGAUGAUAGUGAAGUUGAAGCUUUGGAUGGGAGUGGAAGUGAUGGGGUUGGGGGAGCUCAUGAUGGUGUGGCAGAGGCUGAGGCAGAAGCUGAGGCGGAGGCUGAGCCUCCUUCAAGUAAUAACAACACCCGAUUGACAAUGUUGCGAACAAGGUUGGGCCUUUUGGCUGGUAGAAAUUUAUUAUCGUGUGCCUUCAGAAGGUUGUCUAACAUUGAUAAUGUCUCUAGUAGCAACUUUUUAUGAUGUUAGUAAGAAAGUAGUAAACAUGUUCUUGCCAUGUUGCCAUUCCCCAAUUUGUAAGAUGAGUUCUAAUGUUGAUUGCCUGUCUUUGCUGUGUUGGUUAUAUGAUUUUUUGUUUUCUUUUCAACAGCUGAUAGCAGCAUUUCUAUUGUUAACUAGAUUUGUCAAUGAUCCUCGUUGAUUGUCUCAUUUCCAUUUGUUGUAGAUUAUUUCCUCUGUUUGCCUCUAAACUGAACACUCGGUCUAGUGCUUGAUAAAAUCUGCAUAUUUCACCAAAAAGACAGUACAAAUUGUGUUAAAUCUCAUUUGCUAUGUGUUAUUUUGUGGACGGUGUAUUAUAUAGUUGGGGAUGAGAACUCAAACAGUGUAUUAUAUGGAUGGAAAUGACAAUUACUUUUUUGAGUUUUGACUGAAUGAACAUUAUUCAUUAACUAAUAUGGUAGAGAAAACAAGCCAAAAAUUCAGUCCCCUAACUUUCCACGAAACAACUUAGGUGCAGUAUUUGGUGUGGUUUUCAUUAAUUAAUAUUUAGUUUCAUCUCUCCCUUAAUUUAAGUUGAUUUUGAAGAUUGGUAACUGGGAAGCGUUAGGCACAUACUGUAAAAUUGUGUAAACACCAAUGUUUUGAGACUCGAGGAUCGAAAAGAGGAUUAAAAAUCGUAACUCAAGUAUCUCAUGUAGACUUGAUAUAGACUUGAAAGAGUUAUUAUUAGUAAUUUAGUAAAUGAAAAAUUAUAUUCAAUACAUAAUUAACACAAUUAAAUGUAGGUUCAUAAUUUAUAAAAUAUUCAUGCAUAACGCAAUUAAUAAUUCCAUAAAUGUUUAAUACAAACUAUUUAAGGAAAUCCUUCUUAUUAGUUCUCUUCUAUAUUAUCUUUAAUGUUAUCUGACAUGACCCUCAUUAUUAUCUCAUUAUUAUGAGGAGGAGCUUCCAAAUCAUUCACACCUACAACGAUACCACCUUUGCUAGCAUCUUCAUUUUCUUUAAUUUUCUUUAACUUCAAUUAAGAUGUCUUCAUCUAAACUUGAAUUUACUUCAUUCUCCUUCCUAAUCCAUUUAUCAUCAAAAGCAAACAAAAUCUUUAAUAUUAUAGUCUUUUGAUUUUGCCAUCAUAAAUACCACAUCAUUCAUAAUCUUUUGUCGUAAAAGAUUUAUUUUCUAAAUGUGAACCUAAAUAAUUAUAAAAUUAGUUAACACAACAUAUUAUUCACUCAACAAUAAUUAUAAAAGCAAUCUCAUAAAUUUAAAUUCUUACUUUCUUUAAAGCUUUAAUAGUAAAAUUUUGUAAUUUCACAUGUUCAUCAUAUGACUCUCACCAUUAUGAUGGAGUUUUGGUUUUGAGUGUUUCCCCUCAUAAUUAGCUUUAAACCCACAUCAUAGUACAACAUGAAGUAAUAGCUUGUAACAUGUAAUGAACUAUUCAAUUAGUUGUCUCAUUUUUUAUCAAUGGUUUCUCAAAGGGAAUGUAAUUAAGUAAGAUAAAAACAAACAAAUUAAUCUUUAAAACAAAGUCUAUAUUUCUAAAAAAAACAAAUUAACAAUGAGUUAUUAUUAUGGCAUUUUACUAACUCCAUUGAAAAGACUUUGUAUAUUUUGUUUAACUAUAUUCAUCGCUUCAUAAAUAAAUCUCAUGGUUGACUGGUUUCUUAUAUGAAUCUAUCAUGUGCAACACCUUAAUUAGGGAAAUAACACCCUUCAUGCAAUUCAAAAUAUUUUUUCAAAUCUCUUAUCCAAUUUCAAAUUUUCCACAAACUCUCUAUCUCUAGUCUUUACAAAAUGAUUAGAUUGUCUCUUCUUGGAUGUGAACAUCCUAAUAAGUGACCUUUAUUUUCAUUCAAGCAUCCCAAAAGUGAAAUAAGAAGUGGCAAAACGAGUAUUGGUUGGUCUUGCCAGAUCUAUCCCUUUAGUAUAUUUGUGUAACAAGAAGAUAAGACCAGAUCUUGAAUAGAUGUAGGUUGUGAUUUUCUUACUAUUGACUAUUGUCUUAUGAAGUCAUAUUUUCUUCUCUAAAUCUUCCAACAUUAAAUCAAUGAAGUGUGCUGCACAAGGUAUCCAAUACAAUUUUUUCCUUUUUUUUUCAUUAACAAUUCUCCAACUAUCUUGUAAUUUGUUGCAUUAUCGAUUAGAAUUUAGAUGACUUUUCUUCUCCAACUUCCUCAACAACAUCAUCCAUCAUCCUAAUUUUUUUUUCAAUUGUCUUGCAUAUAUCAAAAAAUCAAUAAACUUAAAAAAACCCUAAACCCCUUAAACAGUCCACCUAUACACUCAUUUUUCUUCCAAUGUUUUCUGCUCCAAACUUGUUUCAUUGUACUACGAGUAUGAAAGUAUACUCACGCUUUUCACAAUAUACAUAUACACAUACAACCGUGUUACAAUUACAAAAAUAUAAAAUUUAAUACAAUAUUAGUAUCAUUUUUAGGCUUGUUUCUAUAAGAUAUAACUAAAUAGGAUUAAAAUUUGUCAUGUUGAUUAUAUAUAUCAUCGGUGUGGUCAUGUCCCAUAUUGGUAUAUUGUAUUUGUUACCUUUUUUUUUUCUUGUUUCAACUCACAAUAAACUAAUAUGAUUUGUAUUUGUUACCUUUUGUGGAAUUCUCCAGUCGACAGUAGCACAUAACUUAGAAAACUUAAAAGAAUCACAUAAAUAUAUAACUUAAAAAUAUACAAGGUGUGAAAAAUUAAAUAGAGGAAAGUUCAUUUGACAACAAAUAGGGAGAAACCAAUGAAUUCCGUAAUGACUAAUGUCUUUCCUUAAUAGUAUUGAAAUGGAUCGGCAUCCCACCUCCUUUCAAUCACUCUCAAAGUCUUCAUCCCCAAAGGAAAAAACUGAAGCAUCUGCUGCAAUUGCCUUGAUGUCACUUGCCCCUACAGAUCCCACGUUUGUGCUGCUAUUGCCUGUAUGAAUUUUGUGAUGUUUAUCUGCAGUUGAUUCUUCAGAAUAAUUGUCUUGCCUGCGUGCCUCAUGCUGUAGUGACAACCGAUCCGUUGUGUGUGUCAACAUCCCUACAUGGUCUGUUGUCCCCUCAGAUACUUGAUGAGGUGCCAUAAAUUUGUACUCAGUUGCAGCUUUCUUGCUUUGUGUAUCUCGGCUCUCCUCUUCAUCACUGUCUGAGAAUACAUCAUCAUCUCCAGUUCUUGGGAGUUUACUCUCAGUUGAAUUAGAAGUAGUAGGUUUUGGACCAGGUAGGGCACUGGUUGUGUUUCCGUCAGAUCCUUUGCUGGCGGGAUUGGCUUUUGUUCUUGCAGGUAGGGUGCCAUUAUAGUCUAUCAUGACAACUUCCACCCGGAAUCCUGGAGCGGGGAUCUUCCUCUGAAGGAUGCAAUAGUAAGGUUUAAAUUAUCAUCAGGUUCAGAGAAUAAACCAAUAACGUAAGUAGGGACUGCAGCAAGAUACUGAGAUAAACCUGCAUACAAAAUAAAAUUGAAAAGAAGUGAAUAUUUUACCUUGUCGAACCCAUCAAAAUCUGAACCAUCUAAAAUUUUUCGAUUUUCUGUCAUUGUUGUAUUCAUCCAACUGCCAAGAAGAAUUUGUUACAUCAAGAGUUAAUUUGUAUAUCAUACACAUCUUUUAAGAAAACAAUUCUAUGAUAUAGAUUGGAGUAGGAAUGAAAAUAAUUAUCAUAAUAUAAUAUUACGUCAUCAUGUUAAAAAUAUAAGACCGAAUAUAUACACUGAUAAUUUUUUUUACAUCAAAAUCACUCUAAAAUGUCACAAUAUAAUCAAAAUGAUUCUGAUAAGUGAACGAAACACAUAAAUAAAGAUGAUUCUCAUAAGUGAACGAAACACAUAAAUAAAGGGGCUGAAAGAAACAGGUUUCUGAACAAACCAGUAGAAAUCUCCAUGUCUAUCAUUAAAAUGAAUUUUGAAGUCUCCUACCAACUCCGUCAGACCAGGUUCUCCUGGUAGUGCAAAAACCACAAUUCCUUUCUUCGGUGCACUGAUCCAGAAAUCUUCUGGCUGCAAGUGAGUUUAGAAAGUAAAUUCAGUAAUCAAAUUCAAAUCCAUAUAUUAGCAAAAUUCAGAAAAGAUGGGAUAAAAAAUAGCAUGUACCAAUAGAUCUUUUGUUUUGGGAUGGUUUUUUGUGGCAAACAGAACUCCUGGGAAUAAGUUAAAAACAUCAGGCUUUGUAGAUUAAAAUGUCAGUCGUAAGAACAACUUCACUAUUUGCACGAGAAAGUACAGUACAAACUAGAUUCUUGUAGAGGUAGAAAUACAUGUCAAUUACUUUGGUUUAUAUUCAAUUGGGAAAAGAUACAGGCACUUUCAAGUUAAAAAGUGCAACCAUAUUAAAGGUGGACAUCUGAAGUUCUGAACCAGACCGUCAGAUGAAUGGUUCAAAUUUCUAGCUUUAUGAGAUAAUAUUGAGAACUUAUUUUUAGCUGUCAUCUCAUUUAUGUCCAUUCGUGCAUUUACUCCUUUACCAAGUACAGCAUUAGUUGACUCCACACAAUGUCUUGUUUAUAAUUGUACCAUUACAUUUUUCCUUUUCUCUCCAUGCAAAACUUGGAAUCCAAUACUUUUUUGGGUAGAUGGAGAGAAAUAGGUUAGAUGGAAAUAAGUACGUAGAAUGGAAAUAGAUGAAUAAUAAAUGUGAAAGGAAAGGUGUGUUUGGUUGAAGAGAAAUAGAGAUAAGAUGAGGAGAGAGAUAAAGAGAUAAGUAGAAAUAGGUAAUAAAUAGUACGACAACGCAUUCCACUAUUUUUUUAAAAUUAUUUCUCUUCCUUUCUCACCGAACACACCACAUUUUUUUAUCUUCACCCAUCCUCUCAACCAAACAACGUGUAAGUGAUUUUAGUUUUGCUAAAAAAUGUGUUGAAAUUCACACUAACAUUACUGAGAAUGACAUGAAGAGAAAACAAUGAGAUUUACUACUUACCCUUAUGAUCAGAAAUUGUAAUAGAUGGUCUAACCCAAUAAGGGCACUUGUGAAGCCGGAACCCUCUAAGUAUGCACCUGUCAAAGUCCAAAUUAAGAGGAGCCUUCUUCGAUUCUAGUACAUUGUGACAAAAUUACAUCUUACCUUCGUCCAGGCUGGACUUCUCCAUUGAAUUGUGUUAAAGUCCGUUCAAAGUAUUUUACAUAUCUCUAAAAAAUUACAGAAAUAAAUGAUUUUAGAGGAAUAUGUCCAAAAUGGAAGAAUAUAUCACAUAUUUAAUAAAGCAAUAAACCAAAAUUAUUGACUGACUAUUUGACUAGGGAGGACUAGAGCCUUUCCAUCUACACAUCUUUUAUGGUUAAAGUAAUCAAUGGCUUCUUCUGCAGUUGGGAAGAACUGCAAAAUGAUAUUGACAGUCAAAAAAUUGAAAAAUUCAGAGUGAAGAAGAGCACAAGUAAAAUUCCAAAGUCUUUGAAGUUGAUUAUCAUGACUUGCCUUUAGAAACAAAAGAAGACAACAUAUCAUCAGUCCAGUCCUCCCCAUACCAGCUUUACAAUGAACAACCACCACAUUUUGAAUAUCCUCCUUCAACCAUGAAUAUGCACUUUGACAGAAUGAUGCUAUAAGUUGAAUAGGAGGGCAAUUAUGAUCACUAAAUGGGAAAGUUGCAACCUGAAAACAAUCCCAGUACGUUAACAGGACAAACAAAAAUAUUACACUAAUUUAAUUUGAUAUAAGAAAUUGUGACAUCUGCAAAACCAAACAGGAACAAAAAAAGUCCAAUAAUAAUUUCUCCAUAUUUAUAUGCAAAAUUUUAAUGUUCCUAUGUGAAGUUGUCAGACACUCUAAAAUGUUGCUAGAGUUCCUCAGGGAAUGGCAUGGCAAUUGACUGCAUUUGAGUGUAAGAAAGCUGCAAAAGUUGUCAAUAGGAUCUUCUAAAUACUUCUGUCGAGGAUAUGCAAGGUACUGUCAUAGUAUACCCAAUAUCAAAGACCAAAGUUAGACAACUUAGAAACAAGCAGAUUUUUUCUUUUUCACUCCUGUUUUAUUUUACAUUAAUCCAUUAUUCCCUAGUCAUAUCUCCAAGCUUUUCCCAACAAAAGGAUGUGGCUGUUCAGAAUGUAGUAAUAUAUAGUUUGAGGUAUAGGAGAGGAAGGGGGGGUCCAAUAAGAGGGACGACUAACAUAAGCUUAUGGUUUUGUUUUGUUUUUAAUAAUUUCAUAAAGUUCCUUUAAAAGUGUUGGAGAUCCCACAUCGACUAAAGAUUAGGACAUUUCAUAGUUUAUAAGUGGGUGCAAAACUUACCUUAUAAGUCAGUUUUAUGAGGUUGAGUUAGGUUUAAAGUCUAUUUCUCAACAUGGUAUCAAAGUCAUUUCAAGUCUAUCCUAGUGAGUGUUUGUUGGACUUAUCAUGUCUAUCCUAGCGAGUGUUUAUGAGGUUAAGUUAGACUUAAAAUUAACUUCUUAAUAAAAGGUAUUUUAUUGAUUACAUUAAAAUUAUUGAAGGCUUAGUAUUCAAUACAUAUUAAAGGUUCACAGAAAGAUAUAUUAAUUUACUAGAAAUUGAGACUAAAUUAAAGUUUAGAAUGUCCAUUUGUAAAAGGGAUACAAUUUAGAAUACUUUUUAUUUCUUUUCCAUUGUUAUUUAUCUUUACCAGGUCCCAUGACAUAAUUUAAGAAAAAAAAAAUGCCAUUUCCUUUCUAUUUGAGUGUUUUGGAGCAAGAGAGUUACCAUCAGCCAUUUAAAACAUUUAAAAAUACCAAACUCUAGAUAGUUACAUUUACAAUCAUAAGCUCUUGGCAAGUUGACUCAAAUUUCCAACUUUAAGUAGAACAUAAAGAACAAAUGCACUGAAAGAGCAGGUGCAGCACACUGAAAAAUGAUAGGCAACAGUCAAAAUUAUUACGCAUCAAUACCAGUACAUCAGUUUGAUUACUAAAGUGAAGAUAAAGAUGAAAAUCACACCUUCCCCUGGAAUAAUGAUCCAUCAUAUAACCUUUCUGAACAAAGAUUGUAUACUUUGUAUUUACCCUGCACAUCAAGGUUUCGAAAGAAUAAAGUUUUGAGAAGAUAAUUAAUAAAUUAUCAACACUAAGUGCAUGAAGACACUAACUGUAGCAAACCAUUUAAUGACACAAGAAAAAUGAGUAAUUGCACAAAUUUGUAGAGGAAGUUAGAGUUUUUAGAACUUUAGGUACUCAGUAUCCAUUUACAUGCAGUAGAAGAGUUCAAGAGCCUGUCAAUUAUAAUUAGAUGUAGGGCGGUUGUUUGGUGUUGUACAUUAACCCAAUUGAUGUAGCAGGGUUAUUUUAUAUUUUGGGCUUAAUUACAUUUUUGUCCCCAUGCUCAGUUUCUUAAUUGCUCAAAGAACUCAGCUCAAUAUUUUAUCCAAUGAUUAAUAGAAAUGUAAUAAAGGUGUGGCAUAUUCAUUUGUAUGAAUUAGCAAAGAAAAAAGUGUCUAAAAUAUGUAAAUAACAAAGAAUGUAUAAAAUAAAAUAAAUAUCAUUUUAUUUAAUUAUUCUACAUUUUUUCCUUUGUGAAUCUAUACCUAUCAAUGAUAGAUUACACCACCUCGGUAAAAAUUCUAUCAGUUAAUGGAUGAAAUUUGGGGUGGGGGAAUUAAUUUGAACAAUUAGGAAAAUAUGAUGACUAAAUGCAAGAAACUAAAACUGCACAGACUCAAGUACACGAGCUAAAAAAGUAACCAAGCUUAUAAUUUACAAAUGUCUUUCAGAUUCUAUUGUAUUUACAUUAGAUAGCUAGGAUCUUAUCUAUUCAAAGGGUUAGGAUUUGUCUAUCUAAUGGAUUCUGAACAAUAUGAAUUGUGAAGGGAUUUAAUUUAAUGCCUUUAACAGGGGAUAUAGUUCACAUUUUCCAAUAAAAUGUUUUCUUCUAUGUUGCUGGGCUGUUAACCAGAAGAAAAGUAGUAUGUAUAAACCCUAUACAAGAAUCCCGUACUUCCAAUGUGUUACUCAAGUCUCAUACUAGCAAUUAGAUCUCAAUGCUUUGCUAAAUUCUGAGUGCGAAAUGGAUGAGCAGAUAAUAGGAUCCCAGGACUGCAAUAGAUAAUAUGUUACCUUAUGAUGUGUUUCAAAAAAGUUGAUCACUUCUUCCAUGUGAUUGCGAUAGAACCCCUGAAACAUAGUUACUCCUUAAAACAAAAUUGAAUGAUAACUGAGCUUGGCUUGAAAAUGAGAAGCAAGGACUGACUGUCAAUAAUAUACCUCAAUGUAUCCAAAAAUUCCAGAGCUAAAAUCACCAGCCGGAAAUCCCAUAGCAAUUAUAUUUUCAGUAAUGUAUGUCAUAUCCAAAUCAAAUCCAUCUUCCUGUUUCAAAGAAUAAGAGCUAAAAUAUUAAAGUACAACAAAAAGAAAGCAACAUGGAAGGUAACUCAUUUUUUAAGAAAAAACAAAUGUUUCUUUCCAAAAUUCAUUAAAUUUGGUAGAAAAAUGUUAACUUGUAUCAGAGAGAGUGUCAUCUACACAUAUGAUGCAUUGACUAAGAAGUCAAUACCAAUUUGAUUCUUCAAUAAACAAAUUCAAUAUAGUGACCAUUUCCCUCAUGAUGCUUUAUAAAUAGUGGGAAAAUCAAUAUUUGUGUUAUUAAGAAUGUUAGAAGACAGAACAGAUCUUUAAUAGGAGGUAAUAAACCUAAGAUGAAGAUACUUGGAAAAUACAUUUCGAGAACAUGCUCUUCUUGCAACUAUUGUAGCGAAUUUCAAAAAUCUCCUAUAAGAUGUUUUAUAGACCUUUUUUCUUAUACAUAUGUGCACCGAAAAGCAGAGCAUGCCUGAAGUUUGGUACAUUGCGUGAAUUAUUUGAUUGGUAAACAGCAAUAUGCAGGGAUGGGGGAUCAAAAUCCAGCAUAUUUAACUUGAUGGGAUUCAUGCUAAUAAGGAACAUUUUGUGUAUUAGUGUAUUUUUAUUACCAUUUUUUGUUAGAGACCAAACACCAAAUCAAUGAAGAAUAGAAAAUUGAGAGAGAAAAUUCGUUAUCAGUAGAUGAUGAAAAAGAACUACGGAAAGAGUGAACUUCUGCCAUAGAGCGGGGUUCCUACACAUAACAAUAUUUGUUCUCCCCAGACACUCUCUCUUUCGCUCCUGAAAUACCAUGUUUUGGGCCUUCCAUUUAAGUCCAAGCUCGCACUACCAGUCCUAUCAAUACGGGCUUCAUCAGGAGGAGACUUCUCCCCAAGUCUAAAGUCAGGGAAUUGGCUUUUCAUGCUAAAUUCAUUCUCCCAGGUGGCCUCUUCCUUUCCUUGUCCCUGCUGUUGUAUUAGCACCUGACUUACAGUAUUCCAAUCUUUGUUGAUCACCCUGUGAGCAAGGACCGCUUCUGGUACUAUACUGAGUGCAUAAUCACUGGCUAAUUCUGAAGGAAGGACUCUUCUACUUUAUAGUCUUCCACAGUUUUCUUUAAUAAAGACACAUAAUAUAUCUUAGUUCCUCCAGGCAGUCGCAACUUAUAUGCUACUAGUCCUAUCCUAGUCAACACUUUAAAUUGACCACAAUAACGUGGCCGAGUUUUAAAAGCACCCAUUCUCCUAUCUCAAAUUUCCUUUAAGAAUGCUUCUUGACCGAUUGAUUUUUCAUUUUGGUUUGGACUCUCUGCAGUUGAUACUUUAAUUGGCAAAGUGCCUCUACUCUAUCUUUCAACUCUCAGCAAACAACUUCAACUCAAACUUCUCCUGAAAGGAAGCGAUGGAGAAUAGGAGGCUUUCUGCUAUACAAAAUUUCAAAUGGCGUUUGUCCAGUGAAGCAUGGAAUUUCUUAUUAUACCUAUUUAUUACCAGAAAAUACCACUUUUUUUUUCAGAAGUUUUUGCUUCGUAUAUGACUUUUAAUUCCCUCUUUUAGACCAUGAAUGAAGUAUCCAAAAUACUGAUCAUCAGAUAGAUGAAGGACUUGGGCAGUAUAGCAGAAAUGGUCCCCAAGUUAAAGCAACCUUCAUGGAAUUGUCCCCAAGUUAAACAUAUGUUUUCAUUCAUCAGAAAUUUGAAGAAAUGGAUGGCAAAUCCGUCCAUAUACAACUGCACCAAAUUCACAUUCACAUCGAGGUGAGUUUCCAACACAUAUAAAUACACCUCAACUUGAAUAAUCCACCCCGCAGGAUGUCUCAAUUCAACUUUGACAACUCUACCUUCUCGAUGGAUAGACGAAAUUCAUCCAAUAGGUCACUAUGUAACCCUGUCAUCCCCCUAGUUGCAGACCCAUCACCACUUGUCAUCCCACUAUUGCCAAGCAAAAACUCCACCAACUUUUCAUGGUGGGCUCAGACUUCAGCUCAAUCAUGAGCAUGGCGUUCUUGAGCUUUGUUACUUCCACCACCAAGGUUGUAACUUUAGCUUCUAUCUUAUUUGGUGACAUCUGCUGGUCUUCCUCACGAAUUCGCAGGUUGGACCAAUUUAUAAGAGACCAACAGAAUAACAAAUAAUAGGAAGUUGAGACGAAAGAAAAGAAUCGUUAUUAUUAGAUGAUGAAAAAGAGUUACAGAAAGAAUGAACUUCUUCUGCCCCAGAUCGGGGCUUCUACACAUAACAGAAUGUGUUCUCCCCUGUCACUCUCUCUUUCAGUCCUCAAAUACCCCCCAAUUCUCACAUCAUGCAGUUACAUCCUUUGCCACAUCACCCCCUACUUUAAUACCCUUGUUUCUCCAAACAUAAACCCUACUGUUUUCGGCCUCCCAUUUAAGUCCAAGCCCGCACUACCAGUUCUAACUUCUAUCCCUUUUUAAUAGCUACCAAAGUUGUACACAACUAUUAUAUAGUAACCAAGACGUUUUAACAAUUAGGAACAUGCCAAGAGGUAGAAACCAUAUAAAAAGAUUUUUGUUUUCUUUUUAAAUGAUUUUAAAGACUGCUUCAUGGCUUGUCCAUCAGUAUAUUUUGAGAGAAAAAAUGAUACUAUAAGAUUUGUUAUAACUGAUACAUGUGCAAUAUAACCGGGAAUAGCACAGUUAGCAGCAGCAUUAAUAGUAUCAUUCAGGUGGUGUGCCUAUUCAUAUAAUAAAUUUUAAACGGAAGUUGCUGCCAGUGCAGAUAAAUAGUUACAUAAUCCUAACGCAAAAACAUAUCAACAGAAAAAUAUAUAAAUAUAAGGGUCCAGUUUUUAUAACCACAAUUUGAAGAGGGAGAGAUGACAAAAACAAAUCAUGCAGAUGCAGGUAUUGUACAUGUGCUAACACAAAUGCAAGUGACUCAACCAACAGAUUUGGACACGAUAACAUAAAUCAGUCAUAUGAUUUAAUUUAAACCCAUGUAAUGGACGUCAAAGAGGUAAAACCAAACUAGGCGCGAAAUUUCGUUGUCAACUAACCUGGUAUCUACGUUUAUUUUGUGAGACAAUAUGGCGUGCUUUGACCUGGACAGCUUUUACUGCACUCUUGGAAGAGUCCAUCAACCCUUUGGUGAAGGAUUCAAUCAAAUUAGAUUGCUCAGGUCCUGAAUUGAGUGGAGGAGCAGUUUCUUUUGACUGCGUUCGCAAUCCAAGCCCACUGGCCAGGCGAGCAAAAGCUGAUAUGCCUGUGUUUUCGGUCUGUGAAUCCUGUUGUGCUGGUCCAAGGCCAAGACCUGGGAAUUUCAGAUUUCUUGCCCAUGAUGACAUGCCAGAAGCAGGUAACGAUGAUGGUGAAUCAUGUGCAUUGUUAAUCUGUCCAGUCACUUUGGUUGAGUGUUGCUCUUCAGCAUUAGAAACUGGAGGAGUAGGUUGAGAUGAAGAAUGAGCUGAAGCUGGUUCCAUGAGUCACUCAAAUGCAGUUCUGCAAGGUGUAAAACCAAUCUAAGUGAAGAGCAGUUUACCUUUACACAGCUAACAGCAAAUUAACUAAGUAAAUAAAUAAAUUAACACACAUCAUACAGUGUUGAUGGAAAAAUUACUAUAUAAUAGUACUACACAAAGAAAAACAUCUAUUUCACGCAAGCUAAUUACUCUCAUAAUCUAAGCUGUUCAUAAAUUGAAUCAAAGCAGUGCAAAAACGUCGGCGUCGGGAAUGUAAACAGAGGGAUCUGAAAAUGGAUACAGGUUAAGCAGAUUUGCGAUUGAAGAAAGCAAUUAUUAUACUAAUUUGUAAAUGUUGCAGAUACUCGCUCACAUCAUAGAUUCAACAAAUUGAAAAGGCAGAAGAAGCAGUGGAUCGCUUACGGUAAGUGGAUGGUGAUGCAAACUAUUCGAUCUGUUUUGCUGAGAACAAUGGCUUUGUGAAGGGCAAACACACGAUUUGUGAGUUUGGGAAUUAGAUCAAUGCAGUUCGAUUGAAGUCAUCAGCAAUUACACAUCGGAAAUCAAAGGGAAAAAUGAUAUAAACAGUGCAAAAUGAAGAUUCAUAUGAACAGGUAGACCGUUGCUUAUCUUAUAAUCCACCAUGGCACCAUUUUAUUUUAUCAUAAUACAUAAUUAAAAUUAGGGUAGCCACAAUAGUGAAUUAAAGUCACCCUCCUCCAUUUUGUUUAUUCUUUCCAAUCACAUUAAUAAUUUUUUUACACAUAAUUUAUAAGUUAACUAUUAAAAAAGAAUUUUAAGUCUAACUCAACCCCAUGAAAUCGGUCGAUAGGGUUGAGUUAGGCUUAAAAGUCCACUUUUAAAUAUGAUAUCAGAGUCAUUUAGAGUAUAUCCUAGCGAGUGUUUGAGGGUUUAUCAGGUCACCUACUAUCGGCCGUUAUCAGACCACCCAUAAUAUGUUAUCCCACCCACGAGCUGUCACUCUCGACAUGAGAAUGUGUUGAAGAUCACACAUCAACUAGGGAUGAAGACAAUUCAUUGUAUAUAAAUAAUGCAAACCUCACCUCAUGAGCCGGUUUUAUGGGGUUGAAUUAAACUUAAAGUUUACUUCAAACUAUUGACGAGGUUAAUUUCAUUGAAUGAUGAAAAAAUUAUUUAUAAAAUGGAAAAGGAGUCAUAAAAUGGAAAAAGAUUAUAUUAUUCCAAUAAUGGUAAAAUAAAAAUAUUAUAUGAGCAGGAGGUUCUGUAUAAUAUUAUAUAUAAUAUAAGUGUAAACUAAUAAAAAAAAAUAGUAGAAUGGAGUCAUAUUUUAAGAAAUAAAUUGUGGUGUACUCUUAAAUGCCACAAUAAAUUAUUUAUCCUAUUUAAUGUAUAAGUCAUUUGAAAGAUAAAUUAGUUUUAGAGGUGAGGUUAGAUAUUAUUUUAAAAAUACUUUUGAACGUUUUGAAAUAACAAUUUUACAGGAUGUUUGAAGCAAUAACCGAAGGCUAGGUGUGUAAAGGUUCUCAUAGAUUUUGUUGUUCUUUCUUUACAAUUUUUAUUGAGUUAAACUAAUAAAUCUUCAUUGUAACUAUUAUAUUUGCUGAUAAAAAAAUUAUAAUUAUUAUAUUUUCACUUUUGAUUUAUAUAUAAAGUGAUUUAUAGUUAUUCAUUUAUCUUCUCUCGGUAUAAAAACGAGUAUAUUUUAAGUAUAAAAAAUAAUUUUAUAAAAUCAAUAUAUUUGUUAAGUAUAAAAAAUAAUUUCACACAGUAAAUAUUUUAUAAAAGAGAUUUUUUUGUAUUCUUUUUAUGUGGUUUAGUAGACGAUCUCAUAAUCUAAUACUUUAGAAAUUUUAUUUAAAAUGUCUUAUGAACGACACUAACUUUACUUAGAAUCAUUUGGAAACUUUAAUUAUUAUUAUAUGGAAAAGUUUAUACUUUUAAUGAUCUUAAAUGCAACCAUUGGAACUUGUAAGUUCAUUUUUCUGUGAGUGUUUUACUAAAGUAUGACUACUAUAUUUUGACUGAAACAUUUUUUUUAGCACUUAACAUGUUUUGUUUAAUAUAAUUCUUUAUUGUAAAUCGUUCUCUAAUACCAACAUUAUCAAAAUAAACAUACAAACUCAGAAGAUUAGUUCAUGAUUAUCUUUAAGAUGUAUUAGUCGUUAAUAUUAAUAGAAAACAAACCAUCAAAAUUCUUCUUACGUUGACAGAAAGCAAAUAUUGAGAUUUUUCAAGUUAUACUAAAAAUUGAAACCUUUUAAAAUUUUAAGGGAGUGGAUCUAUAACAUUGAAAGGGGUGUUGUAUUUUAAAUAAAUGAGAGGAUUGUGUAGAAUUUUAAAAUAUUUACAGUGUCGGUGCGUUUUAAACAAAUAUCAUUGUUGGUGUAAUGUAUUGUUUAAUUUAGUAUAAAAUUUGAAUAAAAUCAAAGAAAUACAAAUAUAAAAAAAAAAACUAUUGUGAUUUGGAUUUUACAUAUUGUUCCUAUCAAGUUUACUUAUACGAGGUCCUUAAGUGUUUUUAAGUGUUUUUUUAGCUUUUUAACCUUCACUUCUUUUAUCCUCUUGUGUCUUAGGUGUCUUUUUGAUUUACUAGGUUUUUUAAAUUUUCUUAGUGGUAGAAAUACCUGCAAUGUUACAACUUAUUGUUAGUUGUAAUUCUUUGGUUAUUUUAAAAUUAAUAUUUUUCAAAAUCAUAUUUAAAUAUAAAAUAAUUUAUAGUUAUUAUAUACUUUCUAAGAAUAAUUUUUAGAAUGAGAAUCUAUUACAAUUUUGCAUAUUUAAAAAAAUUGAAAUUAAUUAAUAAUUUAAAAAAUAAAUAAGUUUUAUUUUAUAUUUACUACAUACUUUCUACAUACCUAGAUACAAUUUUUUAUAUGUUCUAAACUUAAGUAUAUAUCACUUUUUAAUAAAAAGAAUUUGUGUACUUUUCUUUAAAUAAAUAUUAUAAUAUGUUGUCAGAAGAAAAAUGACAACCAUAUGAAAAAGAAAAAAAAUCUUAUAAAAACAUGAGCUCCUGUAUUUGUCUUCUUAAUAAUAAGUAUAUGGAUUUUAGAAGUCAAGUUUUUUUUUUUUUUGAAAAAUAUUGUUCUUUGUACAUAUUGCGGAAAUAAAUCAUUUGAGUUAGUUUGGUGUUUUAUAUAGACGGGUAUUUGAUUGGAGGAGAAGAUAAGUUCUAGUAGAUUUGAAGAUAGAUUCUCUUAGGAGAGAGGGAUGAUGAAAAUCGUUCAACCGCAAACAUCUAUAAAAUAAGGAGGAUAAAAACCUUUAAGCUAUUUUUCCAAAAUUUGUAUAUAAUAGAUUAAGACUUUUUCUUUGGAUCAGGGAUGAGAAUUGGUUUAAUUUUUGGGAUCUUGUAUUUGAGUCAAUAGUAAAGUAAGACUAGUUAGGAUUAUGAGUGUUUAGUUAGGGUUAUAAUUGGGCUUCUUUGAACCUAAUGUAACCGUAAACUAUAUAAGUAUGACAUGGAGCAAAACUUACAUUGACAAGGAGCACAUGAACGUCCACAUAACAACAUAGGAAUAAAGAGAGUUUUGCAUAAAAUGUGUGAGCUACACAUGAGAAUCAUGAGUUUACAAAACAUCUUCUCAUUAGAGAGUUAAUUUUUGAAUUUCAAAUCUUGACUCCAAAUUUUGUUGGAGAUCCCACAUCGACUAGAGAUUAGGACAUUUCAUCGUAUAAAAGUGGGUGCAACCCUCACCCCAUGAACCAGUUUUAUGGAGUUGAGUUAAGCUUAAAACCCACUUCUUAACAAAUUUUUCAGCCCAUUACACUAUAAAUAAGUGGACAAAUUACUUAUAAUUGAGCUUAAAAUUAAAUGAGUUUUAUACUUUCAAAUUAUAUCCAAAACACUUGUCUAAGUUCUCUCUAGGAUGUCUUCCUCUGUUUUAAAACAUUUCCUAAUAAUUUGGCUCAACCUUUCACUAAGCCACUCCUCAUUCUCUACUCCAAAUCAGUUGUGAAUCAUAUUCUUACUUCCUCCAUAUUUUUGGAAGUUUCAUACAUCUUCCAUAAAAAAUUCAAAGUUAAACAAAAAAAAAAAUUCAAAGUUAAACAAAAAAAGCAUGAUGAGGAGGUCUACCAAUACCGAAGAGAUAUCAUAAGUUUAUUUGAAUUCAUGAGUCGAAAGAGUAAUUUGUUUAUAUAGUUUUAAUUGAUAAAAAAUAUGUAAUUUGCACAACAUAUUAACUUAUAGCAAUCCUUUUCUAUUAUGACUUUAAGUUAAAAAGUAUGUCUUCGUUGGACUAUUUUGUAUUUUUUCAAACAAAGUGUUUUUUUAUGAAUGCCGAAAAGGUAACAUAACAAAAUUUUAAAAAAUAACAUUAAAUAAUGUUUAUAAUCAUUAAAGUAUUUAAUUUUAAUUAUUUGUACUAUGUAUCUUAACAAUGUUUGGUCUGACGGAAAGUUCGUUUUUAAAUAAUUUAUGUUAAUAAAAUAUAUUUUAAUAUAAAAUAAAAUAAUUGAGAGUCUAAAAUUUGGCAAUUGUUUACUUGCUUAAUGCAAAUUUUGAAAAUUGUACUUCUGAAAAUUGAAAAUAUGAAAUUAAAAAAUAUAUUAUGGAAAAAAUCAUUUUUUUAAAAUGAAAUUGAAAAAUUAAUAUCUAAUUCUAAAAUAAUAUUUUUAAAAUAAAAAAGAAUAUUGGAUUGGAUGCAUGGAUCAAUUGUCCUAAAAAAUUAAAAAUUUUCAAAGGAUCCAUUGGCAAAAGAAAUACCUCUCAUAAAAGGUGGUAAUGUUAAAUCCAUUAACCCGGUUCAAUAAAAUGUGGACCGGAGAGAGAUGUUGAGGCAAGGAGAAGCGAACCGGGAAGAGGGUCCAUUAGGCCGUUUCUACCAUCUCAUCUCAUUUGCUUUGCUUUGCUUUGUAUUGUUUGCUGCUACCAUCACGCGCACACGCACACUUUGCACAUUUCUCCUACGCCAAACAAAUCCAAAAGUCAAAACUACCCCCAGCCCACCAUGGACGUAGGAGUCGCCGACGAUCAUUCCCCGGAAGCCGCCAUAUCGCGGUGGAAAUUCGCGGUGUCGCGGCAGUAUCAGCACAUGCUGGACAAAACGACGCCGCACGUCUUCCGCCGCUGGAUCGGGUGUCUGGUGGUGGCUGCCGUCUACGUCCUCCGCGUGUACUUGGUCCAAGGCUUCUACAUCGUCUCCUACGCCCUCGGCAUUUACAUCCUCAACCUCCUCAUCGGCUUCCUCUCCCCUCAGGUCGAUCCCGAGAUUCACGACGGCCCCACCCUCCCCACCCGAGGAUCUGAUGAGUUCCGCCCCUUCGUCCGCCGCCUCCCUGAGUUCAAGUUCUGGUACUAUUCCCUUCUCCUAAUUCCACCUUCCUCCUAGGGUUUCGUAUUCCACCACCUACUUCUGUUGUAAUAUUACCGUGUUACCGUCUUCGGUUCUAACUCCAAGAUUUGAUUUGGAAUUGUCGUUUCAGGACUCUUAGUUAGUUCGCUUAAGAAUUUUCAGAUUAAUUAAUUAAAGAAGGGAAUUUAAUUAAACUUCUUGCACUGCAUUUAUCACAAACACAAACAAUUUAACCUGGACUUGUGGAGAAGUUACAUUAGGGCCUGGGGGCUGAGCUUAUGAGAAAAAGUUGAGGAAAUUUUUCAUUUAUUUUAUCCAAAUUUAUGCUCUCUCUAUUGUUUUGUUUUGUAUCCGUUACUGUACUCAAAGUCUAGAUUUUCGUUCAAGCGAAUCAUGGAUAUUGAAAAUGCCACAUUCUGCUGAUCAUACUGGCUUCCAUGUUAUCCUUGAUGAGUAGGAGGAUAUGAUAAUCUUCUAUUGAACUUUAUCACAUUUCUGUGUUUAAUUAUUUGUCUAUGAUUUGGCUUCCGAGGAGAUCAAUCUUCAUUCACGAGCUUUAAUAUUGUGCUUUGUAGGAUUUGUCAUUUGUGGAGUUGUUGAUGUUUUGUUAUUUACAAUUUGGAUUUAACGUGCAGAUGAUUGUUUUUACUGAAAGCUGCUAAACUUUUCUUCGUGGGCAGGUACUCGAUCACAAAGGCGUUUUGCAUUGCAUUUGUGAUGACUUUCUUUAGUGCCUUUGAUGUUCCAGUAUUCUGGCCGAUACUCCUUUUUUACUGGGUGGUCCUAUUCACACUUACAAUGAGGAGACAGAUAUCACACAUGAUAAAAUAUAAAUAUGUUCCAUUCUCGUUCGGGAAACAGGUAGGUUCAGCAUAAUUUUUUCCCAUUCAAAUUGUUGUGGCAAGCAAAUAUUGGUUAUUCAUUUAUUAAUGGUGUUUUUAUCAGGAUUGCAUCCUUGUUGCUAAUAGUAAGCAUUUUGUCUAUUUUAUUUUUAGCGCUAUGGAAAGAGAACACCAGCAGAAAGCACCAGCCCGACCGUGGACUGAAAUUCAGUUCAAUUGAACUUUAUUUGCUACAUUUAAGCCACAACCCCACAUGUGGCUUGAUAUCAUCUACAGUAUAUUUUAACAGCUGGAGCACCUGAGAUUUGGUGGCUGGGGAAGAUUGUUUUGAGGUCUAGCAUGGACGUAUGACAUCUGGAUGUUCAACUCCCAAUUGAGCAACUGUUUUGGACAUCUUCAAUGUUUCUACUCCCUGGUAGAUGCUUUAGUCUUGGGUAGAUGUUGGGGGCUCUCUCUUUACAUCUCCCUUCUAGUGAAAUCCUUUUUCUUCUUUUUCUUUAUAGGUAGGCAAAUGCGAAACUCUUAUUGCUGAAUUCUAGUUAAAUAACGAGAAUUUUAAGACGCCUGUGCAAAAGGAAUCCCCUUCAUUAUUUGCAAUGGGGUAUUAACUCUUUUUCCAUUGUAUUUUUUUUCUUCUAAUCAUGUGAUUUUCAGGAACUCAUUUUUUUCCAUAAAUGUGCCCAUGCAAUACUAUUACUCCCUUCAGGCUUUCUCGUCAUUAUUGUGAUGUGUGGAUCUUUUUUAUAUAUAUUUUAUGAAUGAGCUUGUCCACACUUUUUGGCUGUAAGACUGAUAUCCCCAGGAGAUAUUGAAGUUGUUCUUCAUAAGGUUUUCUCAUGGGUGAAACCUCCUAUCAUCAUUGCAGAAUGUCCUCAAGCACAAGUAUUUUUUUAAAGCCAAGUACUUGUCUUAUGAAUCAGGAACAAAGUAUUUUUAUGACUCUUUUUAAUUGGUGUUUCUGUAACCGAGUUGAAUAGCGUUGUAUGAUUCAUAUGGUUGACUAUAUCUAAUGGAACAAGGUCGAUCUUAUUUAGUGGGAUAAUGUAUUUGUACAAAUGCCAUUUUUUAAUUUUUUAUUUUGAUAGAGCGAUUACUUGGCCGGGUUGGUCAGGGAAUUCUUUCCUUUGCAAAGGGUUUCUUGCUACACCAUUUGUUCAGGAAAUUUUCCCAUUGAUCCUGAUGUGCAUCUCUCAUCAGAAACAUUGGAAAAUUGUUAUGUACCACUAGAGUUUUGUUACUGAUUACUUAUACAUAUAUGCUCUUUCAAUUGUCUUGACCCUUCCUUGUAUCUGAUUGUCUCAGUGCUCGCUAACCUACUUUUCCCCCAACUGUAAUGGUAUCUGCAACUCCCUCAUUCCAGUAGGCCAAGUGACCUUAAAGUCACCCCGUUGCCAUGGUCAUGGAAAACACCAGUUAUUUAUAGUGCGACCAAAAAUUGUUGUUCCAAGAAGCGAUUGUGAUCGCCUGAAUAUUGAUAUUUGCACUAGAAGAAUUUUGUGCUACAAUUGUAAAAUGAAAACCGUAAUGUUCCAUGUCCUAGCCUUGAAUUUAUUCCGACAUUUUCUUUGGAAAAAUAGACGGGAAAAUUUUAGAGUUAGGGAAGUGAAGAAGGAAAGGAGAUGAUGCAACGCCGAGAUUUCCUAUGUUGUUAAAAAUUAUGUAAUAAACCCAAAAGUAGAGAGAGAGGAAGUGUGCUCUCUUUCGUAGAGUAGCCUUUCCAUGCUUCAAAGCGCUUGAUCUGGCGAGGCAUAUACGUUUUGUAGUGGGCAAUUUCUUCAACCACUCCCAUGUUUUCUUCCUGUUCUUCCUUUCACUCUCUUGGAACAAGUGAAAUGACAACUUUGUCAUUUUCAUCAUCUUUUCAUUGAUACCUGUUUUAUUAAACUUUGAGAUGGUCACCUUCAAGCUUCAUAGGCUCCAAGGAAAUGAGGAGGCUACACCUACAGAAGAUACUUCGACGCUCAAGUCAAUAAGAGUAUAGAAUAUAGUGAGUAUAGUGUAAAUACGAGUUGAAAGUACUUCCUAUGUUGUAUUAGAUGAUCUUUCUAUAGGGCGUAAUCUGGUAUAUAUAUACCAAGUCGUAACAUCUUCGUCUUUAAUCAUGAUUCUGUCUUAAUUGAGUGAUUAAGGUUAAUUGAUUGAGAUCCCUUAACUUGUGCUCCCUCAUAACGUUAAAUACACAGGUCGGAAAACAACCCAUAAAUAUCCAACCAUCGGGCUGGGCCCAUGACCUUACGUGGCCUUAGCCUUAGGCGUAGGCCAAUGAGGUUAUAGCGAGUUGAAGGUCGGAAGAUGAGUCAUUUGUUAUAUUCCAUCGGGUCACGUCCAUGACUUUACAUCCCCCCAGCCUCAAGCACAGGCCAAUGAGACUAAAAGUCAAACUUACUCUGACGAUCUUCAAUCAACCUACAUAUCUCUUAACACCGGGUUUGACCCAUUAUGCUACAACACAUUUUCAUUGACACCUUUCUUUUUCUUUUUAUAGAUUCUAAAAUUUGAAAUACAAUUUUAAUUUCAAGUCUAUAAGGUAUUUAUUUCCUGGAUUCGAAAAUACAUUAUGAAUUUUAGAAAUUUAUCUAGAAAAAAAAUGUGGAGGUGGAAGAAGAAAUUGCCUUUCUAGUGUGGUGAUGCAAGGCAGAAGAACGAAAAUGAGUGUGUUAGGGAUUGGAAGAGCGUCUUCGGUUUAGAAUAGUAAAAACACAAUAGUGAAUAGUUGAUGUCUAAGAGGUUCAAACACUCCUCUUAAAUGUUGUGUGUGUCGGACACUCGUAUCGUAUACCAACACUCGUACAACACGUAUCAGUGAAAAUGUCCAAUUCAACAAAUAUUUGUUGGAUUUUUGACAACUCUAGCACGAUUCUAAUGUAAUUUUAGAAAAAAAAAUACAUUAAUUUUCUAAAAACUCAAACUUAUUGUAGAAACCAAUCAUUUUGAACCAGUCAUGAAAAAACAUUUUUGCUAACAAAAAAUGUGAAACAUACUUGUGCAUAUAAAUAUUCAUUGUCAAUUUAUAUAAUUCAUGAUUAUAUAAUAUAUAGAUCCGUAUCUCCGUAUUCUACAUUUUAAAAGUUAUACGUAUUUUCGUGUCCGUGUCGCAUUAAUGUUUGUGCCGAUGUAUCUCCUACAUAGAUUGAAGUACAAAGUAUUGAUAUAUUUUAUUUUAGUAUAAUAAAAAAAAGAGUUCAUAAAAAUUUAAAUUUUGUUAAUUUUAUUUGAAUCAUGUUAAUAAUUAAGAUAAUUAAACAUAUAAUUUUUUUCAUAUAAUACUAAAAAUAAAAUAUAUUCAUACUUAUCGUACUAAAAUAACUAUUUAUCCUUCAAAUAAUACUCCAAUUGGGUGUGAAAAAAUGUGAUAAUGAACGGCCGAGCAAACACGCUAACAGAAGUGGUUUUUUCUCAUGAAGGGUGCAACAGAGGUUACAUAUAAUCGAGGAAGGAAGUUUGGAAUUAUAAUUGGAAAUACUGUUUGCAGAAAUCGAGAUUGUGCGUGUGUUUGAGAGAGAGAUCGUGGGUUCACACGAUAAAGGUAAAGAAUUUUAGAAAUGAGUUCCAAUAUUUUAAUCUCAACCCUGCAUUUGUUUAUGAAUAUAUCAAUGAUUUAGAUCAGUGCACCAAGUCUCAGGUCAUGUGGAACACUAGAAAAUCAUUUUAAAAACGUAGGCAUUUAAUGAAAUGAAAUAGCAAUUCUUUCUCGCAAUUUAAUUCUCUCAUUAUGUGAAAUGAAAGCUUGUUAAAGCAAUGAAGCCAAAAUUGUUGUGCAAGCAUUUGCAUUACAAAAGAAAGUUGUAUUACAGCAUUAGCAUCAAUACCUUCUGUGCCAAAAUAAAUGAAUCAAUGAUAUUCCAGCCUUCCAAGAUCUUUUAUAGGCUUGAUUAUUGAAAUCAAAGGAAACACAUCAAUAUCUCAAAACUUGAUAAGGGUCAACACUAAAAACUUACCGGGCUGGUCUGUAAUAUCCAUAUAUACUGUAGUAGGUUUGUGCAAGAGUGAGUAGCAACAAGACAACAGCAGCAACCAAAGAUAUAAUGGCCCAAGGAUUACCGAAGUAAUUGUGUCUCAAGCUUGCACACCAGGUAUUCCAUCUAUGGUUGUAAUACCGAUUCACAUCCUCAGACAAUGGGGAAAGGUAACUGUUAUUGAUGUCAAACACAACCUCUUGGCAUAAGCGGUUGAAAAGGUCUGCAACUUCAGCAUCACUACCAAGCCAGUGCUCAAUUAUGCCACGGUAAUGAAGGUAUCCCACAUCCUCUGGAGAGUUAAUCAAGUUGUCCAUGAAGAUAAUAUAGGAUGUAAUGUCAUUGCUGCAAUCAAGAUGACACUGCUCAAAGGCAAUGAGAUUCAGGAACAAAGACUUGGUACCAUCGUGGAUCAAGAGCCGUGGUAUUCGCAGAAUACCAUCCUUAAAUUUGAUAUCCCAGAAGCGAUCAGUUUUCCUCUUCUUGAACUUGAUUCCAGCUUCUUUAAGCUCUGUGACACAGUGUAUCAGUUGUUGCCUCCGUUUAUCAGCCACUCUUUGAGCAUUUGACCUGCGUUUGAUCCAUAUUCUUGGAACUGGUUGAGCUCCUGCGCGCAAAAGACUUCUCCUGAACACUUCCAAGCAGUGAAGACCUUCUUGAUCAGAUAAAGGGUCAAAGGUAAUAGUGUUUCCAAGUGAUGAUUCCAAUUUGUUUCUGUCACUUUUUGACAUGGGUUCAUCACUUGGCAUCAAAGGGUCGAAGAACCUUAGUGCUAGAGCUCCAACCAGUCCUUUCAUGUCUGGGUUUCCCAAUUGAAUUCCCAGAAGUCUGUCUAGUACAAAGAGUGGAAGCUGGUUUUCUAGCAUGAUCAUAUCCCUCUGAAUGGAGUGCAUUGAUCCACGCAUUGCGAAAACAGGAUCAUUCCUGGAAUAUCCAAGUUGCUUGAACCCUUCUGUGGCUCCUCUGAAUAGCUCCAGCACAAAACAACCAUCAAGGACAAGCAUUUCCACGAACUCAUUGCUGCUUAAACUAAUUGAUCCUUCAUAACAGGAGCGAGCUCUUUCUUCUAUCUCCUUCAUGGAAUCGAGGUAGAUCCUAAUGUCAUGCUUGGCACGCUUAAGGACAUGGUUAAGGGAACGCCAUUUAUGGCGAUCCAUUGGGCGAAGGCGCUUCUUGCCAUGAUGGUAAGGACCUAUCGACACAAUCUGCGGAGCAAAAGCUUUAUCAUCACCAGUACUAUCUCUAAGGUAAUGGGGGAUUUUGUAGAUUGAUAGUUUGGACCAUGAACUUGCUACAUCAUCUUGACCUGCCUGCUCUAGUUUUUCCUUGAUGAACACCACCCAUUCAGAUCCUGGUGAGUUUGGUUCCUCCCGUGAUUUUUCGCCAUCUUCACUGAUGACAACUUGCAAUGAUUCUGUAGGUUCCUGCUGAAGUUUGUCCUCCUGCUGCUGCUGCUGCUGGGGAAACUCUAUUGAUCGGUUCCCUGAAUUAGGAGGAGAAGAUGGAAUCCCGGAUUCCAAGGUUUCUCUGAGUUUAAGGGUGAUGAGAUACCAGCUCAAGAGCUCUUGGUUGAAUACAGCUACCAUUUCUUUAAGGGAAUGGUGUUCUGUUUCUUGUCAAUGACCUCUGGUGCUGCCAAUUCAUAGCCUGAAAUGACCUUGACGUUUUCAAUAGAAUGUAGUAAUUGACUUGAACAAAUUGUGCAGCUCAUAUGGGACCCUUUUGGGCCUCAUAACAACGCUUCCAAUCUGUAUGUAGCACGCCAAAUUAUGUUGGAAAUACCCUUAUCCUAAAAUAUGCUUAUGGCAUCAGAUCAUGAAUAAAAGUUCACAAUAAUGAGAAACUAUGGAAUCAUAUGCACUUGCAAAUUCCUACGCAUACCAUACACUAUCACCCUUUUCACCCUUUCAACUUUACUGCUUCUUUUCACCCACUCUUAAUUGCUAUUUUUACUAGAUUAACUUGCUAAAUCAUAUUCCCAACCUAUCAUAUUAUACCAAACUACUGAGAUUUUUAUGGAGAAAAAAUCACGUCUGAAACAAAGUUGUAUGAAAGAAGUAAGGUGGGUGUGAGCAGGAACAAAAGUGGGGAAAACGUGAAAGAAUUCAAAAUUUGCGAUGUCUCUCAUUGUUCAUCAAGCAUUGGAGCAUAUCCCAAUCUUAAAUUCUAAACUAUUCAGCUAAAUAACUUUACAACAGAAACAAUGAAUAUAUAACUGUAAACCUCAAUACAAAAGCAUCUUACCAAUCUUCUACUCACUAAAUAAUUUAAAAAGUGAAGAAUGUUUUUGUAAUUCCUAAUUUUUCUCUAUUUUUUUUAAUUUAUAGAUUAUUGUAAUUAUCAUAUUAAUUUGAAAGUUAGGUGGAAGACUAUAACUCUUAUAGUUAUAAUGACUUAGAUUCUCUCUUUAAAUUUACUAGUGAAUAAAUAUAUCCUUGAUUAUAGGAAAAGUUAUUACAUUGACCAUCUAUAUAUUUUUCUAUAAUUGUUGCCUAAGCUAGGUCAUACCUACCUAUAUGUAUUAAGAAAGAAACUUCAUUAUAAAGACCACGAGUAAGAUUAACAAUGUCUAUUAGUAAAUAACUCUUGAAUCUUAAUAAAGUAUCAAUGUGUCAGUAUACAAUCUUCUAUUUUUAGUGUAAAAAAGAAACAACCUCAUCAUGAAAAUUGCUAGCAGUACAAUUUUUAUUCACUUAUUAAAAGAUAUUGGGAGCAUAUAAAACUACUAUAGAAUGCAUGUUUUGAUCUUCUAUGCCUAAAUGAGAAGAGAGGAUACAGAUAUUAAAUUGGUACCCCAUAUACCCUAAAAUAUUUAUAACUUCAAAAAAGUAGUUAAACUUUUGACCUUGAUAUCAGCUUUACAGCAAACAACUUGCAGAUUUAAAUAUGAGCAUAAUUAUCCAUGGCAGGCAAGAGAAAAUGACCUCAUUCCUCAUUACCUGGUCAAGCUCUUAUAUUUCUGCUUUAAUAUUUAAACAUGUGACUGUUUUCCAGGAAUAUUAAAAGAUCUUGGUCCAUGGCUAAACUAACAAUCUCUUGCGUGAAUUUUAAGUGAAGAAAAUACCUAACUGUCACUGCUGAAUUGUAGAAGUCUGAGUAAACACUGCUAAAAAAUAAAAUACAUUCAUUUAAUACCACUACAAUAUAAAAUAUUUCUUUAUUUUCUAAUAUAAAAUUAUAAUAUAUAUUAUUAAAGUUAGUUGUUAGAUGAGAACAAAAAGUAAUCUUUUGUGGGAUCAUCAAAUUAGAAGUUGGAACAUCUAUUAUUUGAGAAAGUUACUAGCAAGCUUUUUUUUUUCUUUCAAUUUCUAGAGUUCUGCAUAAAAUAACAGGGAAUCAAAGUAUUCGCAACUUUUCAAGCAAAAUAAUGUGGAAAUCCUAAAACUAGAAUAUUCAGGGUGUAGGUAGCGUUGUUUCCAAAAACAUAAACUUCAGUGUUGUGUUUGUUUCUAGUUUUUACUGUGACAAAGAGAGAAGGACGUAAAUCUAUGUGUUUGUGGAAACAACAUAAACUUUAGUGUUCUGUGUGUUUGUUUCUAGUUUUUACAGUUGACAAAGAGAGAAAAACGCAAAUCUACGUAGCAAUUGAUGUGAGUGAAAAUGUGAGCAUAGAAGAGUGAGAAUUUACCUUUUCUUCAUCCUCCAACGUGUCAAGUGAUUUGUCGAGAAAGUUAUAGUAAAAUGUACUAGAAUGUACUCAUUUACUAUGUUGUCUUUGAAUAUUUUGAAGGAACCCACGUAAUCCUCUGUCACCUUCUUUCGCCGCAACUUAGAACCUUGUCACGGUACCAAUGGUUCCUGCGUCGCAAGAAGCUGCGGAGCAAAGCUUCAAUUUGGUGAGUGUGAGAUGGAGCUGUUGGAAUAAGGGUUUGAGUGGCUGAAUUGAUCAACGAAACGAUUCGAGUACGAGAACAUAGUGUUUAUAAAAGAGUACUAAUUAUUUCACAUGGGUUAAAUUAUAUAUUUUCCAAUGCCCUUAUUAUUUUACAAAAAUAUCACUGUCACGUUAGGCACUUAAAAGAAGUUGUAUUCCGGCACAUGGAAAAAAUUAAAAAAUUAUUUUCAGUUUAUAAAAUUAUGAAUAUUAAAUUUAUUUAUUUCUAUUUCAUAAUUUUAAAUAUUUUAAAUAUUGAUGAUUUUUCACCUAAAACUUUUUACAAUUAUAAAAGUUUGAUUUGUUUUAAUGCAAACACAAUUAUUUUUUCAUAAAUUUUUAUUUUCUAACAAUUUGACAUAAUCUAUAUUUUAUUUGCAACAAAGUUCUAAAAACAAUCUUUUAAUUACAAAUAACUAAAAUGCAUAAAUAAAAAAGUUAUAUACUUUUUAAAUAUAUUUAUAUAAAUAUAAUUUUGUGUAUUAUUUUUAUGACAACUUUUCAUAUUUCGACAAGAUUAAAUAAUUAUAUAUUUUUCAAAAAUACUAAUUAAAUGGUUGAAAAUAAUUUACAAAAUUUUAGUUAACCAAGUAACUCAUAUUUCAUUAUUCAUAAAUUUUGAAUUACAAUAUUUUAUUAUUCAUAAAUUUUAAAUUAUAAUAAUAAAUUUGUAAACUUAAAUUUCAAAUUUUUAAAAAAAAAAAAAAUCUCUCAAUUAUCGUAUCAGACACAAAUAAACUUUAUUUACAAAAUCAUUAUAAAUUACCUAAAUUCAAACAUACCCACUUUCUUCAUAUUUUUUUAUUAACUUCUCACACAUUCACGCUCUUAAUUUCUCAUAAUGUAUUUCUAAAUAUGAAAAAUAUUUUUAGAGACAAUGUUAUCAUUUCAACCAAUACCAUGAUCAUUGUGUCAAUUCUCAAAGUCAUUAUCAAAUAGGAGAUUAUAAAAUCACCUGAUCUCACAUAGCCAUGAUAUCUUUUUUUCUUUCCCUCAUUAUUGUUACAAUUAUAAACAAAAUUAAUUAUAAUUAAAAUUUCAAUUUAACUUUACGUGUGCAUCAUAUUUGUUCUUGUCGGUUGACUCGAUUGCCCUCGUGCCUCUAACGACAAUCACACGCCCGAUUCUCUCUGCCUUGGUUCGUGCUUUCCUUCGAUCGAAACACUCUGUAUCUAUAAAGACGAAGGGGGUCCUAGAGGCCGUUUGCAUUCCGACACUCAAGUCAAUACUGGGGCCAAGAAACAGAGAAAUGCGUGUAAUAGUUCUAGUCUCAAGAACUGCGUACCUUGUGGCUUUUCUUACUACCCUUUAUAUAGUUUAGGGUUUCCGCUGUUUCCGUUACCCGCAUUUAGGGUUUCUGAUGGAAUACUCUUGCGUCACUAUUACUCAAUCUUAGAGCAAUCUAGCGUGUAAGACUCCCUUACUGGAGUGCAACCUCUAAUGGAAUGGCCACCUGGGUACCAACUUGUGCACCUAAUCUCUGGAGCCAUCCGUCCUGGGGUGCCCUAACUGUUCACGGGUCAUGCAUGUACUUUGUCCUUGGAAAACGUAACUCUAACGGGCCUUAGCGCCUCCAGUUGUUCUUUACUUGUGCUGCGUCUGAAUGAUAUUACUGCUAACUGAUGUGGUUUUUGGAACCCACCUUUCGUGGUCCAAUUCAACUGUUUGACUCGCCGAUGUCCGAUGUUACAUCGAUCUCACUCUGUUGCCGAGGACACAUCGGCCUCACUCUGGUGAUCGACAUCCGACCACUAGUCGGCACCCUGACCCGUGCCACUUGUGAGACACUGGUUCAUACCGCUUGUAAGACCCAGCUUACGCAGCCCACCAUUACUGCAGUCAACAAUGUUCGAUGACUGGUCAGUACAAUAUUAAAUUAAUAACGUAUAAAAAAAUUGUCUAUUGAUUUAAACAAUUUUGUUUGAAAACAUAAUAUAUUCAUCAUUACAAUAAAUGUAUAUAUCUCGUCAUACAUUUUACUUUCUCAAAAUAUGCAACAUCAUAUUUCUUUAACAAUACUUUUUUUAUCAGUGUGUUUUAAAUUUUAUUUAAAUUUUAAAAAUAUUGUACAAGAAGCCUACUCGUUUGAAGCAAAUUUAUUUUAUAAAAAAAAUCUCCAUUUUUUCCGUAACAAGGAAGAUAAUGUAAUUCGGUGAUAUUUAAUUAGUAUUUUUCAUGUUAGGAAUUUGAUGGAUUUUGUGCAACUUUUUAAUAGAAUGUAUAAGUGUUGUACUUAUAAAAUAAUCUUAUCCAAAUCAUGCCUUCCUAUUUUUUAAUUAUACUAGUUCAUAUAGUUCCUUCUACUUGGGAAACCAUAUAGCCAUUUUUAUGCAGAAAGAAUGUAUUUAAGAUGAAAUUUUUCUAAACUAAUAGAUAGAUCGCUGUCUCCGUAUUAUUAAAUAGUGUAAUUGUAGUUUUGAGUAUAUCAUUCAAACAUAAAAUAAAAUAAAAAACAACUAUGAAGACAAUGUCAGUGAACAAAGGAUUAGUACAACAUAUCAUAAAAUUCCACAACAUUGAUUUUAUUUCUUUAUAUUUUUUUAGUUUUUAUAUUAAUUAUUAUAAUUUUAAAUUUAUAUAAAAAUUUAUGGAAUUCUUUUAACUCUUAUGAAUUCAUGAAAUUCUUUACAAUGUUUUAAAUUCUUACAAAAUAUUUACAUAUAGUGAUAUUCAACUAGAAUAAUUAGAUUUCCUAAGGCCAUAAAAAAAUACACAAUUGCAUUUAAUUGAGAUUUUUUACAAGUUAUAAAAAGUAAGAUGACAUAAAAAAAUUAUACAAACUUUAAUGGAUUAAUUUUAAAAUUUUUAUUAAAUUUCAUCAUUUAGCACUCAUCAAUCAAACUCAUUGAAUCCCUUAAGAAUUUUUUUAGACCUUCAUUCUUUUCCGUCAAUUAUCAAUCCUCAUCAUUUGACAUUACAAAAUAAUAAAACUCAACAAUAGAAACUAUCAAUCCUCAUCAUUUGACAUUACAAAAUAAUAAAACUCAUUUUCAAACAUUGUUGAAAUCCAAUAAUAAUAGAAACGAAAAAAAUGUUAUUAUAAUAACUAGUACAACAAAUUAUGAAAUUUAAAAAACCACUUAUUAAAAGAUUUAACACUUUAUAUUAAUCUUACUUCUUUUCAAUCCAAGUUUUAUAAUUUUUAAUUAUUUUUCAUAAACUCCUGUAAUUUUGAAUAUUCUCUAAAAACUUAAAAUUAUUUCCAAUCUCAUUAUUACAAACAAUAACUUUCAAAAUUCUAAAUUUUUACUAUAUGCAUACAUUAUAAUGUAAACUAAAAAAAUCUUAAGCAUAAAUAAAACUUCUAAAACAUCAAUAACUCCGAACAUUCAUGAGAAGUGACAAAAUUUGCCAAAAAAAGUAAAAAACUAUGUCAAAUGAUCUUUUAAAAUCUUAAUUCAAUGCACCACCUUAUAUUCAAUCCAAUACAACCUUAAAAUUGAAUACAGGCUUCCAGCAAGGCAUCAUAACAAGUUGGUAUUACCUUUCAAGCUUUCAAAAAAGAGAAAAAAAAUGAAUAUAAAAAAUGGGUGAAAUCAGACUCAGCAGAGACCUUCAUAAAAGUUACGUGUUACCAACGUAUGCAAGAGUAGCUUUCUCCAUUUGAUCAAUGCAAAUUCUUGUUGCUGAAGGCCAGCAGUCAUGUAUUCACUACUGGGUAGUAAAUUCCUCCGAUGUACAAUGGUUAACAUCCCUGUUUAGUUUUGCUCGGAAUGUGUAGAGACUUGCAUACCUAUCACUUUGGUGUCAUGCUUUCUCUUACUUCUACUGCGCCGGGAUCUAGGCGUUUUAGUCCUUGUAGAGGGCUUGUUUGUCUGCUCUUGUGUACCAAUCAACACUUUGUCAUUAUUAGAUGGGAGCUCAGGAGGAGUAUCUGGCCAUGGAGUGCGUUUUGAUGGGAUAGUGAUGUCCAAAGGAGGGUCAAUUAUCCAUCUGCAUAAAGUCAUAGAGUUGAAUCAUUUAGUCAGUUAGGGAUAUGGACAGAAAAUAUGCUAAAAAUUAUUAUGCUUAAUCUUGGGGAUACAUAAAUACAUGCACUAUCUGUCGGAUGCCACAUCAUAACUUACAACCAGAAAAAUCUGCAUGAUAUGUGCCGAAAUAAACAACUCCAUCAUUUCCGGAGAAAUUUUAGGGUCAAACAGGUUUUUGAAUACAUUUCCAGUUUUUGUUUCUUAAUUUUACACAAAACUACACAGGUCAUGUUAUUUUUACAGUACUUUCUGUACUAGUCAAACGACAAAGAUAUUUCGGUAAUUGUUUGGGAAAACAGUAUAUUCAUAUACAAUGAUAAUUCACAUAUUAGACGAAUAGCUUUAGUUUAUCCUGGGAAGAACAAAUUUCAGAAGCCAGAAAAGAAAAGAAGACAAAGAAAAUAUGGUGCCGCUUUAAACAACGCAUGUUAUUGCUUUCGUGUGAUGUCCUGAAAUGUUAAGUUUUCAGGUUGCGCCAAUGGUGGAACCAAAGUCUCAAUGUUCCUUUUUCCAGUUAUUGAUUACGUAACCUUUGGACAGUUCUUAAAUCUAAGGAUACAAAGAUCCCAAUCGAGGCAUUCCCAACAAAUGCUUGAGAUGUCAUUGACAAGAAGGAAUCCGACUAAUAGACGUUAACCAACAAUUACAAUCUAACAAACCAGAGCAUUGUAGCUUAGUCGUACUUUAAAUGAUUUUGAUACCUUCCUAAGAAUUGGAUUUUAAACUUAAUCCAACCUUACAAAAUCUGUUUGUAAGGUGAGAUUUACACCUACUCAUAUUUUUAUUUUUAGAAGAUGACAAGAUGCCUGUAAUGGAAACUCUCUCUCAACCAUGCUUCCCUGUUUCAACACUUAUAUUUAGUAACGCCUUGAAGACAACCAACACCUACAGAGAGAGUAUUCUAGACUAUCUAAAAGAUUAUCCCCUGUAUAAGACAAGCAAGAAGAAAAAAGAAGCAAACUUUGUGCCCAAUGACAUUGAGUCUUUCAGUUUCUCACUAUACCCAGUGAGAUACGUUUCAAACCAGGAUGAGAAAUCUUAACAAAUAUGAUAAUAUAGAAAAUCUAUAAAAAUUCUGGCACCAACUUGGCAGCAGUUUACCUUCUACGCUACAUUCUGCUUACCUCAGUCUUGCCUGUAUCAUAUUAGCUGGUGAUUCAGUAGAAUUUAAUUAAGCCAUAAAAUUACUGAUCGUCGUAGAAAACAAGUCUACACUCUACAUCAAUCUAUGCCCAAAUAUCAAUGCAAGAUGCAGCUAUUCCUAAUAGGAUAAUUCUAUGCACAGAAAUAUAGGUUCGCAUUAAGCACAAAACUGGUAAUAGGCAUUGUUCUUUGGGUUUGACAUCCUAACAAACACAUUUAAAUCUCUCAAAUGUUCAAAAUUGAAAAAUAUCCCAGAUAUCAUGCCGAAAAUUAAAAAAAAGAAUGCCAGACAGCACAUGGAAAUUGCAACUUAAGACCAUCAGAAAUGAAAACUCCAAAAUGAAGGAGAGUACUCACUGAGAAGGAAAUUUGCUGUCUGUGCGGGCUUCAACGCGUAGCCACCAAAGCAAAACGUGACGUCCACAGUUCCCAAGCGGCUCUACCAUGGACGUGCUCUUGAGCAAGGACAAUGGACUCUCUAUCCCUUCAUCAACCCCAUCCAAUUCAUCAAGAUCCUUAACCCACUCUGGCUUAUCAUCAACAUCCUUCCAAACCAACCUGGAAUUCAACACAAACCCAGACCACUCGAGCUUUGUUGGCAGCACAGGUGCCUUAUCAUCAAUAUAAACCGCACUCCUCCCUGUAUAACGCAGUGAAUUGAAGGUGUGCCACCCAACCAACUUAUCCGUGGCAUUACAAGCAGGACCCUGCACAGGCAUAACCGCACCUUCCUCCUCCAUUUGAACCAUGGAUGAAGAGUCAUCCGAAUGAAGCAAUAUUCCAACCGAAACAGCUCCAAUCCAUUUCACAUUCUGUGCUUCAUCAAACAACUCCAUACUAUGCAUAUUACUAUCAUCAGCAAACACCACAACUCCAUCCAGCUUCUCUUUUCUCACAACUCUGUUCAAAAUUAACCGAAUGUAAGUAACUCUUCAUGAUGCAUUUUCACUGUAUUCUGUGAUUAUGUCUCGCGCACUAACAAAAACAACACUCCAUAAAGUUUCUACACUCAACAUAACAAUAAUAACAUCAAUCGAGUAAAAGGAGGUAGCAAAAGUUAACCUCAAAGCAUGAAGUCGCAUCCGAGACUCGAGUUUAUGCCUAGCAUCCCACGAAUUCGGCAUUCGUUCAGAAAAGCCAACGUGGAAAGUUCUGAGGCCAGACUUGGCAAUAAUCGAGGCGGUUUCGUUGGUGACUCCGCCGGCCUCCACCACGAUCCACACCAGAUCGUACGGAACCAGCAUCAGCGCGUGCAUCACACCCGUCAAGUGCAGCGUCUGGAACGUACGAACAUACGUCGGCGUCACCGCGAUCACCGUCCUAGGGUUCUUCACUCCGAACAGCGACCUCUGCUCCCUCUGCACCCGCUCGAUUAUGCGGUGCGCCUUCAUCACCUCCACGGGAUCCGGGUGCGGCCAAGGCCGGAUUCGGAUCCCGUGCCGCCCGACCACCACACGGCUCGCGGUGCUCACAGCCGCCGUCCGGUUCGCCGCCGGAGGAACGUUAAGCGGGGCCUCGAUUUCAGUUCCGCCGCGGAAGGGAGCGGUGUAGAGGCUGGUGGAGAACAGGAAGAAGAAGACUAGGCGGGAGAAGCGGAAGCCAAGGACGAGACUGACGAGGCAGCAUAGACCGUGGAUUAGCAGCCAGAAAAUCGCCGCCGGUGACUUGACCGCGCCGUCGCCGGACGAAUCGAGCUGCGCGGAUCCUCUGAAGCUGUUGGGGCGGCGCGUGAGGUAGCUCUGCUGCAACGCGGAGAGCUUCAUUUUGUCCCUGUCUCUAAGUCAAAGAAAGAAUGUUUGUGACUUCAAGUGCCAACACUUACACUAUUAUAUGUUUUGAUUUCAUUUUAUGAUUCAAGUUCAUAAUAGAUAAGUAAGAGGCUUGUCGGUUAGAGAUGGUGGUUGGUUUUCCUUGCUGGUGGCUUUAGGUUGGUGCCUCUCUCUCAUUUAAUCAUUCAUCAUUUCUUUGGGUUUAAGGAUAAACCGCUUCCUUUUCUUCCUUUUUCUUAUUUUAAUUAUUCCAAUUCGGACACAAUUAAUUCUAAAUAACUAAAAACACAAAUGCUACAAUUCACCACACUCUUCGCGUGGUAUAUGGUCAACGUUAUAACUUCAUCCUAAGGUUAUUUUCAAAACUAUGUUGAGCACAAUCCAAGCAACUCAAAACUAAUAAACAAACAAAAUUUAUGGAUAAAAAUAACAGCUAGCCACAUUCAAAUUAAUUACUUGUUUCUAUUUCCGUUUCUUAUAGGAACCAAAUGUUUGGAACUCUUUGUCUUUUAUCUGAUCUUUUUUGUUUUCUUGCUAUAAUGUGUAUCCAACACCCUAACUGAAAGCUUCCCUGCAUUUUCACUCAACUUCCAUUUCUUACAAUUACAAGUUCUGGAAAUUUCCCUAUUUUUUGUUCUUUCCAAAUUCACGAUCUUCAUGUAAAUUGCAACCCUUGUUCUGAAAUUAGGAGUGGUAGUGGUAAAGGGUUAGUUGAAUUGGAAGAGAAGCAGUAGAAUGUCAAAAUCUGCUAAAGCUAUAACGUUAGACAUCUAAAUCAAAACGAUUAUGUCGUGUCUCUCUAUGUUUUCCAUGUUGGUGUGAUCCAAUAAUUAUUCCAUACGCAUAACUUUAUCCUUCAAACUUCUAACACUUUCACAAACGUCACGUUGCGAUUUACACAUCUCUACUCUUUUCGUAUUUCCCUUUUCCCACUGUAAUUUUUGUGUCAGUUCUUAAUAUGGGUUCCAAAUUCCACGGAAAGGUUUGCGCAAUGAAAACAAAAUUUUACCUUAGCCUAAUUUUGCCAUCUUCUUACACGUAAUCAUGCAAUGACGUUUCAUUGGCUUUCAAAAUUGGAAGAUGAAAACAACAAAUGUGGUUGGUAAGUUGUGAUAUGUCAAAAUCAUUGGUAGCCACAACAAUAUGCUUGCAAACUAAGAAAUUCUUCUUACCUCUUAUGAACUCCUCAUAUAAAUAAAAACCCGUCUUCUUAUUAGCUACUUCACUUGAUUACUACAUUUCACCAUUAAUUCAUGCAUGUACCAUUAUAUAGUUGUUUAGUUGUGGUGCCUUUGAAUGAGAAUAAUAUAGGUCAUAAGAAAAAAAUUGAAGGAUGAGGAUAUUGGGUAUGAAGCAAAGAUCAAUUGGGUUUGGUGAAAUCAUUGAACUCAAUCAUUAGGUUCUUUUAUAAUUUUUAUUUAAAAAAUCAUUAUACUUAUAAUUGGUGUGCAACAUGAUAGAAUGAAAACUUAAUAAUUGCAAGCGUAGAUGUAGGUUGCAAUUGAUGACUGAACAUGUUAAAUCUUAUAUUGUUUAUUUUUCUACAGUUGAUUCGUGAUUAUAUGUGUUGCUUUCCUACGUUUUUUUAUAAGGAUAAUCUCAACAAUAAUUAGUAAGAAAAUCAUAAGCCUAUAAUCCCACUAAAAGUCUCUAAGUUUUAUUUCUUUCAAUCUAUUUAAUUUAAUAUAUUAUCUGCUAAACAUAUUAAUAGGCUGAAUUAAUUUAAUUUUUCCUAAAUUUGUCGGUCAAUUUUUUAUUUAUUUAUUUUAUGAAUAAUUAAACUUUAUCGAUAUAUAUAAUUGAUUACUUUACUUAGAUCUCUUUUCUGUAUUAUAUUUAGGAAAAUCAAAUAUAAUAUUACUUAAAUUAAUAACUUACGAGUGAGCAUAGUUUUCAAGAGGUCCUGAACCAAAUUAAUUAAUGCAUGAGUUAACAGUUUUAAAUAUAAACAAUAUUCAGCUCAAUUAACUAAAGUAAAAUAAAAAAAUAUGAAAUUUCUUCUUUAGUGUUAACUAAAUAUAUAUUAACUGGAAGUUGAAUGGAGUGCAUUGAUUGUAAAAGUGAUUGAGUGUUGAAAAUUAAAAAGAAAAUCUGUUAUUGCAUAGAAUAUUAAACUUUGAAUAGACAUUAAAUUUAGCAUUAAAACAAAUAUUAUAUUAAAUUUAACAUUAAAAACAUAUAUUAUAUUAAUUACAUUGAACGUUCAUAAUACUAUCCACUCUAAACCUGUACCAUUCCCAUUCCAAGGAUUAAAUUUAAAUAUCAGAAGCUAGUUCCUGAUUAAAAAAAAAACUAUACAAGCCAAUUAUUCACUCUUAAUCUCAUUUAAAUAAUAAAUAAAUGAUGUCAUUUGUUCAAUUAUUUAUACUUAUUCAAUUGAUUUUUUAUUUCAUUUCUCUUUUUCCCUCUAUUUUUAUAAUUAUUUUCACAUCAACAAAGACAGUAUACUCAGAGCAUGGGCCAUUAAAUUUUUCAAAAUGAAACAUUAAAAUUUUAUUUAGAUUUAAAUAUGUUUUUAUAUCGAACUGAGCCGUAAAAUUAGUGUUUUAGUCUUUAUGCAUUUUUUAACAUAUUAUGAGUGUAAGUCAAUCUACCCUCAAUUCGCAUUAAUUUUUUUAUUGUUGUAUGAUAUUAUUUGUGGAUUAAAUAUUACUUGUUAUUUUCAUUCAUUAUCUAAUCAAUGUCAAUGUUAUAGUAAGCCCCAUUAAACAUACAAAUAAUGUGGGCUAUUGAAGUCACACACAUUUAUAUACUCAGUUGAACCCAAAUAUUCUUUUCAUAUAUUCAGAUAAAUUGCUUUUUUUUUAAUCUGGUUUUGAACUUAUCUUUCGAAAAGGAUUUUUUUAUUUUAUUUUAUUUUAACUUGAUUUUAUCCAAACAAAAGUUCGUUUACGAAUACGAAUUGUUGUCGUUUUCUAUCUUCUAAAUUAUGUAAUAUGAUUCGUUGAUACUAAUUUAAAACUUUAACUAAAUUAUUUAAUAGAUUGUGUAAUGUAAUAUAAUAAACGGACGUGUGUGAUGUUUAAUCCCGUAAUUAUUACAUCACUAAAUGCAGAUUUAAUGUAGUUAUCAUUUGAAUUACCAUUUAAUUUUUUAAAUAUUUGGUAAUACUAGAUAUACCUUUUAUACUAUUAAAAGAUUUAAAGUAAUAUACCUAAGGAUAUAUUUGUUUUCCUUCUUCUCUAAAGGUGUUAUUUAGAUAGUAAGUUCCUCUUAUUCUUCCUUUAUUCUAAUUCUCAUUCUUCUUCCCUUCUCAAAAACUUUUGAAAUGGAAUCGAAUUGAAAUAUCAAAAAGUAGAUCAAAACCUAAUUGGAAUUAUUUUGAUGUUAGUAAAAGACUUAAUCGGUGGGUUUUACAAUCAAAGGAGACAAAAGAGUUCUUCUAGGUAGUCAUUUUUAUUGUUUUUUUUAUAGUUCAAUUGGUUGUUGAUUUAUGUUCGUUUGAACAUGUACCAAGUAAUUGGAAAAGUUUUAUGUUAAUUUUGAGAGAUUAAUGAGGUUGGGAGUGGGGUGGAUUUUGGUUCACAAGAACCUUAAAAUCAUGAGUUGCAAACUUGUCCUCCAUGAAAAAAAAUCAAAUACUCAAAUCCGUAUCCAUACUUUUUAUAUUUCAAAUCCAAUUCAAUCAAUAUGAUUUACAUUAAAUAACAAUUGAAUUUUUUCAAAAUCAAUUUUUUCUAUAAAAAAUAAUUUUUUUUAGUUUUGGUUUUCUCAAUUUAAAGUGUUUAAGUUAAGAAUUAAACUUUGAACUUAACUCAAUCUUAUAAAAAAAAGUUAUAAUAGGAGAUCCACAUCCUAUAAUUUGAUAUAUCUCAUUUACUAUUUAUAAAUCUCAUGGUCAAUUCAAUGAAAAUUAAAAGAAUGACACCUACAAAUAAUAAUCAUUGAUUUUGUAUCGAGGUGUGAAUGACAUAUACAAGCAUGUGCUGGAUAAACUUGUAAGUUAAAAGAGCUAAGUAGAUUAUCAACCUAGUUUUUGGGGUUUUCAUAGUAACUAAUAAGACUAUGGAAUGUGGGUGAAUCCCUAUAAAUAUAAAAUAUUUUAAAACUCUGAAAAAAUUAUUUUUUGGAAUAACACACAUUCUUCAAUGAUCAAAUAUAGAUCUUAUAUGAAUGAUGAAAGGAUGCAACUAUAGGAGGGGAAAGUUUAUAUUUGUUCAUAAAGUGAAGAAUCUCCCAAAAGUUAAGUUUACCUAUAUUAUAUAUUAUGUAUAACAUAAUAUAAACAUAUAUAAACAAAUAAAUUGUUGUUGGAUAUGAUCAAAUCAAAUGUGGUAAGGACAAUUUACAUAGUAAAGUUCCAAUGAGUUUUUUGUUUUUUCAAUAGUUAUGCAUAAAAAGCAAUUUAGGACAUUUGUAGUUUUUUCCCUAUAAAUAUUCCCUCAUGGAAAAAUCCUUUUAACUACUCUAUGUACCCCAAUACCAGGUGAUUUAUAACUUUACCAUUUAUUAUUAUUAUUAUUAUUAUUAUUAUUAUUAUUAUUAUUAUAUUUUAAAGUUAUUAGGUUGUAUUUUUUUUAUCAGCAAGUUAUUAGGUUUAUGUUAAUUGUAGAGGUUUAUGUCAUCAAAGAUGAUGUUACCCCUUGUUCAAACAAUAUUUUAUUAAUUACUAAUGUAGCUAAUACUUUUUAUUUUAGUUUUAAAAUUAAUAAUGAGUAUUGAGCUAUAUAAUAUAUAAAUAAUAUAUUCAAACGUUAUUAUAACUUAACUCGUAUAAAUGAAAUAUAAAAAAUAAAUGAAAACUUGAUAAUUAUACAAUUGUUAAUGUUAUUCUUAAAUUACAAUAUUUUUAAAGUUAUCUAAUCUUAUAAAUAAAAUGCAUAAUUAUUUAAUAUCUAUGGUAGAUAGUGUAUGCAUAUGAAUUAAUCAUUUAUUAUAUCCAAGUAAUUUAAUUUUUAAUAUGGAACCAUAUAACAGAAAAAUAUGGAGUUAGAGAAUGUUCAAAUGUAGAUAAGAGAUACAAAAUUUGUAUUUUAAAUUUUUUUAUAUAAUAAAUCUUAUAUAUAUAUAUAUAUACGUAUAUUUUUUAUAUUAAUUAUAGUAACAACAGUGGAUCAUUGCUCUUCACAAACAUGUUUUAUAAAUUAGGGCCAAACUAAACUUAAGUUUAAUUUAAAAAAAAAAACGAAUCUUAACAUAUAUUCUUAACACACAAAAUUUGCACUCCAUGGACGGAAAACGACUUUGUCUAACAUUAAGUCAUAAUCAUGUUAUUCACUCUUGUACUCAUUUGAAUAAAUACAAAUAAACCUACUCAUAUUUAUUUAACAAUUUAUAUUUAUUUAAAUUAAAAAAAUCCUUUUGUUUUUCCUCACUCAGAACAUUGACCACUGAAGUACAACUUGCUCAAUGCAUGAACCACUCAUUUUUUUUAAAUUUAAUCAUUAAGAAUUUAUUUAUUCGUGUCCAUUUUAAAAAAAAAGUAUUUUUGUUAUUUUAUUAAUAAAAUAAUAUUUACAUAGCAAUAAAAUUACUAAUUUUACUAAGAGGUUAACUUUAAGUUUAACUCAAUUUUAUAAAACAAAUGAGAUUUAUACCCACUUAUAUAUUAUGAAAUUUCUUAGAUGAUAUGUUUUUAGAUGGAAUAGUUUGAUAAGUUUAAAAAACUUUUAUUAUAUAAGAUUUUAAAAAAAUCUGAUAUUUUUAAACUUAACUCAAUUUUAUAAAAUUAACAUUAAAAAUUACAUCUAUCAAAUAUUCUUAUAUUUAAUUGAGGUAAAAUUUCGAACAAACUUGUUUUUCAUUAAAAAUAACAUAAAAUAUUUUUGAAAAGCUAUAAUUUAUAUUCUUAAAAGUUUUGUAAUUGUUUAAAUAUUAUUAAGUUUUUACACUUUUAAUAAUUGUUGUUCCAAUUGAUAAGUAAGCCCAGCUAUAACAGAUGAACGCAUGUCAAUGUGGGCUAAUUGACGUACACAUAUAGUUGGACCCAAUCAGAACACGCACACAUGUCCAAUUACAAAUGGAAUGAGCCAUGUAAAUUGGUUGCAUUUUUUUCGAAUAUGGUUUUCAACUUGUCUCUAGAAAAUAUUUUUUUUGUAUACUUAAUCCAACGUGAUUUUCUCCAAAAAAAAAAGGUUAUUAUAUAUAAAUUAUUUUUAUUUAAUUAUUUAGUACACUUGUAUCUUUUAUAAAUUAUUUAAUAUAAUUCACUCAUACGGAUUUAAAAUUGAUUGUUUAAUAUAAGUUAAUUAUUUAAUAGAUUGUGCAAUUUAACAGGCGGACAUAUAUUUGCAUCACUAAAUAUUGAUUAAUAUAUUUAUAAUUUGAAUUACCCAUUUAGUUUUAGAAAUAUUAGCUGAUACUAAAUCUAAUUUUGUUCAGUGAAUGUAAGAUCUUACUUUUGACUCUUUUUUUUAUUAAUUUUAGUUUUGAUUAAAUUUUUAUUAUUUUUCCUAACUUACUAAAGAAUAAGACUGACAUAACCUAUGUUUAAUGUUAUUUAAGUUACAAGUGAGCUAACUUAGUAAUACAAGAUACGAGAUUUUAAGUUUUUUAUAUAACCUAAUCUUCACAUAUAACCUACUAGAAUGAGACCCUUCUAUUAUUAAUUUGUUAAUACUGGUAUACUAUUAUUUGAAAAUAAAAUGAACUAAUUUAUAUUUAUAAACUAUGACAUCAAUUUAUUUUAAAUUUAAAUUAUAUUAUAUUAAUUAUUGUUAUUAUGAGUGUUAUCUGCAAAUUAUACUGUAAUAAUUUUAUUCUAAGUUCGAAAAAAACCUAUUACAUUAAAAUACUAUUGAUAUAAUUAUACUUUAAUCUUCAAAUUUUAAAUUAUAUCUCUAUAAUUUAUAUCAACUUAAUUCAUUGAACGAAUAAAUAUAAAGUGAUUUUAAUGCGUGCAUACGAGUUAAAGUGCUUGUAUAAGCUUAUUUCCACUAUCCAUAAAUUCUAAUUCAUGUAUACUCUUAUCUUUCGCCCCUUCUCUAUUUAUUUCCAUUUUUAUAUUUUGAAUCUUUAUUUAAACGUAUCAGUUCAUCAGUUUUCAUAAAAAAAUCACUUUUAUUACAUAAAAAAACAUAUUUUCACACAACUAAAAUAAAUAAAUAAAUAUUAGUUCAAAUAAGGAAUGCUUAGAAAUGAAAAUAUGGAUUUUUGGUAUAUUUGACUCCAAGUGGCAUUCAUUAAGAAAAACAAAAUACGAUUGUUAUUCAAAUAAAAAAAAUAUUUAAAAAUCUGCUAUAUUAUAAUUCGUUAUCAUCUCUUGAUUUUAUUUUAUUUUAUCUUUAAUUAACUAAGUUGGCUAUAAUGUAUUUGGAUAAGAAUUUUAAUAAAAUAAUUCAAUCUAAAUGAAGUUUUAUGAUAAAAUGUGUUAUUUGAGUAAAAAUGUAGAAUUUUAUUAAAAUAAUUGAAUUACUUAAAAUUAGAUAAUUUCAAGUUUCAUCUAAUAAAUACAAUAAAAGUUUGAAAAUUUUCGUAUUCCCAAAAUAAGGUUUCUUUUAUUCAUAUACUUUUAUUAGCUUGAUUUUGAUUGAGACUUCAUUAAUUUAUUCAAGACUAAUACAUUAUUGUUGGUUUGAUUGAGAUUAUGGUAUCACAAUGUCAAAAAUAUAUCAAGAAAAAUAGUCUAAAAAUAUUUUUAAUAUUGAUGUUUUAGAAUUAUUAACCAUUAUUUAAUAUUUAGACAUUUUUUACAUUUAAUGAUAAUUGAAAUGUCUUAUUUAAAUAAAACGUAAAAUUGAAUGAAUUUGAAUUGUUUUAUUAAAUUAAAAUAUUAAAAUGUGGUUGACAAUAUUUUUAAAAUUGUGAUUUUUUUUAGUUGAAAGCAAAGGGAAACUUAUUCACAUUGUUGGCACUAUAUAUUGAAAGGUAUUAGUAGAUUUGUGUACAAAUAGGUAGCAUUAAUAAAGAGGGGUACGUGGCUGGUUCAUCUUGCCACAAUGUCACCUUCAUUCAAAGAAUUUUCAUACAAUUUAACAAUUCUUCAUAGUUAUCACUUUUCUCUUUCAAACGUGCUUUCUCAUCGCAUUCUUUUGACAAUACUUCAUACAAAAGUGGGUCAAUCAACUACGACAUUCAAUGUUGUCUCUUCGUUCAUGCAGCCAUGUUGCAUCCUUAUAAUUAUUCAAAUUUUGAUUUUUUUUAUAUAUUUCAAUAUUAGUUUUAUAGUUUUUUGUCCUCAAUUUUGGAAGUUUGAAGGAAGCCACGUAUAUAAUUUAUUUUAUUAUUAAAUAAAAACAGCUAUGAUAAAAAUGGCACGUGAAUGUCCUAUUCCUUUCCUGAGUGAUAUGAAAAUGUCAAAAUUAUCGUCUGUUGACUUUUGCAGACUCUUGUUUCAGCAGAGGCACAUGUGCUGUUUUUUUUCAUGAAAAUUUUGCAAAUUUUGAGAUUUUCUUUUCCUUUCGAUUCUAUGAUGCUGCUGUUAUUUUUUCAUAAUAACGACAACCUUAAAUCACGGAUAGAGAUACAAUACAAUGCUUCAAAAUUUGCUGUAACCGCAUAGUUACUGAAAUUCACGUACCACUUAAGUCAACUACCUCAUGUGCUUUAUUCAUCUUCUUUUUUUUUAAUCUAUUUUUCUAACGUAUAAUGUUCUAUAUGAUAAGCCAAAUUAAUUAUCAACUAAAUUAUAUUAUUUAUUUCAAUUUUUAAAUGAAAUUACAUUUUCUUAUCCACACAUAACUAUUUUUAAUUGUUUCACACGUAUUAUAUUGGCCUUUCAUAUCUAUAUCGACAUGUAUAUUACAUAUUUUUAAUAUUUAAAGUUUUAAGAUAUUGUAAGAAUAGCUAUUUUUUUUUAUAAAGUUUUCAUGUUAGAUUUUAUUAUGUAACUUGACAUCUUAACUAAACUAACACCUCAAGUAACAACAACAUCUGCUAUCACAUGAAAAAAAAAUAUUAUUAAAAAAAAAAAACAAAACGUGUUGUUAACUUUAAACUAAUUAAUAUACUAAAUACCAACUCUCUUCAAAUAAAUAAUUAUUUUAUGUUAACACUAAUCAUUGUAGUAUAAAACAUACAAAUGUGUUAUAAUAAAAAAAACAUAUUAACAAUAAAAAUUUAAUAAAAAAUUGAAACAUUAGAAAGUAUUUUUUAACCUUUUUACAAGAAAGUACGAACAAAAUAUGUGAUGUAUAAGAUUUGAUACAAAUAGGUAGACAUAUAUACGAGUUAGAAUGAGAAAAACUAACUUUUGAAUAUUUAUUUGUUAUCUAAAUAUAAAAUUUUAUUUUAUUGAACCAUUAUAAACGCUUAUAUAACAUUCAGCUUUUAAUUUUUAAAAGUAAUAUAAUUUUUAUGAUUCUAAAUGGAUCAUACAGUAGCUAUUCAUAUAUUCUUGGAAAUCUAUAAUUAGAAUAGUUGUACUGGUACUAACGGUUUUGAGAGAGAAUUAAAAGACCAUGAUAGUUUCAACAUACCACAUUUUAUAUUAUCAUUUAACAGCUAUAGAUACUAUUGUUUUAUUUUAAAAUGUUAUUUGUAUUUAUUUUUGUUAGUUAAGUAUAAUACUUUAUUUUUUUAAAAAUUGUAAAGUAUAUAUAAGAGAGAAAAAUGAUGUGAAAUGAUAUUUUUCUAUAAUGAAGUUAAUCUAAUAAUUGUUGGAAGUUGAUGUGAUGGUGCUAAUCAAAUUAGAGUCUCUUUUUAAAAUAAAUUAUUUAUUGUUGUUGUUGUUUUUUUUUAAUAAUAUUUUUUUUAUGUAAUAGUAAAUGAUUGUUGUCACCUGAGGUGAUUGUUAUUAGUUGAAGUGUUAGUGUAGCUGAGAUGUCAAGUAACAUAGUAAUGUCUAAUAUCAAAGUUUUUUAUAAUAAAAUAAAAAAUAAAAAAAAUAAAAAUAUUGUUGUUUAUUACGAAUGAUAAAGUUUAAAUUUAUUUGGAAAGUAUUACUUAUAGCUUUAUAUUUAACUUUGAUCUUUCAAAUAAAGAAAUUAAAUAUUCAUGAAUUCAUUAAUAAUUAAUAUUUAUAUCUAUAUAUCUAUAUAUAAAGGGAUUAUUUUCUUUAACUGUUCUUUUGGUGUUUAUCAAUUUUACCCUUAUAUUAAUAUUUGUUUUAUUAUUUUAUCUUGGACAUUUUAGUUAGUUUAUUGUUUUUUUUAAGAAUUUAAUAAAUAAUUAUUCUUAUAAUUAAUUGGGAAACUGUUUUUCUUUUAUAAAGGGAUUCCUUUUAAUUGUUUUUUUUGUGUUUAUCAAUUUUACUCUUAUAUUGAUAUUUAUUUUAUUGUUUUAUUUUGGACAUUUCAGUCAUUUCAUUAUGUAGUUUUUUUUCCAUAUCUCUAUCUCUCACGUGGAAAAAUGUGUGAUCCUAUUUCUCACGUACCCUACUUCCCAUUUUCUCUUCUCUUUCCUUUUCUCUUUCAUGUAAAACAUACUUUUAUUCUCACUUUUUCUAUGUUUUGAUUAAUCUUUGCGGAACUCUAAUUUGAUACUUUUCUUAUGAAAUUGUAAUUGAAGUUUGUGACUUGAUGAAGGGGAAGGACUUAACAGAAAGAGUUGCAGGCACCAUUACAACAAUCAGUAUUUUUCUUUAUGUGCAUUUCAAUUUGUGACACUAAUUUGACAUUUUUCUUAUGAAUUUGUGAUUGAUUUUUAUAAUUGAUAUAGUGUAAGAUACUAUUAAAGUGAAUGAGUUAUUGAAAUUAUUCUUGUUUGACUCUAAAUGAUGGAAUUAGGCAAAAUUAUGCAUAUUUUGCACUAAAUCUCACUCGAGCGAAAUAAUUUUUGCUCAAGCGAGAAUAAAAUGAAAAGAUGGGUGCUCCAGGGUUUGUUCUCGCCCAAGCGAGAAGGAAUCUCGCUCAAGCAAGGCUUGAGAUGAAAUUUUGGGUGCUUGAGAGCUCAAUCUCUCUCAAGCAAGGGAAUUUUCGCUUGGACAAGACCCAUUCACAUUUUUGCUCAAGCUAGCUUGUAAAAAAAACUUAUAUUUUUUAUUUUUGCUUUUAAAAGCCAGAUUUAUUAUUGGUUAUUGUUUUUAAGUGAAAAUUCUAAAUUUUAUUUAAAAAUAUGAUUAAAGAAACUUAGUUAUGAGUUUAAGUGAAUUUUGAUAUAUAUUUGGAUUGUUUAGAAAGUUUAAAAUGUGAUGUGAUUGAAUGGUGCAUGGAUGUGUUAAUGAUGUAUGUAAUGAGGUGAAAAUGUGAUCAAGACAUAGUAUUUUCAAGAAAGGAAAUACCGUGUUGAGAUUGUUAUUAGGAUGUAUUGAUUUGCGAGUGUCUUGUGAAUGAGAAGAUCCUGACUCUACUAAUAUAAUGAAAUUAUAUAGAUGAAGUUAUUCAAUUGGUGAGAGUCAAAGGAGGUUUAUCUCACUGAGUCUGAGGUUUGAAAGAACUGAUUAUAGCAUAUCAAAUUGAUUUUCCCUACCAUAUGAGACGAUGAGAUAUUAAAAUAAUUAUGUCAUGACUGUGUGAAUUUCACAACUAGUAGUAUGAUAAGUGUAGAUCUCUAGAUGCUAAUUUUAAUACACGAGUCUUCCAAAAAUAGAGUCAAGUGUCUAUAUGUUGUGAGUCAUUAAAAGUUUGACAUGAGAAAUAUGAAUUAUGAAUUAUAAUAGACACUCAAUGGUUUGUGAAAAUGCAUGAGAAUUGAUAGUUUUAUGUUGAGAUUUAAAGUUUUAUUUAUAUUUAAAGUUUUAAAAAUAGUCAUCUUACACUGAUGUUUAUGUAAUGUUCUAUUUUCUUUAAUAUGUAAUGAUAUUUACACGGAAGCGAUGAUGUUAUAGGUGAUAGAACUGUUCAAUAAAAAGCUGAAGUAUAAAUAUUUAAUUUUUUUAUUUUAAUCUUAUAUAAAUAUUUAAAAUCCCUAUAAAAAAUGAUAUAUUUUGAAUCAAUGUAUGAAAGAGUUAUAUAUAUUACACAUUAUAGUUAUUAGAUGUGGGAGAAAUAUAGGAAUGUUUCACAUAACAAUACUACAUCAAAAUUUUCAAAUUUGUGAAAAAAAUUAUAUUCAAUUUUUAAUUUUGAAAAAUAACAAUUUUAAUCCCCCACCUCCUCUCUCUCUUUAUAUAUAUAUAUAUAUAUAUAUAUAUAUUAUGCUCAAUGUUCAAACCUAAUACUAAGAGUACUUCUAAGAACAUUGAUUUAUACAGGUAGUAAGUAAAUGACAGAAAGUACGAGAGAUACUUUUGACCGUUCUUCUAUUUCGGUGAUAACGGAGUACGAAACACUGUUCACUGAUAUCAACAGAAUUAUUAAAUUUAUGUGUUCGUUAACUGCUAAUCACUACAUUGACUGCAGAAUUAAUGUUAAACAAAUUGUAUUCAAAUUUAAGAUCUUAAAAAUGUAUUCAAAUUAAUGUUAACUCAUUUUAUCAUGUUUAACUGAUACUAUUUCUAAAGUAUAUUCAUGUUGUUUAGUUAACACAAUUGAACUGAAUCAGUAAAACGUGUUGAACUGCAAUGAAUACCAGGAUUCGGUUCUCUUCAAACGUGACAAAUUAUUUUACGGUCCAAAUAGCGAUUUGAAAUGAACAAAUCACUACACGAUGUAUUUAUUUAUUUUAUUAUGAUUUAAAAAAACUCAAUUACAUUCAUACAAAUACUAAAGUACUACACACUGAAACUAUUUAUACAGUUUAUCACUUAGGUAUUUUUCAUUAAAUAAAUAAGUUUAUUGAUGUAGAAAUUGAAAAUAAAAAAAAUUGAAAAAUGACGUUCGAUGUAAAUGAUUUGAUUAUAAAUGAAAAAAAAAUUAGAAGAAAAAGACAUGGAGAAUAAAUAGAAUAAAAAGACGUAGAUGAUUGAGGAAUGGGAGAGGCGGAGAGAAAGCAGAGGGGACAAAAUGAGGGAAAAAAAAUAUUAAAAAGAAAAAUAAGAAAGACGACAAAGAAAGCAUUGAGAAUCCACGGUAGGGAAGGUGGUCAAUCCAAGUCAACUACAGCAUAAGCUGGGAACCAACGGAUCCUCAAACUUUUCUCACAGAUCCAACGGCUUAAACAAUGCCUUUGACCUCAGUUUAUAGCCCCGAUGCAAUAAUAACCCUCCGGUGGGACCCGGAGGCACAAAAAGUCAAUAUCUCCCCACUACUCACACUUCCUUCAGAUGCUUUUUCUCAACGAAAAAAAAAACAGAGAAAAAAAUAGUGUUUUCCUUUUCUCUUUUCUGAGUGGGCAGAGACCAAAAUACCCUGUUGCAGCGUUUGGAUCUUACAUUAGAGAGAAGCGAAAUUUGACGGAAACAGGGACGAGACGAGUAGGGUUAGCUAGCUAGCGUGACAGUACAGUGAGCUAGUGGACCAAACAAGCCACUAUUCUUUUUUUUUUUUUUUUGAAUUUAAAAUUUGUUUUGGCAUGACUUGACCAGGGUACCCUAUGACCCUCUUUUAUUUUCUUUUGGUCUUUAACACCUCCUUCCGUGUGCCCUUUCUCUCUCUUUGAUGCAACUAUGCCUGUGGAGCUCAUGAUGGGGUACAGGAACGACACUUUCGCCGAAGAGAAUGCGGUUCGUGAAGCUGCGUCGGGGCUAGAGAGCGUCGAGAAGCUCAUCAGGUUGCUGUCACGCGCCCAGCUGCAACAGCAGCAACAGCAGCAGCAGCAGCAACAAUCGCACGCAUCCAAUUCGAAGUCUUCCAUGGAAAUUGAAUCCGAUUACGGAGCUGUCGCUGACGUGGCGGUUUCCAAGUUCAAGAAGGUCAUUUCGCUUCUGGGCCGAACCAGAACCGGCCACGCGCGUUUCAGAAGAGCCCCCGUGCCUCCGCCGCCUCCUUCCGAGCCCAGAUUCUACCGCGCAACGCCGCUGCAGCAGAUCCCGCCGCCCACCGAACACCCUUUCAUCCCUAAAAAUGGACUGAUUGACACAAAGGACUCCUCCAAGACCAUCAAUUUCUCCUAUUCUAAUUCCUUCGUCUCCUCCCUCACCGGCGACACCGACACGAAGCAGCCCUCUUCCUCGUCGCCUGCGGCGGCGGCUGCCACGGCAGCGCCUUUUCAGAUCACGAAUCUCUCUCAGGUCUCCUCCGCGGGAAAGCCUCCUCUUUCUUCGUCUUCGUUGAAGAGGAAGUGCAGCUCUGAGAAUUUGGGUUCUGCCAAUUGUGGGAGUUCCUCUAGCCGAUGCCAUUGCUCAAAGAAGAGGUGGGUAUUGGUAUAUAUAUGUCAGUCUCUCACUUUUUUUUUAUCCUUAAAAAUUGUUUGAAAAAAAGAAUCUGUUUUUCUGUGAUGUCUGGUUCUGAUGCAUUCUUCUUUGGAUUGGCGUUAUGCAGUAGAAAAAUGAGGUUGAAGAGGGUGGUGAGGGUACCAGCAAUAAGUUUGAAGAUGGCUGAUAUUCCACCAGAUGAUUAUUCUUGGAGGAAAUACGGACAGAAACCCAUUAAAGGAUCUCCUCAUCCAAGGUGCAUAUAACAACAUUACACCAUGUUCUGAUUUAAAUUAUCCACCCCUUCAAUUUCAAAUUUCGAAAUGUGCCCUGGUUUCAUUAAAUUUGAUUUGUUUCCCUUUUUCUCUUUCCCGUGUGACUAAAUUUAGAAAGAUCUUGUCAUUGGUUGGUUUCUGUCCUUUCAUAGAGUUUACUAUGAAGUGGUGAAGUGAGGUUUAUUUUUGUCUGGAAUUAUUAAUUGCAGGGGCUAUUACAAGUGCAGCAGUGUUAGAGGGUGUCCAGCGCGCAAGCAUGUAGAGAGGGCUUUGGAUGACCCAGCUAUGUUGGUAGUCACCUAUGAAGGUGAACACAAUCACUCACUCUCUGCAGUCGAAGCUACUACUAAUCUUAUCCUAGAAUCUUCUUAGCUAAUUAGUCAAUCACCGAUUUCCCAUCACAGAGCAUAUUCUGAUCAUGUCAUUCAUGGCUUGUACACUUGAAAAUUUUACUCUCGAAUGAGAUUAAUUAAUUGAUGGGUGUUCCAUGUUCACAUGUUCUAUACAAUUCUAUUCCUUUUCCCCUUUUGUUCUCUUCAAAACAUGGACCGACCGACACUGAAUCCACCCAUCUUGACUGUAUAUAUAUUUUUCUUUUAAAGAAGGGUGAAGAUGGCGUAUUUGGUAACGGAUUUCAUUUAAUUUGAUUCAAAUCUAAAGAAAAAAAGAAGAAAGGAAGAAGUGGGGUUGGUUUUGUUCCUUUUUCUUUUCUUUUGUUUUCUGCUUGAUUGCUUUACAUGUGGUUCUGAUCUUGGAUGCUCAUGGCCUCUCUCAACAUUAAUGGAUGAAAAAGACGGAGUCAAAGAAGGAGGAACAUGUGGUGUUCAUUGCUAAAGAAGGUUGACUAAAAGAGAGAGUGGUUGGCACUUGGCAAUUGCCAGUUAGAACGGCAAAUUAUAGUGAAUGAACUGGGAAGGUGAGGUGAGUGAUGGGUAAAGGGCGCAGAAAGAGAGUUUUUAAUGCAAUUUUUGUCUCAACCAUUUGGCUUCUAGGAUAAAACUCUUGUUUGAACUAGUACAUUUGUUUAAAGUCUUUAAUGUCUGUUUUGGUUUAAUGUUCAAAACAUUAAAUUCAUGUUUAACACUUGUUGUAGCUUCUGCAUCAUAAUGCACUUGUUCUGGGGUUUCACUUUCUAAGUGAGUUUUACAGAAUUAAGGUAGAUUUAAUCUGAUAUUCUGAGUGGAAAAGCUAUAUGCCAAAGUCAAAAUGGGUGGGUGUGGAAUUGAUUCAGUUGAUAAGUUCAUAGACUGAAGGGUCCUACCUCGUUUUAAAUUUGUGUAGUUGUUUGUUUUCUCAUUGCCUUUGCCUUAACGUUUGCUUUCUUGAGCGUACAGAUCCAGUCAAAGCCCUCUUUUGCUUAUUCGUCGAUUUCGUUUCACCAUUUUUACCUGAAUGCAGCUUCAAUUUUUUUGUAUUGUUUUCUUCCCACUUUCUCGCAGCUCAUGUGAAAACACAUAACAAACGGAAAACUUUUUUAGAUUUUCAAAAUCUGAAUUUGGUAUAUGAUAUUUUUAUCUUAUUAUUGUUUUUAAAUUAACAUUAUAAAAAAAAAUUAGGGAGGAGAUAUUAAUAUAAUUUUCUCAAAAUUAAUUUCUUUUACAGCGAUAAAAUAUUAUGUUAUUUUGAUUAAAUUAUGUAACAUGUUAAGUAAUAAAAAAAUUAUUAUAUAAAUGCUUUUUUACUGGUUAAUUUUAAAAGCAUUUGUAAAUAUUUUUUAUCAAUUAAAUGCAUUUUAAUCAUUUAUAGGAAUCACUAUUUUUGGAUAUGAAAGAAUUUUAUUUUGUAUCAAAUAUAUUUUUUUAAAACUGUAUUGUUCGUGUAUCAUAACAUGUUCAAUCCAUCUCAUGAACUCAGUGGGAGUAAGGUCACUUCUUGGUUCACUUUUAUUUUAUUUUAUUAUUAAACAUUGGAUUUUUAUUCAAUUUUUAUGCUUAGAGUUUUCAUUAUAACUUUUUUUAGUUCUCUUAAAAAAAUAAUUUUUUUUAAAUUUUUUUAUUAUUAUUUUAGUUCUUGUAGUUUUAAUGGUAAAAUUCAAAUUCAAAUUAAAUAUACGUUAAAAUACAAUAUAUUUAGAUUCUUUGGCUAACUUUUAUAAAAUAAGAAAAUUGAUUUCUUUUUUUUCUUAUUUUAACAUUUCAUAAUUUCAAAUUAUUAUUAAUUAACAUAACAAAUUAGGUGGUUCAACUACUACUUUCAAUCUGGUCAAACGACUUGGUCAAUUCUGCUUUUCUGAAGUUAUUCUUUUUCUACGUUGUGACAUUGUGUGAUUUUAACUAUGUAACGCAUGGAUUAACUGGAAUCAGUUUAAUUAGUGAUUUAAAUUUUUUUUUAUAGAAUUGCGUUAAAUAUUUAAAAAUUGUAAUUUCUUAAAAUUAGUCUUCAUUUUUCCGAUAUAGUAGUUUUUUUAAGGAGAAAUCAUUAAUUUUUAUAUGCUAUUUUAAAAUUUUCAAGAUAACAUUUUUUUUCCAAUUAUACUCUUAUUUCCAUUUUUAUUAGCAUUGAAAAAGAUCAUUUAAAAAAUAAAAGUAAAAAGAGGAUAAUAAGUACUUAUUUAAAAUUAUACUGAAGAUAGAAAAAUUAAAUAUUAUCAUAGAGGGAGUAAAUAUUAAGUAGUAUGUUUUAUGAAAAAAAUGAUUAAAUUACAUUGGAUUGGUUAUAAAUACUAUCUGNNNNNNNNNNNNNNNNNNNNNNNNNNNNNNNNNNNNNNNNNNNNNNNNNNNNNNNNNNNNNNNNNNNNNNNNNNNNNNNNNNNNNNNNNNNNNNNNNNNNUCUAUUUAUCACUAUUAAUAACUAAUAAUAUAUAUAUAUAUAUAUAUAAUAAUUAAAAUAAAUAAUAAUAAACAAUAAGAAACAAAAAAAAUAAAAAAUAAAAUAAAUAUAUAUAUAUAUAUAUAUAUAUAUAUAACUAUCUCAUAUUAUCUUAAAAUAUAUUUAUCUUCACAAAGUGUUGGAGAUCCCACAUCGACGAUUAGAGCCUUUCAUUGUAUAUAAGUGGGUGCAAACCUCAACCCUAUGAGCCGGUUUUAUGGGGUUGAGUUAGGCUUAAAGUUCACUUCGUAAUAUGGUAUCAGAGCCAUUUCGAGCCUAUCCUAGCGAGUGUUUUCCGAUUUUAUGGGGUUGAGUUACUUCGUAAUACAAAGAUUUUAAUAUUUACAUACACAUAAAAUAAAACACAAAAGAAAAUAAUCAUCUCCAUCUUCCUAUUGUGUAGUUCUCUCACCUGCAACAUCAUCUCCUCUCGUGUAAACUCACACAAUCAUUACAUAUUAAAGAAAAAUAUUCAUAAACAAACUACGAUAAACUAUCUAUUUUUAAUAUAAAUUUAACUUUUAAUCAACAAACAUCAUUCACAUUACUCAUGUUAGACUUCUACUCCACAUACUUAGACACUUAACUAUACUUUCGAAAGACUCGUGCAUUGUCUUAGACUCAAAGAUUUGCACCUAUCAUACUACCUCACUGUGAAUCCACACAGUUAUGCGCAUAAAUAAUCUCAAUAUCAUAUCACCUAGUAUGACAAGGUUAAUUCAUAUAUGACCUGAAAGGCCAUGUUAUAUUUCAAACCAAAGCCAAAAUCAUAUGAAUCUCCUUUGACUUUCAACACAUGAUAAUCUUCAUCUAUACGAUUCUAAUAGAGGAGAGUCAUGAUACGUCCUUUUAGACGAAUUCCUAGUCAAUGCACGUCUUAAACAAUCUCAACACGAUAUUUUCUUUCUUAAAAAUACUAUGUUUUGAUUAAGAUUCAUAAUUCACAUUUCACAAUAUCAAAAAUUACACAAUUAAAUUAUACAAAAACUUUGAAUUUUAAAACACACACAAAAUUCAUUAAAGAAUCACAUAAAUAUCUAAUUAAAGGAUUUUUAAAUUAAAUAUACAUAACAUAAAAUUUUACAUAAGUUGUAAUUAAAAAUUAUAAAACAUAGGCUUGUUUGAACGAAAAUCUCUUCAUUUGAGCAAAAUUGAGUAUGGAACUCACUAUCUCAUACUCGCUUGAGCGAGAAUAUUUCACUCAAGCCAAAAUACCUUGAGCGAGAUAAGCAGGUUAAAACUGUAUAAAACUAUUAAAGAUUUAAGUUUUCAACAAAUUAUUUUCAUAAUCAAACAUAUUAAACAAAAAACAAUGAUAAUUCCUUGCUCAGAGAUGGAUAGUAAUUCUACUAAAGCUAAUAUGUAAAUUUGUAAUACCAUCUAUAUAUAUAUUCAACAUCUCUAUCAGCUCUAAUCGUCAAAUUGGUGAGUGAGGAGAUUAGAAUUUUAGAGAGAAUGCAGAGAAAAGAAAAAUGAAACUUCUAGAGAGAUGAUUGUUCUUUUAAAAUGAAACUUGAAUAACUGAAUUUUCUAUUUAUAUACUCUUUUCAUUUUAAUAAUAAAAUAUUCAUAUGUCAUUUAAAAUAUAACACUUCUAUUCUAAGAUUAUUUUCUAAAUUCUUAGAAUGGUUUCCAAUAACGAUUUUGAUGUUAUUAAAAACCUUUUUUUUUUUUUUUUACUUUAGGCAACACUCAACUAGAACACAUUUAUAUAACCAUUGUUUAAACAUAAAAAAGACAACAAUUUUAUAAGUGUGGUUAAGAACUACUAUGACAUAGUUUCUAAAAUCGUUACUUAUUUAUAUCACAUUUUUUAAGUGUUGUCUUUACAACGUGUGAGCUAAACAAUAAAUUUGUGACUUAAAAAUGCACACACAUAAAAGUGGAAAAGACAAAAUUUUUAUCAAAUGUGAUCCAAACCUAAAUGAAAUAGUUAAAAAAUCGUUGCCUAAAGUUUAUGAUAAUGUUGUCUAUCUUUUUUUAUUUAUUUAUAAAUAUGAUCCAAAAUGAUAAAUCCUCAUUUUUUUCACCUUUCAUUCGUCCUGUGAGAUUGAAACAGUGUUAAGAUAUCUGUAUGAACAAACCAAACACGUAUUCCUUGAAGCAUGAAUUCUCAUCUUAUAACUAAACAGUGAUUUAAACAUAUCCUCAGUGACAUUUAGAGUACGAAUUCUCUGAAGCAGUUACAAUCUUGGGUGCCAGAAAAAGAAAAAAAUGAAAAAGAAAGAAUGAAUUAUCUUUUACAAGCUCCAGCGAGGAAGUAAACAAUGCAAGUAAAAAGAUGAUAAAUAUCCAUUUUGCUGACUAUGAUAAAGCUUAUUGUAACGUUGAAGAUAUAGCAACUAAGACGAAGAAGCAGAGCCUGAUGAGUGGUUAUGAUUCUUACAAUACUUGACGCUACUUUCGUCCAUUUUUUCCAGCAUAUAGUGUCCCAAAGAGUGCGUUGUCUCCACCAAAUUUUCCUUGCACAGAAACUCGUUCCCACAAACCCUUUCCACUUUCCCUGAGAAGUCAUGCACAAACACAUGCGUCUUCGGGUUCCCACUCUUCUUGCUCCGGGCAAGCACGCCGGCGGUGAAGAUAGGCGACAUUCUGCCGGGAGCGUCCGGCCAGUCACCUCUUGGACCGUCCACCAAUAUCACAUCCCAAUCCACUUCAUAGACGUGGUUGGGAAGAUCGUUCAGUCCUAACUUGCACUCCGAAAACAGAAGAUUCUGCACUGGCCUGCACUCGUUUCCCGCCUGUUCUUUGGCCGAAGCUAUCAGCUCCUUCAUCUCGCUCCUUUUGGUCGUGUAUUGCACGUCGUAGGCAUCGAUUUCGGGGUGCUUUUCUUCGAAGUAUGCGGCGUAGUACCGGUUUUCGUCGAUGAAAACCGUUCUUCCGUUGUGGUUGAGGGCUUUCCAGAGGAGGGUCUCUGGGGUGAGGCCGAAGACGAGGAAGUUGCAUGGUGAUGGGCACUUUCGGAGCACGUCAGAGAUGGUUUUGAGAUCCGAGUGGGACAUGUGGUACGUGUCAUUGGAUUUUGAGGCGUAGUGGAGGAGGGUGUUGAUGACGGAGGAAGGCAACGGGGUGUUGGUGAAAGUAGAUAAAGGGGCGAAAGAGGUGGUGGCAGUGGUGGAUGAGGUUGUGUCUCUGGUGUAAAUGAGCGUGGCAAGGAAGGCCAGGGUGAAGAAAGAUAUGAAAGCUAGAAGCCAUAGGCGGUUGGAGCUUCCUUGUUUCUGGAUAUAUGGGUGGAGGAGGAUGAACUUUGUGUUGCUGGUAGUGUUCUUCAUGUUGGAGGGGUGAAGAGGUUUUGAAUGAAAAAUAUGUGUUGCUUUGGUGUGGUAGAGCUGCAGAUUCUGAGCUCUGGGGGAGAAGGUUUGAUUUAAAUUAGAAUAAGGGAGAGUGUGAAGGGAAAAUAUCAUUGAGAGUGACCCUACAAUGACCAUAUCCUUGCUUUGAGGUUGUGUUGUAGAAUUGAAAACAAUGUUAGAAGUUGUUUUUGGUGUGUUGAAUUUGGUUUUUUGCUUGAUUUGUGUAGUUGGUAUUCUGGAAUAAACAAUUCCAAAUAUAUGUGUAGUUUAAGUUGUGAAGGAUGGUUUAUGCUGAAGCAAAUAAGGAUGAGGAAUAAGGAACUGGGGUGGUUGGACUUAAGGUGAGAGAGAAGGUGCAGCGACCCAAUAUCUAAUUACAAACUUUAAGUCGCUUUUCCUUCGUCAUAUAAACUUUGGUUUCUAAGUCACCCCUUCGGGAACUUAUGAAAAAAGUAGCUACCUCUGAAGGGGACUCAGUACCUGCUGCAAUUUCUCUCCUUCAAAACCUUCUUCUCACACUUUUUUGUAUUUGGUUAUAUACAACAACGACUUCAAAGUAAAAAGAAAGUGGUAGUGAUAACAUAACUUGGUGAAAGUGAGAAUCCGAAGAAAAGAAAAAGAAAAAACGUGCACUUCUUUCUUCAAGCAAGAAGUAUUCAACUGUGCAACUACUUCUGACUUGCUGAGACUGUAAAGAGAAAAGGAACCAACGGUCAAAGAAGACUAGUUUUCUAGACACAGCUUUCUUUAGAAAAGCAAUGUUUAAUUAGUGACAACAAUGUAGUGUGUAUGCAGGUGAAAAAAGUAUUAUUAUUAGUUGCUUGAGGUGAAUUAGGUCAAUGUAUAAAUUUUAGUGGUGUAAAAAAAUCUAAAACUUAGAGUUGUAUGAGGUUUUAUAAGAUAUGAUGUAAAGUCUGUGUUUAAGGCUAAUAUUUUAGACACAGAACAUUUUUCUACCUAAAAGGGUACAAGUUAGUGAUAAUAAUGUAAGUUGGUGGCAAUUAUUACUUUAUAGUUUGAGUUAGUUGUGUGAGCUGAAUUGGGUCAAUGUCUAAAUUUCAGAGUAAUGUAAAUUUUGUGUUUAAGAUGAGUAAUUUUACAUAUAUAAUUUAUUUAAUAUAUAUGACUGGGGCUUAAUUUUCACGCUCUAUACUUUACCCUUUUUAACAAUAAUUAAAUAAUAUAUAUAUAUAUAUAUAAACUUUUUAGUAAAAAUUAAAUUAAUUACUAUACAAUUUUUUUUUUUAACAGUAAUUGUUCUCGAAUGGGUUUGGGGACCUAUAGAACGAUUGUUCCUGCUCCAACACUCUUGAAACUCUUUGAUGCCUGCUAUGCUUCCUUCUCCUUGACCAUCUUGCUCCUUAGGCGGAAUGAUACCUGCAGAAGGCAUUCCAACGCUCAAGUCAGUGGGUAUCGACCCUCGAUUGUCAGAGUACUGUAGAUAAUGACAUACAUUUCUUCUUGAAAUACGUGCUAUUUAUAUUACCUUAAUGGACCUUCACUGUUGGAUCAGAUUAAGGGGGUUGGUUUACAUUUAGGGUUGUGUUAAGCCAUCCUUAACCAUGAGUUAACCUUGCUAAUCUGGUCAACCUAUACCAACUUUUUAAAAACUGUAAUAUCCUGGGUUGACUGAAUUAAUUAUGACACAAACUAUCGUUUUUAAUUUGCAUCAUAAUUAGAAAGGAUUAUUAUCGUUUUCAAGUAUGUUAGGUUGAUUUUCUUUAAAAUUUUAAUUUUAUUUAUUUAUUAGUUUGACUAGCAUCACUGGAUUUUUACCAAUUUCACAGGUUUUUGACCGCUUUUUUAGUUGUUUAAUCAAUUUUUUUAGACUGAUUUUAUGGUUCAUUUGAACCACCUACAUUCUAGUCCCAUUAGUCAGUUUGAUCUGAUUUUCAUAUAAUAGAUAAUUCAAAUUGAGUUUUUUUUUAAUUAUCGUAAUUCAACUUGUGUCGUGGCUAAUUUUAUUCCAAUUAAAAAAUAAUAAUUUGUAUCACGAUGAAUUUUAUUACAAUUAAAAUGUUUUUUUAAAAAAUAUGUUGGAUAUAAAAUUAAUUAUUUAACUUAAAUGUAGUUUUGUUGCUUAUCUUAAAAAUAUUUUGUCCAUGUAAUUGAAUUAUCGACACUAGGGAAACACAGACGUCUUUGUUUAUAAUAAUAAUAAUAAAUAUAUAAUUAAAAUAUUAAAUAUUAUAAUUAUUAUUAAAAUACAAUUAUUAUGAAAAUAAUUGAUAAAAUAAAUAUUUUUUGUUACUUAUAAUUUAUUAUAGGUAAGUUUUAUGCAUAUCAUUACAUAAAGGAGAUAUGUUUUUUUAUUCGUAUAUAGUGUCAUCUUUUAUUUAAAUGUUUUUUCUUUAAAUUAAAUAAAAGGGAACAUAUUUUGUUUGUAACUAUUUUUGUUCUAACUUUUAAUUAAAAAAUUAUCUUUAAAUAAAUAAAUAAAUGUUUUAUUUAAUAAAAUAUGCACAAUUACUUUAUUUAAAUAUAAUUUGCUAUCUUUUCCACUUAAAUUAUAUAUACACGUAUAUAUAUUAAAUUUAAAUCAUUAUUUUAAAUUAUAUAUUUUUAAUUUAUAUUAUUUAAAUUGAAAAUUGCAUAUAACAUUAAUGAGAGCAUGUAAACUAUUUAAUAGAGUUAACAAAAUGAGUUAUAUUAAUAAGAAUAAAAUUAAUAACAAAUUAUAUAUACUAAAAGUGAUUUUUUUUAAUAAUUAGUUAUAGUUAUCCAUACACAAGUUGUGUUUCUUAUAAAGGGUUUUUUUAUGAAAAAAUUGAAGAUUUAUUAACUUAUAAAUAGUUGAAGAUUCUCCACAUUACAAACUAUAUUCAUAGUUUAAGUAAAUUUUCUGAAUUAUUCAUUUUGUAAAAGAUUUUUAGAUAUAUUAUAUUCCGAUUCACUAUUUUAUUUCUCUAUCUUUCAUAUUGGUUACAUCCAAAUAUAUUUUCGGGUUUAUUUUCCAAAACUGUGAGGAAACACUGUCUAAAAUGUUCAAUCACUAUAGGGUGUUUCUUCCUGCACCCCAACAAAUCUCUUCCUGCACUCCAUCCUUUUUUUGAAAAAACUGUUUUACUUGUCUUAUGGAUUUUUCAUUCUGAAAACACCAUGGCAAUUGCUUCCUGCACCAUAGCACUGCACCCGAUCUUAGCUGAAAAGACGAAACUGUCCUUAAAAAAAAUUUCCGAAAUAUGUGUUCCGGAUAUUUUUUUCCGGAACGAAAUUUUAUAUUACGGAUUUUUUUAUCCGGAAUUGAUUUUUUAUUUUUGUUUCCGGAUUUUUAUUUCCGAAACACAAUUAUUUCUUUUCCAGAUUUUUUUUUUUGGAAUGUAUUAUUUUUCAAUUCCGGAUUUUUUUGUCCGAAAUAGAAUUUUAAUUUUGGUUUCUGGAUUUUUAUUUCCGAAACUCAAUAAUUACUUCUGGAUUUAUUUUUCCGGAAUAUAUUAUUUUCAAUUCCGGAUUUUUAUUUCCGGAAUUAAGGGUAUUUUUGGAAAUUAAAAAAAUAUGUUGGGUGCAGGUUAAAAAUGAUUGGGUGCAGGGAGCAUUUGCCAAACACCAUUUGCUUAUGGAAACUCUAUUUUGGAAACAUCUUUUGUUUAUGAAACCUCUGUACUGGAGUCACCCAAAAAAUGCAAGGAUAAUAUUGGCAUUUUAAAAAAUGUAGGGUGCAAAAAAAAUGUAAAGUUAUAGAAAGAAACAGGCCUUAUUAUAAUGCAGAUUAUAAGAUGGAAGGGGAUUGGAAACUAGGCCUUUUGGAAAAACAAGGCCCAAUAAUUUUACGAGGUUCAUGGUAGGCUUUUUUUCUGUACCCCCAAAAUUACUAACUUACUAACUGCACCUCCAUGUUUUUUAAAAUAACCAUUCUAUUCUUCAUAAUGGUGACUUUUGAAUUACGUAUUUCAAAAAAACAUUUAGAACAAGUUUUUCAAAGUAAGUUUUCUAUGAACAAAUUCAAAACAUGAGAUAUUUUCUAGAACAUAUAUGUUUUUUUGAAAAAAACUUUUCAAAAACACAUGGAUGUUUCUUGAAACAAUAUUUUUAGAACAAGUUUUUCAAAACAUGAGAUAUUUUUCUAAAUAAUUUUUUUGGGACAAACUUUCCACCUAAUCCAAUUAUUUUUCUUCUACUUCAUAUUCUAUUUCACACUUUUACUUAAACAAGAUAAAACAUUAAAGUGAAAGUGCCAAUAUAAUUUGUAAAAUAUUUUUUUAAAUUGAUAUAAUCAAUAUAUAAAAAUGAUUUUCUUAAAUGUAUUUAAAAAUAUAUAUUACAAUUUAUAUAUAUUAAUUAAAAAAUUACAAGAAGACAGACACGUCAAUUUAUAAUAAAUAAAAUUUUGUUUUGUAAUUUUAAAUAUCGUUUAAAAAUAGAAAACAUAUUCAAAAUUUGACUAUCCGACACUGUUUUAAAAACAGGUCUACUUGUGAAAACAAAUUGAAAACGUUUGGUUUUAUGAACUGUUUUGGAAAAUAAAUUGUUUAAACGGGAGGUAUAGAAAAAGAAAAAAAAAAAGAAAAAGCCGACGAAAGGGGCACGUGAUGGCGUGUGGGGGCAUGAUAGCGUGAUUCUCACGCGUGAUAACGAUAAGAGAGUUUUUGAAUCCCUGACGAGAGAGAAUAUAAAGGGAUCAAAUGAGUCUGCGGUUUUAGAUGAAAUCUGGAGCGUCGGUUUUAUUGUGGAGAGAAGCGAGCGGUGCAGAAAACAGAGUUUGUUGAGUUGAGGUUGUAUUUGUACUGGAGGCAACUAGGCGGAGUGAGAGAGUGAGAGAGAGAGGGUAAGGUAAAAUCAAUUGUUUAUACUAUUUACUCAUUCAACUAACAAAGAUAUAUAAAGCCAGAAAACCACCAUUUUCAUUCCUACCUCUCUCUCUCUCUCUACUCUGCUUCUUCAGAUUUCAGGAGCGGAGAAUCGACACACACAGAGACAUGUCUGGUAUCGCUCGUGGACGUCUUGCUGAGGAGCGAAAAUCAUGGCGGAAGAACCAUCCACAUGUUCGUAUCCUAACACUUCCCCCUUUUUUUUUUUUUCUCUGCUUAUUUCUCGUCAAUUUUUCGUAUUCCCCUUUCCUUACAAUCUAUCUUUGUUUCUCUUAAUUUAGGGUUUCGUUGCCAAGCCCGAGACUCUCCCCGAUGGCACCGUCAAUUUGAUGGUCUGGCAUUGCACUAUUCCUGGCAAGACUGGGGUGCGCUUUUUCCUCUUUUAUUGUGUCCCCUUCUUCAUACUCUUUCUCUGCUUUUAUAUUCAAUGCUAACAUGAAAUAUCUUUGACUUUUUCUUAUCAAUUUUCUACUUGUUGCUUGUCUACAAAAGUUUAGUGAUUGGAAGUAAACUAUAGGGCUUGAUCUUUCCCACGGUUAAUAAUAUAAUUUCAGGUUUAUACAGAUUCAGUUUGUUUAACAUGCUAGUAAUGGUGUGCCCUCUAGGACUUUUGUGCUUUAGAGCCUUUCAUGUUAUGAGGUGCUUUUCUUAUCAGUUUUAAUGGAAUUAUUGGUGGUAUGGACGGCGUAAAUGUAAGUUUGUGCGGCGCAUGGUUUGAGGAUGGUAAAAAGUUCUUUGGAACUCUUCUAGUCGUGUGAUGCUUCAGGCUUAAGCCUUACAUAUAAAUUUGAUAGUAAAGGCACAUGAUAAGAAGCUUGAGAAAACCGCACCAUAAAAUCUGACCAUCCUGGCUAGAUUUUAAAUAUGUAUUGACCGUAUCAAUCCACACUUCCGUUAUGGGUCCAGGGUUUUAAAAGUGCACUAUAUAGUGCCGCCAUGACAGCAAGGCACUCCGCUGCAUGAACAUCAGAGAGGCGCUCUGUUAAUUGAUCAGCUUAGCGGAGCAUUUAAUUUUGUCUUUUCACAGUUGGAAUAGCAGGAUUUAUGAUGUGAUAGCAGUGCUCCAAUGAGUGUUGUGCCUCUUCCUUUAGGCUAUUUGAUCCAAUGUUGUCAAGAUCGCGAGUUAACUCGCCGAUCUUGCGUUUUUACGAUCUUUUUAGGCAAAAACGAGUUGGAUCGAAGGUGAGAUCGGACCCUCUCUGGAUCGGAGCGAUCCAGUAAACCAAGGGUUGGAUCGAACGAUCCAUGAGCUUCCGCGAUCCAUGACGCGGUCCAAAAAACACCCUAAUGCGCCGCUCGUGCUCGCCGCCGCCUUCGCGCACCACCGCAAACGCAUGAUGUGACGUCGGCGAAGCAUGAAGAAGGAGCUGUGGUGGCGGCGCCGCGCGUAAGGAAGGAGGAGCUGCGACGGCGCCGCGCAUAAGGAAGGAAGAGAUGCUGGCAGCACAUGUCUAAACCUAAAUUUUAAGAGACAUAACUUUGGGCCUAAGGCCCAUUUCAAUUUUAACCUAAUAAAACCUAAUUCAAAAUUUAAAUAUGAGAUGUGCUCUCUUAUGUGCAGCUGGAACCCUAAUUAAAAUUCACAGCUUAACCCUAAAUAAAAUUAACAGCUUACUCAAAAUUAGGUUUUUUGGGCCCAUCUAAAAAAUUACAAUUAUUUUCAUCUCCAACACAUUUUCUUAUCCUAAAUAAAAGUAUGGCUUACUAAUUUGGAUCGUUUAAUGAAUUAUCUUAUGUAUAGAAACUCGAAUAGUAACUCUUCCGAGUCGAAUUACGAUCUCCGAGUUACGAGUUUUUUUUCCCUCUCCGAUCCGCCUCCGAGUUACGAGUUUGACAACCUUGAUUUGAUCACCUCAGCCCUUUCACCAUCUUCUAUCGAUGCCUCCCUUCCUUGCAAACCUGUAUACGCAGCACCUAGUGAUACACUUUAGGGUUACACAGGAAAGGAAGUAGGGCUGGGGAACUGGGCUAAUGGUGACCCAAACGUUUUUUUAGUGUUUUUGUGCUAGGCCUAUGGGAGAAUUUUUUAGUCCAAUUUACCUUUCUUAAGAAAGUGAAAUUUAAACCUAACUCAAUUUCUCAAAACUGGUUUGAUAAGGUGAGUUUUAAACCUACUUAUAUAUAUUAUAAUUUGGUCAUAUUUAUAGUUGAUGUAUGAUUUCCAACAUACACCCCAUGUUGAAGAUUGAACAUCUUGAACGUGAGACUAGGGUGGAACUUGAUAGUCGAUGACAAAUAGACCCAAUAAACUUGACUAGGAUAGACUCUUAAUGACUCCUUUAUUAUCUUAAGAAAGUGAAAUUUAAACCUAAUUUAACAUCAUAAUUUUUUUUUGUAAUGUGAAGUUUGCACUCAUUUAUAUAUUGUAAUUUGAUUUUAUCUCUUGUUGAUGUAAGAUCUACAACACACCUCUUCAUUUUUAGGAAUCGAAAUUUUGAGCAUGAGACUAGAUAUUUGUUGGUAGUCCAAUUGUUGUCUGAUAACAUGUGACAUCUCAAGAAAGUUGAAUUUAAAAUCCAACUUAAGCUUACAAAGUCAACUUAAUAAUUUGAUGUAAUAUUAUAAUUUAAUUAUAUAUCUAUUUGGGAUUUGAAACAAACUUCUUUGUGUUUUUUAUUUAUUUAAAGCUCUCUUAUAAGGUAAUGAACUAAAUAAUAAUAGUAACUAAAAUAAUUAUAUAAACUAUUUAAAUAAUAACCACAUGAAGCCUGACUGAUCUCCUGCUUCAGAAAGAGCAUCAAUAAGGGCUUUGAUGUGAAAUAUGUAUUCUUCAAUAGUGCUAUUUUCUAGUAAUGAAUGACGAAGUUCAGAUAUGAGUUUUCUCACUCUGACACAAGUUUGCUGAUGGGAAUAAGAGUGCAUUUUGUCCACACUUUAUAAGAAUGAGUUGAUCCAAGAACCCAGGCAAGCAUAGAACUCGAUAAGGAGACAAUUGAAGACAUGCUAGAAGCAAUUGGUCUUGCUUUUCCAAAUCUAGAUACACUGGAUUUAUGUGAUUUUGAUCACAACACAAUUACUUUUAGAAAGAAAGCACGUAGGAAUAGAAAGAAAAACAACAAACUGAUGAAGGCUAUGUGCUUUUAUAACGGUUUCAAUUUGCUGUCGUCACAGUAAAAAAAUACUUUUCGUCUACCUUUUCAGUUAUUUCAAGAAAAAGUGGUUGGAGCAGAGAUCGAAAUCAAGAAGAAAAGUCACCAUCAAUUUUUUUUGUAAAAGCCAUGAUAAAAGAUCAAUGUGCUAUGAUAUCAUGAUAUAAAACACUGAUAAACUGAUUUUAUGAUGUAAAGAUCAAGGAUAGUGAAACUCUGUUUACAUAAAACUAUAUAUAUAUAUAUAUAUAUAUAUAUAUUUAUACACACACAUAGCUUAUUUACAAGGCAAGUUAGUCAUAACCAAUGAAGUCAAACUCGUAACUCGUACGAGGAUCGAAAAGGAGCUAAAAGAUCGUAAGUCGACUCGUUAGAGUUACUAACAUAAUAAUAUUCAAUACAUAACACAACUGAAAACAGUUUUCAUAAAUCAUAAAUUAUUCAUACAAAAAACAACUAACUUCACAAAUAUCUAAUACAAUUAAACUAUCAAAGGAAAUCCUUCAUAUUAAUUGAAGGAUAAUCAUCAUCCUCUUGUACAAGAUCUUCAUUUUUAUUAAUGUUAUCUAUGCCAUGACCUUCAUCAUCCUCAGCAAUUGGAGGAACCUUUGAAGUGCAUGCAAGAUGAUGCUUUAGUCUAUAGAUAUCCCCAGUUAAAAUCUUGUCACAAUAUUUAAACUUCACGUUUCUUGUUUUUCCAUCAAUAGAAACACAAUGAUUCCAUACAGGGUCUUUUUUGAUACCGUCACCACCUCCUGAAUCUAUAAUAAAAGGCAUUGUCUUAGAGAAAAAAAAACUGAACACGGUGACUGUGAUGGAGAAUGAGGGAGAAGAGGAGAACGUGAGCAGCAGCAGUGGCGUUGCGAGCGGCGGAGAUGGCGUUUGCGACAGCGGUGCCGGUGGAGUUUUGUGGUGCGAUGCUUGUUAUCUCUUUAGGGUUUCUGAUUGUGACUCUUUCUUCACUAACUUUCACUCUUCACUCUACUCUUUCCCGCUACACUCAUUUAGAAAUAUGAUUUGGGCCGCAUUGGGCUGCGCUAGGUUAAAAUUUUUUAGAGCAAACAACAUGUUGCACUAGGGUAUGAGGCAGCUCGACGAUGGCCUAUGAUGCGGCGAUCCACUGAGUUGGGCAGCGACGCGGUACAAUCUGCUCCGGUGCCGAUCCGCCGUCUGAGUCACCUCGGUUUGGCCUCCAAACUCGCUGCAUCGUACGAUUUUGCGAUUUUAACUACAUUGGUGGUCAUAACUGUUUAACUAAAACAGUUAACCACAUAGAAAACAAACUAUAGUAACUGCCUCAAACAGUUACACUAAACCAAAACAAAAAAAGACAGUUGUAAGAACAUAACUAACCAAUAACAUUGUCUAACAGAAGAUACAGUCACAAAAUUAAACUAAAUAGUAAUAGUACUAAAAACUAAAAGGAUGACAUAUAAUAUUGAAUUACUAUAAUAAACUAAAAUAGUAAAUGGUAAUAGUAAAGAAAGUUUUCUGAAUAGUGAGUGUCCCACUUUAGUGAUUGUGUCACCUGCUUCUCUGUAUUGCUAUCCAAGAUUUAAAACACUGUAAGGGUCUUAAGUCCUGUACAUUGGUAUUUAGCUAUAUAUUGGUUAAUAGUUAACAUGGUAUGUUAGAAAAAGAGUAACAUCAUUUCCCCUUAGAUGAUUUAUGUGCUGAUUUUUUCCAUCAUUUGGUUCAUUAGGUGGAAAAUAGGAUUUUUUCCAUUAUAUUCUUGUUCGUUCACAGUGGCAUUAUGUGCCUUCUUGGAUGUCCUGUUUUUUUAUUUAUUUUGGCAUAUGAUUGGAAGAAAUUUCAACUUAUAGUUUUACUUAACACGAAAAUAGAGACAGCAGGAUAGAAAACAAGAAGUGGGACAGUGAAGGUGUGAUGGAUUACACAUUGAACGUGGAAUCUAGUAAGAUUUAAAUGAGUGUGAUAAAUUAACAAAUCUACCAAAGAAAUCUAGUUUGUACAAUUCAUCUACCAAUGAUUUUAUUGGGGGUGAUUUAUUGUUAAAUGAUGCUUAUCGUAGUAGUGAAUUGUGUGGAACAGUGGCGCUAUCUUGCCAGAGCAUCGAGCUACUCCUCUAAGGGCCUUUAUAUUGUGCGUAGCCAUCAUGGCGACGACAUUUUUCACAUCCCACAUUUAUUUGCUGUGUGCUGCUAGUUGGCUGUGAGAAAAGUGUGUCAAAAAGAUGAUAUGAUUCACACCAGACAAAGACUUUUAGGAACCUAACUAACAACACUGAACAGUUUAUCUGUUUUAAACUUUAGCCAUUUGUGAUUUAGAUCAAUGACGACAACUUGUUUUGACUGGACCUUCAUAGUUUCAUUUCAAGAAUGGAUGGAUUCACAUGCUAGUUUUUAAUUUUUAUCUGAAUCAAAUAAUAAUAUAAAGUUUUUUUUUUCUAAUCAAUUUUAAAUAAAAUAUUUUUUCAAUCAUGAUGUUUUAGCUUUAGAAAAAAAAAAUCUUAAUUAAAAUAUUUUAAAAUCUUAGGCUUAAAUUAAUAAUGGGAAAGCCAGAACUUAAGAAAAAUUUUAAUGGCAGAACUUACUUAUCAUUGUUUAGUAUCAAAUAGAAAAUGUUCAAUUGAUUAAUUUGUGUGUGAUAGUUUCUUUAUUGCAUUUAGUUUGAAAUCUAUUACUAACUAAUCACUGUAAAAUUUGUUAUAACUUUUCAAAUACAGAUUGGUAAUUGAUAUAUUGAAUGUAGAAUAUUUAUUAUAUAUUUUGUUAUUUUUCUAUUAUAUUGUGAUAUUUAUCUGCUAUAGUUGGGGCUGUUGAUCCAUGCUAAUAUCUGCUAUAGACUACUUUGACGUCUACCAAAUAAAUCAGGUCUGGAUGUCAUGUAUCCGGGUAAAAAAUAUAUCAAACAUAGUAGGGAAUUAAAAAUAACUAUUGUUGUCAUAUAUAAUCUCUGCUUGCACCAUAUAAUCAAGAAGAGAUAGCAUUACGGAAGUUUAAAUAGAUUUCCUGUAUUUUACUUUACAAGGAUUGGGAGUAGAAAUCCUAUUUCUAUAAUACUUGUAUAUAUACCACAAGGGAUUAGAUUUGCAAGUGAAGCUUGGACUUAUAUACAAACCCAUCAACACCUCACUAACAAAAAUCAAAUCCAAUUACAACCACUACAAAAAUGCAAUAACUACUACUACAUAAUCUCUAGCACUGUAAGUCUAAAAUUAAGUAUUGUAAUAACUUUUUCUAUAGCUUCAAAUUUUAUGCUAGUGCAGUCUGCAACGUUUACCUUAUUUCUGAUCUAGUGGCUAUGAAAACUUUUGAAAGUUCAAUGCGUAGUCUACAAAACAAAUAUAAUACUUGCUUUGAUCAUUUAAACAUUGUUAAACAUAUAAAUAGUUGUCUAGAAGAAUGAUCAUCAUUAGAAAACAAUGAUUUCAUACCUUUUAGGAAUGAAAAGUAAAGAAUUUUUUACUAGGACCAAAAUCGAAUUCACUCAUUUUAUAGGGAGUGAAAACAUAUUUAAGCAUCACAUUAAUGUGUCUAGUUGGAUGAGAACCAUAUAUAUCCAUUAAGCAAGGGGGAAGGAAGGAAAAUAAAUGGCAUCUUGGUAGCUUAAUAUGGGAUUUUUGCAUUUAACAUGGUCAAGGUCAUGGAAAUUACUCAAAAUAUUUGAUCCCUAAGAGCUUAUGUCAUUGACUCAUGUUAUGUUGGAUUAUAUUUGCAUAUGAAUGAGCAAGACACUUAUUUAUUUCAUUAAAAUUAUUCUGUAUCUCACUUGUUGCAGACUGAUUGGGAGGGUGGAUAUUUCCCACUGACAAUGCAUUUCAGUGAAGAUUACCCUAGCAAGCCUCCAAAGUGUAAAUUCCCUCAAGGUUUCUUUCACCCUAAUGUGUAUCCAUCUGGAACUGUUUGCUUGUCUAUACUUAAUGAAGAUAGUGUAAGUAUAUCCUUCUGAUAAUUGCAUGAUUUCUUGAAGCUUGUAUGAUGUGAUUCUACAUGCUUCUGAGUGUAUAUAUAUUUAUAGAAUCAUUCUUUUACAUUUAGGGGUGGAGACCAGCUAUAACAGUGAAGCAAAUUCUUGUGGGCAUCCAAGACCUGCUUGACCAACCAAAUCCUGCUGACCCUGCUCAGACAGAGGGUUAUCAUCUAUUCAUCCAGGUAGCUAACCUUAGAAACCCUACACUUUUUACCGGGAAUUGUAUGACUAUAGUUGUUUGCGAAGAGUAAAGAUGGGCUGGCAUAAUUAAUCAACGCAAAGACCGGGUUGGGGUUUCAGAUUUUUGUUAUGCAUUCAUUACCAGAGUUGAGUGCUUAUAAAUAUUUUUGUGCAGGAUGCGACUGAGUAUAAGAGAAGGGUCCGGCAGCAGGCAAAGCAAUAUCCACCUCUUGUGUAGUUCUAUAUUUGCCCACUUUAGGAACUAUUCUAGUAUGUUAGUCGUUCAGUUAUUUGUUGUCCUGUGUUAAAACUGUUCUGUGAUUGUUGGCUGUCAUAAUAUGCAGACUCCAGGGUUUAACUAUUUCCGCUUACUCUCAGGUCUGGAUGAUAACGUGUUAAUAUAUUACAAUCUGAAAGUCAACCAAUAAUACUUGUUGGCCACACUUUCUGUGCCUGAUGUUCGUUGGUACAUUUCGAUGUGAAUGGAUAAAUUUACUGUCAUCAAUUAUAUGAUAUUAUGACUCCUUAUUCUGCUUUUGUUUCUAUAUUGGAAAUCAAACCUAGACCUAUUAGCCAAUUCAUUUGUGCUCCCGUUGCAGUAUAAAUUAUCACUGCGCUUUGGUGGCAUAUGCUGUGGAAGCACCUUGGAAAGUGAGAUGUUACUAUGAACAAUCGUACAACAAUCAUUUGGGAAAUGUGUUGUCUCAAAUUAAAAUUCCCUUCUCCUCACAUGAGAACUUUUUAAAUUACAAAGUUUUUAAUCAUAAAUUGUUUUAUUUUAAAUUCCUUGAUUAAACUCAGCAGAUCCAAAAACAUUGCUCUCAUUUUUUUUCUUGUUCUUCUUGAUUCAUCAACCACAAAAAUAUAAAUCACUCCCGUGGGCUCCUCGCACAAACAAUUCUACCUCAAACACUCUACUUUUUUUAUUCAACUCAUCAAAUAAAAACAUUACUAUAAGUCAACUGUUCAUCGGACUACAUAAAUCUACUAUAUUUCUAAUCAGGGUGGUUACUGGGAUUGAGGAUUUAAAAGAAUUUUUUACUAUUAAAAAUCAUACAGAAUAUAAUGUGUUGUUCCUAUCAUUACACGUCUCAUUCGACUACCUCAGAAGAAUUAAUCCUGCUCGAGCUAUUGUGACAAGUGUUAGCCUGAAGUUCACAUUAAAAAAUAUAUUUGAAGCGUAUAAAGAUGAGAGAAAUAUAUUUUCAUUUGUUACAAAUUUCUCUUGUCUAAUUCAUUCUUAAAGAAGCUGUAAUUUUCAUUAUAUAUAUUUUUUUACACUUUUAUUCUCACCAAGAGGAUAAUUUAAUGAAAAAUAUAAGUAGUUAUUAUUAAAUAAAGUGUUAAUUUCAUCUUUACUUUUCAUUUAAAUUAUUUUUAAAAUAUAUUCAGAAAUAUAACAUUUCUAAUUAUGAUAAUCUGAUUCUUGAAAAGGAAGCACGAGUAUGUCAAACAAACAUUUCUUAAUAUUUGUCUUUUCUUUAUUAUUGUUGUUUUCGUUGUUGGUUUUCUUGUGCCUCCAUUGGUUCUUCACCGCUGCUAGUCGCCGUUGUUGCUGUCGUGAGCCCACCGCUGCUUUUCACCAUUUCCUUCACGCACAAGCUUUUCACCAAGUCCGAAAAAGAAGCAUGAUGUUCCCAUUGACGAUCCUAUAGCUUCCUUAACUGCAGCUACUAAAGAGAUUAGUCAAAAUCCUAUGGACAUUGCCACUAUACAUAUAAAUGUCAGAUUUGAAGGAGUUGAAGGAGGGUCCAAUACAACGGCUAUGGUAGAAGUUGUCAUUUUAGACUGAAUGCAACACGACGGUCAAAUAGUCGCCUUCUUUGCUUGAAGAGAAUACUAUGCGCUAAAAUACAACAGUCAGAAAACUGUCGUUUUAACACUAAAAUAAUCAUUGUUUUUCACCUUUUUCCGCACCAGUGGUAAUUGGGCAUCUUCUGGACCCAACAUGCAACUUCAUACCAAGAAAGGUCUAAGCAAAAGGAAUUUUAUAUAUUAAAUAUUUUUUUAUUUAAAUAGGACAUUAAAUAAUUUAGGAUUUGUAAUUAUUUUAAAUUUUAAAUUUUUUAUAUAUUUUAAAAAUUUUAUAUAUUUUAAAUUUAAUUUAAAUAGGACAUUAAAUAAUUUAAGAUUUGUAUUUAUUUAGGAUUUUGAAUAUUUUAUAAAUUUUAUAUAUUUUAAAAAUUUAUUUAAAUAGGAUAUUAACUAAUUUAAUAUUUUUAUUUAUUUUAGAUUUUUGAAUAUUUUAGAAAAUUAUACAUUUUAGAUUUUUAUUUAAAUAUAACAUUAAAUAAUUUUUCUGACAAUCAUAAAUAUGUUUCGACAUAAUCCACAUUUUCCCAAAAAUAAUUCUUUAGACAUUAUUGAAAAUAAUAUUUUAGUUAAAAAUUAUUAUAAUCCACAAAUAAAUAAAUAAAAUUAAUUUUUCAACAAUUUUAAAUGAAAGGGUAAAUUUUUAAUUUUACAAAAAAUACAAUUUCAAUCACACCCAUCAUAUUCUUCAUAGUUUUCAUUGUAUUUACCUUAAUACAAUAAGAGUCUCCUUCACUUCCCACUUUCUCUUCAAAUUAUCUUAAAUUCACUCUCUCAAAUCCACUCCAUUAAAAAAAAAUAAAAAUCACAGUUUUUAAAAUAUCAAAUAUUAAAUAUAAAUUGGUCUCUUUUCAAAUGAUUUUAUUUUUAAAUAUUUUUUUAUUGGACAAUUCAAAUUUAGUGAACUUUUACACGUUUUAAAUAAAAUAUUUUAAUACCAUCGAAUUCAAUAAAUUACUUAAAUAUUAAAUAAUUAAUAAAAAAUAAAAAGAUUUAUAGUUAGUUUAUAUUAUUUUUCUAACAAAGUUCAUCGAAGUUUUCUUAAUUAAUAUUUAUUACAUUUUUUCUCUAUUAAACAUAGUUCAUGUUUACCACCACGAUGAUAUCAGUCAAGGUUACUGUUACACUAUAUAUGUUGAUGAUUGGUGGGUUUUCGUAGACUUUUUUGUUGUUGUUGUCCACUAAAAAUCCUCCCAAUUGAUAUUGAUAAAAACAAUGAGAUAAUGUUGAUCGAAAAGUUUUUAAAUAAAAUGGUAGUGAUGAACACAAGCAAUGAUUCUAUUCUAACAAUUUGGAUAGAAAAAAAAUGCUAUUUUGAGAAGUAAAUAUCACAUUCGACUAAAAAUUAUUUUUCCUUCCAUUUUUAAGAGUUGUAAUUACUGUAAUAUAAAGGAAAUGACCGAGGACUCAUUUGGAUAGCAGAAGAACUCACUAACAACAAUAACAAGGAAAACAGAAACAUCAAUAACAAAACCAUGCACUCAACAGUAAUUAUUUUAAGAAUUUCAAUUCUUAAAAUUAUUUAAUUUUAACCCUAUUUUUGUCAUAAAAUGUUAAAAAAGGCAGAGAAGCUUUUUAAAAGUAGACAUAAUGGAAGAAAGUACUCUCUUUUUAUUGAAUAAUAGAUGACUAUUAUAUAGCCAUUGCAGAAUAAAUAAGAAGCUAAACAUAUCAUAACUAUCAACAACUAACAAUGACAACACAAAUUGGGCAGAACUAACAAAUUCUAAAACUGCAUAAUAAUAGUUAUUUAUUUUGACUGAAGAUAAAACACCAACUUCUAUAAAUCUUAACAUAAAAGUGGUGGUCUCAAGGAGUGGGUGUGGUUUUCUGAGCUUUGGAAAGUUUGAUCUGGUUGAGUUCCCGAAUGAGUUCCUUCAUGUUGUUGUGUGAAGAGCCACCAUUUUGUAUAGCUCUCUUUGCAGCAUCGCUUAACGUCUUCGCUCUUCUCCUGAGUUCUUCACUCUCCUCGCUCAUCAUCACACCAAUCGCGUUUCCAAUGUCUUCUCGUUUCACAACUUCACUCCCAAACUGGUUCCAGUUUCUCCACUCUUUGGCCCCCACUGACACUCCAAUUUUCAGCACAUCCACCACCAGCUUCUCAUUGUAAAACUGCUCCGCAAACAGAGGCCACGUUACCAUCGGCAACCCCGCGUUCACGCUUUCCAUCAACGUGUUCCAACCACAGUGAGUAACCAAUCCUCCAAUCGCAGGAUUCUCUAGUAUCAGCAACUGCGGCGCCCAACCCCAUAUCAGAUACCCUUUCUUGCUUUCCUUCACUCUCUUCUCAAACUCUUCCAAAAAAAUUUCUCCUUCUUCAUCCCCGUUGUUUUUCCUCACCACCCAAAUGAAAUCUUUCCCUGAAUCUUCAAGCGCAUGCGCGAUUUCAACAAGUUGGGAGUACGGAAACCUGUUCAUGCUCCCAAAACUCACGUACAAAACAGAACUCUCUGCCUUAGUGUUGAGCCACUUAUGCCACCCUUCUUCUUCUUCAUCUUCCUCUUUAGCGUACCCUCGUGCAGCCUUGUCAGAAGCUUCCUGGUUCGCCCACAACGAAACCGGUCCAAUUCCCCAACUCUUGGUCCCCAUCACAACCUUGUAGUGCUCGUAGUAAGCACUCUCGAGGUCGUAGAAACUGUUGUAAAGAGAUCCGUAGCUCUUUUUUUCCGACUCCUUAAUCGUCUUCAUCAACUCCGUGUAUUGGUUCGGAGAUCUGACCCAAUCCGGCAACUGCAACCGCGUCAUCUCCAACCUAUCCGGCAAUCCAGGUAACACAAACCUGUCGCUGUCGGAUUUCGCCGCAAGAUGGGGUGCGUACUUCUCCACCGCGUGCGCAGCGGAGAGAGCGAGAUAAUUUAUGCAGUGAAACAUGAUCCUGGGAAUUCGGAGCUUGGCGGCGGCUUCGACAGUCCAAGGGUGGAACAUGUCGGUGACGAUGAAGUCUGGUCGGAGGUCGUGGAAGAGCUGUUCGAAGCAAGGUUGGAGAAUGGCGAGACCCAUGUAGAUUCUGGGGGCCAUCUCGGGAGGCGUGUCGACGUUGAACGCUUCGAUCCCCGGCGGAAGCCCCACUUGGGCGGCGGGGAAGUUAACCAAGUGCGUUCUGAUGGAGCGGCCGCGACUGGAGUCGAGGUCGACGGACUUCUGAAAAACGGUGGCGUUUCCCGGCGUGGUGAUUAUGGUAACGUCUAUGCCAUGAAUGGCGAAGAGCCUGGCCAUGUCCACCAGAGGAAUUAUGUGACUAGUUGACAGAAAAGGAAGGAAAACUGACUUUAGGUUUAGCUCACCCUCUUUCCCCAUUCUUAUGCUAAUUCUUAUUCUUCACAACAUAUUCUUCUUAUUCAUCCCUUCCUCUUAUUUAUAUGCUCGGGUUUUCACCCACCUUUUUUUUCAGUUUUCAUUAAAAUGGGAUAACUUUCAAAAAAAAAUUACAAAAAUUUGAACAAGUUUGAAUUUGUGUGAAGUUGACACGACUUCUCACACAUAAACCUUUAAAAUCGUGUCACGACACGAUUUUAUCCAUAUAUAUAUUAUUUUAUAUAUUUUUUAAAAUUUUCUUAUUUAGAUAUUGAAUAGUAAGUUAUGUAAUGUUUAAAAUUAAUUUGAUAGAUAAUUUUCUAAGGGUGUUAGUUUUAAGCAAUAAAAAAAAUGAAUAAUUGUGUAUGGAUCAUGUUUUACGGUAAUGUAAUAUAUUAAUUUGGUUAUUAGAUUAAUAAAAAAUAGGAAAAACAAAAAAAUGUUCAUAUUGCACAACCGAAUGUCACAAUAGAAGCAAUUGUCCGCACAAACAAACUUGAUAAUAAAAUUCAAUUUCAUGUUUGAUUAUUAAUUUCCUCAUUUUCUUUACCUAAGUAUUUAUUCUUUCAUAAAAAAAUUAUUUAUCAAAUUAAUUUCAAAUAUUACAUAACUUAUAAUUUUAAUUAUAAUUAAAUAAUUAUAAUAUAUAUAUAUAUAUUUAAAAACAAAAAAAAUUUUAAAAAAAAAUAAUGUGGACAAAGUUGUAUCAACUUGACACGAUUUCAAGUUGACGUAACAGAAAUCGUGCUAACUUGACACAACUUCAAACUGAUAUGACAAAGUUGUAUCAAUUUGGCACGACUUCAUAUGUAGAAGUCGUGCUAAGUUAACACGACUUGCUCCAGAUUUAUAAUUUUUUAACCGCGACCCAAUUUUGGUAAAAAAGAAAAAAAAGACCCCAUGAUAAAAAAAAAAAAAAAACCUAUAUCCUCUCAUUGUAAACACUGCAAUCUCUUCUUACAAACUAUCACGUUUAUUAAUUAAUAAGUAAACUUUUAACUCCAAUUCAAAAGUAACAAGAUAUGUCACUUCGUACUUAUGAAGCACGUGUCAAUCAAGGCCUUCUUUUAGAGUAUUAUAUUUUAUUCACCGUGUGCCUCGAGACUCUCGGGUACUUGGACCAUUCCCUCUAAGAAAGUUUUCUAAAAUCAUACAAAUAACAUACACUAAAAAAAUAAAUUUAUAAUCUUAUAUUUUUAUCCAUUAAAAAAUUAUAAUUUCAAUCACAUAUAUCACAUCAAUAACAAAUUUUUUAAUUUUUUUCCACAUUUUCCACUCUCUUUUCGUUGAUCUAAACAAUAUUUCUUUUACACUCUUCAAUCAUCUCUAUCGUAGAUUUUAAAAUAUUUAAAUAUAUUAAAUUGAUCUCUUUUUAAGUUAUUUUAUAUUUAAAUAUUUAAAUAUUCUGUAUUGAAUGGAUAAUUCAAAUUCAAUGAACUUUUAUAUUUUUAGAUAAAAUAUUUUAGUUACCAUCAAAUACAAUAAAUUAUUUAAAUGUUAAAUAAUUAUUAAAAAAAUUAAAGAUAUCUGUAGUUAGUUUAUAUUGUUUUUCUAUCAAAGUUCAUGGAAAUUUUCUUAAUUAAUAUCUAUUACAUUUUUUAUCUAUAAACAUAGUUCAUGUUGAUAUCAAUCAAGGUUACUUUUAUGUUGAUGAUUGGUGGGUUUUCGUAGACUGUUUUUUUUUUUCUCCGCUAAAAGAAUCCUCCCAAUUAAUAUUGAUAAAAACAAUGAGAUAAUGUUGGUCGAAAAGUUAUUUAAUGGUCAACAAAAACAGAUUCUAACAAUUUGGAUAGAAAAAGUUUAUUUUGAGAAGUAAAUAUCACAUUAGACUAAAAAUUAUUUUUCCUUUCAUCUUUGUAAUUAUUGUAAUAGGAAGAAAAUGACAUAUAUUAGAUGAUAAAUUUAUUUAUAUGUUAACCGAGAACAAUUAUCAUGAUACUGACAAGGUAUUGAUGAAUAUUGUGGUUGAUUCACGAAUCAGUGGAAGAUAUGGUAGAGGCAAAGGUCGCAGUUUUAAUGGACUAGGCGGAAGGGGAAAUAAUUCCCAUUUUUGUACGUAUUGUGGAAGAAAUAAUCAUAUAGUGGAUACAUGUUAUCAGAAACAUGGUUUUCCACGAGGUUACAAAUUCAAGCAAGGAGCAACAAAAUCUGCUCAUACGGCUGCAUCCGUUAAUUCUUAAGAAGAUGUUACUCCUUUCGAGGCUAAUCCACCCAAUUUUAACAUUCAGAUUUCUCAAGAACCGUACAACAGUUUAAUGGCUUUGAUCCAACAAUUAUCUUGUUAAACUCCUGCUUUGAAUCAUAUUUGUACGUCCCAAAUCAAUUCAGCCAAAUCAAGUAACUUUUCUAAUCAUUGAUUAUUAGACACAGGGCUACAGAUCAUAUAUGUUAUAAUAAAAAUAUUUUCUUCUCCAUUCAUAGUAUUUUGCAUGUCCUAGUCUCUUUACCUAACGAAAGUCAAUUAAGGGUUAACUAGUCUGGUACAACUCAAAUAUCUCCCUUACUCACUUUGACUGAUGUUUUGUAUGCAUCUUCAUUUCAUGUCAAAUUGAUUUAUAUUUCUAAAUUGACCACAAAUCACAAUUGUUUAACCAUUUUUCAACCUUUUAUUUCUUUCAUUAUUCAUACGUUGAUAUGUACAGCUGAGAGAUCACACAAACUUUAUCAAUUGAGGAAUUCUAGUAUCCAUCAGGUGUCACAAACAAAAAUUAGGAUGAGCAGACUUGAAAGUGAGAGUUCGUGUCUUCCAAAUAAGACUGCCGACAUCAACAAAUCUUGUGUAGAUAUUGAUAAUGCUAAACUUUGGCAUUUUCGUAUGGGACAUUUGUUUCAUGAUAGGUUGAAAAUUUUGUCUUCAUAUUACUCAAAUAUUUCCAUAGGUUCUAUUCAUCCUUGUGAUACAUGUCAUUUUGCUAAACAAAAACGACUAUAUUUUUCUUCUAGUCCUACUAAAUCAAAUUUUUUGAUUUGCUUCAUGCUGAUAUAUGGGGUCCUUUUAAUCAUGCUUCCUUUGAAGGGUAUAAGUAUUUUUUAACUCUUGUAGAUGAUUUUACCUGAUAUACAUGGAUUUGUUUAAUGAAAACUAAAGCUGAAACACGCACACAUUUACAAAAUUUCAUCAAUAUGAUUGAAAAUCAGUUUAAUAUUCAUUUGAAAGUAUUAAGAAGUGAUAAUGGUCCUGAGUUCCUUAUGACUGAUAUCUUUAAUAGAAAAGGGAUUGUUCAUCAAACUAGUUGUGUGGAAACUCCACAACAGAAUAAUGUUGUUGAACGCAAACAUCAACAUAUUUUGAAUGUCGCUCGUGCACUGAUUUUUCAGUCUCAAUUACCUCUUUGAUUUUGGUCAUAUGUUGUCAAGCACUCUGUUCAUUUAAUUAAUAAAACUCCUACUCCUCUUUUACAUGAUAAAUCACCAUAUCAAAUGGUUUAUAAUUACAUACCAAAUUUAUCUCAUAUAAAUUUUUUUGAUUGUUUGGAUUUCGCUACUACUAGUAGUGUUCAAAGAACAAAGCUUAAUUAUAGAGCUAGAAAAUGUGUUUUUCUCGGUUACAAAGAUGGGGUAAAAAGUUUUACUCUUUUUUAUAUGAAUCAGAAAAAUAUUUUUGUGACACGUGAUGUUAUUUUUUAUGAAAAACAUUUUCCUUUUUAUAAGGAUAACAUAGAUACCAAUUUGGACACACAUGAUAUGUUUAAGCAUUUGCUUCCUUCUGUUUCUGAUAAUGAUAUUGUUGUGCCUAACUACAUCUGUUAGUGAUAUUGUUUCUUCAGUUUUUGAAACUAUAUUACCAUCCUGCCUUCCUGCUAUUGAUUCUUCUACACCACUACAUUUAAUUGAUAUUGAUGUCUUGCAACACCAACAUUCUGAUCCACAACCUUCAUCUAUUUGAGUUUCUACUCGCUCAAACAAAAACCUGGAUACUUGAAGGACUACCACACUACUUUCUUCUCUUCAAAAGAUGUUAUCAAUCAUUCUUUAGGUACUAAAUAUCCUAUUCAAAAGUAUCCCUCUUAACAUAAUUGUUCUCCUAUAUAUUCUUCUUUUUGUCAUAAUAUUUCUUCUAUCUAAGAACCUAAAUCAUUUAAAGAGGUGAUGCAACAUGAUUAUUGAAAAGGAGCUAUGCAACGUGAACUUGAUGUUCUUUAGUCUAAUGAAACAUGGCAUUUGAUGGAUUUGCCUCUUGGAAAGCAUCCUAUUGGGUGUAAAUGGGUUUUCAAAGCCAAGCAUAAACCAAACGGUGUCAUUAGGUACAAGACUCAUUUGGUUGCCAAAGGAUAUACUCAGACCGAAGGUAUUGAGUAUUUUGAGACUUUGUCUCCGAUAGUUAAAAUUACUACCAUUCGAUUUAUUUUUUCUUUAGCAAGUGCUAAGGGAUGGAUUCUUCAUCAACUAGAUGUGAAUAAUGUUUUUCUUCAUGGCGAUCUUGAUGAAUAAAUUUACAUGACUCCUCCCACAAAUCUUACUCUCUCUCAUCCAACGCAAGUUUGUAAACUUAGAAAAUCUUUAUAUGGACUAAAGCAGGCGAGUCGACAAUAGACUCAAAACUAACUCAGACUAUAAUACAACUUGGUUAUGUUCAAAGUACAACUGAUAAUUCUUUAUUUAUUCGCACAGACAAUCAUUAUUUCACCGCUCUGUUGAUAUAUGUUGACGACAUUAUGUUGGUUGACAAUAAUCUUCAAGAAAUCCAACUUGUUAAAACUCAUCUUCAUAACUCAUUUAGUAUCAAAGAUCUCGGUACUCUUCGCUAUUUCUUGGGAUUUGAGAUAAGUCGUUCACCUUCUAGUAUUAUUCUCAAUCAACAAAAAUAUUAUUUAGAUCUUUUUCUGAUAGUGGUUUAUUGGCUUGUAAACUCGCAUCUUCUACCAUGGAACCAUCUUAUCCUUUCUCCGGAGCUGAAGGUUCAUUACUUUUGAAUCUAGGUGAAUAUAGAAGAUUGACUGGGCGUUUUUUAUAUAUACCUUACUCACUUUAGGCCUGAUAUCAAUUUUGCGGUUCAUAAACUCAGUUAGUUUAUUUCAAAUCCACGAGAACCUCAUAUGACAGCAACUCUUCGUGUAUUACAAUAUUAUAAAAGGAUGUCUUGGUCUUGGUCUAUUCUUUUCCAGUACUAAUCAAAUUGUUAUUAAAACUUUUUCUGAUUCAAAUUAGGGAACUUGCAUUGAUUCUAAAAGGUUUAUCACUAGUUAUUGUGUAUUUAUGGGAAACUCUUUAAUUUCAUGGAAGUCUAAAAAGUAGUCUACAGUGUCCAUAUCUUCUUCAGAGGGUGAAUAUAGAGCACUAGCUUCACUUGUUUGUGAACUUCAAUGGUUACAAUAUUUGUGUCAUGAUUUGCAUACUAAUAUUUCUGAAUCGUUUGUUAUCUAUUGUGACAAUAAAUCUGCUAUAUGCAUAGCAAAGAAUCCCAUGUUUCAUGAGAGGACGAAACAUAUUGAAAUUGAUUGUCAUUUCUUUCGGACUAAACUUCAAGAAGGUCUCAUUCAUUGAAUCUCAGUUUCUUCCACAAAACAAGUGACUGAUAUGUUGACCGAACCUCUCCACGAACAUGAAAUAUAUACAUGAUACAACUUGUGGGGCGCUAUUAGAUGAUAUAAUAUCUUAGAUUUUGAAUUUUAGCUACUCUUUCAGUUAUCAUUUGUAACCACUACGCCAAAAAUUUGAAUUAGCUGCAAAAAAAAUCAAAGGUGGUAUGUGGACUCUAAAUUUAGUCAACUAAGCCUUCACUAUUUAAAAAAAGCGUGGGAAAGCAUGGGAAAGCGUGGGUUAUACCCACGUAAAUUUUAAAAAUAAAAAUAAAAAAAUGGUUGUGUGGGUAAAACGGUCACUACCAAAAAUAUAAAUAAUAAUAAUAAUUUAACAAUUUGAAAGUUAAGCCCACGCUAUCUAUUUUAGAAUUAAUUUUAAAUAAAUAAAGAAAUUGUGUAGGUUAAACUCACACUAUCUAUUUUAAAAUUAAUUUUAAAUAAAUAAAGAAAAUGUGAAGGUUAAGUCUAUGCAAAGAAUUAAGUUUAAUUUAUUUGAAAUGUGCUCAGGGGCGUGGAGAAAAGAGUGAAAGCAUUUUGAAGUUUUCAUCGAAGUCGUCAAGUGCGACCUUGAGCAGAAUAGAGCGUGGGAAGAGUUUGUGAGAACGCGAGAAUAUGUGCGACCGUGAGAACGCGAGAUCACCUGAACGCGUGCGACCAUGUGAACUUGAGAACGAGAGUACGCGACCGUGAUGGAGUAGUCGAGAGCGUUACUAAAAUCGUGAAGAAUAACCCUAUGUUUUAUUCCGAUUUCUUUCUUUCUGUGUGUAAUUUUAUUUUUGAAGGUGUAGCCCUAACGAUUUCAUAAUGAUUUUAUUUUCUCAUCGAGUAAUAAAUAAACAAUAAAAUGAGGUUUUGAUAGGAAAGAUCUAUAUUAUCUCAUCACACUAAAAUGAAAACAAAGCUAUGUUCAAGGGGUUAUGUGAUUGAUAACAAAAAAAACCUAUGCUAAAUGAAAACAGAGACAAGCUGCCUCUAUUAUUUUAAUGCAUGAUGAGCUUUACAUCACACGCCAGAUUCUCUAUUAAUUAAUCACAUUUUGCUUUGGUCCAGCUCUUGUUUUAGUUAAAUCAUUUAAGUGCAACCAUUUCUAUCAAAGUUUUAUUUUGUUAAAUCAUUUAGGUGCAGCCAUAUUUUUCUACCUAUGACAAGUACUGUAUAUUUUUUAUUGUUAAAUCAUCAAAGUCCAAUACUGUCACAGCUGGCAAAUACUGUCACAAGGUGUCAAAACUGUAGCAUUUUAUUUCUUAUGUGUAGUGUGCGCUAGACAGAAAAAAAAUUAAAAUAUAAUUUUAUGUGGUUAAUGUGAAGGCUUAAUCCAUGUUUUUUUUUAAAAAAUUGUGGGCAAAACAUGUAUGUUAAGUGCUGGGAUGCUUAAAAAUUAUGUGGAUCCCAUAUUUUAGUAUAAAAAUAUAUUUUGUGUGGGUAACAUGUAGGCUAACUACACGUGUUUUUUUAAAUUGUGUGGCAAAUGGAUAGACUAAGCCCAUGCUUCUUUAGAUGACAAUAUAAAUAUAAUUUUGUGGGGCGCAUGUGAAGGCUAAGCUCAAGCAUAUUUAAAAAUUGUGUGGUCAUUGUGUUGGCUUAGUCCACGCUUUUUUCAAUAAAAAAAUAUAUAAUAUAAUUUUGUGUGUGAAGCAUGUAGACUAGACCUUACAAAAAAUGGUAUUCCACGCAUCUCUACUACUUUUUACGUUAAAUAUAUUAGCUUCCAAAUUUAAAUAAACUCUAACCACACAAUAAUUAAAUUUUUGCGAACAUUUCUCAUGCAUAAUAUCCGUUUUGGUACAUUCUAAUAAUAAAUGUAUUUCUUGUAGUGAAGUGUUAAAUUUCUAAAUUAGAUGUAUAAAAGUAAUACCACACCAUAAGAGGGCUCAUUUGGAUAAGAGAACAACUCAUAUUCUCAACCAUAACAAAGCCAUCUACUCAGAGUAAUUUUUUAAGAAUUUCAAUUCUUAAAAUUAUUUAAUUUUAGCCUAUUUUCUCAUAAAAGUGGUGGUCUCAAGGAGUGGAUGAGGUUUGGUGAGCUUUGGAAAGUUUGAUCUGGUUGAGUUCCCGAAUGAGUUCCUUCAUGUUGUUGUGCGAAGAGCCACCAUUUUGUAUAGCCCUCUUUGCAGCAUCGCUUAACGUCUUCGCUCUUCUCCUCAGUUCUUCACUCUCCUCGCUCAUCAUCACACCAAUCGCGUUUCCAAUGUCUUCUCGUUUCACAACUUCACUCCCAAACUGGUUCCAGUUUCUCCACUCUUUGGCCCCCACUGACACUCCAAUUUUCAGCACAUCCACCACCAGCUUCUCAUUGUAAAACUGCUCCGCAAACAGAGGCCACGUCACCAUCGGCAACCCCGCGUUCACGCUUUCCACCACCGUGUUCCAACCACAGUGAGUAACCAAUCCUCCAAUCGCAGGAUUCUCUAGUAUCAGCAAUUGCGGCGCCCAACCCCAUAUCAGGUACCCUUUCUUGCUUUCCUUCACUUUCUUCUCAAACUCUUCCAAAAACUUUUCUCCUUCUCCAACCCCAUCGUUUUUCCUCACCACCCAAAUGAAAUCUUUCCCUGAAUCUUCAAGCGCAUGCGCGAUUUCAACAAGUUGGGAGUACGGAAACUUGUUCAUGCUCCCAAAACUCACAUACAAAACAGAACUCUUUGCCUUAGUGUUGAGCCACUUAUGCCACCCUUCUUCUUCUUCUUCGUCUUCCUCUUUAGCGUACCCUCGUGCAGCCUUAUCCGAAGCAUCCUGGUUCGCCCACAACGAAACCGGUCCAAUUCCCCAACUCUUGGUCCCCAUCACGCCCUUGUAGUGCUCGUAGUAAGCACUCUCGAGGUCGUAGAAACUGUUGAACAGAGAUCCGUAGCUCUUUUUUUCCGACUCCUUAAUCGUCUUCAUCAACUCCGUGUACUGGUUCGGAGAUCUGAGCCAAUCCGGCAACUGCAACCGCGUCAUCUCCAACCUUUCGGGCAACCCAGGUAACACAAACCUGUCGCUGUCGGAUUUCGCCGCAAGAUGGGGUGCGUACUGCUCCACCGCGUGCGCAGCGGAGCGAGCGAGAUAACUUGCGCCGUGAAACAUGAUCCUGGGAAUUCGGAGCUUGGCGGCGGCUUCGACAGUCCAAGGAUGGAACAUGUCGGUGACGAUGAAGUCUGGUCGGAGGUCGUGGAAGAGCUGUUCGAAGCAAGGUUGGAGAAUGGCGAGACCCAUGUAGAUUCUGGGGGCCAUCUCGGGAGGCGUGUCGACGUUGAACGCUUCGAUCCCCGGCGGAAGCCCCACUUGGGCGGCGGGGAAGUUAACCAAGUGCGUUCUGAUGGAGCGGCCGCGACUGGAAUCGAGGUCGACGGACUUCUGAAAAACGGUGGCGUUUCCCGGCGUGGUGAUUAUGGUAACGUCUAUGCCAUGAAUGGCGAAGAGCCUGGCCAUGUCCACCAGAGGAAUUAUGUGACUAGUUGACAGAAAAGGAAGGAAAACUGACUUUAGGUUUAGCUCACCCUCUUUCCCCAUUCUUAUGCUAAUUCUUAUUCUUCACGACAUAUUCUUCUUCUUCAUCCCUUCUUCCUAUUUAUAUACUCUCAUUCUAAACAGUGCAAUCUCUUCUUAAGAGAAAAAAAAAAAAUUAUGAUUUUACUAAUUAUAGGGGAUGGAUUUAUAUGAUGAGAUUAAUGAUUGCACGAUUAAACAUAGUUAUGCUGAAGCUGUGAAGCACGAGUGAAUCGAGGCUUUCUUUUAGAAUAUUAUAUGUCACCGUGUGCCUCGAGCCUCUAAUGGGUACUUGGGCCUUUACUUGGGUUAAAUUUUCCUGUUUUGGUGAACACCACCAUUUUUAAAAUACUGAGCAUAUCAUAACCAUGUGCUGUAAUCAUAUGCGUGUAGAUGUAGAUGAUGGUGGCUCUGACAAAAUAGAUACUUCUACGUAUAAAAUACUACAAUUUACUUUAAAUUAAGGUUUGACAUAAAUCCUAAACGCUUUAUAUAUUCAUAAAUGUGUGUUUGUUUGAUUGCUUAGAACAAACUCUGUCUGAAAACGCGGAGAUUAGACAUGGAGAAGUAUAAUCGUACAAAGCAACUAAAUAUCGUAUUUAAAUCAAAACUGUCAAUACAUCAAACAAAAGUUUUACAGAAAAUUAAUUUAGUAUAAACUAUCAAAUUUAUAGUACUUCUUAGAUGUAGGGGAGUGACUUUUAAUAAUACACAGCUUUGGUUAUGUGCACACGAAACAUUUCUCGUCAAGGAUACGAGAUUGUGUGGACAAAUUUUUUUCAUAAGCAUUUCUAUAAUAACCCUAAAUCAAGAUUCAUAUCACCAAACAUUUCUUUACAAGUUAUAAUUAAAUUAUGUCUGAAUUCAUUUAUAAAAGUUCUCUUAUAUAGUUUUUCAAAAAAAUCCAUUGUUUAAGUUUUACAUAAAUUAAUUAUACCUUAUGAUUUUUUUUCUUAUAUUUAUCUCUUAUUGGAAAUAACUACGAAGAAAGUUGUUCAAAUCAAGUUUUUUUUCACCCUCAUAUGUGUUUUUAAUGAUAGUCCAAUAAUCUAACAAUUUUUAUGAACAUGCUGUAGAUAUUUGUACCGUCAUUAAGUUAAAUUAUAGAUUUAGUUCUUGAAAUUUGACAUAAAUUAUUUCUUAAUUUUUUAAAUAAAAACACUUAUUUUGUUCCCUCAAAUUUAGUAAAAUAUGAUUUUAGUUCUUACGUGUUAGUAAAAUAUGAUUUUACUUCUUACAUACUAAAUUUGAAUGAAUAAUAAUAAAUUCAAAAACUCUACUUUGUAAUUAUCCACUUAAUGUGUUUAGAAAUAGAAGUGGUUUAACCGAUAUGAAGAAUUUUUAAUUAAGUUUAUAUAUAAAGAAGUGUUAACUAUUUAAAUUUUAUUUUACAAAAAAUCACAAUUCUUCUAACAUAUUUUUUCUCUGUUUUUUCUUCAUAAUUUUGAAAGAUUUUUUAUUUUUUUAUUAAAUCAAAAUUCACCCUAGUGAUUCUGGUAGAGAAUGAAAUACUUUUAUCCACUCAUAAGUAAAUUUUUUUUAGCAAGUUUCUCUUUGUCGUAUUUUUUUAAGCUAGUUUCUUAAAUUGGUAUCAUGCUUAGGUUUUUAAUGAUACAUGUGUUGUUUUUUUGAUAAAGAUAAAUAUCUGGUAGUACAUGAGCAUGAUGGUAGGGUUGUGUCAAUGUGAGCUUUGAAUGUUUGUAAGAUUGAAGAAUCCAUUGUAGACUCAUAUGUACUAAGGGUUGUUUGACUUUUGGUGGAACCAUAUGAUUUGUGAUCUUGAAAUUGUUUUAUCAAAAUUAUUAGGUUUAACAUGAAGUCAUUUGAGGUCGUGAAUUCGAAUUAUUGGAAAUAAUCGAGUAUUAUCACUAAUAUCGAGUAGAGUCCAUUUAUAAAAGAUUCUUAAUAUUAUUUAAGUAAUAAAUAAAUACCAAGUAAGUAUUAAAUUAGUGAAAAAUACUCCCAAUUUAUAAAUUUGAGAGAGUCACAUGACAUAUACCAGGAACCACUUCAAUUACAAGUAAUAUGUCAAACUUUGCAAUGACAUAGUCAACGUGUGUCAAUAACAAUUUCAAUUAUAAUUAGUGGGGUCAAACUUCGCAGUUAAAUUAGUAUGGUUUUAAUUUUUUUUAGAAUGGUUGGAAUCCCACAUCGACUAGAGAUUAGAGCCUUUCAUAGUAUAUAAGUGAGUGUAAACCUCACCCCAUUGAACUGAUUUUAUAAGGUUGAGUUAGGCUUAAAGUUCACUUCGUAUGGUUUUAUUUAAGUGGAAUGUACAAAAUCCAAUCCCUCUUUGUGGGUCUCUAAAAUUUAUGUCACUAAAUAUAAUAAUAUCAUUUACAUUUUGUACAAUUUCUUUACAAAACCUAAAAAACGAAGUUCAGAAUUCGUUUUCUGAAAUAAAAUUUCAAACUAAAUUUGAUAAAUAUUUGGCAAAGAGUUUGAGUCCUGUAAUUUCUUUUGCAAAUGGAUAUUUUUGGAAAACAUUUAUGCAAACAGACAAUAUUUUUAUUUUAAUGUCAUAUUAAAAAGUAUUAUGAUUUAACUAAUUCUAGGGGAUGGACUUAUAUGAUGAGAUUAGUCAUCGCAGACAUAAUUUAAUUAAAAGAAUGUUUUGUGUUAUGGUUAAGCAGUGAAGCACGAGCGAAACGAGGCGUUCUUUCAGAAUAUUAUAUUGAGUGAACUCUAUAUUUUAAUAUAUGUCAGUGUGUGCCUCGUGUCUCUCGGUCAAAAUUCCUGUUUUAUUGAUCAUUCAACACUUGACAUACACAUUUUGGAACAGACACUAUCCAUUAUAUGCAUCUAGUCCAUUCUUAAUUUUUAAAUACUUUAAUUUUAACAUUUUUUAAAAUUUAGUCUUUAUGAAUACUAGAUAGUAUACAUAAACAAAAUAAUAAUUUUUAUCUUAAAAUAAUGUAAAUUUAUUUUAAUAAUUUCAACAUUAAUUAUUAAUUAUGUUAAUAAAAUUCUUUAUAAAAAAAUGCAGCAUGUCGUAAUAUAACGAAAAUAACAAGGUUAAAUAGUGAUGUCCUGAGAUAGAUCAGAGAUUAUUUAUGUGGAUUGAGCUUUAUCGUACCAAUCAACAAAAAGAAUAAAGGAAGAUUUCUGCAAAAGAUUUUUUGAUACUCAAGUCAUCGAAAAAUCUUACCAAGACUUGACAUGCCGUGAAUUCUCUUGAAAGAGAGGGGUGUCUUCCGGAUAAAGACACACGUGAUCUCAUUUAAGAAAAAUAAACUAUAACAAAAUUUUUAUGCAACAAUUCAAAGCAUUAUGCUAGUAUUCAACACUCUUAAUAGUUUUAUAUGUUCAAAUACAUCCAUUUAUAACUUAGACAUCAUGUUUCAAUCCCUUUGACUCAAAUUGACCAUUUAAAAUCCAAAUUACAUUCCCUUUAAUUAAAUACAUGUUUCAAUACAUAUUAUAAGUCGAUAGACUUUAAUAUAAUAUUUUUAUCUAGUUUUCAAAUCUCAAUCAAAUAAACUUUUAAUUUAGUCAAUUCAACCAAUACAAAAUCAUUCUCAAGGAUUUCUUCAACUUCCUAAUUUCAUGCACGUCAUCCCAAAUUCAGAUUCAAGUGAUUUCUGAACUUAUUAACAAAAGUUUAACAAAUAAGCUAGGAGAGAGUUAAAGAGCGCUAAAAUUUACAACAUAAAAAAAACUUCAAUCAAGGGUCAAACUAGUUACAAACAAUAACUUUUUAUAACUGUUUAAACCAAUAUUAUUAGAAAAAUAAAUUGAAAGAUUAUGAAAAAAAAUGGCACUCACUUUAAAUUGAAAAAUAUUUUGCUAGGAUUAAUCAUUAACUCCGUGAUUAUUGCAAGAUAAGAUUUGAUAACAUUGAAAGAUGUAAUAAUUACCUUGAAAAUAUUAACAAAAUGUGAGAAAAGAAAAAUUAAAAAGAUAAAAUCUUAACUUUUAUGAAAACAUAAUGAAAGAAGAAGACAAAUAAAAAUAUAAAAAAAAUAAAAGAAAAGUUGUUGGACUUGGCCGAAGCAAUCUUACAUAAAAUAAAAAGAUAAAUGUAUUAUUAAAUGAAUUUGUAUACUUUGUUUUUAUUCUCCACUUUUUUUUUUAUAUUUUGUUUCUAGUAUAUUUCAGAUAAACAUAUUGGACUUUGACUAAUCUAGUUAAAAACAACAAAAUUCGUUUGCGUUAAUUCAUUACAGUAAAAUUUAGAGUAAACGUUCCAAUAGACCUUAAACAACUAGAGAGUCUAGUGCAUAUAUUAAGAAUAAUCAUCACCUACAUUUUAAGAUCAUCAAAUCAAGACAAGUAGGUUAAAUUAACUUAAAAACAUAAAUUUAAUCAAUAAUCUCAGUUAAAAUUCAAUUAAAUCUGAUUAGAUAAAUUUUAAUUAAAAGAAUGGAUUUAUUCUUACUUACAAUCCAAAAAAAAACUAGGAUUGAAUAUUAUAAGUGAGUAAAACUGUGUUGACGAGUAUAGUUGAUCACAAUUAUAUCUUUAACUUUUAUUUAUUAUAUUCUUAUAUGAAUUUUAUUGGGCAUUGAUAUAUUGACUUUAGAAUUAUUUUAUAAUUUAAUUUAUUAAUUAAAAGAUGAUUGUACUAUUUUUUUUACUCAUAAUUUGUAUCGAUCGACUCCGGACGACCGAAGGUAAGUAUUAAAUAGCAUAAUACGAUAAAUAUGUGGCAGAGAAACGGUUACAACUAACGAUGAGUGAGUAAAAAACACUUUGAGAAGCACUUUCUUAAUAUCAGGAAGUCACUACACAUGACCUAAAGACCACUACUCAUGUCUCUAGCAAUCGGUUACUUGGCCCAUACAAACCAAAGCCCAAGUCAACCUAUAAAAGAGACUUCUGAAAAGGGGGAAAUGUACGUUUUAUGAUAUCCUGAGAGACUAAACUAAACACUAGCACUGACUUGAGCGUCGGAGUGCAAUCGUAGGUAUCCCGCCAACCGGACGAACGCGCAUGUGAAGGAGGAAAGACUCGAAGAAUUAGGUAGCUGCAGGCACGACAACAAUUGCGUAUCGAUGUGGAUCAAUAUUACUCUUGCCCUGACAUCCACCCAGGUACAUAAUUCAUUAUCAUACAUUUUAAUUAUUAAAAUCUGUCUCUCACUUCUUACUAAGUAGUGAUCAAUAAUCAACUUAUAAUUUUUCUUUUGCUAAUUAAAUUUGAAUUUGAAUUUAACAAAGUGAAUAACUACAUCCAAUAUAGAAAAAAAAACACUCUACAAAGCAAAAUAUUCUCUCUCUCUCUCUAAAUAUAAUAUAGGCCAAGCCCACUUGAGCCCGCUAAGGCACUGAUAAAAUAAAAUUUCAAAGCCCACAAACCGAAUAAAACAAUUGAAAAAAAUAAACGGAAAUUCUAGGGCUUUUCGCGUGUGAACUGAAUUCCAUGGACGACAUGGCUGCCUACUACUCACAGCCCCAACCGGCGGGUCUUCUCACUUACCACCAGUACUAUCAACCACCGCCACCGCCACCUCCGCCGCUGAUGGCGGUGGUACCACCGCCUCCCGGCGCGGUUGUCCCGCCGGCGCACCACGUGCAUCCGCCGUACGUGGCUCAGCAUCAGCAGCAAGCGGUGUUCGGUUCUUACGGUAGUCCUCAACCCUCCACGAACGAGGUUCGCACCCUCUUCGUCGCUGGCCUCCCAGAAGAUGUAAAGCCUCGCGAAAUCUACAACCUCUUCCGCGAAUUUCCCGGUUACGAGUCUUCGCAUCUCCGGAGUCCCACCAAUUCGUCUCAGGUUCAUUGCAAUUUUAAUUUCUUGGGGAUCUUGGUUUAUGAAUUUAUGUGAAUCGCUUCCAUGACGUGCUUUUUGUGUCUCGACAGCCUUUUGCUUUUGCUGUGUUCGCCAGUCAGCAAUCGGCAAUCAUGGCAAUGCAUGCUGUGAAUGUGAGGAUCUUAUCUUAUAGCAUAAAUUGUUUGUUUUACAUGUUGUGCUUACUGACAUCAAAUGCAUUUCUCUUUUCGUGGCUAUGCUUGUUUUAAUUAAUGUGGUUUGCAGGGGAUGGUGUUUGAUCUUGAAAAGGGUUCCACUCUUUUCAUUGAUCUGGCAAAAUCAAACUCUAGAUCCAAACGUUCUAGGAUAGGUGUGUAUUUUUAUUAUUUCUAAACUCCAUUCAAGGAAUUCUGUUGUCAUGUUUAAUAUAUUUCAGAUCUUCCAGUUGAAUUUUGUUGAUUGAUUGACCUUUACAAACAGAUGAUGACAGAGCUGGUGCCGAUAAGAAAGCUAGAAGUGUUACAUCAUCAUGGGCCACUCCCGAUUCUGGUAAGAUGUUGUUAGUUUGAAACUUGGUGCGUUGAUAUUGUCUGUGUAUAUAGAUUGUGUGAAGUUUUUUUUUUCAGUUUACUGUUGUUGUGUUAUGUUCAGUUCAUCGUUUAUUCUGUUGCUUUGAGGCCAGUUAGCUAUUGAUCACACCAAGGACACUUUUACCUAUGAGCUCACUUUGCACAUGUUUUGCACUCUUCGGCACUAUCAGGUGUUAGCAGCAUUCACAUGCCUGGAAUGGGUAAUCCUGCUUACAACACGAACACGUUUGGUUAUCCAUCUGCACAAAGGUCAUCUGCACUACUUAAUCACGGUUUAUUAUGUGGUAGUUGAUUGCUUUAUCUUUGAUAAAGCACAUUUUCCAAACAUACAUACAGUGUUAGUUUGAGCUUCUUGUAGAACUCUCUCGAUUAGAAGAAAAUAACUAAUGUGUUUUAAGUAACGGUAAAUGUUUUCAGAUUCAGACUUUGUAUUUCUUGCAAUCUCAUCUUAUUAUUUGUGUGUUUGUUUUCUGUAAUAGUCUUGGGAAUGCUGAUGGGAGUGCCAUGAGUGAUGGUCUAUAUAUGAACAUGGUUAGUGUUGUAAAUUCUCAAUUUAUCUGUUUUAUGCAUCACCUUAAAAAGAUUUCCACUAUGAUGUGCUUCAGUUGGUUAUAUAUACGUGUUAAAUUGAAAGUGUUCUUUUGUUUGGAAACAUGUCUCAAUUUUUUGGUUCUGACGAUCUUUAAUUGAAUUCAAAAGUUUUUUUUUUCCUUUCGAUGGUUUGGAGAAAAGCUAAUCCUAAAAAAAUAAGGCUUCAUUUCUCUUUUUGUUUCAGUAAAUAUCUUAGGAAAUAAGAGGUCCGACUUCCAUUUCUAUUCUAUUUGAUUUUUAUGUGUGGUAACAAAACAAUAUACAAGAACAGAAUGUAUAGAAAUAAUAUAAUUAAGCCAUAUUACAUUAUGCUCCCUUUUGCCUCUGCUAUAUAUGAAUAAUGACGUUCUAUUGUUGCUACUAGUAUUUGCAUAACAGUGUGUUUGGUUCCCAAUGGAUCCUUUAUAAUUUUAAUAGAGGAUAUGAAAGUCAAAUAUACUUUUUGGGCAUUUCGGUGUAUACACAGUGCAAAUAUCAUAAAAAUUUUCCCUUUCACGUUCUCACAACAAAGGAGGGGUGAGAUAAGAAAGAUGUGAUUUUAUCUGUCUUAUUUCCCUUCUAUAAAAUUUUGAACCAAACAAGAUAAGAUUAAAUAGUUCCCUUCCCGUCUCCAGCCUCUUCUCCCAACAUUGGAGGGAUGGAAUAGGAGAGAUGAGAUUUUAGCUGUCUUAUUUCCCUUCUCCAAAAUUUUGAGCCAAACAAGAUAAAAUUAGAUGGUUCCCUUCCCGUCUCCGGCCACUUCUUUUCCCUCCAACCUAACACCGAAAAUUUAUUGGUUAUUUGCACCAGUAUUCUUUUCUUGACUACCAAGUGAUUGGAUGGUCCUUCAGAUGUAAUGUGCUAAAUGGGGCUACAAACUGGUGUGGAAGUAAGAUGGUAAUCUUGUCAGAGUUUUUAUUCUCUGAUUCAAUAGUUCUCUUACGGGACUUGGUGCUUACUUCAGUCCUUGGGUGUAAAUUUGAUCUCUUUUAUUCCUUAUCUUCACGAGCUUUGUUUCUAGACUGUGUUGAAACUUUUGUAUAAUGUUCAGGUCCUUUAGUUCUUUGAUUAGGCAACUUCAACAUUAUUAUGCUUUACAUGAUGACUGUAUAAAAGUAACUUUUGGGGACGGCCUGAUACUUAUCUUGUAAAGCUAUUCUUCAUUCGCACACACAUAUCUAACCAUUUGUUUGCCAUUGUUGAAACGUGAUCCUAUGCAUAUAUGCAAUAAUAUGUUUCUCAUGUUUAAGUAUCAUGGUCUUCCUACAUGUCAUAUAUAUUUAACAGUACCUUAUUUAAUCUUAGAACUGCACAUUUACUCUAGAGUAAUUUUUUUUGUUUCUUAUCUUAUAUGUUGACAGAAGAAGUCUUCAACUCCUUACAUUCCUCAAAACUCCACCCCGUGUGCAACUUUAUUUGUAGCAAAUCUGGGGCCAUCUUGUAAUGAACAAGAGCUAAUGCAAGUGUUUUCCAGGUUGGUAGACGUAUACGCAUGAGGUGUUUUUGUAAAAUCUGUAGAAUUUGAUUUUGUUUCUAUGUAAAAUUUUGCAUCAGAUACCAUGGAUUUUUGAAACUGAAGAUGCAGAGCACAUAUGGGGCGCCAGUUGCAUUUGUUGAUUUCCAGGUUUCUUUUCGUUAUUUUAUUUUUUGCACUGCAUACAACUACUAAAUGGGAGUUUUUUUGUCGUUUAGCAUCCAGAAAGCCCCGUAUACAUUACAUGAUACAGUUACAGGGAUAUGGGGAAUAUGAAACAAAUAUUAACAUUCACAUUACGAAGGAAAAAUUAUGUAUAAUAUUUGUGAAGAGACAUUCACAUUACGAAUUGCUCAUUAAUACAUGAACGUAUCAAUAAUCAAUGUAUAAUUAUUACAAUUGACCAAAAAGAUAUUGUGGUCAUAACAAGUACACACAGUUGCAUAUCUAUCCCCCAUUCAUAUCCAGAGUAUUUUCUUUUAGUAUGAACAUGACACAAAAAAACAUACAAUUUCCUUGCCCAAGCUAGCAUGUCAUACUAAACAUCACUAGUCCAAUCAAAAAGUUUUGGCCCCAUAGAAUCUGAGAAUGACAAGCCCUUGUUCAUCGUUUGGAAGGGACACUCAUUUUUAGCAAUAUACCUUCCUGGGUGUCUUUUAAACAAUGAGAAAACUACUUGAGAUACAAAACUGUGUCUUGGAUUUUGAUUUUUUUAAUGGGUAUCGGACAUGUUUCAGUAUUGGAUGCUUCAGAUACCUAUUUUUAUAGUAUCUUUACUUCACAGCCCAACACAUUCCUGUAUCAAUUUCCUAUUAUGAAUGGACUCCCUAGGCCUUUUAUCUCUCUAUCCAUUUAAAAUCCAACUCAUUGCAUGUAAUAAUGAUGACAUCUAACAUGAAAACUGUUGCAAAGGUCAUGUUUAAAAAGGCAGAAAAGUAGAUUGGCCAGUUGCUUGAUUUCAUUUGGAGGUUUACUCUGAGCAGUCAUGUAAGUAUAUACUCUUAACGCCCAUAGUAUAUGUGCAGGAUGCCAGUAGCUCAACUGAAGCUCUAAACAGUUUGCAAGGCUCAAUUCUUCACUCUUCACAAACUGGCGAGGGAAUGCGUUUAGAGUAUCCUUUGGUCCUCUUCGCUUUUGUUCUCAUUCUGUUAUUUUUUGUGAUUUUGGUACCCAAUGUUUGGUAUUGCUUAACAAGAACCUUAGAUAUGCUAAAUCACGGAUGGGCAUGCGGAAGAAGCCAAAGUAACUUACACGCUGGAAAAAUAGAAAAUGGAAAAAGGUAAAAGAAAACACGAGAUUCACUCGUGACGCCUUCGGGCUGCACAAUGAGUUGUUAUUUGCGGCUACAAUAGAGAAUGGAAGCUGGGUUACCUUCAUCCCAAAUCCAAAAUUUGCAAAACUUAUUCAGUAUUUCGGAAAUAGAAAAAAUAGGACACAAGUUAAAUGCUUGUUGUUCGACAGUCAUCAGUCAUCUUCUCGUGUAUUUUAUCUACUGUAAAUUUAUAUAAAACUGCAAUUUACUUUACAGCUCUUGAAACACUGCUCAAAAUAUUAUUAACUUUAUUUGUAUUUUAUCAUUUGUACUUGGGGAAUCUUUUUCGUGUAGUUUGUAUUUGUAUAUUAGAGCUUAUAAAUUUUAUGGUGAAAUUCAAUAGGUAAAACAUUCUUCAUUUGAGAUGGACUCAUUGUAUUAUGUUGUUAGUUAUUAUUCAUUUAUUGCUUUUAUAGCCAAUUGUCCUGAAACAUCAAAUUAGUGUCUCCAUAACUUUUAUCCAAUCAUAGCCCAUCAUGCAAUAUCUUCAUUUGAAUGAAAAUGUACGAAAUGUGUAAAGGACUUUCGAAAGUUUGUAAACUUACAAGAUUAGUGUAAAAUUUAAGUUAUAUUUGUUUUUUAAUUUCAGUUUUUGUGAAAUUAAAUACUUCACUCUAAAUAAAUAAAAGUAAAAAGAAUAGUUAAAAGAAAGGUGGAGAUAGAGAUAAAACAAGACAGAGAGAUAAAGAAAAAUCAAACUCGAUUGAAAAUGUUGCUUAAUAAUAGACAAAUAUAUUGAAAAUAUGUGACUUAAUAAAUACAGCUCAUAUAAAUGAAACAUAAUUAGGAUCGAGUUUAACAAAACGCAGCUCUUAUAAAUGAAUCAUACUCAAAUUUUAAUCCUUUAAAUAAAUACAUCUAAAAUAAUUUAUUAUAACUUCUUGUAAAUUAUAAUUAAUCCACCUUAAUCAGAGUUUUUCAAGGAUAUUCAAUUAAAAUUAAUUUUAUAUUAUUUAAGUUUAAAAUUACUUUCUAAUGUGAAUCAAAUUUCAAUCAAACAAUUUUUAGUUAGUGAAAAUUGGUAUGUAUAAAUGAUUGAAAAAUAUUCUUAUUUUCACAAUUUUUACUAUAUUGUUUAUCCAAUUUUAUCUCUUAACCUAAUUUUAACACGUUAUUAUUGUUUCAUUUACUAAUAGUAGUAAUAAAAUAUCUAAAAUGAACAAUAUUCUUAUAUAAUAAAAUCUUAUAUCAUAAAAAUAUAAAAUAUAUAUGUAAUAAUCAUAUGCAUUAAGGUUGCUAUCGACAUAAAAGAGAUUUCCAAAACAUAUAUUGAAUAUUAUAAUAUAAUGCUCGAAUCUGUGUCAUUUCAUUCCCAGUAAGGCCAAUUCUUCCUGCAAGUCCCUAGAUUUCUUUUGUACCUCUAAAAACAUAAAAAUUCUCAUUUUAUCCCUUUUUAAAUUUUACAAUUUGAAAACUAAAAAAGGCUUUCAUAUGACAAAAUUUAAAACUCAUUUUUCAUUUUAAUAUUGUGCAAUUCAAAAUGAUAUAAUUUAGAAGCUGAAAUUUCACUUUUACAUCAUACAAUCCAAUAGUUAAAAAUAAGUUCUGAUUUGCAGAGCUUAAAAUUUUUUUAAAAGAAAAUUUUGACAUUUCCUUCUUUAAACUAAAAAUGAAUCCACAUACGAUACUUUUAAACUUCAAUGUUUUAUUAUGUGAAAAAUUAAUAUACAAAUUAUGAAGGUGAUAAAGGUUCUAAAUAAGUAGUUGGCUUAAGUAAUAACUUAAAAUAAGAUUUAGAGUUCAUAGGGUACUUCUUUAAUUCUCUUAGUUGAAACAUAAUUUAAACAAUAUUGUUUCUUCUGAUUUAGAGUAUGUUUGCAUAAAUUUUUAUGAAAAAUAUUUUAAAAUUAAAUUUAAAUUAUUUAUUUUAUAUCUAUGUGACAUUGUUUAUUUAUUUAUUACAAAUUAAAUCAUUUAAUUUCAAAAUAUUAAAUAAAUUAUGAACUAUGCUAAAAAAAUCAAAGAUUAACUAAAGAUUAACUUACUUCCAUUUGAUAACCCUUUAUAAUAAUAUUAUAAUAUUUUAAAUUAAAUAAUAAAAUAAAAAUAUUUAUUUAUUAAAGUAUUAGAUGAGUAUUUUUCACUGUUCAUCAAAGACAAACCCUAAAUAAUGAAACAUAUACAAAAAAAUAUCUGCACUCCUUUCAUCCUCUGCUUAUGUUCUGAUGUUCUGUGAAUUUUUUUCUUCGUGUUUUGAAAAGGUUUUCCCAUAACAUUCUGAAAUAGGCUCAGAUCGAAAGACGUGGCGAAAAAUAGACAGAAAAAACCCUUGUUAUGCCGUCCUGCAUCAUAGACACUGCAAAACCUAUCCCAAUUUCUUGCAAAUUACAAAAGUAUAAGUUGAUACAUAAGUUUAUAUUUCUUGUAAUCUAAUUUUUGUUUCUUCAUCAUUUGUUAAUAUUGAUGUUUCUUUUUCUUUGAAUUUUCGUUAUUUUAUUUUAUUUUAUUAUCAUUGUAAUAAAAAAAAUAAAAAAACGAAAGCUCAAAGAAAAAAAAACAUCAACACAUUAUCAAUAUUUACAAAUGAUGAAUGAAAAAAAUUAGACUAAAAAAAUAUAAAAAAACUUAAAUAUACACAAAGAAAUCAACAAUUUAUACAUUUCAAAUUAUUUUCAUUAAAAAAUAAAAUAAAAAAUAUUUUCCAUCAAAAUCCUCAUAUCUUCGUUUAAAAUCAUUCUCAAAAAUUUUGAAUCAGAAAAAAAAUUGAGAUUAAAAAAUGUUAAUCAGACCUUAUAUGUUAUUAUUUAUUGGAUAAGUUUAGUCAUGAGAAUUUUUUGAAAUUUUUAAAAUUUUGAAAUUUUUUGAAACUUUUUAAAGUUUGAAAUUUUUGAAUUUUGAAAUUUUUGAAUUGUUUUUGUUUAAACUUAUGAACAAGUGCACUGUAUUCAAUUUGGAAUUCUCCAAAUUAAACACAUAAUUAACUGGUUUUACAACCCACCAAAAGUUUUCUUUUUGCAACAAAUUCAAUUCACCAGUCAUCAAAACGAUUCUCAGCCAUGGCUGCAAACAGAUAAGCAGUUAUCUUCAAAUACUUACACAUUAUCAAACUGUAACUAUACAAAAUAGAUUUCUUCAUACCAUCAUCAUCCAACGCAGGUAUAUAAUAGAAAAUUAGUUACCAUUAGAAAACCCAAAAUACAACGAACAAAAGUAUCACAUAAUAUUAAAUACAAAUUAUGCCUAAUCUUUUAGCUCCAACGGAGAAAAUUAGGGUUAAAUUUAUACUUAAACACACCAUCUGAAUCAUUAAUCAUAGCCUAGUUCCACGUUCUUAUUUUCCAGAAUAAUAACAGAGUUCUUCUCCAUUGAUUUGGUCUCACCAAAUAGGCAAAAGAUGGACAGAGAAAAAAAAUACAAGUUUAUGCUAUAUUUAAAGAAAUAAUAAAGAAUGCAACAUCUUAUUGCAAUAGAUAAUGGAGUAUUCAUCCUCAUUCAACAAAAAAACUCCAAAAAACCCUACAACCAUAUACUGGAUGAAACUAAAAAGAACAGUAAAAUAGGAAAAUUCAUAUUAUUUUUCAAAAGAAAACGAUAAAGAAAGCAAGAACAUUCCAGGGGUUUUCGUCAUGUCAACGAGAUUUGAGAAGCAUGCAACGGGGGGAAAGUGCAGAAGAGACUAACCUGCCGGAGAUAGCGGUGGUCGGAGAAGGCGAUAAGCAACGACGGCGGUUUAUGAAUGCUGGAAGGUUAGAGGACGCGGAACUAGAAAGUCUCGUAGAGAGAAAAUGCAAAAACGAAAGAAAAUAGAAUGAGUUCAGUGAAAUGACUUUCUUUGAUAAAAUAGGUUGCGUUAUCUAUUGUUUCUUUUCACACAUUUUACGUUUCUUUUUAUUUUAUUUUAUUAAGUUUCUAAUAUACUUAGCGGGAACUUUUCACCUCCGCAAUUCUUAUUAUUUUCAUUUAUAUAUUAAAAAAAUUAUUAUAUUUGCACACUUAUAUUAAUAAUAAGAAUUUACAGUCAUUAUGAAUAAAAAAAAUAUUAUUAUCAUCACUAUUAUGUAAAAUCAUUAUAUCUUAGUGUGAAUUAGUUUAACCAAUGCAAGUGAUUAAUCAUCUUUCUAAGCGUUUGCGAUAAUCAUGAGAUCAUAAUCUUCACCUGUGUAUCUAAGCACCAACAACAACGUGUGAUCUUCAUUAUUUUCUCUCUCGCUCUAGAUUUUCUCUAUCUACUCCCUCUGAAAAAAAAAACUCAGUAAAAGUUCAAAGAGAAUGAAAGAAAAUAUAUCAUAAACAAAAAAUUAAACAAAAUAUUUAAAUGUGUACUCGCAUAAUAUUGACACGAAAACACACAGGGAUAAUGAAAAAAAGAUGAAGAAAAGUGCACAAAGAUACGAAAAAACAAAUUUGCAAAGAAAAUAAAAACAAAUUUGCAUAUAAAAGAGAGGGGGAAAUGAAAGACGAAUAAAUAUAAUGAUAAAUAAUAUAUAAUCAUAAAAAGUGUAAUAAAGAAGUUGGGUAAAGCGAAUAAGAGAAUGUGCAUACAUAAGAAUAAUGAAAUAGUUCAUUUUGUUGAAAGCAUGAAACUUCUUCUUUUUUCUUGCAUCAUUUUUGUUGUGGAGAGAAGUUAUUGGAUGGUGUAAGUGGUUUUUCUCAACCAUUAAAAAAAAAUGAAGAAGGAUUGGAAAAGAAAUUAAGAAUGGGGUUUGAAGGAAAAUGUUUGGUUAAAUAAGUGAAAAGAUGAAUGACUCAAAACAUUUUGAAUUAUAUUUAAAAUUUAAAAUUUAAAAUUUAAAAUUUAAAAUUCAAAAUUCAAAAUUCAAAAUUUAAAAUUUAAAAUUUAAAAUUUAAAAUUUAAAAUUUAAAUUUAAAUUAAAAUUUAGAAGCACAAAAAAUUACAUAUAUAAAAAAUUGAAGUUGUGUUACAUUGCAUAAAGUAAUGGUUGGAAAAUGACACGUCCCUCAUCAUGAAGGUCCAAGGAAGUGGCAUCAACAAACAUAUGAUAUUUUACAAUUUUUUCACAUCAUAUAUAUAAUUACAUUAAUAUUGACAUGUUCUGUGAUAAUUAAUUAAUUAAAUUUUAAUAAUUAAUUUAAAUUUAUAUUAACUCAUUAAUCUUGAGUUAAUUGAUAGUUUCAUUUGAUAGAUUUUUCAAUUAUUUAUUUAAAUUAUUAACAGAUUAACUUAUAAUAAUUAUUUACAUUAAGUAAAUAAUUAUAAUAGUAUAGUUGAACAAAGGUUAAUUUUUUAAAAAAUUGACCAAACAAAAUAUUUUUUAUUAAUUUCUAUAAAUUGAUGUAAAAAAGACACCUUUCCUUUGUUUUUCUUUGAAGGAAAACAUAGAAAAAAACAUGGAGUCAUUGUAAACAUCUUUCCUUACUUUGUCUCUUUCAAUCAUACAAAGGAAAAAAUUAAAAUUUUGGGAUUUUUGUUCCAUCCAUUCUCCCAUUUCGUGCAUACGAAAUAAAUUUAUAUUAAAAAUGUAAUUUUAAAGUAAAUGAAAAUUAAAAUAUUUUAAAAAAAAAUUAUAAAUAAAAAAAAUUAUUUGAAUUGAAAAUUCAUUUCUUUUAUAUAGUUAAACUUUGUAGCCUUUACUUAAGUUUUAGAUUAACUAGUCUUUUAUUUUAACUACAAUUUUAAACUAAUAAGAAUUUAUAUAGUAAGACUCUUAAGACUAUACACACUCUAAUGCUACAAGUUUUACUAGUCAGUUUAGCAUUAUCUAUAAGUUGUGAUGAUAAUAAAAUAGUUUAUGUGAUUUACUUGUUAAAAUGUGAAUGUAUUAUUUGCACACACUUGAUAAAAUUAAUAAAUAUAAAAUGACAUAAGACGACAUAAUUAAAUAGUUCUAUUAUAUAAAUAAUGAAUGGUAAUCUAAUAGCCGAUAAUUUCGUAUUUAAUUAAUAAAUUAGUUUUUUUUAUAUAUAUAAAUUUUAUAUGAAAUUUGAUAUUUCAGCUAAACUAACACCUCAAAUAACAAUAAUUAUAUGUUACCACAUGAAAAAAGUAUUACUAAAAAAAAUUUACAUAAAUUUCAUUGUACAAAUAAAUUUUAUGUUUUCUGGACAAAAAUAUAUUAUUAUAUAAUUAUAAAGUUUUAAAUUACACAAAUCUUAUUAAACUAGAUGGUGUUUUUAUUUUAUUUUUAAAUUUAUAUAUUAUUUUAAUUUGGCAAGUCAUUGUAUUCAAACUAAAUGAUCUAUUAAAUAAUGAUCAAAUUUAAUUUUUAUUUAUUUUAAAAUUAUUUUACUUCUCAGUUUAAACUACUAUUAAAUAGAGUUUUUUUCUGUCAUAAAAAAUAAUAAUAUAAGAAAUCUAAAUAAAUUACAAAUUAAAAAUUAUUUAAAAUAGUUUAUAACUUAUAAAUGCAAACUCUUAAAAUAAAGUAUUUAUAAGGUAGUAAAAUAAGUUGUUAGCUCAUUAACUUUACCAAAAUUAUUUAUAGGAUGAUCUCAUAAAUUUGAAUUCCUUUUCUUCACCAAAGUAAUCUUUAAGGCAUCGUUUGUUUUUUACUAUAGAAAAGUGAAGAUAUGCUUAGAAAAUCAAAGCUUUUUUUUUAUCCAAAAACACGAAAAUUAAGACAUUUUAUAUGUUCAGAACUUUCUUCGCAAAAUGCAAAGAAAUGCGAAGGAAAGGUAUAUAUAUAUAUAUAUAUAUAUAUAUAUAUUAUUUAAUUAAUUAAUUUUAAUUUACUUUUUUAUUUUAAAUUUAAAUUAUUAUUGUUUCUAUUUAAAAUAAAAUUAUAAUUUAAAUCUAAAAAGUAUAAUUAAAAUUAUACAAAAUAAUUAUUAUAUAAUAACAUAAUUAAUCAUAUUUUAUAUAUAAUAAGUUAUAAAUAAAAAUUAAAAUUAAAAUAAAUAUAUUUUUUAAUAAUAAAAAAUAAUUUUAUAUAAUAGUUAUAUUAAUUACAAAAGAGUAAAAAUAAAAAUAAUAAUUUUAUUUAAUAUAAAAUAAGUUUUUAUUAAAUAUUUAUAAUUAUAAAUAUUUAAAUAAUAUUUUAAUUAAAAAUAAUUAUAAUUUAUAAAUAAAUCAAUUAAAUUAAUUAUUUAACAAUUUUUAAAUAUAAGGAUAAAUUUGUAAAUUUACAUUUUUAUCAAUUAAAAAUAAUAUAAUUUCAAUUACAUCCACAACAUCAUUCACAAAUUUUCAUACUACACUUUUCAUUCUAUUUACCUUAAUCCAAACACCCUAACUUUUUUCACACUUUCCCUUCAAAUCAUCUCAAAUCCACUUCCCCAUUUUCACUCUCUAAUCCAAACAAAACAUAAGUAUAAAUAUAUACCUCAUUUGGUUAAGGUAAAAGAAUUAAGAAAAUAAAUCUUGUUUAGGUAUUUUAUAAAAGAACAUUUAAAAAAGUACAAAUAAUUUUUUAUGAAAUUUAUUUAUAAUUUUAAAUGUAACAGACAUAUAUUAACUCAGAUGGAAAGAAAUGUAGAAAUACAAAAAAAAAAAAGUCAACUCUAACUGUUAAUUUUCAUUAAUAUCACCCAUGAGCAUUGAUGGUACAUACCCGGAAAACACAAAGUUAAGCCCAGCCAAUUUUCACCGACAUUUGACUUUUCCUUCGGCAAUGAAACAACCAACCACAUUAACGUUAACAGUAACAUUAACAUUAACAUCCCUACGAUAUAGGAUAUGUGUCCUACAAACAACCCAAAUCUGAUACACACACGCUCAAAACUUCCUCAUUAUUUUCUUCUCUAUUAAAUCAGUUUCGACAUUUUCCGACACUUCUACCAUUUCUUCCAACUACCAGCUUUUGUCGUGUCGCUCAGUGCAUGCAUAAUUCACUCUUUUUUUUUUCUUCUCAAACAUCCAAAAAGUCAGAACGUAGCUACUACCCCUACUAUCUACUAUUAUUUUGCUCUCAUUAAUUAUUUUUAAACUCCACAACAUUUUCUCAUAUUAAGUGAUUAAAAGUUAAAAAUAUGAAUGAGUGAAAGAUACUCAUCCACAUAAAUUAUAAACACCAAAAAUUUAUAAACUCAAAUCCAUGAACAAUCACUCAAUCUCAAUAAAGUCAUAACAAUAUUAUCAUCAUCCUCUAAUUAUUAUUCUAAGUAUAUAAUAUGGUUUUCGAAGUCAACAUGGAGAAGAUUUCUACAGAUUUGUCAAAUCCAACAAAUUAGCUUCUUUUACUUUAAUUUUUUUAUACUUUAUACUAAAAAAAAUUGUCAAAUAGAAACCAAUUUUUAAAGAUCAAAAUAAUUAGUUACAAUAUAAACUAAAUGAGAGACCAUUUUAAAAAUUAAAAAAAGUUUCUAAAUUAGUUUAUAUUAUUGUUAAAUAGUUUUUAAAUUGAUAUUUAAUUAACAACCAAUAUUUUAACUAUCAAUUAUUUAAAAUUUAAAUUUGAUAGCAAAAAUUUUGGUUGCUAAUGAGAUACCAAUUUAGAAACUUAACAAUAAUAAAAAUUAAUUUAAAAAUCAAAAAUUUAUUUAAUUUCUAAAAUAAUUUAUAGUUUACUAACUAUAACAACUAAUUAUUUUUUAUUUAUAAAAUUGAAUUUUAUUUCAUGAUUUACAACAAGUUAUUGUAGUGUUAGAAUAUAUAAGAAUAGUAGAAAACUAAAAAAUUCCUUAAUUGACUCAAAAUUAAAUCUUAAAUAUUAAAGACCCCAUUAACUAAGAUUCAAAGCUUCAAUUUCUCUCAAACCUCCAAGACCACGAGACACUUGCAUGCAAAACCUUAGUAAGAGAUAAGAUGGAAAUGACAAAAAAAUAAUAUUCUAUGCAAAGAAUAACUUCACACUUUUAUUCACUGGCAUGAACUAUAGAAGGUACAAGAAAAUUGAAUAUGAGAUCUUAAAUUUUUUACCAAAGAUGAAAUAAAAAAGAAAAAGAGAGUUAAAAAGAGAAAGGAUGUUAUUUUGCUGAAAAGAAGAAUUGAUUUUUCCUAAUGUCACUCCUAUCCUUUUAAGUUCACAACUUACCUCCUUAUUUUCAAAUAUUGUGUUUUCCAACACAAAAAAAAAUAAAAAAUACCUGAUUGCAUUUACACCUACGUCAAACAUACACAUUAAACCUAACUAAAUUUAGUUAUCACUUUUAAAUAAUUUUACUCAUUUAUUUUAAAAUACCAAAAACACAAAUCCUUAUAGUAACAUGUUAAUUAAAAUCAAAUUAUGAUUCGUAUAGAGUUACAAUAAAUUAUAAAAAAACAAAAAAUACAUUUUAUUAUAUAUAAAAUAAAUAAAUUUAAAUAAAAAUAUAUUUUAAUGUGAUAAAUAUUUUUCUUUUUAUGAUUACCAAUUAUAAAGAAUUAUUAAUUUUACUUUUAAUUAUUCUAUUCAUUACGCAUAACAAACAAAUUACAAUUAUUUACACAAUAAUUUAUUCAAAAAAUCUUUAAUGUAGAAUUUUAUAAAUUAAUUAAAAUAUUUUCUAUAAAAACAGUAUUGAAAAAACAACAAUGCAUCAUACCGGUAAACAAACUAAUAUUAUUAAUGAUAAACAUUUAAUUAUUUAAUAUGCGUAACAUCUCUAUAUUUUCUUAAAUCUAAUAACUAAAAUCAUAUGUUUCAAAUUGUAUAUAUCUUUAUAGGGAUUUUAAAUAUUUACAUAAGAUUAAAACGAAAUAUUCAAAUUAAAAUAAACAUUUUCAUCCUUCAGUUUCUUAGGAAUUAUAUUACCUAUAACAUCAUCUACUCCCGUAUAAAUACACGAUAAUCACAAAUUAAAGAAAAUAACCAUAAAACAAAGUAUAUGGUAAACUAGUUAUUUUUAAAAACUUCUAAUAUAAAUAUAAUUUUAAAUAUUCACAUAAUCUAUAAAUUCUCAUGCAUUUCCACAUAACCAUCAAGUGUCUAUCAAAAUUUCACAAUUCAUUUUUUUCAUGUCAAACUUCUACUAACUCACAACACAUAGAUACUUGACUCUACUUCUGGAAGACUGGUGUAUUGAAAUUAGAAUCUUCAAACCUGCACCUGUCUUAAUACUCGCUGUGAAUCCACAUAGACAUGUGCAUAAAUAUUUCAAUAUCUCAUCAUCUAGUAUGAUAGGGUAAAUUCAUAUGACCUGAAAGACCAUAUUAUAUUUCAAACUGCAAACGCAGUCAUAUGAACCUCCAUCGACUCUCACCAACUAAAUAACUUCAUCUAUGUGAUUCAAUUAUAUCAGCAGAGUCGGGAUGUCGCAUUAUGGGUCUCACAAAUCAAUACACCUUAACAACAAUCUCAACACGAUAUUUCUUUUCAUGAAAAUACUAUGUAUUGAUCAAACUUUCACAUAAUUCCAUAUCUCAUGUAACACAUCAAUGCACCUUUCAAUCACAUCAUAUUUUAAAAUUUCUAAACAAUUCAAAUAUAUCUCAAAAUUCACUUAAGCACAUAACGAAGUUCCUUUAAUCAUACUUUUAAAUAAAAUUUAGAAUUUUCACUUAAAAACAAUAUGCAAUAAUAAACUAGGCUUUCAAAAUCAAAAACAAAACUUUUAAUUUUUUUUUCACAAAGAGUCUAGCUUGAGUGAGAAUGGGUCUCGCUCAAGCGAAAAUUCUCUCGCUUGAACGAGAUUCAACUCGAGAGCACCCGAAAUUUCAUCCUAGGUCUCGCUUGAGUGAGAAUGGACUCGAGAGCACCUCAUUUUUCCAUUCUAUUCUCGAGCGAGAUAUGUAGAGAAAUCUUCUUAAACCUGCCAUAUUGCUAAACCAAAAAUGUAUUUCACUCAUAAUUUUAAUAAUCUACACAUUAAAAUGACAGUUCUUACUCGUAUAAGCUCUCUAAAUCAAACAUCAUCUAAAAUCAAAUAACCAAUCAUCAACAAACAUCACAUUUUAGGUAAUUCAACAAAUUAUUCAAAUCCAUUUCAACUCAUUUUUAUUAUCAUUCAAACACUUUCAAAUCUCAAUCACAAACACUUGCAAUAACUUAUUCACCUUAAAAUCAAUAUAUAACAUUCAAAUAAACCAUUAAUUCAUAUAUUACUUUACUCUUAAAAAGACAAUCCUGUAAACAAAAAUUAGAAUUGGUGACCACGUUACCCCCACAUCCAGAUCUUCUAAACUAAGGGUUCUAUUGAAAAGAAUAAGACUAGAUUCUCUUACCUAAACUUGAGCAGAUGUUCACUAAGAGGUCCAAACUUACCAAAAGCUCAAGAAUAGCCUAACCUGCACCACAGAGUCCUGAUAAAAAACCUAACUCUAUCAUUAGAACCCUGAACUAACAGAGAUUAACCCUGAAGCUUAAAGGGUCACAUGCAAAACCUAUACAAAGACAAACUUAUAAAGUUCAAAAUUUGACUCAAAUUGAAGAAAAAAAAUGAACUUACUCUAUUAAAAUUUUUAAUCGGGCAGUCUUGUAAAGUUCACUGUCAGAAGUCCAAUGGUGGACUCCGAUCGUCAAACUAAUGAACAAAGAUAUCAAAAUUUUAAAGAGAAGACAGAAAAAAUAAGAAAUGAGUUUUUAGAAAGAUAUUUUUUUAAAAUAAAACCUGAAUAAGAAAUUUCUAUUUAUAUAUUUUUUUAAUAAAAUAAAAUAUUAAAGUGUGAUUUUAGUUAUACGUCUACUCUAAAACUAUUUUUUUCAGUUGUUACAAAAAUAGUGUAUUUGAAAUUCAGUUCAAUAUUCACAAUAAAAUUUCAAAAUUGAAUUUUAUUAAAAAUAAUUUUUAUCUAUAUAAUAAUUUUACUUUUAUAUUAAUUUAGCUGUUUAAAAUUAUUUGCGUCUUACCGUCCUUGCUGUGCUAUAGCGACUAACAUUUGUGAACUAAGUACUGUAAAUACUAUACGUUUAUUGGUCCAAUUGCCACUACAACUUCAAAAUAAUAAAUUUAAUUUUUUUUUGGAUUAUUGAUCUUAUUGUUCUAUUGAAUCUUUAAAAAUACAUUGAUUUUUAUAUAUUAAAAAAUAUUUUUGAUAUACCAAAAUUGCGUAGUUUGGAAUUACAAUAACACAGAAAAUCCAAUAAAGAUUCUGAACUCCAAAUAUAUUUGCUAUGACAGCUUUUUAGCUUUGGUUUUUAUUGUGUUAUGUUAUGGCUGGAGUUAUUGAAAAUUUUAGAGUGGUCCUUUGUUUCCCCAGUUUUACGUUUUUUUUAUUUAUUUUGUGUCUGAAACUCAUUGUUUUCAAAUCUGAAGAGGUGACCUAUAUUUGUAAUUUCAACAAUUGUUUUCAUAAAUUCAUUUAUUUUAACGUCCAUCUCUACCUUAAAAUGUUCUUAACGUGUCCAUUUAUUACCAUUUUAAAUUUUGGCUUAAAAUAUUUUGGAUUUUCAAUUUUGAAAUUGACUUUUAAAAAUACAAUUAAAAAUGAUAUUCUUGCUCUCUAUUUUCUUAGUAUAAAAAUAAUUAAAUAUGAGUUAUUUUCAGAUUAAGAGAAACAAAUAAUUUAUAAACAUGAGAGAUAAAACAAUGUUGACGCAACUUUAAAUGAUAAAAAAGUAUUUAAAUCUUUAAACUGUUAAAGUAACAAUUAAAUGAAUAAUUAUUUAAAAUAAGGGUUGGUUAUUAAAGGUAUUAGCGGCGAAUUUAGUUAGAUUGUCUAAUUAAACUUCAUCUAUAUAAAUUAAAUAUAAAUAUCACAUAGUUUGAUUUAAAUGCAAUAUUAAAUAUGAAACAAAAAAAAUUCAUAUUUUACACUUCGAUAUAAGUCAUUCUAUUUUUUAAAAUCUUCUUAAUUUAAUUUAUUUGUAUUAAACAAAUAUAUUUAUUUUUACAAUCAAUAAAGUAAUUUAUAAUGAAAUAGAAAUUUUAAUAAUUAGUUGAAUUUUUACACUAUUAUGCGUGUGAAAUAUCCAUAAUUUCUAACUAUGACUAAUUAUAAAAAAAUAUUGUUAAACACUUCGUAAAGUCUAUUUCUUUAUUUAUAAAGCACAAUGUAAAGAUAUUAGACAAGAAAUGCAAGUCUAAUUUCGUUCAAAUUAAUAACAUGUAGAUAUAGUUACUUUAUUUUUUAUCAGUUCAUCAAAUAAAAUUAACAUAAAUAUACACUUAAAAUUAGCAAAGAUCCAAUUAUAUAUAUAUAAAAAAUCUUAUACGAAUUGAAAAAAAGUGGUCUCUUCAAAUAAUUAUCGAUUGUUUCGAUUUUUAUUAUGAUUAUUAAUUUUGAUAAAGAUUUUCGAUUAUGAUUAUUAAUUGUAAACGCUCUUGAAUCUUUUGUCUUUGUGAAAGUUAUUUAGCAUGUGUACUUACUCUAUUCCCAUUCAAUUCAAUCAUUGAUACUGUCAUAUACUAUAGUUGCUGAUCAAAUAAAAUAAAAUAAAAAAUCAUAUACUAUAGUUUCCAUUUCUCAAUAAUGUCGUGUUAUGUACACAAACAUUGCUUAAAAGCGUUAUAACCAACAUCUUCAAGUUAUAUAUGCAUGCUUUCACAUCCCCCAAAUUAUAUUAACAAGACAACUAUAAAAAACGAAACACCUCACACAUAAUUGCCUUUAAUUACAUUAUUAAUCCAUUCAUGCAAAAAAAAUAAAUAUAAUUUGUGUUUCUUUACUUUCAAAGAUAAUAGACAGCUUUAGUGAUACAACUAAUAUUCCCUUUUCUAUCAAAAUUAUUUUUGUAAUAUCACGUUCGUUGUUAUCUAUUUUUUAUUUAUUUAUAAUAUCACAUGCAUUAUUAUCAUUUAUUAUUUUUUUUAAAAAUGAAAAAUUAUUAGAGAACUAUUAUAAUUGUAGUGAUUUUUUUUAUUGGUGAGAAUUCACUACAAGAAAAUCAUGAAAUAGAAACAAAUUUUAGAGACUAUAAAUAAUUAGUUAUUAUAGUGACUAAAUUAAAAACCAUUUUUAGAGACUAAAAAAACUUUUGGUUUCUAAAUUAGUUUCUAUUAUUUUUAAAUGGUUUCUAUAUUGGUAUCUAGUUAACAACCAAAAUUUUUGCUACCAAAUUUAGAAUCUAAAUAAUUGGUAGUUAAAAUUUUGGUAGCUAAUUAGAUACCAAUUUAGAAAGUAUUUAACAAUAAUAGAAACUAAUUUAGAAAAAAAAAAUAGUUUAUAAAAUUGUAUCUAAUUUAGUCACUAUAUUAACUCAUUAUUUUUUGUUUCUAUUUCAUGAUUUUUUUUAGUGAUUAAAUAUAUAAAAAAAAAAUUACAUUAGUGUCCUCAUUAUUAUUCAACUUACAUGAACCCCUUUGACAUAAUUGUAUCUAUUUUAUUAAUCGUUACACUUUGUUUCAUCAUUAACUAAUUAAAGUGAAAAUAACUAUGUUUACAACACACCAAAUGUUAUAUCAGAACAUAAACAUCAUAUAUCCUUAUCCACACACAUUCCAAUUCAAUUAUGUACUAAUAAAUUUUAAUUCAUCCUUCACUAGACUAUAAUAAUAUUCAACUAUAAUAUCUUGAUAAAAUAUAAUAAUUUAAUAAAACAUAAAUAAUUUUAACAUCUAAAAAUAUUUAAAAAUAUAUAAUUUGAAGUGUAGAAAAUAUUGUUCUCAAAUUUAGCAAAUUAAGCACAUCUUUAAAUUCAUUUUGUCACCAAUUCUAAUCACUCAAGUAAAGAUAUGUUAGUGUGGUAACUUUUUACACACUCAACCUACAAAACUAACAAGUUUUUAUUUAAUUAAAGUUCCCUCUCUCAGCAAAUAAAAUUGUCAUUCAACAACUAUACCCAAAAAAAUCAAUUGUGCAUAAUUUCAUGUAUGGUGACAAAUUGGUAAAAAAAUGUUCCAACUCAUUUUUCAUACAUAAAUAAAUAAUUAUUUUUAAAUAAAAUUAUUUUAAACCAAUUUAACACACUUAAAACACUCUAUAUUUUAAGUACCAAGACAUUCAACAUUUCUCAUCUAGCUCAAUUCAACUUUUAAAAGCAUAAUUCAAAACAUCCUACUAAACAUUUUCCAGUUAAAAUAUUAUAAUUUUAUUUAUAGUAAAAAAAAUAAAUAUCCUUAAUUUAAUCUCUUUACUAACAUAAUAUGUGAUACUACAAUCCGGUUAGAGUUUCAUACGCAAAAAACUAUAAAUUCACAACUUUCAUCACUUUCAACAAUUUUAAUAUCUCAUUGUAUAAUCCAUUACUAAAUAAUCGAUACUCUAUUAUAACCAAAGGAAGUUUAGAAGGAUGAAGAAAAAUAUUUUUCAAAAAGUACUAUUAUUAUAAUAAUAAAAAUUGUAAAGUACUUGUAAUUCGUGUCCGUUUUUCGUGCUAAAUUAUUGUUUCAAUUGAGUUGUGUCCCACAAGUAAACAAUUUGUUAUUUUAUUUAUUAUCUUUUGCUAGAAAGAUUACAUUGACAACUAAAUUUAUUAUAUAUAUAUAUAUAUAUAUAUAUAUAUAUAUAUAUAUAUAUAUAUAUUACUGAAUAAAGUAGUUUUCACUAAUAUAAUCAUAUUAGUAUACAGAAAGUAUAUAUCAGUAUAUACAUUAUUAGAUUAAUUUGUGGAAUAAAAGACAAAUCCGAUUGAGGAAAAUUACAGCUGUAUCUUUUAUUAACAUAUUACUCGAAACAAUAAUAAGAUUUUUUGAUAAUAAUUAAAGCACACAAAACAAAUUAUUAAUAGGCAAUUAAGCCGCCCAAUAAUAUAAUUAGCAGGGCACCAACUUAACAUCGUGGCCAUUAAAAUAUUAACAUCCCGAUAAUGCCCCUGAGUGUACGAAUUGGACCAAGAGUUUGAGAAGGGUAAAAUGGGAAUCAAUCCAAUCGUAAUUGCGUGGAGGGAAAGUCAAUUGUUAACGGUAUCUAUCCACCGACCACCGACCUACCCUUCUACCCACUCAGAAUUAUUUAUUAAAAACUAUAAAAUUAUCGGAUAAUAACGAAAAUGAAACAAAAUAUUAAAUAAUUCCAAAUAAAUUAUCAUUUUUUUUUCUUAUUAAAUAUCCUUUGAAAUUCUAUCGUUUGAUUAAUCCGCAAACGACACCAACCAACCAUUAUCAUCAUCACACACCUGAUACCAUCAACCCUAUAAUAAGAUUUAAUUUCAGAGACCCGCAACAAAAAUUAUGACAGAAACACGAUUUAAAAAUAUUUGUUAAUAAAUAUACCGCUAAAUUUUAUUCGUAAACUUAAAUAUAUUAUAAUAAAUACAAAACUAAAUUUAAAAUUUAAGUUUAUUAUAAUAAUUUAUUAUCAGCAUUGGAAUGUUAAUACAAAAAGCUUAUUUUAGUAAAUUAUAGAAGUAAAUUAAAAAGAGAAAAAAAGGAAAUAAGUUUGUAGUUAACUUUUGGAAACACCAAUUACCAUUAUUAAGUUUGAUUGCUUUAAAUGUGGGUUGAAGUCCACCACCGCUUCUCAAAGAGAGACUAUUAUUGUAGCACUAACACACACCUAGUUAAGGUCGAAUAGAAGAAUCAUGUCUUUCCCCAACUAUACUUUUGUUUUUUCACAAUUCAGAAAAGAUAUAAUUUGUUUAUAUAUAUUUUUAUUUUUUUAAUAAUAUUUUUUUCAUUGUAAUGUAUAAGUGAGCUGAGAUGUAAAAGUUGCAUAAUAAAUGAAAUUUUUAUAAAAUAAUAAUUUUUUAAAAUUAUAGAAAAGAAUUUGAGAUUGAUGAAACAUUAAUUGGAGUUAGGAAAGAGGUAAAAAGUAAAAAAAAAGAAAAAAAAAGAGGGUGGAGUGAGUGAAUUUGUCGGUGAAUUAAUAAUGUAAAUGGAAAUAGGGAAAGAGGAAGAGUAAUUAAAAUGGAAAAUGAUUUGGGUGGCAUUAAAAAAGAAAAGAGAAGGGAGGGUUCAAAGGAACCAACCAACCAUAUAGCAACGUGGAGGCUUACAGAGAUGACAAGCUUGGUGCUUCAACAUCUCUCCCUUAUAACCCUUUCGUCUCGUAGACUCCUUAGAUUUUUCAUUCCUCCUCAUGGACCAGAUUCCCUCUCUCUCUCUCUGAUCUCCAUUUGAAGCACACCAAUCCAACAAGACAAGACAAGAGAACAGAAGAGAGGAGAGAGAUGGAGGGUGAAGGAAGAAGAAGAGAAGAAGGGCAGAGAGAACCGACCAGGAAGCGAAGCGGCGUGGCGGUGGCGGUCGAGGGAGAGAGAAGAUACAAAGGAAUAAGGAUGAGGAAGUGGGGCAAGUGGGUCGCGGAAAUUAGGGAACCCAAUAAGCGUUCAAGGAUUUGGCUCGGUUCCUAUUCCACCCCCGUCGCCGCCGCUCGUGCUUACGACACCGCCGUCUUCUACCUCCGGGGACCCUCCGCGCGCCUCAACUUCCCCGACCUUCUUGUCGGAGAGGGAACCACCCUUGUCGCCGGUUGCGACAUGUCAGCUGCCUCUAUCAGGAAGAAGGCCACCGAGGUCGGUGCCAGAGUUGACGCUCUACAGGCAACCCUGCACCACCACCACGUGGCGCCGGCGGCGCAGGAGCUUCUCUCGCGCGGCGACGGAGGUGGGUCCGGGGAUUUCGCGGUUGACCUGAACAAGAUGCCUGAACCCGAGAGUGAGGACUGCGAAUGGGAUGUGAAUUGAAGGAAAAAAAAAAAAAGGUUCGUGCUUUCGGGUUCGGUGGUGGCUGCUAACGUGCGCCGGGGAGGGUUUGCGACGGCUGAGGCAAAGUGAUGUUGUUGAUGAGGCCUUGGGUGGUGUGGAUUACUGCACUGUAUCUCUUUUUUCCUUCUACUUUCUUUUGGGUAGUUUUUUCUUUUAGAUUUUACAGAGGAAAUUUUGGCGUUGUAAAAAUUAUGUUAAAUGUAAAUUAAUUAGCCGAGUUUGGUGUGUUGUGUUGUAUUUUGGCUUUAAAUUUGAUAGGGUAAUAAUCUAUUUGGGGGUUGUGUAGUUAAUGUUUUUUGGUUGUGUUAAAAAAAAGUAUUGUUUUUGGGAGGUGUGGAAAGGAAUUCGGCGGAAAUUAGGAAAAAUUGGAAUGAAAGUGGAGGUGGGUUACUAUAAGUGGAGUGGGAUGUUUUAGAGAAAAAGAAUAGAAUGAUGCAGUGGAAGUGAAAUAGGUGGAGUGAGGGGACAGGGAUGGCCUGCGGUGCCCAGCAGUUGGGUACAAAAGGAGAGAGUGAGCCAUGCUAACCACUAAAGUAAUAAUACCUACUAAAAAGUGAUAAGAUUGAGUUAGGUAUUUUUCUGGUUCUACACUGUUUCCUGAUUAUUGAGUUGUGAAAGGGGAAAUGGAAUGGGCCACUGCCAAGGGAAAACGUUGUGCCCACUGCUCUGUUUUGACAACGAUGGAUGAUGGGGUCGGUUAAUCGAUUUUGUCGUCUCACAUUUUUUUUUUCUUCUAAUUCUAGUCAAAUCUCGGACAACAAUUGUAUCGAAAACAUAUAAACAAACGAGAAACAAAGCAGAAAAAGAAAAGAAAAUGAGAGAAAGACAUGUCUCCAUGUGAAUGCAAAAUUACAGCUCCUCUCUAUUGAUUAACAAAUAUCCGUGUAGAGGAUUUCUGAUUUGAGUCUGAGCUGUACCCCAUAUGUGAUUCGCUAGGAUCUAUGGGGCCUUUAAGUUGUAGCCGAAGAUGAGUCCAUGAUUAACGGAGAACUAGAGGCUCUUUUACCUUUAUUUAAAUAUUUUAUAGCUGUGGAUCACAUCGUGUUCGACGUAAGUGAUCAAUUAAUAAAUUUAAGAUAAAGUUAAUCUCUCGGAUUAAUGAUAUAGGCUUCAUCAGUGAUUGAAUCACCAAAGGAGAUGAAAAGUUUCAUAAAGGUAAAAGACAAAUGUAGAAUUGGAUGAACGAAGAAGACAACAGUAACGUGGCCAAAUUGACCAAAACAUCAACAUUGCCAAUGAAGUCGUCGUUAAUUUUUCACGUAUUGAUAAAGGAAGAAAUAAUCUCAUCUUAUAAAAUGGAGAAAUAAAAGACAGGCUUGUCAACUGUUCUAAUCAACACCUGUUAUUGUCAACUGUUCUGAUCAACAUCUAGUCAUGAGUUUUAUUACAGUGAAGAACCAAGACCAGUCAUCGCUUCAGCUCAACUACUAACAGAUGCGGUAAGUACAGCAGUAGAUUAAUGACGGUUGAAAUUCGUAUGCGAAUUUACAACAUUUUCAACACCAUUAUCACCAGGCGGCCCAUAUAAAUUACAAUCGGAUCAUUAAGAAUAAUAAUUGCCCUUUUGAAAUUUUGCCAAUGACAAACAUGUGUAAUAGCAAAACAAUACAUAUACAUGCCUAAGCCAAAAUUUUAAUUCUAAUUUAAAGCUUCUGUGAACACUUCAAUCCAACUACUGCAUGAAAUCCAGCAACAAAUUAUGGAAUGACCAUCUAAAUCCUAUCAUGCUUUCUUUUGAUUUUCUCGUUUCACUAGCAGUGCGGCUCUUACAACAUUUCCUCUUGUGAUAAUCCCAACCUUCAGAUAUUAAUAAUAACCAUUUAGAAACACCAAAGUAAAAACUAGCACAAGUAUAACAAGAUUGGACGACUAUCUUACCAGUCUACCCUCAGCAUCUACAACUGGAAGGCGUCGAAAUUUGGUUUCUAGCAACAACCUAAAGAUAGAAAUUUGAAAAAGGUGAUCACUUUUUUUAUGGGCGGCUUAAAAUAUACUAAAAAACAAAGUUAAACAGGGAAAAAGAUGGAAGAACCUUGCAGCAUCCUCGAGAUUGGUGGUCUCACGAACGACCAUAGGGGCAGUGGUCAUCAAUUCACCAAUCAAUUUUCCGUUGGUCUUACUGAGCAGCUUUUGAAUCUCGUUAAAAGUCUGCAAGAGGUCAUAGUAUCAGCAAAAUGGAGCUCUAUUAAACUAGACCGUCGCUGAAUAUAAUUAAUUAUAGUAGUAAUUGAAAUGCAACCCAUCCACUUCAAAUGCAGUCAUUAGAAUAUAUGAAACAUAAACAGUCAAAAGGGAAAGGCUUUGUCCGUAUUGGACACAUGACUCUUCGAAAUACCCAUAGGCGUAUUAAACUCUGCAGUGUCACUUAGUUGUCUGUAUGGCAUGUUUCACAUGAUUACCACGCAAUAUUUCGUGCAGAGUGAGUUGAGACUGCUUCAAAUAAAUAAGGUAAUAGAGGGAGAAAAGGGAUGAAGGGACACGCUUACAGAAGUACAUGUCUCUGGAUAUUUAAUAACAGAUUUGAAACAUGAACAGUCAAAAGGGACACGCUUAAUAAGACGAGAUAUAAUAAAUUUUGAAGGUUCUAAUCAUGAAAUUACAAAUCAUAUUAAAUGUUAAGUUCAAAGACAAGUUGAAAAAUAGUUUAAAAAACAUUUAAACAACGUAUAGGAAUUUAAAAAUCAUUUAUAACUUCUAACUAGGACCUCACUAAACCAUUCACCUGAGUUUCGAGAAACAAAACCGUAUGUUAUUUCAUAAUGCAGAACAAAAAACUAAAGCAGGAGCACAUAAAGUGAUCGACAGAUUGUGUGAAGCCUCAAUUUUAGAUGGAUGAACACAGCAAUGGAUGGAAUAGCUAAUUAAGAAGCAUAGAGUGAGUGAGUGAGUGUCUGUUUGUGCAAAGACCCUAUAACAGAAGAAGAAUGAAAACAAAGCAACAAAGGGUGCAUUCAAUAGUGCUUUUCUAUUUUAUUUUUAUUUAAAAAUGUCAGUUUAUCUGACUUUUCAAUUUAGUUGAUGAAUUUGGUGAACUAAUUAAAUAUUUUAAAAACAUGAAUUGUAGAAUUGUGUAUUUGUGUGGUUCAUAUUGAUGAUAUAGAAUCGCACUGCUUCAUGUAUAUUCAGUACAAUUCAAAAUCAUCUGUGAUUCAUAACAACUAACUCAUGCUUGAUGGGGGAGAGAUAUUGCCAGAAACAUCAAUUAUGCUGAACAUGUUCAGCAUUCAGCUAGAGAAAAUAAUGGAACAUAGAUAAGUUUUUAUAAAAAUUUCUAUUAAGCAACAAAAUAUUUACAUACAUUUAUAUUAAUUUAGUCAAAACGUAAGCCCUGAGUAUUUUAUCUUCAACCACAACUCUCUCCAUGGCGCACUUUCCUUUUUAAUGACCAGACUUUUCAGGCUAGCCGAGUUCUCCGGUAUAAUUAAGAUUAGUAAUCAUUUCUCAGUACUGCACAUACCACUGCUAAAGUGGGCACUUUAGCAUAUCUUCAAUCCUUCCAAGAACAAUCACACCAGCAACAAGGUCAAACGGAGUCAAAGACAUGUGUAGAUUAGUCGCUUGUUUUCCUUAAAAGACACUAUUAACCUCUUUUACUUAAAAAAAAGUUGUUUGAAUUUUAACUUUAAUUCAAGUAAACACGUUUAAAAAGCAAACAAAUACUUGAUCAGAUUUCAUUUAUUUAUUAUGCAUAUUUCAAUGGAGGCAUUACAGCGUAGACAACUGUAAAAUUUUCUAUAAGAAAUUGUUUGGGAUGCAGGUAAGAAUGCCCGGCUAUACUUUAUUUAUGGUUUUGCUUUUCCAGUUCAGACCAACCUAGAUCUCUAAAGGUCUCAGUACCAAAAUAUCAGCUCGGUAAACUGAACUUACUUGGUAAUUUUAAGUAUUAACACUAUGAGAUCGAGACAAUAUUAGAAUAUGAUGGUAAAGAUGAAUUAACUAUAAGAGAAAGAAGUACAAACAUACUUUCCAAGUACUGUCAACCUCUGGAAACAUGCUAUUAUCCUUUAGCCCAUGACCUGAAAUCAGCAUAACACUCUAUCUGAGCAAUAGGGUUUGGGGAUAGAAGCACAUAAAAAAAGCCAAAAAAAUAUUUUUAUGUUACCAAAUGACAUGAGAGUGCUGUUAAGUUCUGAAUGGGGAGAAAAUCACACUAACAAAGGAUAAAAGAGAUGUUUCUUUUUAAAAAAAAAAUAAUCUACCAGAUAUAGAGUCCAGUGCUAACAAGUCAUAAUCUGAAACAACACCAACCUGCAGGGUAUAAAAGCAUCUUUAGGAAUAAUUUCAGAGAAAAUUAUCUAGCAAUGUUCUGCCAAGUUAAACUCACAAGAAAAUUUCAUUAUACAAAUGAAGAACGGAAGUAAUAAACCAUAAGCAAUUACUAAUAUAUUCUGUAAGGUUGUCGCCAUCAGAUUCAGUUGUUAGAAGCAUAACUGCCAUUGAACUAGACUUGCUGAAUUGAUUUAGUUUUAAAUAAAUACAAUAGUCAAAAGGAAAAAAAUGUUCAUGGAGAAUCUUCUGAUUCAUUAUUAAAUGAUUAAAUCAGCAUCAACUGGAUUUCAGCCGGAGACGCUACCUAUAACGAAGUUUUAUCUAUUUUCACAUUAGCAAAGGUUUUUAAAAUGAUAUUUUCAUUCUCAAUUCAAAAUUAACUAGUCUUGGUUGGGAGUUUCCUUUGUUAAAAAAAACUGCAAAGGAAUAUAUAAUUAGAAUAGUGUUUUUACGACAAUGGGAUAUUUUAGAGAGCAAUGGUUUAAAAAAGAGAAGAAAAAAAGACAAAGUAAUUCUCAAGACUGUCUAAUGUAGAACCCCACAUCAAACUUAUGCAACCUAACCUUUAUGUAUGUGGAGAGGUAAUUUCUUUUACUUGAAACUGUAACCGUUUGAUCUCAACAUUUUACCUUACCAAUAUGUCAAGGCUGUGUGUGUAAAUCAUAACAAUAUUUCUCUCAUGAUAUGACAGUCAAACAGUGCAUUUUGAAAAACAAAAUGUAAUGGAAAACUACAAGGAUUUUAGUAAUAAAUAUGGUAGGCUUAUUAAACAUAUAAACCAAUUAAAAGAGAAAAAACGAAAACGGCUACAAAAAAACACUCACCAGUUUCCAGUUAUCAUCUAUCACAGGAAAACCAGUUAUCCUUUUUUCAACAAGAAUAUCCAAAGCUGUUGCAAAAUAACACUUUUAGAAAAUAAAAUAUAAAAUCCCCCUUCCUUUCACAACAAAUAAAAAAGAAAAAGAAUGAAAACACUUCGGCCUUGAAAUAAAACAUGAAACAACAAUGAAAUAUUACCUUCGUCCACAGUAGUUGUGGGUUUUACCACAUGUAAAUCCUCUUUCCUUGUCAUAAAGUCACCAACAGUGUACAGUCCACUUCUCGGCUGCAUGUAAUGUCAAAAAAACACAUGCCAUAUCAAAAGUGGUCUCUGCAUUUAUAUAUUUCUGAUAAAUUGGCACAUCAUACAUAGUGAAUCACUGAGAAUGUCUCAGGCCAAAACGAACAAAAAUCAAGUUAUUCAUGUCUUCGCCAGCCCUGUACAAAACGGCUUCCUCUAUUUGAAGGAGGCAGAUAUAUAAAGAGACUAAUUCUCUGACUCUUCACGUUAAAGCAUGAAACAAGAUUAAAAAUAGUCACAUCACUGCACCAGCGAAGAAGGCACCUCUUCAGAAUUAACAAUAGCUACACGCGCCCUAACUCCUUACCACAAGCUAUAACAUAAUAAAAUAAAAUAAAAUAUAUAUAUAGUUAAAAGCCGCAUGAAAUGAAAUUCAGAGUGUUUUACCCAAAAUCCAUGCAACUCGAGCGAGCGCAAUGAAAUGAAACGUAAUUGAAUCUAUCAACUAUAAUCUAAAAUAUUAAUAUAUUUCCAAUCCUACCGGUGCCGCAGCUGAUAGAGGAAAUUAGGUAAUAAGAUAAGAUGUUUUGCUCGAUUUGCAAACAGAGAUGGAAUUAAGGAGAAGAAGAGAUACCGAGACUGAAUUAGCGGUGAGGGUGUUGGCGGCGAGAAGAGGCGGUGGACGGAGGCUCCGGAGAGGGGAAGAGCGGGGGAAAGAGACGGCGGCAGCGGCGGCGCGUGGCUGGUACAGAGGAGAGUGAGUGGCGGAGGAAAACGGAGGGAGAGUGUGGAGAUGGAAGUGGAAGAGAACCGAGUCCAUUUGUUGGGAAUUUGGUUGGACUCGAUUCGGAAUUGAGAGGGUUUAUUGUUUUGGGGUUCAGACUUCAGAAGACUUCAGAGUUCUCACUCUAAUCCGCAGAUAUCAUCAAAAACACAAAAUCCACCGUCAAUUUCUUCUCUCUCCGCUUCAUCGCCUACCAAAAUAAUUAUAAAAAUAUCGUUAAAUAUCUCCACAAUUUUUUGGCCUGAUUUGCGAAUGCCGUCAAAAUAUCAGUUAUUCAUAAUUCCUUCUUGAUUAAGAUGUUAGCCACCAUUCCACGCCUUUCAUCCUUCUUCAAUUAACUUUUCGUGUCAACAAAAUUUUCAUUCCAAUAUUUAAUUCAUCAUAUGUCGUUUUUUAAGGUAAUUUUUUUUCACGUGGUUCAAUGUUCUCGGCUCCGACAACACUACCUCCUGUGAAGAAUGCGUGCCAUUUAAACUAAAAAAAAAACGCAUGUGAAAACUUCUACCCAAGUUUUAAAUUAAUAAGAUAGGUUUUCAGAGUGAGAUGUGCAGUAACACUUCUUUUUAUAAUUCUAACUUUUAGGCUAUUAUUUUGUUUUUUUAGUUACACUUAUAUAUAUAUAUAUAUAUAUAUAGUAAUUUCCUAAAUAAAUAUUCUUGAAUUUUAAAAAUGAAUUAUGCACUCUCAGUGAAGCCACGAGCUUUCUUCGUUCUCCUAUUACUUACAAUGGACCAUCUCCACCUUCAUAUAUUUGAAAUUGCACAUCUAUAAAAAUUAAAUUUUUAAUUUUAUUUUUUUAAAAUUUUGUUCCAGACAAAAGUAUUGGUGAAUUCAAAUUCAAUGUACUAAAAAAAACAUGUGAACUCAUAAUUAGUAUUUAAUCUAUUUUUAUUCUUUAUGCUUUCUUUGAUAUAUACUAACAUCUUUUCUUUUCUUCUAUAUUUGGUUUUAUUAUCAGUUCUAUUCAAUAAUAAAUGUUGUUCUCUAUUUAAGAUUUGAUUAUUUAGAAUUUUCUUAUCUGUGUUGAUACAAAAUUAAAACAUUAGCACUUAAUAUUGGAAUUGACCCAUAAUACUACAAAUUUAUAUUUUAAAUUGUAUAAUACAAAAUAAUAUUUUUAAAUACAAACGUUAAAAAGGUUGGCGAAUAUGAUCUCCUUUGUGGAUACUAGUUGAAUGUAUUUUUUAAUUUGGAAAUAUACUUCAAAAUGUAUAUUAAAAAAUAUAUAUAUAUAGAGAGAGAGAGAAAAAAAAGCUUUAAAAUAUGUUUUUGAUUAUAUUCUGAAAAUUUUAUAAAUCACUCCAUCCAGAAUGAACCAGCAGCUAUAACAGAGAUAAAACCAAAAAACCUUGGAGUACUUCUGACAUUUCACCACCCAAUGGGGGUCCAGUUUUCAGUUCAUGCAUGAAACACAUGCUCCAAACUUCAAGUUCAAAAAGCGCAAUCCAACUCCAUUUAAAGUUGGGAACUGAGCCCAAUAUCAAAUUGAGGGGCCCAAAAAAGAAGGCCAAUUCAAGUCUAGUUUUUUUUUUUUUUUUGUCAAAAUUCAAGUGUAGUUUUGUUUUCUAAAAUUCAGAAUUAUUUAGAAAACAAAUAUUUUAUUAUAUAAUUAUAAAAACUGAGAGUGGAAUUUUUGAAGAAAAUAAAAUAGGUAUUACAGGGUUUUGGAGUAGAAAAAUCGAAUUCUCUAAAAAAAAAUACAAUUCUACAAGUCAAGACUUUAAGUGUAACUAAAUUUUAGUAAACUUAAUGCUAGAAGUCCACAGAAUAGGGAAAAUCUCAAUUUAAAUUUCGACCCUGAAUUUUAUAUGUAAAUUUUAGAAUUAUAAACUAUAAAUGUUGGAAUUUUAUAUUUUUAAAACUCUUAAACCUUAACCUUUGAAUUAGAACAUUUUAUAUAGGCUAAACCCUGUUGAACUACUAACUUUUGAUUACUUUCUAAGAACUAUAUUAUUAUAUAGAAUGUUUCACUAUUAUUUAUAAAUAUUUAAUACAUAUUUAACAAUACCAUUUUUAAGAGAAUUACUGACUUGUAAAAAAUGUUUUAUUUUAUUUAGAAACUCUAGACUUUAUACGUACGGGGGGAUAGGGCCUACACUCACAUGAUCAUCAAUCUACCCUCACUAGCUUGUCCUAAUUUCUUAAACACCCUAAGAUAUAAUUGUUUACUUAUAGAAUUGGGAAUGGAUCUUAAUACUCUUAAAACUAUGUUAUGAUAGUCUUUCUAUAAUGUUAUUUUGACAUCUUCUUGGUAAAAGUAAGAGAUACUCCGACGUUCAAGUAAAUAUUUGUUAUUUAAUGUUUGAUGUGAUUAAUACGUGAUAAUAACGUUUUUUUUCUUCUAAAAGUUAUGACUGUUUAUAUAUUUAUCAUAGUCUCAUUAUUAUUGAAUCGGAAUAACAUUUGGAUCAUGAUCUUAGAUUUUACUUCUGUCACUUAGAUUGAUAAUCUUCUUCUGGUUUUAAUGUCUUUUGAAUAAGUCGGCCAAUUAAUAUUGGGCUUCAUCUUAUAUCGAUUGAUACAAUAAUAAUAAAUACUAAAAAUUUAUUUUUUUAAUUAUGAUGUUUACUUGCGUAAUAAAUAUAAAUUAUCUCAUUCUUAAUUAAUAAUGUAGAUUAAUUAAAUUAUUUAAUUAACCUUUUAUAUGUUAUUAAGAUUUAUUAUUAUUUUAAUUAUAUGUUUUCCAGGUCAACUCUAACGGAUCUUCAUGGUACAUAUCUACUUACAUUCUUGACAUGAUGUAAGUUGUUCAUAGUAAAAUAAUUAAUUUUUUAUACUGAUUAUAUUGUACUAGUACAUUUUGAUCUAUAGUUUCUAUCUAAUUAUAAUAAAAUAUAAAUAUUUUCCGGACUAUAAUCAUGCAAAAAUAUCAAAACCAUCCUAAUAAUCUCGUUUUGAAAUUCAAUCUUAAAUAUAUAUUAUUUAAAGAAUAAAACUAUAUCAAAUUAUUAAUUUUAGAUACAAUUAAGUAAAAUCAAAUGAAUUAUUCGUAAUCCCUAAACCCUAAACUAUUAUAAAUGAUAAAAGCCCUUAAGAAAGUACCUAUUUCAUUCUUCUAAUAUCUGUAAGAUUAUAUUUGCUGAUAGAAAAGAAGUAAAAAUUUGACCAUAAUAAAUACAAAGUUUCUCUCAUAAUUUGCAGCAAAAGGUUUUUCUAACCUCCACGUUUGGAUUUCUAGCCGCAUAUUAAAACCAAACCUAGCAUCACAAAAAUGUAGAUUCGAUCAAAUUAAGACGAGGAAGUUCAAAGUUGAUUCAUGAAUGAUAAGAUUCUUCUGCACAAAAUCCUGAUGACAUAAUUAUGUCCGUUUACAGUAACCGAGAAUUUAUACCUCUUUAGUUGCAUCCUCACAAAACUGACCCAACCAACUUUUUAUGUCGACUUCAUAAAAGUUAAGAAAUAAAAACAUUUUUAGCAUGUAUAUAACUACUAAUUGGACACUCUCUAAAUUCAACCCGAGUAUUUAAGCGUAUUAUCCUACUAUUCUGAUUCGCUUAGUUUAUAAAGAUACAAAACUUAAUUCAAUUCAAAAUAACAAUAGGUUUAAUGACGCGUGAAGUAGGCAGUCCAAACAGCUCACAAGAAAUAUUAAAAAAAUAACUAAAAUAAAAACAACUGAAUAAAUAACUAAAUUAGAUAGGCACAAAUAUUUAUUUUGAGAUUCGAUGAAAAUAAACAGUCAGAGAUAAUGUACUAGUGCACCCCUAAAAUAAAAGAGAUAUAUUUACAUUAUCUUUUUAUGUUAUUGACUUCUGAAGGAAGAUCUAUGAAUGCUAUAAAAGGGUCACAAGACCCUAAACAAAGCUAAGUGCAAUUUUGAAAUACUACACCGAUACUCAUGUACUAUAUUGAUAUUUAUAUGCUUUCACUGACUUGAUCAUCGGAGUCUCAUAAAAAAGUGGAGCUCCCAUCACUGUGAAUUAUUAGCAUCUCAAAGCAGCAACAACAGAAAAGAAAAAUUGGCUCAGAAUCCACACCAAAAUACGAUCUAAGUCGAUCGGCAAGAACAAUAUAUAAAAUGGAAAAAUGUUAUUUUUACAGAUCUACAAUGAUAUAAAUCAAUAUGUCACAAUGUAAUUUUAAGAUGCUCCAUCUUUUUAAAUGGAUCCAUAUUUUAAUAUAUUUUUUUAUAUAAUUAUUAUAAUCUAAUGGAAGAAUUUUCAAUAUAUCAACACUCAUAAGACUUCAAAAUAUUAAGUAUUACAGACUUAAAUGUUGAUUGAUUACAUCUAGUAUUUUAAAAACGAAAAGAAGUGUAAGUAACAUAUUUUGUGUGGUAUUUGUGGAUUUGAAAUGUAUAGUGCAUGUAGAAGAGAUUGACUAAAGUUGUGGUCAUAUAUGAAGCAGGUGCAUAUUGUGCGUCUUUAUUGUUGGAAGGAUUGUGAAAAGAUUUUACACAUUGUCAUGGUCGUCUUAUGAAUCAUCAAAUCCAAAAAAUUUGAAUUUAUAAAAAAAAAAACAACAAAUGCAGACAUAAGCAGCAGUAGUAAAGACAUGGCAAAAGCGGAUAAUUAUGAUUUCAUAGGAUUCCCUGGUAGGUUGGUUGCCUUUCUAAAAUUGUCAAAUUACACAGUGCUUGCAAAAUUAAUAUUCCUAUAUAUGGGAACUACACGUGUGCCAUUAGCCACACCACACACAAACCUUAAUAUUCGCACUCGCUAAUGUCACCGAAACAACAAUAAGACGUUAAUCGGAACAUGUUCCUUCUGCACUUUCUUCACCCAAACUAUUCAUUUUUUUAGGAUAUAUGCUGCCACAGACAACAAUUUUAUCUUUUCUGUGCACCGAUUCCUUAAAACAGUGAAAUAUGUAUUAUUCCAAAUGCAUAAAAUAUUUAGUUUGACGCAAAUGCAAAGAAUUAUAAAUAACACAGUUUCGUUACUAUUUUGGGGAACGAAAUGGAAUCUAGACUCUUGAACCAGUAUCUUGUGUCCACGCAGUCCUUUAGAUUUAACUAAUUGUUGCAAUGAAUGCGAUUUAAAAGUCUUAAAUCGUUAUUUAAAUAUGAUUUGUAAAGUUGCUUAACUUGGGGAUUGGAAAAUUGAGAAGUUAAAGCUAGCACGCAAGAGAUUUAAAAGAGGUUAGAAAUUUGAGUUGUGAAUUUAAUUUGGUUGGGUUCACAAGUGGGUUACCCUUCUUAUGUGAAAAAAAUUGAGAAUCUAUGCAAUGAAUAAGGGUUGUUCCUUCGGUCGGUCAGGUUGAUGGGUGAUGAACUGGGAUUCUCCUCGUCCUACUGCUUCUGACCUUGAUUUGAGCAUUAGCGGUAAUAUGGGUCAGCCGUCGAUCAAGUUUCCCUGGUGUCGGUCGUCUCGGCCAAGUAGACCGUCGGCCUCGUCAUCGCGGUCGAGUAUCUUGGGUCUCGGUCAGGUAGACCAGGCUUCGGAUAGCCAGGUGAGUCUCGGUCAGAGAGACCAGGGGUCGGCCUCGCCCAUACCGGUACAAGAGUGAUUGAAAAAUAGAAGGAAGGAAGAUUCGAAAACAAAGUUUGAUUAAUUGAAGCAAUAUUUGAGUGUUGAAGGUGGAGAAAGAGGGCGAAAAUAGUGAAACAAAGUAAGAGGGGAUUGUGUGUGAUUUUUGAAAUGGAGCAACAGAAGUUAGGUGGGAUACAUAGGUAAAAGGGUUAAGGAUAAUAAAGUUAGUGGGCCUGGGCUUGAAUAAUUGAAGGAAAGUGAUGAGAAAAAACAAGAGGGAGGCCCACUUGGUUGGUACUGUUUCCACUUGGGGAAAACAAGGUCUUCAACCGUAGCCUCGUCCCACUUCCAUUAUGGGAAUGUUUAGCUUUUUGAAAUUUUGCCCUCCACUCAUUACUUUUCGAUUCGGCUCGUCUCGUGAGAUACAUCACAAAAACAGAUUAUUAGGAGAAAGAGAACACACAACACACAACACUGUGUCGUGUGUGUGUGUGAUGUGAAUAUUGGAAUUUGGAUGGAUAAGCACGUUCCCAAUUUUAUGAGGUUGGACUUGUUGGGAAUUUCGUCUCCACUGCGAUGUCAUGUCACGUGGCCUUCUCUUUCUCCACUUGUUCACUUGUUUUGAUUAAUAAAUCUUUAUUACUGUGGACCCACCCCACCACAAAAUACAAAACACCACACUUUCAUUACUACUCAACGUUAAGCAGCCCAACCACAUUUACAUUUAGAAUGUGUUUGCUUAUAAGAAUCUACGUAUUAUGAGUAUUGUUUCUAUCUAGUGAUUAAAGCUCAAAUACGAGUAUGGAAAUGUGAAGAAAAAGUUGAAAUUUAAGUGUGUAAAUGUGUAUAAAGUAGGGAUUGGUGAUGGAUUGGAUUUUUAUCUAGAUCCAUAAAAUGGAUUGGAUUUAAAAUUUAUAUCUAUUUUAACAAGAUUAAAUUUAUAUAAUAUUUUUAAAAUUUAUUUUAAUUUAGAUUAAAUUCAUUUUUUUAAUUAGAUUAUUUUUAUUUUGUCAAUUAAAUUAAAUCAACUUUGUCAACUAGAUUAAAUCUAUUUUGAUUUGGUCUCUAACCGACUUAGUUUGAAAAGUUCUUGGUCCAAUCAGCUCGACAUAAACUUUGACCCACUCGACUCGAUAUGGACUUGGAUCGACUCAACCUGGGUCAACUUGAUUCUACAUGGGCCCAGUGCAUAAUCAACCUUGGCUCUGGGCAACUCAGCACGACAUCGACCUAGGCCGACUCUGCUCGACAAUGACCCAACCGAUUAUGCACGACAUUGACCCGACAGACUCCGCACAACCCGGGUCGACUUCAACCUAGGCCGACAUUGGCUCGGGUCGACUCCGCCCGACAUCGUCCCCGAUGGACAUCAGCCCAGGCCGACUCCGGUUGACAUCAGGCUGGAACGACUCUCCUCGACAUCGGGUUGGGCUGACUCCACCUGACAUUGGCUUGGGUUGACUCCGAUCCACAUCGACCCGGGGCGACUAUGGUUGACAUUAGCCUGAACUGACUCUCCUCGACAUCAGGUCGGACCGACUCCGCUCAACAUUCGGUCGAGGCAACUCCGCUCAGCUACGGCUUGACAACUCCACCUGACUCCGGCCGACUUCGCUCGACAUCGACCUGGUCCAACUUCGCUCGACACCGGCCUGGGCCGAAUUUAUUUUGCAUCAACUAUGCUCGACAUCGUCCCAGGCCGACUAUGCUAGAUAUUGACCCGGUCCAACUUCGCCCGAUAUCGGCCACGACCGGCUCCAGUUAACAUCAGCAAGGGUCGACUCCGGUCGACAUCGGCUCUAGUCGACUCCGAUCGACAUCGGCUCGGGUCGACUAUGGUCGACAUCAGCCCAAGCCAACUUUGGUCGACAUCUGCCCGGACCGACUCUCCUCGACAUCGUCCCGAACCAACUUUGCUCGACUACAGUUGGAGUUGACUUUGCUCGAUCAGGUCGGGCCGAAUCCGCUCAAUAUCAAGUCGGGCCGACUCCACCUGACUUUAACCUUGACCAAAAUUUUGAAUUGUACUCUUUUCAUCCAUAGACUUCGUGUAAAAUAUACAAUUAUUCAUUUUGCACGCUUUACAAGAAAUGACAUCAAACUUCAAUCCAGCAGCCAACUCAGUCAAGGUCUCCGAUGCCGUUGAAUCCUUUAACACCUCGUUUUAAACUAAGGCAUACAAGUUCUAUUAUGCUCCAUCAAUACCCAUUUCUUUGCUUGUCUUGGAUUAUUAUGAGCUCCUAAUACUUAGAAAUCAUUAAGUGCAUUUUAUUCACACAACCUUAUACUUAGAAUCAACAAUAUCGAGUGUUCGCAUAAAAGUGUUGUUCUAUCAUGUGUAUGAAUGUUCAAAGCCAAAAGUAAUUGAUAGCAGUGAGUAAUUGAACCAUCACAAUUAUUGUGACAAUAUAUCUCAUAAAAAUUAUAAAGCUUUAUCCAUCAGAUAUUAUACCUAGUUUUUAAAACUUGUUUUUCCUUCACAAAAUUGUCCAAUAAUUUAUUGUACACCUACGUGCUAUUUAUGUUCCCUCUUAAGUUUAGUUGUUUUCAACUUUGGUUUUUUAAACUUGUUUACAUCUUAAAUCCUUUUUACUUAAGCAAAUUAAACAGACGUAACCUUUUUGUACUGGUCGAGGUUGAACAACUUGUAACACCCUUUCUCAAAGGUCGCUUGACUGGCUAAGGAUAAAAACUUCAAGAUAGAAAGGAAUAUGCAACAAAUCAAGUAUUCCUAUUUGCUUCUUAUGAUCUUUAGUACUCUUUCAGCCUCAUGGUGGACGCCAAUUGUUCUUGUAUACGAGACUAAGACAGUAAGAUUAAUCGGUUGAACAAUUGAUUACUCCUCUUCAGUCGUCCUUCACUUCUUUCUUCCUUCAUUCCUAAGUCUCAAGCUUCGACUCUUGGUCAAAAGUGUAUAUGCAAAUUGUACUUUGAUACUCAAGUAAGUGUUUGAUAUUUAGUGUGUAAUGAGUGGUAUCUUAACUACGUCUCUUUGCUUUGUAUGAUGUGUUUAUUCAUACAAUUUAUAUAAUCAUAAAAAGAAAUAUCUAAUUUGUUGCAUAUUCUUUUUUACCUUGAGGUUUUUAUCCUCAACCGGUCAAACAACCUUUUAUACUAGGUGUUACAUGUCGUUCGAUCCGAAAAAAUACACUUUCCUUUCUAGUUUAUUUUUAUCAAAAUGAAAAUUUGACCAUCUCCUUUUUAAUUUAAGAACGGAUUGUAGUUUGUCACAGCUAUAAAAGCUUUCAAGAAACUAUUAUAAAUACUUUUCAGUAAUUAUAAUUAUAUAUUUCAUAUUAUAAUACAAUGAUAAAAUAGUGUUAUAUCAGUUGUAAAAUAAAAGAGUUUUAUGGAAUUAUACCAUUUUAUUAUUUAAGAUAAUACUUUCCUUAUUUUAUCGUUAUUUUCCUAAAAAAUUAGUGUAACAAGCUUGUGAUUUAUAUAUUUGCAACCAAACUUUUUCAGAUCGUGGAAUAAUUGAUUUCACCAAAGAUUGUAGGUGUUUAUUUUUCUUUUUCUUAAAUUUUAUACACAAAUAAAAACUAUUAUUACAGAAGGGUGAAGUGUUUUUUUUCAAAUAAAAAUUAAAAAUAAUGAAAAAUAGACGCUGAUUUGAUAUCUAUAUUUUAAAAUUGAAAAACAUAUCAUUUUUUACAUAUAAUAAAUCAUUAUUCUUUUGACAUUGAUAACAUUGAAUUGAAAGUAGAACUUCAGCAUGUCCAUAACAACGAAAAAAAAUUCGUUAGGUCAAUUUUCCUGGUUUAAAUAAUCGAUUUUGUGAAAAUAUAAUAAUACAGUCAGUAAAUUUAUAGAAGAAAAAAUAUUAAGUUUUUAUUAAUAAUUUCUUUCAUCUUUGUGCAACCCUACUUUGAAAAUAACACAUUUACAUUAUAUUUGUUUAGGUAUAUGUGUUCAAGUAAAUUUGGAGGUUCACAAAGUUUUGUUGUUCUUUAGGUUUGAUUGUGCUGAUUUGUGGUGAAUUGCAUGAAAGAAAGGAAGGAAGAAAAAAGUGUCCCUCUAAACUAAGAAGAAAAACGUAGAAAGUUUGGUAUGAGCGGUACAUUUACAAUUUUCACCCUGCAUGUAGAUGUUAAGUGUAUGUGCAUGGUUGAACUCUUUUUGGGUGAAAAGUGGAAAAUGCAUGUUGAACGGGUAUAAAUAGGGAUGGUAAUGCAGGUUGACCCGCCUCAUAUAGAUCUGUCCCGCACUUGGCCUGUAAAAAGCAGACUGGGUUGGCUCGCUCCGCAUAAAAUUUGUGUGCUGAUUUUUCUAGCCCGUCCCGCAUAAAGGUUGGCCCGUGGAUUUGCGAACCAGUCUGCAUAAGAAAUAUUUUAAAAAAAAAUAUUUUUUUAAAUAAAAAUUUUGAAUUUUUUAUUUUAAAUGCAUUAGGUAAAUAGUCUCAUAAUAUUAUUUUCAUGAGACAUGUGUAGUAAAAUGUGUAUUAAAAGUUUUGGAAUGUGAAAUAUGAUGUUACAUAAAGAAAAUAUGGGAGUGCAGAAAAAAAUGUAUACAUAUUAAAGUUAUGCAAGUUACGUGAGUCAACUCGCGCCGUCUCGCACUUGGCCCGCGUAGGCUGCAAGUUAUGCGGGGCGGGCCUAAGCGGGUCAGUGGGUUCAAAAUAAACAACCCGUCCCACGUUUUUUUAACGGGCCACAGGCCGGUCCGCACGACCCACCCCACUUUGUCACCCGUAGGUGCAAAUUUGAUUGUUAACUGAUUAUGAAAAUUUCAAUCGUCAAUUACAUUAACAUCAUCGAUUAUGCUUUGCAACAUUAUGAAAAAUAAAAAAAAAAGUCAUGGGCCAGGGGUGGACUAGGAAAACUAAGUUGAAGAAGAC
rnacentral:lncRNA from 1 species